UUCUUCUUGUCUCUACAUGGUUCGAAUUGAUUUACAUCUACCUUAGAAAAUAUGGCAUCAAUGCCGUCUUCGGUCUCUCCCUUAAAGGAGGUGACGUACGGCACCGUGACUCUCAAGGAGAGUUACUCACGUGUUUUCCGGUUCAAGUCUUUUACCUAUAGCGGAUUUUCCAUCAUCAAUUGUUCAACUAGGCUCACCCAAGUUAGUAUGAUGUCUUAGAAUUGUCCGAAAUUAAGGAGCUAGUGGUUUAAGUGUGCCUCGCACUACCGACCCUCCACGGCCAUGCCUGGUCAUACUUAAUUUGGAGUUACCGAAAGCUUUUGAUCUUGGAUUCCUUCUACGCUAUUCCUCCAAUUGCCGUCUUGUAAAAGACGUUAAAGACUUGGCAAAAACCGGACCAUCAUCGAAUCCUAUGGGUUCCUUGAUCAACAACACGUCCCUAUGGCUGAGUUUUCAUCUCCAUGCCACCAGCAAGCUUCAAACGCUUUGCUAAUGCCAAAUCUGCGAAAAACAGUAAUCUGUCCCCCCUGGACAGUAACUUCGUUUGAGCUUUGUGAACAGAUCCGGACGAACCAGACAGUGAGCUUUAUAUCAUUGGAAAGCUCUAUAUGUCUAGUUUUCAGAACAUUUUACGGUUCGUCCAUAUCUAUUUUAACGAAGGAGUUAUGACUGUUUUAGUGCGCAAAGGUCAUUCUGCGCGAGAAAUUUCCAGCACUCUCGGGAUUGUUACUACUUUUAGUUUUUUCAAUCCUUCUAAAUAGCUCAAUAUCGACCUAUUUACUCAUAUAUCUACUUUUUUUGUAAGUAUGUCUCUUGGAGAGAUCGAGUGCCUCGCAGAUAGUGGAUCAACCCACACAAUUCUAAGGAACCGGCAACUAUUUCUUGAGCUAGUGCCUUGUAAAUCAUCUGUGACGACAAUGAUUGGAUCUUCCCCUGUGAUCCUCGGGCGUGAAACCGCUCGCUUUUUUCUGCCUCAUGGCACUAUGAUCCACGUCACGGACGCUCUUUAUGCCCCAAAAGGGCACCGAACCCUGUUGAGCUUUAAGGACAUUCGCGCUAAUGGCUUUCACUUGGAAACUCAUUGUGAAGAUGGAACUGAGUUCUUGUGUAUCACUUCUCACGAAUACGGACGCAAACGUAUAUUGGAGAAACUCAUGAGUCAAUCUAGUGGUCUUGACCUUACUACGAUUCGGAUUAUUGAAUCUCAUGUAGUCGCCAAACAGGAUCUUUGGGACUCUAACUCAUACAAGCUUUGGCAUGAUCGACUUGGUCAUCCUGGAAGGGACAUGAUGAUCCGAAUUCUGCGUAAUUCUCAUGGACAUCCCUUCUUCAAAUCAAAACGAAAACAUUUGGGAAAUGAUGUCACUUUGCAUCAUGGUGGUGACGCCUCAAAUGGUCACCACGGCCCAAAGAGGACUUUGAUGUCUCCCGGGAUCGGCACCAACUUCAUGGCUGCCGCUCGGCCGCUCCCUCAAGCAAUUGAGGCGCGCCGUUCUUCCCUUGAUGUGUUGUUGACUCUUUCAAACGCUCAUCGUUCGUUUUGCAAAGCUUGCUCUUUAGCGAAAGUAGUAUCGAGACCGUCUUACGCUAAAGAUAACACCGAGAACAUUCCAUUUUUACAUCGUAUCCAAGGUGAUAUUUGUGGACCCAUCCAUCCUGAAUGUGGACCAUUUCGAUACUUUAUGGUCCUGGUGGAUGCUUCAACGCGUUGGACUCAUGUCGCGCUCUUGUCCACACGUAAUGCUGCAUUUCCAAAACUCCUAGCACAAAUUAUUAAACUUCGGGCUCACCACCCGGAUUAUCCAAUUAAGUCAAUUCGACUGGAUAACGCUGGAGAAUUUACAUCAAAGACUUUUGAUGACUAUUGCAUGUCUAUCGGGAUUGAAGUCGAGCAUCCCGUACCCCAUGUUCACACGCAAAACGGUCUCGCCGAAGCUACGAUUAAGCGGCUUCAGCUUAUUUCUCGAGCGUUGGUAAUGUGCACCAACCUUCCGAUUGCGUCAUGGGGCUAUGCAAUAUUGCAUGCAGCCUUACUUAUUCGUUUCAGACCCACUGCCAAACAACCAUUCAGUGCGUACCAGUUGGUCACUGGAUAUGAGCCUGACAUUUCGCAUCUACGCAUUUUUGGUUGUUCGGUUUAUGUGCCAAUUACGCCUCCACUGCGUUCUAAAAUGGGUCCUCAGAGACGAUUGGGUAUCUACGUUGGUUAUGAAUCUCCAACGAUUAUCAGAUAUCUCGAGCCAUUAACAGGUGAUCUCUUUACCGCAAGGUUUGCGGAUUGUCACUUUGAUGAGACACUCUUCCUAUCGUUAAGGGGAGAUACGAACAAACAUGUUCAUGUGGAACGACAGGAAUUGUCAUGGUUUGUCCCCACUCUGUCUCAUUAUGAUCCCCGCACCUCACAAUCUGAAAGUGAAGUGACACGUAUUCUCGAACUUCAGAAAGUAGCAGAUACGAUGCCUGACUCUUUCUCCGAGAUUGCGAAAGUGACAAGAUCAGAUAUACCAGCUGCAAAUGUUCCUGCUAGGCUCGAAGUCCCUAGAAAGGGCACGGCCAUCCCCGGGCUCGGUACUGUCGCCGUCGGCGGCGCCGCCCAUGGUGGAGGGAUGGAGGCCGUGGCUCCCUAAAGGAAAAGGGGGAGGCCACCUGGUUCGGUUGACACGCGUCCGAGAAAGAAACGGACCGACAAGGCACAAGUCAAUCCUUUAAUCAUCGAUGUUGAGAAUCCUUCUCACGAGAUCAUCUCUGAUUACAGUUAUGUCCACGAGUUGAUAUUAGAAUCCAUGGGGGACGCCUCAGAGUCAAUGUCAACAUCAGAGAACAUAGAGAUCUCCAUGUGUUANNNNNNNNNNNNNNNNNNNNUUUGGCCCAGUAGUGCUAACUCCGCCGAGUGUAAAGCCUGUUGGACAUAAAUGGGUCUUUGUUAGAAAGCGUAAUGAGAAGAAUGAGGUGCUUCAGUAUAAGGCCCGCCUUGUGGCGCAAGGUUUCUCACAACGCCCUGGGAUUGAUUACGAGGAGACUUACUCUCCAGUCAUGGACGUCAUAACUUUCCGCUACUUAGUCAGUUUGGUAGUGUACCGAAAAACUUGACAUGCAGCUCAUGGAUGUGGUUACGGCAUAUCUCUAGUGGGGAUCUAGAUUCAGAGAUAUAUAUGAAAGUGCCUGAUGGCAUUACGUUACCUAAAUCAAGUGACUUUAAACCACGGAGUGCGUAUGCUAUAAGGUUGCAACGCUCACUUUACGGAUUAAAGCAAUCCGGGCGAAUGUGGUAUACUCAUCUAAGUGACUACUUGAUUAGGGAGGGAUAUAAGAACGAUGAACUAUGCCCGUGCGUGUUCAUAAAGAAGACAAGUUCCGGAUUUGCAAUAGUGGCCGUUUAUGUCGAUGACAUGAACAUUAUCGGUACUCUUGAUGAAAUCAAAGAGACCGCGGCUUAUCUGAAAUCCGAGUUUGAGAUGAAAGAUCUUGGGAAGACUCGUUUUUGCCUAGGUCUUGAACUAGAGCACCGAGUCUGUGGGAUUCUUAUCCAUCAGACUGCAUAUGUCCAAAAGAUGCUCAGGUGAUUUAAUAUGGACAAGAUGCAUCCUGUUAGCACUCCCAUGAUUGGUCGAAGUCUGGAUAUAACUAAAGAUCCAUUCCGUCCCAAAGAGGACGACGAAGAGGUCUUGAGCGCAGAGGUUCCAUACCUUAGUGCAAUAGGCGCGUUAUUGUAUUUAGCUCAAUGCACUCGACCAGACAUUGCAUUCUCAGUCAACUUGUUAGCUAGAUUUAGCUCAGCGCCAACCCAACAUCAUUGGACCGGAGUUAAGAACAUCUUUCGAUAUCUUAAAGGUACCAUUGAUUUGGGACUGUUCUUUCCCUACACUAAUUCAAGAAGGACAGAAGAUGGUCCUAUGGCUCAUGGAAGACACGGCACCGAUCCACCAAGGGACCGGAUUGCCGCCAUGGACGCCGCCGGUACGGCUGCUGGACACGGGUCCAAUGCCGUGCAUGCCACCGCCGCCUUGUCCUAUGCCGAGACACCCAACAAUACGUUGGUGGGUUUCGCCGACGCCGGAUAUUUAUCUGAUCCUCAUAAAGGACGUUCUCAAACUGGUUAUGUUUUCACCAUUGGGAAUACGGCGAUAUCUUGGAGGUCUACUAAGCAGACUCUAGUGGUGACAUCUUCAAAUCAUGCAGAGAUUAUAGCUUUGCAUGAAGCUGUUCGGGAAUGUGUUUGGUUGAGAUCAAUCAUUAAGCACAUUAGAGGAACUAGUGGAUUAAGUUCUACAACUGAUAGACGUACAUGCAUUUAUGAGGACAAUGCAGCUUGUAUUGAGCAAAUGAAGUUAGGUUUCAUCAAGGGUGACAAUACAAAGCACAUUUCACCUAAGUUCUUCUACAACCAACAGCAACAGGCGUUUCUCAACAUUCAAGUGAACCAAGUUAGUUCCGAAGGAAACGCAGCAGACUUAUUUACUAAGUCUUUGCCUAAGUCUACUUUUGAGAAACAUGUGAAAAGUAUAGGCAUGCGUCGGCUAUCAAGUCUCUCUGAAUAAUGUUCACAUCAGGGGGAGUAUCAUCUCAAUGAAGUAGGCUGGUGCGUUGUACUCUUUUUCUCCUACGAUCAAGGUUCAGUUUUUCUCCCACAGGGUUUUUGUGACUUGACGAGGUUUUUGACGAGGCAACAGAUUAGCACCACUGGCAUAUCAACGCGCGGCACAAGGGGGAGUGUUCUAGGAUAUUCUUUAUGUGUGUCUUUGCCUUAUGCCAAUAGGAUAUGUAGUUAGACUAGAUCUAUGUAUUCAUAUCCUUACCAUACUGGUAAUGUGUAAUUCCCUAUAUAAAGGGCUCCUAUCAAUGAAUGAGAUACACAUCUUUCACGAUUCUCUAUUCUCAAUUUACUUUCACUUCAUCAAAUAUAUAUUUUUAGGGUUGGGUAAUUUAGAAAUAUUAUAAUUAUGUGAGGAUAUUUUGGAAAGAAAAAAUUGAUUUCAUUAUCUUGAUUCUGAUACCCAUCUCCCCCCUUGGGUAUCGAAUAAGGGGUUUCAUCAGGAAUUGAUUUUUGAUAAGUAAGUGGGACCCACAUCCAUUCCAAUACCUUGACAUAUUAGUAAACGCCGGAACUUAACAAUUCCAGAAUCAAUUACACCACUCUCAAUUCCAUUCCAGUAAACAUGCCCUUAGAGUUCUCUUUUUGAAUAUGAAUAGACAAAGAUAUAGGGAUCCCUUACGGACUUGGAUAUCCAUGUCCGCAUAUAAUUCAAUUAUUCAAGGAUGACUUUUAACUGUAAAGUAUAAACACGUCGGCCUUCUAGAUGACUUGUAGAUCUACAAGUCUCUCUUAAGGUUUUGUAGCAUAUAUAAAAGAGUAAAGAAAACAACAAAAUAGAUGGAAGACAAUGGCGAGCUUGCGGGGCACCGAUUCCGUCUUCCUUCCGAGAUCAUGGUUGAGAUUCUUUCAAGGCUACCAGUCAAGUCAUUAUGCCGCUUCAGGUGCGUAUCAAAGCCCUGGCGUUCUCUAAUCUCCAACACCAAGUUCAUUGCACUGCACGCCAAGAAAGCCCUCGAGGAUAAAGAGGUAUUCUUUCAGAGAUGAAGAGUCAUAUCUAACGUUGCAAGUCGUGGCCUUUACUCUAUGGACCUAGAUGAGUUUCUCAACCAUGCAGAUAAUCCUUAUGGUUCAGUAACAGCCACCGAGCUCCAUUUUGUUCGGAAAGAAUUUGAUCCAGAGCAACAACAUAAACCUCCUUGGCUUCCUUUCAUCUACUUCUGUAAUAACUUCUUGUUGUGCUAUACCAAGAAAGGGAUUUAUUUGGUUAACCCUGCAACCAGGCAGAUGAAGAAAGUACCCAAGACACCGACGUGGAGACCUAGCCCUGCUAUCAGGAUGCGCGCUUCCUUGAGCAUAUGUGGACUUGGAUUUGAUUACUCGACCAAUGAGUAUAAGGUGGUUGACGGGCAGAUGUACUGUGACAUGAGAAUCGUAUUCAGUGUCUAUAGAUUGAAAACUGAUUCUUGGCGACAGAUAGAGUACCACACUCAAUACUGUCCUGAUUAUCAUCAAGGGAUUUCUUUCAAUGGAGCUAUUCAUUGGUCAGCGGGGAAAGCUUUUGGAGUUGACAAUAGAUCAGUGAUUCUAACUUUUUUAUUAGCCGAGGAGGAGUUUUGCGAAAUUCAACUCCCACCCAUCGCUGAUACUUGUUCAACAAUACUGGGAGUAUUUAGAGAUUGCUUAUGAAUAACGCUACACGGCCGUCAUCAAACAUAUGAUGAGUUUUGGGUCAUAAAGAAUAUAAAGCGAGUGAGUCUUGGACUAAAAUGAGAAUCUCCAUGCCAUAUACGACCAUAUUGUCACAUAUUGGUUUCUCUACAAAAUCUCAUGAUCUUAUGGUGUACGAGAAUUCAUUGGUUAUGUACCACUUUAUGAAAGAAAGUGGUAGGAAGCUACAAAUUCGUGAUAUACCUGAGGUUGAUAAUUGUGUGGGGGUUUAUGUUGAGGGGCUUUUUCCACUUACUGAUCAAGCUAGAGAAGGACGAGAGUCGACGUAGAGAGGAUUAAUCGAGUCAUCUUCUGCGAUUGUACGUUGCUCAUUACGAGUCCAUGCAUGAGCAUAUAUUUCUUGAUUCCUUCAUGUACACAUAUGCAGUACACUGAUUUCAUAUUUCUCCUUUACGCUAGCUUUGUUCAUACCCAAAAUCGGUUGUCUAGUCAUUACAGGCUUUAGAAUUUUGCAGAACACCAAGCAACGCCUAUAACUAUGAAUGAAAGGACCUGGAGUCCCUCUCUUCAGUCUCUUGUACUCUAAAUUGCCUCUCCACCUCCAUAUAACUGUGCAACCUCUUAUUCACCCUUUCCAAAUUCAGCUUCCUUGUCCAAGCCCAAGUCAGCAUGGUGGCAACCGUAUGGUAUGGAAGCUAGAGCGAUUUCAAACUUUGCACUUGAAACAGAAGAUACUACCCGAAAAGCAUCCGAAAAGCAUCCUAAACCACGUACUGUACCAAAGUCCUAAAUCAAGUCAGUACCUUCACUGCUAAUAUUUAGUCUCAAUCAACCAUCUCACUCUUCCUUCACUCAUUCUAACUCCAAAACCUUUGCCUACUCCAGGAACAAACUUGAGCAACUAAUCCGAAGCCCGAUAACAAUCCCAUAACUAAAAAACUAUACCAUCCAAUAACCCUUCACAGCUUCACAUUCCAACACUCCAGCUAUAAUGCAAAGCAAAACGAGCAAAAACACACUAAUUUCCUCAACUUGGUAACUCAAAGUUCAAAAUUUUACACCAUUCAACAACAUAAAAACAUAAAUCCCCCAAUAUAACAGCCUCCACCAUCUUCAGAAUCCUAAAAAAUUAGGGUUCUGCCAACUUUUCUGAACAAAAAGGUAAGCAAAACAAAAUAAAGCUUCAGACUUUGGAACGAAAAAGCAUUACUUAUGGCGGAGCGGAGCUGGAAUCGGAUAAGCCGUUUAUUUUUUUUUUUACUUUCGAAAGCAAAAGAUGGUUACUAAUCAUAAAUACUAAUAUGUUGUAAAACAAAAGGAAUAGAUUGAGAAAGGAGAGAAACAACCAAGAGAAUGAGAGAAUAUGUGUAUAUUAUUGAGUAGGGAACCAUCUCUUAUAUAGAGGUGAGGUCAUGAUGUAAAUUACAAUAACAACCCUAAUUGGCUAAUUACAAGAAUGCCCACUAAAUAAUAACUAUUUACAAGCUCCCCCUUGGGUAUUCUCUGUCAUUAGCUUCCCCUAAUAUGUGCUUCGGUGUUGCCUCGUCAAAACCUUGCCAGGUAAUAAAAACCCUAUGGGACAAAAACAAUCCUGGUCGAAGGAGAAAAGAGUACAACGCACAAGUAGCAGUGAUAGUCAGAAUCCUUGAUUUCGGUGAAGCGGUUUAGUCUGGAUCAUAAGAUGUGAGUCUAUGGGAGAUAGAUGCAUAAUAGUUGCUACACCAAAACCUUGCCCGAUAAACCCAGUGGGACAAACCCGUGAUCGAAGGGAAAAGAUGAGCAAAUGCAUAUAUUUCAAAUAAGGGCAUCUUCAAGAUGCAAUAUGAGCAAGGUGAUCAAUUACAUGUGUGCCUCAUUAAAACCUUGUCAGGUAACAAAACCCAAUGGGACAAAAUAACUCUGGACGAAGGACAAAAAGAGUACACAAUGGUCAAGAGUAUACUUUAGGAUACUCCCCCUAAUAUUGACUCCCCCUGAAAACUACACACUAGGUAAAACUACUACAUUGAUCAUAUUUCUUGAAUAACUUAAUAAUCAACAUGAUUUAAAGAGGUUUUUGUUUCAUAUACCUCUAAGAUUAUUGUAUUCCCUAUAGUAAAGACAUAACCAGUUGGGAAUAAGCUUUGUGUGGGUUUACAUAACCCGUGUCAACAUAUUUAACAAGGCAAACAUCAUUCUAAGGAUCAUAGGCGGUUGAUCCAUUCCAUGAUGCCUAGGGAUAAAAUGAGUCAUUUUCCAUCAUACAUUUAAAGUAACGGAAAAUUGUCUUUUAUGCCAUUUACGGAGGUGACAUGUUGGCGUAGAGCUAUAUCUAGCUAACAAAUUCACAUCAGCCUAGGGAUAAAAUGAGUCAUUUUCCAUCAUACAUUUAAAGUAACGGAAAAUUGUCUUUUAUGCCAUUUACGGAGGUGACAUGUUGGCGCAGAGCUAUAUCUAGCUAACAAAUUCACAUCAGAUGAGAUGAUGGUCUAGUAUACAACAUUCUUAACGAGCAGCUUGAUAUAAUGUGUCAUUAAAGACAAUACCCUUAUUCUGAGGGGGAUGCUCGUGUGAUAAUUGAGUUGAGGAUACGGUGCGUCAUAUGUUUUUCCUGGGUGCAUCAAACACCAAUACUAUAGCUAGUAUUUGCUCGAAUCAUUUAGCUUCUAGCUAAUAAAUUUGAAUAUAGUCAAUGUACGCUUUUGGCCGCACAUUCGAAGGUUAUGCAAAGAUGUUACACCAUUUUUCUGGUGGUUUCAAUGUUUUAAGCAUUGAUUCAAUGAACUUACCUUUCGAUAACGUUCUUCUGAAACGUAAAGGUAUUUUGACCUCGUCAGCCAGACGAGAACGCUCAAUUCCUUAAUAUUGAUAACUCGUAUCAAUUUUGAUUUAGAUUCUAAGGCAACAAGCCCUUCCAUUUUAAUAUUCUUUUGCUUCAUGCAAGGAAGAUGUCUAGUUCAAAUUGUUUCUUCUGGAGACUACCAAUUAACAUGAUAAAGCUACUGAUUUUAUCAUGUUUGAUGAAUUUGGAAUGAAACUUCAAGUUUCUUAAGCGGAUUAUUAUCGAAACUAGAAGAUCGAUUUAUAAAUGAACUACGGGUUCAUGUCUGAACUACCGGUUCAUUUCUGAACUACUAGUUCAUUAGGUACAUGUAUUUUCAAGUUAUAAUCAUGUAACAAUUGAUGAUAUUAAUUCCACACUACUAAUUUAGCAUAGUGAAUAUGUCACGUAACUAUGUGUAAAUGCUUCUGGCAAUUAAUUACACAUUAAAUAUGAUGAAUAUAUUAACAAUAGCCAUUAUGAGAAAAUAUUUGGAGAGUCCUAUAGACAUACAUAAUGACUAGGUACGAAAAUCCAGUGUCAUUAGAUUAUUUUCAUUUUGUUUGAUUCUACUGGACCAAAGGAAUUAACUGAAAUUAAAGUGAAAUAAAUAAACCUAGCCUCUACAUACUUUACAAGUAUAAGGGGCAUAAUCUGAGAGGUAUGCUGGGCUUCUAGGUCCCGUAUAGGGAGAGUGGGCCUACUGGGCUCAAAAUGGUCUACCAAGAAAUGCAAUGUUAUUGGCCAACCCUUUCGGUAACUCCAAUUGUAUACGACCAGGUAAGCAAUGAUGAGGUGGUGGAGUGAUGAGCACAUUUUAUAUCAUAUUAUUAUCCCUGAUUUAUGUGUUAGUUACUUGUUUUAAUUAGUAUGAGUUGUUUAGUUUGCUUUUGUGUUCUUAUAGAUGUUUUGUCUAAAUAAAUAGAAUGUUAAAGUUAUAGUAGCAAUUUACCUAUUUUCAUAUAGUAAAUUGAGUCUUUGUUUUAACAUGAGUCUUUUUCCCUUUAAUUAGAUGAAUAAUUGUAACACAUGUUCUUCUUAUUCUAGUAGCUUGUAUGCAUAUAUGCAUGUGUUAAAUUGGUGGAUUAUUUUCUCAUGGAUUAAGUGUGAUGUGUGGAAAUAUUACCAUGGCAUCCAUUGUUGAAUUCACUUUUGCUUGUUUGAUUCAUAGGUAUAUAGUUGCAUUGAUACAAACGGAAGAGAGUAUGAAGAAUUUCCAAGGACAUAUACCAUGAAACAAGGAGGCAAGAAGCAAGCAAGCAUGAUUCUAGAAACUAAAUCUUCAAUUGUUCAAAGAUUGUGUACGUAUCUUCUCUUCGUUCACAUGAAAAAUGAGAGAAGGAAGCUAUGUAUGGAAACAUUUAUGGAUGGAGACUUUAGCUAUCAAGCUUGAGAAGUUUGAAAGAUGGAGAGUCAUUUUCACAUGGAGUUGAAGUUGAAUGAAGAUCAUUGUUGCCCUAUAAAUAGAUGUUGCUUCAAGUGAAUAAAAGGAGAAGGGAGGAGGAGAGAGUAGAGAAUUAGAGACACAUUGUUGCUCUUAGUUCUUCUCUUUCUUUAGCUUCUUUUUGUAUGAUUGUUUUGUAUUGUUUUAAAUAUGUUUCUAAUUUUACUAUGUCUAACUAAUUUCCUUAACUAAGGUUAAGGAGGAAACCACAUUAUGAAAUAAGUUUCUUUUAAUUAUCUACAAUUCCCAUAGUUAUGUUAUCCAUGCCUAUGACUCUUGCUUCAAAAUGCAUUAAUAAAAUCCUUGUUCUUUUCACCUCUAAUGUCAUGCAUUUUUGGUAGUUUGGAAGUCAGUUUUAUUAAUCCAUGCUUGGUUUUGUAAAAUAUUUAAUAUGAACUCCUUUGAUCUCUUGUCAUUCAAAUGAGCUUGUUUCACAUUUGAUGUUUUAUAAACACUUUGAUCUUUUGUAGUUUCAAUAAGUUUGUGUACAUGUGAUGCUUUGAUGUUCAUAAUUAAGAAACGAAGAAGAGUCUACUUUAGAUAUAUUUCAUGUGUGCUUUAUUGUUAAAUCUUGAGAAAGCAGUAGAUUGAUUUCUAGAUUGCUACUCCUAAUUCGGGAAUUAGUAGAUAAUAUUUAGAGACUUAUCAAGUAAUGUGGUGGAAUCCGAUGUCUUAGUUACUUCGUCAUCAAGGUAAUUUUUAUCUAUUUUAUUUGUCUUAGCUACUUCACCAUCAACUUUCAUUCAACUAGGUUAGUGUUAAAUUAAUUUAGAUUCGAUUAAUUUUUCCUAUUUUCAUACAUUCCCUGUGGGUUCGACCUCGCUCUUGCAUAUCUGUGCUGCAACUGAUUCGUGCGCUUGCGAGUAACAUUUUAAAACACAUCAUGGAGCGAGCUAGGCUCACUUAAGUACACAGCCUCAAAAGAACUUGCGUAGACAUCGCAUCCAACUGGAUGAGCCUAGUUUGAGAAGAAUUAUAUUCAUUGUAUGGAUUCAUGGCGACACAUGGCAGCUUAUGUGCUAGUCUUGCAGCUGGCGUCGAGCUUCUGGCUCAAUUUGUGUAUAUUCAGGCUUGAUUUAAGCUUCUGACUUAACAUCAUUAAUAUUCACCAAUAUAUCAUAAACCAAUGCAAUAUAUGUUAUUAAAUCAUAACAUACAAACUUAAUGUGAAAGUAAUUAUAUGAAACCGAAAUAAAUUAAAUUAUAACGGAAACAAUUUAAUUCACAUCGACAUAAUGCAUAUACAAUAAAAUUACUAAACCAAUAAAUGUCAAUAACGUAGCGGUUACUUGCAAAACUAACUCAUUUGCAUCACUAAUUGCUUCUGGCAUUAAUGUGUCAUUACAUACUCAUAAUAAUUAUCGAUAUAAACGAUAACAUAAUUGAGAACUAAUUGAAUAAAACUGACGCGAUUUGAAUUUGGUAACUGACAGUUAAUAUAUGGCAUAAAUUAUUAAAUAAAUAUCAUUUAUGCAGUAGUUAAGUACCAAAGGCAAUGAGUUCAAAUCUCAUUAAUGCUUCUAGCAUUACACAUAAGUAUUAAAUUGGAUAAAUGCUUCUGGCAUAACAUUGAUGUAAUAAUCGCGUAAUUAAACCCUAAUGUUUCAAGCACAAUUUAUGGGGUUAUAAAUAUGUAAUUGCUUCUGGCAUUAUACCCUCAUAAAUGUUAAAUUGAAAUGAAUAUGAUUCUAAUUCGUAAUUAACAUUAAAUUAGGAUCCGACAUAAAGUCAAUAACAAAUAUCAUUUAUGUAACGGUUAUGGGUUUAAAUCUCAUUAAUGCUUAUGACAUUAUGUAUUACUGUAUUAGUAAUAAAUGAGGUAAAUGCUACUAGCAUAACGUUUAUAUAAUAAUUACGUAAUUAAACCCAAAAUUCAUGCUUCUCGCAUAAUGAAUUGUAGUGGAAAUUAUUCAAAUUGACGUAACUGAAUAUUAAAUUCAUAACGUUUAUAUCAUAAUUUGCACAAUAAUUUGGUCCAUAAUGCUUGUAGCAUAAUGUGGGUUGUAAAUUGGUAAAUGCUUCUGGCAUUACAUGUCCUUAAACGACAUAUUGAAUUUGACACAAAUCAAAUUUGUAACUGACAAAAUAUACAUAUUAAGCUACAAUUAAGUAACAUAAUUAGCACUGAAAUGUCGUUAUACCAUUGACGUAACAUUUACUAAUGGAUUUUAUUUAAACCCCAUUAAGAGCAAUAUUAAUUCCUUCUUAUCACUAAAUGCUUCAGGCAUAAUGAAUAUGGAAUAUAUGUAACGUCUGCUAUCAUUGAUCAAAUUAAUAGUAAAAUCUUAAUGGUUACAAGCACUACUUCCGAAAUGCAUGCAUGAUCUUGAGUUUGGAUAUCAUGAAAAAUUAUACUUUUUGCUGAUCCAUGUGCCUCCUUGUCUGCACUACUAGGCAGUUGCGAAGGUUGAUUUCGGUGGCUACUAGCCUCCGUAGUGAUUUCCUUUUUUUGGUGCUAUAUUUUCCUUUUCCAAUUCUCAUAACAUAAGAAAACUUAUAUGACAUUUCAUGUUCAUAUGUAUUAACCAAAUAGACUAAUACAAUAUAUUUGGUGCUCAUGCAUCGUAGACGAAUUUUUCAAUAUGCAAUCAAAGUUAAUAAGCAUGAAAUCAUAAAAUCGAAACAUAAACAACAUAUGGUUCAUGCUUCAGGAUGGUUUUUCAUGUAAUCAAGGUUUAAAAGAAACAUGAAUUAUAAUAGAGUUUAGAAAAUUUUACUCGAUGCAAAGCGAAUCAAUGAGUGUUCAUCUUAUGUGUCAGAACCGAGAAUAUUGGUGGACUAAACUUCUAAUCCAAUCCGAGAGCUUGUUUGUGAUUGAAAUUUUGAACCAUGUUGAAUGAUUCUUCCAUCGAUUGAUCAACGGUCUCUCUUUUAUGCUGCAUAAAAACUACCUUAGCGUUAGAACUAUUCGUGCUGAUAACGUGUUGUAAAACAAAAGGAAUAGAUUGAGAAAUGAGAGAAACAACCAAGAAAAUGAGAGAAUAUGUGUAUAUUAUUGAGUAGGGAACCAUCUCUUAUAUAGAGAUGAGGUCAUGAUGUAAAUUACAAUAACAACCCUAAUUGACUAAUUACAAGAAUGCCCACUAAAUAAUAACUAUUUACAACAUAAUAGUCAUUAUCAUGACAAUGUCAGAAUCGAGGAUCAAGCCUCAUACUUUGGAUUUUAUACAAUCACAAUUAUUACAAACAUAGUUUUGGUUUUAAGAACCAAAAGACAUCCACGACACACACACCCAAUAAUCAUGUCAACUAAUCUUCUCUCCACACGAGACUUGCCAAUUCAUUGUUGAGGAGCAUCAUUCCUGUCAGCAUGAAGGGCUUGAAAUGUUAAACUUACAGUGCAAUAUCACUAGAUAAUGAGGAAGAAGAAGAAGACGAACAGCAAACCGCAGCUAAGUAGUUAGAAAUUCAUCAACUUCUUAUUGAUUCGAACCAGGAAAAACAAGCAUGAAAAGUACUAAAUAAGAAAGUUAACACAGACAACACUUGUUGUGUCCAAGGAAAAAGGUGAAAGACCUUUGUGUUAAUAUUCAAGACCCAGAAUUUUGAAACAAAACGACACAAUGAGUAUCGAUGCAAACAAAGGUAAGAGGAGUACAUGUAUGUACGUAAACAUCUGAAGACGAUCUUCACACAGGAAAAUCGUCAUACAUGUAUGUACGUACCUAAAUUCUCGAGAGAUUUAGUGAAAUCGUCAUACAUGUACAUACAUGUAUAUACAUACCUAAACUCUCGAGAGAUUUAGUUGUUACUUAUGUUUGGAGUAUUGCAAGGAUUCUUCCCUCCCUGUUCUGCUUCUUCCUUUGGGGAGUGGCUGUCCUUCAUCUUUCAAAAUGAAGCCUCUGCUACCAAUUGAAGAAUGCAUUUGAACUAGUUCUUUGCCAAUGUUUUCAAAGGGACAUUGGCGGUCAAAACUAAAACAGUGCGUCAAGUAUUGUGAGGUUUGUGCUGGCUUUUAGACCAGGCAUUAUUAAUUUCCUGUCGGGCACAGGUGUGAACAAGCAUUUUCCAACACCCAAGUAGCCGUAGAUUCUUUCUUGAAUAUAUAUAUGGGUUUAGGGUACUGUACUGUAUAUACCAGUGAUAUAUAAAGAACUGUACUAUACAACAGGGAAAAUUGCAUUACAGGGAUCUGUACUGAACUACUGAUGAUACUGUAUAUACCAGUGAUACAAAACCAGCUGAUUUUGUUAUUUACACUGCUCCUUGGCUUUCAAUAACGUCUUCUAAAAUUGCAAAACUUUCACCACCAUUCAUUGUUGCCCAUCGUUAAUCACCAUUAACAUGAUCAAUGCCAUAAUGCAUCAAGGCAUCUGGAAUUAUCAAUUUUUAGCCUCUUAACCCUGUUUUUUUUAAGGAAGCCUCUUAACCCUGUAAAGGGUGCUUUCUUUGCAAACAAGAUAGGAUGGCAACAAUGACUUUGACUAGGGAUCCAGUAGAGAGGUUGUUGAGGAGCGGCUAAAGUAUGAUGCUUUCUUUGAUGCUCGAACAUUCUUGAGAGUCAUCAAUAGUUUCUGCCUCUCUCCUUCAACCUCUGCAAAUUGAAGGCUUAACUGAGAGUAACGGUCAUGCAUUUCUUUAAGUUCCCCCUCCACAGUAGCAUAUCUUCCCUUGAUCUCCAGCAUGUCUUUGAUGAGCUCAUUUAUGUCUCUAAAGCUGUGAAACACUGCUUCCUCAUCAUCAUGUUGUUUCAAGAAAGAACUGGACACAGGAAGAGGAUAUCAUGUUAGUUACUGACUCAUAAGAAAGUGAACUACUUUAAGUUCAGCUGUCUCAAUGCAAUUGUUCAGCUCAUGAGAAAUUGGAUUCCAUUUUCUGCUUUCAAUGUCUGCAUCCUUCAAAUUCGAAAAAGCACAUAUUUUAGAUCAAGUUAUGAAAUUUUCUGGUUCCUGACUGAAAAAAAAAAAGAAAAAAAAAGAGAAAGAUCCAUGUACGCCGAUGAGGGAUACACAAAAGCAGCAACCAUACACGUGGACAACAUUUGGGGUGACGUGGAGUGCGUGUGACCUUUGGGCUUCACACGUGGACGAGGGUAACCUGCUCUGAUACCAUGAUAAAGUAGUCUGAGGUUCACAUCCAAAACCAAUUGGCAAUGGGUGGAGUGGCCCAAACCCUUAUUAACCCACAGGCAAGGUCUCAUAUUCCCGAUGUGAGAUUGAUAUCUCAACAACCUCUACAAGACUACAACACAUUCCACUAAGUGACUCAAUAUAUUUAUUUUAAAGUCAUCAAUAUUAAACAUAAAAAAAGGUACUAAAAAUUUAGUGGACAAAGUCAACCCCAAGGAAGUUCAGAACUCAGUUGGCUAGUACUGAAAAAGCAACAUUUCUAAAAAAAAGAGAAAGAAAAAAAAAGAAUUAAGAUAAUAAAUAAAAAAGAAAAGAAAAAUUGUUUCAUGGUUGUUUCGGUCCCCAUUUUGAAAGCCUUUUUUUUUAUAUGAUAGCAGUUGAAUACUAGUUUAAAUAAUGGUUCCUAUCCAAAAAUAGAACAGAACAAAAGAAGUGCUAGUAAUUUGCAUCUCGAGAUAAAAAAAAUAUUAUCAUAAAUUACUACACCCUUAAAAACAAUUCUUUUGCUUUUUUCUUCUCCAUUCCAGCAUGAGCAUUAUGCAAUGAAGUAACAAAGAUUGUACCUUUGAAACUGGAAGGUUGAUUUCUUCUUUGCCUGCAAUGCUUCAGCAAGUUCAAUUUCCAAAGCUAGUACUCUCUCUAAUGCAUUGCCACUGCAAGAAUACUCAUUGAACGAAGGAAAAAUGCUUCCUAAUUCUUUAUUAACCUGAUCAAAAUCAAAAAUAAGAAAUCAGGUGGAGAACAAACUUGGAUUCUAAGGUCUAAGGGUCACAAGUUAUUAACUUAUAAAUUUCAGAAACAAAAGAGGGUCAGAAAUUUAUUUACCUUGUUUAAUUGCAUCAGGUCUCUUUGUAAACCAGGAAAAUUUGAGUAAAAAUGAUGAUCAUCUAGGGGAAGCAAAUUCUCAUGUUUCAUCCUUUCCAACUGCAAGAAGAUGACAGCAAUUAGAAAGUAUCUAUUGUGUUAGAAAAAAUGUUGUCAGGACAUGGUAUGAUAUAAUUGUUCUCUAUAGACUAUAUCCUCGAGCUAUAGGUGAUAAAACUGUAGCAAUACAAAAUCAUAUUUUCGUUGCAAAAGAAAUACAAACCUCCUUAUUUAAGUUCUCCAUGCUAGACCUUAAGCUUUGGGCCCUGAAAUGCUCAUUUGCAAGAACCAAAUGCUUCCUGUCACUAUUAACCACGUCCGUUUGUUUCAAAUGUAAACCACUAGAAAUUCCAUUUAUACCUCUGGAUACAAGAUCAUCCUGUCCAAUGAUGCACAUUGUUAAAGACAGAAUUUUCAAGAUACAUAGCACAGAAAAAAAAAUAAAAAUGCAUACAUGUAUAUUGUAAUUAAAAAAAAAAGAUUAUUCUUUGAUAGGAAUGAAUAUCCUAUUUUUUUGAAGAAAAUCCUGUUGCUCUGUUUAAAAUAAUGGAUGAAAUUCAAAGUUCUAAGCCAGUAUAAGCUUAAAAAAACAUGCUACAUAGUCCAUCAGUUUGUAGAGUUUAAAGUUUAGAACUACUAUACGGUUACAUACAAGCUCCAUGUUUGCUCAAAAUGAUAAGGUAUAAAUGUCAAAGCAAAUUACUAUAAGUCUAUAACAUAGAUAAUCUUGGCAAAAUGUAUCAGUUACCUUCUCUGGUUCAUCAAUGGAACUCAAGCAUUCAUGACCAGCUGCUUCAUCAGAAAUGCUAUCUUCUUUGUGCAAUUUUUCAUUCCCUUCACUCUGGUUAUAAGAUGAAGAGCUCUGAAGCAAAUCUUUUGCUGAAGUGAGUUCUAAAGUAAUUUGAACUUUUUCCUCAUUGCACUUCUGCAAAGAUGCUUCAAGCUCUUGUUUUUCUUCUUUACAGCAGUCGAGGCUUAUUAAUGAACAUUCCUUUUCAGCCUUCAUCAGAUCAUAUGCUUUCAUUAUUUCACGCUUUUCAGAGAGCACUGAUUGUAUCUCAGACUCCAAUUCCAAGAUCCUCAUUCCUAGCUCUUCGUUUCUCUUUACAUGAGUAGCUUCAGAUUUCUUCCUGCUAUCAACUUCAUUAAUUGCAUCUUGUAAUUUCCACAGCAUCUCCUCACAAUGCUUCUUGGAGAUAGCAAGUUGUUGUUUCAGUUCUUGCAACUUGGUUUCAUAUUGUUCUUUGAUGAAUGCAAUUCUUAAGGACUCUUGCAUAGCAGCUGGUGGCGCUUCUGGUUCUCUUUUGUCAGGUGCAUGGAGACACUCAACACAAGACUUGCCCUUAAGCUCCUUGAAAUGGAUGGACAAGUUCUUGAAUUCCUCUGCCUUCAAAACCUGUUCAGCAAGCUUCUGUUUAAGGUCAUUACAUUCAUUAUGCAUCAGUGUCGAUUCAUCUUUAUAUGCCUCCAGAGAGGUUAUUUGAGUGCACUGUUCAUCCAACUUGGCUUUGAUCACUAUAUAUUUGAUUUCUAGUUCUUCCUUGGAGAAUAUCAGGUUAUCAACCUCUUCUUCAGAAGUCGCCAAUAUACGCUCCAGCCUUUCAAUCUCAGGAGCGCACUGACUUUUAUCCCCAUGAUCAAUAGCCACUGCAUUUUCAGCUCUUUUCUUGUAUUCCUCAAGUUCAGUCCUCAUGGAACUGUUUGUAUAAAGAAGUAUCCUGUUUUGACCGAUGGAGGCUUCUAACUCAGAGUUAAGGGAGCUGAGACUUGUCAUUAAUUUGCAGUUCUCUUCAAUGUAGUGCUUUUCACUAGCAAGACAUUCAUUAAGCUUAUUCUCCAGAUGAAGCUGAUUGUUGCGAAUCUCAGAAAGGUGACUAUCGGAAGAGUCAAGUUUCUGGCCAAGCUCUUCAAUCCUGGCCUCAUAUUGAGCUUCUGCAUUUUCACCUCUUUUCUUGUAUUCCUCAAGUUCAAUCCCCACAGAACUGUUUGUAUCAAGAAGUAUCCUGUUUUGAGCAAUGGAUGCUUUCAAGUCAGAGUUAAGUGAGCUGAGACUAGUCAUUAAUUUGGUGUUCUCUUCAAUGUAAUGCCUUUCACCAGCAAGACAUUCAUUAAGCUUAUUCUCCAUUUCAAGCUGAUUAUUGCGGAGCACAGAAAGGUGACUAUCAGAAGAGUGAAGUUUGUGGCCAAGCUCUUCAAUCCUGGCCUCAUAUUGAGCUACUGCAAAGGUGAGUCCAACAUCGGCAGCUAAUGAAACUUCAUGCAUUUCAAAAAGCUGAGCUUCCAGGGAAGAUACCAAAGAACAUUCUUCACCAGCAUCAUUUAAUCUUGCCAUCAGUUUGGUGUUGUCUUCAACUAAAUGCCUUUCGCUUGCAAGACAUCUGUUAAGCAUAUUUUCUACAUGAAGGUGAUUGUCAUGAAGAUCAGACAGGCAGCUAUCAGAAAAGUGAAGUUUCUGAUCAAGCUCUUCAAUCUUGGUCUCAUAUUGAGUCUUUGUAAAUAUGAGUCCAACAUCAGCAGCUAUUAAAAGUUUGUAUAAUUCAGACAACUGGGAUUCCAGACCUGAUAUAGAAGAACAUUCUUCAUGAGCAUCUUUUAGACAUUUCUCAGACUCCAAUAAGAGACCACAAACUCUUGAUUUCUCUAGCUCUGAUUCCGAUAACAACUGUUUGAGGUGGACCAGCUCAUCCUUCUGCUGAUCAAAAUUCAGAAACUGACUAUGCUUCUCAUUCAGUUGGGCAGUGAGAUCUGAAACUGUACUCGCUAACUUAUCUUUGUGAUUUUUCUCAACGUGCAACUCAUCAAGUGAAGACAGCAAACUUCCUUGCAAACGAUUAACCUCCAGAGAAAGCUUGAAAGAUUCUUCAGUUUUAUCCUGCAAGGACACCACUAGGGCUUCUUUUUCCUCCGAUAAUGCUGCUAUUGUCAGUUUACACCUUCCUAGUUCGUCAGUUACAGUCUCUAACGCCAUAACUUCCUCCGCAAGGUCCUGGUAUUUUGAAGAAAUUUGCUGCAGCUCCAUUUCCAACUGAUCCAGAUCAGUCAACAGAAUUUUGUGCUGCUGUGCAUAUCUCUCUUCAACUUCUGAGCUGAUGUGAAGUUUGUUAGCAAUGGCCCCAACUUUUAACUGAAGCUUAUGCACCAGGGCAUUUGAAACAUCUAGUUUAUCCAUCAUACCCCGUAGAUCCUGUUCAAACUUCUGUUUCAUGAUCAGAUUAUCAGAAUCCGCUGCUCUUAAAGACAUUUGAGCUAUAUCUUUUUCUUGUGCUAGAUCAUUCUUCUCUUCCAUAAGCUGGACAAUCUUCUCAUAGACAUUGUGCUGAAGCUCUUCUAUUUGCACCACAACACCAGUCAAAUCCCUGGAUUCCAAAUCCUGAUAGUUAUAUUCACUGCAGAGAGGAAGAGACAAACCUUUAUACUUCAUGUCAUAAGAUGCCAACAGAUUCCGCAACUUACCCUGUGAAGAAAUAACAAUAUUCUGCAGACUCUCCUUCACAUAUGUCAGCUCAUCACAGUCAUUUUGGACAGCUUUCAACUCUUCUUGCAAAGAAGAAAGUUCGUUUUGAAUAUUCUUAUUCUUUAGGGUUUCCCUUUCCAACAAAUUUGCCAUCUCCAAUUUUUCUAUAGUGAAGGCUUUAUAUUUGCUCUCAUAGGUUUCAUAUUCUUUUAGAAGGUCUUCCCAUUCAGCAAUCUUCUGGGCAUGAAGAUUAUUUUCUCUUGUGAGAUUCUGAACCUCUUCCUCCAAACUAUGGCUCUUUAGAGUCAAUUCAUUGCACUUUGAAUUGCAAGUCUCCUUGUACUCAUUCAGGCACCGAAUCUCAUCCAUGGCAGUCCGAAAAUCUUCUUCCAAAUUUUGGUUCUUUAGAGUCAAGUCACUGCACUUUGAAGUCCAAAUAUCAUUGGCUUCAUUCAGGCAGCGAAUCUCAUCCAAGGCAGUCUGUAGCCUCAGCAUCAAUAACUCCUUCGACUCAGUUGAAAGCUCCAGCUGUUGUGCAAGUUCAUGCACUUUCUCUUUGACCAAUCCAAAGUCAGCACUUGCUUCAAUCAAAGUGACCUCUAGGGUCUUUGAGAAGAUGUCCAAAUAUACAUUCACCAGAUGCACUUCAUAAACUUCUUCUUCAACCUUUUGGUAUGUUUCCUUCUGCAAGAGAAGAGAUCUUCUCAAAUCAUUUGAUAGUAUAUCCCCGUCUAAAUGUUGUCUUUUCACCCCAUUGCUUUGGUUUGGAUGCUGCAUUUGCUUUCCAGCAUGAAAAGUCCCUGAUUCUCGUUUAGGAUUCUGCAUCAUCACCUCACGCCCCUGAAAGCUUGGAAGCAUGGAAUCUUCAAAAGCCUGCUUAAUGAGAUUCUCAUUAGUCUCAUGCAUGGAUAGGACCUGAGAAGAAAGCAAUUCAAGGUCCUUCUGUAAAUGGUCCACUGCAAUGGAAUAAUUCAAGCGUGCCCUUUUAAGUGCUGCUUCUGCAGUAGCAGCCCUUCUUUCGAGCUCCUUUGUGAGGGCCUCCGAAUCAUGCCUUUCUUUGGAAAAUUUUGUUAACUCAUUGCUCAUAUCUAGCUGGAUUCUCUCCAUCUCAGCUUUAGCAGAUGAAAUUGUAUACAGGCAAGUAGAAUGCUCAUUUCUGAGACUCUGCAACUCCCCCAUCAUCUGCCUCUGAUUUUCUUCUAAUUCAUGAAUGAGAGCUUCAUAGUAACACUCCAUCUGGUCUGCUUUCUUUGCAAGGCUCUCUCGCUCAGCUUUUAAUUCAUCUAAUUCUCUUAAAAGCUCAAAGAAUUUACUUUUCAUUGCAUUUGCAGCAUCUAAAGAAUCAAACUCUUGUGACACCACACCAGGCAUACUUAGACCCUGAAGCAUACCUUCAGGAUAGAAAUCUGCAUCAAACCUAGUUCCUAGCACUAAUUGCACAUCUUUAUGUACACCCAUUUCAUUUGUCUCCUUUAUGCUUGCCUUGUUCGUCCCCAAAAUUGCUUGUCCAGUUACUGGCUUUAAAACUUGCAGAACACCAAGCAAUGCCUCUAAAUCUGAAUAAAAGGACCUGAAGUCCCUCUCAUGUACCCCGACGGUUGCUUUGCUUUGAAGCUCUCUUAUUUUAUCCUCUGCAUCGCCAAGCCCCUUUAACCACCUGAGCUGUAACUCAUGCAAUAAGUCAUCCUGGCCUGUCGCAAAAGUUUCUCUGCUGGUGUAUGGAAUUCUUAGUUUGGAAUUUUUCUGCUCUUCAAGAUCUUCUUUCAGUUUUGAACAUUCUGAUCUCAGUAUAGAAACUUCUUUGGCUAAUUGUUCGCCUGAAGAAAUUUCUGCAUCAAGCUGAAGGGAAAACUUUUGUGCUUCGACUCCUAUUUCAUCAGCUUGGCAUUGUAAAUAGCUUACUUCCUGCUUAAGCUCAAGAAUUGAUGACUCAGCUGCUUCCAGGCUUCCUCUAAGUCUACUGUUCUCCUCGUACGCAUUUGGCAAGUCAGCAUCUCCAGAAUAGUCAGAAGCCCAGCUAUGAGCCCACUCACUGGUCCCCUGUGCCGAUAAACGUUGAUCAGAGGGGUCUCCUUUCUCUUUUCGAGGACUUUGACCAACAGACAGUCCACCUAAAUCACCAGAGGUUGUACUCUUAAGGCUGUCAAUCUCAUGGGUGCUGGAGGUAUCAUGUUUCUCAGCGUAUAAACUUUCUGAAGUAUUGGAAGAACCAUCAAACCCUACAGUUAAGUCAGGAUACUCUUCACUCUGCCUAAUGUCCUCUUCAUGGGGAGAGAGUUCUUCUUUGAACCUAACUCUCGCAUUGAUCUGUAUAAAGAUGAGAGUAGCCUAUGUUAAAGCAGCACAGCAGAAAACCUAUAACAAAGACGAUAAGCCCAUCCAUAAAAAGAAUCUGAUAUGAUGUGUGGUAUAUGUUUGUCUCACAUAUUUUGGGAACUUCAAGCAACAUUACAUGUACAAGAAAAAGCUAUUACUUAUCACUCUCACAAUAUGCGAGAGACCAAGUCAUGUUUCCCAGUAAAUGGCUUAUAGCAAACAACAGAAGUGAAUGGAUAGACCCAUAAACUCUGCCAGAGUAGCACCAAUUGUUCUCACAGGAUUAUAAAGGCCCAAAGAGAGACGGAAAAAACGUAUGAAUCCUUAACAACAAUCCAACUGAUCACUUACUGUAUCUUCAGAAGACGAUAUUCUUUUAGCUGUGGAUACAUCAUUUCUGCUUUGGUCUGACGUUGUACAUAGACCACUCUCUCUGAGCUCCCUCUGCUGCUCAAACUCUCUGAAAAGAAAGCAAGUACCAAUGAAAAACUGGAAGUCUCAAUUCACAUACGACAAGAGGUUUACAUGUUUUGAUGCUAACCUGAAACCGGUUUUGGAAGUUAAUAGCUGUACUGUUACCUGACAUGAAAUAUGAAACAAGACAAUUGUUUAGAAGGAGUAACAUUACUUAACAAUUCAAGAAUAACUAAUAGUGUUUACUGCAGGCUAGCUGACCGACCAAGUAGCUGUUACAAAAUAACAAAAGUAAACAACUAGCUCUCCCAGGAUAGCAUUAUGUCUAAAAUAUUUGAACUUCAAAGAUCCUCACAUGUAAAAUUGUUCCAAAAUCACAUCCAUGGAGAGGCAGUGCAACAGAAGAAGGCUUUGACGCAUCGGCAUAAUCAGCAAGGUUGAUAUUUGUUUCCCCAAGGACACUGGACCGUGAAGAGCCCUGAUGUCAGUUAGAUUUAGGCAGGCCAACACAAUGUUAAANNNNNNNNNNNNNNNNNNNNNNNNNNNNNNNNNNNNNNNNNNNNNNNNNNNNNNNNNNNNNNNNNNNNNNNNNNNNNNNNNNNNNNNNNNNNNNNNNNNNNNNNNNNNNNNNNNNNNNNNNNNNNNNNNNNNNNNNNNNNNNNNNNNNNNNNNNNNNNNNNNNNNNNNNNNNNNNNNNNNNNNNNNNNNNNNNNNNNNNNNNNNGUCUAAACACGAUGAAUGGGUACAGGGAAAAAAAAAAGAUAUAGUUCACAACAAGCCUAAUUUUCAAGCAGAACUUCAAUAAAAGAAAAAAAUAGAAUUCUGAAGGAAUAGUACCAUGGUCACCACAAGUUUAUAGAGCUUCUCAUCAAAUUUCUUUGUUUUAGUGUCUUGUAGAAGUCGUGUAGUUUCGUAGAUAGGAUCUCCCCAUUUGCAUGUUCCAUUCCUCACAUUUGCUUUGGUUGUCUUUGCGGUUGCCUUUCCAGAAUCAGCAGGUAUGAAAGAUAUAAACAACUUAUCCCAUCCGCUUUGGGGAAUCUAGACAUGGAAAGAGAAACAAUAUAUUCAGUAGUAGCAUACAAUGCAGCUGCUAGAUUUAUAGACACCACUUUCCUAUCAUGCUAUAGAAAAACAAAAUGCAUAUAUAGGUUCACUUAAGCCAUUAGCCAUGCACAUAUAACAUAAUCAGCCUGUAUCAUUAUCCUUAUCACAUUUGCGAGUACAUUUCGUCAUGUACCAAAUUGUUUAGUUUUGGUGUAUGCUCCUUCAGAAUUGAAUCUAAAAGACAAGUAAAUAAUCGAAACAACGGAAUCUCAGCAGCAAAUCCUAAAAGUUAGAGCUUACAUGUGUAGCAUUGAAUUGUAGCCUGAAAACGACUUUCACUUUUGUCUUCUCAAGCUUCCAUUUAGCGAUCCUCGACAUUUCUGGAAAAUCAAUCUAUACUAAACUGUGUAGCAUCAAGCCCCCACCUUGGUUUCCCUGCACCAUUGAAAGUCAAUAUAAGAUUGGUUGGGUUGUUUCCACAGAAAGCAGGAAGAAAUUUCAACCAACGAUACUAAAUUCCACUUUCUCAUUUCCCCCUUCCAAAUUCAAAAGGGGAUCCCAGAAAGUUCAUUCCAGAAAGCAGAUAUAAGCAACAAUCAGAUCAGUCAUUGAGAGCAGAAAAGUUCAGAUCAUACUGCAUUAAGUACAUCACUGCUUCCAAAUAAACUUUCUGAAAGAAAUCAAAAGGAAAAGUAAAACUUGCACUGAUAUGAACCCAAGUUAACUAUCUUUCCCAGUAAUAAACUAAAUCAUAGCUGAAAACAAAAAACAGUAAAUGAAAAGAAGAGCACAAACCCAGAAAGAAUUUGAAAUGCCAGUGCAGAACAGACCCGGAUCCAACUUCAGUAACCGACAGAGCAAAAACCCAGAAAAAGAAGAAGAAGAAGAAGCUACUGCUACACUGAACCCAACAACUGACAGAACCCAAAAACGACACAGUUUGGUAGAGAAUCUAAAUCCCAGCUCCACAGAAACCCAUAAUGGUGUGCCUAGCCAAAUGUGGGAAAAAGUGAAGACCCCCCAAAUGACACUACACUGUUCUGCCUUGAACAAAUCGUCAAAACUUCAACCCCAUCAUUAUUGAGCAGACAGGUCUCUCUUGCAUUUUCACCCAACAAUCAGAAACGCCAAAAGAUUAAAACUUGAUGCUGUAAAAAUACUAAAGUCUCCAACUUUGACACUGGAAAUUGAAAACCCAGAAAUAAAAAACAUAAAUAACCAUGAACAAAAAAACAAAGAAAAGAUGCAAGCUUUAAUAUUAUAAUGCAAGAAGCGUGAAUGGGGGUGGGUACCCUUGAGGCUUAGCUGUGGAUCUGUGGAUGAUUGUGCUUAGUGUAGAAGGAAGUGCUAGCUCUACUAGUCUACUAGUCUUUAGUGAGAAGAUUCCAAAAUCAGAGAAUGGAGGACUUGUUUGUAAAAUGUGUGUGGUUUAUGGGUGGGUAGCGUGAAUAGGGAGUAAAUGAGAGGGUUUAAUAAGGUAAGGUGGAGCUGUUCUGGGUUUUUGAAAAGCUCAAGUAUCAAUUUCAAGGCUGGCUUUCUGGAAAACCGCCCAAAGCCUGCAUUUGGUCUCUGAUUGAUUCUCUCUUUCUAUGUUUGUUGAGCUUUUGUAACUGUGAUGUCAUUCUCUCUGGGUUUCUUAAUGUUGGAGUGGUUGGAUCUAGGUUAAGUACAGCUUUGACCAGUGUGACACUAAAUCAGUAAAUAAUUUGGGUUUUGAUUGUUCCCAUUAACCACGCAUAAAAGAUAGUAAACUAGCUUUUUACAGUCGUAGACUAGUUUGAGAUCGGGUUAACCUAGACCUUGUUUAGUUCACGGGGAAAAAGUGAUCAAGAGAGUAAAGUUGUUCGUGUCCUGUUUUUGGAAUGCAAAAUGACAUCUCUUCACCUUGUUGAUAUAAAAAGAAAUGACAUCUCUUCACCUUGUUGAUAUAAAAAGUUAUUACUAUAACUGAAAUACACUAAUAAAGAAAAGUUGGUGACUUGCAUUUUCUCAUUCUUUCCUUACAUCUGUUACUCAUAACACAUUUUUUUUAUUACAUGAAUUGCAAAAUUUUUAACGAUUUUCUUUUCAUUUCCCUUGUGUUACCAAACCGGUAAACAUUGGAAUGAACAGUUUUGAAAAAUAUUAUUUUUCUUCUCUUUCCUUUCCCGCGGGAUAGACAAAGUAAUUACUCUCAUUUCCAAAAAGCUCUAACCCACCAAUACAUGGAGUUAGUAUAUUCUCAUAUCAAACUGAGCUACUAUAUGUAUUGAUGGUUUAAUACAUUAUUGCAUUGUAGACAAACUGUUUGUUUGUUUGUUUUUUUUUUUUUUUUUUUUUUUUUUUAGAAUGUUGUAGACAAACUGUUUGUUUUGUAUCUAUAUUGAAAAUUACUUCACGAGACACAUUGUAACAUUUGUUGCCUCGCAUCAUUUCCUCUACUACGCCCACUAAACCACAAACUAGUGUUUGUUUUUACUUUCCUUUUUUCGCAAUACUUCCAUCAUACACAUUAAUUAGCAUGAUAUGGACACAUGCACAUCAUUUGAGCACAUCAUUUCAGAUGCACAUCAGUUUAGGUUCGUAAGUUUCAUCUUGACGUCCAAAUAAUUAACUCGAUUAAGCUAUGGAGUCCAUAAAUAGGGAUGCAUGCUUCUUGCCAAAGAAACAGAGAAAACACCAAGAUUCAUGUGUUGCCAACAUUCAGAUCUGGCUAUUAACAAAGAACUCGUUAUGCAUAUUAGGUUUGGAAUUUGCCAAAAAUAAUUCAGUGGCAAACAAAAGAACAAUGGGGUGUGGGCAAGACGCAUAAAAAGCGUAGAAGAGCUCAACAGUGAUGGUGAUGUGAGGAAGGAAACUACAACGAUUCAACGAAUAAGGGCAUCAAGAAAAUUGAGGGUCACUAUCUGCAUCAGUGACCUCAACAUAUAUGACCAUGCACAUGGCUUAAUUUGGUGCUAUCUGUAUGACUCGUAUCCUCCUCAAUAUCCUCCUCAUCUGUGCGACUGUUCCUCCUUCAGGUUGAUUUAUAUGUUUGCAUCCAGCUCUGCAAUUUCAACUAUCUUAGGCACGCCUGCUCCCUUACAUCAUCAUCGCUAUAGCUGUUAGUGAUAAUCAAAUACAGGACUCCUCUUACCUAAUAUUGUUUGAUGAACAAAAAGAAAGUGCGAUAUUUGAAACAAGUAUUUGUGUUUGUGGUUAAAUUUUUCAGUCCCCAGCUAAGCCUAAGAUGAUCGCGUGACGGAGAUUCCAAAGAUAUUGAUUGCAUUCUCAACAAAAUACUGUUGUUCUUGUUCGAGAUAUUCAUCACAUAGCCAGUCAAUACCCAUUAUAUAUUUCAAGCGACUCUAUCGGGAGGCGAAUUAUGUUGAAGAUCAGUUAGCAGAAAUUGGCCACAGUUCUCAUAAUCGUUAUGUUUGGUUUCAUUACUUGCCCCUUUCAGUGUUUCGGCCAGUUCCCAACUGUUAGGUUGGAUCAGCUAGAAAGGGGUCUUCCUACCGAUUUUAUGUUGUAGUUGGUUUGUUGUUUUGUUUCCAUCAUAAAAAAAACUAAAAGAGACGAUCACGUGACAUCACAUGCGUCUUGCACGCGAUAUCAACAGGAAACACGUGAACGGGAAGGACCUCUGAUGUUUUCUCUAAUCCGAAUUUUAAGAGCUUGAAUGCUUGAUGAGUUGAUGAUCAUCAUGAAUGAGAGAUCAAAUUAUAGAGGAGAAAGUGAAGUGACGUUAUAAAAGGAUAAAGAACAACAAAUAAGGGGAGGAGUCAUGAGAGCAGAGCAGAAUGCAUGUGAUUUGAUUUUACAUAGGAUCAGAUCUUUUGGGUCACCACUCUGAUCACCAGUUCCCCUACAUAUAGUUAGUUCAUCAAUUUUACCACAGUUCCCCUACUCUGAAAGUGGCAUAUAGCAGGGACGUACUACUGAAAAGUGCACUAGCUAAUUGAUUUGCAACUCAGAAGAAGAUCGAGUUGGAUAUCAGACUAACCACACCAGAUAACAACAUGAUUAGCAAUACUCAAAAGAAGUAAAGUUCAGAGUUUCACAAGCUCAAAUCAUGGAUCAGGCAAAGAUCUUAGCCCAUUUACAAUAUAUGCUUUCUUAUAACAAUCCAUUCUGAAGCUAGCUAGCUACUAUAUAUCAAGUAAAAUAGCUACUAUAUAUCAAGUAAAAUGAAAGUUUACAAAAACAAAUUAAUAAUAUCAAACAAACAAUCUUUCAGAUCCUCAUCUGUGGAUAUGACAUUAAGACGAAAAUAUGUAACAAAAAGAAAAGAACCAAAUAUCAAUAUAUAUAUAUAUAUAUAGUAAAUAAAACUGCUACUAUUUUAUUUUAUUUUUUAAAUAAAAGGGGAAACUGCUACUAUAUAUAUGUACAUACGUAAUUUAUUUCAGAUCAAACUUUAUGGUCGCUCCCGACUUGUGCAUUUUCUGCUGAACAAGUCUUCCUUCUUGCAUGGACUUUCUUCAUCAUCCCCCGGAGGACUUUCUUGAGUUUCUUCAUCCACCAGAGCAAACAGCACCUGGACUUUACCGUUUCAGAUUCAACUGUGCCUGACUUGGCCCCUUUUUCCUUUUCCGUCUCCACUUUCUUUCUGUGGUGAUCUCGCAGCACGUAUGCUUCAGCAAGAUCAUAACCAGCCAUCGACAUGGCCGUCAGUACUUAAUUUCAAUGCAAGAGUUCGCUGUUGAGUUCAAAGAAAAAAUGAGCUCUUUAAUUGGACUGUUACACUGGCGAUCUAGUAGAGUUUAUAUUUCCAGCGUUUUCUUGCGAACCAAGCAAACAAGCUUCUUUAUUUAAUCGAACGUUUGACUUAAGUUGUUUGACAAGAGACCAAGACUAAGUUGUGGCUGCUUUCGGUUUGAAUAUGGGUUGCAUUAUAUAUUAUUCAGGUGUAUAUGCUUGAUUACCAAGGAAUUAAGAUCCUACUGCUAGCAAAUUAUAUAAGCGAUCACUAUCUAGUUAAUCAGUGACAAAAACAAAGUCAGAAAAGAUGCUCACUUUUAUAAACCGUUACGCCAUCAUCAUAUCCUUAACAAUAUAUGCUCUCUUAAUAUGUCUCCACUAUAUCCUUUUCUUUUCUGAAGAUAAUCUCCUAUCAAAAUGUUAGUAAUAUUAAUACAUAAUUUGGUCGAUAAUUCACUCCAAUACCUCAAAAAUUUAAUAUUUCACUCCCCAUUUUACAAUUUAUAUAUACUCCCACUCAUUUUUAAGUUAAAGUUCUCAUAAAAACAAAACACAUAUUACUAAAAACAAGCUCUAUGUUACUAAAAGAUGAAAGAAGGGGAAAAUAUCAAAUUUGAAAGAAACUCUAAUGGAUUAAAGAUUCGCUCCAGAAAACCCGGAGUUGAGCAUAACCAUUCCCCUAGGGUUUGGUGGUAGGGCAGCGGCGGCAACUGGUUCUUCGACUGCGUCUCAAAACUUUCGAUGCCUUGGUGAGAGAAGAAGCACAUGCUUCUACUUCGACGAAGACGCUAGGCUCUGUUCGAUUGGUAGUGGGUGAUUGAUCGGCAGGGCGAAGAUCCCAAAGCUUCAGAUCGGUAGGGAGGCAAAGUAAAGGUCCUAGAGGGGGGUGAAUAGGCAUUUUUUUGAAUUUUCGUUAACUUCUGUAUCCGAGGAUAGCAAUGACUUGUGCUAUCCCAGAUUCACAAGAUACGAGUUUGCAGAAAGUAAAUUGCAGCAAAUAAAGAAACAACACGAGGAUGUUUUUACUCGCAGAAACCCUGAAUGCAAGGAGAAAAACUGCAUGUCUCUAACUCUUGAGAGACAAAACUUUCCACUAAGUUGAAGUAACUUCUUACAAGAAUAAUAGUUCUAGUGAUACACUACCACAGUGCUAUCCUUCCUAGUCCCAAACUAGUCUAGACCUAUUCCCUCUCUUGUUUCUAAGUUCUUACAACAUGGAACACUUUUAAAAGCUUUGUUCGUGAAUUCAGCUAACCACUAGCUGAUUCAACCUUGAACACUUAUUGGGUUGGUUGCACUACACAUCCCUCGUGGUAUGCAACAUGAUAUAAGUUGAUGAAAGAAGUUUUGAGUUUAAGCUCUAAGGUUUACAGUCACGAAGAAGAGUUAGAGCAGCAUGAACUAUGCAAGCUAAAACUAGACUCAACAAAGAAAACGCAAUAAGGCAGUUUUCAACAACCAUUCAGCAAAGCCAAAGCUAUAGGUAUAUAUAGGCAGACAAGGCAUCAAAGAUGAUGCAAGCUGACCUCAACAUGUUUCAAAAAGGUUUGGACAGAAGUGUUUGGUUCCCUAUACUGGUUCCCCAUACUUAAAGUGAUGUAACCAAAUGGAGAGUUGACAUAAGCAACCUCAAUAAAACAAAGAUACAUUUCCUAAAACAUGAACGAUUCAAAACAGAGAGCAAAGAGGUUUGAAACCCUCUUACUCAGUCCAUCAGUGGACCUUGACACAGCCGAUAGCGACUGGUCUUUGAAUCACACAAGGACCAACUUUGUAUUGGAUAAUGUAUCAUAAAAUCCAAGCUGGAGCCUUGAGCAUCAAACUAUUUGGUCACGGGUUGGCAUAACAAAAGAUCUCAACCCUUAGACUGGUUUGAGUGCCAAAGCACUUCCCACAAACUCAGUUGUCCAUUUGAAUUUGAAAGACUUAUCAAACUAAUAUAACAGACUUUGAAACUCAGGACAACAGAAGACUCAGUACUAGGAUAGCAAGCGAAGCUGCUAACCUCUGUGAAAAACAGUGAUAUGCAGAUGCAUGUUUUACCUGAAACCAUCAGGGAUAUUAGUGCCACUUGUUCUUGAUCGAUCAGAUAACAUCAUCUCAGGGUGUUUUGCAGGAUAAAAAGAUUGCUAACUAUCCUUAUACCUUCACAAAGGCCGCUGAGGAUAUAGGGAUUGGUUUGACGACGACAGGGUGGCGAUCUCUGGGAUUGCGCAUAGGACGACGAGUGGUGACUAAUUGGUAGUGGGAGGUCCAGAUCCGAAAAGCCUUGAGCAAAGGGAAGCUAGGGUUCCUCUUCUAUUCUUACCGGCAGAUCCAAGUAAGCAAGUAACCAUGAAUUGGAGGAGAGGGAAGUCGCUAGACUGAAGAGGUGGCAGGAGGCUCCUCCGACGAGUUCCGGCGACGGCUAAUUCCAAAAGGAGGAAAGGAAGGAAAAUUGGCCCCGUGGGCCUAUUCUAGCUUGGGUUGCAGCAAUGCAGCCUAGGUGGGCUGGGCCAUAGGGUUCUACUUACGUUUUCUUUUCCUAAUUCCGGUUGGUUUAUGUUGGGCUUCUAGAGGAGUAACACAUACUAGCCUAUAUAACUAUUUGGAUGAAGUUGUUUUGCUAAUAUGUUUGAGUGGAAACAUACACCAUUGGGUCUUAGGCGUCACAUUCACCAGGACGGUUGCUUUGUUUAAAGGUUGUAUCGGUUUAGAGGUUAUUUUUCAUUCGUUUUCUAGUCGUGUAAUAUCCACAUUUUUGGACUGUAGUUUUGAGGUUGUUUUUUCAAUUCAUUUUUCUAGCUAGCAUUAGUGACUUCGCUUGCAGUAUGGUCUUCGGACCAUUCAUGCUUGACCAUUUUGGUUGUCAUGAUUUUUGAUCAAUGAAGCUUUUUCCUUUUCCCUCAAAAAGAUGAAAGAAUGGGCAUGGAUUGUAAAAUUGAGAGCGGAAAUUUCAAUUACCAAAUCUAGCUAAUUGCAUCAUACAACAUUACAACUCCAAUAACUUGGUUGAAAAUGAUUAAUGUCACUGACAAAGUGCAGUAGAGGUUCGGAUGGAUGUUGAUAGCAUGAAUAUGCAUGAAUUCUACAUUUCUGCUUGCACCUCAUCACUUGGGCAGAGUUAGCAAUUUAGGCAGCAAUAACAUGGGAAAGAUGAAUUGAGACAAUUAGAAAAUAUGCUCAUGACAUGAUCUAUAUAUAUAGUCAGACCGAUUGCAUGCCCUGCUCGCAGUUUCCACAAGAUAUGAAAUGAAUUCCUAUUUUGCCGACUUUAAAUUAUCUAGUUUCUCACAAAAGAAACUGAUAGAUUCACACUGAUAUGGUAUAGCUCAGACACAGAUAUUAGCUAGAAUUAUUGUUCUAAAAAAUUGUAUGAAUUAUUGUUAUUCCUUUAUUGUGUACGUUUCAUAUCACUUUUUGGUUAUGACUCGUUAAAAUUAACUUGUGCACGCCUGACACGGAUAGUGUGGCUCAAACAAACCCGUCAUAAUACCUUGAUAAAAUAAUAUGAGCGUCAUACCCAAAUCAAAAUCGCUUGGUAUAAUUUUUGUUGAGUCCAUAUACAAUAUUUUCUUUCAUCAAAUUCAGAAAUGACUUUAAUUUUGAAUUUGGAAUUUCAUUACAGGGGUGCAGUAUUGUCAAGCAAAAUAUAGAGUUGCAGGGAAAACAUGCACAGUUCAUCAGCAUAAAAAUUAUGCAAUAGCUGAAAAGAAGACAUUAGCACAAAAAAAAAAAAGGGUGGUCGAAAUAUAGCCCUCCAGAAGUAAUUUUCUGAAAGCAUCUACAAAGAGCAUUAUAAACUACCCAACAAUCAAACUUAAUGAUCCGAAAUCCCCCCAACUUGUGCUGAACUAUUAGUCCUCUUGGGAUUGCUUGGAUGCACUUUCUUCUUAAGCCGGAACAAACAAUCACCGGAGCUGGUUGUUUCCGAUCUAGCCAUGCCCAGCCUGGCCCUUUCUUCUUCUUCUUCCUUCUUCAGCUUCUUCUUGUGCAGGUCUCUCAUCACAUAUGCUUCAGCAAGGCCAUAGCUCAUAGACAUUCUGUUCGAAUUUUCAGAAAAGCAAGUGUUCAAUUGAGUAGUCUUCGAUUUCAGGAAGAGAAACUGGAUGUUGUAAAGGGUUUGGAGAUGGGUUGUAUUUAUAGAGGUUUUCUUUGGCUUGGGGAGCAAGAAGAGGCAAGUAUGACAUUGACAAUGCUGUCAACUUUUUUUGCUGGUUUAGAUUGACUGCUGACUUUUGGUGCUGAUGGCUUCCAAACGCGCGUACGUAUGCUUGGUUACCAAGAAAAGGUCCUCCUAGCUAAAAAGGGAUAUUGUGAGGUCAUUUCCAUUAAUGCGUGUUCUUUAGUGUUGUUGAAACUGAAGUUUCGUAUCCAACAUUCUCAUCUAGGAUGACAUGAGCCCAUACGUGCAAGAAAAGUCGGAAAGCACGUAUUGAGUGACUUGAAAGAGAUAUAGUAUUCGAUAUAACAUAUGUCUCGUUCUAAAUGAUCAAGAGAGAAUUAUUGAAAAACAAUAGAUCGUAAAAAGAACGGAAAACUGUAUUUUAUUCAUUGAUAUAGGAGCCCUUAUAUAGGGAUUACUUAGCAAAAUAAAUCAGAGCGUUCAACGCAAAAUGAAUUGGCAAGAGCUGAAGACAAUGAGCUUUCAUCUUGCUCUGACAUUUCAACUGGGUUCAGUUAAUUGUAAAAAAACUUUUGAGUUAAAAAAGAUUCUUUAGCCUUGCUGAAGCUUCCAAUAUAGUCUCUCUGUGGCCAAAAGCACCAACUCUAAUAUACCCUUCACCUGCAGGACCAAAUCCCUUUCCGGGUAUGGUCACUAUGUCUGUCUUCUCAAGAAUUUCAUUGAAAACAUCCCAUGAACUCAGCCCCGGAAAAUGCACCCAUAUGUAAGGUGCAUUUUUGCCUCCAUACACCUUCAAUCCAAGUGAUCUGAAUGUGUCAACAAUGAUUUCUGCAUUCUCCUUGUAGUAGUCAAUCACCCUCGUUAUAGCCUGAAAGAGGUAAAACUAGUACUGGAAAUGUAGACUUUCAUAACUAAUGUGAGAGUGCUCUAUGUAAAUGAUCACCUUCCAGCAAGAGAAUCUAGAUUAUACUAAGAAGAAAACAAAUGAACUGCAACUGAUUCCUUGCAUAUACUUGCAUCUAGUGUUGGUAGAGAAUAUCCUACCAGAGGGUUUAUAGUCAGUUUUAAGAGUUUUAUCUUUGUUGUCAAUGACAAAUCUUUUCUGCGAAAAAUUUAAAUUUGAACACUUCAAAUACAGAUUUUCUUAAGAGCUAGGAUGCUUGUCAGAGAAACUCACAGUAUUGUAUGAAUUCACAAGAGAAUAAACGAGGCAUAAUACUAACCUGGUGUCCCUCUGCAGAAAGGCAUGCUAGCCCUCCAGCCUGAGCUAUAUUUGAUGCACCAUUGAAGCAGGUGCAUACUAUCCGGUUAUAAUCUUUUAUGACCGGAAAUCCAUUUGCAUACGACAACUCUUCAGGGACAACGGUCCAACCAAGUCGGACUCCUGUGAACCCCGCAAAUUUGGAGAAGGAUGAUAUUUCAAUAGCAACCUGUACAGUGAAAUUUGGUCAAAAACCAACUUUCAUUAAGAAUACAGCUGCACCAACUUGGCUAUCAAUAUUCCAAACACAUAAGAUUCAUAGUGAAGAGAACUUUGAGAACCUCUCUGGCACCAGGAAUUUCGUAAAUUGAUCUUGGGCUUCCAUCUGAUAUAUAAGCAGCAUAUGAGGAGUCAUAAACUAUGAUUGAUCCAUUUGCUUUUGCAAACUCCACCAGUUGCUUUAGUUGAUGCAAUGAUGCAGCAUUUCCAGUUGGAUUGUUUGGAGAACAGAAAAAUAUGAGAUCUGCCCUUGAAGCAGUUGAUAAGUCGGGGAAAAAAUUAUUCUCAGGUGUGCAAUUGAGGUAGACAAUGUUCUUAUACUUCCCGGUUUCCUGUUGAAAGUUGCCAGCUCGACCAGCAAUGACACUAGAAUCUAUGUAUGCCUGUCCCAGAUUAUAGUCCAUAAAAAACAUAAGGGAUAUGACUUCCAUGUAGUGUAACAGGUAAGAGAAGAAAAAUGACUAUAACCCUUUUCUGUAGGCAGAAGAGCCCUUUAGCAUAGUUACAAAUAGGAAAAUGAAAUGAUAUUGAGAGCGAGGUGACGAUGGCAUUGAAUCAUAUAAAUUUUUUUGUCUCAUCUUGACUUAGAAUUUGAAACAGAAAUAGGAGUGAAGAUCAUAUUUCAUUUUUAAGUUUACCGGGAAAGAAGGGUCUUGCACAGCUACUGUCACAUUGGAACCUAAAAGCAUCUGUUGGAUAGGCAAAAGUCAGAUUUCAUGACAUGCUUUUCGUCUUAAUAUAGAUAACAGGUGUUUACCUUGUUGAACUCUAAUUAAAGUAUAGAAAUAUUUUCUGCAUAAAACAAGUUCUUACCUGAAGGCGAGAAAUGUCACACUGUGCACCAUCUGAUACAAACACCUCAUUGCCUCCUAUGCCCAUAUUCUUGUAGAAUCUUUCUGCAAUUGACAUUCUCAAUUCCUGUACCAAAAAUUUGUAACUAUUAGUCACCGAAAGAACCACAGGGACGUAAUUCAUAAUAAACUAAAAGAUGAACUAGUGAACUAAGAUCAAAGAAAAAGAAUAGAAGUAUUUCAGAAUAGACACCACUAUCCUACCCUGUGGCCUUGCUCAGCUCCGUACCCACUGUAACCUUCAACUGUUGCAAGAGCAUGCGCAUGCUGCAAUACACAUAUGGGGAUUUCAAGUGACAAACAGAAACAUGAAAAACGUUAAUAGCUAUUCAGCAUAAUGCUUGGAGAGGUUUCGAUCAGCACCAAUCUAGAAAACUACACACAACAAUCUGAGAGCUAGCCACUAUAGUACCUCAGCCAUAGCAGAUGUGAUGAUGUCUGGUAUAGGUUCUGUAGUAUUACCUAUACCAAGUCUUAUUACUCUUGCAUUUGGGUACUUCUGAGUAUGCAGAAACUCGCGCAUGAAUAUCUAGUUUAGAGGCCAUAUGAAAUGUAAAAAGGUUUUCAUUCAGAUGCAUAUACAAUAAAAGCAAAGUUUUUAACAAUCGAUAUCUGUAUGCAUCACAAGUAAUCUACAGAUGAUAAUAUUAACACAAUGUGCUCCAAUCUUGACAAUUAGUGUCAGAUAGACCAGAAAAUGAAUAGAAUAGGAGGGCAAACUUCAUGAUGAAGAUGUCAUAAGCCCGCUGACCUCUGGAAACAAAUAUCCGUUUUGCAAGUUCUCCAUAUUGACACUGCGUGAGACUUUUGUGCAAUGACCUGUAAUUGCAUGGCAUUGCUUAUUAGGUUGUGACUGACAAAGGUGGCUAUAGGUGACAUGAGGAUAAGGAUUUGAAUUAUAUAAUUGAAGAUGAACCUUUUUGAGAUUGUAAUAGCUUCCCAACUUUGCUCUCAUUUUCAGAGUUUGAACUGUAAAUAAUGCAGACGUAAUGGAACUCAAUCAAUUAAAAGAAAUAACCAGAACAAGCAUUCAAUGAACAAUGAUAUGUAUGUAAAGACUGUAUCAAUGUAUAACCUGGUCCAGAUUGUUUUAGGCUGUGAUGAGAUACAAGAAGGCACACAAACAGGAGAUGAAAAUUGAAGACAAUUCAUGAUUUGUUACAACCUUCUUGAGGAAAAUUGAGCUUCUGAGAAUGAUACAAGCAAGAAAAACAACAAUAUAUAUAGUCGAGGAUGGUUAGCAUUUGGCACACCAUACACAUGCCUCAACUAUGAAGAAACUGAGCCUUUGACAAUUUCAGUUGCAGAUAUGACCAAAGAAUUAUCUCAGUUCCAGAAGCCAACAAAUUAAUGUAAACUGAAGCUAAUCAGGCAGUUUCUUAGUUUAGUUUCUUGGACAACGAUGUCUAUAUAUGGAUGCUUUUAGGCAAUGCAUGCACUUGUAAACUAAAGUCCGAUAAUUAUUCUUUCAAGUACUAAGUACUCGAUGCAUGCAUAGUUCAAUUCUGUGGAAAACAUCACUUAGAAUUUUCCAUGAAGCUACAACCUUUUCCAAGACAAUGCUCGCAUGAACUAGAAGUUACUAGCAGUCGCGUACAGAAAGCUCCAAAAGCAGAAAGUCAUUUUGACCACCUGGACAAAUUCUCUUCUAUCAUGAAUCGUCAAAACAAUAAUAUAAGACCACCAAAUUUAUAUACAAAAUUAUCUCAGUAUAAGAUUUAGCCAGAAACAAAUGUGAUGAAUAUUUGGUGAAUGAAUGAAAAACUCUUGCAUCAAUUGUUCAAUGUAGCAGUGCUCAAAAUCAAGUUCCACAAGUGAUUCCAUGUCAAAUCAAAAUUGUACAAACCUUAUGGGGAUGGCUGCUAAAGUAUUUAGCUAACAGAACUUUCAGUUUAGAGUCAGACAUUUCAUUUGGAUAUUUACCGAACACAUGAUGGGUCACGUCAGUUUCAUACCGGCACAAAACUAAUACAGCUCAAAGUGACCUGUGGAAACUAGAAAGUAGAUCAAAACGUGCAGACUUCAGAAACAUCUUUAUUCCAACUGAAAACUCUGGUCAUGUAGAUUCUUUGAAACCCAGUAACCAAAUUACAAGUUUGGUUUUGAAAGUCGAGUCCUUUUCUGAGUAUAAAGGUCUUAGGGGGGGGGGGGGGGGGGGGGGGGAGNNNNNNNNNNNNNNNNNNNNGGGGGGGGAGGAGGGGGAAUAGGUCUUUUUUGAAUUUUCGUUGACUUCUGUGUAUCCGAAGAUAGCAAUCACUUGUGUUAUCCCAGAUCCACAUGAUACGAGUUUGCAUCAAAUAAAAAAACAACACAAGGAUGUUUUUUACUCGCAAAAACCCUAAAUGCAGAGAGAAAAACUGUGUGUCUCUAACUCUUGAGAGACAAAAACUUUCCACUAAGUUGAAGUAACUUCUUACAAGAAUAAUAGUUCUAGUGAUACACUACCACAGUGCUAUCCUUCCUAGUCCCCAACUAGUCUAGACCUAUUCCUUCUCUUGUUUCUAAGCUCUUACAACAUGGAACACUUUCAGAAGCCUUGUUUGUGAAUUCAGCUACCACAGUGCUAUACUUCCUAGUCCCGAACUAGUCUAGACCUAUUCCCUCCCUUGUUUCUAAGCUCUUACAACAUGGACACUUUCAGAAGCCUUGUUCGUGAAUUCAGCUAACCACUAGCAGAUUUAACCUUGAAUGCUUCUUGGGUUGGUUGCAUUACACAUCCCUCAUGGUAUGCAACAUGAUAUGAGUUGAUGAAAGAAGUUUUGAGUUCAAGCUCUAAGGUUUACAGUCACAAAGAAGAGUUAGAGCAGCAUGAACUAUGCAAGCUAAAACAUGAACUAUGCAAGCUAAAACUAGACUCAACAAAGAAAAUGCAAUAAGGCAGUUUUCAACAACUAUUGAGCAAAACCAAAGCUAUAGGUAUAUAUAGGCAGACAAGACAUCAUCAAAUAUGAUGCAAGCUGACCUCAACAUGUUUCAGAAAGGUUUGGACAGAAGUGUUUGGCUCCCAUACUGAAAGUGAUGUAACCAAACAAGGAGAUGACAUAAGAUAUCUCAAUAAGACAAAUGAACCUUUCCUAAAACAUGAACGAUUCAAAACAGGGAACAAAGAGGUUUCAAACCCUCUUACUCAGUCUAUUAGUGGACCUUGACACAACCAAUAGCAACUGGUCUUUGAAUCACACAGAGACCAGCUAUGUAUAGGAUAACGUAUCAUAAAAUCCAAGCUGGAGCCUUGAGCAUCAAACCAUUUGGUCACGGGUUGGCAUAACAAAAGAUCUCAACCCUUAGACUGGUUUUAGUGCCAAGGCACUUCCCACAAACUUAGUUGUCCAUUUGAAUUUAAAAGACAACAAAGACCUAUUAAACUAAUAUAACAGAAUCUUUGAAACUCAGGACAAACAAAAGACUCAGCACUAGGAUAGCAAGCGAAGCUGCUAACCUCUGUGAAAAACAUAUGAUAUGCAAAUGCAUGUUUUACCUGAAACCAUAAGGGAUGUUGUUCUUGUUCAGAUGACAUUAUCUCAAAGUGUUUUGCAGGAUAAAGGAUUGGCAACUAUCCUUAUACCUUCAGAGUACUAAGACUCCAAUCACUCCAUCAGUGAAUGAAAAAAAUGUGCAAAGAUUGCUUGCACUAAACAAUUCAAAGUUGUGGAAAAUUAGAUAAAAUUGGUCUCACAGGACUUGUGGAAUUCCUCACCAUCUGGACUAGGAAAAUUCUCAUCUUCUUCUGACACUGGAGGCAUUUUCCAUUUGACAGCAACAUAGCCAAGAAAAGCAUACAGGUUCGUUGGACCUGAAAGAAUCCAAGAAUGUGAUCAAAGAAAUGCAAACCUUGAAUAGAAUGUGAUCAAAAUGAAAAUAUAAAAAACUGGAAUACAAGUGCUCAACUUUUGACAACAAUUUUAAUCAAAAUCUGGCAACAGUUUCCAACCUUUUCAUAUGGGCAAGUUUGGCCGGAGCUAGUCGAACUCGGAUUUUCUUGAACUGAACCAAGAAAAUAAGAAAAUAAAAAUAAAAAAACGCCCAAGGCGAACUGGGCCUCUGCGGGCUAAGAGGACCCGGGACGCGGCUAGGCGGUAGUAGGUUAUGUGGGCCUAUGAUCUGGGCCGCACACCUUUAAAACCAAAAAAAACUUAAACUGGAGUCUCAAACUGAAGUAGCAACAUGUUGUUGACCAAUAUACAAUAGGAGCUCGUUGACUCCAUAUCUCUCCUCAGUUUCUCAACCUUGUCAGUUUCUCAACCUCUCUCCACCUCUGCAAAGAAAAACCCUAACCCUAAUUCAACCGCAGUUAACCCUCAUCGCCAGCCAUGUCUUCUGGGUCAGGUCAGCUUCUCUCUCUCUCUCAACUCAAAUGCGUAUAAUUUUAUGUAUGGGAAGUUUAUUUUAGCUGAAUUUCAAGUAUUACUUUUUGCAUUCUGGGUAUUGUUAUUGUAUGCAACUCUGUUUGAUUCUAAACGUAUACACUGAAUAUGGAUAUGGGAAACUGGGAUUGAGAUUGGAGUUGCCCAUUGACCAAUGUGAGCUUCCAAAGCGAGAAGCUUUGGGGCAAAUUAGCAUGGCCAUAAUCAGAUACAUAUGACUCUUCAAUGAAUAUGAACAAUAUUAACAGGAAAAGUAGAGGCAAAGAUUGAAUCUUUAUUGAGACCAAAAUGCAUAGGGAUUAGGGUACCUAUGCGUUGAUGGCGGCCAUAUUGUAUUUGUCAAUGAACAAAUUUGGUGGCCGGCCACAUUCUACACUUCAAUACGAGUAUUAUUAACAGGCAAAAGAAAAGGUGAAGUUUGCAAAUUUAUUGACUGAAAUGCGUUGACAGUUGGAUUUCUAUGUGUUGAUGGAAGCCAUAUUGCAUUUCAUGAUCCUGCAAAACUUGUAUAUCUUGAAAGUUGUGAUCUCAUUAGCUUUAGUCAAUUUACAGGUUGUUUCUGAUGAGAUAUCAGUGUUCUGGGUGAUGUUUUCUGAUGCUCUUAGAGCAAGUAGAUCCUUUUAUUUGUCAAGGGAGGCCUUGCAUCUUCCAAUUGAAAUAACUGGUCAUGUUUGUCAUUCAGGAAUCUUCCAUACAAUGAGAGAAGUUAAGGUAAAAGGUGUUUCGGAAUUGUGUACUCUUGAUUCUGAUAUUGAAUCGCAAAUCUUACAAUCUGAAUCAGCUAGUGUCAGCCAGAGAUGUUCAUCUCUAAAUGUGCAGUCCACACCUGAAAUAGAAAAGAAGUAUGUCCAUCAUGUAUAUGAUGCUAUCGCACCCCAUUUCAGUUCCACUCGGUUCGCUAAGUGGCCAAAAGUAGCCAACUUUUUAUCUUCCUUACCUGCAGGAUCUCUUGUGCUUGAUGCAGGAUGUGGAAAUGGGAAAUACCUGGGAUUUAAUCCUGAUUGUCUUUCCAUAGGGUGUGACAUAAGUGCUCCUCUUAUCAAAAUUUGUGCAGAUAGAGGGCAUGAAGUUUUGGUUGCAGAUGCUUUAGUUCUACCCUAUAGAACUGGUUUUGGUGAUGCAGCUAUCUCCAUAGCUGUAUUACAUCAUCUGAGUACAGAGAGCAGGAGGAAAAAAGCAAUUGAAGAGUUAGUCCGAGUUGUGAAAAAGGGUGGUCUUGUUCUAAUAACAGUUUGGGCUGUGGAACAAGAAGAUAAAGCAUUGGUUUCUAGAUGGACUCCACUCACUGAAAAGUAUGGAGAAGAGUGGAUAGGACCUGGUAGCCCUCGUGUGCGUAGUCCUUCGUCCCGCACAUUAGAAAGCAUUCCAGAAACAGAGGAUAGAAUUUUGGGAGAUAAUGAGAAAGAUUCCAACCAGAGUUCUGUGCAGACUUUGCAACAAAUGCCCUCUCAAGAUAAAGGCAUUACAAGGGCUUCUGAUGAUAUAAAGGAUACAAACAAUCAACAAGAAUAUUUCGUCCCCUGGCACUUGCCUUAUCAUCGUGCUGAAGUAAAUGGGGCUUCAGCUUGUGCUGUUGCUAAUGGCCUUGCAAAGAAGGAUGAUAAGAAGGGAGCAGUAGUGUACAACAGAUAUUACCAUGUUUUUAGUGAAGGCGAGCUUGAAAGGUAAGGUGCCAUUUUCAUUGAAGUUCUCUUGGUUCAAUGUUUAUUUUCUGUUUACUUUGGGUUGCUUUAUGAAAUUAAGGUUUGUUUUCCCAUGCUGCUCCAGUUGUGCUUUGUUCUAUCUGGCUUGUUGAAAUUGAAACAACUUUACUACCAGAAAAGAUACCCACACUGACAGGGGGAAAACUCAUCUUUUAAAUGUAUAGGGCAUUCAAAUUUAUAGUUCUUAUUAUUUAAGUUUCUUAUAACAACUGGAUCAAUAAGGCAAAGAAAUUUAAGGACGUGUUGAUAUAAUUGAUGUUCCCCUGAUAAAGAGUAACUCCUAGAAAAUAAAACAACUGUCCUUUUUAUGUUUCUAUAUAUUAUUUAUUUACUCCUAGUAAUUUACUAUCAAAGGUGCUCAUAAUUUAGAAACAGUUGAUGGUAAUAAUAGAGGCCGCUUCUAAAAGCAAUGAUUGUGAGUAGAAACCCACUGGUGCUAGGAUAAGAAGCCCAUUAAUGAUGGUGGCCCAGCCUCUAACUUAGACAAAAAUCGUAUUGAUGGUAGUGAUAAAAUUCAAAAUUUUGGACAAAGAAGUACUUGUUUCGGUUAUGUUCUAAGUUCUAACCUACUUCUCGUUUGCUUUGUUGACGCAAUUUUUGUGUCUAAUUGGAGUUAAAAUCUCUGCUGAUGGAUCAUUGAUAUUGUUAUCUAAUACAGUCCCUUUCUUUGAGGGUGGGAAAGUAAGAUAUAUUAGUUCUAGAACUACAGUUUGGGUUAGGGAAAGGCUAAUCCCCAUCAUCAUAUAUCAUUCAUCUAUAUCUUUUGAUUGAAAAAAGUAAAUGAAUAAAGUAACUGCCGACAGAGUUGCAUGCAUUGCACUGCAUUUAAUUAUUCUUGCCACAGUUUUUAGUAUUCCAGAAGGUUGAUUUUUGCUGUACCAUGCAGGCUGGUAUCUGGUAUGGAUGAUGCUGUAAUUGUUGAUCGAUUUUUUGACAAAUCCAACUGGUGUAUUGUCCUUGAGAAAACAUUAUGAAAAUGCAAAUGCAGCGGCUUUAAGUUUACCAUAGUGUGCAGCAUGGAACAGCAAGGUAAGGGCUGAGAAGACUAAGUUUGAAUUUCAAGUUGUUUCCAAUGUGCUAUGGAAAAUUGGUUUGUAAUGAGGAUUUUUUUUUUUUGAAUUAAACAAGCUUUUAUUAGAGGUGGUGGACUGCUCUCUUGGUGGAUCUGAUUCUGUGCACAUGGAAGUAUGCAUUAUUUUGAUUUAUUGCUUGUUUGGUGUGUCUUUAAGUACCUUCUGUUAGCCUCAUUAUAUUCAAUGUCAUUAGUGCCUUCUCUGGUCUAUAUGACAAGACUUCAUAAUAGUUUCACAGUGAUCAGUUUUAAACUUUUAAUAUGCAUUUGGGGUUGUUGGCAUGUCUACUUGAGAAUAUUGUAGACCUCCUAAUCAAUAUCUCACAGAGACAUGAAUACAUACCUUUUAAACGUGUGGCUUUAAAAGCAUAAGUUGCUAUUCCAAUGCUUGGUUGUUAAAGAAACUGAGUUAAAUUAGCAUUAUUGACAGCUAAAGCCUUUUCCUCUAACGUUUUAUUUUAUUUUUAUAUAGUUAGUAUUUCGACCCAUUUUUGAACUACAUUUCUUUGUUGAAAAUGAGAUAUUGCUAUGUAAUCUAUCAGGAGCUAGACUAGAUUUUGUACUUUGAAUUGUGUUGUAUGGGUUGGUUAGGUAGUCUGAUAUGAGGAAGAGAGAGGAAAACUGGGUUUAAGUAGAGUUAAUGCUUAUUUGAUAGAUGGUCCAUGUCAGGGCUCUUCUGAUCUUUGUUUAGCUGUUUUGCACAAAACUGGCUACAGGAUUGGAUGAAGUAGGUUGAUAGAUACGUGUCAGAUUACCAGAUAUUGGAUGCAAGGGAACUAUAGAAUGGUGUAAGCUACCUAUCUUUUUUAUCUGAAGAGGGAUCCCUGCGCUGGCUUAGCCUUGUAUAAAACAGAGUAUUAGUACUAGGGAAUCCCAAAUUUUGUAGAAAGUUAUGUGUUUGUGUAUUAGCAUAACAUAGAGACACUCCAUAAUCUCUCUGAUAUCUUAUUUCCUUUCAGCGGCUGUUUGCCACGGGCAUCAUUUCCCUCCCAUCUUAGGAUAAGCGGUGGUAGCACAGGUAUCAUUGCCUCCCAUCUCAUCGCCCACGGUGAUGGGAGUUGGUGUAGGAUUUGUAGGUUUGGGACACUGAUUGGUGAUGGGUAGAGGAUUUGGGAAACUAUAGUUAAUGGUUGUCAGAGCAGCAUGUCAAAAUGGCUAGAUUGAAUACUAGUAUGAAACUACACUCAUCUCAUGCCAAAGCAGUAUGUUUAAUUAUGAACAUGAUCCACGGUUAAUAUUAUGCCAGACUAAAUGCGAGUUGGCUUGGCUCUUCCCAGACCACCUGACAAACCAUAGUUAAUAUUUCAAUAUAUCUUGAUUCCAUGACUCGAUAGUUUUUCCUUUUUGCUUACAAAAGUUUUGAACAAUUAUGGUUUUGCGUAAAGUAUUCCAAAAUUCAACACAUACCCUCUUGAGAUGGCCAGAUACUGCCAUGAUUCUUAUAUUAAUAACUUAAAUUUCAUAAUAUCACCACAGAAGUCCAGUUUACCCCAAAUCAAGAGGCCUUAUUUAUUUAUUUAUUUUUUUUUUUUUGUAGAUGGGAAUCAAUGAAGUCUAACUAUAGGUAGAAACAUAAAUGUUGCUUGUCCGACAAUACAAAAUGAUGUACCAGUCUGGAGUAAAUGGAUGCUUCAAGAAUGUGAUUAUGCCUGGAAAUGCAGGCACAAUAUCAAUGAUUAUAUGAACAAGAAAUUAAAAUUCCACUGCGUAAAGUGAAACUAAUAUAUAUAUAUAUAUAUGGCACCAUUGGAAAUCAAUGAGAUCAGUAUAAAAGCAAACGAUCGAAGUAGGUAUUGUUUACCCACGCAUCUGAAAUUGCAGUGAAUAUGUUGGUAGUAACAAAGCGUUUCUUCUCUUGUGAAUGAAAAGUAGACUAAUUAGGGUUUAUAAACAACACUAACAACAACGAAAAGAAACAUAAGCACUCCAUGUUUCCAUUGUACUUGAUUCACAAACAUUGAAACAAAAACUCAAGAAUGUCAUCAAAUUACUGGAACAAAGAGAGUAAGGAUGCACUCACAAACAGAGAUCGAUCGAAGGGUCACCUCAAGAUCUUAGUCACAGCAGAAUUAGUGCUUACAUUUUGUUAGUAACAAGAAGAUUAAGCACAUGUAAGAUGUAACAGACAAGGAGUUGUGAUAAUCAUAAUCAUCACCAGUGGUGCUUGAGUUCUCUGCUUUUCACAACUCAAACCGCCACCAAAAAGGCAUGCAGUGAAGGUUUUCCUGCAUGAAUCAUUAUCAUCACCGGAAAUUUUCAGUCGGAUUUCGAGCUUUGCCUGCUUUGAAGGUUUUCUUUGACAUGCUAAUGAUAAUCUCCGGCCGGUUUUGAGUCAUCAUCGACCCUCCUCAUCUUUGUCAACCCGUUGCUUUCUACAUAUAGGUGUUUCUUAUUUAGUUGCUCCGAGGGGUUUCUAAACGAAAUACGAAAGAGAGGAGUUUGUUAGUUGUUAUAGUACUACAUAUAGAAACAUAAACAAGAACUUGAAAUGUUUAAAGAAAAAAAAACAUUACCUUCUCCAGAUUUUAUGAUCCAUCUAAAUCUGCCAUUUAGGUUUCCAAGGAGUUCCCCAAUAGCCUGCACUGUCAAAACAAGACUCACAAUAUGCAACACAGCCCUACUAUAUACGAUGAUCAUCAUCAUGUACGUCUACUUAACUUAAGAAUAUAAAACCGACUUGAAAAUCAGCUCCCAAGUCCCAAGUCCCAAGUCCCAAAAUAUGUAAAUCUCAAAAACAAAUUAAGGGUUUGUAAAACCCAGGUUUGUUAGCCGUGAAACCCAUGAACUUAAAGCUUCUCAAAGAAACAGCAACAGAUAGAAACCUUCUCAAAGCUUAGAGAAGUACUUGCUGUGAUGCAUCCAUCAUGACUAAAUAAAUAUGAACAAUACCAUCUUUGAUUCAUGGUAUGGUGCAUCUUAAAAAUGUCUUGGAUAAGAUUCAGCAACCUCCUAAUUUUCCUUUUAAAAAAAAAAGAAGUCGAACAGAUUAAGUUUCAACAAUUGCUUGGAACUUCACCUCUUUGUCGUGUCCAUUUGAAGCUCACCUUGUACAAGUGAAAACAAAAAAGCUAGACUUUCAAGUUACUCCAUGCAUCCACUUGGUGCUCCCAGUGCCCAUUUGAGGCUCAUAAUAUCGCCCCAAAAAAAAUGGCAGACUGGUUGAGAAUGCUGAAGAAUGCAAUUGUAAAAUCCAAGGAAAGAUUGGUCUUUCGUGAAGUUCAUUGCUCGUAUAAUAAGACAAUAUCAUCUGGAGGCUAUAUAAACAUCUUUCUCAUCGUACUAAAUUUUGAUGGUUAUUAGGUAAAAGGGUAGAGAUUUCUCAUCACCAACCUAUCCCCCAACAUGCGAAUUAUAACUUUCCUUUAUUUCCCAACAGAAUCGAUUGGUUCGAUCGUUUAGCAAUUAGCAUGGUAUCGAAACUGCUUCAAUUCGAUGUUGGGGCUGGGACCAAACCAACCAAUAUAGACCGAUGUUACCUUCGAUCAAGGCUUCAACAAGUGUAGAUCUUUGAUUGUACGCUAUGCUUUUCAAAGACCAUAUAUAUAUAUAUACCGGAUGUGAAGCGGACGUCCGCACUCGGCUUAAAGUGCGGACCUCCGUCCGUUCUCCACCAUCCGGCGCCGGCGACGGCGCGCCUCCACCCCAGAACACUCCAGCAGUGUUCCCGACCACUUUCUCUCCCCGGCGAGUCCGUUCUUUUUCAGUUUUCCGGCGAGAUCACCCAAAACUUCAAACAAGAUCAAUCUCGCCGGAAACUGGAAAAGAACGGACUCGCCGGGGAGGGAAAGUAGUCGGGGACGCUGCUGGAGUGUUCUGGGGUGGAGGCGCGCCGUCGCCGGCGUAGGAGGGUGGAGAACCGACGGAGGUCCGCACUUUAAGCCGAGUGCGGAUGUCUGCUUCUCAUCCUCUAUAUAUAUAUAUAUCAGUCGGGAUCACAGACGGACGUCCGCAAACCCGUAAAAGUGCGAACGUCCCUGCUUUUGCAGCGAUCAAGCGCCGACGACGUCCUUUCUCUUGCCGGACGGACACCAGAGGCAUCCCGGACCUAUUUAACGUGAAGAUGAAGGCCAUGGAGAUCAGAGUUGAAGGUCUGGGCAGCAACCUCCACCCAAAACUUUUGACAACAUCAAUCUCGGCUGCAAACUGAUAUUCGGCGAGUUCGCCGGCAAGAGGAAGCUCACGAUCGACGUCUAGUGUCCGUCCGGGAAGAGAAGGGCCGUUGCCGACGCUUGAUCACUGCAAAAGUAGAGACAUCCGCACUUUUACGGGUUUCCGGAUGUCCUCUUCUGAUCCUGUCCGUAUAUAUAUAUAUACACACAAUGCUGAUCAGGUGCGAGCGUCCACAUCAAAGUUUUGGUGCGGAUUUCCAUUUUUGCACCACUUCCCGAUCGAAUUUCCUCAAACUUCCUUCUAGACAUAUCUAGAUCAUCUUGUGUAGAUCAUCUCUGCAAACUUUCAGUCAAUUUAGUGAUCGUUAAGGCCCUCAAACUCGAAAAACAAAUGAACGGACUGAAUUCUGUCCGAUUGUGUUCAUACCAGAAAAACUCAAGUUUGAGGGCCUUAAUAAUCACCAAAUUAGCUGAAAUUUUGCAGAGAUGAUCAACAUAAGAUGAUCUAGAUAUGUCUAGAAGGAAGUUUGAGGAAAUUCGAUCAGGAAGUGGUACAAAAAUGAAAAUCCACACCAAAUCCGCACCUGAUAGCAUUGUGUGUGUGUGUAUAUAUAUAUAUAUAUUUAUCAGGUAGUGGUCAAUGAAAUGACCCCAUAUUUGUUGUUCUUGUUGUUGGGGUAAAUGUUGACUUAUCUUUUAGAUCGAGUUACGUAUUUAGGAAUGGAAGCAAUGCACAGACAUCCCAUAGUUCUGCGUGUGUCAUGUGUGCAAUAUUUAUAAGUCGACAAGUGUGAGAUUUUAUCCUGAGAGACUUCGGUCUUUAUAUAUUAAGAAUAAAAUAUCCAAAAUCUCUAAACACUACCAUGAUGGAUGUCAAGUUUGGAGCGCUUAAACACCGUCUAAAUGACAGGACGACCUUUUUUAAAAAAAUGACUAAUUUCAGUUUACCCUUAUCAACUUUAGGUCGAUCAUCAUGUUAGUCCUUCUUUUUUCUAUUUCAUCAAAAACACUCAUCGACUCCCAAUUUUCAUCAGCCGUGUCCAAACAUUCGUUCUCCAUCCAAUUCUUCCGUCAUCAGUAAUGACGUGGCAUCAAGAAGAAAGUCAAAUUUCGAAAAAAAUAACUUUUCUAACAAUUUUCCCCCAUAUCGAUAUACAUCUUCAUUCUCAUCACAAUCCCCAAACCUUAGUUAUUUUGGUGGAAUUGAAUACAAUUUGUCUAUUUUGCCCUUUUUUAUGAGCAUAGCGACUUCAAAUUUGGUUUUCUUCUUAAUGCAAGUCAUCACAUGACGGGGAAUUAGAUGAAAAACAGAUGUUUGGACACGACUGAUAAAUUUGGAAGUCGAGGGGUGUUUUUGAUGAAAUUAAAAGAAAAUAGAUUAACAUGAUGAUCGACCUAAAGUUCACAGGGGUAAACUGAAAUUAGUUCUUUUUCUAUGUGCUUAUUUGUAACGAGCGACACAAACAACAUCAAUAAUUGAUCUUAUGCAUAAAUGCAUGUUGAAGUUAAACUAUCAGCAUAUAUGCAGGUUGCAGAAAGAUCGAUCCAGUGGUCUGAAUCCUCUCUUAACUUCAUCAAUUACUAAUUGUUUCCAAUGUGCUAGCUAUCUGGAAAACUGCUGCGGCCGGGGUUUAAUAUGUGGAAAUUGAUUGGUUUCAAAAUCCGAUCGACAUGCUUUUAAGAUGGGACUUUGCACAUGGCAAGUAUUCAUCAAAACGUUUAAUAUCGAUUUAUUUCUUGUUGGGAUGCCAUUGAAUUCCUUGCGUAAGGCUGAUAACACCACAAUAAGAAGGUCUACCUACCAUUAGUACCUUCUCUUCUUCCUUUCUUACGUCAACAGAAACUAGAGUUUGUUGGUGGAGCCGAUCUAACCCAAGCGCCUUUGCUAUGAGGUUUGGUGUCACGUUGUCGACUCGUUGUAUUGCAUGUCGACUUGAAUACUCUAAAGUUUAUGCUAACAGAGGAGCGGAUUCUAUACACCAGGAUACAUUUGCACCACUAAUAUGCGAGUUACAGUAAUUGUACUUGCCAAGAUAUAAUGAAGACUAGACGCCCUCAAUUUGUUCCCCUCCUUUGCAUUUUUGAACUGAUCAAAUUAAGAAAACAUUUUCCUUUGAUCUCGGAUCCUCACCUCAUGUGUGAAACAGUUGGACUAAUUUUUUUGGGUUUCUGUUUUGUUAAUUAAUGGCGUUAAUAUAUAUACAUGGAUAGUGUCACGUAAAUGACUGGAUCAAAUAAGGCAUAUUAGUUGCUAGGUUAAAACUGAUCAUAAUAUAUAGGCUACGUCUAAAAGUGAAAGAAAAACUCAAUUUUGAUCAUUGCCUUUCAGACUAGGGUUUAGGAGGUUUGGCAAGGUAGGCAAGGCAACUCUUGUGUUUCGGCUACGCACUCUUUUUUUUUUUCCGCGGAUUCUUGUGUUUGGAUCCCAAAGGUCACUGUUCUUUUUCUGCAUUACGAUUCAAUCAUACCAAAUUACCAAGAGAUCCACCCGAGAACCUGGUAGGAAAUUCUGGCAGCUGCUUCGAUCACAUCAUAUAAUCUGAAUCAAUAAAAUAUAUAUGGAUCAUUACUUAACUUGUAUUCAUUUUCUAUGAAAAUGAAAUUUUCAUUAAUUACAAAAAAAAAAAAAAAUCCAGAACAAGAUUCCAGAUUUGGUACAAUAUCUUCGAACUUUUCAGUAGUGCACCAAAUUGACACACGCAUGCCCUAAGGCCUCAUUAGAACUUUUCAGGCCAUGACAGCUGUCGUAUAUUUAUAGUGUUGGACAAAAAUAUAUGAUCGGUAUGCAUUGUUCAUAUAACAAAUAAUAUAUUGAUUUGUGAUUCUUGUUACAUUCAUAAUCAUAACGAACCCCUUGCAUGUUUAUCCAACUUAUUCUGUCCAUGGGAAUUACUAACUUUGCUGAUUCCUAAUUUAAUUUCUGUAGUUGGAUGUUGAGAUGGAUGCGUCCUCAUAAGUACAUAACAGAAUAUGCCACAAGUUGCCUAAUUUUAUUGAAGGCGAUUUGGGAAUGAGAUCACCCUACCUGUUAUCUCAUGGAUUCUGAUGAUAUUUCAAUCGAAAACAACAUUCCAGUUUUGGGGUUACAAAAAUUACGACCUGAAGUUUUAAUCAUUGUUCAAGAAUCAAAGUUAGAAGUCGACGACGAACCAAGUUUGGCUAAGUCGGUAAGGAGAGACUAUUAUUGGAACCCAUCCUAUUUUGAUCCUUAUUGUUGUUAACAUGCCUCGUUUGAUUCGCGAUCUGUAAAUUCUCUUAAGAGAAAUUCAUACGUGAGAGUUGGUGUGACAUGUACGUGUUCAUUUUAAGUCUUUCAAAAUUAAAGUUACAAGUUUGUUCUAACAAUACUGAUGUAGUGUAACCAAACUCUCAUGGUCUCACCUAAACUUAUCUAACUAUUCUUAGGUCUUGAGAUUCCCGCAAUAGACAAUUAAGCAAGUGUGACAAAGUUCGUUACUUUAAAUGUGAUUGAUCGGGACCAAACAAAAACCUACCCCCGAACAAUGAAUCAAAAUAUAUAAGUUGCUUGAGAUUUCUUCGAAAACGAUGAAGUUGAUCGAGUGGUUAGUUAACUAUUGAUGUAAUGGGUCGAUGGCAAUACAGUCACAGAUGAUAGAGCAACAUAACCACACAAAAGAGUACAGGAACGUAGUAAUAUAUGACCUCUCUAAUAUAGCUCGGGCAGUUGCUACUCAUUCAUUACCAAUUACUUGCUUAUCCAAUUCCUCAUCGAUUCGAUCGAGUAAAGGAAACGAAAGCUCUUUGGCUGCUUGAUUGUUUCUCUCUGGCCAACCUAACAAAACUUUGCUUCAUUUCCUUUUAUAGCUUAAGUAGCUUGCCUUCAAUUGAGUUUGCUUCUUCUAUAGUUCUAGGGUUGUGCUAUUGUAGCGAAGACUAAAUAUCUGGUUAGAAUUGGUAGUACUUCCGUGAAGGGGUUUUGAACUUUUGGUCCAAUAGGUAUCCGGCGGCCGGCUCUCUUUUCUCGAUCAUGCAUGCACUUUGAAGUUGGUACACACCCAUAACACGUUUUACUCUACUAGAUAGGAGACCACACUGUGACACUGAGACGUGGAAGAUAACCAAAAACCCUAGCAGACUAGUUCGAUCUGUUCGGCUCCAUCCCAUGUCUGGAUGUUUAUUGUCACCUAGCUAGCAACAAUUUUGGCCAACCUCUCUCUCUCUCNNNNNNNNNNNNNNNNNNNNACCUCUCUCUCUCUCUCUCUCUCUCUCUCUCUCUAAGCUUGUAUGUGCUGGUUGCUUUUGCCCUACUAUAAAAGGUAGAGCCAUAAUAUGAUCCAUCUACAAAAACUGUUGGUACGGUGCAGAGAGAAGGAAACCAACCAAGAGUAAUGACUGGUUUCCAGAAUUGAAUGUGCUUGAAUAUGGAAAUGAUAGAUCACCAGUCAACCUGCUUCAGAAUUGAUUGAAAAGUAACAGUCUCACUUAUUCCCACAAAUUUAAAGAAAGAAGUGCAUUGCAAAUUAACCCGGCCCGAUCUUACAUUCAAAUGCUAUCCUGAGGCCUCUUGAUCCAAGUCUCUCUAAACCUUCAUUAUUCAAGUAUAACUCUGAAAUCAUUUCAAAUGAUCAACUAAAUGGUCUAGCUACUGUGACUAUUGUCAUGAUAAAUAUUAAUAGGCUUUUUUUCAUAUAUAUUGGGAGUCUGAUAGCUAGCGAGUCAGAUCGGUUACGUUAGCAAGUUAGUCAUAACACACAUACCUAGUCAGUAUUUAGACCGAGGUCCACGAGAGUAUCCCAACAAAGUGCACGAACCCGGCCGGAGGCCCUCAAACGUGUUAACUACAAACUUAUUAUGGGUGUUGAGACUCGAACUCUCAACACGAGAGUUUCAUACUAAGCAGUUCGGCCAACUUUACCACACCAUGUGGUUAAACUAUUAAAUAAUUGCAUAUUAUGAGGUCACUUAUUUAAAAGUUUUUCAUCGUGCCCUCAUACCGCGGUAUUGUGGUUGAAUUUAUGUGAAUUGUUGUAAGAGUUUUUUGUGACAUAAAUAUGACCAUAUAUAGAAAUAAUAAAUUUAAAUGUAGAGUAUGAUGGAAUGUAAAGUUAAUUGUUGUCCAAAAAUAGAGUAAAAACUCAUAUUGCCUCGGAGUCCCUAUUCAAUCCCUGAUCGUUAAUUAGUUCCGAAGAGGUGAAAAUGCGAUACCUAAUCAGAGAAGCCUCAUUUAUUAUCCUAGCUAGUAUAUAUUGGAGCAUCUAUAUUCAUAAGGUGGUAGCCAACCAAUCAUGUCUGCCAAACUUUUCUCCCUAGAAGCUCUUUCCUCUUCCUUCAAAGUCCUUAGCAAGCCAAAGAGCACAUCCUCUUUGCAAUACAAGUUUAGCAAAUCCCAUGCAACCCACUUCAAGUUUCAGAAAUACAACUCAUCCCUUGCGUAUCAAUUAGGAGGGCUAAUGUCAAAUACUGUACUGUUUUUCCAGUUUGAGGGUACAUUGUUGAAAUCAUCUUCACUUUUCCCUUACUUCAUGCUUGUGGCCUUUGAAGCUAGUGGCUUCCUUAGAGCUCUUACUUUGUUUCUUUUGUACCCUUUUGUUUGUUUGGUUGGUGGAGAGCUAGGUCUCAACAUAAUGGUGUUCAUUUGUUUCUUUGGUAUUAGAAAGGAAAAAAUGAGGAUUGGGAAUUCUGUGUUGCCCAAGUUUUUCUUGGAAGAUGUUGGGAUUGAAGGGUUUGAUGUGGUGAUGAAGUGUGGGAAAAAAGUGGCAGUGAGUGACUUGCCUAGAGUCAUGGUUGAAGGUUUUCUGAAGGACUAUGUUGGGGUGGAUGCUGUUGUUGCAAGAGAGCUCAGAGUGGUUGGUGGAUACUGUGUGGGUUUGAUGGAGGAAAUGAACACAAAAGGUUUGGAGUCGAGUCAAAUUCUUGGAGAUGGAAAACCAAGUAAUAGUCAAACAAUUGGUAUUUGUUGCCACAACAAGUUUCUCCAUCAGCAACUCCUUUCUCAAAAUUGCAAGGUAGGUGAAUCUCAUCUCUGUCUCUCUUUCCCUCUCUCUAUAAAUAGACAGAUUCAUUUGAAACUGUUUUUUGGAACCUUAGUUAACAAUGUCAAUUUGUUGCAGAAUGUUUUCUUGGUGAGUGAAGCUGAGAAGAGAAACUGGAAAAGCCUUCCAAGGGAGAAAUACCCAAAACCAUUGAUUUUCCAUGAUGGAAGAUUAGCUUUCAGACCAACCCCAAUAGCCACCUUGGCCAUGUUCAUGUGGUUACCCGUAGGAUUUUGCAUCUACUUCAUCAGAUUCAUAGUUGGCAUGUUUCUGCCUCACUGUCUUUGCAAUCCAAUCUUGGCCUUCACUGGUACAAUCACCACAGUUUCAGUACAACCCAGUUCCUCAAACACAUCAGCUAAUGGUGAAGAUCAAGUGAAACCAAGAGGCAGACUCUAUGUUUGCAACCACAGAACCUUGCUUGAUCCACUCUAUGUGCAAGUAGCUACUGAUAAAUCUCUCACUGCAGUCACAUACAGUUUGAGUAAAAUCAAUGAGAUCAUUGCUCCCAUGAAGACUAUCAGAUUAACAAGGGACAGAGAAAAAGAUAGGAAUCAAAUGGACAAGUUGUUGAGCCAAGGAGACCUUGUGGUUUGUCCAGAAGGCACCACAUGCAGAGAGCCAUUUUUGUUGAGGUUCAGUCCUCUGUUUGCUGAGCUGACAGAUGACAUUGUUCCUGUGGCCAUAGAUGUCCAAGCUGACAUGUUUUAUGGCACAACUGCUAGUGGUUUUAAAUUCUUGGAUCCAAUUUUUCACUUCAUGAACCCAAAUCCUGUUUAUACAAUCAGGAUUCUUGAAAAGUUACAACCAUCAGACACAUGCAUGUUUGGUGGAAAGUCAAGGUUUGAAGUUGCCAAUCUGGUGCAAAAUGAGAUAGGCAAAGCUCUGGGAUUCAAGUGCACAAGUCUCACAAGGAAAGACAAGUAUAUGAUCUUGGCAGGCAAUGAUGGAAUCAUGAAGGAAUCAAGGUGAUCAGUGACCGGAGAACUAUGACAAGCAGGUGGAAUGCAUUUGUAUGGUGUGGGAAAAGAAGUCGUUUAAUAUUGUUAGCAUCAAGUGUACUGUAUUUCGAUUUGGAUUGAAUUGUUUAGUGAUAGCUACAGACCCAUAACUCAUGUAAACAUGUCAGCGAGUUUUCAAAAUGUUCGUGUAUAAUUUAUUUCAAGAAUAUAAGAGUGUAAAAAAAAAACUAGAAUUUUGAAUGUUAAAUCUUUGUCGACAUGUAUGUGUUUAACCGAAAUUAGUGUAGCGACAUUGAACGCUACAUUUUAAGAUUCGAUGUGCUAUAAAACGAGUCAAAUGCACAACAUACUUGCUGUAUAACUGUAUAAGUACUGUGAUGUGAAUAAUAUCAAUAUUAAUGACAUUGUAAUUAAGAUGAUAUGUAUGACACUUAACGCUACAUUAUAAGACCCAAUGUGCACACAUCAAUUAACAAAACAAACAGGAUACGCAUGUUAGUGUGUCAACCUCAGUGAGUAAUGAAGUAAUGAUGUUCCCAUUUGAAGCAAGCAAAACCCCAAAUGAGCAAAGGAAGUGGCUUCCAUCAAAAAAUUUCAUAGAGGAAAGAGGCUUCUGGACAUCCGACCAUUCCGACCCAUCAACUUCAAUAAUGUCAAUGAUUUCCAUCAUAAAUUGUGUGCCAAACAAGUGGCACGUCCAUCACUUCGUAUUAGAAGAGACCUCUGGCUUCUAUUUCACAACCUAUAUGGCUAAAUAUGCAACACAAACAUUUCUUUGGUUAACUCACAGAAUUAGAUAAACAUGACAAAUGUGCUGCUAGCCAAUACCGGACCUUAACAACUCCUAUAAUCAACUUCAUCACUUCAGUUUUCGACAUAUCAAUCGCAGUGCUAACUUUGUAACCGAUGUCAUUCCUAAUGUUGGUCAUGACCCUACUGCUAGAUUGUCGAAUCAUUCUCUUCCUUUGUCCGCCUAUGUUGAUUUUGGAAAUUUGGUGUAGGUUGGACAGUGAUUUUAGUUUCUUGUAUGAAAAAACAAACAAACCAACAGACCUUAAUAACUCAUACAAUCAAAUGAAUCAAUUUCCUCCAUGUAUUCGCUUUCCUGCAAGUCACAAAAAGAAGCAACAAACCCUUUUCGAGUUGGGAGUGAAAGCACCAACUCUAUAUAUAUCAUACUUGUAGAAUCAUUCAACAAAAUGGAGCUCCCAUCAUUUUCUUUGUAGUCAUGAGUCCUAUAGCUGCCUGCCCAGUGCCUAUAUAUGCUUCAACUUCCUUGUGAGACUUGUCCACUUGAAUCCUAAAGCUCUUCCUACCUCACUUUACCCGUGAAUGCAACUUCUUUGGUUGGUUAUACUACAUUUUCUGAACCCUAGACACCGAUUUCGACAAACCUUAAUGAUUCUUUCACAAACUGAGGAAAGGUGACUCGACUAAAAUUAUUCAAAUACGUACCUAUGGUGUUGUGUUCUUGAGGCUGGUUCUAAAGCUUUGAUUUUGGUUGCCUGAGUCCCUGUUAUUUGGUUCAAAUCUUGCUUUUGAUGUAAUGAUACUAGGCUUGACUACUUAAAAAGGUACAACUGAUGAAAUUUAAGCAACAUGACCCUGCUAAUCUAUUUCUCAAGCAAAUGACUGUCCUGUAUGUCUAUCAGACUACACAUGUACAUAUCAAUAACGAAAGUAGCUCAUCACUUCACUCAUGCUAAUUUUCGUAAAACUAGGGAAGCUAUAUAAAGCUGUAUGUGGUGUAUGAAAGAAAGCUAUGUAACUAAUGUUAACAGUUCAAACCCCAGUCAUAAGGCUGAUAUAUCACCUUCAGCUGAGAGGUCGCAAGCAACUCCAGUAAAGCUUCUGAAAUAGCUGGUUCCAAGUAGUUUGAUGAGUGCUUCAGCACCUCCAUUUCAUUCUUACCGAAAUCUAUGCUAAACCUGAGCAUCAAGAAGUACCAUUACAUGAGAUGAGUAAUUAUAAAACAUUUACAGAAUGUCACUCAAAUAAAAGUAAUAUUUUGGAUUGGACUCCUGCUAGAGAAACUAACUGAUCAUUAGACCCCCAUUUAAACCAUGCAUGUAUAUUCAUCUUCUUAUAUCAGAAAAGUACACACAGUAAGUGCUCAGGAACUUACCAUUUAAGAAUCUUAGUAGCUGAUGCAACCUUGGUAUCAAAAUCAAUAAUAAGACCUCCAUUUCUUAAGAAACCACGAGCAGCUUCCAUUAAUUCUUUGUCAAUGUCCCCUGGAGAAUAACAUUGGAGGACAGGGCCAGAUCGAGUACCAAAAACCAGCGCAAAAUGAAUAAGAGGCUCUGGGUAAGGAAGAGCCAUCUGAUACAGAUGGAGGAAAGAAAUGAGCAAGAGGAAUUGACAACAUUAAGUGACAAGACUUGUCUAGUAGUAAAGUAAAAUCUUGAAUUCAACAAACUAAGGUGUAGUUCAAACUCUCAUUCUCAAAAUAAAUAAAACCCCCAAAAAUAGGCCAAGACACAGAAGUAUUGUUCUUCCAUGUAGAUUACAUACAAGUAACUAAUGCAAAACUUGUCAGGUAACAACUUCCAAGAAAAACAGCCCCAGUGCAACAAGUAUAAAUUCAAACCAAAUACUGAAAAGCAUUUGUACGAUAUUACCAUGGCACGCUUAUCUUUUGGAUUAAACGGCUUCAUGAGAUUAUACGGUGGUCGCUGAUUUCCCCGUAAAAUACCAUUUUGGAUAUCUGAAAGUGAAUAUGCAGACCCACCAAUAACAUAUUUGAAGUCUCCAAACAACUUCCUUCGUUCUAUUGCUCCAUCUGGAUGACCCCAUACCAGUAUUGCAUGGAUGGCCAUCAUAUUGUAAAGAUUUAUAAAGAAAGCAAGUUUAUCCUCCCUCCGCAUAUCCUGCAUUUCAACUCUGUGGAGCUCCUCUACUGUUCUCAGAUACCUAAAAAAAUAUUACCAUUAACACAACCUUAUAUAGGGAAAAAAAAAAAAAACAGAGGUUACAUAAUCUACAGUUCUCUACACAUUUAAUUGGUGAAAAAUAAAAUGGAGAAAAAGAAAAGAAAAGAAGAACCUUGCGAAUUCCUCACUUCCAUGGAUACUUCUGUAAUCAAUAUGUUUUCCAUCUUCUGACACAUAGGCUUCCAAGAUGGCACACAUUACAAAUCUCAACCUUGAUUCAAUUUGUAUGAUGGGCUUUGGCUUCACAUCAAUUAUACCCUUUGGGAUGUUCUGACAUUGAGAUACAACUGGAUCAUCAUCCAGGAACCGAUACAAGUGGCUUCCAUCCUCAAAUAAAUUUUCCCUAGAGCAAAGAAAAAGCAUCAUUGAACAAAUAUACACUGUUAAUAGUGGAAACCAUUUAUUUUCUGCAGAUUGGUUUCACACAAAAAGGAAAUACUAAAUACAUUUGCCUGUGUUUCAGACAUUUGAUUUUUAUAAAGAAAAAACGGAUGGGUCCAAACACUAACAGUAGCUUUUUAAAAGAAAAAAGAAAUCAUGGAGCUCAGAGCUUAUUUCCCAAACUUUCCUAUUGUAAAUCAACCAGGUAGAAGUGUUAAAUUAUUUUUAAUACUUUCUAGCACAACAAGAUAAAACUAAUUUCAUGUAAAAGCUUUCUAACAAUGAUAUGAAGUGGAAAGAGAGACAGUUAAAGGAAUAUCUCAAGGGACUCACUCAAGAACAUGUUGAAAGAAGAGUUUGCUUGCAAGCUUCCUACCAAAUUCGAUAGCCUGUCUCACAACACAAACCAAGAACAAGAGUGAGACUUGAUAAGACUAUGACUUAACAAUACAUGUAUAUACUAUGAGUAGAUUGCAAAGUAAAGGGGGUGAAAUCGGCAUCCCCAUCACCAAAGGACGGGGUGAGAUUGACACCCCUUUUUACAAACCAUACCCCCAUGCACAUUUCAUUGGUCAUUGACUGCAUGAUAAGGCUCAAACAGACUACAUUUGCUUGUAUUUGCACAACAGAUAUAAUAGUAUAACACUGCUUGCAAUAUCUAUCCUAAGAACUCUUAAGAAAGAGGAUAAAAUCUAAUUCAAACUCGUCACCAUCGUUGUCAUAAGAUUAAGAGUAGUUAUGUAUGGUAGCUCUGAGCAAAAAUUGCAACUUACCAUAAGGUAUAGUUGCAUGCAGAAUGUUGUAACUUGUAAGACAUCAUCCAUCUCAUUCAUAUCACUUCUUAAUGUUACUAUGAGACUUCAGACAUAUGGUCUUAAAUUUAACUGAAUGUACCAUAGUUUACUAAGCAACUUAGGAGGUUAACUUUGAGAUAUCAAUAUUCAUGAAUCAGACAGUCUGACAGUGAUUCCUAGACACCUAAUGGCUAAACCGUGCUGUAAUCUAUCCCAAAAAACGUGUUCUGCUUACUAAUCACUAAGAGCCACUCAGAUAUGAAUGAGAACUAUUCUGCUACAGAUAACAAUCAUCACAUUUUUCCAGUAUUAUUGUAUUAGAAAACUUUUACUUAUCUAGUUGAAUAGCGUAUCAAGGAAUUUGAGUUGACAGUUCAACACAGAAUAAAAACACGAUGUUCUAAAACCAUUUACUACUUGCCUCAUACUGAACUCAAUUCAAAUGAUCUUUUCCCCCCAGAAUAAAAUAAAUUAAAAAAUUAAAUAAAUUGGCAUGAAUCCUCAUAAAACACACUGAGUCUUCAAUAUAAACUCUCCUCCGAUACUCAAACAAAUUGACCAAACGAAUAUCAUACUUGGUUAUACUUGUACUUGAUACCUAGAAAAUGUAAUGAGUAAGAAAACAUCAUAUGUAGAAACUGAUUUUGAAAUUGUGGUAAAUCCAAGAUACUCAACUCUGGUGCAUAUGAAAAAGAAAACAAAAGUAUGUUUUACAAUCACCAAGUUGAAGAAAAUCAUGCUAGUUAAUUCCUUAGAAAAAGAAAAAGAAUCAGGCCAAUUUGACCACUAAAAUAUAAAAGAUAAAAAAUCCCACUAACCUCUUCCCUUUCUAGAUACUGAUCCUCUGACAAGAAAUCCACUGCUUCUGAACCUGAAAAACUCUUUGUGAACCUGCGCAUUUUGUAAAACCGGUCCUUCACAACAACAAAUUCUUUCAUUUUCCGGACAAUAAGAGCCAGUUCAUCAAUAGCUCCACUAUUGGAAACAUCAUCUUCACCUGAAAGAGGUGGCAAAGGAGCUUCAAAUGAUGGUGCUUCACUAACCAGAUAAUCAAUCUUCUCAUCAAGCUUGCCAGAGUCUUCCAGGCCCUUUAGUUCACUCAAACCUCCAAUAAGGACUUCAUUGAAGAACACCUUUGGAACAGUAGAAGACCCAGAAAAUUUCUCUAACUCCUGCUUUCUACUAGGGUACACAUCAAUAUUGAUCUCCGUAUAUCUGAGCUUCUUCCAAUACAAAAAUAACCUGGCAUCUUUGCAGUCCUGGCACCCUAACCUUGUGUACAAUAUUAUUCUCCCUUUCAUGGCUAUAGGAUGUUCUGGUUCAUCAUUUGCAUCCUCAGCUUUAUUCCUUCCAUCAACAUCUGGGUACAUUUUAAUAAAGCUAAGGGGAUUCCAUGCAGGUCUUUCCAAUGUUUUCUGAGAGGCAUCUCCAACUUCACUGUCCUUAAUGGAAUCUGAAAAAUUCUUAUCUGCAUCAUCAGCAACAUCCGGUCCACCUUUGUUUCUGUUUCCAGAAAAGCGACAGAGGAAACUGGUGACUGCAACUACACUCUUAACCUUAAUAAAGUUCUUAAGUGCUACUGCCUUUUCAACUACUCCAGGGGUUUCCAUAUCAGGAUCCAGAGAAUGGAUGGACAUGCUUGUGUAAGCUUCCAUCCCUGAAACUUCUGUUCCAUCAACCGGCUCAAGCUCCUUCUCCACGCCAAAAACUUUUUCUGUCUCCUCUUGAGCUUUAGAUUGCAAAUAUUUACCAUCAUUGUCUAGAUUUUCUUCUUUAGCAUUUGACUCCACCUUAUCAUCAGGGUUCUUUUGUCCCUUCUUCGAGUCCAACUCUCUUUCUUCACUCUUAUACUUGGAGCCCCUGCUGUCAUUGCUCUUCUCACCCAGGUCUCUGUGAUUUUGAUCAUUUUGUAACUUGUCUGCCAGAUCAUAGUCUAGAUUUUCUUCUUUAGCAUUUGACUCCAACUUAUCAUCAGGGUUCUUUUGUCCCUUUUUCGAGUCCAACUCUAUUUCUUCACUCUUAUACUUGGAGCCGCUGCUGUCAUUGCUCUUCUCACCCAUGUCUCUGUGACUUUGAUCAUUUUCUAACCUGUCUCCUUGAUCACUGUCUAGAUUUUCUUCGUUAGCAUUUGACUCCACCUUAUCAGCAGUAUUCUUUUGUCCCUUUUCCGAGUCCAACUCUCUUUCUUGAGUCUUAUACUUGGAAUCCCUGCUGUUAUAGUUCUGCCCACCCAUAUCAAUGUGACCUUGAUGAGUGCCUAACUUGUCUCCCUGAUCUUUGCAGUUCAAAUUCCCACUCAUGUCCAUCUUGUCAGCCAAUUUAUCUUCUCCAUGAUUAUAGUCUAACGUGGGACCACCACUGCAGAUACUCAGAGAUUUCGUAUCCUUUGAUGGUACUCCCUGCUCUUCUUUCUGAAUAGCAAGUGAAUCUCUGUCCACCUUUUCAGCAGACAGUGAACUUGUGAUAUUUUCCUCAGUUGAACCCUCCUUCUCUAUGAGGCCAGCGAGGUUAUAUUUCAACGACUAGGCUCAUCAAACACUGCUGCCUCUGCUUUAAAUGUUGAAUAACUUUAUGAAAAAUCCUGCAUAUUUUUAAAAGUUAACAAUGUCAUGCUCGAAGGAAUUCAAGUGUCGGAAUUCUAAUGAUAACAGAUAUUGUCAACUGCUAAUUCAUAGAAACUAUCUGCAACACCAUAGCAUAAAAAGAAUAUCUACAACAAGUCUAGCAACACUGUCAUUUGGUAAUACAAUUAAAGCUUAGACAGUCGUGAGCAAAUUGUCAAAAUGUCAGUAAAGAAAAACUUUCCGCACAGGUCCUGGUUUCCAAGCUUCAACCACCAAUCCAUCCGCAAUACCACUAAAUUCUUCGUCCAACUCUUAUCAGUUACAGCAUAGUAACAUCUAACUAAAGUUCUAACCUUCACAUCAAAACCUGGUUAUGUAUAUAUUACCCCUUGUCUAUGCCACGUAAACCUCACUGGUGUAAACAAGAACACACCUCACAAACAAGCUCGUUUUAAAACCAAAUAGAGCUACCAAACUCAAAGAAUGAAAGAACGCCUACCUAUUCAGGUUAGAUUUAUUUUCUCAUUCGUCAAAAAUAGUGUUCUUCACAAAUUAUGUUGCUUAAACCUCACCUAACUCUCACCGGUGCAACCAAACAACAACUCCAUUUCAACAAGUUACAGUCUUAUAACCAGUCAUUUCAACAUUCUUAUCCCAAAAACUUCCCCAACAUUCAGCUCAACCGAAAUCACGAAACGAAGGUCUAAACAAUACUACAAUAUUAAUGAAACAAAGGUCUAAACAAUGCUCUUUCAACCUUCAACAUUUCCAAUAAACUAGCAACAAGGCAAAGGUUGAAAUUUUCAACAUUUUGACCAAACCACAGUAAAAGCAUAACUGAAUAUAUCAAAGAAAAUCAAUCGCAAACCCAAUAUUAACCGUUUGAUUACAGGAAUCAAGUGAAAAAUUCACAGAUGCUAACAGAGAGCAAACCUGACGGAUCUGAAACGGCGGCGUUUUGGUCCGGAGAGAAGAAGCCGCCGCGCGAGAGAGAGAGAGAGAGAGAGAGAGAGAGAGAGAGAGAGAGAGAGAGAGAGAGAGAGAAGGAGAGAGAGAAGGAGUGACGGAGGAAGAUCGGAAAGGGAAUUUUAGGGCGUGAGAUGUGUGAAAUGGAAAUUGGGAAAUUUAGGGCAAAAGAAAAGAUUGAAAUGAAAACGACAUGGAUUUUCAGAGGGAAGAGAGGGGCGCAUGAAGCGGGAAGUCCGUGGUUUUGGGUUUUUGCCUUUUGUAGUGUCAAUGGUUUUUUUUUUUCUUUUUUGACCAACUCUCAUUUAUAUUUCAAUAAUAAAUACACAAGGAAUUUGGAGAAGAUGUAAUGCCAUAUAGCCUCCAAUCGAAAAAUCUUUCUUCUUUUAACAAGAUUUGCAUUUGAAGUAAGAAAACUCUUCCUUUUCUACAAGAUUUUUCAAAGUGUAAAAUUGGUGAUGUUGUUGUGACAUCUCUAGCUAAUUGUGAUUAAAAAUAGAUAACGACCUCCUUACACACAAAACUAGACUGGCCUUUUUCUAGAAGAAAAUAGAUAAUGAUGGUGGUUGUUUUCUGAAGAAGAAAUGAAAACGGAAACAGAAAUGGAGGUGUCACGGACUCACGGUUUUCAGGUCGAACGGGAUCAAGGGAAUGAGACUAAUAGGUUGGCUUUCUAUUUCGUUCUUUAGAAAUAGAUAUUUCCCUCAGUGAUGAAGUUAUAUUGCCUGAAUAUGCACAGAGUGGAAAGUUCUACGGUACAUCUUCCUGCCUCUUAUAAAGUACACUGUUUCACAUUAGCUACACUAACAGUAUUCACUAGUAGCACAGCCUAUAGAGUCUACCAUGCUAAUUGUUCUCAUCCAGUGUUGUGUGUUUCCCAACUCAGUAACUCAGUAAAGCUGAAGGCUCCAACUCAUCCUAAAUAUAACGAAAGAGCAGGCGCUAUCAGAGAGGAGUUCGUGGCAAUCCAAUCUUGACGACUGGGUUUCUCCCAUUACUUCAUUGUAACAUUUCUUUCCUCGUUCAGUUGAUAGGUAUGCUGCUUAUAGUGGAUAAAUAUGUAAUCAAGGCAGUUUAAUCUGAAUUUUGUAAUCAGGAAAAAGAUAACCUGGACCGCAGGCUACACUCAAAUGAAGGAUCCAUAUCCCACUCAAGAUCUCCACAUGCAGUGAGCACCGUAGCAACAAUGUAAUCAUCCAGCUCAAAACCCUCUGCUUGCAUUCGAUACAUGAGCUUCAAGGCCUCUUGACAGUGACCAUUCCUUGCAUAACCCACUAUCAUAGCCUUCCACGAGACCAGAUUCCGUUCCGGCAUGCUGUCAAAAACUUGAGAGGCCUCCGUUACAUAGCCACAUUUUGCGUACAUGUAAAUCAAAGCGCUCCCCACAUACACAUUGGACAUGGCCGGACUUUUAUUUGCAGAGGAGUGAACCAAUUGACCAUGCAGAACAGUUUCCAAGUUAGCGCAUGCUUUCAGAGCAGAUGAAUAAGUAAAUGCAUUGGGUUCCACCCCGUCCUCCAUCAUUUCUUUCAAUAACUCAAUAGCUUCAGACUCAUGUCCAAGAUGUGCACAACCCGAAAUGAUGGCAGUCCACGAGACAACAUCCCUAAGAGGCAUUUGCUGGAGGACCUUUGUGGCAGUAGAGUACUCACCGCACUUGCAGUAGAACCAGACUAGAGUACUUCCUAGAUAUAAGUUUGUUUCAACUGAGUUCUUGAUUAUAUGUGCGUGAACUUCCCUACCUAUCGGUGAACACCUAAUCAAUCCACAAGCUCUGAGGAUGCUUACAAUAGUCAAGUUGUUGACAUGUAUAUUGCGCCUCUUCAUCAGCCGAAAGAGGCAUAUGGCUUCCUCGCUGAGACCCUUCCUCGCAUACCCUGCUAUAAUAGAUGUCCAUGUAACUGUGUUUCUGUUCCUCAUUCCAUCAAACACGUAUCUCGAGUCUUCAAUCUCCCCGCACUUUGCAUACAUAUCCACAAGAGCAGUGGCUACAAAAAUAUCACUCUUGUAAAUCUUCUUGACUAUGGCACCAUGUAACUGUCUCCCAAACCUUAACUCCUUCUCUUCACCACAAGCCUUGAGCACACCGCACACAGUAAACUCAUUCGGAGAAAACCCGUCACUCAACAUCUGUGCGAACAGCGAGAAAGCCUCCAUCCCACGCCCUUGUUGAGAACAAGCAGUUAUCAUAGUUGUCCAACAAAUGACAUCCAAUUUGGGCAUCUGAUCAAACGCGCGGAAAGCACUUGAAAACUCUCCACAUUGCGCAUACAACUUAACAAUAGUGCUGUCAACAAUCAUGUUACUCCACCCACCUUUCACAACCCCGGCAUGGACUUGCCUCCCCAGCUCAUAAUCCAACCUUUUACAACACAAAUUCAAGACGCACACAAACAUAUUCCCAUUCGGUUGAAUCCCCUCGUCAACAGCCUCACUAAACAACCCCAAAGCUUCAUCAUCCAACCCAAAGUUCAAGUACCCAUUAACAAUAGCAGUCCAAGAAACCACAUUUCUCACGGCCAUUUCAUCAAACACUUUGCGUGCAUUCACUAACUCCCCAAAACCCAGAUACGCACACAUCAAAUUAUUAUAAACAUACGUAACAGGAUUACAUAUACACCUCAAUAUAAGCGCAUGAACUCUUCUCACUUCCUUUAGACUACGACAUGACCGAAGCCAAAGCGCAAGUAGAUAGGGCCUUAAGCUCUGGGUCAGCGUCUGUGUAUUGGAGAAUUCGGCUUCUGGGUUUUCCGGGGUGCUCAAAUCUUGAACAGUGUAUGCAGAAGAUGGGGUUUCAGAGUAAGAAGAACGGAAAUUAGUGUGGGGUUUGGGGUUUAUGGUUCUUGAAUUUGAAUGCUUUAUUGGUUUUGGUGGUUGAAAAGAGAAGAGAGAAGGUGUUUGAUGGAGAUUGAGGCUAAUAUGUGGUGGCGGAAAAGUUGGCGAAAGCAUUGCCUACUAUUUAGGGGGUUUGAAAAUGGCGCGAAACGAAGGGUGAAGGAAAUCUGAGCUUGAGAUAGGUGAACUCCGGCGAGCAUUAACUUCAGCUCAUUACCAAAAUGGGUCAAGUCAGAGAGUAGCACCUUCCAAAAAUAUCGUGUCUGAAAACGGAAGUUUGUAUUUGAAUGCUUAUGAAAAUAUCUACAUCGCCUCGUACAAGGUUCCACAUUUUACAAAAAUGAAACACAUUCAAAUACUACCAUACAGAAAGUAUGAGAUCUUCAAUAUACGACGCAUGGUAUUGGUAUGUAUGCAUUUUUGACGACAUAACUCUACCUCAAGGUGCUUGUUGAAUCCAUCUCCUUUUCUCACCAACUAUGGUAACUUCUUAAGGCAUGUCUGACAACCCUACCUAAAACUCAUACUCAAACUCAUUUUUUAACUCACGUAAAUCUAUUACUAUUCAAACUCAUAUUUCAUCUCCAACCAUUAUAUAAAAACUCAUACUUAUACCCAAAUUUAAGUCAUUUUAUUUAAUUAUUUACUGUUGGAAGCCAAUAAAUAUAACACAUAGUGGGAGGACCCACUUGCUCAUCCUAUCAACUAAAUGUAGAGCGCGUCAGCUACAAUCAUCCAAUUUUUUUCAUUUUUUUAGUGCAUGUAUAAUGCACUUCCUCACUUUGCGCGUCUAUGUCCUAGCCUUCUCCUUUCUUCACAUGUCUCUCUCUUCUCAUGGGCCCCGUGCCAAUGAAAUGGGUUUCCUUCCACGGAGUCGACCCAAAAUAGGUCACUUGGUUAGUAGGAACCCAUUUAUGGGUUUGAGUUUUAAUGGUUAGAGAAGAAAUAUUUUGGGUAUUAAGUUUGGGUAUGGGUUUUGUGACCCUUGUUGGAGAUGCCCAUACACAUAAUCAUUUUCCUCAAUAUCCAAAAGAUGAGGAGAAUUAGCCGCCAUAAAAAUCUCUAAAAUAUGAGUGUUUUAGACUUUCAAUAACUAAACAAAAUAUAUACCAGUGGUAGUUAGGCUGGUUUCGUCAUUAGAGAUUCUGCUGGAAAGCCUCUUAUUGUUGGUGCACGUCAGCUUCCUCAUUUUGGCGUCCCAAUUGCGGAGUGUAAUGCCUUAAAAGAAGGCCUCUUGGUUGCUAAACAGUUCAAUUACAAGUAUGUCAUUGUUGAAGGAGACUCUCUCUUGGUUAUAAACUACAUCAACAAGGUUUGGGAGCCUUUCUAGCAUCUCAAGUCACUUAUUAAAGAUAUCUCCCUCAUUGCUGAUGGCUUGGAUAACAUAGUUUUCUCUCACACAUUUCGGGAAGCCAAUUUCUUGGCAGACGCUUUAGCUGGGAUUGGUCAUAAUCUUAGUUCUCCAAAGAUUUGGCUUGGGGUUAUUCAUCCUCAACUUUCGCAUGAUUUUCAAUUUGAUUGUUGUAACUUUGGUUGCCUUAAAGGAAACUCGUUGUAACUCUAUUUUUCGUAUUAAAAAAAAAGUGGUAGUUGGGCUGUUAAAAUAGACAUUACCUAUACAAGUUAACAUCUUCUUCCCUACACAAAGAGAAAGUGGUUCAAAUAGUGUUUCAAAUAGUGUAUGACCUUUUAGAGAGGCUAACUUUUGAUAUCUCAUAUUUCAAAAACUUUAAAACGGUAUCCCACGUCCUUACCCCGGUGGAAGAAUGAUAUAUGGAAUCGUUAACUUCGUUAAGGAGAUUGACGACAUGUAUAUGUUUAUCAUGAAAUGAUCGCCCUUCAUUCCUAUUUUUAUCCAUAAUUCUACUUAACAGAGCUAAUGGUUUCAUAUAUCAUUUUUCGGUCGGGUAAGAAUAUAGGAUAUCAUUUUGAGUUUUGAAAGUUGAGAUACUAAAAGUUAGCUUCCUAUAUAAAUGUAACUUCUUCUUUUGUACAUAAAUUAUAAAAAAAAACUUCAAUACACGAAGCAUGGAAUGCAUACAUUUUUGGCGUAAUAAUUCAACCUUGAGGACGUGAGUUGCCGAAUCCAUCUCAUUUCAAACAAAAAUGAUAACUUCUUUCACAUCAUCAAUUUCUUUAGUAUCCAUAACUACCUGGUGUAACUUUUUUUUUUAAAGCAGGUCAAAAGUUGGGCCUCUUCAUCCUAGACCUGAGUUUGCGAAAGAAAAUACCCUUUAAUUCGUGCCACAUCACUCUUUUUGAAAAUUGGCUCCAAACUACUUCUUAUUCCUCUCUCUCUCUCUCUGACGCUGAAACUUUCUUUCUGCGUUCUGCAACCUUAAACUUUAUGGGUUUUCCAUUCAUCAUUCUUAAAGAUUACCCUUCCUCGAAGAUUACCCUCUUCCAAACCCAUUAUCAACCUUACCCUACCCUUGUUUUCUUUUCUGGGUUUCUUGAGGCCAUCCAUCAAGAACCAAUCUUUUGGCGUUUUUGCAUUGUAAGUUUUUACAAGAUGAGUGAUUUCUUGCCUUCUUCUUCAUAGGCUCCAGAUGAUGUCCGCCUUCAGAUUGUUGCUCUACUCCCUUCAGCGUUUUUAGAUGAUGUCAACAGUCGAAUUCUUAAUCGAAUUCCUAUGCCUACGCUGGUUGAGCUACAACUAGUUUCAAUUUGGUCACUUCACGAUAGGGAAAGGAGGGAAAGGCAUGAGGACAUGCUCCUUAUUUCUAAUCAGAAGCAUCGUGUCUCUGUCAUCUACUGAGAUCGACUGCUAAAAAUGAACCACAAAGGUAAUGUCAGGCCACGCCUCAUAAGAUAGAUGCAAGAGAACAGACAAGACAGACAUCAUCCGCUUGAUUUCUUGCUACUGCAUAAUCAAUCUAAGCCCCUCUUUUUGGAUUCCAAGUAUAAGUUUUCAGCUUUUGCAUGUUUCAAACUUGAAAUCCAAAAUCUUAAUAUCAUUGUUUGUUUAGUUUUGAUUGGUGGAUUGCUGGGUUUGGGUUUCAAGUUCACAGUUGUUUUGCAGGGUGGACUUUUUGAAUCUUUUUGUACAGUGGCUUAGUAUUUGAUAAAAGAAAAAAAAAUUAAACAACAAAAUUAGAGAAGAGAUUUAACAAAGUUCGUCCUGCGACUAACUUCUUCCUUUCUAGACAUACGCAUAUGUCCAGAUGAUCUCUGAUCAUGCCAAUCAUAGCUGGGAUAUAUAUGUAUAUACCCUGCAAACAUAACAACAUACUAUUAGCUCCACAUAAGUAUCUUACUCUCGUUUAGCCAUUUUUCAAGCAUGUUUCUUUAAGUUUUUUGUAAAUUAACCUUACAUGAAAGACCGAAUCUCAAUCUUAAACAUGUUAAUCUUUCUUAUAUGAUUUGAUUUAAUCUUUCGUGAACCUUACAAGAAAGACUGAAUCUCAACUAUGCAAACAAGAAAAUUCAUGUGUUAUUUCAACUAUGCAAACAAGAAAAUUCAUGUCUUAUUUCAUGGCAGGAUGGUAUUCUUUCUUCAAACUGUCCACGUUUUUGUUGUUACUAACGCUCCUAGGCACAGUCAAGAGAUACAUCAACAAAGUUUAAAGUAGUGCAGACAAUUUUUAAUUUUUAUACCCUUGUUGUCUGGUUGUCCAGUUUUUUGAUAUUUUGUUUUGUUGUCUUAUGUUUAGGUUUUUUUUACCAUUGUUGCAUUAAUCUUAUGUCCGGGUAAAAUCCUUAUUUGAAUUUCAAAUUCACAACUAGGAUAAAGGUCUUGCCUUAGUGCUCAAAUUAAUCUUGGGUUUGAUGCAUUUAUCUCAACCCGUGACUCAUGAUUUAGAGCUAUAAGACUACAGCUGUGUUUGUGAUACCCAAACCAAUUUAGCAGCUGUUUUUGUUUGAUAUCAAAGUUGAAGUGUUUUGCCAAACCAAUGUGGUCUUAUACUUUUGGAAAAAGUUUACAAAACUUUCUUGUCUUUUGCUUUUAAAUCAAACAUUGUGUAGGAAAGUUUGUUUGUCUUUUACUUGGCCUAAGACAGCUACAUAUGUCCUCUCCCUUUUUUAGUUUACCUAAGGACAAAAGUCAAAAACUUUUUACCUUGCUUUGGCCCUCGUGUCUGCCCUCUUAGGGCACCUUAUUAGCUUUUGUGCCUAACUNNNNNNNNNNNNNNNNNNNNAUAUAUAUAUAUAUAUAUAUAUAUAUAUAUAUAUAUAUAUAUAUAUUGAGCAAGACUGUCUUUGCUCAGUAGUUGCCAAAAUGUAGUUUCUACAUUUGCUUUAUUGGGUUUUGGUUUUACUUUGUAUUAUUUUUUAGUCUCUAACUGUUCCUUUUAUGAUUAUAAACCUUAAAGCUGAACAAAAACCCUUUUGCAUUAACUCAUUGCAUUCUGCAUACCAUGAGAUCAGUUGGAUAGCUGAAUACUGAAGCAUCCCGAGGACAAGGAGUGAAAAAUUGAAAAUUUCGCCGAAAUCCCCGAAAUAUCACGAUAAUAUGACAGGCUGAUGGAGACCCACCUUUAAUUUUCCAUCCGCCACGUCAUCAGUGAUUGACUUUGACCCGAAAUUCACCUAAAAAACCCCAACAUUGAGCAGCCAACAGGAUUCGAACCUUGCUUGGCACGUUCCCAGCUUAUUGACUUAGCCAACCCUAAUAUGUUCACAAGUUGUUAAUGUGUGCAUUAUUAUGUUAUAUAAACGUGUUUUUUUACAAUUUAUCUUCACAUUUUCCUUUUCUAUUUUAUUUGUUUCAAUUUUUUUUAUUUUAAAUUCAAUAUAUCGUUUAUUGUAGUUAAUCAGAUUUGUAAAUACACACACACUAAUUCACCUUAGUAUUAUGUAAUAUACUUGCUUAUAGAGUAAAUAAUUGAUCAAAUAAACAUACCAUAAAGUUUUACAUGGGAGUAUGUUUUUAUGCAAAUUUCAAUAGUUUCCAUCGAAUUUUCGUCCAUAUCGAUACUUUCCGAAAUUUCCUUCGAAAUUUCCAUUUUUCAAAUGGUCGAUAUAUCCAUAAUCACCGAUAUUUUCUUCCUUGCCUGAGGAUAGCUGAGUUCUGAAGAAUCAGUUUAGGAUAGCUGAGUUUUUGAUUUGAAACUUCUGAGAAAUGUUGAAGAAGAAUCAGUUAAGUGAUAUCUAAGUUCUGGGUUGGAACUUCUAAAAUCUUCAUGUGUAGCCACUUAAUAAAAGAGAGAAAAUAUAGAUCUAGACUAGCAGGUAGACUAGGCAGGAUAACAAGUCAUUGUUGUAUCCCUAGUAUAAUCUUGUGAGUGAGUCACUUAGAAACAAGAGAGGAAAUAUGGAUCUAGACUAGUAGGUAUACUAGGUAGACUAGGGAUGGCAAUAAUCCCCAGCGGGUAGGGUACCCACGGGUAUUCGACCCUAACGGGGAAGAUAUACGGGUAUAAACGGGUAACGGGGAUGGGGAUCCUUAGUAUUCGGAUUCUUAAAUCGGGUACGGGGCGGGUAUGGUAUUUUGAUAUUCGUCCCCAUCCCCACCCAUUAAGGAUGAAAAUAUUAUUAUAUAUAAUUAUAUAAUUUAUUAUUAUAUAUAUUUAUAUAUAAUUUAUAAAUAAAUAUUUAUGUAAAAAAAUUUGUAAUUCUCUUAAUAAACAUUUAAUGGACCUUCCUUUUAAUUAUAUAUUUUUAUUCUCUUAAUGAAAUUUACCGGUAUUGUUCUGUUUUAACCAAGACUUGUAUUUAUUUUUAUUGGAUUGAAGUAUGAAACUUAUUUAUUUUGGUAUUUGAUUUUAAUUUCAUACUUUUAUAUAAUUGUAUUUCGUAUUUAAAAAAAAAAAAUUUAAUUUAAUACAUAAUUGUUAACGGGUACGGGUACGGGUAUGGAAACGUAAUCCCCAAAGGGUACGGGUACGGGGAAUCUCCAUUAUCUAAUUACGGGUACGGGGACGGGUAUGGGGAUGAAAAAUGUAAAAAGGUAUGGGUACGGUAUUUUGAUCCCCGUACCCUACCCUACCCAUUGCCAUCCCUAAGGUAGACUAUAAUCUUGUAAGAUAUGAGUUUUACAUAGUGGAUGUAACGUCCCGGACCUUAAUUGACGCGUUUACUGUCAGUUGGACCGUAAAUGACUUCACCAUUUUUGAACUAUUUGAGGCUCCAAAAGUUGACGUUUUUCCUUUAUGAAAGUUGCAGAGAACGUUAAUUCGAGUUCGUAAACGCUCCAAAAGUUGACUUUUUUUUUUCCGUUUGAAAUUUGAGAAAACUUCCUUUAUGAAAGUUGUAGAGGACGUUAAACCGAGUUCGUAGAUAGGUGGCACGUCGAAAACAGAGUUCGUAUGAAGAAGUUACGGUCUAAAAACCAAAGUUACUAUUUCAGGAAUAUGGGUAUUACAAAGGGGCUAAGGGUGGAAAGUCAAAAGUGAAAAUCAGAAAUUUCACUUCCACCCCUCUCUGCCCGACCUAGACGUCUUCUCCACCUCCAUGCGUUGCCGUCCGGUGGACUUAGGCUACAAACUUGGUGUCGAUAGGAAGCUCUCCUCCUCCCCAACCGAUCUGGGUUGGUUACUAGUCAUGCCUCACCACCGUGUAGAAGAAAUUCCGUCAAGAAGCCGCGUCUCUCCUUUCACCGGAAAUCUCUCCUCCGGCCACCAUAGCCGGAGUUUCUUAUCCCGUUUGGAAGGUCUCAUCCUAGGUAGCAAACCCUCAAAAGGAUUCGACCUAUUUCGAUCUAGGUAAGGAGAUUUGAAGUUUUGAAAUUCUAGGGUUUUGAAUUUGGGAUUUUUAUGUUUUAGUUACAUUUGCAUGUUUGGACUUGAAGUUGAUCAUUGUGGUAGUUAUAAAAGUUUUUUAGAAUGUUGAGAGGAUGAUUGUGCUAAACUUUGGUAAGUAUUGGAGGUGGUCGGAGUAGUGGCUGGUCAGCCGCCGCUGUCGGUGGAGCAUACAGCGGCGGCACCUCUUUUGGGUGGAUUUUAAGCUGAUUAGGUAGAGUAUGAUGAGAGGAGUCCAUUGAUGUUAUGUUUGUGAAUUUGGGUUGAAGUUGGUUGAAGUUUGGAAAUUUUUAAGUUGGUUUUGGCGGUAGGUAAUUUACGAAGAUGAAACUGUUGGAUUUCCUUUGUAUCUAUUCUAGAAUGUUAGAAUUGAUGAAUUAAGGUUGUGGUGGAGUUUGGUGUGAAUCCGGUAAGCUUGACCCUCGUAAGGGUAGUGGGUUAAGCGGAAGAGAUUUGGGUGUUUAUAUUUAAGUAUUUAUUUUCCGGAAUUGAAGUUUGGUCUCAAGCGUGGUUAUUGUGCCAGGAUACGAGCAGGCCUCACUUGAGUGGCGAUUCGGAUUUCGUCGGGCUUAUGCCUAAAUUUGUGAGUGGACACUUUGUUUUUAAAGGAAUAUGCAUGCAUGAUUUAUUUUGAAAAUUAUCUUUCUAUUUUCCGAGCUUAUAUUAUAAUUUUGGUUUAUAAUAUGGUUUUGAGAUUUAUUUGAGUUUGAGGCAUUGAUUAAGUGAUGGUCAUGAUUUAUGGAUUUGAGCUCAGAUUAUUAAUUUGGUAUUUGAGUUUUGAUAUUCUUUUAUGAUUUCUGGAUUUAAUUAUUAUCGUUUUUAUUUGUUGACUUUGAUAUUUAUAAAAGAUUACCGAAAAUUUUCGGUAGCUCUCUAUUUAUAAUUUUCUCAUUUAUUUGUGGAUUAUCGAUCUUGACAUUGAGAAUGUUUUAGUGAGUAUUUAGGGUUGAGAUAUUAUUUACAAUUUAUACUUGAUAAUUAAAUCUCGUUUAUGAUUAUGGAUUUGAGAAUAUUUUGACGUGUGAGACACGUCAUUGAGUUUUAUUUUAAUUUUUUAUGAUAAUUUCCAAGUACGGUUGGGAACCGUACCAUUCACAUGAUCUUGGAAAAGUUUUAUGGAUUUAAGUGAUUUCGUAUGUUUUUAGUCACCAUACUAUAAGGUCGCUCUUAUUCAUUACUACCUAGCCUUUAUUAGCGGUCCUUACCAUAGGUGAGUCGAACGCUUAACAUGGGACGCUACUAGAGCCUGGGAGGCUCCGACCCGAGCAUGGGAGGCUCCUCUUACAUGGUGAUAUCUCUUCCCUUUGUUUUAUUUUUCUUAGUAUGUAUUUGAUUAACCAGUUAACCAGCGGGCCUGGUUUAUCUCUUCUUAUGAGAUUUCUGUAUUUGAUUAACCAGCGGGGCUAGUUUGUCCAUUUUACAUGAUUUUGGAUUUAAAGUUUUAAGAAUGAUCAAAAUUGCGUACAGCUAAGUUAUUAAAGUUUAAAUGUGGGAAAGUAAAUUACGUUUUUAUAAAUUAUUUAAUUUAUUUUUAUCCACUCACUCUAACAUUUUAAAUUACUUUCCCCUUGGCCAUUCGGUUUCAAAUGCCCAAUUUGCAGGCUAAGUUUAUUUGAGGUCGAGCAUACAUGGAGUCGAGACACAGUCAGAGGCUGCUUCCGCUUAUUUUUUAUUCAUUGUUUUUCUUUCAUUAUAGAUAUGCUCUGAUAAUCCAGUGAGUAAAUUAUUAAAUGUCUUUAUUGUUGGUUGUAGGAUUUUUUUAGAUGAGUAAUUGAUAUUUUGGGAGAUGUGAUAAACUUGGGGAGCAAGAAGGCUCCAGGAGUACAAGGUUGGAGUAUGAUUAUAGAAGUGUAUGUUUGGAUUUGACAGGUAGGAUUGUCUAUUUUCAAGGGAUUUCAGGGUGAAAUCCGGGGUGGGUAUUGACAGUGGAAAUGAGUUAGGGACACAAAGUUUUUCUCCCUGGUUUGCAGGGUUUCUGCAAGUGAAAAACAUCAUGAUAUUCAUUGUUAUUUUACUGCAACUUUCAUUUAUUAAUAUCGUGCAUUUGUUAUUCAAGAUAACUUUAACCUCUGUCUCGAGAACGCAGUUAUAUGAAAAAGUUGUUAAACAUCUAUUCAUCCCUCUCUAAGACCUUCAUAUCCAUACCAAUUGUUAUUUCCGGUUGUUUGUGGAGAUGAGAUUUAUGUUUAAUGUCAACGAGUAUUAUAUCAUGACCAAUUAAAGUGGUCAACUUUUGCUGCUAGGGGUUCGAGACCUCUAAGGGCUGAUUCUCUAAGGCCCUAUUUGGUUGGCAGGAAACCAUGGUAUAAGAAGAGAAUUAAUUUGGUUUUCCACUCCAAAUGGUUGAUUUUUUUGAACUCAAGACAAUUUUGUCAUUUAGUACUAAAGUAGAAGGUACAAUACGAAUCGAUCUAUUGCCAUGCGUACAAAGGACAAGCAAGAUCAUCUAAGUCGUAUGAGGGUUGCAUCCUCCUUACAAAUUUCGGCUCACAAAGAACCUAUAAUCUAAUAGAAAUAGAUCAUAGGCAAAUAAACUAACAAACUAAAGCUAGCAAAAAAUGAAGCUCUCCCAUGUGAAAAGCAUAGACCAAGAGCAAUUGUUCCGCAAUAAAACAAAAAACAAAACUAAAAAUGCAGAAAGGGAAAUAGAAAAAAAAAAAAAAGGGACUUCGAUCUAAGAACCUCCUUGCCCUUCAAGUUAGCUAGGGCUUCGAGGAAGGAGUCUGAUCUUCCUGAUUGGCAUCUCUUUUUGGUUCCUGGGGCCGAUAGGAUGUCCCCGCUUCUUCUUUUGACCUUUUGACCUUCAGUUGCAACCGAUGUCAUCUUAACUGGUUCAUGGGUGAUGGCGGGAGGCUAUCUUCCUCUUGCAUCUUCUUCUGACCUGAUCUGUUUCGUGAACCAAUAGGGCAUCUUCUCUUCUUUUUGGGAGAAGCAAAAACACGAUAUGAGAGUUUGAUAACCUUUGAGUUAGCGAAGGCCAAGGAGGCAGCAAAUCCUUGACUAGGGUUUUGAAUACCCAAAGAGGAUGAGGAUGCUAGCAUAUUGGCUCUGCUAGGGUUUUUGCCAAUAGAUGGCAAUGGAGUGAUGGAAACUUGCUCUUCGAUCCUUUCAAAGAGGGUGAGAGAUCAAGAUUUGGGUGCGAAGAGGCCAUGAGAAUGAUUGAGAACAAGGAGAUCCGAUGAAAGACGGAGCUUUUUGGGUUUGGAGGCCGUGCUCUGGGAGAGAGAGAACGGCUUAGGGUUUUAGGGUUUAGGUGUUGUAAAUAUAGAUGCGUAAGAAAAUCUUGAUAAAAUCUUAACAUAGAAAAGCUGUUAAUAUUAAAUGUCAAUAUAUUGUUUUUCCAAAGGGUUGAUUGGUUGUACAUAGAGACAUGAAAAGGAAAAAAAAAAAAAGAUCUCAUUGAAAAUUGACUCCCUCAUAAAAUCUGAAUUCAAUUACUUUGUCAAGGGGUGGUAUUUCAAUUCCAUUCCCACUGUCAAAGCCACAACUACAUAAAUUAUCCUCUAAUAAAUUUUAAUGUUGUACGUAUUUGGAAAUUAUAAAGGGGCAUGAUUGAAAAAUACAACUUUGUAUUUCAUUAUAAUGACUUACCAAACAUUACAAUAGGAAUUAAUAUACUUGAUUCCAUAAUUUAAUUUCCAAUAUGUACCAAACACCAACAUGAAAAUACCAAAAUAUAUUCAAUUCCAUAUCUGUUUGGAAAGGAAAAUAAAUCUAUUUCUCAUUUUUACUUUCUGCUAACCAAACGGGACUGUUACCUGCGUUAUAGAAGCCUUUUAGAGCAACGGCGUUUGUUGCUCCUUGUUAAAGGCUACAUCGUCAUUCAUUUCUUCUUCUUUUUUUGGACCAAGAGAUGGCUCCCCAAGAGAUAACAAACUCUAUCUGAACGACUAGACGUUCAGUACAGCUACACUACUACUGAGAUCAACAGACACUAAGACAUCGGAUUUCCAGAUCAAGUUGGUGUCUUUUACUUUUUCCUACAUUGCUAAUGUAGUGCUGAUACAGAUUUUAGUGCCAACUAUCCACAACAUCGCACUGGGUUAGCAACUUAUAGCACCAAAGUAAUUCCCACAUCGGAAAACAGUAAAUCGUACAGAACACAGUAGCUAAACAUUUCAGAUAUUAACCAGUUCUCAAGGUGUCUUUAAUUAAAGUCGCAUUAACCUCAAAAAGUUAAAUUACACAAAUCCUCUCUGGUGCAACCAGUCUAUUUUCCAGAGAAGCAAACAUCAACUCAUUGGAAGCUUAUUUGGCAGACCCAGUAAACUUGCCUUCUUUCAUGCAUGUGUCCACAAACCCGGAAGGAGGAGAUGCAACAUAGACCAGUCCUGAUGAUGCUCUUAGAGAACAGACUUCCCUGAUGCUCUCACUUCACGAUAGAGAAUCCGUUCCAACCCAACUAAAAGUAAAUCGUCUCUGAUCGAUUUAUACUUGGCAGCAAGAAGCUUGUCCUUGGGGCAUUCAUAGUUUUUGUGCUGUUCAAAACUACGACAAAUGGAACAAUACUUGGCCUUCAGCAGUGGUCUUCUCCCAGGACAAAAGGUACAAACCCACUUCUCCUCAUUAAACAUAUUACCACAGCAACAAACUAUUUCAUAGUUGUCACGGUCAAAAGCUGCACCCUGUGGGAUAUGCUGCAAAUAAGGGCAAUAAGCAGCAGGGUGGUCAAGCUGAUAACAAACUUUGCAAGGCACACUUGGUUGACUUUCUCAUCUGUAAGAACCUUCACCUGUCACUGGUCCUCUGAACAUGGGCAUCACACUAACAGGAGAAUAGGUGGCUGUUUGUUUGCUGUUCACCUUAGAACCCUCAUUGUCAGGCACUACGAACUGGAACAUGUCUCCAUAAUAAUCUUCACUUGAGCUCAAGCCAACAGGAAUAUAGGUGGCUGUUUGUUCGCAGUUCACCUUAGAACCCUGAUUAACGUGAGGCACUAUGAACUGGGACAUGUCUAUGGCCCCCACUGGACCAUAGGUGGCAGUUUGUUCGCAGUUCGAACCCUCAUUGUGAGGCACUAUGAACUGGGACAUGUCUAUGCCCCCCACUGGACCAUAGGUGGCUGUUUGUUUGCAGUUCGAACCCUCAUUGUCAGGCACUAUGAACUGGGACACGACUAUGUAAGAAAGUUCACCCCCCACUGGACUAGAGGUGGCUGUUUGUUUGCUAUUCACCUUCGAAUCCUCAUUGUAAGGCACCAUGAACUCCGACCUGAAUGGGAUGGGGGUAUAGGAACCUGUUUGUUUCAGUUCCAUUGUUAGAUACCCAUAAAAGAUAAGAAAAUAAGAAUCUUAAAUGGUUGUAAAACUUCAUACAACAUUAUACCAGUUAAAUAAGUACUGGGAUAUCACUUUUGAAUCUAGCUUUACCAAACAUUAAAUAAAUUCCGGGAACAAAUCCGAGCAUAGGGGUUUGUAAAAGCCAAUUACACAAACACCAGGUUGUAAUAAAAGCAAUAAAGCACAUAUGAUCCAAAACAACAGUUAAAUUCAAUAGCAGAGAUUUCAACUAUGAUCCACACGGCUGCAGGGAGAAACAAACAAGACAAAUUUCAGCUCUCUCUCAAAUACAAUAUAGCAGCGAUAUUUUCACAAUAAUCAUUAAUCUUAAUUUUAUCAAAAACCACGAAAUAGGAGCAGAGACAAUUCGCAACGAACCGUUGAAAAAUCCCAAAACAUAUACGAGGAAGAAUAUAACUUGUUUCAGAUCACAGAAAAAUUAAACGAAAAAAUUCAUACCGGGAGAAGAGGCGGCGAGAUUCCUAAAGGAGGAGGGUUAGCUUUCCUAACGUUCGAGCGAUUCUAUGAGAGCGUGAAAGAUAGAUACAGAAAAGGUUUCCUACUCCCCCUUUUAUAUCGGAGAUCGCAGUCGGUCGGGUUUGGGUUGGUUUGUUAUUUCAAUUGUGGAUCCAUCUAUUAUAAGCUUAAUGGGUCGUUGGCCCAAGAUAGCCAAAAAAACACUUCUAAAUAUUGUUUUCGGAUCCGUUUCGGUUUCGAAAGAACAAAAAUUCUCGAUGGUUAUUUGUAAUAUCAAUUUCAAUGACUAAUACCAUGUUUUUCUGUUUUAUAAAUUUUGGUAAACUUUGUUUUUUCAUUUUUCUAGUUUAUAAUGUAAAGCCAUAUGUGUCUUAGGUUGAUAGGAUCGUUUAACAAUUAUUAACAUGAACACGUCUUAACAUUUAUACAUAUAUGAACUAGGGUACUGCAUGGGAUUGUGAUCAUACCUUCAUUAUUCAGAUCCAUCUCUUCUAACUGGUCUGUGAGGCACUCAGCAGCAAGGGCGUGCUUGGCUUGGUCAACAACUUUAAUCAUCUCUUCUCUGCUAAGCUUAGACACCAUAUAUGGGAUGACCUUGUGUCUUGUCGUAGAGAGAGCAGGGACCAAAGUACCAUAUUUAUAGACACACCAAAACAUCAAGAGAUCUCCCAUAAAGACACUGCUAGAUGUCCAAGUUAUCUCACAAAAGAUUUCCUAAUGCAUUACCGACACUAAAAACCUGUUGCUUAAUGGAUUCCCUAACACAUAAAGAUAUACUUAAUCCAUAUGUAACAAGGACAAGUAAUAAUACCUUUACUUUUAUGUGCAAGCCUCUGCUGAAAGGACUAAAGAAAAACCCCCUGCUGGGUUUGGGGUCUUUGUUAUAUAGAUGGGUUUGGGGUCUUUGUUUCUGUUUUGGAAUUGAAGUCAUAGUAAGAACAGAUAGCUCAUAGCUGUUAUGGAAUUGUAGGUUUUCACAUACUAGUUAAACCGGUCAGGUUGCGGCGGCUUUCAGUUGUUUCAGCUGUUGUUGGUGAUAAAACUACAGUGCCAAAUGAUUGUACUAGUGAAGAAGAGUUGUCUGUUUCUGAAGCCGUAGGAAAUGGUGAAAAGGGGGAAGAGGAAGGUGGUGUUGGGUCCUUGGAUGACCACAAAAUGACCCGGAUAUGCCAUAAGCUUAUUCAGGUUUUCAUGGUUGACAAGCCAACUGCAACUGACUGGAGAAGAUUAUUAGCUUUUAGUAGGGAAUGGGGUGAUAUCAGGCCUCAUUUCUUUAAGCUUUGUCAGGACCGAGCAGAUGUUGAGGAUUUUCCUGGAAUGAAGCAUAAGAUUCUUCGGCUCGGGCGGAACUUGAAAGAGGUAGGUAUUUCUAAUAUCUUAAGAGUGCAGACCAACCUUUAUUUACACUGUCGUAUUCAUUACCUAGAUAUCUUCUAUUCAGGUAUUUGUGUUUUUACAUGUAAACCAAAGAGUUCAACUUAUAUUGUGUUUAGUGUACAAGUCAGAUCAGCCUGGAUUUAGUUUUAUUUUCCCAUGUGCUUAACUACUGGUUCCUUGAUCAGAUUUAACUCGAGAAAAUAGUAGGCCUUGUUCCUGUUAAGUUAACUUUUUGGGAGUUAAACAACUGAACAGUUGUUUACAAUUUAUGGAUAAAUAAGUGUAAUGAGGAGUGUCUUGAUAUAUGUUUCACUUCACAUCACUAGUUCGAUCAAGGAAAUCAGUGGUUUAUGGUUGUUUUAGGGAUAGUUAUAGGUGUUUGAGUUUGUUCUGAUUUGUGCUUUAAGACUAACAAUGUUUCACUGCUUCUAUUUCACAGAUAGAUGAAGAUGUGCAAAGACACAAUGAACUGCUUAAAGUUGUUAGAGGGGCUCCAUCUGAUAUUAGUGACAUAGUUGCCAGGCGCCGCAAAGAUUUCACAAAAGAAUUUUUUUGCAUCUUCACACAGUUUCUGAGUCCUAUUAUGAGAACUUAGAAGAGCAAAAUGGUGCGUAUGUUUUCACUGCACAAGGGUACGGUAUCACUCACUUAUACAUUUUUACCAAACAUUUUUUGAUGAACAGAUUCAGUGCCUUGCUCUUGAAAAAUGGUUUGAAAUAUUGGAUGGUCAUUAUCAUUUUGAUGCAUGCCUAUGUGAUGGCCAUAAAUAUCAUUUAAUUAAUUUAUUAACACGAUAUGGCCCUCAUCCAAUCCAGUGUAUGUGGUCAACUCCGUCGGCUCAGCUUCUGAUUGAUUUAAUAAGUAGAAGUUGUGCAAGUACAAUGUCAACUUAACCGUUCAUUCAUUGACAUUUUUUUGCUUCGUACAAACAUAUCUAAUUUCAGGCUUUUCUGUUUAAUGCUUACUGUGGUCAUAAAGGUGUUAUUGUAUUAUAUCUAUUUAAUUAGCUUAGUGGUGCUGUUAUAAUAUGGACAUUGACAUCAAAGUAUUAUCUAGGCACCUGGCUCAUGCUAACUUUUCUAAAAAGUAGUCAUAAUAUGGACAUUGACAUCAAACAGUUCUAAAAAGUAGUUUUUAUGAACACACAGACGCUACUUAAUUAAGGUAUGAUCACCCUGGCUCAUGCUAACUUUUAUGCUCUUUUUGUGUAGGUAAAAGAUGUAUUAUAUCAUUUGUAUGUUACAGCAAGAGGUAACCUUCAGAAGCUUAUGCCAAAAGAAAUUCGGAUUGUCAAGCGUCUGCUUACAAUUGACGAUCCUGAGGAGCGCCUGUCUGCGUUGCAAGAUGCAUUUACCCCAGGAGAGGAACUUGAAGGGAAGGAUGUAGAUAACCUCUACACGUAUGUAUCAAGAAAUCAGUUACUCUUACUAAUGAGCUUCUGGAUAUCUAUACAUUUGUUUGUUGUGCUUCAUUCAACCACAAUCCUCAGAUAUUUGUGUUGGUAUAAGGAUUUUUGGCUAUCCCUUUUAUGAUCAAAACACAAGACACAAGUUAUUUUAUAUAUCCUGAUGGUAAGGAUAUCACAAGUGAAAAAUGAAGACUUGACAAGAUCACAUGUGCCUAGGUAACUGGUGCAUAUGCAUCUGAUGCUUUUCAUUGAGAAUUCUACAUAUCCUGAUGGUAAGGAUAUCACAAGUGAAGAAUGAAGACCUACCAAGAUCUCAUGUGCAUCAGGUAGUUCAUGCAUAUACAUCUCAUGUUUUUCACUGAGAAUGGCAGCUUUGCUUGUCAUCCUAGAUCGGAUGAUACCUCUUGGUAUAUCUGUCCUAAUCUAUUUGGUCUAUAUGUAUGCAUGUCUAAAUGCUUUUGUUAUUUGUGUAUCAUUAGUUUGAAUUCCCCUGUUUGAAUUCAAAUCCCCUUUAGCAAAACAUUUGUCGUUGCCUUGGUGCUUCAAGUCAGUCUAAGGUUGUGUAGUGUUUCCAACCUGUGACCACAUGACUAGAGCUUAGAGGCUCUAGCUAGGUUUGUGAUACGCAAACUAAUAUAUUAGCUGGCUCUUUAUUUUUAUCUCAUGUACAUCAGGUAGUUCAUGCAUGUGCAUCACAUUCAUUCAGGACGGCAGCUCUGCUUGCUAUCCAGAUUUGGUGGAUACCCCUGUUGUAUCUAUCCUAAUCUUUGAGUCUGACUUCGUGCAGAUUUAAAUGGUUUUGCUUCAGCUUUUCAAGUAUUUGAAUUUCAAAUCUCUUUUAGCAAAACAUUUUUCAUUGUGCUUGAGCUCUAAGUUAGUCUAGGGUUGUGUUGUUCUUCCAACCCAUGAGCACAUGACUAAAGCACUUUUAGGCAGCUCCUUUUUCAGUCCAGCUGGGUUUUGUGAUACACAAACCAAGUAAGCUGCUGAGCCAUGUGAUGCACCGCCCAAGCUAUCAGCUGACCUAUGUGUUCUCAUAUAGGAAUAGGUUUUGUUGUGUCUCCUUCAUUCACAAAACCUUUUGUUUCUUUCUUAUUAGACCAUUAUCAUAUAAGAGAGUUGUGUUUGUCUUUACUCUCUUGGAGCCUUUUGUUUGUCCUUUGGCCCUCUCACUUUAUGAGUUUGGACAAGGACUAAAGUCCAAAAGUUGCUUUCCAUUUUGGUAAACGUGCAUGCUCUCUUUUAGCUUGCACUUUGCCUAUAUAUAUGGAGCAAAUCUCUUCUUGCUCCUUGGUUGUUCAAGAUGUAGUUUUCUACAUAGAUUUAGCUGGGUAUAGGUUUUACCUUGCAUUGCUCAUUUGCCUCUAAGUCUUCCCUUGGUGAUUGUAAAUCUUAGAGCAAGAGCAAGAGCAAAAACUCUUUUCAUAAACCCAUUAGCAUUCUGCAUAUCAUGAGUGAUGGUAGUGCAACAACCCCAGAAGUACUCAAGAAGGAUCAGUUGAUCGAGGAGAGCUGAGUUCUAGAGAGUCAGUUAAAGGUGUUAGCUGAGGUCUGAAGAAUCCCUCUAAUUAGGAUAGCUGAGUUCUGAGUUGAGUAUUCUGAGAAGUAUUCAAGAAGAAUCAGUUAAAGGCGUUAGCUGAGUUCUGAGUUGAAACUUCUUCUUAUACCUUCAUAUGUAAACACUUGAGAGACAAGAGAGGUAGGUCUAGAUUAGUAGGUAGACUAGGCAGGAUAGCAAGUCGUUGUUGUAUCCCUAGAACUAUAAUCUUGUGAGGAGUGAGGUGAGUCACUCAGAGACAUGAGAGAUAGAUCUAGACUAGUGGGUAGACUAGAUAUGAUUGCAAAUCGUCGUUGUAUCCCUAGACUAUAAUCUUGUAAGAAGUGAGUUUUACAUAGUGGAAAGGUUUGUCCUUCAAGAGUUAGGGGCACGCAGUUUUUCUCCCUGGUGCAGGGUUUCUGCGAAUAAAAAACGUACUGGUGUUAUUUCUUUACUUUCCAGUACUUGUUCUUUUAUUUAUUACUACGUCUCCCUGUUAUCAGGAUAGCUAAAUGUUUUCUAUCCUUGUAAACGGAAUUAGACGAAAAAGUAAUAAAGGCCUAUUCACAACCCCACCCCCCCCCCCCCCCCCCGGACCCCUUCAAUUUGCAGCACACUGAAUGAUGCUCUUCAUUUCUGAUUAUAUUUCUCAGGACCCCUGAGAAACUUCACACAUGGAUGAAGGCUGUCGUGGAAGGUACUCUAAUAUGGGAAGCAAGGGACCUGAUGAAUCCAAAGAUCAUCAAAAAACUGGAGGAAGGUAGUAGAAAACAAGUUUUUGUGACCAAGGGCAUAUACACCAUUAACAGUAUGUGCCUACAUGUUAAAGAUCAAACCUGGACCCUCUCUCUGAGACUCCAGGUUCCUGGCAGCAUGAAAUUUAAAAGCGAGAAGAUUAGACAUCAAAUGAUUUGUUAGCCUUAUAGGUUAUAACUGCUGCAGUUUGUUGGGUUUUUGUAGUCUGAUCUCUGAUGUACAGCAGCUCCUUUUUUGUUAUACCCGUAGCCUUGUUUACAGACUCGCAAGUACUUUAGCCAUAAAUGAAUUGCAAGUCUUUCUCUUCCUCUUUGUGGUAACUGGAGGUUUCUUAUGUUUCUCAAUGAAAUAUCAAGUUGAUGUUGUUGUUUUUUUUAUUUUUAUAAUUAUUAUUAUUAAUCAGAAAGUUGAAUGUACAGCUGGAAGCCUGGAACUAAUAUGAACCCAUAGCAUGACAUUCUCACAUAACAAUUUAUUUAUUUAUUUUUUUUGUAGGAGGUAAGAAAAUAUUCUCUUUGCAGGUUGUGGACUGUAAAGUUUCCAGUCAGAAAAUUUUCGGAAAGCAAUGAAAACAUGCAUAUGUUUUGGUUUCUUAAAAUGAGUACAGCAGAAGUGAGAGGAGAGAUCCAUAUGCAAUAAUAUAAGGAAUACAUUUACAUACCAUCUACUAAGCAGCCCCUAAAAGAAAAGAAAAAAAAGAGACGAGUCUUGAGUCCCUUUUGUCUUUUGAGACCAUAUAAUCUUCAAUCAGGUAAUCACUUUUUGAUUAGCUUCCUCCAAAUCGCCAUAAUCUUUCAAGGAAAUCAAGGUCUCGGAAUAACUGUAUAUACCUAGUAGAAAGGUCUCAAUAUAACUGGACACACCUAUUUCAGUGUAUUCAUAGUGCACAACCUCAUAUGAUGAGUAUUCUACACGGCUGAUGGAACCAAAUCUUAGAUCUAUGAAGGAAACCCAGGUUUUGCAAAAAUUGUGACUCGUGAAAAAUAUGCCAUGUUCCCAUUCCCCCGGAGAACCCUGAAAAGAAAAAUCGUCUGGUAGUUUGUUAUUGUAGUAGUAUCUCACCCACUGUUUUUCAUCAAAAUUUUUCAACACCCAUAUCUCCAUUUGUGACCGAGAACGCUUUGUCUCCACCAUGGCCAAACAUCCUCUCAGACUAAACAAACUAAUAUCCGAGUCCAAGUAAUGGUGAGGAGUAGGGGUCCAACAGAACUCUUCUCUCCUCAAGUCAAAAGAAACUAUUCUACGAUCAUCCCAAAAUGUUGAUCCUGUCCACCAAUGCACAGCUCCAUUUGCGCAUACCGGCGCUCUGUGUAUCCAGUUCAACUCACAAGGAGGGGGCGAGGAUAUCUGUCGCCACAAGUUUGUGCCCAAUACAAGAACAUGUGUUGUCAUAGAUUUGAGUUGAUGAUCAGCAUCUGUUUCAUGAGUAACACAUACAAUCUUGUAGGUAUUGGUUUUAUCAUCAAAUCCCAUACCAAACUGAGAAUUGCGAUAUACAUUUGGACCGCUCUCUAGUGUGGCAAAACUACUUUCUGGCAGCCGUAGAAGUCCCCUUUCCCCAAGACCAUUAACUAACAUGCAAUCUCCAUUCUUGGUUCCCAAGCAAAACACGUUGCAGAAAACAAAACGCAUGAAGCAAGGAGUGGAUGACGAAAUAGUAAUUGCAUAUCUGCCUUCUGUUAAGGUAUUGUCCUUGUAUUUCAGUGAUUGCAAAGUCACCAAAAGAACUUCGCGAGAGCAACACAUAAGUCGAGGUACUUGAUCGGCAGCAGCCGAGUUGGUGGCAAUAAGUGAACGUGUGUGAAGUGUAGAGAAUGAGAUGUUGCUCACCAUGUUUAACAAGGUCUUGGAGACACAUUUGAUGCAACCUACUGACUUUGCAGGCAGUCUCAAAAGGAUAUCGACCAGUGUAUCGUUCGGUAGUUCCAUCAGCUGCUUUUUCUUUGCAUCAUCAUCGCUGCUGCUUCUUUGUCUCUCCCUCGCCAUCAUAUAUAUCGAUAUCCAACAAAUUUUGUAUCCCCGAGUUUGUUUCAGUUCCAACCCUGGAUCUCCUUUUAUAAUUAAUGCAUAUCACCUAAAUCUAAUCCUAAACUGGUCGUGAAAAAGUAUACAAAUCCGUUUGGCACUCUGUGACUUUGUUUGACUAGGACAUUUAGAGCAAAAGAGACAGGGAGAGGUACCAGCUGUUAAACGGUUGAGGUUCUUGGCGGGAAAUUUCUUUAAACUUUUUGGUGAUGGAGUCAAAAAAAAUCGUAGAGUCACCUUUUUUGACAAUAAUAUGUAGUCCAAGGCCUCUUUGUAGCCAAAUCUUUCGUAUAUAUACCAUAGAAUGAUAAAAUUAAUUAGUCGGUUAUUAUCUCUACUACAAUAAAGCCGGACGUAAGAAAGCUUCACCAAAUUAUGAACUGUCAAAACUCUCACUGUAUUAAUCAAUUCUGAAUAAACAAGCAAGAGGGAUGUUGAAGUAAAAUAAAAUAAACUUUUUUUUUCCUGAAAUAAAAAAAGAAGUUUAUCGUGUGUCGUAUGUGGAAGACGUGGGGAAACUGGAAAGGACAGUUGUAUAAAAGAGAAUAAUCACCUCCACGAUCAGCGAAGAUCAAGUGAGCAUAAAAGAGAAUAACUACCUCUGCACAGUUGUAUAAAAAGAAAAAGUAAUCGAGGAGGAUAUACAGAAAUCUACAAGAAAGUAGGGGAUAAACCGAAAGGAAGCCUAACCACCGUAUUCAAGGCUUAUGAACGAGAUGAUCCCUAGAUUGAUAAAUAUAUGCUCACAGCAGAGGUAUGUAUUAUUUUCAUGUUUUCACAAUCUUUUUGUUCCAUGAUUAUCACAGAGAUGCUAACAAUUUAGACUUUCUCAAGAAUGUAUAGUUUUUUUUUCUUUAGGGAUCUGUCCUAUCUCUAAAAUUCUGAAAGUUUGAAAACGAACAAGGGAACCGAAAAAGCAUGAAUAUUUGAUGGAUCGGUAUUCAAUAUUUUCUGAAUCAUCUUUACUUGCUCUAUCUUUUUGUUUAAUUUUUUUCGUAACAUAACUCUGCUAAAAUCUAUAUAUUAUAUGCUUUAUCACAGAUGUCUCAUUGAUCAGGUUGAUCAGUGAGUGCACACUUUUACAUGUGCGUUGCGCGGGUUUGAAUGCUAGUAGCGAAAAUAUUAAACAUGUUUUAUAUUUUAACCAUAAAUUACCCAAUGUAGUGGAGCUAAUCACCCGAUGUAAAUUACCAUGUGUACCCUCACAUCUUUUGGUUUUAACGUGAAGUUGAUAGAGAUUGUACAAAAAAAAUUGAAAAAGAAAAAAAAAAGAAAAGAAAAGGCGAAACCACAUAAACUCGCCUUCGCGCACAACUUACUCACCAAUGCAAACUUCGAUGUGACCACGGCCUCAUCUUCCCCUCCCUUUCAAUUCCCCGAUUUAAUGGCCUCCGACACUACGCCUCCCCUUCCCCAAACCCACAGCCAUCUCACCUUCCCUAGAUCUUCAACCGGCGGCGAUGUGACGGGCGGGCCUUGACGGAUCUGAAGAGGUGAAGUGGAUGAUGCCGCCGGCGAGCGAGGAGUGGAUGAUGCCGUCGACGAGACGCAGAGGAUGGAGAGGGAGACGCGGCGGAUCGCGCCGCCGCGAGAGGAAAAGCUGGGUUAAAUUUUCAACGGAGGUAAUUUUUUUUAUUGUUUUAUUUAUUUAUUUAUUAUUUUUUACAGUUUUGUUUUUUUACCAAUGCGGGUCGGGUCAAAAGCUGGGCUUUUUUUCUUACAAUUUGAACCGGCCCAGACCCGAGUUCGCGAAAAUAAACACACCCUCUCCUUUUCGAAAACGAAAAUUGCCUCCAAACACUAUUACGUCGUCUUCUUCCUCCCUCCUCUCUCACUCUGCAACAUUUCUGGAAUUUUCAAACUUAAAGUUUCUAAAUUUUAUUGCUUUUUCUCACAUUACCCACCCACCCUGCUUCAGCCCCAAACCCGUCACCCAUUUUUCUUUACUUUUCUGGUUCUUGGUUCUUGUUGAUCAAGAAUCGUCACCAAUUCUUGAUCACUAAAGAUGAGUAAUUUGGGGUCAUCUCCAGGGGUUACAGGCAAUGGCAAUGGCAAUGGCCUGCCUAUUGUCCCUAUCGACGUGAGUGAUCGCAUUUUGGCUGGAUUAUCCAUGAUUACUCUUGCAGAGCUUCGGUUGAUCUCCAGGGAAUGGCGACUAGUGGUCCACUCUCAUCAGGAGAGAGAAAGGCGGAGGGAGGCCCUGCUUGUUAUUUUCAACCGGGAUCGUCUACUCUCUGUAAUUCACCGGCAUCAUCUCAUGAGGAUGAACUUGGAACGCCGUGAACGGCCACGCCUGACUCGCAGGGAAUUCCCAGAACUGGAACUGGAAUUCCCUGUGAGGGUACUCGUCGGAUGUUGCCAGGGUCUUGUCCUUGUUUUGGAUCGCGCGUGGAGGCCGUUCGUGUUGAAUCCCCGCACCCUUGGAUGGCAUCAGGUAGCUGUUGAAGACCGUCAUGGCUAUCAACGUACCUAUGCCAUUGGGUGGAUGGUCUUUGGGGGCCUGCAAUGCUGUGUGGUCCUGAGGUGUGUUCCUGGAUCAAUGGGACGCAUCUCUGUGUACAAUCUCCACACAUCUCAGUGGACCACACGCCAUACACAUGGUACAACCACUGCAGUUGUGACCGGCUGGGAAUCGAGCGCAUUUGUUUCUGGCUACUUCAUAUGGCUCGUGAGGUUUAACAACGAGGAGGCUAUUGUUCUGUAUAAUGGUGCAACCGAUGUUGUUUCCUGUAUACUUCUCAGUCCCUCCUUGCGCGGGAUUGACAUGUGCCUUGGAAACGUUGGCGAUGACUAUGCAGCCAUGUGGGGAAGAAAUGGAGGCCAAACAUGUUUCUGGACUGUUGACAUUGAAGGCAGGACCUUGAGACCCAUUCAUGUAACCGGCUACGGCAGAAGAAGUCGCUUCCAACCACUGUCCUUCCUCCCUGACUCUGAUGCCAUUUUCCUAUGUCAAAGUGUGCGCCUCGAGCUCUAUCGUCUGACUAGCCACAGCAGAUUUUCCUUAGCAAUUCAAGAUGAUGACCCUCCGGUUAUCAACCGUGGUGAAAACUUCCUGAGAGGCGAUAUUUUGAUGGCUAUUUCUUUCACUGAGACUUUGAUUUCUCCAUGGGUCUUCCAGCAACAUUGAUGCGGACUCUCAGGUGUGUUUGUCUACUGAAGUUGAUUAGGUGCUGUUUGAUGCAUGCGAAUUCAUUAAUCUAUUUAUCUGAUUAUAGUGUUAUGUUCUUGGUCUUGUAAAGUUUUGAUGCUUUGAGCCUUUUGAUUUUAGUUGUGUACUGAUAUUCUGCUCUCCUUGAUUUUCUUUAUAGCUUUCGUUAUAUUCAUUUUAAGAUUGGCUGUGUGAUUCUGAUGUGUUGGUAUCGAUGUUGAACUUUGAUUUCUGAUUUGUUUCCAGUUUGUAUCGUUGGGUUAAUUAGUUCUUGGUUCAGCUCUAAAGACGUGGUCUGUGUCUUCAUACUUGAAAUUAUGCUUAUAUCUAUUCUUCAGCAUUUUGGCUUCACUUUGAAAGUCUGAAACUGUUGGAUUACUUGUCCGAUGCUAUGGUAAUGGGACUUUUGAGGGGUCAGAAUUCAGAAACAUGCUUAUUUUCACCAUUGUUAGAAUUCGAUAUCCCAAGUAAACUUGUAUGGUGAUUCUUCUAGGUAACACUGCUUUAUAAUGGUACGUGGCCUAGUAAGGCUUAAUUUCGAUAAUAGUAGCAGUGAUGGGUCAUGAAUUAGGCAUGUUGUCAUACGGAAUUUGGAUGACAGCGAACCUUGAAAUUUGGUUAUUCAUGUCCUGCUCAUGGUGAUUGAUUACUAGGAAAUUUUCGGUCUUUUUUUUUAUCCAAUAACCAAGAAGCAUUGAUGGAAACAAAAGCACUGUAUGUCGCUCAAAUUAGAUACUCAUUUCCUUUUCAGGGAGAAAAGCAUUUGCUGAGAGCUUCAAUUCCUCUGGAUUGUCUUUAUUGAUGUUAGUUCUUUAUUUGAUGUUAUCAAUUUUGAGCUUGAUAUCUGUAUUUUUUUGUUUUUUCUGUUUUGUGUUUCACCUUUUCCAGGAGACAGGAGACAGCCUUUACUAUCAUGGUUGAUUUCGGCAAAUUCUGCGAAGGAUUUGUUAUCUGGUGCUUUGUUUUGUUGACAUCGAAGGAUAUGUCCUGCUAAUUCCUUGAAUUUCAAUUAUGGGGUUUAGCAUUUAUUUCCUUGAAACUUGGAUUUCAGUACAAUAUUUCUUGUGUUUGUGCGUUCUCUGCAGUUUUUAGUAUUAUUUCCUUGUGUAUCCUUCUCAUCUUGAAACGUAACAGCCCAUUCCUAGUGAUGUGCUCCAUUAUUUUAUCGGUUACAUGACUUUAUUUAGUUGUUGUCAUCUUCAUUUCUGUUAAAGGAAUAAUGAUCCCAGCGCUUAAGUAAAGUUCUAUGUUUAAGUCUGGGACUGCUGAAGUGAAUUUUUCUACUAAUUGUGUCUGUGCUUUAUCUUAGUUGAUUGAUUUUGACAACAAUUGUUUUUAUUCGUUUAAAUUGUGCAUGUAGUUUGAGUCAUAUAUAUUCAUAAGCGUUUUCUGAAGUCAAAACACAUGCAUGAAGGUAAAGCUAUGUUUACGUUGUGUGGGGAGUUCUUGCAUUAAAGAGCAUGUCUAACCAUUUUCAAUAAUAAGUGUUAGGUUUGUGGCUUGGUUAAUCAUGUUUCUUUGGUGCUUGAUCAUAGUCAGAGGUGAUAAUUGAUCCAGUUGUCAUGCUGUUGGUGUUGUUUUGCUGUUGCGGAUAGAGCUAUGACAUACUUUCAAACCAUGGUCCAUUAUGUUGUUGUUGUUUAUUCCUUAGUAAAGUACUUCAGUAUUGCUUUUGUUAUUGUUCAUUGAUAUGAGGAGUUAACAGAAACAUAUUUCUCUCAUCAUCAUGCUCUCAGAUUAAACUUAAAACGUUCAAACUAAACUGUAGAAGGAUGAUGUCUGCCCAGUCUUGUGUCAUGCUCUCAGAUUAAACUUGAAACAUUCAGAACUGAAGUAUAGGAUGAUCGAGUCUGCCCUGUUCCGUGUUGAAGGGAUAGAUAGGCAUUAGGCUUCUGUCGUUUUUGGGCACAUCACAAGUAGAUCAGGCCAACAAGCUCCGCCCAGUCAUUUAUGUUAAGAAUACGUUGUCUUGUAUGAAUCUUUGGGGUGCUAGGUUCAUAGUCAUGGUAGUAGUACUACAUUUAAGUAAGUAUUAAUACAUGUAUUUGAAGAAAAUACAAUGUAUUAUUUCCAUCAAUUUAUAUGGGUACAAUUUUCCUUUGGUAUAUAGUUAUAUCACCAUUUUCGUUUAUUGAUACAUAUAUUUUGGCUAUUUAUGCCGCUUAUAUAUUUCAAGUAGUACUUAUUGCAGGUUCUAUUCAAAAUUUCUGUUAAAAGUCUAAAUGUGUUGCAUGUAUGCUAUAGUCAAAAGACAAACUCCCAUUGUAUGUAUGCUUAUAAAAACUUACUCUUUGACUUCUAGUCUCUAUAUGUUACUUAUUUUUGUUCAAGGGUCACACUGUACGCAUAAGUAAAUAAUAAAAGCAGGGAGAAGGAUUAUACGUGUUUUUGUAUUGUAUAUGUGUUUUUAUUAUUAAAACCGUUCUCUUUUGGACUUGAAAUUGAUCCAGUCUUCUAAAAUCUGCAUCCAAUGGUUCUUGUUCUCAUUGUUUUGUCACCAUUGUAUGAAUUCUUUUAUUUUUGAGUUAAUCAGGAAAGGUUAGAAAUAAGAAACAGCGGGAGUAAAAUUUUUUACUUGUCUUAACCUUGUUGAAAGCUUUUCGUUUGCCUUAUGGAAAAUGAAUUUUGGACACCUUGUUAGCGCAAGAAUAAGAGAAUUUUGAACAUAACAACUUUAAAGUCGUUGUAUUAUUGAAGUAACAGGAAUCCUUAUGGUCAGUGGGAGUACUGUCUGGUGAACUAUGAUUUUUGGUCUUGCUGCAUGUUUUGCUAAAUUCAUUUUGAAAACCCAGAUUCAAUUUGGUUUACGCAGAAUUGUGAUUUAUCAGGAAUACUUUUUAGUAAAUAUAUCUAGUAUGGUUUACCUGUUGGUAUAGUCUGUACAUGCUGGUUAGCUGACUGAUUCUUUCGUAACUGCAUUUUCAAUUCGAAUAGAUUUAGUUUUUCCUGGAAUUUAAGUUGAAUUUGCAGUAAGAUUGGUUGUUUCUUCUCUCUCAAAUGAUUGUUCUUGUGUAUAAUGUCAUUAAGUUUUAAUACAAUGUGUUAAGUAUUAUAGCAUGAAGAUUUGUGAUGUCACUUUGUGUUUUUCUGUUUGACUUGGCUGCAAAAGACUAGGUUUCACCAUUUCAGUAACAAGAGAACUAAUGUGGUUUGCCUGCUGGCCUGUGAUAAAUUGGUGAUAUGUGGCCUAGUCGAGUUGGAGAUUCAUGUAGGUAGACAAAAAAAAAACAGACAAUGACCUUUUUUUAGAAGAAAAUAGAUAAUGACCUUGACUAAUAAAUUGUGAUGGCGGUUGUUUUCUGAAGAAGAAAUGAAAAGGGAAAUUGACAUGGAGGGAAUCAGAUUAUUAGACAUGGCUUUCUAUUUCGUUCUUUAGAAAUAGACAUUUCCCUCAAUUAUGGUAACUUGACUAAUUUCAUUCACAGCAUCAAUUUCCUCAAUGUGCAUAAAGUCAGGAGAAUUAGCAGCCAAUAUAUUUACCUUCUAAACUGCAUCAACUACCUCGAGCUUUCAUGGUAUGGUAGUAUGGUACCCCUUCUUUACUCAGCCAUAGGCUAAGGUCUAUCAUCAACACUCUUGACCUUAGUUAUAAUCAAAACUCAGUUGCUCUACUAUCUAAAAUUAUGAUUUAUUUUUAUUUGUUCUAACUGAAAAAAGCAAAAUAACAAUGUAAAAAAAAACAAAAACAAAUUGUUGAGAGAGGGAUUUGAACCCACGCCCUUUCGGACCAGAACCUUAAUCUGGCGCCUUAGACCAACUCGGCCAUCUCAAUAUUUUCUGGUGCUUUUUUUUCUAUACUCUUUACUUUCAGGACUCUGCAAAGAAAAUCCCCCUUUAACAAAAAAAAAGAAAAAAAGAAAAAAGAAAAACCCCUGCUCUUCUCUUGUGUGUUGCACGGGUUUACUACUUCCUUUCCUCACUCUUCCAGACCAAAUCAAUUUGGCCCAUAUUCGAUGGAGGUUUCUACUCUCCAACCCUCUUGCUCUUUCCCGCUAAGAGCCCCUAAAACAAUCACCAGCGACCGCAGCUCUUCUCUAUCUUUCAUCACUACUUCGUCUAGAAACUUCUCCCUAUCCUCUAAAACCACCAAAGGUAUCUACUUUUCACCAAAUUUCACUCCAAAGUUACACAAGUUUGAAUUUUUAUUUAACUGGGUAUUGUUAAUUUGCUCUAUGCUUGCUAGAAAUUGUGUUUUCUGGGCUGUUGUUAGUUUCUGUAGACUGUUUUAUGUAUCCAAAUCCCUGUGAAUGUCAUUUUUCAAGUUAAGAAGUGAAAGUAAUAAACAAUUUGUUAAAAGGAAAUGGGAAUUACCUUCUGUUAUAUAGAUGGGUUUGGGGUAUUUGUUGCUGUUUUGGAAUUGAAGUCAUUGAUAGCUGUUAUGGAAUUUUAGGUUUUCACAUACUAGUUAAACCGGCAAGGUUGCGGCGGCUAUCAGUUGUUUCAGCUGUUGUUGGUGAUAAAACUAGAGUGCCAAAUGAUUGUUCUAGUGAAGAAGAGUUGUCUGGUUCUGAAGCGGGAGGAAAUGGUGUAAAGGGAGAAGAGGAAGGUGGUGUUGGGUCUUUGGAUGACCACAAAAUGACCCGGAUAUGUGAUAAGCUUAUUGAGGUUUUCAUGGUUGACAAGCCCACUACAACUGACUGGAGGAGAUUAUUGGCUUUCAGUAGGGAAUGGGAUGAUAUCAGGCCUCAUUUCUUUAAGCGUUGUCAGGACCGAGCAGAUGUUGAGGAUGAUCCUGGAAUGAAGCAUAAGAUUCUUCGGCUUGGGCGGAAAUUGAAAGAGGUAGGUAUCUAACAUCUUAAUAUUACAAACGAACCUUGAUUAACACUGUCACAUUCAUUACCUAGGCAUCUUCUAUUCAGGUAUAUUGUGUUUUUACAUGUAGCCCAAAGAGUUCAAAUUAUUUUGUAUUUAGUGUACAAGUGAGAUAAGUCUGCUUUUAGUUUUAAAUUUCGAUGAGCGUAACUACUGGUUCCUUGAUCAGAUCUAAAUCGAGAAAAUAGUAGGUCCUUAUUCUUGUAAAGUUAACUUUUUGGGAGUAAAACAACUGAAUGUUUACGAUUUAUGGAUUGAUAGGUGUAAUGAGGAGUUUCUGAUCUAUGGUUCACUUUGCAUGACUAGCUGAGGGAAAAUCAGUGGUUUAUGGAAGUUUUAGUGAUGAAGGGUACUAUAUGUGUUUGAGUUUGUUCUAAUUUGUGCUCUAAAACUAACAAUGUUUGACUGCUUCUAUUUCACAGGUAGAUGAAGAUGUGCAAAGACACAAUGAACUGCUUAAAGUUGUUAGAGGGGCUCCAUCUGAUAUUAGUGACAUAGUUGCCAGACGCCGCAAAGAUUUCACAAAAGAAUUUUUUGUGUAUCUUCACACAGUUUCUGAGUCCUAUUAUGAGAACUUAGAAGAGCAAAAUGGUGAGGUUGUUUUCACUACAUGAGGAUACGUUAUCAUUCAAUUAUACAUCUUUGCAAAACAUUUUUUGAUGAACAUAUUUAGUGCCUUAUUCUUGAAGCAUUGCUAGAAAUAUUGGAUGGUCAUUAUCAUUUUGAUGCAUGCCUAUGUGAUGGGCUUAAGUAUUAUUUAAUUAACUUAUUAACACGAUACAGUCCUCAUCCAAUCCAGUGUCUGUGGUCAACUCCGUCAGCUCAUCUUCUGGUUGAUUUAAUAAGUAGAAUAUGUGCAAGUACAAUACCAACUUAACCAUACAUUAUUAACAUUUUUUUUUGCUUCAUACAAACAUCUAAUUUCAGGCUUUUCUGUCUAAUGCUUAAUGUGGCCAUAAAGGUGUUAUUGUAUAUAUCUAUUUAGCUUAGUUGUGUUGUCGUAAUAUGAACAUUGACAUCAAAGUAUUAUUUAGGCCACUGCCUCGAGAAGGGCCUUUUAUAUAUAAGUUUUGCGUUAAGUAAAUGUGUGAAGCUUUAGUAGUUCUUAACCAUCAUAUCUUCUUUUGAAAACUGAUAUAGUUUCUAUCUUGUAUGAGUAGCUUUGGCAAGCAUUGGAAAUACAUGCUUGGCAGCUGUACAAGCGUAUGAUUCUGCGACUGAAAGCAUUGAAGCACUGAAUGCCGCAGAGUUGAAAUUUCAAGAUAUUAUCGAUUCUCCUUCUGUUGAUGCUGCUUGUAGGAAGAUAGACAACUUGGCUGAGAAAAAUCAACUUGACUCAACAUUGGUUAUGAUGAUUACAAAAGCUUGGUCAGCUGCCAAGGAAUCGAGCAUGACGAAAGAUGAGGUAAUGAUGGCUUUGCCUCAUGAACACUUGUCCUUGUAUAAUUCUAAAGUUGUUUCUGCACCAUUAUGGCAAAUCAAUGCAUUCUUAUGCAUAAAGAUGCAUAUGAGUAUAAUUCUGACCCUAGUUGUCUCCUAAUAUCAUACUCAGAAUAAGUCACCUCAAACAGUUUUAGUUUUGAUCUAAACAUUAUGAUCAUUGGUGGUCCUAAAAGUAGGUCUUAUAAAUACACGGAUGCUACUCAAUUAAAGUAUGAUCACCCCAGCUCAUGGCAACUGUUAUGCCCUUUUUGUGUAGGUAAAAGAUGUAUUAUAUCAUUUGUAUGUGACUGCAAGAGGUAAUCUUCAGAAGCUCAUGCCAAAAGAAAUUCGGAUAGUUAAGUAUCUGCUCACAAUUGACGAUCCUGAGGAGCGCCUGUUGGCCUUACAAGAUGCAUUUACCCCGGGAGAGGAACUUGAAGGGAAGGAUGUAGAUAACCUCUACACGUAUGCAUCGAGAACUUACUAAUGAGCUUCUAGAUAUCUAUACUUUUGGUUAUCGUGUUAAACCGCAAUUCUCAGAUAUUUGCAGCACACUGAAUGAUGCUCCUUUUCUUUUCUUAUUAUAUUUCUCAGGACCCCUGAGAAGCUUCACACCUGGAUAAAGGCUGUUGUGGAUGCUUAUCAUUUGAGCAGGGAAGGUACUCUAAUAAGAGAAGCAAGGGACCUGAUGAAUCCAAAGAUCAUCAAAAAACUGGAGGACCUGAAGAAGGUAGUUGAAAAAAAGUUUUUGUGACUGAGGGUACACCAUCAACAGUAUAUGUGUACAUCAAGACUUCUGGUCAGGCGGACCAUUGCCCGAGUCUCUGGAGUUAUAGUUUACGUUCUUACUGGCAUGAAAUGUGAGGCAAGAAGAAUUAGACAUCGAAUGAUUUGUCAGCCUUAUCGGUUAUGAUUGCUGCAGUUUGUUCGGUUUUAGUAGUCUGAUGUACAGCACAGCCCCUUUUUUGUUGUAUACCACAGCCUUGUAUGGUUACAGGCUCAAGUAUUUUUGAACAGUAAAUGAAUUGCAUGUCUCUGUAUUUCCUGUGUCCGGAAAGCUGGAGACAGCUUUUCUGACAACUGAAAAUCUGGAAUCACGAGUUAGGACUAUUAUUUUCAACUAUAACUUAAUGAAAUAACACAAAGUAUUCCCUGAGAUUAAUAUAGUGUCUCAGCGUAACAAUACCACCGUUAGAAGUACAUAAAUUGAAAUCUUAAACAAGCUUAUACAUUAUUUAUUUUACGGGUGAACUACUUGAUAGAAGUUAGUUUGUUCCAAUAUCUCAUAUCUAUAUUUAAUAAUUUUUUAUGAACCAAGAUCAUAGAGAAAUUUUAAAUACACACCCUUAAUAUCUUAAUACACACCUUUAUUAUUUUAUGUUUCUAUUGAGAUUUUAUAGGUAAGUUAAAUGACUAAAAUAUACAUCUAUUAUUAAAAAAAAAAAUAGCUCUAGAAAUAUUCUUUUUCAACGUCUUCUACCCUAAAAUCGUCGAAAGCAUGUCUUCUCCCCUAACCUCAACUCUUCUCCACAAUUCAUUUGAGUUUGUUUUUUUUUUUUUUUUUUUUUNNNNNNNNNNNNNNNNNNNNNAAAAAAAUUUCUAGCAAAAAUUAGACGAAAUAAUAUGUAAAAAGAGGUACCAAAUGGUAAAUAUACAUUAAUUAUAUUAAAUGAUAGAAUAUUUCAUAAAUUAAGGGCAUUUUAGGCAGUUUGGGAUGUGUAUUAAGUAUAAUACUGAAAUGAAAAACUUGAUAGGUGGUGUAUUAAGUAAAAGGUGUGUAUUAAGAUAUUAGGGGUGUGUAUUUAAAAUUUCUCAAGAUCAUAACAUAGGUUGAGGUUAAUCAAAAACGAAAAAAAAGGUUGAGGUUAAUCUAUAAGCUAGUAUUUAUUUCAUUUCAUUUGUGUGAUCUAUAAAAAAUAAAAAAAAAUCUAGUAUAAUGUCUAAAUUGUUACUCUAGCAGGGAUGAAACAGUGACAUUUUGAACAAAUAGGGAAGAAUAUGAAGAAGUUGCAUUCUCAAAGGUGCAAACUAUAAAUAAAGAAAAAGUGUAAUUUCGUCCAUUAUUAUUUUUAUUAUAUUUUGCGUGCCAAAAUGCCGAGUAGGUCCAGUAGGAGGGUUUUAAUCACAAAUUCACAAUGAACCAAAAUCCCAAUUCCGAGUCGGCUUAAAAUCACACUCUCUUCUUUAUCUUUUUGCGCCUAAAUUUAAAACCCCAAUUAUUGAUCUCGCCGACGUUUCCGCCACCGUCACGCCGCCGGUAAGCUAUACUCGUUUGCUAAGAAAGUUUGGAAAUUUCGAGUUCUAGGUUUGAAUUCGUACGAAUUCUGAAUUUGAAUCAAUAAUGGAUUUGGUUUACGAUCCUUGCUCUGACUUUGAAUUCAGUAUCUUAAUGACCAAAAACAAAGUUAGAUUGUAUGAGUAAUAGAAUUAGAACUUGGAUUAUAUUUGCGAUAAUUUUUAAUUUUUAAUUCGAUAUUUGAAUUUGACCAGAUGACGAACAAGAAGUCCAGUAAUUGCGCAAUUUGUGAGAAUUCGAAUCUCGCAUCUAUCUGUGCUGUUUGUGUCAAUUACAGGUAUGCUAUUUUGGAGUUCUUACUUUUGUAUUGUAAUUGAUGUCAUUAACAUUAUUAGAGUAAGAAGUACAAGCUUGAUGUUUACGAGGUUAUAUGGAUGUGUGUUGCAGAUUAAAUGAUUACAACAAUUCGUUAAAGGCGCUAAAGAGUCGUCGCGAUUUGUUGUAUUCAAGAUUGAGUGAUGCACUUGUUGCUAAGGUUUGUGUCCUCUGCCUUGGAAGGACUUUUAUUGAUCUUUCUUUAGUGCUGUUAGCAGUAUGUAUAGUUAUAUAAGAUACUAUCAAUUAAUUCAUUGAUAUAAGUCAUAUAACAAGUUUGCUAAUGGCUGCGGAAUCUGGCAUGAUGGAAAUUUGAUAGUGUUUCAACGAGGUGACAAUUUUGUGCAACAGAAGUAUCACUGAAAAUAAAGUAUGAAGUGGAUCCAAACAUGGGUUCUGGACUCUAGAUAGUAGAUGGGCUCUGUGUAUGAGUACGAAUAUGUUCAGCACCAUGAAACUAUUACAAUAGUGUUUAAAUAUGCUAUCUUUAGAAAAAUAAGGAUACACAUUCAUCUUCAUUUAAUUGCUCUAUCUUGAAUGAAUCUUUGAAAAUCAGGUAUAUUUGUAGCAUAUGCAGUCAUCAGAAUUUUGUGCAUAUGAUUUCAAACUACUAUUUAUGUUUUUGAAGGUAUCCUGCUAAAUUAUUUGUACUGAUGUAUUGUACAUUUAUCAGGGUAAGGCAGAUGAUCAACUAAAUUGGAGAAUACUUCAAGAUGAAAAGCUCGUGAGGUUGAGGGAAAAGCUCCGUCGUAAUAAAGAACAACUUGUGCAAGGUUAGAUGCGUAUUAUGAAAGAUAUUUCCAGUUUGAUAUUAGUUCAUUUUUUAUUUGGGUUUGUCAUACUGAAUGAGCGAGUAACACAGGGAAGGCUAAGAUUGAGAAGACAUCAUAUGACCUAAAAGUCAAAUAUGGGGUGCUUGAGUCGGCCCUCUCUAUGGUACAACACUGUGAUCUUGUAUUUCAUUCCAUCAUUCAAUCUUUGAGAUAUAUGUUGACUUUGAAUGUUUUGUAUUCUCAGUUGGAAAAAAAUCGUGCUGAACAACUGGAGAAGUUCUAUCCUAAUCUUAUAUGCACUCAGAGCUUAGGGCAUGUAAGCAAUUUGUACCCUUUACAUGUAGAUUUACUUUCGUGCAUACAUUAAUGAAAGAUAUAUAUAGUCGUAUAUCCUUAACAGUAUCAGAAGAUGUGAAGUGUAUGUUUAUUUUGGCCUACAUCAGUUUGUAUUUUCUGCUAUUUUGAGGGGUGUGAGAUUUAUCUCUGUUACAUAGUUUUUACCUUUUUUUUACUAGACUGUGUUUAUCUGCACAAGAAGUAUGUUUUUAAUAACUCGUCUGAAUUGCAGAUGGCAAUUACUUCUGAACGUCUUCAUAAACAGUCGGUGGUUAUAAAACAAAUAUGCAAAUUGUUUCCUCAACGUCGGGUAAGCAACUGGGAAACUGGAUUAUGUCCAUAACUUAUAAGUUAUACAUCAAUGAUUAUGAAAUCAAUUCUGGAAUGUGAAUUUCAAACAAUGGUAACAAUGAGAGACUGAACUUUCUAUGGCGUCACGACAGUUUCUUGCUGGCCUGUGAAUAAUCAUAGGCAUUAAUAUUACCUUUAUACAAUUCUUGUGUUUGCAUAGUUUAUAUCCUAUCAUUUUUACUCUCAUUCUUUGUUUUAGGUGACUGUAGACGCAAAGAGGAAAGAGGGAUCUGGUGGUCAAUAUGACCAGAUUUGCAAUGCAUCGUUGCCAAGAGGGCUAGAUCCACACUCAGUUCCCUCAGAAGAGCUUGCUGCUUCUUUGGGGUAAUUUCUCUUUAUACACACACACGUAGAUAAGCUUUGAAGUUGACAAUAUGUUGGUACUGGAUAGCAAGAUAGUUGUCAUAACACUGAUUAUUACCCUAAAUACCCCAAUAUUGUUCUUCUAUCUGGGUGCACAUUAGUAUUUCAAAUUAAAGUAAUCUUCUUUCUGAUAUAGUUAUAUCCUCUAUAGUUGGAUCGUGUAUAACUUUGAAGAUGUUGUGCUUUACACUAAUAACUGACCUUUUUUUUGUUGGGGAACAGAUAUAUGGUUCAACUCUUGAACCUUGUUGUCCAGAACUUAGGUGCUCCAGCCCUUCAUAACUCAGGUUUUGCGGUAAGCUCUGUUCACCCUCUACACAGUGGUUUAUAUUUUCUAUGAACUACGAAGAUUAUGGGUUGAAAUAUUCAUGUAUUGUUGCUAUUUACUGCACCUCAACAUCUAGAUCUAUGCACUAAAUCUUUUACGGGUUUAGAACUAUUGUGACUGUAUGAUAUUACUGGGAGCACUUGGAAAUAUGUAGUUUUUAAUCUGAGAAAGUUUCCCCAGAUUGUGUAUUUUUGAAAUACUAUCAUGACCAGAUGAUGUCAAAGCUAUCAAUAUGUACAUGAAAAUGAUUAGUAUUUAGAUCCAUUAAAUUGCUUUGGCUUAUGACUUGUUAUGAUUUUCUUGUUCAUUGGAAUGGAAGUAUAUGUUCAUUGUGAACAUCUUCCCAUUAAAUCUUCUCUCUUUCUUUUUCUGAUGAUGUUUUUCUUCUGAAAAGGCAUAUCAUGCUGCAUCAUUUACCAAGCUCUUCAUGUGGUAUCUAUGAAUUACUUUGACCUCUAGUUGUCUUAUAUAUGAAUGGGUCGUUAUUUCAGGGUUCUUGCUCUCGUAUAUGGCAAAGAGAUUCUUAUUGGGAUGCACGCCCUUCUUCUCGGAGGUACUAUGCUAGAAAUAUUUUUUGACAGUGGGGAACUAUAUUUCAUUUGAAUGAGUGACUGACAUAGUUGAUUUUAUUGCAGCAAUGAAUAUCCGCUAUUUAUUCCACGGCAAAAUUAUUGCUCUACUAGUGGAGAAAAUUCGUGGUCUGACAGAAGCUCAAGUAAUUUUGGUGUUGCUUCAAUAGAAUCAGAGAGGAAACCCCGUCUGGAUUCCUCUGGAAGUAGUAGCUUUAAUUAUUCUUCCGCUUCUCAACAUUCUGUGGAAACCCACAAAGAUUUGCAGAGAGGAAUUUCACUUCUCAAGAAAAGUGUGGCAUGCAUUACAGCAUACUGUUAUAACUCACUAUGUUUAGAUGUCCCUUCCGAGGCAUCUACCUUUGAAGCAUUUGCAAAGUUGCUGUCAACCUUAUCUUCUUCCAAGGAAGUCCAUUCGGUUUUUUCCUUAAAAAUGGCUUGUUCAAGGUACGCCGUCCCACAAUGCCUUUUGUGAAUUAUGUUGUGCUUCUUCAUUUCAGUUCUAUUAAGCAUAUACCUCUUUUUAACAUUGUUGGAUAAACAUGCAGUAAUUCAGGAGUAUUUUCCCACAAAGUAGAUCAUUGUGAUCUUUGUAAGUUAUAGCAUUCUGUGUUCAUUAAGUGUAGCAUAAAAGAGUAUUUUAUUAAAUUUAGAGAGUGAAGCUUGUUGACUUAUUUUCAAUUAUUUUAAAAUCUUUUUAUUUGUCCUCUCUCAAAACUAGGGGGUCAAAACAUCUAAAUGUUCAUAAUCAUAAGUGUACAUAAAAUUGUGUUUCGUUAGAAGAAACUCAUGUGUGGCUGCUUAUGCUAAAAUUUACUACCAUAGCCUCUUAGUUUAUCAUUGUGCCAUGGAUUUUGAAAUUUUUGCAUCAUUUUACCUUGAACGGGAAAAGUUUCCUAAUACUCAUACGAUUUCUAAAGAACUCUACUUUGCAUGGAUGGAUAACUGAUAGUCUGAUAAACAUUAAUCGGACUCUCCCCUUAAUUUUCAGGUCAUGUAAGCAAGUUCAACAAUUGAACAAAUCUGUAUGGAAUGUGAACUCUGCCAUUUCUUCGACCACUCUACUGGAUAGUGCGCAUACAAUGACAAUGACGGUACAUGUCUGGACUCCAACUCUGUUUCUUUUGUAGGUCACUAGAUUUUGUCUUUUUAGCCAAGGGACAUGUGCCUUCGGUCAAUCAACAACAUAACACCAUUACACUGAUAUAGGACCCGCCUCUUUCUUGUGGCUUCUAAGAGAUAUUCCUCAUUUUCCUAUUCAUAAUAUAAUGAUAAUUGUCCCUCGUAUCCUUUGCUAGCCAUAAUUGUAAGAACUUAAUUGUUAGCUCUUGGCCAUCUAUUAUCAAUGAUCUGUGCAUUGACAAUGUGGCUCAAAAAAGGGUCAUAUAAACAUUAAUAAUCGCUUAAUCUUCAUUGGACCCAAGUUUAACUGACUACUAUAUAUUUGGAAGGCCCAGAAUUUCUAUUCCAGAAUGCUCUUGUUACAUAUCUCAGUUUUGUGUUUUAUCUAAUUUACACCUCUUAGGCGUUUAAAAUCAUAGCAAUAACAAUUUCUUCGCAUUCUUGAAAUACCAUACAUUUUUCUUCUUACUCUCAUUUUCCUUUUGCAGAAAAACUUUUAUGAAAAUAAUAUUCCUAAUUAUGCAACGAGCUUCCUUUCUUCGACUGAGAUGUCUGAUGUUGGGAAGAAUGAAUGCACGAUUGAAGGGUGGGAUCUUGUGGAACAUCCAACUCUUCCUCCACCAUCCCAAUCUGAAGAUAUUGAGCAUUGGACUCGAGCGAUGUUUAUUGAUGUAACAAAGAGAUAAUUUGGUGCUACUACAGUCUUUCUAAUUGUGAGUUGCCAUUUAAUUUAACAAUUCAUGCUUUGUAUUGUUUGUAGUCUUUUUCACUGAAAUAAACCACUAGCUUCAAUUGAUUAUUGAAAGGCACAUCUUAUGUAGGAAUUGUAGCUUAAGUAGUUUUACAUGAAAUGGAAGCAAAAACUGUAAAAUUUAGAGUUUAAGCUAUUAUUUUUCGAUUUGUCUCUUAUUUCUUGGACCAUAGUGGUAUAUUUUAUGAGUUUGAGUUAUGUACCAAGGGCUAGAGUUCAGUAGAACCUGAUACAUUAUUAUACUGAUAUCUCCCUAUUAUACUUGAAUCUGAACCAUUAUAACGCUGAUACCACUUUUUCUAUGUUUGUCUGUAUAUUUCUAAGCUUCUUUGAGUAUCCUCCUAUAUUCUUUACCUCUAUUGUUUAUGGCUUUGUUCCCUGCCCUGACAGUGGAAACCUCUUCUGUUUUCUGUUGACAGGUAUGUCGAAGUUGAUACUUUGUACAAAAGAUAAGACUGCUUGGACUGAGUCUGGGAAUGAACUUUUUUCAAUGUAAAUAACAAUGAUCUCCGUGGUUGUUAAACUGUAUAUGUAAAUGAAAUAGAUCCAGGGUUAAUUUUUUUUUUUUUUUUUCUAUUUUGUUGUUAUUACCAUAUCUUGUUCAUAAGAUUCAUUAUGCUAUAUCCUAGGAUAAUCAAGACAAGAUAACAGAUGUAUUUAUGCCGCCAGCUUAAUGCCUUAAUGUAUAUAUAGAGGUAAUCCUUAAUUUUGGGUUAAGUUACUCCAAGAGUGUUGAUUGCUAGCUUUGGUCACUUUUUGUAGGGAUUGUAAUGGGUCAUUCACACCAUCUCCAGAAGUGCCUUUCCACCCAUCUUUUAUGUUUUUUUUUUUUUUUUUUUUUUUUUGGUCUUGAUAGAUAUUAUUGAAAGAAAUAUCUUUCUAAGGCAUAAUUGUGAUUUCCAUAAUUAAAGCUUUUAAGUUUUUUGACAGAAAACUGCAUCCAAUUUUCCAUGAAAUGUCUACAAACAACAUAAUUAGCCUAAAUGAUCCCAGGAAGUUCCAUCUUUAAAAGGAAUACAAAGUUAAACAGCAUUCUUGCAUAGUUCUGAUAAUCGGGAAAGUUCACUUUUUCCUCUUCUUUGGGGGCUGAAGGGCCUCUUCUUCGUCUUCUUCAUCAUCUGGCUCCUCUUCCUCUAUGAUUUCUUCCUCCUCGUUCUCCUUACCUUCAUCGUCAUCCUCGUUGUCCUCAUCUUCAUCUUCAUCCUUGCCCUCAUCUCCAUCUACUUCACCAUCAUCAUUAUCGUCACGGUUGUUGAUAUCGUCCUCAUCUUCAUCUGCUUCACCCUCUUUGCCUACUUCACCCCCAUCGCUUCCAGCCCCAGCUUUGGAACUGUUGUUGCUUUUACCAUUAGAGUUUCCAGCUCCUGCUUCAUCUUCAGAAGAUAGCUCCUCUUCAGUGUCCCCGAGGCCACCAUCGUUGUUCUUCUCUUCAUCACCAUCAACUGCUUCUGAGUAGGAAUACUCAUUAUCAUUGGCUAGUCGGUGUUUUGGUCCACAAGCUGGGAGCUGGAAUGGUUCCUGAAACCAAAGGAUAGAGAUGCAACCGAGAUUGUAAUUCAAGAAAUCACACAAAUAAAUAUUUGCAAAUACAUGAAGCACACAAUGGUAUGGGCAUCAAAUUAAUUUUUCUUUUCCUUUUCAGUUGGUAGCAAUUUGUUCCAAGAGAGUUAAGGCUCACGGUCAUCGUCGAAUGUCCAAGAAUUUUGUAGUACUUUAUAAGCUUAUUAGAUAACUAAAAAAAAAAAAUACCUCAGAGAGAAACAUAGAAAGUUAUUCUUGUGAGGUCUUCACCUUUAGCCAAUCGAUCAGUUUAGUAGUUUUUCCGAAUUGGACAAAUAUAAGAGAGAACAAACUGCGACUCACCUGAGCUAAAGAAAGCACGGCUGAGGUAAGCAGAGUUGCAAGAACAUCCCAAGCGUACGUCAACAACCAGACCUCUCCGAUAACCUCAACACCAUUACUCUUUUUGGUCUCCAUUUGUACGGACGCACUCGACGUACAAGAACAAAUUAAAUCCCUGUAAGUAAACGUCAAGAACACAAGACAGUUAGAUAUGUUCCCAACUGUAAGAUCCUCGCUCAAAACUAAACAGUAGUAGUAGUAGUAGUAGUAGUAUCCUAUAUAUAUAAAGAAUGAAUCAAACAAAACUCUAGUUAGCCGGCCGGCGGCAGACUAGCCCUAGCAGUUUGUUGUUUUUUCCGAUAAUUUCGAUUUUCUUUGCUGUUAGAUCAGAUGAAAAAGCUCGUGCAACCGCCAAAAAAAAAAAAAAGGAGAAAGGUAUAGAAAUGCUUGGUAUAUAUGAAACAUAAGAGAGUGAGAACUAGAAAAUGGUGAAAGCAAAAAAGAGAAGUGGUUAUUACCUGAAGUUUCUGCUGAAGGUGGAAAUUAGCAGAGAACUUGUAUUGAGCUCUCUUUUGUUGGUUCCGUUUGCUUAGAGAUCUGAACUGUAAAGACUAAGGAGAGUGAGUAGUUCUGAAGCUUUUAGUCGUUAAGCUAGCUAGCGUUGGAAUCAUUUGAUUCUCCACCGUUGGAUUGUGAUCCUGCAGAGAAAGAAGGAAAGAACCGAACCUUCUCUUUUCUCUUUCUGCGUAUAGAGAGAGAGAGAGAGAGAGAGAGAGAGAGAGAGAGAGANNNNNNNNNNNNNNNNNNNNNNNNNNNNNNNNNNNNNNNNNNNNNNNNNNNNNNNNNNNNNNNNNNNNNNNNNNNNNNNNNNNNNNNNNNNNNNNNNNNNNNNNNNNNNNNNNNNNNNNNNNNNNNNNNNNNNNNNNNNNNNNNNNNNNNNNNNNNNNNNNNNNNNNNNNNNNNNNNNNNNNNNNNNNNNNNNNNNNNNNNNNNNNNNNNNNNNGAGAGAGAGAGAGCUUGAAAUGAAUGUAGUAGGAUGUAGUAGGACCAAUGGGGGCAGCAUGCUGCAUGCAUAUGGGCAGUGAUACAGUUCCACACUCCGGCUGCCCGAGAGACUAGUCAGACUAGCUGCUAGGUCUGGAUUUCUAAUCAUGAACAACUUCUGCUUUUUCUUCUUCUUUUUUCUUUUUUUUUUUCCUUGAGAAUGAACCCCUUCUGCUUUGUUAAUUGUUAGUGUUUGAAACUGUGAAAAGACUAUGAACGAUGUUAAUUUUUAUACCACGCUUGUUAAUCACCCUGAAGCUAAUAUGCAACAAGAAUACAAGAUAGUGUAUGCGUACAUAUGACUCCGUUGGGAUAAAUUACCUUUACCUCAUAUACAAUUCAUGUUUUGAGCCUAAAUACAUAGCGUUUAAGGUAACUGUGUGAUCUCGAUAAAAAAAAUUGUGCAAUAUUAGUUCAAUGUACGUUUUUAUUGCAAAUGCACGCACAUUACAAAUUCACUUGGGAUGAACUCUUCAAAUCAAAAUAAAAAAAUUACACUAGGAAUGAAAAUGACUGAAACUAUUGUACGUUAUUAACCAAAUAAUAGAGAGCCAUCAAGUCUUAUUUAUGAAUAUGGAUCGGUUACCAUACAUAUUAGUUGGGGGAGACCCAUCAGUAGUGAAUACUUUCGGUGAUGGUUCAGGACAAGACCUGUGGCUGUGAGAUAUCCUUCUGUAAUUUAUUGCAGUCGUCGAACUUUUUCCUUCAGGACUUGCUUCUUCUACAAAGGAUCACACAACUUUGAGGAAAAAGCAAAAGAAAGCUAGGGAAGAGAAUAAUGUAAUCUCAGCAUUUUUCUACGCACUAGUUUUCACUUUUCAUAAAUCUCGCGAUACCUGUGAAGACGCACUGGGAAAGUGUUCAUAUUCCACACAGGUAUUUGUUCCAAACACAUUUUGACGCAGAGCUUUUGAUUCUCUCUUGCAUGUCCCAAGCUAAUAACCCUUCCCUUUGGUUCUUUCAUUAAUAUAUUUAUGAAAUUCAGAUGUCGAUUUCUAAAUUUAUCUUUUAAAGGGAAAGACAACAUGUUUGAUAAAAUGUCUCAAAGAAAUAACAAUUAAGUUUGAAGUUUGAACAAUGAAAAAUAUAUCAUUGGUGCUAUAUGACUAUUUGAGAGGUUUAUCAUGUUCCUCGCAUGACAAACCCUCAACUACCUCCAAUACCACACAUAGGCUUAAAUUUUCAACACUCUCGAACUGGUUCUAGUUAAAGUUUUAUAUGAGCUAGGCCUUCUUUAACUAUAACAAGUCAGAAGUAAUGACACAUUACUUGAUUAACAAACUUAGGUUUGAUGAUUAUCAAACUUAUAUGUGCAAAACAUGUUCCAUGAGCAGCUUCUCUUUUUGUUGUUGCAAGUCUUUUAUUUUCUUUAGAUUAAUAAGCAAAGGUGAGGCUGACACCAAAAUCCAAAAGGAGGCUUUUCUAGCACACCCCCUACAGGAUGACAACCAAAAUUUCAAACAAUAUAUAUACACACUUGCGAAAUAUUUUGAGGAAGCUAGCUAGUUUGAAAUGAUUUUCACCAAGAGAUCAGAAAAACCUCCCUCCAGCCAAGCAAGUAAAAAGCCGGCCAAUUGAACCAGCCAUAUUUAAGUGCUAUAUAUACUGAUCAUACUAGGAAAUGACAAAUCUGAGCUUAAAUUAUUAUUUUCCUUUUGUUUAUAUACUUUGCACUUUUGCAGUAUAGAUAAAUAGAUGAUAGUACGUUGCUGCACAGACUUGGCUAGUUUUACAUUACAGAAUUCUGUAUACUAUGUACCGUUUUAAUUCAAAAUAAAAAUCAAACUGAAAGAAAGUUCCUUCUUAUGGAUAAUACCCAAUUCUCAAAAAUGCAUAACCAAAGUUUCUGAAUCCACAAACGACACAAUAAGGAAGCUGAAUCAUAAUGAAGGAAGACCAUGUGUAAACAGAUGCUAAGCUAGCUAGAAGCCUAAAAGGAAAAGCUUAAAAGGAAGCUGAACUGGUGCGCCUAAGUUGGUAUGUAGGCAUGGAAUUAGUAGGAUUUGAAGAUAAGAGUAUCUCCACCUCCUGCAUCAAAAACACAUUAAGAAGUAGUAAAGAGCUAGUGUUAACAGUUUAAUUCCAAGCAAUAUAGUCCUAUUAUCAUGGAGAUACUGACCAAAAGACUUAUAACAUACAGUUCUUAAUUACUUGGGGAAAAUGAAAAAACCUAAUAUCACCGGACAAGCUCAUGCAGUCUCGUGAAUAGUAGAAAUCCUUUUCCUUAGAUGCAGCAUUUCAAAGAACAAGCCAGCAUUUCCCAGCUUGUAUGGAUGUCUUAAAACUAAGCAUAAGUUUUAGGUGAAGACUGAAACUUCAGUUAAGUUUUCAAAUGUGUUAGAUGCAGGACAACUACUAAAUUUAAAAUUUAAUUAACCAAAUCCCUUAUUUGCAACUUCACCUAUCAAAUUAUAAAGUCGAAGGUCGGAUUGUUGGAACUCAAUAUCUUAAGGAUCUAGAGUACUUUUGACACCAUAUUAGACAAUCACUGAACUCUGAAUAAGAUAUGGAGUUUUGACACCAUAUUGGAUAAUCACUAAACUCUGAAGGCUUAUACUUGUUAAGAAAUGAGACAAUAGAUACUACUCAUACCAGUUUAUGCAAAAGAGAAAAUGGAUACUAGCGUAUGCAAAAGCCAACAAGAAAACCCUAUGAUGAAACAAAAAUAUACACAUCACAACAGAAGUAUAAAAAUAACAGUAAUGGGUGGGUACGUUGCUUAACAUUUGUGAUUCUGGUACCUUUUGCUUUUUGAGCCAGGUAUUCAUUUUUUCCAGGUGAGAUACUUUACUCUCCAACUGAUUGGUAUAAGCCUAUAUCAUUAAACAAAAGCAUACUCGUAAGUUGCAAGUUCAUAUUAUAUAUAGAGACAGAUGAUGGAGUAACUACUUUAACUACAUCAUAAAGAUAGCGCUGUAAGAUAUAUUCAAAAUGACCUGCUUCCUUGCCCUUGACCUUGCUGCUGACUCUCUAUUCUUGAUCAUCCUCUUCUGCCUCCUCUCAAUGCUUUUCUCCUUCAUUUCAUCUGAGUAAUUGCGCUUCCUCUCGGCAUGAGUUGCCUGAGACUCUGAUGAUGAUGCUGCUGAUAUUUCUGGCAACGGAAUUGACAUACCCACUUGAUGAUUCUCAGAGAAAUUAUCAAGAUUCAUAGCUGAUGAUGAGUUCUCAAACACUGACUCACAAACCGUGAAAUUUGAGUCCAACAUGGUCAUUUGCUGAGCAGCAGCAGCAGCAGCAACUUGGAACUGAAACCAAUCUGCCUGCUGUGAUACCACGGCUUCUGGAUCAAUAGGCAUCAUUUGAUGAGCAUUUAGGAUACCUGCUCGAACUAGGAGAUGUUCAGGUGGUGUUGUUUCUGUUGUUGGCUCCCCAAUAGUAGUCAUUCUUUGAUGAUGCAAAGAAUCAUGGGCUGCAGCAGAAUUGAGAUUGAGAGAAUGAUGAUCAUGAUGAGCAAUUUCCUUCCAUACCUCAUCGAUAGUAAUUUUCUUCUUAGUAGUACUCAUUAGUGGUCCAUUCAAAUUGAAAUUCCCAAGAAAUAGUGAAGUGGGUAGUGAGGAACAAGAAGAAGAAGCGUGUUGCAGCAGCUGCACUUCUUGAUCAACUGAGAUCACAUUUUUAAGAAACUCAUCCAAAUGUGCCAUUCUAGUAUUUAGAGGCUUGCUCAUAUUGCCCAAAUUGCUUUCAACCUCAUUGCGAUCCAAAGUCAGAUUGUAAUUAGAACCUUGUCCAGCCAAUGGAGGAAACUGUGGUUUCUCGUCUCCAUUUCCAGACACCAAAGUUCUAUCAUCCAUAUGUACCCUUCCAAAACCUACCUGAUAGCCAAGUCACACAUCCCCUGGACACCUCAAAUUGGAUAUAUAUGGUCUACACCCAGAAUAGAAAUGUAUAUAAAUGUAAAGAAUAGUAAAAAUGUGGAAGAAUGGGAAAAUUCAAACCAUGUUGAUGAGUUGGUAAGAAGGUUAGGGAAGAGUCACAUUGUGCAAUGUGAGAAAUGGAAAGGUGGGUGAAGAGGGAGUGAGCAGUCAAGAAGCAGCUUGAGAAGCGAAAUGUGAGCCGCAGGAAAUGAUCGGGCCGAAGUUGAUUUGUUGUAGAGGAUCCUAUUUUCAGUGAGAGAGUUCUCAUCUUAACAGCCAUACCAGAUUUUCAUGCUACAUUUGGGGGAUAAUAGAGACCCAAUUACCAUCCUCCAUUAGUUCCUCAAUCGUCUCUAAUCUCUCUCUCUCUCACCCUCUGUUCCACUUUAUUUUCUCUUCCAAUAGAUAUGAGAAUGUAGUAUUUCUUAGGGUUAACGUAGACAUAUAUAUAUAUAUUUUUGAGUAAAUGACACUUUAGUAUUAAUUUUAAAGGUUUAUUGCCCAUUCCAAUAAAAAUCUCUUUACCAACCCCAUUCCAAUGAAUUCUAAUAAAAAUACGUCAUUACCCUUGACCUCAUUUAACUCUCUUUCUCUGUUUCUCACUUUCUCCUCUCUUUAUCCCCGAUCAAAAACUCUCUCUCUCUCUCUCAGAUCCGUCACCGGAAAUGAUAAAAGUCGGAGAAGCAAAACCUAAGAGGAAUCGGGGGAGAAUACAUGAGAGAAGCCAUUGUAGACCUCAGAUUUGAGCCGAUUAGGCUCCUGCAAGGCUAGAGGCGGCGACACCAUCACUGAGCGAGCACUGUUCACCUUGACACAGACCUCGGCGCUAGGGCUUUUCUUCUUCUUCUGUUGCUCUCUCGCCGCAUUCCUAGGGUUUUGCGGCCACACGUUCUUGGAUCUGGCAUUCGAAUCUCAGGCAACGCCUCUCCUUUUGUCCGACAGCUUCAGCAGAGGUCGAAUUCAGAGGAAGACUCGGAAAUUCUCCGGGUCGGGUUUCGAGUUGAAUAUGUCCAUGGAGAGGAUCUCUUCCAUCGGGAAAGGGACCUUAGGCACAGUACAUGAUGGAGUUGGAAUUCCGGCGGCUGUGGUUGCCGGAGUAGUUAACGGCCUCGCUCUACGGUGAGGGUUACGCCGCACCGUCACCGUGGAUGGACACUGCUCCAGGAUUGUGGGGUCCAUAGUUUUGGCGUCGGGUUCGGUGGAGAAGGCUGGUAGCCAUAUAAACUAGGUGUAAACGUUUACUAGGGGUAGUAAACUUUAUUUUUUCGCAUGUAAGUUGAUUUUUCUCUUUUUCAAUGUGAAUUAUGGCAUUGAAGCUACUGUUUUGCAAGUUUACUAUCCCUAGUAAAAGUUUACUAGGGGUAGUAAACUUUAUUUUUUCGCAUCUAAGUUGAUUUUUCUCCUUUUCAAUGUGAAUUAUGGCAUUUGAGCUACUGUUUUGUAAGUUUACUACCCCCAGUAAAAGUUUACUAGAGGUAGUAAACUUCAUUUUUUUUGCCGGUAUGCUUCCGGCAAGAUCCGGUGGGUUCCGGUGACAUUUUUUUCAAAAAAAUCCAGUGAGACUCCGACGUCUCCGACGAUUUUCCGAUCACCAUCAAUUUUCCGGCGACCGGUGACCGGAAUCCGGCGGCCAGUGUCCGGUGUUCAGCGACCGGAAUCCGGUGACCGACGACCGGCGCCGGUGUCCGGUGUGCUUCCGGGAAAGUCUUUCCUUUUUAUUUUUUAUUUUUUCUCUUUAAAUAAAGGUUAAGGGUAAAAAAGUCUUUUAAAAUAUCAUUUAUUAUAUUUUAAUAAAGAUUUGUGUAUUUGGGCUUAAAAUAAAUACCUUGUAUUCAAAUAGGCUAAUAAAAAAGAUUAUCAUUGAAAUAGGGUUUGACUUUUUCUAUUUUGUGCAAAUGGUCUUUUUUCUUUUUAAUUGAGGGGGUAGAAUAUUAACACGCUUAAUUAUGUCCUCAUAAUUACGCAAAUUUUAUUCACACGCUGUUUUUUGGAUGUGUUGUAAUCAGUUGCAAAUAAUCAAAGAUCUGAUCAAGCUACAAAAAUGGCUGAUCGGUUUCUCUGAAACUUUACUUUGUAAUCCCGUCGCGUUUUGGAGAUCGAUAGCAUACCUUCUUGUCCAUACAAGCGUGUUGCAAUGGUUUUCAGUACGUUUCUGCACUCCUCGCAUUAAUUUUGGAGAUAGCAUACCUUCUUCUCCAUACCAUAUGCAUGAACUUUCCCUUGCAUAUAGUUCAGGCCCAUGUUGGGGAAUGGGGCUUUGUGUAGGUUUUCUUAAAGAUUAGUAAUAAUACACUAGUGAAAUGGGUUUCAACUUUCAAGGUUAUGAUGAAUGAGUGCAAUCAGUUCAUGAAAUGCAUGUAACGAUGACUAGAGAAAGUGGCCGUAAACUGGUAAAGGAAGUGGAUCGAUCAAUCAAUCAGAGAAUGGAUGAAUGCGUGGGUGUGCUCCGGCCUUCCUUUGUGCAACGUGGUCACCACUCAGAUCGAUCUUGCGUGCUUUUUUUUUCUGUCUUCUUUUACAGGAUGAUGAUGAUGAGUCAUAGCACAAGUUAAACCGGCCAAUUAAGUAAGAGGAUACGUGGUACUUCUCCUCACCUGCGGGAAAACACGUACGUACAAGCAUAUAUAUAAACACACGUACACACUCGCACCUAGCUAGGUUUAGCUGGGUUUUGUUCCUUUUGAGCCGCAACAGUAUCAAGAACUGCGUCUGUUUCCUGUCAAUAUUAAGAUCCCUAAGUUUAUAUCUAAAACAACAACGCUUUCUAGUCUAAGGGCAGGCGCCGUUUCUGAGUUUUCAAAUUGAUGUUUAAAGAAAAUCAUAUAAACCCUAGUACGUUUCUGAGAUAUAUGUACUGCAUGUAAUUAAGUUUUAGUUAUUUUUCUGCAAAUUAAGAACUAAAAACGGAAUCCAAGCUGCAUGUAUUGCCACUUGAUUGAAUAUAUAGAAAGGCAAAUCGAGCUAGGAACCAAAUCAAACCAGUGGAUGAUAAAGGCCUUCACCUUACACCACCAGAUAUAGCACAGAAUCAAUUGUAUCAGGACAGGGAAUACAAUUAAGGGAUGACUUGCAACAGAAUCAACGACCAAAUUAACAUUUACAUAUAUUGAUAUAAACAGACACGCACGGAUCGAUAUAUACCAAGUACCACCAAACUAAGCUAAACUAGAAUUAUCCAAGCUCUCAUACUACGUACGAACUUGAACCAAAACCUAUCAUGUCAAUCACUCCUGGGAAUUUGAAUAACUGAAUAAGAUAUAUAUAUAUAUAUAUAUAUAUAUAUAUAUAUAUAUAUANNNNNNNNNNNNNNNNNNNNNNNNNNNNNNNNNNNNNNNNNNNNNNNNNNNNNNNNNNNNNNNNNNNNNNNNNNNNNNNNNNNNNNNNNNNNNNNNNNNNNNNNNNNNNNNNNNNNNNNNNNNNNNNNNNNNNNNNNNNNNNNNNNNNNNNNNNNNNNNNNNNNNNNNNNNNNNNNNNNNNNNNNNNNNNNNNNNNNNNNNNNNNNNNNNNNNNNNNNNNNNNNNNNNNNNNNNNNNNNNNNNNNNNNNNNNNNNNNNNNNNNNNNNNNNNNNNNNNNNNNNNNNNNNNNNNNNNNNNNNNNNNNNNNNNNNNNNNNNNNNNNNNNNNNNNNNNNNNNNNNNNNNNGUGGAGAAGAGUUGGGGUUAGGGGAGAAGACGUGCUUUCGACGAUAUUAGGGUAGAACCGUAGAAGAUGUUGAAAAGAAUACUUUUAGUGUGUUAAUUUAUUUUUUUUUUUUAAUAAUAGAUGUUUGUUUUGGUCAUUUAGCUUACCUAUAAAAUCUCAAUAGAAACAUAAAAUAACAGAGGUGUGUAUUAAGAUAUUAGGGGUGUGUAUUUAAAAUUUCUCCUCUUUAAUUUGUAGACUAUUUUUACAACUACAAAUGAGUAACCAAUCUAAGAACCGAUUAAUAAUGAUCUCGAUCAUUGGUAUGGUGAUCCUUAUUACACACUUAUUGAAUUAAUGAUGUAAUAAGGGACGGAGUUAGGCCCGCAACACCUUGUUGAUUAAGCAUGCUAUGACGUCUAAUAAGGGACUGCGUGUUCAAGUAUGCCAUGACAAACAUAAAGCUAGAUAUUGAAAGAAAGGAGUCGCUAGCUUUUUCAGUUUUUCUCUUCUGAGUGGGAAAAGUUGGAAUCCCGGCGCGCGGUUGUUCAUGAUCAUCGAUCAACUAUUCCUUCCUAUGUUUAUUUGUUUUUCCGCAACGAAUAGAAUUGAGUAACAUCACCAACCACAUGCAUUGAAAUAAGCUAAUGGAAUAAUCUUUAAGUCAUCUAAUGGUCAUAUUGACACCCCAAAUGGUUGGUUUUCUCUACGAAUGCCUUUCCUUUUCAUGAUUUUUCUAAUGGUUCUUCUUGUGAUUGUUUAAGUUCACAUAACAUGGGACUAGAAUCUUGGCUCCCAAGACUAAUAUCUCCAAUGCCACUUGGACCAGUUAGGCCGUAUUCUGCUGCACUUUGCCUACUUAAUUUGUGUUCCGUCGAUCUUUCUGCAAAUUUAUUUAAACUUGAUUCUUGUUUAUGUAUAAUUCUUUGACCGACAUCAUUUUCAUGAGAAACCACACCUGAACAAGUUAUUUAUUGAACGAUAUAUAUGGUGACAUAUGUUUAUAUUAUGAAGUUAGAGUUUGUAGCUAGAGGCGGAGCCAAAAUUAAGUUGAGUUCCGAGGUGUCACAUAGCCAAGUUUUUAUUGUUUCCAACAAAGUUAAUAUUUAAUUAUAAUUGAUAAUGGUUUGUAGCUAGGGUGUGUGCGUAGAUCAGUUGGGGGGGGGGGGGGGGGGGGGGGAGGAUGACACCCCUUCCCCUCUUCUUAGCUUCGCCUUAGCAUUCUCAAUCGGUUUCAAUCUGUCCUCUUUUGAAGAAACAUAAAUGGUGCAAGGUUUGGAGAUCAUCGAGAUAGAUGAACAAAAUUUUGGAAAUUUUGGUAGAAGAAAAAAUAGAAUAACUUGUUAUUCAAAUUAAGAAGAAAGAAAACACAAAGUGAAAAAGAAAAGAAAGUGGGCGGGAUAUAGUCUUAAGUCCAAACAAAAUGCCUUUUAGUAAAUCAUUUUAUUAAAAGUUAUCUUAAGCUGGAGAUGCGUUUGGUAUAAGCACUAGAUCAUCACUUUAGAUUUUCAUUAAUUAGUGAUGGGAGUUAGGGAAGCAUCUGCCAUUAGCUGAUGAAAACAAAUAAAUUACAAGGUAGAAAAGAAAUCAAAGUCCCAUCCUGAGGCAUUAUAAACAAAGCAAAAGUGAGACUAUGCCCGAUUCUUUAUACUCAAUUAUGAUCUAAAAUGGAUGAUGCAUUGGUGUCUUUCUCAUUUUACAAAUGUAAUCAAAACUUCUAUAUGUACAAAUUACAUGUGAUCUAGCACACUGACAUACCAGUUUUGAUCUAGUUUAAUCACUUGAAUUGUUAUAAUACAUAUGAUGGCAACAGCCAAUCCUAGCUUUGUAGAUAUUACAUUCAAAACUUUGUAUCUAAAGUAAACUUCGAAUCUUCUUCUCAUAAUAUAAAAAUGUUCAGUUCGAAUCUUCUGUCUUUCAUGAUAUAUAUAUUUUAAAUCGAUUGAUAUCAUUUUUCAUCAGCUUCUCUGGUUAUAUCUCCAAUUUAGAUUAUAAAUCCUAUAAAACUGUGGAUUCUUAUAUCCAAGUACUUCAUGCAUAUUGUUUUGUUCUAUGUUUGGUAUCACCCCUACAUUAUCAAGGUUAGCUAGGCUAGGAUUUUCAGUUUAGGUGUACAUAGAGGUGGCAAAUGGGCUGCAAAACAUGGCACGGCACGUUUAAAAGCGGUCCGGUACGGCCCAAGUCCGUUAACAGCCCGGCUUGGUCUAAAUACGUUAUUCUAAUAGGUCGGGCUAGGUCUAAAAAAAUGAGCCCAUGGGCCCGGCCUGGCCCGAGCACGAUAAUUUGAGGCCCACGGCCCUGCCCGCUAUAAAAUAUAAUUUUUUUCCAUUUUUAAUAUGAAGAUAACAUAUUUAUAAAUAAUAAAUUUAGUUUUGAGUGUGAACAAUAAACUUAUAUCUAAUAAUUAUUUAUUUGAGUAUGAAUUUAGAUUCCUUUAGACUCGUAAGAAGUUUUUGCCUAAAAAUUUAUUAAAUUGUGAAUAAUAAGUAUUUAUCAUUUAUUUCUUUAGUUGUUGACAAAGAAAAAAAUGAUUGAUAGAUUGUGUGAAUUAGUUUUGGUUUGUAAUCGUAUCAUGUAUAAUUAAAAGUUGAGAUCAUGAGCGUAGAAGCAGUGGUAUAGGACAUUCACCUCGAUUAUUUUUAAUUUUCGGCACGAAACGGGCCCGACACAGCCCGUUCAUGAUCCCGGCCCGGCCCGGCCCACCACAGUAUGGGCUUGGGCCAUGGGUCGGGCUAGGCCUUACAUUUGAGUAACUGGGCCGGCUCAAGCACGGCCCGAAACCCGAUUAGACGGGCCGGGCUGGGCCGGCCUGUUUGCCACCUCUAGGUGUACAAGUUUUGGCACCUAAUAAUACACUACCAGAAGAAAGGUUUUAGCCGACGAAAAUAAAAAAACCAGGCUGGCGAAUUAUUUUUUCGUCAGCUAAAGUCCACUUUAGCAGACGAAAUUUCCCUUCGUCGGAUAAUUUAAAAUUUUCGUCGGCUAUGGUCAACUUUAACCGACGAAAUUAAAAUUUCGUCGUCUGAAUAAUUUUUUUCGUCAACUAUAGUCUGUGAACUUUAACCGACGAAAUUUUUAAAAGUUUAGCCGACGAAAAAUAUAAUUUCGUCGGCUAAAGUGCCUUAUAUUUGCAGAUCUGGACAAUAACUCAUCUGGGAAAAAAAAAACUAUACGUAGAACCUUCAAACGCAAAAAAGUAGUGAAAUAAGAUAUGACCAGAAUGGUGAAAUAUGUCUACAAUUGAAAAAUUACGGUAUUCCGGUAAAGUCUCGGUGCCGAUAGUUGCGGUCAAUGCAAUUUACUCUUAUUAUUCACUAUGCUACAGAUUUGGUUUUUGGUGUCUGAUUGACUAUUGUGAUACCUUUCCGGAAGCGUAAUGGCCCUACGAGUCAAACUCAUUGCUAUUUCCAUGAUGUAUGGGCCCUUUUGGCCAUCCGAGUCCGUUUAGGGCUUCAAAAUGUAGUUUUCUUAUUUCCGAUUAGAGUUGACAAUUUCGAUCGAGCCCUUAACGUUGUCCAAUCUAGUUGAAUUUUUUACCAUAGACAUCUUUCGUCAUAAUGAUCAUAUCUGACAGUCGAAUUUUGGUUUGUGAAUUUUAGUCAUCGGAAUCACGUGUCUACUAUUUAUAGUUAUUAUUCCCUAUGGGGAGCCCUAUCGUCGGAAGGUAAAUGUCUCAAAAUUUUUAUAUGGACAGUUGCGUCUCAUCUACGUGAGAGUUUUUUGUGUGGAAUGUUUGACCAAACUACGUAAUAUAGAGGGAGAUAUUAGCGUUUUCGUGUGAUAAGUGACGAUCGAUUAGGGUUGACCGUUUCGAUCGAGCCCUUAACGUUGUCGGAUCCAGUUGAAUUUUUUACCAUAGACAUCUUUCGUCAUAAUGAUCAUAUCUGACGGUCGAAUUUUGGUUUGUGAAUUUUAGUCAUCGGAAUCACAACGUGUCUACUAAUGUUGUAUAACUUGUUUAGUAGGUUAUACAACUUUGUGAACCAACUCUACAUAGGAAGCAAAAUUAUCAAAAAUCUCGUGAAAUAAGAUGUGUUCAAAAUGGUGAAAUAAGGCUGUGGUUCAAAAAUCACGUAAAUCAGGUAAAGUCUCGGUGCCGAUAAUAGCGGUCAGCCCUAUUUACUGUUAUUAUUCCCUAUGGGGAGCCCUAUCGUCAGAAGGUAAAUGUCUCAAAAAUUUUAUAUAGACGGUUGCGUCUCAUCUACAUGAAAGUUUUUCGUGUGGAAGGUUCGACCAAAGUACGUAAUAUAGAGGGAGAUAUGAGCGUUUUCGUGAAUUUAUAGACUUUAGCCGACGAGAUAUUAAAAAAGUCAUCGGCCAAGGUCAAAAAAAUUUGGGCGGGGAAAAUUUUCAAAAGACUUUAGCCGAUUUCGUCGACUAAAGUCGAAAAAUUUCAAAAUUUUCAACCAAAAUUUUCAAAAUUUUCAAAAGAGUUUAGCCAACGAAAAUAAAUAAUUUCGUCGGGUAAAGUUCUUUAUAUAGGAGUUUUACCGGAGGUGGAUGGUAAGAAGUCUGUUUCGCCUGUCGGAUUUUCUUCUCGGCCUAGCUCCGCCGUCUAGCCAUCAGAGACUGCCACACUUGUCCCAAAAGCUUCACUGUCGUCUCUACUUCAUUGCUGGACAGGUGAUGCAUCGAGUGGCGCCGCCGUGAGGGAUAAAUUGAGCUCCAAAACUCCGCCGGUUCGGAUUCGGUGUCGAUCGAAUUUCUCCUUCCUCAGGUCACCAUUUGGUGAGUUCUAUAUAUGGAUAAGUUGAGUUUGAUUAGUACUACAUUCCCUUAGAAUUUGGUAGCUCGAUUCGGUGUGUGUGAGGAGAAUCGAAGAUUUGAAGUUUUUAGGGUUUAAAAUUGGGGAUUUUUAUAUUUUGAUUCAAUUAACCUGUUUAGGCUUAGAAUUGGGCUUCGACUUAUUCUAGAAAGUUGUUCGAAAUGUUGAGAGGAAAAUUCUGUCAAAUUUUGGUGGUGAUUGGAGGUGGCCGAAAGUUUCUGCAGUUUUUUUUUUCAAAAACCAGCAACUUUAGCCCACGAUAUUUAAAUACUAUAGCCGACGAAUAUCUUCAGUUUAUUCGUCGGCUAUAGUAUUUUUUAAUUUUUUUAUAAGGUUUAGCCGACGAAUUAUGGCAUGUUUCGUUCGGCUAUAGUUNUUUUUUUAAAUUUUUUAUUAAGGUUUAGUCCGACGAAACAGACUAUAUUUCGUUGGCUAUAGUUAUUUUUUAAUUUUUUAUAAGGUUUAGCCGACGAAACAGACUAUAUUUCAUCGGCUAUAGUCUGGGAAAAUUUUUUUAUUACAGACUUUAGCCGACGAAUAUCUUAAUUGUUUCGUCGGCUAAAGUCUGUAAUAAAAAGCGACGAUAUGUUUUUCGUCGGCUAAACUGUGGGACUAUAGCCGACGAAAUUUUUUUUUCGUCGGCUAAAGUCAUCACCGAUGACAUUUUCCUGACGAAAUCUUAGCCGACGAAUUAAGCUAACAGGCCGACGAAUUAAGCUAACAGGCCGACGAAACUUUUUCAUCGGCUAAAGUGCUUGUCCUGGUAGUGAUAGUCUAAAAUUCUACACCUCAAACUGAAUAAUUAAUGGCUUGGAAAUCGUAGUAUAUGCAGUACUGCUAUAUAUCACUAUUUAGAAUAAUUUACUCCUAUUCUUUUGGUCUUAUUUAUAAGAGAAGAUUUGAAUUGGGAUAUAUUAAGAGAUUGCAACCGGUACAAGGAUAAACCACAUGUUUCAAAUUAAAAGUCUAUAAAUGUAAGUUAAAACUUCUCUCGUACCUUACAAGUUCAAAACUUCUCUUGUAUUUGUUGUUUACUAUACCAUGCCACCAAACAUGUGUCAGUUGUUACACAGAUGGAGUUGUUCAUGUUUUACGGCAGCCUCCUCCUAUUCACUGGGUAAAGGUGUACACAUAUGGAUCUUUUCAUGAUCAGGCACACUCAGGUUAUGGUGGUAUGUUUAGAAAUCAUGAUGCAUCAUUUCUAGGUGCUUUUUUGCAGCUCGUGCUCAUGUGGUUAAUGCCGAAAUGUUAGCAGUGAUUGAGGCAGUGCAUAUUGCCUAGACUAAUCAAUGACACAAUCUUUGGUUGGAGGUUGAUUCGUUGAUAUUGUUAAAGUACUUCAGGGUGACUUUGUCUGCUCCAUGGCACUUGCAUAUAGUUUGGGAAAAUUGCAUGCAUACUGCACAUAUAUUCAAAGAGGGCGAUUCGGUUGCCGAUAAGCUAGCUAACUAUGGUGCAAAUACAGAGGGUUCGGUGGGAUUCUCUACCGCCAUUCUUGCACUUGCCUAGUCAUGACUUCUCAGGUCGGCUUACAAACAUGUUUUCUUAGUUUUUCAAGCCUCUUUUUUAGGUGCUAUUUCUGUAAUAAAUAAAUAAAAAAAGGUCUUUUUCUUCUUUGAUUUAGACUUUCAUUAGCAUUGUAUUCUCUGUUAACAAGGUUCUAGUUUAGUCCCCCUUACUUUGUAUCUUUUCUUUUGAUAUUAAUAAAUUUUCGAAUAAAAGCAAUGAGAUAGCUCUUAUUCUGUUUACCAAAAAAAAAAAAAGUGUCGUUCGUGUCCAAGAAAGUGACACAAAUGACCAUCUUAUAAGUAAAUGAUCCUUAUUGAUUGAUCGAUCACUUGUGGUAAGUAAUGUGAUGAAUUUGCUCUAUUUUAUAUAGACAAUAAUUGGGGAUUAUAUAUAGUGGUGAUCAAGCUCAGAAGACCUUACGUACAUAUUAUUACCAAAUGGACGAGCAUCAGCUAGAUAUAUAAGGCCACUUGGUCAUAUAUAGUACUUUUAGUUUAUUCUUUUUGAUUGAUGGUUUCCCCUGCCAAUCUUGGUUUCGUUUGUUUUCUUGUUGCUUUACUCUGUAACUUGUAUGCUAAGUUGACGCAGCAUUGCUUCGUCUGAUAUGGGAAGCACACACAGUGCACAUUAUGCAAGCACAACCGAAAGACAUUACAAUAUGUCAUUGCCGGCUCAAAUUUGCCAAAACUGCUAUGCAUAUAAUUGAUGAUAUGAUUUAUCAGUUAUAGAGUUUUGACAAUGAUCGCAUCAUCAUUUGUUCUAGUGACAUAAGUUUUAUCUUUUUAAGCACUCAUCGAUGAAAAUAAAAAAAUUUUAACACACAUAAUAUACAUAUACGUUCGGUUUAUAGAGUGAACUUUCGUACGUGUAAUUUCUCCUAAUUAACCUCUUGCAAAAGGUUUUCACAUGUGGUAGAGCAUUUAUAUAGCUUCCCAAGUUGAUGGGAAUUCGAAAGUGCUACUUUCAAUUUCCUCAUUUCAUCCAUACAGUACAUACUUUUUUAUGGAUCACGAUAGUACGUCCUCAUGCUCCUUUAGAAUGAGAAGGGACAUUUUUGUCGGAAAAGCUUUGGAUCGAUUAUCCUCUAAUCUUAUGUACUUAGUUAAUUAAGUAGUACGUUAACUGACAUUAUGCUCUUUUAAUUUCCAACCAAGCAGGAAGCUUAUUUUGAAAGGAUCUAAGAUCGAUCUAAGGAUAAACCAAGAGAAUGGUACAUGAGGGUGAUUAGUUUAAACAUCUCCACCUAAACAACCAAUAUAUAUAUGGUGCCUCUGAACUACGGUACCUUGAUUGGUGAAGAUAGCGUGACAAUGAUAAACUGAAAUUAAAACAAUAUUUUCUGCUACGUAAUUACCAGCUCUCCAAACCCUGGCUGUUAUACGGCUUGCAUUUCUAAAGAUCGAAGCCGGAUGUGUGUUUUGGUGCUGUUGUUCGAUGGAAACUCAGGUGGAUGAGGUUUCUGCGCUCGAGUUUGAUGAUAUUGUUCAGUAAUGGGAUCUUCGUCACGGCUGGUGAGAGGCUGACUCUUCAUCUUUCAAGUGCAACGCCAAAUGUCUUGGUGGUCACUGCCGUGUUGCUGGCGGGGAAGUCAGGAUCUGGCAGCGGCAGCGUAGGAUGUUGUGGGAGUGUGGGACGAUGGUGUGUAUGGAGAGGGAUGUGACUAAAGGCCGAUUAGAGCUUGGGUUUUUCCUUGGUGGGUUUCCAUCUGACUGCUAUGUAAUUAAGUUUUGGAAAAUGAUACUCGGCCGUAAUAAGACCUAAGAUUUAUGACUUUAAUCUUAAGUGACAUGUUAUGUCACCUAGACACAUCACUAAUUAAAAAGAUUAUGUCAUGUUGUUCUUAAGCAAAAAUACAAUCUUUUCCUUCCAAAUCCAAUGACUCUAGAUUAUUUUGUCUUUUUAUUAAGAGAAAAAAAUUUAUUUGUCUUUCUUUUAUAAUUAAAAAAUAUAUAUUACUAGCAUUUUCUUUCUCGUUUUCUUUUCAUCACUGUCAUGCUUAGAUUGAACGUAAUAUGUAGUGUGAAAAUACAUAUAUUUAUGAGAAUAUACUUGUUCAAAACCACGAGUUCUUAAGAAAUUAAUAUAUAUAUAUAUAUACAUAUAUAGAAUAUGACUUAUAUAUAGAUAUCAUAAUUUUAAACUGUAAAAAUAAAAUAUUAAAAUGGAACUAAAUUUCAAUUCAUAAAGAUAGAAGGAAAUUUUAAGAAAUUUACGAAAUUGGUUUAUGGUAUAAAAGCCUAAUUUGGUAUGAUUAUUAACUUGGUCAUUAUUAUUAAUAAAUUAACUAAAUUUGGUAUAUACGUAUCCAUAUUAAAAGGGUAAGAAAAUAUUCCUUAUGUAGCAUCCAUUAAUUAUUAAGGUUAAGAUUGUAUUUUUACCUAAGAAUAAAAUGACAUGAUUUCUUAAAUUGAUGAUGUAUGUGUCUAUGUGACAUGACAUGCCACAUAGGAUUAAGGUCAUAAAUCUUAGGCCUUAUUAAGACCCUCUAGUACUACCCUUAAGUUUUUAACUACCUUCAUAGGAUACAUAUAUAGCUUCAAAGUUAUUUAAACUUCGAUAAUGAUGGUUGGCUGAAGUACAACAAUUGUGAGCUUUGGUGAAUGCUGCUCUCUAUAUAGUUAUCUUUGUUGUUUGAAACAUGUUUAAAGAUUUGUACAAAAUAUAAGCUAGUGAUGAAGCAUAUAAAACGUUUGAAGUAGUAUACUGAUGUGAUUGUAACUUGAUAUUGUAUAUGACUUAUUCUAUUUUUUUUUUAAUUGAGAGUGAGAAGCUAGAUAGCAAUUAACAAGUUAUUUCGGUUAUGUUUAGUUAAUGUGAUUUAUCCUAUAUUAACAGGUAUUCAAAAUUAUUUUUUUUAAAUAAAAAAUAUGUAUCUCUUAUAAAAACAUUUUGGUGUGAUGGUGUCCCAGCCAGUAAGGUACAAUUCCUUCUGUUAGGAGACACCAAGAUAUUUGACCAAAAGAAAAAAAAAAAAAAGACACCAAGAUAGUGAAGAGAAAAAGACCAACGUAGAUUUCAAAAAAAGAAGAAGAAGAAGUAGAAAAAGACCAACGUAACCCUCCUCCUCACUGUCCCCAGACUUUCCUAAAAGUCGCUAACAUCACCGGCCACGGAAGUCACCAACCAUCCCUCGAUCUCCACCUGGCAUCCUCGUGUAAGUGACCUCAUAUCGUCUUUGUCCUUUUGCUGUUUUUAUUUUUCUUUUCUUUUCUUUUUUUGUUUUCUGAAAGAGAAAAAGAAAAGCUUUGUGAUAACGACGUUAGUGGGGGCUUUGACGACGUUAACGGUUUACUGUGGCUCUUUCAGGAAAGAGUGAAUAUUUUAAAGGUGGAGGGGAGAGAGCCAAUGGAUUCCCACAAAUUGGGGUCUCACCAAAUAUCAUUGCAUUGUUGAACUAGAGUCAUCACAUCUCUACCCACAACCCCAUUUCAUCAUUCAAGCUCAAAUUUCAAGUCUUUUUCUACAAAACUUUCCUGGGUUUUGUAUCUCUCUAUUUAUCUUGAAGUUCAAGUUUUGCAGAAAGUCCUUGUUGGUCUAUGCUUUGAAGAUUCACGUUAGGCAUGUUUCAAGAGGUAAUGUUUCUUUUUGCUAAUGUCAAUUUUGUUUGUAUAUAUGUAUGUCCUUGUGUAUGUAUUUGUGAUUACUAUAUGUUAUAUUUGUAAAGAAAUAUAAUAACAACUGGAGAUUAUCACUUCCCCCAACUUUUACUGAGUUUUUUAUCCACUUGUUCUGGUUAUUUAAAGUGAGGAGGUUUUUUAUGUUUAGGAAAGCUUUGAUACCAUGCUUUCUUCUCUGCUUUUAUCGUGUGUCUUCUGGUUUGUGUACAAGGAUGGAGUUUCUAUGACUCAGCAUUAGGAGUUCAGGACAGAUACUCUUCAUCAUGCUCAACCUUUGUUUUUGUUGAGGUUCCAAAUUCCAAAACUAAUGACUGCUUCUUUGAUUCUGGCUUAUGUUGUCAGUUUCUGACUGUGAGAGCUGGUUUCUAGUCCAAUUACUAUUAGUUCAGUGGGGUCAUACUUAUUGGUCUUCUCUUGGAGCCAAGUAUAGAGUUGGGAUUUCACACACUAGGGAUGCCCCAGCUUUGUUCACUUUUUCAUGUGUUUUCUGACUCAGUCCUUUGUUACAAUUUCUGAUAGAGUAUGAGCUAUCCAUCAACGCAAUUUGCUUCCUCAAGACAAAUGGGGAUAUAUGAGCCUUUCCGGCAGGUGGGUGUUUGGAGAGAAACCUUCAGUGGUGGUAACAGCUCAAACAUAGGUGCUUCCACAAUUGUAGAGGUGGAUUCUAGGAUAGAUAACAAGGUAAGGGAGCAUGAAGUUUGGUCUAUUUUCUUCAAUGUUGGAGUCACUUUGAUUUAUCAAUGAGCUUGAAUUGAUUUUGUGAUUGCACUUCUCUAGAUCGGAUUUGGUUCUCCUGAACCGAUGGGACCUUCUGGAAAUGAUCAAGAAUCAAACAGAUCUGCUGAUAAGGUAUUGAUGACUGCUCUCCCUCAUCUGACUCCUCUUACUUCAUUGCAUUACUUGACUUGGCAACAUAAUUAUGUCAUGGUUUUGCUACUGACUUGUGUUUCUGAUCUCAAAGAUUAAUAUCCAUUAUCAUCAUCAAGCUAGAACAAGAUAUGUAGUUGCAAUUCCUAAAUUAUAUUCUUCACUAUUAGCCUUGAUGAAUGGCUCAUCAAUGGUUUGUGAAUCCCCUAUAUCUCAGAUUCUCAGUUCUCUAGAGUCUGGAGUUAUAUCUGAAGAUUGACAAGUUGUAUUCAUAUGCUUUGAUUCCAUCAAUCGUCUCCAUAACGGUACAUUAUUAGAUGAUCAGUCUGACUGAUACAAGUUUAUGAUUCUGAAAGUGCAAGUAUCUAUAUAUAUACAGGUACAGAGACGCUUAGAGCAAAAUCGUGAAGCUGCACGCAAAAGUCGUAUGCGGAAAAAGGUGAAUAUGAAUCAUCUUCAUGUAUUUCAUUGCUAAAAUUGUCUACUGGAUGCAAUAAUUGGGUUCUGUAAUACCGUAGGCUUAUGUCCAACAACUAGAAACAAGCCGUUUUAAACUGGCACAACUGGAGCUGGAACUGGACAGAACUAGAAAACAGGUGAGUAGAGAAUCUCCACUUUUUCUCUCUGAUCAUGCUCCAAAGCUAGUGUAGUGUAAAACCAGUAUGGGAUACAAUGGUUAUUCUUUUCCUCCUUUUGUCUCUGGCUAAUUGCAGGCUGCUUAUGGAGGCAGUUCAUUUGGUGGUAGUCAUAUGGGAUACAAUGGAAUUGUGAGUUCAGGUUUGUGAUUAUUGAUAUCCAUUAUCAACAACCUAUUGAAUUCAUCUCCAAAAGACUAGAGCUAUUCGAAUAUCAUGGCAUCUGAUCCAGCUUUUCUAACACCAGGCAUAAGGCUAACUAAUUAACUUUUACACUCAACGGCCUUCUUCAUGUAUUAGACAUGUUAAUCUUCAGAGGGACUAAAAAACCCUUCUUGUCUUUUAUUUUGUUCAUAGUUUCAAUAGAAAUGUUAACUGAGUUAUUAAUUGUGCAGGGAUCACUACAUUUGAGCUGGAAUAUGGACACUGGGUAGAAGAGCAACAUAGACAAAAUAUUGAACUUCGAAAUGCAUUGCAAGAACAUGCAACUGAAAUAGAACUUCGAAUACUUGUAGAAGGUGGCUUGAACCACUAUGCUACUCUUUUCCGCAUGAAGGCAGAUGCUGCUAAGGCUGAUAUCUUUUACUUGCUGUCUGGUAUAUGGAGAACAUCAGUAGAACGGUACUUUCACUGGAUUGGAGGAUUUCGCCCAUCGGAGCUUCUAAAUGUAAAUUUACUUCAGCUCUAUUUUGGCGACUGCUUGUUUGGUGGUCAUCGAUUUUAUAAUUCUCUGCAUAUAUACAUAGCUCUAUUACAUAUUGUACAUAUGUCGUUUUGAGAAGGGUGGGCAUUGAGAACCAUAAAUACCUGAAGUUUUAAAAUGAGCAACUUCAAGAAGUUCAUUACAAUAGGACAUAGAAGUUUACUGGGUUGCUUGGGGAGCAUUCAUGCACAUUGAACAUAUUGUGUACAGCUAAUAGUGGGCUUUGUUCUAAAAUAUUACUCAUAAAUAUGAACAUUCAUGUUUUAGAGUAUAUACUUGUGACGCAUGUGUCAUAGGCUUGAGAUAUGAGUCUUACAGUUAUUAGAUGAUGAAAGCACUUCUUCCACCUGGAUAUAAAAUUGACAGUUCUAACUUUUGUAGUUACAGAACUAGUUAAUUUCAAUGAAUGUGUAAUAUUCUACAUGUUUCAUUUACACAGAUUCUCGAGUCCCAACUUGAGCCAUUGACUGAGCCACAGAGUCUGGAUUUUUAUAACCUAAAGCAAUCAUCUCAGCAAGCCGAAGAUGCUCUCUCACAGGGAAUGGAUAAACUGCAGCAGACACUGGCCAAGACAUUAGAAGCUGAUCAAAUAUUGAGUGGAGAAACAUAUGGAUCUCAGAUGGCUGCUGCAAUUGAGAAAUUUGAAGCACUGGAAAGCUUUGUUAGCCAGGUAAAGAUCCCAGUGCCAUCUGGAAUUUCUUUAGUUAGUUUGGGAAACUUGCAAGGAAAAGUGCAUAGAACCAAAGAGUGACUGUUAUCAAGAUAUGAUGAUGAAUCUGUUAUAUAUGAAUUAUAAACAUGAUGAGGAAGCAAGAAAUGCCUUUUCCACCUAGCCAGAGUGAUAUCAUAAACAUUUACAUAUUGUACUCCUCUUAUCAACUUUCGUUUGAUAACACUAGUUGUUUGCUGAAAUGUGUUGCUCUUCUCCGAGACAGGCUGAUCACCUUCGGCAGCAGACUCUGCAGCAAAUGUCCAGAAUCCUCACGACUCACCAAGCGGCUCGCGGUUUGCUUGCAUUAGGAGAGUACUUUCAGCGGCUUCGUGCCCUCAGUUCUCUUUGGACUGCUCGUCCACGCGAACCCCCAGCAGCCUAGUCAUAUGCAUCCUGAUCUCCUUUAGUAUUGUAGUUUCCCCAGUACUACUUCUCCUGUAUCAGAAGGUGUAAAUAUUAAGCUCAGUCCGGUUUGUAUCAGUUCAAAACAUAUGUAGGUUUUUGAGCUAUGUUCCCCCAAUGCCUGUAGCAUAGUGUUUGGGUAGGUUUAUUCGAAAUGCAAUAUGUAUUACCAGUACUUAUGUGUAAAUUUGUUGAGACAGUUAUUCCCGUGCAUGCCAACAAUAGAUUAUGGACACAAUUGGAAACCCAUUAUCCCAUUAUCAUCAAUUGGGAAUUACAUUGAUUUUGUACAUCAUAAAAUUCUGCUCAUCUGCAUAGUGUAAACCAUUCCUUCAGUUUUAGACUGUGAAGAUAAUGCAACCACACUAGUCUUACGUUCUCGUAACGCUUAGAUAAUUAUUCAAGCUGAAUUUCUGAUAAAUGUUACAUAAAGCAACAUAAAUUUGUUUCUCAAAGGUAUAAGUAGUUUGAUGCUUGAGAACAUGAGCCACCGACUGAAAUGGCCACCAAAAUAACAAACUAAAUUGACCAUUUUGUACUUUCUUUUCUAUUUUUCUUUACCACUAAAAUACCUCUUUAAAUAUAUAAUAAAUAAACCUGAUUUUCCCGGGAAAUUAACUGACACAAAUGGAAAGCUAUAAAUAAUAGAAAUACAAAUUAUGUUUUCACUUGCUUCACGUCUUCAACCUUCGUAACCCCAAUUCUUCACUCCACACCGAAACCCUAGAUUUCCAAUUCCAAUCGAUCCGAUUCAAUUCUCCCCCAAUUGGUUCUGGGUCUGAGCUCAAGAUGAGUAAUUUGAGGACCAUCUGCAGGCCACACGCCGUCUUCACCUCCUUCGUAUGUUGCAGACACCAAGCUCGCUUCAGCUCCAGGGUUUCUUUUCAGCGAAACCCUAAUCACUCACCUAGUCUUUCGCCUGCGUCAUCUUCCGAUUUCGUGAGAUUGAAUCGGAGCGAGUCGUGGUUCAGAGCGAACCAGAGAAGGUCCAUGAUUAGGGCUUCGAAUUGGACCCACCCCAAGUCUCCCUAUGAAACUCUUGGUAAUUGGGUCCUUGUUCUUAUUGAAGUUUGAAGCUUUGAACUUUGGAAUUUCUGGGUUUUGUGGUUUUAUUUGAUUUGAUUUUUGUAAUUACAGAAUUAGAGAUGGAUGCUGAUGAUGAUCAGAUAAAGGUGGCUUACAGAAGAUUGGCCAAGUUUUAUCAUCCUGAUGGUUUGUUACCUUAUCUUUACUGGAAAUUAUUCUCAAGAGUUUGAAUUUCAUGUCUGUAAAUUGCUAGUAAAAUCACAUAUAGAUUGAAAAGUUAAUUAGAAAGUGAUACAUUUAUAGAAUUAUUUGUUCAGUUAGGGAAGAAGGUGAAAUGGAAGUAUGAAACCAAUUUGAAAAUUCUGACCUUGAAGUGUGUACUGUGUGUGUGCUUCUGGUGGAUAGCGGAGGAACUGCAUAUAUAUUACAAAAUGGCAAUUUGUGAUCAGAUACUAAUUGCAGAAAGAGUUGGCUAAAGCGAUACCUAAAGAGUUCUUGGGAUUGCAUGGUCCUUGAUUUUUAUUGAAGAUGAGAUGCGUUUCAAGGAGUGGGAGUCCCAUAUACAUAUUGCAUAUAGUUCAGUUCAUUUGUGUUUGCAUAGAAGUUUGUAUGCAUUUCCUGAGUUUAAGUUGAUUUGGUUGUCCAUCCUGUUUCCAGUCUAUGAUGGCAGAGGGACCCUGGAGGAGGGGGAAACAGCUGAAGCUAGGUUUAUCAAGAUUCAAGCUGCUUAUGAAUUGCUUUUGGAGGUCGAGAAGAGGGGCCAAUAUGACAGGGAUAACCGAGUCAACCCAUUGAAAGUAAGCUUUGUAGUUCAAGUUUUGGUUGCUCUGUAUUUUCUUGUUUCUUAUAUUAAGAUAGCAUUUAAUUUUAGUACAUGUAGGAAAAUGUUCAUGGUUGUAUUGUAAUUCAUUUAUCAGCUGAUAGUUUGACUUCUGUUUUAGUUGUUUCCGUAAUCACUACUUGAUGUGCAUUUUUCUAUCAGGCAUCUGAAGCAUGGAUGGCGUGGCUAAUGAAAAAGCGAAAAGCUUUUGAUCAGCGAGGUGAUAUGGCAAUAGCGGCUUGGGCUGAGCAACAGCAGCGUGAGAUGAAUAUCCGUGCACGUCGACUUUCUCGUUCUAAGGUAUAGAAUUAUUUAUUUUCUGUCUUCUAUUAAGAUCAAGCUAGCUGAAGAUACAUAUCUGAAUUAGCUGUAAAACAGUAAAAGGAACUGUAGUUUUCAUAUUUCAACAUUUCUCCAUUUGAACUAUGUAAAAUCAAUGGCAACUAUAUAUUCUACUAGUGUUUGACUGAUCAAACACUAAUGUUCAAAAGCUUUAACAGGCCCCCUUCCAUGAUUUCUAUUUUAGCAUUGACUAUUACAUCAUGGGUCAAUAUUGGAAAUACAGGUCGACCCUGAUGAAGAGAAGAAAAUCCUGGCGAGAGAAAAGAAGGCAUCUGCAGAGUAUUUCUCCAGUACACUAAAGCGGCAUACACUAGUCUUAAAGAAACGAGAUCUCAUGAGAAGGAAAGCAGAGGAAGAUAAGAGGAAGAUCAUUGGUCAGCUCUUAGCUGCAGAAGGACUCGAGCUUGACACGGAUGACGAAGAAAAUCGGUAAUGAAGAUUUGACUCAUUGCCUCCUACAAUUUUAUUGUAACAUGCCACAAGUUUCAGAAGGACUUGAGGUUGACACGGAUGAUGAAGGAACUCUGGAUGAAAAUUUACUCAUUGAUACGGAUGAUGAAGAAACUCGGGAUGAAAAUUUACUCAUUGCCUUCUACAAUUGUAAUAUAGCCUGAUUCGCAUAUAGCAUACCAUAUGGAAUGUCCCGUCCAUAUUAUUAUUUUUUAGUGGAAAAACAAAAUACAAAUUUGUAUAUAUUUUUUGUUGCAGACUAGCGUAAUGAGAAAUAUUCAUUAGUAAUCCUAUCAUACCUUACUGCCUGCCAGUAAGAAGUAAGAACUGUCUUUCACAGGCCUAAAACCGCCCAACACUGCCAAACAGAUUUGUAAACCUUUCUAUGAGCAGUUUAGGAAAAUGAUUGAAAUAGUUUUAUUGACUAGUUUUUGACUUCUGGAUGGCUAUAGCCUGCAGUUGAGGUUAUUUUUGAAGAAUCGCAGAUGAGUAGCAGAUUGAGGGACUUGCAUAAAUCCAUUCGACUUAUUUUGUUGGAAGAUAUAUGCAGGAGUACUACUCAGCCACAUCAAGAGCUUAGAUUACUGACAUUCUUAAGCUGCCAUUGACCAAAGGUCAGGGUAUAAGGAAUUGCCAGAAAACAAGUCCUGGGGUAACAGUGGGAAACGCUGAAACGCAUACUGCUCCUUUAGAGCUGCAUAUUUGAGUCUUCUUCAGCCGUGACUGAUCUUAAGGUAAAGAAACUAUAAUGCUUAUUCAAAGAUUAUGGAGAUAGAAGAUUCUAACAUUGUGGCAUUGUAGCCUCUCUAUAACCCAAAUAAUAUAUAUACAAUAAUCUAGCUAGUAAGACAAUCUUGAAGAUUAUUUAUUUAUUUGUUUAUUUUUAUAAUUAUAAAAGCUUUUAUUGAAUAAAAUCAAAGAUUACAAAACUUGGGGAAGACCCACUGUAGACAAGAACUACACUUCUCACUACCAUCUAUUUGGGUUAAAGGCCUCUCACUCUCAGUGAUGGACAUGAGCCAAGAAGGCACAUCCUCUAACCUAACCAUUUGCCCAUCCUCUCAAGCUACAACAUUAGCGAUCGCAUAUGCAGCCAUGUUAUUAUUUCGCAACGUAUAUAUAUAUCAAGCUCUCCUAGAAGAAGACAAUCUUGAAGAUUAUGUUUAGAUAGUAUGUAACUGUAAUUCAUCAGGAGACUUUAUAUUCUCUAAGACCAAGUACUGCAGGACCUAUCAUGAGCUUUUAAUUUCUGAUUAUCUAGAAAAAGUAGAUUAGGAGGUAUUCUACAAACUAUUUUGUAGAUUAACCCAACUGGAAUAAGCUUAAUAGGUCUCGAGUGAUGAAUACUGCUGCGGAAUCAGAUUGAACACAGCUACCAUGCACAUUGUGUUGUAUAUUGAUGAGGCAUGAGUCACAUGUCCAUUCAAAGGUCUCAAAAUUCACGAUGAAUUCAUGUUCAAUUCAUGUUAUUGAUGAGGAUGAGUCACAUGUCUAUUCAAAUGUCUCAAAUUCAUGUUCAUCAUUCUUCUAUAGCAAUUGAAACAUUGUUCAAAGGUAAACCAACCAUAAAUUAUGAAUUCAGCAUCUGAAAGACAAGAGUGUACAAGGUUUCAAUCAUAGACAACCAAUUAGGUUUAGAUAGGUUCGGUUUCUCUUGUAGUAGUUUGUUAUUCUAUUUUGUUGAGCUCAAAAAGAAAAACUAAUAUUGUUGGUAAGGAACUGAGGUGCACUUGGCGCGACAUGACUAGCUGGAGGCAGCCAGUUAAUGUCCACACGGUCUUCUCUCUCUCUCUAAUCGCUCGAAACGCCGUCGUUCCAGUGGCGGCGAUUUCGAAUGUCACCGGAUACGCCGCAGUCAGUUUCGGAGAGAGGAGGUACUUGAAUUCAAUUCUGGGAUCUCUUUCCCCUCUACUUGCACAUUUCUAUGUCAUUUCAAUUCUCAAUUUCAUGUACUUUUCAUCUCAUUUCGCUGCAGCUAUUGUAUAUGAUCUCAACAUGGCUUGCACGAUUUUUAUUGUAUAUGCAGCAUUUGGACACUCCGUCUUUGUUUGUAUACUCCUGUCUAAAAUCUUCCUUGGCAUGAGAUGAUAUAUUCUGAUAUAUUGUUUCUUCUUCCUGCAAGGUUCGGCAGCUUAGAAUAACACCUCGGGUUUUGGUUGGUCACAGUUUCGGGGGGAAAGGUACUUAAGUACAGUUUUAAUAUGCCACAGACUUCAUACUAAUCUACGAUUUCAAAUGGAUCUGAUGCUCACUACGCUUUCUAAUUGUCAUGCAGUUUCCUUGAGCAUGGUGGAGCAAGCUGCAAAGCCUCUUGCACGACCAGUCAGAGUUAGUAAUGCAUAUUGGAUUUAUGUAGGAAUGUUUCUGUGUUUCUGGACAUAAUCGUCCUGGUGGGAAUGGGGAGGACCAUCCAGCAGAAUUGAUAUCUGUCCUAAAGUACUCUACCCAAAGAGGUGAGUUCAUAUUCAAUUGUUAUUCCAUUUUCUUUCUUUAUAGUUUGAUUGUUUUUAUUAUUUAUGGUUUGUGGUUGAUAUAUUUUCUUAAAGCGGUUUUUUUAGUUGUCUCUUCUCUAUUUACGACUAGCAAACAACAAUUCCACUCAAAUUAAUUUGAUCCAACAGAUGAACAGAUCAGCAUCACGCUGAAAAAACUUGGAGCAGUUUGCAUACUGCCGAGCUUUGAGGAUUGAGUUAGUGGUAGAAAAGCUCUUAGAAUAUCAAACAGUGUGAUAGACAUGUGUAGUAGCUUUCGGGUUAGGCUUUUUGGAUCUUUUAGUAGUUACAUUUAGCGGCUGCGUGGUGCAUAAUGCCACCAGGUUGUGCCCAAUUGAAGUUUCAGUUUUCCCGUAGGAGAAAGUUGGAAGUGAUUACUAUUUAGUCAAGGAAUGGAGUUGAGAUAUCGAAAAAUGUAUUGGUGUAAAGGCCAGAUGGUGUUAGUUUUCAAAGUUUUUGGUGCUUGAACGAAAAUUGGAUAGGUUAUGACAAGAGAGAUUGGUGGAGGACAUAGCUUUUUUCCUAAUCAAGUGGAAGUUUAGGAGCUCCUUUCUCAGACUACACAUUGUGCUGGUACUAUUUAGAAAAGAUAAGAGAAGGUGGAUUCUAGAAGCUUAGGGUGAAAAUUUUAUGCUUGCAGGCUUGUAUGUCCUCGGUAGUGUAUAAGAAGCCAAAAUUUUAAUCUUUAGCUCUCUGAAAAUGGAUUUUUAGGGAACAUAGUCUGAGAUGGGACAUUCCAGCCGAUUGUGUGAAAGGGACAGUGUUUUUAUUUGUUGUUUUGUCUUAAUUUUCUUAAGUGAGAAACAAGGGGUUGGUUGGGGAGAUGUUCUAUAUUGGCGGUGAUUUGGGUCAUCUAGACAGAGGGAGAAAAAAUAUAAUAAGAAUGUUAGAGGGAUUAUGUUGGACAUCUUGCGGGAUAGAGUCGGCUUUGGGCAUCUUCAUGGGCUUCGAUUUCGUCAGUAUUUAGGUAUAGGAACAGCAGUUUGUGGAUUAUAUUGUUUUUGUGUUUGGCGACUGUUUCUUCUUUGUUUGGUGUUUUUGUUGCUGUAUCUUUGAGGGUUUCUCAGUGGAUGUCUUAAGAACUUAUUUGUAUAUUCUCUUUAGUAUAUAACAAGGUCACUUACUAGAUGCAGAAUGUGCAUGUGUGUGGUCAGUUGUCAUUCAUUAUUACUAGUUUUAGUCUAUUCAUAUGUCAGUCAUUCAUUAUUCACUAGUUUUAUUCUAUUCAUAUGUCGGUCAUUCAUUAUUCACUAGUAGUUAUUCUUUCUUCAUAUAUAGGUCAUCCCCUUUGUGAUGCUGUAAAGGGCCCAUUUUUUCUGACCGUUCUUGGUAAUGCUUGGGCAGGUAAUUGCUGGAAGCGGUUAUUUAUUCUUCACAUUUUCGUGCCGAUGAACUGUAUGUCAGAUCUUUUUAAUUGAUAAAAACGGAUACACAUGGCUUCCUUUUUGUCUGGCAAUUCGUCUAACUUUGCAGCGGGUGAAAGUAGUUGUUAUAGACAGACUGAGGAUUAAGAGGAACGAGUCUCUUGGUAAUCCUCCAGGAAGGAAAAAUUGAACAAAAUUCUCCAUUAAAGUAGAUGGCAUAGACUUAAAGAAAGAGGCAUAUCUACGAAAGUCUUACUGUACCUUUCUACAAAAUCUGGGAAUGAGACUUAAAGUGUGAGUUUUAAGCCUUAUAUAAAUACCGAAUCUAUUUACCCUUUAGCUUAUAGAAAAGAUUGUUUCUUUGGUUAUAUAUCUCUGCUCUUUUUCUUUGGGGAUGGUUCUGUUCACCCUUUAGCUUAAAAAAGAUAGUUACUUUGGUUAUAUAUAUCUAUUCUUAUAUCCCUGUUCUUUUUCUUUGGGGAUGGUUAUAUUCAGAUGUAUAUAAAAUCAUGCCUAUGAUUGAAAUGUGUAGUCAUCUAGACUGAAGAUAUAUAAAGUUGUCACGGCUGUUGUACUUCAUAUAAAUAACUGAUCUCUCAAUCAUUGACAUUUGAAGGAAAACUGAUAUAUAAAUCCCUGCUGUAAUUAACGAACAGAUGAUAAUAGGAAAACUGAUAUAGUACUGAUGAUUAUAGCUGGGCAUGAAGCCACAUUGGCAGUGACUUGAAAACCCUAACCCCUAUAAAUAUAUUUAAGUGAACUGGAGUUAGUUAACUUAUUGACUAUAUUCAAUUUAAAAUUUAUGUAGACCAUCACAACAGUGUGCAUGUUUCUCGUGUAUGGUUGAAGAAACUCCCUGGCCUCUGAAAGAUGUUAUCCUUGUCUCCUAUGAAAUUAUUCAUAAGAAGGAUCCUGCAGCAGCUCAGAGAAUCAGGCAAAAGGUAGCUUAUAAACUUAUCGUAAUUGUGCAUGUACUGGUGUUCCUCUACUUGGUUCUUCCUAAUUUUUAAGGAUGAUUUUGAUCUAUGCACUAUUAUUUUUCUUCUCUGUUGUUCACCCAAGUUCUCAAGUCACUCCUUGUUGUAUGCCAUCCUCUUAAUGUCUAGUUGUCUUCUUUAAUUUACGAUGUGCAUACCCAUGUUGCAUUAUCUUACCUACAUAUGUGUGCCUCUAGCCAACUACGUACCAAGUCUGCUUGACUGAAAAUCAAAGCAUUCAUAACUGAAUUAUUUUUUUUUCUUCUCUCUCUCUCUCAUGAAAUUUACUGUUCAAAUAUCCUCAGAUAUGUAUGGUACUAUGAUGAAUUUUUAAUGUGGUUUGUGUCAGAUAUGAAGUAUUUUCUGUAGGUAUCAUUGUAUAGUCUAUUCACAAGUAUGCAAUAAUCAUGCAGGAGGUAUAUGAACUGCAGAAGGAAUUGAUUUUGACUAGUGAGAGGGUUGUUCUUGGAACUCUUGCUUUUUAUUUUAAUGUACACCAUCCGUAUAAACUAUUGGUGGAGGCAAUAAAGAAAUUCAAAGUAGCUCAAAAUGCCCUUGCUGCGAAGACUAAAUCCAGGACGGAGCAACAAGACCUGGAUCAUGGAUCAUCAGAUAACAUUCAGGCCUCAUAUGAAGCAACAAGUAACAGUCAUUUGCAGGCUGGAUGUACAAUAUCUGGAACCUCAAGGUCGGCAUCUAGCCCUGCAUCUGAGCAGUCAUAUGUUGAGAACGAUGGCCCUGCUAGAAGUGCUGGAAUGACAGGUGCUUUGGAUCAAAAUUUGGAAGUCAAAGACAAUCAACAGUCCAAAGUUGCUGAAGCUCAAACUUUGUCGAAGUCCGUCUCUGAGGGACGUAGUGAAGAAGGCCAAGUAAGAGAGAGCAAUGACAGGAAGGGUGAAAUAAGGGAAGGAGGGGACAAACAUUUGGGCCGAAAUCUUGAUAAUACACAUAGUGCACUUGGUCGAUCACCUCAGGAAGCUAUUAAGAAAGUCAACAAGGACAAAGUAAGGGCAGCACUGGAGAAUUGCGAAGGAAAGCCGCUGCUGAUGUGACCAGGAAAACAGAUGUGCUGGAUGAGGAAGAUCUGAUUGACAAAAACAAAUGGGACAGAAGGCAAAGCUGGUCCAAGCCUUACAUAGACAAGAACAUGAGAGCCUUCAUCAGGGAAGACAUUGAGAGGGUGUUGGAGAUGAUGGACCACGUUCUAGUACUAUUGAAGAAGGCGAGGUAUCAGCCCUUGAAGCUGGACAUGAAUUUCCUUCACCCAAAUCAAGUAGUCGCAUGAGAAAGGAAGGAAGCCCCCAAUAAGUUGUUGGAGAAAAGAAACAGAGACAUGAUUAUUGCCAUAAUCACUUUGACCAUGCUGAAAAUCACAGCAGGGUUAGCCGAGUUGGCCACACUAAAAGGGAUAACAAAACGCAUGUAUAGGAUAAUCAUGUCUGAGGUGGUGUCUAGCUACUACUUUCUGAAGAUGUAUGGUGAUUUCAUCGGUGAUGGUUUUGGUUACACUCCCUUUUCCAGCUUGUGGCAAUGUUCUUGUCAAUUAGUAUACCUCUCAUUUAAGACUUGGAUACCUUUCCUCCCCAGAGUACUGUGCUUCAGAGAUUCCUAAGAGGCUUCUUUCAUCCUAAAUGGUCUAUUCAUGUCUAUUUUUCAGAAAUUCAUCAGCUCUCUUUUCUGAAGGGCUACCAUUAGCUGCACUUCUAUUUCCGUGUUCUCCAUCCCUACUCCUUUCCGUGGUUCUAUCACCAUGCGCAGUUCUCUUUCGAUAAUAAUCUUCAUAAAGAUCUUUGUCUCUUCGUCUCUCGUUGUGCUCCUCUCUAUCACUAUCAUGGUGAUAGAACCACGGAAAGGAGUAGGGAUGGAGAACACGGAAAUAGAAGUGCAGCUAAUGGUAACCCUUCAGAAAAGAGAGCUGAUGAAUUUCUGAAAAAUAGACAUGCAGAGCAUGAUAGGGAUGCAGAGAUGAGGGAAGAUAGAGGCUACAGGAAGAAAUCUGCUGAUGAGGACAAAAGUAACAGGGAAAUCGUUGAUGCAGCCUGUCCUCUGUGUCUCUUUCCCUUCCUCUUCCACCAGAUUGACUUGAUCUACCGUGUCGACUUGAUUCCCCUUUGUAUCUACCUUUGACACUGUGACUCAAGUGCUUAUUUUCUUGAUCCCGUCUUCGUUGUCUUCGACUUUCUGGAGUGUCCCCAUACCAUACCAUCUCAUGUCUGCAACAAUCAUUAUAGCAUCACCUCUCAUUUCUUCCUCUAAAUGUUAAUAUGCAGAAUUGCAUGAAAUGUCAUUUUCUUUUGUUUCAGUUAAGAUGCAGACACACAGAAAAACACAUGCAUAAUGACAUACCUGGCAUUCUUUAACAUAUACUUAUGAGGUUUCUGUUUUUUGGCAGAAUCACCAGUGCACUCCUUGGCAAUGUGAUCAAGUGCACCACAUUUGAAACAGCCUUUGCCUACAGCAGCAAAGAAUCAGAAUUGGUAUAUUUUACAACCUAUGAUAUCUUUCACAUCUCAGAAGUUCAUUUCAUUGAUAGCACACUACAAAAUUUAGCUAAGUUGAUAUAUUUUGAAACAAAAGCAAAGAACAUCGGAGAAAUCUACUAGAGAAUGAUAUAUAUAUAUAUAUAUAUAUAUAUAUAUAUAUAUAUAUAUAUAUAUCUCUAGNNGANACGAAAGGAACCACUAAUCAUAAAUAUUUUCUACAUUAAACACUAUACCUUUGCCCUUAUCUUUGCGCCUUGCAUCACUCUGACGCUCCUCAAGCUGUCCAGGAGCCAAUUGUUCAUCCCUAGGCACAGAAUCAUCUUCAUGACGCACAUUAUCAUGAACCUAGUCAGAAAUCGUAACAGAGAUUAGUCAAAAUUUUGAGCACCAUAGAAUAAAAUCUAAUAAGCCCACAUCCAAACAACUCCAGCUUUUGAAACUUUCCAAUAACAAAUAGUAACAAGGAGAGUUAUAGAUAUGUACCUGUGAUGCACCUUAGAAUAAAAUCUAAUGAUUAGCCCACAUCCAAACAAUAUGGUUUAACAAUCAGACUUACAAAGGAAACUUGCCAAUAACAAAUAAGUCCACAAUAGUAACAAGGAGAGAUCCACAUGAAACUGGCUGACAAAAUGAAACCUGAAACUCAUACUAAAAUGCAGAGAUAGCAGUUUCUGAUAUAGUGAAAACAGUAUAGCCAUAUGUACCUGCAACUCCCCUGGAGAUAUUAAACUGAGUGAGAACAGUAUAGCCAUACAAAACUCUUCAUUCGUAAAGUGAUUUAGCACCCAAGGCAAGUUGGUUUGAAUGUGUAUCUAUGUUCUCCUUUGUUUUAGGUGAUCAUAGGGAUCAAGGCGCUGGUGCUGCUGCAGCACAAUCAUGCCAUACCGCGCAGGGUAUUAAAGAGGCUGAAAGUGAAUACCACUUGGAUAUGCUGUUAUAUUGACCGGUAUGUAUACGGCAUUGGUGUGGUCUAGCCGCCAAAAACAAGUAAGAUCUGCAUCCCUCCCCCAAAUGUUACCGAGUUAACCAUAGUUGAUACCGAGUGAUGCAACUCCUUGUAAUAGGCCGAGUCCUGAGAAACAUAAAAGCAAACACACAAGAAAAACAGUGCGGAUUCUUGUACAAGUUGCCAUAGAGAAUUUAGGGUUGAAGGUGAAAACUUUGCUUGGUGAGUAAAAAUCUCAAAAACACAUAAAUGUAGGCACGUAUGUAUAAAAGAGAUCUACUGAGGUACCACUUUGAUAGGAGAUAAACUUUUCCUCUACUGAAAGAAGGACUCAGAACAUUACCAACCAAUAUAAGGCAACUCUUCUCCCCACAUAUAUUUAUUCCUAAUUAAGUUUGUUGUGGGGGGGGGGGGGAGGAGGGAGGGGAGUGAUAAGUUUGAUUCACACCUAAGUCGUUGUGAAAUUUAUUAUUAAGAAUGAGGGAACAAAACGAGAUCUUGCGACAUCGUAUUGAAAUGGAAAUUGAGCACAUUUUUGCAUAGCCCAUUUGUUUCUUUUGUCCCUUCUAGCGAUCAGAAUCAACAAAAAAAGAAAUAGUUAAUAUUCAAGAUAAAUUAUGAAGUUACAAAAUACCGUCUCAAUUUCAUGCAUGGACACUAGCUUACAACUAGAAUCUCUCACUUUUCGGUUACAACUAGAAACAGAUAUUUAACAUUUUUUUAGUGUCCUUUAGUUGGUUUCAUGUUUUCUCUUCUGACCAUGCUACUUUUAGUUUUAUCUAUAUCGUGGUCACAAUGUAAUUUUGUUUAUCUCUACUAUUAGCCGCUCAUUUGAUGUCUUUAGUGAAGUCUUUUUUUUGAAUUACCCAAAAAACCAAGGUAAUAGAAAAUUUUUAAAGAAAUAAAAAUAAGUUACUAUAGCCAUAACCGUAAAUCAUCACUAGAAUUUUAAGGAGAAAAAAAAGGACACGGUUUGUUCCCACUUUUGGUGAAGCAGUUAUCUAAUAUAUAGGAUAAAUCAGAUUCAUUCCACUUUAAGUUGAGCAAUUUAAGUUAAAUUUUUCUCAUUUUGUAAAUGCACGAGUAAAAGUCUAGUAUGAAUAGAAUGAUGUGUUAAGUUUAUAUUCAUGAAUAGAGCUAUUGUACUAUUUGGCUCAUGUACUCAUGUAGAUAGAGCUAUAUAUCUGUAUCGAUCUCACCUUAAUUGCAUUCUAUUUGUACAUGCCUUCUUGCAUGACUUUCAGUUACUUAUAUGUUUUACCAACACCCAACCACUGCACUGCAUGCCAUUGCCACCUGAUAGUAUAACUUUGUUAGAGUAUUUUGAUUAUGAGAUGUUGGAGGUUAUUAAAAUUAAAAUUAAACCUAUCAUUAAUACCUAUUCUUACCUCACCUCAGGUGGGGAGGCCUCGUUGUAAGAAUAGGGUGCGGCAGUAAUGCAGAGUCAGUCAGACAAACCAGUCCCUCACAUGAUCCAACAAGGGCUGUGACCGGAAAACGAAUAGUGGGGAACUCUCGAAUGCAGGCCCUGACACCAUCACCGUUCCGUAGGAGGUUGCUGAUGUACAUAGCACGGAAUUCAGUACUAGUGACGACAAGCACAGCCUAAGGAUGAGACUAUUCUCGGUCAAACAGCUCUCUGCCCAAAGUUGCAGAACGAACGACCUGUCUCCAUUCUCGGGAGACCAGCUAUAUAUCAGCUACCGUGGCUACAGGGAGCCUAGCAAAGAUUUGUCGAAGAAGAUCUUGUACGUGAAUGAAGUCACUUGAAUCUUUCAGACCAAGAUUGGUGUCAAGAAACCAAGAAAAGCAAACAACUUUACAUUGUAGGAGGGAGAAGAUGAUAGAAAUGUGGAGGCUUGGGAGGUUUAUGGGUUUUGGGUGAUGGGUUUUAAGUAUGGAGGGAAGAGAAAUUUGCAGAAAGUUUCAGAUUAAAUGAGUUGCAGAGGGAGGAAGAAGAAGAAGAAGAAGAGGAAGAAGAAGACCAGUAUGUUGGAGGCAAAACUUGAAAUUGAUGAUGUGUCAAAAAAAAGAUCCCACCCUUUUCGUUGAGAGAUGGAUCGGUCGGGGCCGGCUGCUCCGACUUUUUGGGCUGGGUCCAUUCAUAAUCCGGGGCAAAAUAUUUUGACCCACCCCAACGGUUAAACCGAAACAUGGGUAAAAGUAAAACUAAAAGAAAAUAAAAAAUACCUCUCCUCGACUCAACUCAACCUCUUUGUCGAUGUCAUCCAUCAAUACUGCAAAAAUCCGAUCUCGAAGAGAAAAGGACAUAGAAACGAAAGAGGUGGACUGAAGUUUUCAAAGUUGGCUGUGAGUGAGAAGCAAUAUCCAAUCUCGGAUUGCCCAAAGCUCCGGCAAAUCCAUCUGUGGCUGGUGCUCGAUUUGAUGGCUACAUUCCGCUCGCUGGAGUUUUGCAAAUCCGGUCUCGGAUAUUGCUUCGCACUCACAUCCAACUUUCUUUCGCCUUUAAUGGUUUAUUACACCUAUUUUUUCAAUCGCAUUUUUUAAUCUCAACCGUUUAGUUUUUAUGUCUAAAUUGAUGAUCUUUAUGUAAUUGAACUAAAUCAAAUCAAUGAACAAUCCAAAUCUAUCAAGUAAGAGUCGCUGAAGUUUAUAAUCGGUAAAUCACAUUUAUAAAUAUUUAGGGUGCCUAAUUCAAAUCGAAAUUUUGGGAGUCUAAAUCCAAUCAGCAGACACUCGAUCAAAUUCAAUGACCAUAAGAACUACAGUUAUCGACUUAUCGUGUACAAAACAUAUACCUAUCAAAGUCGGUAUAAAAUUGAAAACCCAAAACAAUGAACUAUGGUCGUUUUGAUCCCACAAAGAGUACGUGCAUGAAUUUAUAUAUAGGACCUCCUUACCUCAUAUAAGGUAUGGAUUUCAUUAUUUGACCCAUUUUUCGAUCAUAUUUUCUUAUUUCAACCGUUCAAAUUUUAGGUAUAUAUGAGUAGAUCAUCUCUAUAAAUUUUCAGCUAUAUUGAUAAUCAUUAAGGCAUUCAAAAUUGUGAUUUAGAACUAAUAGAACGUACGGUUCAUGAUGAAUAGAUUCGGUUCAUUCAUUGAUUUAACACAUUUUUGAUACCUUAACGGUAACCAAAUUAGCUGAAAAUUUAUAACGAUGAUCAAGUCAUGUAUAUCUAGAUAUUAGUCGGCUAUAAUAAAAAAAAUAUGAUCAUAAAGUUGGUCAAAUUAAGAAAAUUUGUACCUUAUCUAAGGUAAAUAGAUCCUUAUUUGAAAAGGUAGUGCCCUUCCAAUAAGGGUCCUUUUUUUGGGUCCUUUUCUAGGGAUAACCCGCCAGCCAUUGGAUCCCUUUUAAUAUCUUCAACGGCUGAGAUUAAGUCAUGUUUCUUAACCCCUUUCCAACCCCGUUAACACCCCAUUCGAGAACUCAAGCAUCUUUUUCUCGAUUUUGGCGCUCUGAACUUAAGAAAAGAGAAAGGAUUUGGUGUACAUGGUUAAGUCGACAUAAUGUAACCACUAAAUGAAUUGGCAUCAAGAACUGGACAUCGCAACCAAUGGUGCACAAACUAGGACGAUUGAAAAUCUGAUAUUAUCUUUGGUCUGAAGUCCCUGCUUCUAAAUAUCCUAGUCAAACAAAGUCACAGAGUCCAAAUGGAUUUGUAUACCUUUUCACACGAUCUGUUUAGGAUAUAGAUUUCCUCUCCUAACUGAAAUAGGAGAUAUCUCUAUUAAUAAAGCUAGAAGGAAAGUAGGAUGGUUAAAUUUUUGAAGUUCCGGAAAAACCUAAAGUUUAUAAUGUUCCAGAAAAUCGAAUAUAAUGUACAAAGGGUAUAACUGUAAUUUGGAAUCAAAACCCACAACUAAAACGACGGCAAAAGAAUUGUGUGCGGGAGAGUAGAGAAGAGAGAUUUGCAGUUGCACGAUCUCCCAGAAAGAUGAAAACUGUCAGACGCAUGAACGUGGAAGUUUCAUCUACGAAAGUACAUAUGGCCACGUACAUCAAUACUCAUCAUUCUCACACUCGAUCUACAACUCUUACGAAGAAAGUUGAAAAACAAACAAGACAGAAUUGAACCCAAAUUCAAUUGGAGGAGGAGAUCAUUAUCAAAUCGGCUGAAAAGGUAUGUUUUAUCAUUGGUUAAUUUUGGAAUUCUGUUUCCAUUGAUUUCCAUGAAGGUAUGCAGACUGGAAUUUUGGAAGGUUUGUGUAAUCCAAUGGUUUGGUUUCUGUAAAUUUCGUGUUUACCUCACACAUCAUUUGUGUUCUUUCAUUGUAUUUAUAGGGAAUGAUGGUCUUUCUGAAAUCAGGUUUGCUUAAGGCUCAAAUAGCCGUCCUACUGUUCUACAUUUUACAGGUAUAAGUAGACAAUUUAUAGAGAUCGAACAUAUGAUCUUUAUAUAUCAAUUUGGAAUUUGUUGGUUGAAGUAUAGGCUGUUAACUACGUAAGGGUAAUUACGACAUUUACUAUAAAUCCCUACCCUAUAAAAGCUAUGCUAUGUACACUGUUUAUGAUAUCAAGUAAUACAAGAUGUAGCUUUUAUCUCUCCUCUGCGUUCUACUUUUCUGUCUUUGUUCAUUUCAAUUCNNNNNNNNNNNNNNNNNNNNNNNNNNNNNNNNNNNNNNNNNNNNNNNNNNGGAGACGAUGGAGGAGCUGAAGCCGGUCAUCUCAGCAACUUAACAGUCUUCUUUAACAGUCAAUUAACGACAAGGGCAAAUCAGUCGAGAAUUCAAAGUAUAGGGGUAUACCAGUUUAAAAAAAAAAGUGAAGGACAAAACUGAUUUAGGUAUAAACUACAGGGUGUCACAAGUAUUUACUCCUUUUUUUUAUAAGGUUUAGCCGAAUUAUGCCAUAAUUCGUCGGCUAUAGUUAUUUUUUAAUUUUUUUAUAAGGUUUAGCCGACGAAAUAUACUAUAUUUCGUCGGCUAUAGUUAUUUUUUAAUUAUUUAUUACACACUUUAGCCGACGAAUAUCUUAAAUGUUUCGUCGGCUAAAGUCUGGGAAAAAAACCGACGACAUGUUUUUCGUCGGCUAACUGUGGGACUAUAGUCGACGAAAAAAAAAUUUUGUCGGCUAAAGUCAUCACAGACGACCUUUUCCCGAUAAUCAUCGGCUAAGAUCUUAGCCGACGAAUUAAGUUAACAGGCCGACAAAACUUUUUCGUCGGCUAAAGUGCUUGUCCUGGUAGUGAAGGUAGAGAGCUUGAUGACUUGUGUUACUCAAUACAACGCGGCAAGGCUUGCAUGCACGCAUAAAGCUACUCCAGGCACAUGUGAUCAACGUUUGUCUCAUACGGAUGCUGAAAUUGCAAAGUCGGUCGAACUCCGUCAAACCGGCCUUGGUCAACGUCAAACUACCUUUGAGUCCUUGGAGAACUUGAAGAAGGAGAAAAAGAGGUUGGAGCAGAAAAUAACCUCCCUAGACGCGAGUCUUCUACUUUAUGACAAAAAACUUGCCGAUUUAGUGAAGGAGAAAGUCCAAAUCAAGGAGAUUCCAGAGUUGUCUGCUGAGGAGCUUGAGGAAGCAAAGAGGUUGAGAGAUGAUUUUGAAAAGCAGCACAACAACUUCAAAGGCCUAACUUGGAUGUGAACGGCCAGUCGUCACUAGCAGCUUAUGAUUUACUUUGUUCUUUUUGUUUCUCCCUCGAUGCAUGUAAUAAGUCAAUUUUGACAAUAGAACUUAUUAUUCAGUAUGCUUGUAAUAAGUCUAUUUUGACAACAUAACUUAUUAGGCAAUAAAGAAUUUUAUUUUACCAUUGGCAAACAAACCCUUUAUUUUUAUUUUGAUGUGAUUGAACUCAAGAAUAUAAUUCUCAGGUUGCCUACGUAUCCUUCCAAAGAAGGAAUCAAGUCAUCACGUAGUUCAAGGGUUUUAAAGAUGGGGAUAUUUUUUUUUUGAUUGCCUUGUGCAUUUUAGGCUCAUGCAGGCUAGGAGCAUUCUUCACUUGUCUCAAGCGUAGUACUUCUUCAAGAACUUGUCGUUGAUUGGGCCAAUUCUCAAGCCGUCUUCAGCCACAAUUUUGUAGGCACUACUAGGAAAAAAGACAUAUGCAACGAAAAAAAUUGAGUUCGUCGCUUAGGUAUUAACCUAUGCUACGAAAACCACCUCGUCGCUUAGGUAAACACUUAAGCGAUGAAAAAAUAACAGUCGCAUAAGUUAUCACCUAAGCGACGAAAAUGUUACCUAAGAGACGAAGACAGUACUUAAGAGACGAAAUAUUGUUCGUCUCUUAAGUUAUGUCUUAGGCGACAAAUAAAUGAAUUUUAUCGCAAAUUUUUUUACCUGAAGCGACGAAAAAUUCUGUUGCCGCAUAAGACGUUGCUUAUGAGACGAAAUUUUAUUACUAAUACGAGGAAAUUUUCGUCGCAUAAGUGUUUUCGACUUUAUAACUCUUUCCUCGCUGCCCAGAUCUAAAACAAAAGAAAAUCUUGGUCUUCCCACAGCUGGAACAGAUUUUUGAUGUUAGUAUCGGAAAUCAUCAAAUUCGGACUUCUAAAGCUUUGUCUACCCCUACUCAUGAAGCAUCACUAGUUUAUAGCUUGGUAUAAUCUCAUUCCUCUUCUUUUCACCAUUUAUGUUUCAAAUGAUUAUAGCUUUGAUGAUGAUGUUGUUUGUUGAUGAUGUAUUGAAUUUUGGGUUACCCAUUACAUUUUAAGUUAUUUCUCCUCCUUGUUUAGACCAUAUAUGUUUCCUUCUAUUCAAAAAAAAAAAAAAAAAAAAAAACCAAUAUUUUCCGGUGAAGAAUUCUGGUGGUACCGGUUACUUGUUGGCAGUAGUCUAUAUAUAUAUAUUUUGGUUGGUUAUAUAUAUAUUUUGGUUUAUAUAUAUAUGCAAAGAAUGUAAGAAUGGUUAAAUUCUUACAUUCACGUUUAACCUUAGAAAUCCCGUUCGAGAAUGAUUUUGGUUUGGCAACAGACUAAAAUGGUUCUUGAAUUGUCCCAUUUUUGGACAGUUUGGGAGAAUAAGACUUUGUUAUGUGGUUUGCAGUUCUUUUGUUUUUAGUUUCGAUUAUGGGUAUAUAUAUUUCGACAGAGUCUCCUGUAUUGUUCCUCGAGUGCAUACUAAGCUUAGAUAUUCAUGCACUUGGGGAACUGUAGGGAGAUGCUGCCGAAAUUUUAUCACAUCGAAAUCGAAACAAAAGAACAGCAAAUUUCUUAACAAAGUCUUAUUCUCCUGAAUGGGAUUAGGACCCUAACCGGAGGCAUAAGGUGAAGAAGAAACGAAUAUUUGUAUGAUUAAUGUUGACUUGUUGCUAUAUACUUGGUGUUUAUUUGUUGUUUCUCUUAUGACAGCAGAUGCAAAACAUGGACAAAACAUGGACAAAACCUGAAUGUUAUACGACAGGUGUCACCACUUGUAUAUACAGGGAAUCUUUGAUUUCUUGAGAUUUGUUGAUUAUCAUGCUGCCCCAGGAACUGAGUGGCACGAGUGUCCAUGUAGAAAAUGUAUGUGGAACGAUUGGCAGACACGACACGGGUAUGGAACAACACUUGUCACAUUUUGGUAUGUGGAAGAAUUAUACUAUAUGGAUGGAACACGGUGAGGUGGAGGAAAAUAAUCCUACACAAGCGAAAUUUCGAGCAAGUUACAUUCAUGAAGUUGGGUCAUCUAGUGGUACUGCCAACCCUUCUAUAUACCCCGCUAUGAAUAUGCUACAUGAUGUUUUCCCGUAUGCUUCAAGAUAUGAAGAAGAGGCAGUUGAUGAUGAUGCCCCCAAUGUCAAUGAGGCAGUUGACAUGUCUGAUUAUGAGAGGUACAACAGGCUUCUCGAACAAGCCUAGACACCAGUGUAUGACGACUGUCCAGUUUCAGUUUUGAGUGUCAUCAUGUCACAGAUGCAUUUGAAAGUAAAGCACAGAACGAGUAAUGAACAUUAUGAAGAUUAUUCAAAGUUUAUCAAAACUUUACUUCCUCUUGUAAAUAGACUUCCUGAGAGUCAUUAUAAAACAAAAAAGAUCUUGGGCGACCUCGGCCUUGAUUAUGUGAAGAUCCAUGCCUGCAAGAAUAAUUGUGUGUUGUUUUACGGAGAUUACAAGCAUGUUAUUUACUGUCUCGUUUGCAAUAGGCUGAGGUAUGAUGAGGAGGCUUCUUCAGAUAAAGGGAAACAUGUUCCUAUGAAGGUGCUUCGUUAUUUCCCGUUAACUCUGAGAUUGCAGCAUUUGUACAUGUCAUCGAAGACUGCAGAGGAGAUGAGAUGGCACGGUCUUCUUAGGGAAGAUGACGGUGUUCUGAGACACCCCUCAGAUGGGGAGGCUUGGAAAUCUUUUGACGCAUCAGUUCCUGAUUUUGCGGAAGUCGUUCGAAAUGUAAGGCUCGGACUAGCAAUAGAUGGGUUCAAUCCAAGCAACAAUAUGACUCUGUCUCACAGCAUUUGGCCUGUUAUUUUAAUGCCGUACAACUUACCACCGUAGAUGUGUAUGAAGAAGGAAUAUAAUUUUUUGGCAUUGUUAAUUCCAGGUCCCAAUUCUUCUGGAAAGUGUCUAGAUGUGUAUUUGAGACCGUUGAUUGAUGAGCUAAAAGAAUUAUGGGAAAAUGGAAUCCCCACUUCUGACAGACAUAGUAAAACUUCAUUUAGGAUGAGAGCAGUCGUGAUGUGGACAAUUAGCGACUUUCCUGGCUAUGGUAUGUUAUCUUCUCAUACCACUCAAGGGUACAAGGCUUGUCCCAUCUGCUAAGAGAACGUUGAUGCUAGUCGUCACGCGAAUAAGAUUGUUUACCUGGGUCACCGUAGAUGGCUUCCAAUGAAUCAUGAAUGGCGGCUUGAUGCAGAUGCAUUUGAUGGCAGGGAAGAGCAUCGUGAACCACCCCCUAUAUAUUCAGUCUGGGGAUGAAAUUUUAUACAAGUUGAACUCUUUUAAUUUUGGAUAUUUGAGUAGUGAUAAAGAUGUCUUGGCCUAAAAUCCUGUGUGUCCUGCUGCACUUGACAAUUUGCAUCAUAAGAGUAUUUUCUUUGAAUUCCCUUACUGGUCCACUUUGAGAAUUAGACACGACCUAGAUAUCAUGCACAUAGAAAAGAAUGUUUGUGACAAUGUGGUGGGAACAGUUCUCGACAUUAAAGACAAGACAAAAGACAGUAUCAAAGCGUGGGAUGAUUUGCAAAAGAUGGGCUUACGGCGUCACUUAUGGGUAAAAUGGAUGGCGUCAAAACAAGUGUUUAUGUCUAUUGCUCCUUACUCGGUGAAGCACGCUUUCAAGCCUAAAGUUUUCAGUUGGUUCAAUGAUGUUAAGUAUCCUGAAGGAUAUGCAGGAAAUAUAGCUCGAUGUGUUAAGGUGGCGGAACAGAAAAUAUAUGGAUUGAAGAGUCAUGACUGUCAUGUUUUAUUGCAACGUCUUCUUCCCGUGGUAAUCAGACCAUAUAUGCAUCGUGAUGUGGUGGAGCCGUUAGUAGCCUUGUCCAGGUUUUGGCAGAGAUUAUGCAGUAGAGAGCUGAAGAAGUCAGAUGUUGUUGAAAUGAAAUCAGACAUUGUCUAAAUCCUAUGUAAAUUGGAGAGGAUCUUCCCCCCAACUUUCUUUUCGAUCAUGGUUCACCUCAUGAUCCAUCUUACCAAACAAGUGCUUCUUACUGGUCCAGUACACUUUACUUGGAUGUUUCCCAUAAAAAUGUAUGAUUAUAACCCUAAAUCCCUAAUCAUACAUUAUUAUUAUUUACAUAUUUUUCCUAUAUUUUCAUUUGUACUAACUAUUUUAUUUUUAGACAACUUGAUGGAUAUAAAGGUUUUGUUAAAAAUAGAGCAAAGCCGGAAGGAUCAAUAGCUAACGCAUACAUUGCACAUGAGUAUGUAACGUAUUGCAAAUCAUAUCUCCGUAAUACAGACGGCACAGAGGGCCUCGACCUAGUAAGAACACCUACAUUCAGCCUCUCAAUUGUCUCUGAAGAUAUAAGAAUGUUUGGUAACUUACCUAAUUCAGAAAUUUUAAGAGAAGAUGAGUUAUAUAUGUGAGGCUCAUUGGUGGGUACUGCAACACUGUGACGAAGUCAAGGAAUAUAGAGAUGCUCAUUUGAGACUUAUUCAACUUAAGUAUCAGAAUAGGCAUGAAGAGAGGCAUAAGAAAACGUUUCCUGUAUAUUUCCUAAAAUGGGUACGUUUAAUCUCCCCAUUUCAAAAUUUGGGGAAAAUUAUGCCCUUUUCGAUCAUAAUUUUUAACUUAUAUAUUUUUAUUUGUUUAUAGGUGACGAGGAUGCAAGAACGUCAAGACAAGGAUUACUCUCCGCAGUUGCAUCAUUUGGCGUGUAUGCCACAAAGACAUAAUGUUUAUGCGGCUUGUGUGGUCAACGGUGUUAAGUUCCUCACAGAACGACGAGAUCAACGCCGAAAGACACAGAACAGUGGCAUCAUGGUAGUGGGUAAAGAUAAUGUUGCAUACUACAGAAUUGUUGUUGCUGUCAUCGAACUACUAUAUCCAGCAGGUAUGCUAGUUGUGUUGUUCAAGUGUAGAUGGUUCAAUACUGACCCAAAUUUUCCGAGGAGUACGAAGAUGGAUCACGGGCUAUUAUCAGUGAAUACAUCCACAAGCUGGUAUAAGCAUGCCCCGUUUGUGUUUGCCAUUCAAGCAAAACAAGUGUUUUAUCUUGAUGAUCCGAAAGCUGGUGGGGGUUAGAAAGUAGUUAACAUGAUGGAGCAUAGAAGUAUGUUUAACGCAACCACACUUCAAGGGGGCCGGGUAGAACAAAAUAUUGAGAAUGUGGCUAUUGAACCAUAUCUAGAGCCUUUAGGGUUCGAUUUCGGUUCACUGCCGUACAUCCCAUCUAGUGACGACUUCAUUAACGAUGAAGAUGAAGACUCAGAUGAAAUUCCUGAGGAUGAUCUAGAAGAUCCGGAUUACGAGGAUAGCGAUUGAGUAUUAAAUUUAUUAUUAGACCUAUUUCGAUGUGCAUGUGAACAUAUAACAUUGUAUUGUAAAACAUAUGUAUUCGAACUGUUAAAAGAUUAAUUAUUAAAUAAAUGUAUUUAAUAAAAAUAUACAUCAAUUUAUUUUGUUGCGACGAAAAAGACUAAAUUCGUCGCUACAGACAUGUCCUAAGCGACGAAAAAGAGUUAUUCGCGUACGAGUUUUGCGCCAAAUAUUUAGGCCAAAAUUCGAAUACCUAGAUUGGGCCACGAAAUAACUAAAUUCGUCUCUUGAUCUAUAACUAAAUACCCAAACCCAGUUCGAACUCUAUCACGAAAUAACUCGCCAAAAUCACUGCUUCGACCUCGACCUCGUUCACUGCUUUGACCUCGUUCCCAGAAUCACUCGAAACCCUAAUCCCUAAUCCCUCCCCAGUUUCGAAACCCUAAACCCUAAUCCCAAUUCGCCUCCUUCGCCUCCCCGGCUUCUCUCCCAAAUUUGUCCUCCCAAUUUCGACCUCAAUCCCAAUUCGACUACGCUCUCCCCUCAACCAUCUAAAUUGAGUUUCAAUCCCAAGCAUGCCACCAUUAACGAAGAAAAGGGCCAGGGAGAUUGCGUUUGAGAGAUUACGAUCGGCUUGUGCAGCUCAAUUUGGUUCCGGCACGACGGAGAAUACGGCGGGGCUGAUGGGAGAUGUUGUUGACCAGUCACCGAUGGGAGAUGGUGAAACGACUCCACCUCCACCACCAGCCUCGAUUGCCUCAACAGCUCCCCCACUGGAUGAGGACAACAUCGACGAUGUCACCCCAGAAGCUCAGGCGACGGUGUUUGAUGGUUGUAGUGUUCGAUGUGGUACUCAAAAGUCCACCGGACCUCCCCUAAAACGCCGACGAGGGUUCGGCAACCUGAACAAGGUCAAACGAAUUGUGAAAUGCACCGGCUUGAUCGAAAUUGUGUAUGACGACUUCAUUAGAGGACCGUCUUCAUCAUCAGUGAACAGCCUCCUGGUCAAUAGCAUUGGUUGCAUAAUUCGAUCCAAAAUUGUCGGCCGAAAACUGGGAAUGCAUCGGUGACUCUGAGAAGAAGAAGUUGAUAGACGGGCUUACGGUAAGAAUCCACAAGCACUUAAAGUGAAUGAGCCGUUUUUAUAUAUAUUCUGUCAAUUUAGAUGGUGUAUAUUACUUGUUUGUGUUAUAGGUGUUAAACUAGACUUGAUAUAUGAAAUUUGGCUCUUGUGAUUGUUACUUGAACUUGGAUAUGGUGAAUGUUUGUGUUUGUGUUAUAGGUGUUAAACUAGACUUGAUAUAUGAAAGAUGGUUUUGGUUAUGGUGAAUGUUUGUGUUUGUGUCAUAGGUUUUAAACUAGACUUGAUAUAUGAAAUUUGGCUCGUGAUUGUUACUUGAAUUUGGUUAUGGUGAAUGUUUGUGUUUGUGUUAUAGGUGUUAAACUAGACUUGAUAUAUGAAAGGCUUGAUAUAUGAAAGAUGGUUUUGGUUAUGGUGAAUGUUUGUGUUUGUGUCAUAGGUGUUAAACUAGACUUGAUAUAUGAAAUUUGGCUCUUGUGAUUGUUACUUGAACUUGGUUAUGGUGAAUUUUGUGGACUGUUUUUCAACACUGUCCUCCUUUUUGUUUUUUUCUUAUCUUAUUUACUGAGGUGUUUUACUUUAUUCCUUCGUUUUUUUGUUUGUUUAGUAGUAUGGUGUUUUUGAUGUUUGGUUGGGGAAAGGAUAAAGCUUUGGGCAAAUGAGGUGGUGGGGAGGGUGAGCAGUAAGGAAAGAAUAGGAAAAGAGAGAUGAUGGUCAAGCCUGCAUACAUGGCCUGAACAAAACUGACUGCAAUCACAAGAACUGCAGUCAUAGAACUCAUUUUUAGCUAGAGAGGGUGGAGGGUAUUGUGAGAAAAACUAAUGAGGAAGGCUAGCUACUUGGACUGUAUAUCUGUUACCAUGUUGGUUAUAUCUAGCUAUAUGUAAGCAAACUAAUUGUUCUGUGGUCUCAAAUGACCAAUUAUUAAUUUUGUUGUUGUUGUUUUACGGAAAAACAUAAUAGAGUUAGCUAAGCUAAUUCUGGAGCAAAUUUCCAGAAGGAGGAGCAAAGGUAGGAUAAGAUAUGUCAGAUGUUUUUUUNNNNNNNNNNNNNNNNNNNNNNNNNNNNNNNNNNNNNNNNNNNNNNNNNNGUUGGAGGAAAAUUUUCAAAGGACUUUAGCCGAACGAAAAUAUAUAGAAAAGUCGUCGGCUAAAGUACGAAAAAUAUAUGAAAAGUCGUCGGUUAAGCCACCGGAGACCGCCACAGUUGUACCCAAAAGCUUCGCUGUCGUGUCUACUUCAUUGCUGGAUAGGUGGUGCAUCGAGUGGCGCCGCCGUGAGGGAUAAAUCGAGCUCUAAAACUCCGCCGGUUCGGAUUCGGUGUCGAUCGAAUUUCUCCUUCCUUAUGUCACCAUUUGGUGAGUUCUAUAUAUGGAUAAGUUAAGUUUGAUUAGUACUACAUUUUCCUAGAAUUUGGUAGCUCGAUUCGGUGUGUGUGAAGAGAAUCGAAGAUUUGAAGUUUUUAGGGUUUAAAAUUGGGGAUUUUUAUAUUUUGAGUCGAUUGACCUGUUUAGGCUUAGAAUUGAGCUUCGACUUCUUCUAGAAAGUUGUUCGAAAUGUUGAGAGGAAGAUUCUGUCAAAUUUUGGUCGUGAUUGGAGGUGGCCGAAAGUUUCUACAGUUUUUUUUUUCAAACCCAGCAACUUUAGCCGAUGAUAUUUAAAUACUAUAUUCGUCGGCUAUAGUAUUUUUUAAUUUUUUUUUGGAGUAAAUGCUUGUGACACCCUGUAGUUUAUACCUAAAAUCAGUUUUGUCCGUCACUUUUUUUUUAAACUGGUAUACCCUUAUACUUUGAAUUCUCGACUGAUUUGCCCUUGUCGUCAAUUGACCGUUAAAGAAGACUGUUAAGUUGCUGAGAUGACCGGCUUCGGCUCCUUCAUUGUCUCCGGCCUCUCACUCUCUCUCCCACUUCUUCUCCCUCAUCUCCCCACUUCCCCACCGCCCAAACAAAAUGGAGGAGAAGAAGACCUCCCAUCUCUUCUUUUUCACUCUCCUCCUCUCCCCCCUCCCCUCCGCCCCCUCUCUCUCCCAACCCGAAUCCUUUUCAGAAACAUCCGAACCCGACUCCAACCCAUCUUCCCUCUCCCUCCCUCUCCACCACCUCGACGCCCUCUCCUCCAACCAAACCCCCUCCCAACUUUUCCACCUCCGCCUCCGCCGCAACUCCCUCCGCUUCAACUCCCUCACCUCCCUCGCCUACAACAGCACCCGACCCGGCCCGGUUUAGGAGUAGCAGGAGGAGGAUUUUCUCGGGUAAAAAAUCGGGUCGGUUUGAGAGUAGCAGCAUUUACAAGGGGCGCAUUGGAGCCAGACGACGUCGGAGCCAGUGUCGAGGNNNNNNNNNNNNNNNNNNNNNNNNNNNNNNNNNNNNNNNNNNNNNNNNNNCUUUUUUGGGCAAAAAAGCUAAUGAACAAUAAAACUUACCCUUCCAUAUGCAUUAAUGUCAAGGCCAUUCUUGAGAAGAUCAACAACAUCAUUCUUCAAAUACUUGAGCACAAAGUUCCUCUUUUUCUUAAUCCCCCUCAAGCCUCACCUUCAAGGUCUUUAUAUCAGUUUUGCUGCAUCAAAAAGACCCAAAAUAAGAACCCAAGAAAAAAAAAAAAACUUCAAAGAAACAAGACCGCAAAUUCCAAACACACUCCCAUAAUCAAGGACAAGAAAUUAUACCUCUGAUCAUAAUGCAUGAAUCAAUUAUGAGCCAAGUCUGCACCCCUUCUAGCAAUUGACGAGUGUGGCACAAGGACCAGAUGGCUUCCCUUCCUUAAAUAGAAUCACCAAAUCCUUAGUUGUCCAUCCAAUUACUCAACUUUUCUGUUUGUAAACAAAUCGAAGAUCAAAUCACAGUAGAAGGCAACAUGCCUACUGAUCUCUAGAAACUAAUUUCACAACCCAACACCUAAAGUUUUCAAACUAACCUUAUGAUCAGAUCAUGACCAAGUUGCAGCUGCUCCCUUUUGAACAACACCGCAGCUGGAUAGAUUCUCCCUUUGCUCUCCUAAUCCAGUACUUCAUCUAUUCUUAUGGCCAAUAGAGACUUCACCAAAACUACUAAACUCAAAACAAUGAAAUGAAGACUUACAUAGCAUUGUGUUUGAGUAAUUGAUCAAAUUAAGUAGAACCAUACCAGCAUACGUACGUUUGAAUGGAAUUCUCUAUCCAAAGUGCUUGCAGCAACAGUGAGGAUCAAGGGAGCAACAUUGCAUGCAGUUUCCCUAUGCAGUACUAGGGAAACCAGAAUCUUUCAUGCCCCUCUUGAAUUCCUAACACUCGAACAUAAACACAAAAAGAUGAUUCUCAAAUCUUGAACCAAACUAAUUGACAAACCAUAAAGGCAUAAACCGAUCAAAUUUAUAAUUCAUAUACCAUUGAAUUGACCAAAAAACAUAUCAUAUAUAGUUAUAUACACUACUAGAAAUUUUGACCAAUACUCCAAAGUAAUAGUCAAUAAGGAUAUUAUCAAAGUAAGAAAAUUGAUGCAGUAAAAAAAGCAUAAACCUGGAAACCUCACCCUUAUUUAAUAUCCGAGCUUCUUAAAGCUCAAAUCGGAAACAAGCCUAGUUCUUCUUCGUGUUUUCACUUCAAUUUCCAAUCUUAAAGUAAAUACCCAAAAGAACUAAGUGGUACUCUUCCCAUGUAAGUAUCUCGAUCGGGAACAAACUAUAGAACAAUGAAAGAAAGAAAAAAAAAAGAGAAGGGAAGGCAAACGGUGGAAGAGAUAAGACUUUGAGUUAGGUGGCUUCUAUGUUUCCAAAGUAUGUGAAGCUAGCAGCUAUAGAUGCUAAAUCAACCAAAAUAUGCUUAAUUAAAAAUUUAACAAGCCUAAUCUAAUCUUCAAAAUGAUUCACCCAAAUCUUAUCUUCAAUUCUCCAACCCUAGACCAGCGAAAAGGAUUUGGGAGAUUGAAAAAUACAUGCACUGAAGAAGUUGAGGCGUAGGUGAGACCGGAGUCGAACCAAGGUUCAGCCUUCUCAACCUUCACUCACCUCCUCCAUGAAAUUGAAGAAUCGACGAAGGAGAAACUGAGGUCGGUGGCACUGUGAGGUGGUCGAUGCAUGGCGCUGGUGGUGCACUCCUCCGGUGACAUUGAGUUCAGAGCAGAGGUGGUAGGAUUUGCAGUAUUUGGGCGAGAGUUCAAGAGGGUGAGGACAAGAAGAGAAAUAGUGUGCGGCUGCUGGGAGAGAAAAAGUGAAAAUUGAGUGAAGGGCUAGGUCUUUUUUCAUUCAUAUACCAUGAUUUUAUUAGACUUUACGGGCUAGGUCAAAAAUUUUAUGACGUUUUUAAAAUGUCAUGGCACAUUCCAAUCACGACGUUUGAUAAACGUCGUUGAAAUAUUACGUAUGACGUUUUUCAUUAAUUCAUGAUAUUUAUCAAAGGUCAUGGAAAAAUUAUUCAUGACAUUUAAAAGUAGUCAUAAAAAUGAUGACAGUUGAAAAACGUCAUCAAAUAGCAAGUCAUACAAUGACGUUUGUUAAACGUAAAAAAUUUCAGGACAAUUUUAGAUUCAUGACGUUUGCUUCUGAAAACGUCAUAGAAAAAGUAUACAAUGACGUUUUCGGACAAACGUCAUUAAUUUACUGUCAUUGUAACUUUUUUUGUAGUAGUGACAUACGCAUAUACUUUCUUAGAUCAUGUUCUGUAACUGACAAUUUAGUCAGGUUUCUCAAUUUACCCAUCAUUCCUAAAAUGUGAUCAAAACCUAGCUGCCAAUUGCCAGUUCUUCCACUAGCAGUUCAUAUUUUUCAUUUGAGUUUCCAUCAUUAUGCUUCAGAGAUUAUUGGUUUUAUUCAUCAUUUUCAUUUUAGUUUUGUUUUAGGAUAUUAGAAGGUAAUACUUUCAAUCAAUACCACUACUUGAUAUGUAUGGGUCAGACUUCCUGGUGUUCUAUAUAUAUAAUCAUCUGAUUUACUGUAAAGAUUGAAUGAAAGUUAGUAAAAAUAAGAUAACACCACUUUGGUAGUGCUUGAACUCGAUGGCUGAGCAGGUUUGAAUACAUUUUAAAUGCAUCUGUUUCUUCAUCUUAUGAAUUAGUUUUACAUGUCAAAGUUUUACCACUUUGGUUAUGGUGAAUGUUUGUGUUUGUGUCUGUGUUUUACAGUUAUGGCAGUUCCUUCCAUCAAGGAAACUGACAUAAGUUCUUAUCAUUUUCAGACAAGGAUCAUAUCUUAACUUGCGCAUGAUUUGAAAUCAAAUUGAAUAACUAAGUAUUGCAGUAUUCCUAAUUCACCAUAACACACUUAGAUAUGUUACUAAUACUAUACUUUAAACUCCAAUAAUCUUAUUUCAUUAUGUCAAUUUACAGGAUGAUGACAUAUUGUUUGUGUUAUAUUGUGAAUCUACUAUUUUUAUGAUUGUUUAUCUCAAAUUAGUCUGAUGAGUUGUUUGUGUUAUAGCUGUAUUUUAAAAUUGAUUUUGGGGAUAAACGGAUGUGGGCGUGGCUUGAAGAUAAGGCGGGUACCAUAUAUCGAGAUUGGAAUGAGGACUUUUCAAGGCACUAUAAGAAGUAUGGGAGAGAAACAAUUCCGCCAGAUUUGAUACACAGGCAGGAUGAGUGGGACUGGCUUUGCUGGCACUUUAAGUCUCCUGAUUUCAAGGUAAAAGAAUUAUUUUGCUGCCACUUUGAUAUUUAUUUUGGUUAGAGUUGUAGUUUUGUUGCUGAAUGGUUAGAGUUGGAACAAUAUUGGAUUUUGGUUAGACUAGUAGUUUUUUUUGUCCGAGUGUUAUGAGUUGAUGUAAUUGAAUUGUCAUAUUAUUGUUAGACAUGAAAGGCUUGAUAUAUGAAAGAUGGUUUUGGUUAUGGCAAGACAUAAGGACACAAAAUAGAGGCAAAGGCUUCUUUGUUUCUCUUCUAUACCAUUUAUGGAAUACACAAAUGCUUAGCACUUUGUCUUCUUAAUAUCAAACUUUAGUUAUGUCUUGUACUUGCAAGGCCUCUUAUAAUACGUUGAGUUAUAUAAUGCAUAUGUCAAUUCCCAGCAAUCGAUCAUUAUAAUACCUUGAGUACCUUGUAGAAUGGGUGAGUUUAAUCAUUAUAAUACCUUGAGUACCUUCUUAAGAUAUUUUUUUUUUUUGAUAUAAUUCAUAUAAAUUAGCAAAAGCAUCAUGUUUCUCUAAUUUUGUUUGUUGGUUACUAAUUUUUUUUCCAAAAUGUAAUCUCAUUAUUUUUUUUUUUGUCUUAUAAGCAUGUUAACAAUAAUAAUUUUGUUUGUAUUAGAUGAUGUGGUAUAAGCUUGAUGAUCCAUUAUAUUUAUAUGAACUAUUAUGUGAUUGGCAGACACGAUCGGCGGCUAACACGACCAACUGUGGUAAGAAGGAGUCGGAGCACCACACGGGGCGGCUAUCUAUCAUCUACAGGGUGGUCCGCCACAAAGAAAAGGGUGAGGAAUUUCCUGUUAUCCCAGCUUACACAGAGACGUAUGACACAGUCAACGACCCUAAAGCUGUCAAGAAUCUUGUAAGUUAAUUAAAUCUGGUGCAAAUGCAAUUCUUUAGCUAGUUAUAAGUAACGAUUGAUUCUUUAUAAGUAACGAUUGAUUCUCCUAGACCAAAUGCAAUUCAGACAGUGUGCAAUAAUAUAUGUGAGAAAGUCAUGAAUAUUGCAUAUAUAUUUAUUCUAGAGUCCAAAUAGUUAGUCCCAAACUUGCAAUUCUUUAGCUAGUUAUAAGUAACAGAAUGUUACAAUAUUCAUUUGAAUUCUCAUAUGGUGGAUGAUGAUGCAUCACCACCAUUGUUGUUCUAAUAUCACUUCACUAAAGAAUGUACUUGUAGACUUUGUGAUGGAACUUCUUUUUAACUAGAGCUAGGUCCGGUUCCUUCCCUUUUAGAUGAAGUUGUAUAUCCUGCUAAGUUUCAUAUCUCUUCACUAUUGUUAUGUUCUGCAAAACAUUGCUUCUCUCUAAGUUCAAUUCUUCAUUUAGUACAUUUAUAUGCCUGCAAUAUGUAGCAGAUUCAUAACAGUUCCAUCAUUCUCCAACUUAUUUUCCUUCACUGCUUAUCAAACCCUUAACUACUUUUCAACUGUAAUAUGAAUUUAAAUUCCAAAUCUAAUUUCAAGCUUAUCUCUUAUCUACAGGAGGAAAUGCAAAAGGAGGCCACUGAAUUGAAAAAUGCACAGAAGAAUGCAAACCCUGACAUCCCAGAGGCUGAGCUCCCACCUUUGGACUGGUCAAUGAAUAUUAAGGUGCUUCAAGCAGGAGUCGGCAGAAGAGCCGGGAAGGAGAUUCGUGGUCUUGGAAGAGCAGGUGUCCAAGUGUCAUCAUCUUCCACUCCACGUUCUCGAGUAUAUGAGGUGGAGGAGAGAUUACAUAAAGCUCAGGAAAGGGUCGAAAAAGCUGAGGCGGUUGUGCAGAACCUUAAUGAAGAGAUGACAUUGGUGAAGCAGCAACUAGCAGCAGUGAUGUCUUUUAUGGCGCAGCAGACUGGGUGUGACACACCCCAAUUUUUUUUUUGAAAGGAAAUUUUCAAAAAUUUUGGCAUAAUAUCCCUUAAAAUAAUAUAAUCUCAAAACCUGUUUCAACAAAAUUUCAAUUGUAACUAGACUCAAUGCGGAAAGUAAAAUUUACACACAACUCCAUAUUGAGUUAAAUAUUACAUUUCUUUGUUUACAUAAACUCGAGAGUCAAGAAAAUGAGACGCUCACAUGAGUUUAAUAUUGUCUACCCCAAUGUAUAUAUAAAAAUAAAUAUAUACAAUGAACAACCAAAACCCAACAAAAAAAAACUAACCACUAAGCCUCCACCUCAACCCUGCUGAUCCUCACCUGCAGGUCUAACCCCUACACCAAGAAUUGGUGCACCGGGUUGUAAACAACAAAUCCGGUAAGCUAAAAAGCUCGUAUGAGUAAACUAAAAAAUAACACAACAUUUAUCACAUCCAAUAUUCCACAAGAGAGAUUGUAUCCAUAAUUAAAGAAAAUCACACAUCCAACACAUUACCCAAGAAAAGUACCCAUGAGUCCCAGAUAUUUAAUAAAAUACUCCUCAUGACCUACAACAACACUAUGUGUACCCAUGGGUCCCAGAUACCAUACAGUAUCUCCCAUGACCUACACUGACAGACGGACUAGAGCUCUAUUCCUAACCGCAACCAAUCACCCGGCCAAAGGCUUGGAACCCGGUUUGACUGUCUAAUAUCAAACACAAAAAUAAUAAAUAGCAUCUUAACCGCCACCAAUCACCUAAUUAAAGGCUUGGAACCCGGUUUGGCUAUUUAUCCAACAAUCAAAAUAUCACAACCUUAUCCCCAACAACAUAAUAUCACAUCAUUAUUCUCAACAACACAAUAUCACAUCAUUAUCCUCAACAACACAAUAUCACAUCAUAAAUUAUAUCCUUCCUCAUGGAUAUAUUUACAUGAGAAAAAUAUAGAUAUUCCACAAGAAUAAUCUAUCAAUUAUUAAUAAAAUUAUGAUCACAUGAAUCUCAAAAAUAACAUAUAAGAAAACUUGUUUUAUCUUACCUAUGAGCCGUUGGCGAUCAAGCUCAUAUAUUUUUAAAACAAUUAAAAGCAUAUUAUUAAAUCCAACAUCAUCAUCAUUAUCAUCAUCACAUGACCAUAAUUAAAUUGGUUCAAAAGUGAACCUUGGUGAGAUUUACUCACCUAGAAAUCCCGCUGCAAAACCCCCAACACAACGAAGGCAAGCCAAUCACAAAAUCACAAAUCACCUAAAAUCACACAAAUAAAACCUUAGUAAUAAAAUACUAUAGGUUAUCACAAUACCCCUUAACUAACCCUUAGUUCAAGGGAGGACAACUUUUCAAGGUCGUCGAACUUAGAGACCCAAAAUGGCUGCCUCUAAUCCUCAAAUCCUAACUCAACCCUCAACCAAACCUAAUAACAAACUUAAAAUCCUAUCAUACGAACAAAGCUCACAACCUAGGAAUUCUACAUCUCAAUAAGCUCACCACAACAAGAGCUAGCCAAAACAUAGCCACCUAAGCCACAAUCCUACUGGACGCGCUGCCACGCGCCGCCACAGGAGGCGGCGAGUGGACCCACGCGCCUCCAUGGACUUCCGAAUUAGAGAAAACUCUUAACAGCAAAGUUGAAGCUUGCAGCAAGGGGAGCAACUUUCAUACUUGAGGCUUCAACCAAUUUUGGCCGGAACCGGCCGGAAACUGCCCCGAAAGGUAACUAGCAAAUCACACUACAAAACCUAAAAAACCGGCCUCAAAACCUCAAAAACUUGCUUCAACUAUGCCUAGACACUACUAGGAGGAAGAGGGGAUCAAGACUCACCUAAACUUGGCCGGAAACGGAGUCGAAAUCGCCGGUUUUCCGGCGGGACAGCAGCAGCUCGGCCGCUUCGUGGUGGCUUCCAGGCGGCGGGACUGCUCCAGAAAUGAAGAGGGCUGCUGUGGGAGUCGAAUGGGACCGGUGGCGUCCGGUUUGGUGGCCGGAGGAGGAAGAACUCGGCUGAAGAAGGUGAAGGCUCGGGGAGCUCGGGUGAGAGGAGAGAGAGAGGAGGGAAACUGAUUUUAGGGUUCUAAUUAAUCUCACUCACAUUUUUUCUACUUAUACUCUUUUCAAACCCGAAAACAAAUUUCCUCUGAACAUAACUUCUUCAUACGACAUCCGUUUCAGACGUGUCGCAUGUCUACGAACUCGUAUCAACAAACUCUACAACUUUCGUGAAGGAGGUUUUUGAAGAUAACUUACGGAAAAUAAAGUCAACUUUUGGCCUCUCAAAAGUCAAAGCACUUAAAUAAACUCUCAAGACUUCAACUUCGCAUAAACCAAAGAAUUUCCAUAACUAAUCCUUCAUUAAAUAAGGGAAUAAUACAAGGAAAAUUGAUAUGAAAAUCUAGGGUAUUACAAUCUAACCCCCCUUAAAGGAAUUUCGCCCCGAAAUUCAAAGAUACUAACCCAAAAACAACUUGGGAUAUUUGGCCCUCAUGUCCGACUCUAACUCCCAAGAUGCAUCACCCUCAUCAUGGUGACUCCAACACACCUUAACCAAAUCGACUUCCUUCCUUCGAAGCCUCUUGGUUGAUCUAUCCAAGAUUCGAACCGGUUCAACAACAAAGGUUGCAUCCGCAUUCACCUUGAUAGAACUAUAGUCAAUCACAUGUGAUGCAUCCAGAAUAUACUUCCUCAAUAAGGACACAUGAAACACAUUGUGUACCCCGGACAUGAUAGGAGGUAAGGCAAGCCGAUAAGCCAAAUCUCCUACUUUCUCCAAAAUCUCAAAAGGCCCCACAUACCUAGGAGCCAACUUCCCCUUCUUGCCAAAUCUCACCACCCCUUUAGUAGGUGAGACUUUCAAGAACACAUGAUCUCCAACAUCAAACUCUACUUGCCUCCUCUUCAAAUCGGCAUAGCUCUUUUGCCUGCUUUGCGCCGUUCGAAUCCUAUCUCGGAUAAUAGAGACCUUCUCAGUCAUCUCUUGAACAAUAUCAGGACCCAACAGCUCACUAUCACCCACCUCCGCCCAACAAAUAGGUGAUCUACACGGCCUCCUAUAGAGUGCCUCAUAUGGUGCCAUGCCGAUACUAGAGUGAUAGCUAUGAUUGUAGGCAAACUCAAUCAAUUGGAGGUGAUCCUCCCAACUUCCCUUGAAGUCCAUGACACAAGCCCUCAGCAUAUCUUCUACCACCUGAUUCACCCGCUCAGUCUGCCCAUCAGUCUGAGGGUGAAAUGCUGUGCUCAUAUCUAAGGAAGUACCCAUGGCUUUCUGAAAGCCACCCCAAAACUUUGAAGUGAAUCGGGGGUCUCGAUCUGAAACAAUUGAAGUAGGCACUCCAUGAAGUCUCACUAUCUCCUUCACAUACAACUUGCACAAAGCAUCUACCGUGUACGACAUCGACACGGGAAGGAAAUGCGCUGACUUCGUCAGACGGUCCACAAUCACCCAUAUAACAUCAUGUCCAAGCUUGGACUUAGGCAGUCCAGUCACAAAGUCCAUAGAAAUCUGCUCCCACUUCCAAGUAGGAAUAGAUAAUGGCUGCAACAUACCUCCAGGCCUCUGAUGCUCCGCCUUCACCUGCUGACAAGUGAGGCACUUGGACACAUACUCUGCUACAUCCUUCUUCAUCCCAUUCCACCAAAACUGCCUAUGCAAGUCUUUAUACAUCUUGGUGCUCCCUGGGUGCACCGUAUAACGAGAUCGAUGUGCCUCCCAAAGGAUCUCCCCUUUGAGGUCAUUACUAUUAGGAACACACAAUCUCAAUCUAAACCUUAUUCCACCAUCUAAUCCAACCGACCACUCGGUAGGACAAUCAUCCAACAAGUCCACCACUAACUCCGCCACCUUAGCACGUGAGAACUCGUCAUGUGCUUGGCCCUAGAUGAUCUUGGAAAUCAAGGUGGGCUGCAUAGAGGCGCUUCCAAGGAAGAUCCCCUGCUCCCUGCCUGAUGGCAGAAUGCCAAACUCAGAAGCAGUCUCCAACCUGAGCCACUCCUGCACCAUCAUAGAGGCGACUAUACCCCUAGGCUUCCUGCUCAAUGCAUCCGCCACUACAUUGGCUUUCCCAGGGUGAUACUCCAAAGUGAAGUCAUAGUCCUUAAGAAGCUCCAUCCACCUUCUUUGCCUCAUGUUCAAAUCUUUCUGAGAGAAUAAAUACUUCAAACUCUUAUGAUCAGAAAAGAGUUCGAACUUCUCUCCAUACAAGUAAUGCCUCCAAAUCUUCAAGGCAAAUACUACUGCGGCUAGCUCUAGGUCAUGAGUGGGGUAAUUCUUCUCAUGAACCUUCAACUGCCUAGAGCCAUAUGCCACAACACCCCCAAGCUGCAUCAACACACAACCUAAACCCCGAUGAGAAGCGUCGCUAUAAACAACAUAGCCAACACCACUAAUAGGAAUGACCAACACUGGAGCGGUAGUCAACCUGGUCUUCAACUCCGCAAAUACCUUUUCACACUCAUCGGUCUACACAAACUUGGCAUUCUUCUUUGUCAACUUGGUCAAAGAAGAGGCAAUGCUAGAAAAUCCCUCAAUAAAUCUCCGGUAGUAUCCUACCAACCCAAGGAAACUACGGAUCUCCGUGGGAGUAGUGGGACGACUCCAAUUCAACACCACCUCCACCUUAGAGGGAUCCACCGAAAUCCCCUCCUUUGAUACCACAUGACCAAGGAACUUGACCUCUUCCUUCCAAAACUCACACUUCCCAAACUUUGCAUACAACUUGGCCUCCCUAAGAACCUGUAGUACGAUCCGUAGAUACCUAUCAUGAUCCUCCAAAGUCUUGGAGUAAAUCAAAAUAUCAUCCACAAAUACUACUACAAACACAUCCAGAUAAGGACUGAACAUGUGGUUCAUCAAAUCCAUAAAAGCAGCAGGGGCAUUGGUUAGACCAAAAGGCAUAACAACGAACUCAUAAUGCCCAUAUCUAGACCUGAAUGCGGUCUUCGGAAUAUCCUCCUCCUUCACCCUCAACUGGUGAUAACCGGACCUCAUGUCAAUCUUAGAGAAUACCGUAGCACCUCUAAGCUGAUCAAACAAAUCAUCAAUCCUAGGUAAGGGAUACCUAUUCUUGAUGGUCACCUUAUUCAACUCCCGAUAGUCCACACAAAAUCAGUGACACGACCCACCCCGAAUUUCACCCUGAACCCGGAGUAAGUCGUGCGGGGACCACCUCCAAGGGAGAUUUUCUUAGGAAAAUUUACUGAAAAGAUUAAGAAAAUCUCCCUUGCAGAUGGACAACCCUAACUCGAAAAUUUCAUAUUACACUCUUAAUUCAACACUUCCAAACAUCACAUAAUUAUCCUUCAGACAUUCUACACAUAAUAUACAAUAAUCCCAAAGUAUUCAGAGCUACUAAACACUAGCGGAAGCAAGAAAACACGAGUAGGUUGAACAAGUAACCUACUGACGAAAACUGGCAGAAAUGCAGGUGACUAUGCCUCGCCUCCUACUAGAUCCAACCCGAACUCUGCAGACUGGGCAAUUUAAAAUGAAGGGCCCAGGGGAAAACAUUUAAUAACGUUAGAGUGAGUGGACAAAAAUAAAAUAAUAAAUAAAAUAUUUAUGUUUCCCCAAAUUAAUUUCUAAGGAAAAAUCGAAUGCAUGCCGCAAGCGAUAAAACUUUUAUCGCAUAAAAUAUCGAGCCUCUCAGACUCUAUAAUAUAUGUAUGUAUUUACACUCGUCCAUACUCCCUAUAUAAAUUCAUGGGUCUAUAUAGGGCUACUACGCUCACGUCACGCCUUAAUGCGGUGCUACACUACGCCAUCAAGGUGGACAGGCGGGUGUAUAAAUAUGUGUCCAUACCCCNNNNNNNNNNNNNNNNNNNNNNNNNNNNNNNNNNNNNNNNNNNNNNNNNNAUUACUACCCUUAGUAAAGUAUGUGUUCGUGUGCAGAACAACAAAAUCUGAUACUCUGGAAACAUUACUACCCCUAGUAAAAUAUGUUGUAGGGUGCAGAUAAAAAAAAACUGAGGUUCUGGAAACUUUACUACCCCUAGUAAAGUAUGUCUUAGGCUGCAGAACAACAAAAUCUGAUACUUUCGAAACAUUACUAUCCCCAGUAAAAUAUGUGUUAGGUUGCAGAACAAGUAAAUCUGAGGACUUGGAAACAUUACUGCCCCCAGUACAGUUUGUUACUGAGUGCAGAACAACAAAAACUGAGGUUUUGGAGACAUUACUACCCCUAGUAAACUAUGUGUUCGUGUGCAGAACAACAAAAUCUGAUACUCUCGAAACAUUACUACCCCUAGUAAAGUAUGUGUUCGUGUGCAGAACAACAAAAUCUGAUAGUCUCGAAACUUUUCUAUUCCUAGUAAAAUAUGUGUUAGGCUGCAGAACAAGUAAAUCUGAGGACUUGGAAACAUUACUGCCCCCAAUACAUUUUAUUACUGAGUGCAGAACAAAAAAAAUAGAGGUUCUGGAAACAUUACUAUCCCUAGUAAAGUAUGUGUUGGUGUGCAGAACAACAAAAACUGAGGUUCUGGAAACUUUACUACCCCUAGUAAAGUAUGUGUUAGGCUGCAGAACAAGUAAAUCUGACGACUUGGAAACAUUACUACUCCCAGUAAAGUUUAUUACUUGGGAGGGAAGAACAGAAAACCCUUAGAACUUUAAUGCUUGGGACAGAUGAACAUAAUAAUAUUGUCAAGAGAAUUCCACAAUAAUGAACAUCACAAAAAUCUUCAAUCAAAAUCCUUACAAUAGAGAGAAAUCUGAAUGUAGUUCAAAAAACAUCCAAAAAACAACAAAUUCCAAACAUCCACUAACAACCAGAAGGAUGUACAAGAAACUACAGCAACAUGUUCAAAGGUUCCGUACAGCUCUUCUUGUUAUGAUGGCCCAUCUUAUUACAACGACCGCAUCGAAUCAGCUUCUUCUCACCAGCAGAUGCUAUCCUCUUUGAUUUAGGCCUCCCAGCCGCCCUCUUUGUAACAGGAGGUAGUGUAAAGUCCUCAGUGGAAGAACAAGAGGCAUCCACGUUACUCAGAGGUGCAAUAGGAAAGCUAUAACACAUCCUAUAGUAUUCAGCAGUAAAAUAAGGAUCAAUGAAAUCAUACACAUCAAGUCUUGCACCUUGUAUAGCAGCAAGUGCAUGAGCGCAUGGGAAGCAAUUAAUCUGCCACUUCACACAUGAACAAGUACGAGUAGAGAGGUCCACUGAAUAGGAGUACUUAUCAUUCCUAACCUCAUAAACAUUUUCAUGGGAAGCAAUCACCCUGAACACACGAGCCCUAUCAAGCUGCUCUUUCAGCCUCUUCUCCAUUUUAGGAGUAAGCUUGGUAGUCCAAGAUUUCGACUCAACACUCCUUUCUGACAUCAUCUUCAUUUCUUUCAUUCUAGUUUGAUCUAACAUAGCGAAAGGGGGCAGUGAACGCUCAGCAACAAUCUAGUUACUAAAGGAUUCAGCAAUACCAUUUGCCAUAAUCCCAUACCGACAACCUUUUUAAAAAGCACGGUACCAAUGUUCCAAUGGAAUCUCCCUUAUGAAUUCAUCAAUAGUAGCAGCACCACCCUCAUCUCUCAAAUUUUUUAAAUGAAAGUAGAAAGACUUCUCAGUCGAUGCAUAAGCCACUUUAAAGAAUUUUUGUAACUACAUCANNNNNNNNNNNNNNNNNNNNNNNNNNNNNNNNNNNNNNNNNNNNNNNNNNNNNNNNNNNNNNNNNNNNNNNNNNNNNNNNNNNNNNNNNNNNNNNNNNNNNNNNNNNNNNNNNNNNNNNNNNNNNNNNNNNNNNNNNNNNNNNNNNNNNNNNNNNNNNNNNNNNNNNNNNNNNNNNNNNNNNNNNNNNNNNNNNNNNNNNNNNNNNNNNNNNNNNNNNNNNNNNNNNNNNNNNNNNNNNNNCAAAAUUACUAGGGCUAGUGUUCAGCUCCAAAACGAAAAGCUAACAAAAGAGAAGAAACAUUAAAAGCAGCGUGCCGCUGCACCGCUAACGGGAGCGUUCCGCUCCAAAAACAUAACAUGUACAACUGAAAACAUGAAAAAAUUACUAACAAUUACUAGGGGUAGUAAAAUAACAGGAGGUACCUUUGUUUUCAUUUCUUCCAGUUGCAGCAAGAAUCUGCCCCUUGUUUUUGCUCUUUCCAAAGGCACCAUCAACAUAUAAAACAGGUAGGCUGAACUUGAAACCCUGAAUUUGGCCGGCAUAAGCUACAAAAACCCUUUUAAACCUCUCGGUACUCUCAUCAACUUCAAGAACAACUGAAGAACCCGGAUUAGUCUCCAACACAGCUUCCCUAAACCAGCUUAACAUAGAAAAAGAAUCACAUUCCGAGCCAUACAUCUUUUCCACACACCUUCUUUUUGCUCUUGAAGCAACCUUAUAACUAAUUUCAUUACCAUAAGUGGACUUGAAAUUGCUCAUGAUCUCACGGGGCUUCAAACCAAGAUUCAGACAGACAGUAAACUCAAUGCAGGUCCUAACAAUUUUAGACCCUAAUUGCCGAUAAGAACGAUUCCUUAUCAUACCUCUGCAUGUAUGAACAUUAUUAAACCGCGUUAUGUAAAAGCAUUGAUUAAUAGAAGCAACAGAUCCAAGUACUUCCCAGCCACAGUGGUCAACAUCACGAUUUGCACAAACAACAUUAACGUAAAUUGAAUCAUUCCUAGAUAGCACAUAAUGGAAACCACUUUGAACAGCAAACGUCCUCAGUUUAUCUCUAAAGUCUGCAAUGCUCUCAAACUUCUGCCCAGCAUGUGACAAAUAUGAACCCCAUUCAUCCGACAAAAAAAACUUCUGAGGUCCAUCCUUAAAAGCAUCACCUAGAUAGUCAUUCUCAUCUAUCAUCUCAGCACAAUCAUCAACCACUACACUAGUUGAUGAACAACUUUUCCCGACAUCCUUGACUACUGUCACUACUACAUUAUCCAUAUGAUAAAUUUUUGCACAGCAGAAGAGCAUCUUAAAAUCAUAUUCAUUAUCUAAAUAGACGAAAAACAAGCAGGUGAUGAAUACUCAAGGUGAAAAGAAUCAUUGGACGAAAACUUAAAUCGUUUUNNNNNNNNNNNNNNNNNNNNACCCGAAUAAAAUUACCUUUUACUAGCUAAAAUUUACCAUUUUUUACCGUCGUCAUAUUUUCUCCCACGAACAAUUCCCCGAAACUAAUUAUCUCUUAAAAAUACCUCUAGGGACCAAUUAAACUAUUAACUCAAUGACGGGGACGGUAAAAUUCUUAUUAUAAUUAAGCUAGUGAAUAAGGUAAAAAUAUAAGGGUCGGGAUGUGACAUUCAGAGUGUAUCAUCCUUCUUCCUCACAAGCAACACUAGUGCACCCCAAGGCGAGGUGCUAGGUCUAAUGAAUCCCUGCUCGAGAAGACCCUCAAUCUGAACCUUCAACUCCUGAAGUUCAGUUCUCCCCAUUUGAUAAGGAGUCUUUGAUACCGGUGAAGUACCUGGUACCACAUCGAUAGCAAACUCCACUACCCUCUUAGGAGGUAACCCCGGAAUCUCCUGGAACACGUCACUAAACUCAGAGACUACUGCAAUAUCCGCAAUACCCAUGGUACUACCGGUAGCCUCAAUGUGUGCCAACACUCCUUCCCACAUGGCCGUGUCCGACCUAUGACAACGAUAGCGAAAACUCGGCUGUCCAGGAAUGUGGAAUGACACUACCAUACCAAAACAGUCAAUCAAAGCAUGGUUUGGCCUUAGCCAAUCCACUCCCAAAAUCACAUCAUAGGAGCGGUCUGGAAUCACAAUCAGGGAAGCAAGGAACUCUCUACCACUAAUCACUAUCGGACAUGCUUCACACAAGGUGCCAAGUUCAAUAGAAACACCGAGAGGUGAAGAAACACACAAAGAUCUAGUAAGCGGUGUCGGAGUCAAGCCUAAUGCCCUCACCACCGAGCUAGAUAUGAAGAAAUGGGUUGCCCCCGUAUCAAACAAAACUGAAGCAAGCAGAUCAUAAACAAGAAUGCUACCUUCCACUCCUGCACCACGCUGACCAAUGGCAUAAACUCUAGCCGGUGCCGGAAGUAAUGGUCUCUGCUGAACACCCUGCCCUCCAGCCUGAGGUCUGGUGCAAUCCCUAGCAAAAUAGCCUGCCUGCCCACAGGUGAAGCAUCCCUGCCUCCUGGGCUUCGUGCAUGCCGAAGAGAAGUGGCCCGGCUCGCCACAGUUGAAACACUUCAAUGGUGCUGCCUGCCUAAUAGGUGGAGCCCUAAUAGGUGCAGCUGCUGCUUUAGUUGGAGCCAGCUGAUGAGUCCGCCGCCUCUUCCCAUAACCACCUCUGUGGUCCCCUGAGCUGCUACUCCCCGCCAGGGCCUUGCCCUUCCCCUGGACAUCUCUCUGCCUCUCUAUCUCAUGCAUCACCUCCUUCUGCUCAACUGCAAGGACACUCUCCACCGCUUCUGCUAGAGUAGCAAACCGCUGGGAAGUCACCAACUUCCGGAGCUCAUGCCUCAAACACUGAAUGAACUUCAGUGCCAAGUCUACUGCAUCAAUCUCUCUAGCGAAGCGAUACAUCUGAGAAAAACGGGCCUCAUAAUCCCUGACACUCAUCAGGCCCUGCACCAGAGCUAUGAACUCAAGCUCCAACUGCUCCCUCACUGUAUCAGAAAAAUACUUCUCCCGAAAGAGCUGCACAAACCCCUCCCAAGUCAGAGAGGUCACAUCUCAAGAUCUCUCCACCCUACUCCACCAUACCCGUGCCUCAUCCUUGAGAAGAAACGUAGCAAUACGCAUCUUCUUGAUCUUCGUACACGUGAUCAUGGUGAAGUAUGUCUCAAUGCCCUCUAUCCAAUGAUCAGCUACGAGGUAGUCCGUACCUCUAAGAAAGUAUAAGCGAGCAAACCUUGGUUAACUCAUGCAUAAAACUUAAACCAAAGUAUAAGUCAAAUGCGACACUUAUUAACCAAAACACUAACUCAAGAUGAAACACAAAGAUUCAAAAUCCACUAAUAGAGUCACUACCAGAAGAAAGACUUUAGCCGAACGAAAAAAAAAAACCAGGCCGACAAAUCAAUUUUUCGUCGGCUAAAUUAUAUUUUCGUCGGCUAUAGUCAACUUUAGCCGACGAAAAGAAUUUAUUUUCGUCAGCUAAAGUCUUUGACUUUAGCCCACGACUUUAAACAUUCUUUAGCCCACGAAAUUUUAAUUUCNNNNNNNNNNNNNNNNNNNNNNNNNNNNNNNNNNNNNNNNNNNNNNNNNNNNNNNNNNNNNNNNNNNNNNNNNNNNNNNNNNNNNNNNNNNNNNNNNNNNNNNNNNNNNNNNNNNNNNNNNNNNNNNNNNNNNNNNNNNNNNNNNNNNNNNNNNNNNNNNNNNNNNNNNNNNNNNNNNNNNNNNNNNNNNNNNNNNNNNNNNNNNNNNNNNNNNNNNNNNNNNNNNNNNNNNNNNNNNNNNNNNNNNNNNNNNNNNNNNNNNNNNNNNNNNNNNNNNNNNNNNNNNNNNNNNNNNNNNNNNNNNNNNNNNNNNNNNNNNNNNNNNNNNNNNNNNNNNNNNNNNNNNNNNNNNNNNNNNNNNNNNNNNNNNNNNNNNNNNNNNNNNNNNNNNNNNNNNNNNNNNNNNNNNNNNNNNNNNNNNNNNNNNNNNNNNNNNNNNNNNNNNNNNNNNNNNNNNNNNNNNNNNNNNNNNNNNNNNNNNNNNNNNNNNNNNNNNNNNNNNNNNNNNNNNNNNNNNNNNNNNNNNNNNNNNNNNNNNNNNNNNNNNNNNNNNNNNNNNNNNNNNNNNNNNNNNNNNNNNNNNNNNNNNNNNNNNNNNNNNNNAAAAGCACGUAUAGCUAGCUAGCAUUCUCUCAUAUACAUAUUAUUCUCAUAAUCAUCCACAUAUGGAUAUAUAUAUAUACACUCACCGAAAUUCUCAAUUUCGGUUAUUCUCCAACAACAUAAAUUAUUUCGCACGCACAUUAUUUAAAACAAAAGUCCACUCACAAAUUAGGCCUAAGCUUGAUGUCGAUCUGGGGCUUUGUCAGCUCGAGCCUCCUCACGACCUGUUCCAAAUAUAAUAUUAAGUUCCCAGCCGAAAUUCCAAUAUUUACACAAAAUAGGCAGAAAUUAACCGACAGCCAUUAACACGCUCAUCAUUGCCUAACUUCGAAAUGGUCCACAUUUCAACCCUAGAACCAGCAGCCGUAACUACACCUUCCCACAGAUUAAACAACUUAAUCCAACGGCCGGAUUCUACAUAAAUUAACCGCCAAAAAUACUAACUUCGGAAAUUCAUAAACCUAUCCAAAACUCAUCCAAAAAUUCCAUAACUCACUUCAAUAAACUCCCCUUAAUAUUCCAAAUUUAACAAUAUUAAAAUCUCCCAACCGGCGGCUCCGCCAGCGGCGGCGGCCAGAGGCCAGUUCCAACGACCUCCAAUUCCUAUGAAAUUUUAACAACAUCUUCCUCUCAUCAUGCUCUACAACUUUCAUAACUAGCACAAACACCAAUUCCAAGCCUAACUAGGGCAAUCGACUAAAAAUAUCAAAAACACCAUAAAACUUCCACCUCAAAUUUCUCCUUACCUAGCUCAAGAGGGAGUGAGUCCUUUUAGGGCAAGGCUGCUGGGUUGGAGGGCUACAAAACCCUACCAACCUUGCCCGGAUUGGUGGCCGGAGGACGGAGUUCUGGCGAAAUGCUUCCCGGCGUUUCCGGCGGGUUUUCUCCUCUUCCGGCGGGUUAGAGGCUCGAGGGCUAGGCCGGGGAGGGAGAGGAGGAGAUGGGGGUCUGAACUGGGGUGGAGCGGCGGCAGCUGGUGGCCGGACGGCGGCAGGAGGACGGCCGGACGGACGGCAGCGGGAGGAAGGAAAAAUCGGGGAGAGAGAGAGAGAAAAUCGGGUAGAAAAGAGAGAGAAGAGAAAAUGGGUUUGGGCCUCACACCCCAAACCGGUCCACCCUUUAAACAACCCAAUUUCAAAAAAAUGAAACACCCCGAAAAAAAAUACCCGAAUAAAAAUUACCUUUUACUAGCUAAAAUUUACUAUUUUUACCGUCAUCGUAUUUUCCUCUUACGAAUAGUCCUCCGCACAUAAUCGUCCCUGAAAUCUCUCUAGGGACCAAUUAAACUAUUAACUCAAUGAUCGAGACGGUAAAAUUCUUAUUAUAAUCACGCUAGUAAAUAAGGUAAAAAUAUAAGGGUCGGGAUGUGACAAUUCUCCCCUCCUUAUAAAAAUUUCGUCCUCGAAAUUUACAUACCUGUCAUCCGAAGAGAUAGGGAUACUGCUGCAUCAUUUGCUCCUCUGAUUCCCAAGUAGCUUCUUCUACUUGAUGACUUCUCCAAAGCACCUUGACAAGCGGGAUUGUCUUAUUCCUAAGCACUUGCUCCUUUCGGUCGAGAAUCUGUACCGGCUCCUCUUCAUAUGUCAAAUCUCUCGUCAAACUGAUCGGCUGCUCUUGCAGCACAUGAGAAGGAUCGGCAAUAUACUUGCGAAGCAUUGAUACAUGAAACACAUUAUGUAUCCUAGCUAACUCUGGAGGCAAGGCUAAUCGAUAAGCAAGUGAGCCAACUCGCUCUAUUAUCUCAUACGGGACAAUAUACCUNNNNNNNNNNNNNNNNNNNNNNNNNNNNNNNNNNNNNNNNNNNNNNNNNNNNNNNNNNNNNNNNNNNNNNNNNNNNNNNNNNNNNNNNNNNNNNNNNNNNNNNNNNNNNNNNNNNNNNNNNNNNNNNNNNNNNNNNNNNNNNNNNNNNNNNNNNNNNNNNNNNNNNNNNNNNNNNNNNNNNNNNNNNNNNNNNNNNNNNNNNNNNNNNNNNNNNNNNNNNNNNNNNNNNNNNNNNNNNNNNNNNNNNNNNNNNNNNNNNNNNNNNNNNNNNNNNNNNNNNNNNNNNNNNNNNNNNNNNNNNNNNNNNNNNNNNNNNNNNNNNNNNNNNNNNNNNNNNNNNNNNNNNNNNNNNNNNNNNNNNNNNNNNNNNNNNNNNNNNNNNNNNNNNNNNNNNNNNNNNNNNNNNNNNNNNNNNNNNNNNNNNNNNNNNNNNNNNNNNNNNNNNNNNNNNNNNNNNNNNNNNNNNNNNNNNNNNNNNNNNNNNNNNNNNNNNNNNNNNNNNNNNNNNNNNNNNNNNNNNNNNNNNNNNNNNNNNNNNNNNNNNNNNNNNNNNNNNNNNNNNNNNNNNNNNNNNNNNNNNNNNNNNNNNNNNNNNNNNNNNNNNNNNNNNNNNNNNNNNNNNNNNNNNNNNNNNNNNNNNNNNNNNNNNNNNNNNNNNNNNNNNNNNNNNNNNNNNNNNNNNNNNNNNNNNNNNNNNNNNNNNNNNNNNNNNNNNNNNNNNNNNAAACUUUAACCCCCUUCCUGGUCAACUUUGUGAGAGGAGCAGCAAUCUUUGAAAAUCUUUCACAAAGCGCCGAUAAUAACCUGCUAAUCCCAAGAAACUACGAAUCUCCGUCACAGUGGUGGGUCUUCUCCAAUUCGACACUGCUUCCACCUUUUGGGGAUCCACACUAACUCCUUCUGCCGAAAUCACAUGACCCAAAAACCCCACUUUAUCUAGCCAAAACUCACACUUGCUAAACUUAGUAAAUAACUGCGACUUUUCCAAAAUCCGCAAUAUUAUUCUUAGAUGCUUGGCAUGCUCCUUCUCACUUCUUGAGUAAACCAAUAUGUCAUCUAUGAAUACGAUCACGAAACGAUCAAGGUAUGGACUAAACACCCUAUUCAUGAGAUCCAUGAACGCCGCGGAUGCAUUAGUAAGUCCAAAAGGCAUCACCACAAAUUCAUAAUGACCAUAACGUGAUCGGAAAGCAGUCUUCGCUAUGUCACCCUCUCGGAUCCGCAACUGAUGAUACCCCGAUCUCAAAUCAAUCUUGGAGAAAACAGAGGCACCCCUCAACUGAUCAAAUAAAUCAUCGAUCCGAGGCAACGGAUAUUUAUUCUUCACUGUGACCUGAUUCAACUUCCUAUAAUCAAUGCAUAGUCUCAUGGUGCCAUCUUUCUUCUUAACAAACAACACUGGAGCACCCCAUGGAGACAUGCUAGGCCGAAUAAAACCCUUAUCUACCAACUCCUGCAAUUGAAUCUUCAACUCUUUCAAUUCCGCUGGAGCCAUUCUGUAAGGCGCCUAAGAGAUCGGCAUAGUUCCGGGAAGUAAUUCUAUAGAGAAGUCUAUCUCCCUUGCAGGAGGCAAACCAGGCAACUCCUCAGGAAAAACAUCCGGAAACUCUCUUACUACAGGAAUAUCUUCUAAUCCCACAACUCCCAUACUUCUAUCCACCACAUGAGCUAGAAAUGCCUGACAGCCUUUACUCAACAAUUUCCUUGCAGCAACAGCGGAAAUUAUGCAACUAAAAAUAACAUCUCUUUCCCCUUGGAAAGCAACCUCAAAACCAUUUGGACUUCGAAGCACCACAACUUUUUGAAAACAAUCCACCAUAGCUCUAUAUGCUUCCAAAAAGUCCAUUCCCAAGAUCACAUCAAACUCCACUAUAUCUAAAGGAAUUAAAUCAGCCUCGAAAUUAACUCCUUCCACUAAAACUUCACAGCCACUAAAUACCCAAUUUAUUCUCAUCACCUCACCGGAGGGUAGAGACACAUGCCACUCGCCUGGAAGAGACGAUGAUGGCACAUUGGCAUGGAGAGCGAAUCGACUAGACAUGAAUGAAUGCGUGGCUCCGGGAUCAAUUAAAGUAAAAGCAGGCUGACCGAAAAUUAAUAACGUACCAAUGAUGACAUCUGGAGAAGUACGNNNNNNNNNNNNNNNNNNNNNNNNNNNNNNNNNNNNNNNNNNNNNNNNNNNNNNNNNNNNNNNNNNNNNNNNNNNNNNNNNNNNNNNNNNNNNNNNNNNNNNNNNNNNNNNNNNNNNNNNNNNNNNNNNNNNNNNNNNNNNNNNNNNNNNNNNNNNNNNNNNNNNNNNNNNNNNNNNNNNNNNNNNNNNNNNNNNNNNNNNNNNNNNNNNNNNNNNNNNNNNNNNNNNNNNNNNNNNNNNNNNNNNNNNNNNNNNNNNNNNNNNNNNNNNNNNNNNNNNNNNNNNNNNNNNNNNNNNNNNNNNNNNNNNNNNNNNNNNNNNNNNNNNNNNNNNNNNNNNNNNNNNNNNNNNNNNNNNNNNNNNNNNNNNNNNNNNNNNNNNNNNNNNNNNNNNNNNNNNNNNNNNNNNNNNNNNNNNNNNNNNNNNNNNNNNNNNNNNNNNNNNNNNNNNNNNNNNNNNNNNNNNNNNNNNNNNNNNNNNNNNNNNNNNNNNNNNNNNNNNNNNNNNNNNNNNNNNNNNNNNNNNNNNNNNNNNNNNNNNNNNNNNNNNNNNNNNNNNNNNNNNNNNNNNNNNNNNNNNNNNNNNNNNNNNNNNNNNNNNNNNNNNNNNNNNNNNNNNNNNNNNNNNNNNNNNNNNNNNNNNNNNNNNNNNNNNNNNNNNNNNNNNNNNNNNNNNNNNNNNNNNNNNNNNNNNNNNNNNNNNNNNNNNNNNNNNNNNNNNNNNNNNNNNNNNNNNNNNNNNNNNNNNNNNNNNNNNNNNNNNNNNNNNNNNNNNNNNNNNNNNNNNNNNNNNNNNNNNNNNNNNNNNNNNNNNNNNNNNNNNNNNNNNNNNNNNNNNNNNNNNNNNNNNNNNNNNNNNNNNNNNNNNNNNNNNNNNNNNNNNNNNNNNNNNNNNNNNNNNNNNNNNNNNNNNNNNNNNNNNNNNNNNNNNNNNNNNNNNNNNNNNNNNNNNNNNNNNNNNNNNNNNNNNNNNNNNNNNNNNNNNNNNNNNNNNNNNNNNNNNNNNNNNNNNNNNNNNNNNNNNNNNNNNNNNNNNNNNNNNNNNNNNNNNNNNNNNNNNNNNNNNNNNNNNNNNNNNNNNNNNNNNNNNNNNNNNNNNNNNNNNNNNNNNNNNNNNNNNNNNNNNNNNNNNNNNNNNNNNNNNNNNNNNNNNNNNNNNNNNNNNNNNNNNNNNNNNNNNNNNNNNNNNNNNNNNNNNNNNNNNNNNNNNNNNNNNNNNNNNNNNNNNNNNNNNNNNNNNNNNNNNNNNNNNNNNNNNNNNNNNNNNNNNNNNNNNNNNNNNNNNNNNNNNNNNNNNNNNNNNNNNNNNNNNNNNNNNNNNNNNNNNNNNNNNNNNNNNNNNNNNNNNNNNNNNNNNNNNNNNNNNNNNNNNNNNNNNNNNNNNNNNNNNNNNNNNNNNNNNNNNNNNNNNNNNNNNNNNNNNNNNNNNNNNNNNNNNNNNNNNNNNNNNNNNNNNNNNNNNNNNNNNNNNNNNNNNNNNNNNNNNNNNNNNNNNNNNNNNNNNNNNNNNNNNNNNNNNNNNNNNNNNNNNNNNNNNNNNNNNNNNNNNNNNNNNNNNNNNNNNNNNNNNNNNNNNNNNNNNNNNNNNNNNNNNNNNNNNNNNNNNNNNNNNNNNNNNNNNNNNNNNNNNNNNNNNNNNNNNNAUAUUAUUCUCAUAAUCAUCCAACAUAUGGAUAUAUAUAUAUAUACACUCACCGAAAUUCUCAAUUUCGGUUAUUCUCCAACAACAUAAAUUAUUUCGCACGCACAUUAUUUAAAACAAAAGUCCACUCACAAAUUAGGCCUAAGUCUGAUGUCGAUCUGGGGCCUCGUCAGCUCGAGCCUCCUCACGACCUGUUCCAAAUAUAAUAUUAAGUUCCCAGCCGAAAUUCCAAUAUUUACACAAAAUAGGCAGAAAUUAACCGACAGCCAUUAACACGCUCAUCAUUGCCUAACUUCGAAAUGGUCCACAUUUCAACCCUAGAACCAGCAGCCGUAACUACACCUUCCCACAGAUUAAACAACUUAAUCCAACGGCCGGAUUCUACAUAAAUUAACCGCCAAAAAUACUAACUUCGGAAAUUCAUAAACCUAUCCAAAACUCCUCCAAAAAUUCCAUAACUCACUUCAAUAAACUCCCCUUAAUAUUCCAAAUUUAACAACAUUAAAAUCUCCCAACCGGCGGCGGCUCCGCCGGCAGCGGCGGCCGGAGGCCAGUUCCGGCGACCUCCAAUUCCUAUGAAAUUUUAACAGCAUCUUCCUCUCAUCAUGCUCUACAACUUUCAUAACUAGCACAAACACCAAUUCCAAGCCUAACUAGGGCAAUCGACUAAAAACAUCAAAAACACCAUAAAACUUCCACCUCAAAUUUCUCCUUACCUAGCUCAAGAGGGAGUGAGUCCUUUUAAGGCAAGGCUGCUGGGUUGGAGGGCUACAAAACCCUACCAACCUUGCCCGGAUUGGUGGCCGGAGGAGGGAGUUCCGGCGAAAUGCUUCCCGGCGUUUCCGGCGGGUUUUCUCCUCUUCCGGCGGGUUAGAGGCUCGGGGGCUAGGCCGGGGAGGGUGAGGAGGAGAUGGGGGUCCGAACUGGGGUGGAGCGGCAGCAGCUGGUGGCCGGACGGCAGCAGGAGGACGGCCGGACGGACGGCAGCGGGAGGAAGGAAAAAUCGGGGAGAGAGAGAGAGAAAAUCGGGUAGAAAAGAGAGAGAAGAGAAAAUGGGUUUGGGCCUCACACCCAAACCGGUCCACCNNNNNNNNNNNNNNNNNNNNNNNNNNNNNNNNNNNNNNNNNNNNNNNNNNNNNNNNNNNNNNNNNNNNNNNNNNNNNNNNNNNNNNNNNNNNNNNNNNNNNNNNNNNNNNNNNNNNNNNNNNNNNNNNNNNNNNNNNNNNNNNNNNNNNNNNNNNNNNNNNNNNNNNNNNNNNNNNNNNNNNNNNNNNNNNNNNNNNNNNNNNNNNNNNNNNNNNNNNNNNNNNNNNNNNNNNNNNNNNNNNNNNNNNNNNNNNNNNNNNNNNNNNNNNNNNNNNNNNNNNNNNNNNNNNNNNNNNNNNNNNNNNNNNNNNNNNNNNNNNNNNNNNNNNNNNNNNNNNNNNNNNNNNNNNNNNNNNNNNNNNNNNNNNNNNNNNNNNNNNNNNNNNNNNNNNNNNNNNNNNNNNNNNNNNNNNNNNNNNNNNNNNNNNNNNNNNNNNNNNNNNNNNNNNNNNNNNNNNNNNNNNNNNNNNNNNNNNNNNNNNNNNNNNNNNNNNNNNNNNNNNNNNNNNNNNNNNNNNNNNNNNNNNNNNNNNNNNNNNNNNNNNNNNNNNNNNNNNNNNNNNNNNNNNNNNNNNNNNNNNNNNNNNNNNNNNNNNNNNNNNNNNNNNNNNNNNNNNNNNNNNNNNNNNNNNNNNNNNNNNNNNNNNNNNNNNNNNNNNNNNNNNNNNNNNNNNNNNNNNNNNNNNNNNNNNNNNNNNNNNNNNNNNNNNNNNNNNNNNNNNNNNNNNNNNNNNNNNNNNNNNNNNNNNNNNNNNNNNNNNNNNNNNNNNNNNNNNNNNNNNNNNNNNNNNNNNNNNNNNNNNNNNNNNNNNNNNNNNNNNNNNNNNNNNNNNNNNNNNNNNNNNNNNNNNNNNNNNNNNNNNNNNNNNNNNNNNNNNNNNNNNNNNNNNNNNNNNNNNNNNNNNNNNNNNNNNNNNNNNNNNNNNNNNNNNNNNNNNNNNNNNNGAGUUUUCUGGAAUAUGCGCUGGCUAAUGCUAACGGGAAUACAAUUUUCUAUUGCCCGUGCACGAAAUGUCAGUGUCGCAACGAUAUGCAUCGAUUUGCGAUUGACAAAGUAUGGCAGCACCUGAAGAGUAACGGGUUUUGGGAGAAGUACACAUGUUGGUUAUAUCACGGUGAAACAUCAUCUGGGGGUCCGCAUGAUCAUGGCCAAUUUUCUGAGACGGGCAGUACAUCCAACGAUCCAACAACGGUCUUCAUCAACGACAUGUUUCCUUAUGAGAGCGGUGUAUACGCUCAAGGACAGUAUAUGCCUGACCCGGUGCAGCCCUUCCCUAGAGCUGUCAACACUGUUGGUAUUGACAAGUACAACAAACUGUUUGCUUUCCAACAGACCCCUGUGUAUCCCGGUUGUCAGAAGACCGUUCUUGAAAGUGUGAUGGACGUAAUGAAGAUUAAAGUUGAGACUAAAUCGACUGUGAAAGCUGUUAAUGAUUAUCUACAGUACACUGCUUCGAUGCUUCCUCACCGUCAUCGUCUUCCUACCACUCAUCAUAAGGUCCGAUGUAUCCUGAAAGAUCUUAGGCUUUCCUACAUCAAGAUCCAUGCAUGCAGAUAUGACUGCGUUCUCUUUUGGGGUAAAGAUCUAGAAGGGAAUGACCUUGGUGGCCUUGACGCAUGUCCGGUAUGUCACACUGACAGAUAUAAGCUGACUCCUGCAGGCAACAGGAAACCUGUAAAGGUACUUCGGUAUUUCCCUUUGAGGGAUAGGUUGGAGCGGUUGUACAUGUCUUCACACACGGCCGAAGCUAUGAGAUGGCACGCUGAUAGGGAAUUGCAUGACGAAGAUACCCUUAUACACCUUGCUGACAGGGAGGCUUGGAAGCAUAUAGAUAGGGAGUUUCCUCAUUUUGCGUCAGAGGUCCGGAAUGUGAGGCUCGGGCUCUCAUCCGACGGGUUCAACCCUUUUGGCAACAUGAGUCUUCAAUACAAUGUAUGGCCGGUGAUUUUGGUACCGUACAACCUUCCCCCAAGGAUGUGCAUGAAGAAGGAAUACAAUAUGUUGAGUUUGUUGAUUCCGGGACCCGGUUAUCCAGGGAAGUGUCUCAAUGUGUAUUUGAGACCUUUGAUUGAAGAGCUUAAAUUUUUGUGGCACGUUGGUCAUCCCACUUAUGACAAGUACACGCACGAGAUGUUCCAUAUGCAUGUCAUGGUUGUUGGUACCAUCAGUGAUUUUCCUGCCCGUGGGAUGUUGUCGAGCAACGUUGUUAGGGGAUGCAAGGCUUGUCCAGAGUGCCUUAGCGACGAGGGGAGCAGCAGUCAUUGCAACAAGAUAUGCAGAUUGGGUCACCGUGCUUUCCUUCCAUAUAAUCACGAAUGGCGGUUCGAUGAAAAGGCAUUUGAUGGAACCGUAGAACACGGUGUGCCUCCCAGAAGAUGGACGGGGGAAGAAAUUUUAGCAAUGCUUAAUGAGUACGAUUUUGGGCAGCUCAGCAAUCAUCCCAACAUUGUGGCGGCAAUACCUGAAAGACCCGACAUGUACAAAUUCUGGACACAUAAGAGCAUAUUCUGGGAACUCCCAUACUAGAGUAAGUUGUUGAUCAGGCACUACCUAGAUGUGAUGCACAUAGAAAAGAAUGUUUGCGACAGUGUGGUGGGCACAGUGCUGAACUUNNNNNNNNNNNNNNNNNNNNNNNNNNNNNNNNNNNNNNNNNNNNNNNNNNNNNNNNNNNNNNNNNNNNNNNNNNNNNNNNNNNNNNNNNNNNNNNNNNNNNNNNNNNNNNNNNNNNNNNNNNNNNNNNNNNNNNNNNNNNNNNNNNNNNNNNNNNNNNNNNNNNNNNNNNNNNNNNNNNNNNNNNNNNNNNNNNNNNNNNNNNNNNNNNNNNNNNNNNNNNNNNNNNNNNNNNNNNNNNNNNNNNNNNNNNNNNNNNNNNNNNNNNNNNNNNNNNNNNNNNNNNNNNNNNNNNNNNNNNNNNNNNNNNNNNNNNNNNNNNNNNNNNNNNNNNNNNNNNNNNNNNNNNNNNNNNNNNNNNNNNNNNNNNNNNNNNNNNNNNNNNNNNNNNNNNNNNNNNNNNNNNNNNNNNNNNNNNNNNNNNNNNNNNNNNNNNNNNNNNNNNNNNNNNNNNNNNNNNNNNNNNNNNNNNNNNNNNNNNNNNNNNNNNNNNNNNNNNNNNNNNNNNNNNNNNNNNNNNNNNNNNNNNNNNNNNNNNNNNNNNNNNNNNNNNNNNNNNNNNNNNNNNNNNNNNNNNNNNNNNNNNNNNNNNNNNNNNNNNNNNNNNNNNNNNNNNNNNNNNNNNNNNNNNNNNNNNNNNNNNNNNNNNNNNNNNNNNNNNNNNNNNNNNNNNNNNNNNNNNNNNNNNNNNNNNNNNNNNNNNNNNNNNNNNNNNNNNNNNNNNNNNNNNNNNNNNNNNNNNNNNNNNNNNNNNNNNNNNNNNNNNNNNNNNNNNNNNNNNNNNNNNNNNNNNNNNNNNNNNNNNNNNNNNNNNNNNNNNNNNNNNNNNNNNNNNNNNNNNNNNNNNNNNNNNNNNNNNNNNNNNNNNNNNNNNNNNNNNNNNNNNNNNNNNNNNNNNNNNNNNNNNNNNNNNNNNNNNNNNNNNNNNNNNNNNNNNNNNNNNNNNNNNNNNNNNNNNNNNNNNNNNNNNNNNNNNNNNNNNNNNNNNNNNNNNNNNNNNNNNNNNNNNNNNNNNNNNNNNNNNNNNNNNNNNNNNNNNNNNNNNNNNNNNNNNNNNNNNNNNNNNNNNNNNNNNNNNNNNNNNNNNNNNNNNNNNNNNNNNNNNNNNNNNNNNNNNNNNNNNNNNNNNNNNNNNNNNNNNNNNNNNNNNNNNNNNNNNNNNNNNNNNNNNNNNNNNNNNNNNNNNNNNNNNNNNNNNNNNNNNNNNNNNNNNNNNNNNNNNNNNNNNNNNNNNNNNNNNNNNNNNNNNNNNNNNNNNNNNNNNNNNNNNNNNNNNNNNNNNNNNNNNNNNNNNNNNNNNNNNNNNNNNNNNNNNNNNNNNNNNNNNNNNNNNNNNNNNNNNNNNNNNNNNNNNNNNNNNNNNNNNNNNNNNNNNNNNNNNNNNNNNNNNNNNNNNNNNNNNNNNNNNNNNNNNNNNNNNNNNNNNNNNNNNNNNNNNNNNNNNNNNNNNNNNNNNNNNNNNNNNNNNNNNNNNNNNNNNNNNNNNNNNNNNNNNNNNNNNNNNNNNNNNNNNNNNNNNNNNNNNNNNNNNNNNNNNNNNNNNNNNNNNNNNNNNNNNNNNNNNNNNNNNNNNNNNNNNNNNNNNNNNNNNNNNNNNNNNNNNNNNNNNNNNNNNNNNNNNNNNNNNNNNNNNNNNNNNNNNNNNNNNNNNNNNNNNNNNNNNNNNNNNNNNNNNNNNNNNNNNNNNNNNNNNNNNNNNNNNNNNNNNNNNNNNNNNNNNNNNNNNNNNNNNNNNNNNNNNNNNNNNNNNNNNNNNNNNNNNNNNNNNNNNNNNNNNNNNNNNNNNNNNNNNNNNNNNNNNNNNNNNNNNNNNNNNNNNNNNNNNNNNNNNNNNNNNNNNNNNNNNNNNNNNNNNNNNNNNNNNNNNNNNNNNNNNNNNNNNNNNNNNNNNNNNNNNNNNNNNNNNNNNNNNNNNNNNNNNNNNNNNNNNNNNNNNNNNNNNNNNNNNNNNNNNNNNNNNNNNNNNNNNNNNNNNNNNNNNNNNNNNNNNNNNNNNNNNNNNNNNNNNNNNNNNNNNNNNNNNNNNNNNNNNNNNNNNNNNNNNNNNNNNNNNNNNNNNNNNNNNNNNNNNNNNNNNNNNNNNNNNNNNNNNNNNNNNNNNNNNNNNNNNNNNNNNNNNNNNNNNNNNNNNNNNNNNNNNNNNNNNNNNNNNNNNNNNNNNNNNNNNNNNNNNNNNNNNNNNNNNNNNNNNNNNNNNNNNNNNNNNNNNNNNNNNNNNNNNNNNNNNNNNNNNNNNNNNNNNNNNNNNNNNNNNNNNNNNNNNNNNNNNNNNNNNNNNNNNNNNNNNNNNNNNNNNNNNNNNNNNNNNNNNNNNNNNNNNNNNNNNNNNNNNNNNNNNNNNNNNNNNNNNNNNNNNNNNNNNNNNNNNNNNNNNNNNNNNNNNNNNNNNNNNNNNNNNNNNNNNNNNNNNNNNNNNNNNNNNNNNNNNNNNNNNNNNNNNNNNNNNNNNNNNNNNNNNNNNNNNNNNNNNNNNNNNNNNNNNNNNNNNNNNNNNNNNNNNNNNNNNNNNNNNNNNNNNNNNNNNNNNNNNNNNNNNNNNNNNNNNNNNNNNNNNNNNNNNNNNNNNNNNNNNNNNNNNNNNNNNNNNNNNNNNNNNNNNNNNNNNNNNNNNNNNNNNNNNNNNNNNNNNNNNNNNNNNNNNNNNNNNNNNNNNNNNNNNNNNNNNCCGCCUCCUCCCUCCUCCCUCCCUCUCCCGGUCUCUGCCUCCUCCCUCCUGCCUCUCCAUCUCCCUCCCUCCUCCCUCCCUCUCCCGUCUCCGCCUCCUCCCUCCUCCCUCCUCCCUCCCUCCCUCUCCCGGUCUCCACCUCCUCCCUCCUCCCUCGCUCUCCCGGUCUCCAAGGUUAGCGUUUUUCUUCUUUUUUACUUUUGAUUUCGAAUUUAUUUUUAGGCAAUGUUUUAUGUUUUAUGUACUGUCUAAUUUCCCUAAUUUAUGUUUAGGAGAUAAAUUAUCGUUAUUUUUUAAACACAUGCUUUGUUGAUAAUAAACUUGAUGCUUGCAUUUCAUGAUUAGGUACUGGUUUUAUCGUGGGCAGGGUACGAAUUUUUAAACAUAAGAUACAAAAUACAAAAUAGAAAAACUUAUAUCAAAUCCGGAUGAAUAUAUAUAUAUAUAUAUAUUUUAUUGAAUUCAUAUUUUUGAAUAAGUAUAAUUUUAAACAUAUAUAUAUUUCACAUUAUAUUAAGUGUUUAAAUUUAAGCAUGAACAUAAUGAAAAAAUAUGAUUUCAAAAAUAUUUUUAUAGAAUAAAGCAAAAUAAUCUAAAGCCUUAGAUUUGAGAAGGAUAAGAUUGAAUUUUACUUUUUCAAUGUUACCUCAGCCUUGAUUCAAAUUAAUAUUUUAAAUAGGAUGAGCGGCUAUUUUAGAUCGAAGAAGAGUUCGAAGGGCCAAAGGUCCGAAUCGUCUGAGGGAACCUCUAGCAACCCCCAAACGACGUUUCAGGGCCAGAUGACAGCCAGACGUGCGAGCCUUCUAGAGACGGCGCAGAGGCAACCGGAGGUGCCCCUUUCAUCGAGGCAGGCGGCCGUCUCUCGUUCCUCGAGGCAGCUGUGGCCUUAGACCCAGACGGAGGUGUCUGCACCCCGUAUGCCUAAGAUACACCGGGCGCCCACUCCAGGUCCUACUUCUUCGGAUAGUGGGUCAUCUGGGGUACAGAUGCCGCCGCCUCAUCUGUUCCUUCCGCGGAUGAUACCGGCCUUACCUGUAGUCGAUGGCUCACGGACUCCGAUUUAUCCACUGCCCCCGCCAGUGGCUCCAUCAGUGGCGUACCGGUUCGUGCCUUUUGAUACACCUCUUAUUUUCGCGAGGGUAUCAUCAUCGGCGACAGAGACGGAAUCCGUCGCGUCCGCCGCGAGCGCAUCAAGUAAUCAGUGAUGUAUGAUUACUUUUCUUAUAAUUAAUAAUAAAGGGUCUCCGAUUUUAAUAAUCAAUUUGGUUUAUCAUGUGAUAGGCACCGUCGGAGCGAAGCCGACAAAGAAGAAGAGAGGCCCCGUCACAGGGAAGGCUCUCGAGAAGAUCGUGGGUACCGUGGGGAGGAUCGUCAUCAAUACUGACGGGGAUGGCCACAUAGUAUCGGGCGGGAAGUCGAGGACGUACUCUGGCCGCGUGGGAGUGCUCAUUAGGGAUAGAGUCCCUAUGUUGUGGUCAGACUGGGGCGAGGUCCCGCAGGAGGUUAAGGACAUGGUCCACAACGCGAUGUCGGUGAGUUUACAAAAUAAUAUUAUGUAUUACAUUGUUGAUUUCUCGAAAAACUAAACCAAUAAACGGUUAAAUGCAGGUGUGGUUUGAGGUUCCCGAGCACCUGAAGGACAGCUGGGCCGACGUUGUGCAUGGGGGAAGGUACGUUGGGAAGUUAAUGAAAAACAAAAUUGUAUGUGAUAUUAAUAAUAUUUCUAAUAUUUUUGUUGUAUUUGUAGGUACAAGGAGUGGAAGAACGAGUUGCAGACCCACUGGACUACGCACGGGAACGCAAGUUCUGGUACCCCUGCUGAGUUCCAGUACAGGGAGUACGAGUGGCGUUAGCUUCUGACAUCAGAAUUCAACAACCCUCGUAGACAGGUAUUUAAAAAAAUUAAUUAGUUAAUUUGUCAGGGACAUAGACGAUGUCGUAUUGAUUGAGAAAUACUGCCCAUUUUUCCAUUUGUCCUAAUAAGACUAGUUUAGACAUGACAAAUUUGACCGGGUCAACUCGUGCCACUAAAUGCACUAUGUAAGCUUGCAUGUAAUGCCUCAACUUUUGGAUGGCGAAGAUGAGAGCAAGACAUGUCUUCUGACAUGUCUUCUUUAUUGGAGAGUUCGACUUAAAUAGUACAAGGCUAUCUCCCUCUUUUCUUCAUUUUCUUGAGCUAGAAGGGCUCCAAGUGAUCUUUCUUGAGCUGCGAUGUAGAGGAUAAGAGGUUUCCCAGGAAUGGGUGUACCCAACACCGGAGGAUUAGCCAAGUACUUUUUAAUGCUUUUGAAAGUGUUGUGACAUGCUUCAUCCCACUCGAAAGGCACAUUCUUCUUCAUGAGUCGACUAAAAGGUUGGCAUCAACCAACGAGGUUUGAGAUGAACCGUCUGAUGAACGCGAGUUUUCCUUGGAGGCUUCUCAAUUCUUUUAAAUUUGUUGACUCUGGCACUUCUUAAAUGGCCUUAAUCUUCGAUUGAUCUACUUCAAUGCCCCAAUGCUUCACAAUGAAUCCAAGGAACUUGCCUGAACUCACACGAAAAGCGCAAUUUUGAUGGGUUCAUUUUAAGUUGGUACUUGCGUAAUCUAUCGAACACUUUUCGUAAGUCCUGCAAGUGAUCACUUCUUUUUCUUGACUUGACAACCAAGUCAUCAACAUAGCACUUGACGUACUUGUGAAGCAUGUCUCCAAAGAUUUUCUACAUGGCGUGUUGGUACGUUGCACCAGCAUUCUUUAAUCCAAAUGGCAUGACAUUGUAACAAUAAAUGCCUUUAGGAGUGUGAAAUGCAGUGAACUCCUCGUCUUCUAAUGCCAUCCUUAUUUGGUUGUAGCCAGACGAUCCAUCCAUGAAAGACAAAGCUUCAUGACCUGUUGUUGCAUCCAUCAUGAGUUCGAUGAUAGGCAAAGGGAAGUUGUCUUUCGGACACGCAUCAUUCAAGUUGCGAAAGUCUACGCACACACGCAAUUGUCUAUUCUUCUUUUCAACUAGGACAAUGUUCGCAAUCCACUUGGGAUAUUGGACCUUUGUUUCAAUUUGGGUUUGCCCUUCUGUUUGAAAAUGUCGUGUCAGUUGCUUGAUGGGUCGAGCCUCCAGUUUAACAGCUAAUUGAUGAACUGCUACCUUAGGGUCAAGACCUGGCAUUUCUUUGUAAGUCCAAGCGAAGACAUCCUUAUAUUCGAGCAACAAGUCAUAGUACUCCUUCUCUUCUUGGGGACUUAGUGAUGCGCUCACAAAUAUUGGUCUUGGGUCCUCCUCUGUCCCCAAAUUGAGCUCCUUAAGUUCAUCAACUGUAGCUUUCACCCCAUCUUCAAGUUCUGGAGGAGCUGCCUCCACUUCAUAUUCUGAGCCCUCAUGGUCAUCCUCUUCAUAAGCCUCCACUUCCGCUACUGUGAUGUGAUAAUCACUUUGAACGAUAUCACCCUUAUCGUCACUAGUACCAUCACCUUCUUUGUCUUGACCAGUGAGUAUGAUGGUAUGUUGCUUCACUUUAAGUUGGUCAGUCGAAUUCACCUCCAACAUGCAACACUUUUUCAUGCGUGAUGGGAUGAGACUUCAGAUUUCUUUAUUUUCCGAUUGGCCAACUUCUUCUUUUCUUUUGCUCCUUUGUUGUUCUUUAGGAGCUUGGAUCCUCUCAAGUGCUGACUUUCGAGGAGUUGGCUCCACCUGUUUGUUUUCUUCGUUUGACGAUGACAACCUUUUAAACACAAAAGUUCGUGUAGCUGAGGUGUUGAGACGAUUGAAGACUGAGCUUCGACUUAUUGACCUAUCAACACUCUCAAACACCGAAACUCUGCUUGUUGAUUCAGUACUAGUACUUCGAGAACUUGGGCAGAUGCGAUUGAACGCUGAAGUGCGGGAGACGAAUUGGGUUUGUGGAGUUUCAUCUUCUACUUCUUCAAUGCUUAUGUACUGCAUGCUUGCCUUCUCCGCUUUUCUUUUGCCUGAGAUUUUGAUUGGCUUGCUUGGGACAAAACCAAGACCCGGCUUAGCCAAAUCACUUGUUUUUCCCUGUUCUCUUAACUUCUUUUGAGACUCAUUGAGCUCAUGUGCUUUUUUGCUCACAACUUGAUCAUCCUCUUUACUCAACGAACCAAAGUUGAAUCCAGCCUUUGCCAACAAUUUGUAAGCAUUGGGGUCAAACCCUUCAUUUGUUCUUUUCUCCGGUAAAGGCCCGUGCUCUACCCUUCCUUGGACUGGUUUGACAAAUCCUUUCAAUGGUUGCUUGGUCAGAGUUUGGUCGUUCAACUUCGUCAAUGGCAAUAUCGACUCUUCCUUCAAUAAUUUUAUGUCAUCUUCACCCAACCUCCGAGGACUUACUUGCCGCUUUGCUCCCACAAAUGGAGACUCUCCUUCCUUGCGCUUGGACUUUGGCACAUAUCGAAGGACUGGGACAGCUGGAUUGGACUUUUGUAGCUGAUGUUAUAGUCUCGGAUGGAGACUUAUAUGACUCUUCAUUUCUCUUGCCCUUGGCUUCAACUUCUUUCCUUGUCACCUCGGUAGCCUUCCCUAUUGAGGGUACUUCAAUCGAAAGAACUUCUAUUACCGAUUCCUCAUCCGGAUAGAACUUGGAAUCCGCGGAGUUAGACUCAGCUUCGGUGAAUGGCUUGGUAUCACCUACCACUGUUUUCACACCUCCGCGAUAGAACUUGAAGCAUUGAUGCAGAGUUGAAGGUACGACACCAUUUUCAUGAACCCAUGGUCGCCCUAACAAUAUGUUGUAUGAAGUCUUUGCAUCGAUCACGUGGAACAAAGUGUUUGACUUCAAUUUGCUAAUAACCAUGUCUAGCUGAACCAUGUCUAUUGCUCUUUGCCCUCCUUGGUUAAAACCUUGGAUCAUGAGACGACUUUUAGAUAACUCGUCGAUAUUGAUGCCGAGUUGAGACAUUGUCGAUUUUGGCAUAAUGUUCACAGCAGAUCCUCCAUCUAUAAAUUAAACAUGCAAUUUAAUUUUUGCUCUCGCAUGUAACCUGUCACAAAGGGAGGUCAAUUGUGCGGCUUUGAACCCAAUUGUAAAUCUUCAUCCGUGAAGUGAAUGGCGUCGCAACAUGCUACGCAUGUCGUGCAUUCAUUGAUGUUCGAAGAAUGCUUGCCCACAUCAAGCAGCAAUUGGACUAACGCACGUCUUGCCGAGUUGGGCAGCUGCAACAGGUUAGAGAGGCUAAAUUUUGGAGGUAAGUCUUCCAAUUGUUUAAACACUUCAUUUUCUUCAACCUUCUCAUAAUAUUUGGAACCACCUUCAUAACUUGUUAUCAUUGAGCUAGCUCUCAGACCCAUUCGCGCCUUAGGCAUGCACUUUGUUGGCGGGUUUUGAUUGAGGGACUUCUGUACACAAGGAGUGAUCUCCUCCUUUAUACACCUUGUCUCAUUCUUCUCGAGCCAUCGAUGACUCUCAUGUGGUUGUUUGCGAUUAGGCCGCAAGGGUGGUGGACUUGACAACACACUUUUGCGUGCUUUUCUUCGAGUGACGAGUAUCCAUCCUUCGUCAUCGUCGCAUAAGGCAACUUUAGGAGGGAGGUUCACUUGCUGGAUUGGCUUCACUUCCUCUAAUUUUUUAUCAUUGCAAGCCUCCUUUGAGAAAUGGUAUGGCGCUUUCAUUAGCAUAGAAGGUACUUGAACUGGCUCAAAAGAGCCAAAUGAAAUGGUAGUGCAAUUGACCUCAGCAACCUCAUCAACAUCAAGCUCGAUUCUUCCUUGUUUGGCGAGUUUCAUGAUCAAAUCCUUCAAAACAAAGCACUUCUUGACUAGGUGGCUAAUGACGCGAUGAAACUUGCAAUACUUCGGGUCGUUGACUAGAUGCAUUUCUUCUGGAUGUUUGCACUCUGGAAGUUCUAUCACCUUGUUCCCAAGCAAAUCCUCCAACAUGCCUGCUACGUCAGAAUCUAGGAACGGGUAAGUCUUUUGCUCCAACUCAAUCAAUGAGCGCUUCCUCCUCUCGUAGGUUUGAGUUGGUUCUGCUUUCUUAACCUCCCUCUUGUCUCGUGUGGAGAUUUUGAUUGGAGCAACAUUCACAGUCAUCGACUCCUUUGUAGGCCUUUUCACAACCUUGUCAACCUUGCUGCUGAAAGCUUUAUCUUUUCGUUGGUCACUCAUGGACUCUUUCUUACCCUAGUGGCUAACUAUGCUCAACUCCAUAUCAUGUGCUCGCGUAGCCAGUUCUUCAAAGGUUCGAGGCUUGAUACCUUGGAGAAUGUACAACAAAUCAAAGUGCAUGCCUUAGAUGAACAUUUCAACUGCUGAUGUUUCUGACAAGCGAUCUUUACAAUCAAGACUGAGUGAGCGCCACCUAUCGAUAAAGUCAACUGCUGGUUCGUCCCUCCAUUGUUUCGUGUUGGUGAGUUCCAUCAUACUCACAGUACGCCUUGUACUAUAGAAGCGGUUUAGGAAUUCGCAUUCCAUUUGGUCCCAACUGUCGAUGGACUUAGGCUCUAAGUCCGUGUACCACUUAAAGGCAUUGCCUUUCAAAGAGCGAACGAAUUGUUUGACAAGGUGGUCACCCUCCGUCCCAGCGUUAUUGCAAGUUUCAACAUGUUGCUUUGGAUUGCCCUUCCCUUCGAAUUGCUGGAACUUUAGCGGCUGGUAUCCUAAAGGCAUCCUUUUGGUGUAGGGUAUGGAGUAGGUGGGAGAAUCACGAGAAGGACCUCCAUAAUGAGCUCUAAUGGAGUUGGUGAUGAUGUCCUGCAAUUGCUAGAAGGACAUGGAUCCAAGUGAGCCAUCAUCGUCCUUGUCAUCGUUCUAGGAGUUCUCACCUACUUUUUCCUUCUUUUCUUCAUCUUGAUUUUCGAGCCUGCUAUAAAGCUCGGCAAUUUGCAUGUCUUUUUCUUCCACCGUUUUGGUAAGCUUCUCAACCGCUCCCAUCAGAUUGGCUAUUUGCUCUUCAAUGGUGGACGCGCCUGUCACCAUGACUUGCAUGUGGAUAGGUUGCGAUGAAUCACCCGACGGCAUGCCGUACGUGUUGUUUUCAUCACCAUUAGGACUUCCAUGGUAUGAAGCCGUGCUUGAUUCAUCAUCUGAGGUAGGUGAGGACUACCGCUCCCUCGGUUUCUUCGGAGUUUCCCUCUCUUCACUUCGAGAUACAUGCUUGCUUUCCCCAAGAUUCUCCAAGGUGAUGAUUAGUUUACGAGGCUUGGAAGGCAAAGCCACGAAUGUUGUGGGUUGAUUCCUUGCCAUGCUACGGGUGACAUGACUAAAGGAUUCGCUGCUUGACCUCGAGGUCGUUGGUUUGGAUUUCUUCGUCGAGAUGGCUUGGGUGUUCUUGGAGGCCAUUGCUCGAACGGAUUUGAACUUUCUUACGGAGAAGGAGAUGAGAGGCAAAGAUGUCCCACUAGGCGUGCCACUUUUGUAAACAGGGAAAAUCUGCGACAAAUUACAGAACAACACGUGUACAAAAAAUAAUAUAAUUUUAUUGAUAUAAAUGGGGGUUACAAAUCUUUGUGAACUCCUCUGAUUCUAUCUCCGAAUAUGGAUUUGACUCAAGGGUGACAAGCACUUGUUCUUGAGAUGUAAGGGAUCACGAGAGUUGAUCACGCAACGAGUGUUUGGGAUUUGAGUUUGGUGAAGAACUGGCUAUUUGGAAGCUUGGUAGUUCUUCAGGGGAUUUUGAGACUUCUGAGUUUUUGGGAGUGAUUUUUCUCUGUGUUGUCGGAAGUCCUCCUCUUGAUAUGAGAGGGGGUAUUUAUAGUGUCAACAUACCUCCGUUUAUGACAUGUAAUAAAGACACCGAAUUAAUUGUAUUCCUUUAACGGUAAUAAUUAAAUCAAUAAGUUUUGAUUAAUUGAUUUAAUUAUUAAUUUUAACAUAAUUAAAUCAAUCGGUCUUAAUUGAUUGAUUUAAUUACGACCGAUAAAGUAUAAUUGCCUUGGAUUAAAUGUCCGACUUCCUUUUUCGAUAAUCAAUGUAAUUUAAUUGAAAUCUGAUUAUCGAUCGACAUUUAAUAAUUGAUUUUAGUCGGGAUUUAAGGUUUUGUUGUCGAUCGACUAUUUACAUGUCGCCACUUGUCAUUUUCGACGACUUUUCAACUUUGCCAACUCACGAGCCACGUAUGCAAUUUGUCGGGCCCACACGUUAUUUGAAUAAUUCAACGAUUAUUAUUGUCGUUAAAUUUUAUAUGUCUACACUUUUAAUCUAGAAAUUAAAAUCAGUACUUGAGAGAGGAGGUUUCUAUCAACCUAUACCAUAUUUGUCAAUUUUUCUUUGAUAUGUAGGUUCAGCAGAAGCAUGACAUCUAUCCAAAAACAUGUUCAACGAGAUCUGAAUAGACAGCAUGUAACUCAAUUUUCUACUGAAGUCUGCGAUCAAAUCCUUAGACGUUGCUGUACAAUUAAAUCUACCAUUGCAGUAUUUCUAUGAGGCCAAAAUGACAGAAUCCCAUCCGACGUCGUUAGCCCUAUUAUAAAAAGCAUCACAUUUGAAAGCAGUAGCCUACCCACAAAGGGGCCUCCAUAACCAUAAUAGCCUGAAAACAUAAGAAUUCUCACUCCUAUGAAAGUUAUAUUCACCAAUGUUACUGCUAGCAUACAUCUGUCUUUAGUCUCCACAUAAGACAAUGAUUGUAUGACAUAAUCAUUAAGCCAGUUAUGAAUCUCUUUCUUCGAGUCCUUCAGUAACCCACUAACUCUAAUACCAUACCUUAUAUCUUGUGAACAUAAUCAUCUAUGCUUUUUGAAAAGUCGUAAUUGAUGACAAGAGCAAUGUGAGAGAUAACUAACUCUAGUGAAGCAACAUCUCUUGCUAUCAUGAUCGAUGCAACAUGAUAAAUCUUGUCAAUGUUUUUCAGAAAAAGAAAACCACUGAAUUAGGGACCAAUUCGGGGCAACAAUGUUUAUAAGAUAAACAGAUAAUGCUUUAAUCUCAGAGGCAACAAUUAGGGACCAAUUCCGAAGCAACAAUGCUUAUAAGAUAAACCGACAAUGCUUUAAUCUUGAGGCAACAAUUAGGAACCAAUUCCAAAGCAACAAUGCUGAUAAGAAAAACCAACAACGCUUUAAUCGCAGACGGAACAAUUAGGGACCAAUUCAUGGAUUCAGUAAUCUCCCAAAAGAAUGCUUUAAUCUUAGAGGCAACAAUUAGACCAAUUCUAACUAGUCUUUCGAAACAUUCAUAUACCCUUAUUCAUCCCCUAAGAGAGAUGGUAUACCAAUAUUUAUGUCAAGUUAUUCCCUUAGAUUCAUUAUAUCAUGUACAUGUAUUCUCUAUGUAGCAAACACAAAGUACGUAGAGACACAUUCGAUUCAUCAUAUCAUGUAAAUGUGUUCUCUACUAAGCAGAUUAUAUCACUGAUUGAUAAUCAAAUAACAAAAUCAUAUCACGUAAAUGUGUUCUCGAUCUAUUAAUUAGAGCAAGGUUCUAAUCUAGAUUAUAUCACAUGGAAUAUCUGAAACCCAAAAAUUAAGCUCUAUCAAGGUUACCACAGCUGACGUACUCAAUCAAGCUUUAAAUCUACAAAUUAGCUUUUGAUCCAGAAAUUAAAAUCAUCACUAGAGAGAAGAGGUUACCAUCAACCAAUACCAUAUUGUCAAUUUCACUUUGAUAUGUAGGUUCAACAGAAGCAUGACUUCCAUCCACAAACAUGUUCAACAAGGUCUGAAUAGACAGCAUGUAACUCAAUUUUCUACUGAAGUUUGCGAUCAAAUCCUUUGCUGUACGUUGUUGUUCGUGUACAAUUGAAGCUACCAUUGCUGUGUUUUUGUGGAGCCAUAAUGACAGAAUCCCAUCUGAAAUCGUUAGCCUUAUUACAAAAAGUGUCACAACUGAAAGCAGUAUCCUACCCACAACAGGGCCUCCAUAUCCAUAAUAGCUUGAAGCAUAAGAAUUCUCACUCUUUUGGAAGUUAUAUUUACCAAGGUUACUGCUACCAUACAUUUGGCUCUAGUCUCCACCAUAAGAUAAUGAUUGUAUGGCAUAUAAUCAUUAAGCCAAGUUUAGAAUUUGUCUUGAUUGACUAGCUUUUGUUCCAUCCGCAUUAAGUUUCACAUAAACAACAAGCAUGGUCCAAGAGAACAUAUUGAAACAAUACUGGUCCACCAAAUUAAGUUUACCUUAGAAUGAGUUCAUUCUAUUGUACCAUUUAGAAUAGAUUGAGGCAGUAUAGGGUCUGAAAACCAACAUCAUAAAUACUCUUGUUUCACCAACAAAUGAAGGCAAAGAUACCACACAAUACUAUCAGAAUAGAUUACCUAGCAGUGAAGAUUUGCAUCAAGGCUGAAAGUAUAUUUCGCAGCCGUAGGCCAGCUGAAAGUUCCCCACACAGCGAUAUCUUUGAGACAAUCUCUGAACAAGUAAAGGAGGGCAAUCUGCAUCACUGAUGUUUCUGUUAGUAAGGUAUUCAACAUAUGUCUAAUGUUUCAUUAUAAGGCAACAAUGCCUUAUUUAUUCAAACCCCAAGGGCUGCGCAAAAUCACUUGAAAGGGGCAACAAUAAUCUCACAAAUCAACAAAUCUCAAUAGUAUUCCCAACACUAUUGCCUCAAUAGCUAGUUUGCAAUUUUUAUAAGAUAAACCGACAAGGCAACAAUUUCAGUAGUCUCCCCCAACAAUGUUUUAAUCUCAAAGGCAACAAUGAGGAACCAAUUCCAACGGAGUCUUUUCGAAACAUUCAUAUACCCUUAUUAAAUGGGUUCAAAUGACAACCUUGGCACAAUUGUUACCUUGUAACAAUAAUUAAUGGACAUAUGAAAGAAGGGACCAAUUCCGAGGCAACAAUACUUAUAAGAAAAACCAACAAUGCUUUAAUAUCAGAGGCAACAAUUAGAGACCAAUUUUAAGGCAACAAUGCUUAUAAGGUAAACCGACAAUAUUUUAAUCUCAGAGGCAACAAUAGGGACCAAUUCACGGAUUAAGAAAUCUCCCCCAAAAAUGUUUUAAUCUUAGAGACAACAAUUAGGGACUAAUUACGACUAGUCUUUCAAGAUGAGAAUUAUCACUGUGUGAUUGAAGCAAGUUAGAUGCACUGACUUGUAAAUACCAAAAUAUGGAAUGGCAACAAUGUCAGACUUGUUGCAAUGGCAUAAAACUCUGAAUUAGAGCCUUCACAUUGACCAAUUGUGUUACUGACUGCAUCUUCUCCAACGGGAAAACCAAAGAGUGCCAUCAAGUUGGUGAUGAAUUGACGUGCCAUUUCUCAGUAUACAAGACCUUGGACAUUGAUGGGACAGGUAUAUCAGAAAAUCUCAAAAGUAAGGUAACAAUGACUUAUUUAUUCAAACCCCCAGAGCUGGGCAAAAUCACUUGAAAAGGACAACAAUAAACUCACAAAGCAAUAAACAUCAACAGUAUUCCCAACACUAUUUUCUCAAUGGCUUGUUUGCAAUAUUUAUAAGAUAAACAGACAAGACAACAAUUUCAGAAGUCUCUCCCAAAAAUGCUUUAAUCUCAGAGGCAACAAUAAGGGAAAGGACCAAUUUCGACCGGGUUUUUUUGAAAAAAUUCAUAUACUCUAAUUAAAUGGGAUCAAAUGGCACCCUUGGCACAAUUGUUACGUAGUAAUGAUAAUCAAGGGACAAAUGAAAGAAGGGACCAAUUCUGAGGCAACAAUGCUUAUAAGACAAACCGACAAUGCUUUAAUCAUAGAGACAACAAUUAAGGAACAAUAUUUCUGAGGCAAUAAUGCAUAUAAGAUAAACCAACAAUGUUUUAAUCACAGAGGCAACAAUUACCGAUUCACGGAUUCAGUAAUCCCCACAAAAAAUGCUUUAAUUUUAGAGGCAACAAUUAUGGACAAAUUCCGACUAAUCUUUCAAAACAUUCAUAUAACCUUAUUUAUCCCCCAAAAGAGAGAUGGAAUACCAAUAUUUAUGUUGAUGUAUUCCCUCAGAUUUAUUAUAUCAUGUAAAUGUAAUCUCUAUAUAGCAGACACAAAGUAGAGACACCUCUGAUUCAUCAUAUCAUGUAAAUGUGUUCUCUAUUAAGCAGAUUAUAUCCUAGAUUGAUAAUCAAAUAUCAAAAUCAUAUCACGUAAAUGUGUUCUCUAUUAAACAAACCAAAGUUCGAAUCCAGAUUAUAUCACAUAUUGAUAAUCAAGUAGCAAAACCAUGGAAUAUCUUAAACCCACAAUCCAAAACCCUGAGGCAACAAUUAGGGAACAAUUCAGAGGCAACAAUGCAUAUAAGAUAAACAGACAAUUCUUUAAUCUCGAAGGCAACAAUUAGGGACCAAUUAUGAAUACUCUUUACCAAACAUUUAUAUAUGGCAACCUUGAUGUUACUAUGUGUUGAGGCCUAAAAAUCCAAUAAGCAAGCCCAAUUCAUUUUUCAUGCCCAAUUCACACUUUAAAGCGAAUUAAGGUGAAUUCUAUUUGUCAUACCAUGCACGUAGACCCAAGCCACAUUCAUACACUUGGGGCUUACAAGAAUAGGUGUGGUGUGGAGGGUACAUAAUUGUAUGAGGUCCGUUAUUAAUUAUAGGAUCGUUAGUAAUUUCGGACUUGGGACCGAAAUUCAUACCCAACGACCUAACUCCUAAUACAGAUAAAUGAAGAAAAGAGGCCCAAAAACCAAGCCCAAACCCCUUUAAGAUCCACUUUAACAUAGGAUUCUUAAUCUCAGCCACAUAAUAAAUCAUUUUCCCAGCAACACAAUAACUCACGCAAAAACAAUCCCAGCAACAGAAUCUCAGCAGCAGAUUUGAUGUAGGAAAUCUGCUAAAACCUAUUUCACUUUCACACUUUUCAAAGCCUAGUCCACAUGCAAUCAACAACUUUAGACAUAACCUGACAUAAAAAAUACAUUACAAAAUCCAAUACAUGCUUUUAACUAAGCCCUUUCACCCAAUUAUAAAAAAAACUUUCAGCCAAGAUUGUCUGCUUAUAAAUAGCUUCUGUUAUUAACCAAAGAAACCAGAAUGAAGGAGGCUAGCAAGCUCUCUAGUACUCCUCUUCUGCCAUCUCUCCCACCAUGAUUCUCUCCUAAGCCCUUAUCUAAUCUCAUAUGAGUCAUAUCCAUACCAUUCCUAGAUCCAAAUACAACCCCAAAAACACAUAUGCAAACCAAGUAGCAAGCUCAAGCAAUCCACCAACACUAAUCCCAAAUCUCUUACCUCAUAUACCUCAAUCCCUACCUUAGAAACACAACUGGGUUCUCUUCUUUUGAAACUCGUGUUUUUCUAACUCUCAUGCCAUGCACCUCUUGCUAAGCCUUUUCAAGAAUGUACGAUUCACUGCUGUUAACAUGCAAGGAGCUACCGAGAGGAACAGAACAGUAAACUUCCUUGGAUUCUCAGUCCUUCGAAGUUUGUUGGGCCUAGUCUUCACUAACUCAGACAAAGGGGACAUAUUUUGGGCUCCGCCAUGCUUGUCUUACUAUCGUAUCACCCUUAAUCAAAAGUGUCCUCAACACUCUGUAACAAUAAAUUAAAUUGAGAAUAUCACACAUACCUUGUAGAUUUAUUAAGACAAAUCGAAAGGGCAAAUCGAGAUCAUAUCACUGAUUCAUGAUCAAAUGACAAAACCCAGCAGAAACCCACACCAUCUAAAAUUCACCGCCGCAAAUACAUACAAAAUUGAUCAAAGGGUAAACCCGUCUGAAACCCACGAUCUCUGAAACCCAAGCCGCAAACAUAUCUGAAAUUCAAUCACCGAAUACUAGAAUCAAAACCCAAGAUACGAAAUUGAAGAAUCGUUUCAAUUGAAUUUACAAAGAUAAUUAACGAAAUUGAGAAGAACAAAACGAAAGAGAGAAGGUUGAGGGUUUUACCUCGUGGUGGUGAAGCUGAGGAACAGCAAACCAUAGCGGUCGUUGGCCAACAAUUCCAUUUUAAAUUUUGAAAAUUUCAGAGAGAGAGAGACGUUAUUGGAAUUUCAAAAAUGGAAUGAGAGGUAGGGAAAGGUUACUGGAGCUUCAUAUCUAUAUAUAUGAAACGUGAAAGAAACGGCUUAAAUGUUUCUUUGGUUUGAAUACUCUUUCUGCCAAUUAACACGUGUCUCUUUGCUUCUAGAUACAAGGUGUGUUAUAUAAUGAGUCUUUCUAGUGAUGACCUUUAAGUUGAUGACUUUUCAGUUUAUGGUUUAAAAGACCUAUUCUUCGAUCACAUUUUGACAUCUUAUCCGUUCAGUUUUUAGGUCUAUAUGUGUAGAUCAAUCAUACAAAUUUUCAGCCAAAUCGGUGAUCGUUAAGGUAACAAACUAGAUCAAAUUAAUGGACGAACCAAAUCUGUCAAACACGAAUCGUUCAAGUUCAUAAUUGGUAAAUCACUCUUAUGAAUGUCUUAACAAUUUCCAAUAUGGCUGAAAAUUUGCAGAAAUGAUCUACUCAUAAAUACCUAUAAACUGAACGGUCAAAAUGUGGAUAUAAGAUCGAAGAGUGGGAUAAGCUGAAAAGUCCUCAACUAGUCCUCAACUUAAGGGUCUUCAUUAGAAGGGCUUCUAUGUUAUAUAUUCUCAUCUGCCCAUAGUAGGUUAUAUUCAUGUUAGAAAAACUAUGAAUGGAUUAUUUGCCCUAUCAGGGUAAGUUUUCAAAGAAAGCUACAGACUCUGACCAACUUUUUUACUAUUUACUAUUUCCAAAAUAACAUAUAGGUGAGAAAUGUUGGUCGACUAAAACAUGAAAAGCCGGAUGAACUUACAUGUAGAAUUUUCUAUAUCAAAUUAUGUAUUGCAAGUUUGCAGCGACCUAUCUAAAUCCUUAUAAACUUAGGAAAAAUCUGAUAGAUAAGUGCAUAUACAAUUAUACAUAUAGAAGAGAAACACCUAUCAUGUCACACCCCGGUUCUUAAGUUAUUUUACGGUUAUUUACUUUUGGUAUUACUUUGGCUUUUACCUUUUUGAGUAACCGUUUACUAUUUAAGACUCCAUAAGUUGACUUUUUCUUCCAUUUGGAAUUUGGGACAACUUUCUUCAUGAAAGUUGUAGAGGACGUUAAACAGAGUUCGUGGACACGCGGCACGCUUAAAACGGAGUUCAUAUGAAGAAGUCAUGGUCUAAUAACGAAAGUUUCUAUGUUGGUAAAAGGAGGUAAAUUCUAGUAGGCUUUAUUUGUUGUGGGUUUUAAGUUGGACCGGGUAGGAUUUGGAGAGCCCAAACCCCAUUCUCUCUCUCUCUCUCCUUUCUCUCCCGAACUCUUCCCGACCCGCUGGAUAACCCAGUCCCGUCCGCCGUCGUCCGGUCGCCACAGACCGCCGCACCAGUCCCGAAUGGUCGGCCGUCGACCCAGCUCUCUUCUUGGACCGGUGGAAGACGCCCUAGUGCCGCCGUGAGGGAGAGAGAGAGCGCCCGGAAGCUCCGACUAUGUUGUGGAGUCCGAUCGCCGGAAAUCUCUCCUCCGACCGCCAUCAUCGGUGAUUCGGGUCUUGUUAGGAAGAGCUCUCCAUGUGCAACAAUUCCCUAGAAGGUAAUGAUCCAAUUCGAAGUGUGUUAGAGGAUUUUCGGGCUAGGGUUUGAAUUGGGGGAUUUUUGGAUGUUUUGAUUCGAUUACCCUAGUUAAACUUAGAAUUGGACUAAGUGCUAGUUAUGAAAGUUGUUGUGCUUGAUGAUAGGAUUAUUCUGUUAAAUUUUGGGAGGCAUUGGACGUCGCCGGAGUACGGCCGCCGGCCGCCACUGCCAGCGGAGCAGGCGGUGGCGCCGCCACUUGGAGGUUGAUUUUCAGGUUUUUGGGUUUGUUUUAAUGAGAGGAGUCUAACGAAGUAUAGUUUGGAAUUUUUGGAGGAGUUUUGUUAAGGUUUGGGAUUUUAAAAGAUUAAGGUUUUUGCCGGUUAUUAUAAUGAAAAUCCGGCCGUUGGAUUUCCUCAGUAUUUAUUAUAGAAUGUUAGAAUUGAUGAAUUAAGGUUGUGUUGGAGUUUGGUGUGAAUCCGAUGAGUUUAACCCUAUUAAGAGUAGUGGGUUCAACGGAAGAGAGUUAGAUGUUUUUAUUCAUGUAAUUAUUUUCCGGAAUUGAAGUUUGGUCCUAAGCAUGGUUGUUGCGCCAGGAUUCGAGGAGACCCACUUGAGUGGUGAUUCGGAAUUCGUCAGUGUAAUACCUCGGAAUUUUAGAUGCUAGUUUCUAUUAUUUUUGAUUGGUUGACUUUUUGGUUGACUUUUUAUUCUUUGGGUUUCUCUAGAAACUUUCUUCACGAAAGUUGUAGAGCACGACGAUAUGAGUUCGUAGACAUGUGACACGCGUAAAACGGAUAUCGUAUGAGGAAGUUAUGGUCAGAGGAAGUUAGAGUUGCUUAAAACAAAGUCCAUCAUUAAUAUUGCCUUACUGUAAAGUACUUUCAAAUAUGAACGAGUAGCUAUAUUCAUUCCUUUUCUUCUCUUGUGAAAACUUGGUUGCAGCGACGAUACUUUGAUUCAAUAUGUACAUCAUUUACAGUGUCCUCUAUUAUGUCUAUCAAUUUGAUUCUCAAUUAUCAGCUUGGUGGUUCCUAACUUCUCAUGCUUUCAUGUUCCUCAUCAAAAGUAUGUUUAUAUCAAAGCUAGCCUGUAUUGUUUUGAUAUCUCAAGCUCGUGUAUUUGUACUGAUAUAGUUUACAAAGUUUCUGAGUUACUGAAGCUCUACUUCUUCAGUAAGUUGCUCAAUUUAAAGAAUUAUAUCUUGACAGACUUCACCUUAUUUCAAGUUUAUGUCUUGAAGUGUAGGAACUGUGAAAUCUCCAACAGUUGGUAGACAUUACUGUGUAGCGCAAAGGAUCAGGGAGGGUAAUUACACCUUGAAAAGGUAAGCUUAUCUCUAAUUCAGUUCCAAGUCUGAAACCAUAAAUGCAAUGAGCUAUUACAUCUUUAUAGAGAAUCAAAAGAUUUUAAAGCUCCAUUGGAUUUUCUAGAUGUAGCUUUUUGGUCUCACAUGUAUGCUGAACCUUGAAAAGCAGGUUUGCAAUUAUUUUUAUGGGCAUUCUUAAUUUUUUUGUAGACAGGCAAUAUGGUCAUAAAACUCUGCCUAUGAGAAAUUUUGUGUAGUAAUGUAUUGUAAUAAAUUGUGCAUGUCUUAGAAUCCUCAUCUAUCUAAAUAGUCUCGUUUGGUAUAGUAGUCAAGUAGCCAAAAUAUAUGAGGGAAAAAUUAUGAUAUCACUUCCAAUAGUACUUUAUGAUAUUUUUGAAGUGUCAACUAGUCAAAAUAUUUUAGGGAAGAUUUCUGGUGUUAUGUCCAAAUAGAAUGUGUAGCCCACAAAUAAGCAAAAAUAUCUAGUGUUUCGCUAAAGCUCUGUUAUUUUCCCAGCAUCUUAUUUCUCUGAUGAUUACUCCUGCAGUGGGGAGAGGAAGACAGUUGAAUGUGUUGCAGAUGCUAUAGCUGAUAAUCGCUCUGAGUUGGUUCAUCUACCAUCUGCCAUAGAUCUUCAUAUACCAUUGCCAUUUAAAGGCUGCUUGACCUGUGAUGGCAGGUAAAACAUUUGCUCAAUUGCAGUUGAUUAUUUCCACAUAUUUUCCCACUUAUGAACUUAUAAUAGUAUUCUUAUAUCCAAAGUUUCAAACCAUGCAGGCUAUCACCUCAGAAAUUGAGGAAGCUGCACUCAAUAAUUAUUAGCCUCCUACGUAUUUUAGGGUGUUGUAAUACGCCAUAGUUACCAAGAGAUAGCUUGGUGUCCUCUCUAACUACUAAUGUGGGUUUGCACACACCAGCAUGUGUGAUAGAGAUAAACAGCGUUAACUUUUCAAGUGAUUUAAAAGUGGAUACCCAACCUUCUAUAAAGAUUACAUGUGGAUAAACCAACCAGUACAUUGCAAGUGUUUUCUUGAUCUAUGUUAGCUUCUAUGGCAAUUCAUUUAACUGUAUAUUAGUUUAUAUUUGGUUUCUGUGUUCUUUAAGUACAACUUACUAAAGUUCUGUGUCUUCGAUUUGGUAGGAGACACUGAAGUUUGAGUAUGAAGGAAGGAACAGAGUACACCACUGCAGUUAGGAAGAUUUUCUGCACUGUAGAGUACACCACUAUUGCAGUUGCUAAUAUUUGGUUUGAUGUCUUUUUAUGUUAUAGGUUAUAGGUCUCUUUAGAACAAGUAACUCUAUGUAAAAUAUGUUGGUUUUUGGCAAUUAGAAUGAAUUUGAGAUUUCUGAAUGAUGUUGUGCAAAUGCUUUUGUUGAGACAUUAAAUUCCCAUAAAAUUGACAUCCAAAUCAAAAUCAGACAACAGAUAGUCCCAUGGACUCUGAUGUCUCUACAUCUUUCAAACAACAUUUAUAUGUCGUCUUAAAGUAAAAGAUCAUAUUGUAUGUCAUCUGAGAUAUAUAUCAAACGACAGAUAAGUGACGUUUGAAUUGGUGUGAGACGACAUACAUUAUAUCUCAUACGACAGAUAAGUGAUGUUUGAAUUGGUGUGAGACGUCAUAUAGUUGCUCACUUUUAGUAUAAAAGUAAUUUCAACGAUACUUUAUGUCAUUAUAGCCAAUGUCUAACGAUAGAAAGUUAGAGUUUGUAACAAAUCUAUAAAUCUAUAUGCACACAGACGACAGAUGAGUUAAUAUUGUCUGUCGUAUAAUAUCUAUCAGACAACGGACAUUGCCUGUCAUCUGAAAGCUUGUCAUCAAUCAGAUGACAGUUCGAUAGAUGACACGCAAAAAAAUAAUCAGACAACGGGCAUUGCCGCUCGUCUGAAGGCAAAAUUGACGUAGUAUCUAACUAUUUUUUUUAUGUAGUUUAUGAGAAAAUUAAAGAUGCUGGUGGAGCCACCAAGCAUUCAGAGGCUUCAAACCCUGGUUGCUUAUGCUAUAGGUCACUCCAACAAGAGGAUUUGUAUUAUUUUUUGGAAAAUGGUGAUUUCCCAAGCACAGAUGGUUACAUCCAGACAAAAAUAUUUAGUUCAGUUUCCUUAUGCACUCCACCAAGCCAAAAAGGAAUUUUUGUUGAUUAUAAUGAUCUAGAUCCAGAUUCCGUAUUGAGAAGUGCAGCGUAGAUUUUUCAGAGUUCACCAUCUAUCCUAAGAAAAUGAAAACAUCCAUCUUCCAGAAUUUCUAUCUAUCAUUGAAUCUCUCACCCAACCCUAAGCUCCCAACAUGGUCUUUUUAUAGUCAUGUAGUUACAUCAUGAAUUUUAUUGCUACGUGCAACUCUCCACCAUGCAAUAUUCUAAUUGAAUUUCUAAUGUUUUGUUAGGCAAAUCUAUUAAAUACACACAAGCCUUUAGGUGCACAAGUUAUACAAGCAAUGUCACAUCCCGAUUCUUAAAUUUUUACCUUAUUUACUAGCUUGGUAUAAAUAAGAGUUUUACCGUCUCCGUCAAUGAGUUUAUAGUUUAAAUAGUCCCUAGAGGGGUUUUGAGGGACGAUUAUUUCGGAGGAAAUAUUCGUAGGAGGAAAUUGUGACGACGGUAAAAAUGGUAAAUUUUAGCUAGUAAAAGGUAAUUUUUCAUUAGGGUAUUAUUUUUGGGGUGUUAAUUUUUGGAGUUGGGUUUAUGUUUAAGAUGUUGGACCGGGUUGGAAGAGAGGCCCAUUUUCUUCCUUCUCCUUUUCUCCUCUUUCUCUUCUCUCUCCCUCUUCCCCGAGCUUCUCCCUUCCCAUCCUACUUCUGACCACCGCCCGCCGUCGUCCGGCCGAGCUGGGCCGCCGCACCGGUGCGGUUUGGACUGGUGUCUCCUCCUCUCUCACCCUAGGCCGGUGAGCGCAGCCACAACGCCGCCGAACGAAGGAAAUCCUCCCUAGAAGCCGCGGUUGUCCUCUCGCCGGAGCUCCCUCCUCCGACCGCCAUAGCCGAAGCUGCUUGGCUCUUUUGGAAGCUCUCCUCCCGUACAUCAAUCCCCCAAAAGGAUUCACUCCCUCUUGAGCUAGGUAAGGAGAAAUAUGGAGUUGAUUAUCUAGGGUUUUUUUGUUGUUGUUUUGGUUCGAUUGGCCUAGUUAGGCUUGGAAUUGGUGUUUGUGCUAGUUAGGAAAGUUGUAAAGUGGGUUGAGAGGAAGAUGCUGUUAAAAUUUGGUAGGUAUUGGAGGUCGCCAGAAUAGGCCUCUGGCCGCCGCUGUUUAGGGGAUUUUUAUGGUUUUAAUUGUGAUAUAUUAAGGGGAGUUUAAUGAUGUGAAGUUUGGAAUUUUUGGAAGAGUUUUGAAUAGGUUUUGGAUUUUCGAAAGAUUGGUGAAUUGGGUGGUUAAUGGGGUAGAAUCCGACCAUUGGAUUUUCCUUAUUAUUGUUUUAGAAUGUUGAAAUAAAUGAAUUGAGGUUGUGGUUGGAGUACUUUGACGUGAAUCCGAUAAGCUUAACCCUAAAAAGGGUAGUGGAUUAGGCGGAAGAGUUUUGGGUUAUAUUUUUAAGUAUUAUUUUAUUUCUGAAAUUGAAGUUUGGUCCUAAGCAUGGUUAUUGUGUCAGGAUUCGAGGAGAACUCACUAGAGUGGCGAUUUGGAUUUCGUCGGGCUUAUGCCUAAAGUUGUGAGUGGACUUUUGUUUUAAAUAAUAUGCAUGCUAUGGUUCAUGAAUGAACAAUUAAUUUUGUUGGAGUAUUUGACGUCAUUUUAAUUUUGACGAUUUUAUUUCUCUUGGAGAGUUACCGUAAAUGAGAUUUUCGGUGAAUAUAAAUAUGUAUUUAUGAGAAGAGUAUGUAUAUAAAUGCUAGCUAGCCAUAUGUGUCUGUCCACCUUAAUGGUGUAACAUAUAGCUGCAUUAUGGUGUGACGUGAGCGUUGGACGUGAGCGUAGUAGCCCUAUAUGAGUGUUUAAUUCAUAUAAGGGGUAUGGGCACAUUUUUAUACACCCGUCUGUCCACCUUAAUGGGUAGUAUAUCACCGCAUUAAGGCGUGACGUGAGCGUUGGAUGCGAGCGUAGUAACCCUAUAUAAAUCCAUAAAAUUUAUAUAGGGAGUAUGGACGUGUGUAAAUACAUACAUAUAUAUUGUAGAGCUUGAGAGGCUCGAUGUUUUUCUGAGUUGAAAGUUUUAUCGUUUGAGGCAUGCAUUCGCUUUUCUUCGGAAAUUAAAUUGGGAAAGCAUAAAGAUAUUUGUUGCUCGUUUCUUUUAAAUUUACUUUUGUCCACUCACACUAACGUUUUCAAAUAUUUUCCCUUGGGCCAUUCGUUUUAAAAAUGCCCAGUACGCAGGUUAGCAUAGUUAAGGUCGGGCGUAUAGGGAGAAGAGGCAUAGUCAAUAGUAUAGCUUCUGCUCAUUUUUAUAUUUCUAGUUCUUUUCUUUUCAAAUAGAGUUGUUCUAAAAUAUGGUUGUUGGUUAUGCGAUUUUCUUGUUAAAGUUAGUAAAUAAAUUGGGAGAUGUUGUGAUUUGGGGAGCACGAAGGCUCCAGGAGUUUAAGGUUGGAUUUGGAUUUUCAGAAGUGUUUGCAUGUAUUAUUAGGAAGGGUUGUCCAUUUUCAAGGGAGGUUAUGACGAAUUUUCGGUAGCAUCUCCUUUAGAGGUGGUCCCUGCAGGUUUACUUCGAACUUCGAAUUUCAGGGUGAAAUUCGGGGUGGGUCCUAACAUUAAUUCUCUGGGCGCUAGUCCCCGGUCGUCCGCCCCAACUAGCACCUAGCAAUAAAUUCAACUAGAAUAUCAAGAAGACUGGAUAAGUUCAAGAUUGCGUUUUAGAACCUUGAUGAAAACAUAAUUUUUCUAAAACACAAUUUUUUCCUCCAAUAAAUUCUAGAAGCAUACGUAUACUAACUAUUCAAGAAUGGUGCAUCUGUUGCCACCCGACAAAUCACUUUGUUCACCUCACGUUCUCUUCACACCCCACUUAUAUAUUUUUAAUUGUAAGUCUAUUUUGUACACUCAUCUAAAAUACCUUUUUCCCAUUUUUGCUUUGUUUUGCUCACCCCAAAUUCUUUUUUCACCCUACUUAUAUUUUUUUUCAAUUUCAAAUUUGUUUUGUUCACCCUACAUUCGAUUAAUAAAUUAGUCUGGGAUUUACAUCCAAAACCAAUUGACAAUAGAUGGAGUGACCCAAACCCUUAUAAACCCACAUGCAAGAUCUUAUGUUCCCGAUGUGGGAUUAAUAUCUUAACACACCCUCGUAUGUGUGAUGAAUAUUCAAGCCUAACACGUGGACAACAUUUGAGGUUGCCGUGGAGUUCGUGUGGCCUUUAGGUUUCACACGUGGACGUGGGUAACCCGCUCUAAUACCAUGAUAAAGUAGUUUGGGGUUCAUAUCUAAAACCAAUUGGCAAUAGAGGGAGUGAGUAGUGUUCACAUGGUCAGUCAUUAACCAAGAAAUUCAUGGUCAGUCAUCAUUAUAUUAAGAGUAAAUGACCAUUUACUACUAAUUUAACAUCAUUUUAGCCCAUUCCAAUGAAAAUCUAUUCAGCAACCCAAUUCCAAUGAAUUCUAACAAAAAGACGUCAAUACCCUUACCCUAAUUUAACUCUCUUUCUCCUCUUUUUCCCGAUCAUUAACUUUCUCUCUCUCUCUCUCAGAAAACUCUCCCACUCUCUUUCCUCUCUCAAACGUGAAUCUGAUUCCUCUCUCCUGCGAAGCACCGACGACAUGAAGUACUGGAGAAGCACCGCACCGGUGACGCUGCCUCAACGCCGAUGAGGCUAGAUCCCUCACGUCGGUCCUCGUCACCGCCGAACUGAUCACCGACACAUCUCUGACCAGAUCUCUUCCUCCUUCUCUCCUCUGAUCUGGAAAGCACACACACUCUCUCACUCUCUCCUCCCGCCGAGACCGUUGAGCCGAAGAGCAGCGUCAAAUCCAGAUCAGGUUGCCGCGCAUCUGAAGUCGACGGCCUCCGAUCUCUCCUCUUCGACAUAGACGACCUCCAAUCACUUCUCUCUGACGUCGCUCGUCAGUGUUCUCCAUUGCAAGUUCGAUGCCUCUAGAGAUCGGAUCCCCACUCUCUCACCAUCGGUCUGUUUCUCUCCAAAGUCUGAAGAUAGAGGUCGACUUCACUCAAUCAGACUGGUUCAAUUUCACUAGAUUGAAAUCGAUGGCGCCGGAACUGUUUUGAAGGCCGCUAUUGUUGUAGAGGAUGAGCUAGCGUUGUGCCACCGUCGUUGUGGUUUCUGGUUUGUUUUUUUUUUUUUUCAUGAACAAACAUUGAGGUUUCUGGUUAACAAAAGGUUUAUGUACCUUCGUUAGUCUCUUAUUGAUGUUUGAUAAUUAUGAAAUCAGUUUUGGUUAGAUAGAACUGUUAGAUACGUUUUGGCGUUAAUGUAUAAGGAAUAAUUAAGAUUCUUACUGACGGUAGUAAUAUUUCAUAGCAUCUUAUUUUUGUGUUCUGCACCCAAAAUAUAAAAAUUACUAGGGGUAGUAAUUUUCUAUUAUUUGCUUGUGUGUUGAUUUUUCUCUGGAGAUAAUAGAUUGCAAGUUUACUACCCCCAGUAAAAGUUUAAUUGGGGUAGUAAACUUUAUUUUUUUGCAUCUAAGUUGUUCUUCCUCUGUUUUAGUCUGUAUUAUGGCCUUGAAAAUAUUGUUUUGCAAGUUUACUACCCCCAAUAAAAGUUUACUGGGGGUAGUAAACUUUAGUUUUUCGAAUCUAAAUUGUAUUCCUCUGUUUUAAGUGUGUAUUAUGGCCUUGAAAAUACUGUUNNNNNNNNNNNNNNNNNNNNUUUUUCGCAUCUAAGUUGAUUUUUCUCCGUUUUAAUGUGUACUUAUAGCCUUUGAGAUAUUAUUUUGCAAGAUUACUACCCCCAGUAAGAUGUUUACUAGGGGUGGUAAACUUUAUUUUUUUGCAUAUAUGUUGAUUUUUUCUCUCCUUUAAGGUAUAUAAUGGUCAUAAGAAAACUGUAUUGCAAGUUUACUACCCCCAGCAGAAGUUUACUAGGGGUAGUAAACUUUAUUUUUCUGCAUCUAAGUUGAUUUUUCACUGUUCUAAGGUGUAUAAUGGUCAUGGAGAAACUUUAUUUUGAGUUUACUACCCCCAGUAAAGGUUUACUAGGGGUAGUAAACUUUAUUUUUCGUACUUGAGUUAAGAUCACGUAAAUUCCGAUGGCAUUUAAAAAAAUCCAGUGAGAUUUUCGAAAAAUUCCGGCCACCGGAUGCCGGUAAUUUUCCGGCCGUCGGAAAAUUCCGGUCACCGGUGACCGGAUUCCAGCGGCCGGAGUUCGGAGUCCUACGACCGGAAUGCGGCCUCCGGUGACUGGCAGCGGAGCCCGGUGUGCUUCCGGCAAAGUCUUCCCUCCAUCUUUUUCACUUUUUCUCUUUACGUAAAAGCUAAGAGUAAAAAAGUCUUUAAAAAUAUAAUUUUAUUAUAUUUUAAUAAAGAUUUGUGUAUUUGGGUUUAAAAUAAGUACCUUGUAUUCAAAUGGGCUAAUAAAAAAGAUUAUCAUUGAAAUGGGAUUUGACAUUUUCUAUUUUGUGCAAAUGGUCUUUUUCUCUUAUAUUAAUAUCAAAGGUUGAAAACAAAACAACUUUACUAAAAAAUAAUUUUCCUCACCCUUAGAUUUAAAUCUAAUGGUGAUUGACUACGAAUCUCUUGGUCAUUCACUGAGUAGGUGAACAGGACUGUAGAUGGAGUGACCCAAACCUUAUAAACCCACAGGCAAAGUCUCAUAUUUCUAAUAUGAGAUUAAUAUAUCAACAAUCUCUUCUCACCCCAACUAUAUAUUUUUUAAUUUUAAAUUUACUUUAUUCACCGAUUUGCAAUACACACAAUAUCAAUCUCAAUAGCCAUUGAACUCCAAAAACAAAAUGAAAUUGAAGAAAACCGUAAGAUUAUUAUCAUUUGGGUAAGUGGAAUCACAAACUGACCAACAAAAAUCAUAUUAAAGUAUAAAUCCUAAUUAAAGAAGAAGAAAAAACAAUCAUACUUAAGAACUCAUUGGUAUCCAUCAAUAUUAAGAUGCACAAUGUCUGUAAACUCUAUUUGGAAAAAGCUCUGAUGCCGAUGAAAAAAAACAAAUCAAAUAUAUAUAAGUGAGCGACUAGACAUGAAAAUUUACAUACAAAAUCGAUAUGAGAAAUAAUGAGUAAAAUGAUAGACGAAGCAUUAACAAAGAAAAGAAAUGAGAAGAAAAAAAAAUGCAAACAGUUUAUCUCAUCUUCUUCAGACUUCAUAGAAAAAUCGAAUAUAAUAAAUUCUGAGUUAAAGUUUAUGAAAUAUGUGUUUAUCUAAAAAUACAAAAAGAAUUUUUAAUUUGUAACAACUUAUUAUCUCUUGCUGUAAUUUUAUAUUAUAAUAUAUUAAUUAUUUAAUAAAUUAACAAUGUGUGGAAGAGUAAACUAAUUUAUGGAGUUACAAUAGACCCAUCCUUCAAGAAUUUACUAACUAACUAAGAAUAUCUAUUGUUUGACCCUUACGGCCGUCAUGUUGCUCUCCUCGUGUUCAUCUACCCUUCUCAAUCUAUCUUGUUCUAUUUUGUUCAGAAACCUCUACCUUCUGAACCAGCUUUCUGUCUUCUCCUUUGUUUAGUAAAACUUAAAACCCAUAUUAAAAACCGUGAUUUGCAUUUUGGUGUACAAAAACUAAACACCUCGCUCACUUGCCAUCUACCAGACUUGAUAAUGAGUCAUGAGCCAUGAUUAGUGAUCUACCUACUAAACCUACCCCUCUUGCAAUCUCUUGAAAAGAUUGAAUACAUGCAUCGCUGGUUUCGAUAAAAACUAAACCCACAACUCUCAACAAGUCUCAAGCUCAACAAUAACCAGCGGCGGCGGCGGCGAUGAAACCCAGCAGACUAUUUGCAGGACUCUUCCUGCUGUUGGCUCUCUACUGUGGCUUAGACCCUUUUAAGCACAGCGCAAUCUCCGACUUCCCAGACUUUGUUUCCCACGAAAUCGACUUGCCCAGUUUGUCCUCGGUUCCUAAAGAGAGAGACACCCAGAAUUUGCUUCAGAAAUCGGAGAUUAAGUUCCUGAACCAAGUUCAAGGCCCUGAGAGCGUCGCGUUUGAUCCACAAGGACGUGGACCAUAUGCUGGUGUUGCGGAUGGGAGAGUCUUGUUCUGGAAUGGCCAGGCUUGGACUGAUUUUGCCUAUACAUCGUCUCACAGGUUACAGUUCUCAACUUGGUUUUGUCUCUUUUUUGCGUGCUCAAGUGUUUCAGCUCAUUAAUGUUGUUUUGCAUGAGCCAAGAGAAAUGCUGUGACUAAUUUGUUGUGUCGAAAUUGCUCGUCAUUGGGAUGCAUCAUUUUUACUUUAUUUUUGUGUUUUUUCUUUUAUCAUUGAAACUGAUCAUUGGGUCAUUUCAUAGAUACACAUAAUGUGGGAGAGUUCAUGAUGUUGAGAAGUUCAUUAUCAGUUAGUAGCCUGCAAAUAUUAUAUUGAAGGACUUACAGUGCAGCUGUUUUUUUUUUGGCUUUAUCUCUGUAAAUAUUACCAUUCAAAACGAUAUAUUUCUUUGCUCAUGGUUUAUUUGGGACACAGGUCAGAGAUAUGUGAUCCAAAACCAUCAGCUAUGAGUUACUUGCCAAAUGAGCACAUCUGUGGAAGGCCCUUGGGCCUCCGUUUUGACAAGAAAACAGGAGAUUUGUACAUUGCGGAUGCAUACUUUGGGCUCUUGAAAGUGGGGCCAGAAGGUGGUUUGGCAACUUCACUUACAACUGAGGCAGAAGGGGAGCCAUUGAGGUUUACUAACGAUCUUGACAUUGAUGAAGAAGGCAACAUUUAUUUUACUGAUAGUAGCACCAAGUACCAGAGAAGGUAGGCCAUUUAUGCUUAUUUCUUUCAAUAUUGAGAACUGUACCAUACAAAAGAUGCCUGGUUAAUCUGUUAAUGUAAGUGUCUAACCAGUAACAGGUGGAUUUGCUAGUUACACUAGCGAUGUUGACACCCCCAUGUUUUGCUGUAACUUGAUUCAUUCAUAGUUUAGCGUCUCUGAAUGUUUUGAUCAGUUGGUAAAGUAGAAUAGGCAUGGAAAUUUUGAACAUUGGAUUGACAUCAGUAACGUAGUUUUCAUAUAUACUCAUUAACAAUACAUGACCGCCUUUUUCUACUGCUUAAGGAGUCUGCAAGUAUUGUUGUUGACAUACAUACAUAGCGCUUCUCAGCGGCGGACGUCCGCAUUUAUUCUUACGGUGCGGAUUUCCACUUUACACUCACUUUUCAAUCGAAUUUUCACAUCUCCGCCGUCUAAUAUUUAGAUACUAAUGUAUAAAUCAUCUAUGCAAAAUUUCAGCCAAUUUGGUUAUCAUUAAGGCACUCAAAACUGUGUUUUUCUGUUAUAAACAUGAACGGUUCAAGUUCGACAGAAUUAUGUUCAUCCAUUGAAAAACGCAGUUUGAGUGCCUUAAUGAUAACCAAAUUGGCUGAAAUUUUGCAGAGAUGAUCUAUACAUUAGUAUCUAAAUAUUAGACGGUGGAGAUAUGAAAAUUCGAUUAAAAAUCGAGUCUAAAAUGGAAAUCCGCACCAUAAAAAUAAAAAAUGACCUCCUUAGCCAAGAAAGCCUAUUGUUUCUGCAUAAUCCCGGAGACUAUGUAGAAUCCUGGUGGAACAUAAAAAAUAUACAAUCAUGAACAAGAGGCAAGUACAUAUAGUGGUUCACCAUGUCAUCGGAGGACAUGGCUACGUCCACUUUACAAUCAACUAUCAUGGCCAAUAGGCCUUUGGGAUCGGGAGAGAGAGUUUUUAUCCAUCAUCCAUCAGAUCUUUUCUACAUAUGGGAAGCCUUCCUUUUAUAACUAAGAAAGAUUCCCUCAUUUUACAUAUUUCCAAUGUGGGACAAACUAUACAUAUAUCUUCUUAUGAUGCCUUCUUGUGGAGCAUGACUGGUCUAUGGGCGGGGAAGGUAGUUCUCAACUACCGACUACAAGUCCCCCCAAGUUCCCGUUCAAGACACGUCUUGAGUGGGGACUUGAUAUAUAAAAUGCCCAUGGACUAGUCAUUUAUCAACGGGCACCCGGCCCCAGUCCCCCCAAGUCCGUACUCAAGAGGUGUGUUGAACGGGUCUUGCGUGUUCCGAGUCUUGCUUAUUCCGAGUCUUGUUUUUCUUGAUAUUCACUGUGAUCAUUAAGUCCGCUGAUAAGAUAAAAAAUGCCCCUCCCAACACCCGGCCUUAAAAAUUAUUCGGCCAGGCGAGGAUCAUUGUACCUUCACAAUAAACAAAUGAUCGAUUAGCAGCUUACAUAAUUUCUCGGUCGAAUGCCAAUCUCUCGGUCGAAUGCCUAUCCCGCUUGAUAUUACUCGGGAUGUUAAUGACUUAUGCCUCUCGGUCUAAUGCCUAUCCCGCUUGAUAUUACUCAGGAUUUUAAUAACUUAUGCCUCUCGGUCAAAUGCCAAAACCUACUGACCAGCAUGCAUACUCAUAUACAUACAGGUUGACUUGUAAGUAGGACGAAAUCAUGGCAUCAAUAUUAUGAACUUUCACAAACCAACGAGAUAGGGACUUAUCUGUGAAAAUAGCUGCUGAAUGGGUGCACCCAGUAGACCCGGAAGUGUGAACUGUGAACACUUUGACUUCCAGGUUAGGGUCCGGGAGGAUAGUAUCAUGUUGCUAUAGGUUUCCCUCUUCUUUCUUUCACCCCACCAGCUUUUUGUUGAAAGCCUCCGAGAUCCGAUGAGUAAUUAUCGGCUGUUAGCACUACUGCUUGUGCAUCCCGCUUGAGACCAAGGGAUAAAAUAGCUCCGGGUGUCCCUUUGGGUGUCCAUAAUGUUUUUUUUUUUGGCCUUUACUUUUAAAGCCACCGGGACCCGAAACAUCUCUUACCCAUACUAACUUUGUACUAUCCCACAUCGGCCAAACGGAGAGGGGUUAUGUGUUGUAUAUGUACAUGGCCACCUCCAAUCUAACACGAGGCCUUUUGGUGGCUCAGCGGCUUCGGAGGGGAUGGGUACUCCGAGGUUAAGCAUGUUGAUGCUAGAGCAAUCCAGGAUGGGUGACCUCUUGGGAAGCUGCUCCUGAGCUGCCGGAAACAAAACCGUGAGGGCUGAUGGGCCCAAAGCGGACAAUAUCGUGUUACGGCGGAAUGGGUCCUGGGGUGUUACAAAUGGUAUCAGAGCCACUCUGCCGUGUGGUGCGAGUGUGCCGACGAGGGCGUCGGACUCCAAAGGGGGGUGGAUUGUAAUAUCCCACAUCGGCCAAACGGAGAGGGGUUAUGUGCUGUAUAUGUACAUGCCCACCUCCAAUCUAACANNNNNNNNNNNNNNNNNNNNAAUCUUCCUUUCCACCCUCUCUUUUUUUCUUUCUGCCUACAAUCUUUCUUUCUCGAAAGAAAGCUGCUGAGAGCCUCCGGGUGUCCAUAGCGGGAAGAAGGGUGUCCAGACCAACACCAAGAUCGGACCAACUCCCUCUUCUCUCUCCCUCUUCUCAGAUCCCGCAAGGUUAUCCUGCAUCGGUGUCCCGGUGAACUGAUGGAGUUGAACCCAUUUGCCAUGGUGAUUUGCAGAUGAAUCCAGACGAGCUUUGACUGAGUUGCUCGAGCGGUACCCCUCCCGGCCGGGCGACUGACCAACGUUGCCGCAUGGGUCCCGAGCGCUACCAGCUGGUUCCCGUCGCAUCACUCCUGGCCGGCACCGGAUGAGCUUGGCUCGAGAUAGCUAAUCCCUGCCUGCGCCGAGUGGAGGUGACCUCGGAGAUGUACAGCCGGCUGCACACCCGUUCCUUGAUGAAGACCCGGACGCUGCCAAUCGAACUGAGGAGACAAGGGUCCGGGAUGGGUGUCACGGCUGCCGGCAAAGAUCUUUGGUGGGUGAGAUGACAACCCGGGCGGGAUGGGCCGAGCGGAGCUACAGGUGAGAUCCCGGGAGAGAAACCAUCAGUAAGCGGUGGAACUAAAAUCCUAGACCUGCUGUCUAGCUAACUGGACCCGUAGAUAAACAUGGGCCCGAUGGCAGUUAGGACUUGGCUAAACAACUUGCUAAUCCCGGAGACAGCCUUAGGCCUACUGAGGAGCAUGCCAACCUGCUGACUAGCUAGCCCUUUGCUAGGCUUGUGUACCUUCUGAUGGACCUAUUGCUCUAAUGGACUUGAAUAAAUUGCCUCUCGGAGGCAGGGCAACUUGACUUUUCGUAAUGAUUCCCAAAGACGACGCCAAAUGUUUCUGCAUAAUCUCAGAGAAUAUGCAGAAUCAUGGUGGAACAUAAACAAUAUACAAUAUGAACAAGAGGCAAGGACGUAUAGUGGUUCACCAUGCCAUCGGAGGACAUGGCUACGUCCACUUUACAAUCAACUAUCAUGGCCAAUAGGCCUUUGGGAUCUGGAGAGAGGGUUUUUAUCCAUCAUCCAUCAGAUCAUUUCUACAUAUGGGGAGCCUUCCUUUUAUAACUAAGGAAGGUUCCCUCCUUUUACAUAUUUCCAAUGUGGGACAAACUAUACAUAUAUCUUCUUAUGAUGCCUUCUUGUGGAGCAUGACUGGUCUAUGGGCGGGGAAGGUAGUUCUCAACUACCAACUACACCUAUAUAUAUAUAAAACAAUUAACUUGACUAACAAAAAUAUAAGAUAAAAUAAAUUAAGCGUAAUUAUAUUAAUUGUCCAUGUACAGAUGGACCAAGUCAAUAAAAAUGAAGGGAGAUUGAAGUCUUCCCUUGCAAGUUGAUAUUAAAAUUAGAGAAACUCGUAGGGCUUUCUCUACCACAUGGCGGUAGAACAUACCAAUAGAAUUACAAGAAAAUCUAUGUUAAUAUCAAAGAUACCCUGCCUUCUUAAUGUACAAUAUUACCAUGUAUGUGUUCUUAUCGACCGUGACUAAGUCACGUGGUAUGCAUACCCUAUAUAUAAAUCUCUCUUCAAACUAUAUAUGCAAACUCUACAAAGACUCCUUUUGAUGUUUCCCUCCUUUAGAUACAAAGGAAACAAGGGAAUCCUAGCUUGGUCUUAGUGUAGUUUAGGUUCAAGCAGUGUAUUUUAUUUAUUUAUUUAUUUUUUAUUGUAAGUCUGCAUGCAUCCGACAAUCGACCAUGGGAUGACCCAGACUCUUUGAAUGUUGACAUUUUUUACUAGCGUCAUACGGAUCCCGCAAGUCCCUUAUACUCAGUAACCUACCAUGUGACUAUUAAGGCUCAAUCUUAGAUGAGAGUUCCACUCAAGCAAAUACCUUGACAUUCUUGAUAACCCUCAUUGACUUCUUCGGAGUUAUAGUUACUUGGUCACUCAGCGUUGUUGUUUCUUCAAUAGGAGGUGUGGACUUGGUAAUACAUACACAACAUCUCCUUUAUAAAUAUGUUUACACAACUACUCUCAUCACUCUCAUGAGACAAUUCCAUAACUCAUCUCCCUAGAGUACAUCCCCCUAAAUUCUUAUUCCCUUCUUGUCCAAUCCAUUCGUCUAGGACAAGUUUAUUUAAUUAUAGUGUGUAUUCUUUUUAACUUUUGAGUUAUUAAUUUCUACUUCUACAUCUCAGAUGUGAGUUCACCAUUAAUCACCAUUACUUGAGUCUUAGGAAAUUGCAGAAUCUGCUCUAAUCCAGAAGCAAUUUUUCUAGAACUUAUAAUUUUGUUCGUCUCAAAAAUGGCGGAACUAGCAAUUCCGUUAUCAUUGAUGAUGGCCGAGAAGGCGAUGAGCUUGUUUGAAAGAUACGAGUUCAACGACGGAAGUCAUAAUAUCCAUGAUGAUGUUGAAAUAGCCUACAAAUGUCUGAAGAAGAUGCAAAGCCUAUCUAGGGGACUUGGAAGAGAUUGAUGAAGGCAGCCUAAUGCUUCAAAAUCGUGUUGAAGAGGUCCAAACUCUGGCUUAUGAAAUUGAAGACGCUCUUGACAAGUUCAUGGCAGUGAUGGCACAGAUUCAACAUCACUUCCACAGCAACAUGUUCUCUCAGAAGCUACACGAAGUUGCACAUUAUCGCACAGAAAGGAAUGCAAAACUUGAGUUCUCCGCCACCAAGAUUAAAAAUGUUGAAAUGAAAAUUAGUUCCUUCUCAGGACUAGAUUCACUUCUUGAGCCACCAAGUUACAGUACAAGACAUAGAGAUAGUUUGAUCCUCCACCAAGUUCUUGCAGAAGAAGAAAUCGUAGGCUUCAAGGAGCCUAGAGAAAGACUUACCAAACAGUUAAUGGAAGCAGAUCUGAGGCUGUUGAUGAUUUUGAUUGUUGGUCCUGGAGGCUCCGGCAAAACCACUGUCGCGAAGAAUGUUUAUGAGAGCAAUAGUAUUCAAGAAUUUUUAAUUUGAUGGCCUUGCUUGGAUUGAUGUGUCUCGCCCUUCUAAAGCAGAAGAAGAUCAAACAGCAGAACUCAGUCACCUGAAGGGAAAGAGGUUUGUGGUUAUUUUGGAUAAUGUUUGGACAACAAAUGAUCUGGAAUGUAUUACAAAUGCUAUGCCAAAAGGAUUGCUUGGGAGUAAAGUACUCAUAAUUACUCGUAACUCUGAUAUAGCUUCUGCUCGUGCAGAGUCCUCCGAGUAUAUCCAUGAUUUGUGUAGCGGAUUAUUAUGGAAAGAUGCCUGGUCUCUGUUUUGCAACAAGGCUUACAAACUUACUGCAGGAUAUUGUCCGCCUGAUCUCUAAGAGUGGGCUAAAAAAUUCUUGAAGAAGUGUGAAGGUCUGCCCCUUGUAGUUUCAGCUAUUGCUAUUUUGCUGGCAAACAAGCCACAAACUCCAGUUGAGUGGAAGAAGUUACAUGAAAGCCUUGGGUCUGAAAUCAGACCUCAUUUUAGUCUUUCGAUUAUUAGCCGUGUCUUGCAGCCAAGUUACAUACAUCUUCCGAGCCAUCUAAAGAUAUGUUUGUCGUACUUUGGCAUUUUUCCAGAAGACCAUUCAAUCAGCCGUGAUAGGCUGAUUCGGUUGUGGUCAGCUGAGGGAUUUAUAACACCAGGAAAGGGACAAACAAUGGAGGAAGCUGGGGAAAGUUAUCUCAGUGAAUUCAUUGGAAGGAAUUUGGUUCGUGUCACCACAAGAGAGAUGGAUGGUCGUGCAAGGAGCCGUCGUGUUUUGAACCUUGUUCGAGAGUUCAUUAUUUCAAAAGCGGGGAACUUCAUCACUGUAUUGGAACCAAACUACAGUAUUCAUUCAGGGGAGAAAAUUUGGCGCCUUUCAGUUCAAAAUGUAAAUAUCAAUUUGUUAAAGGCUAAGGAUUUGAGUCAUAUUCGUACCUUACUAGUGUUUGGGCUGGCAAGUUCCCCUUCUGAGGUUGAAGAGGUACUCAAGGUCUCUACAGUUAGAUUUGCAAGGUGUACCUUUGAAGAACUUCCCUGAUAGUGUAAUUGGUCUCUAAAGGUCCCGGGGGCGGGGCGGUCCGGUAUAAAUUCGUUCUAAGGAUAACAAGGGUUAUAGCUAUCCUGAAUAACAAAUACACAAUGACAAUAAAUAAAAGUUGCAGUAAAAUAGCAAUGAACACUAAGGUAUUUUUUACUCGCAGAAACCCUGUAACCAGGGAGAAAAACUACGUGCCCCUAGUCUAGGGGUACAUAACCGACUUACUAUCCUGCCUAAACUACCCACUAAUCUAGAUCUAUACUUUCUCUCUUGUUUCUGAGUACCUCACUCCUUACAAGAUUACAAUAUAUGAUACAACAACGACUUGUUAUCCUACCUAGUCCCAAACUAGUCUAGAACUACCUUUAUUGUCUCUAAGUGGCUACACAUGAAAGUAUAAGAAGUUUCAACUCAAAACUCAGCUAUCAUUUAACUGAUUGUUUUUGAACACUUCUCAGAAGUUUCACUCUCAGAAACUCAGCUAUCCUAAACUGAUUUUUUCAUGAACCUAGCUACCUCAGCGGGAUACAUCAUAACUCAGCUAUCCUCAGCUGCUUCUUUCAUGAACACUUCCGAGGUUGCUGCACUACCAACUGAUCUCAUGGUAUGCAUAAUGCAAUGAGUUUAUGAGAAAAUGUUUUAUUCAGCUCUAAGGUUUAUAAUCACAAAAUGAAGACUUAGAGACUAAUGAACAAUGCAAAAGAAAACCAAAACCCAACAAUGCAAAUGUAAAAACUACAUUAUGACAACCAUUGAGCAAAGGCAGCCUUGUUCAAUAUAUAUAGGCUGAUGGAGUGCUCUAACAAGAGAGAGACACAAGCCAAAGAGGUGCCACAAGAGGGCAGGAACGAGGGCCAAAGCAAGGAAGGAGUUUUGGACUAUUGUCCUUGGCCAAACUUUGAAAGUGAGAGUUCAUAUGCAGCUGUCCUAGGCCAAUAAACAAACAAACAAACAAAACAAUCAUAAACAAUGUUUGAUUUAAAAGCAAGAGACAAAGGUUUUGCAAACUUUUUCCCAAAAGCAUAAUACCACAAUGGUUUAGCAAACCAUUUUUCUCUGAUAUCAAACAAAAACAGCUGCAAAUAUUGGUUUGUGUAUCACAAACACAGCAAACCACAGCUGGAGCCUAAGAGCUAAAACAUGGGUCACGGGUUGAGAUAAAGGCAUCAAACCCUAGACUAAUUUGAGCACCAAGGUAUGACUUUUAUCUUAGUUGUCAAUUUGAAAUUCAAAUGAGGAUCUCACCCAGAUAUAGUUCUUAUGGAACAAGGGUAAAGAAACAUACACCUACGACAAAAGAAACAAAAGACCGAAAAACUGGAAACCCAAAUUUUUAGGAUGGCAGACAAUACUGCUAUCCUCAGUGAAAAACCAUGAAAUACAUAUGCAUGAUUUUACCUGAGUUCCAUGAGUUUAUGUUGGUUCUUCUACUUCUUCAGACUUGUUCUUCAGAUGUGCAAGGUCAAUCUCUCAAUUGUUUUAGGCUUCAUAGGUUGUGUUUUGUUCUAUAUAAGGAUUGCCAAAAACCUUAUACCUUCAGUCUCCCCCUCUUAAGGUACUUAAAUCUGAGACAAAUUCCAAAGUCCGUCGGCAAUCUUGCAUAUUUGCAAACCUUGGAUCUUAAGCACACAAAUGUGACCAGCUUACCAAAAAAGAUUUAUGAACUCCAGGAUAUGCGUCAUCUUUUACUUUAUAGCUGUGAUGUUACUUCUGGUGUGCACAAGGAGUUGAGGUUCCUGCUGGCAACAUUGGAGCUUUGUCUUACAUACAGAAGUUGUUUCUAAUCAAGGUGAAGAAACAAAGAAAAGUAGUCCUUAAAGCCUUGGGAGAGUUAAUUUCUCUCCGGAAGUUGGGGUUGGUAGACCUUGAGAAAGAACAUGGAAGUGAAUUAUGUUGUUCCAUACAAAAAAUGGCAGAGCUUUCAACACUUGAUAUACGAUCAACAGGUGAGGACGAGUAUCUUGAUUUGGAUCAUAUGAACUCCCCAGCUGGGCCUCCUCGCUAUCUCCAACAUCUCUCUUUGACAGGACACCUGGAGAAACUGCCGCAAUGGAUUUCCCAGCUUCAUAGUCUAGCUAGGAUUACUCUAAAUGGAUCCAAAUUGGAUGCUGACUCCAGCUCACUUGAGAUCCUCCAAGAUUUGCCUAAUCUUGUGGAGCUUGAGUUGGUUGACUUUUAUACUGGGCAUUUGUUGAAGUUCAGAGCUAAAAAGUUCAAGAAACUAAAGGCAUUACGUAUUGAGAAAUUUGAUGAGCUAGAUUUGAUGAUAAUCGAGGAUGGAGCCAUGCCUGAGCUUAAGAGACUAACGUUGUCGAAAUGUAAAGUUGUUCUUAUUUGGCAUUUGUAGUCUUAUGUUGCUCAUGCUAGAAAUCAUGGAUUUAUUGAAUGUAUGCUGAAAACAGUAAAAGAGAGGAAGAAUGCUAUGGAGGCUACAUUGUAUCUGUCUUGAACUCUUGAUUGAGAGAGAAUGAGGUUACAACAAUACAUAUAGGGCUUAGAAUAUAGAAUGACGUAAAUGCCCUUACGACUUAAUUGUAAUAAACCUAGCAUAUAGUUAACCCCCCCCCCCCCCCUACCAUAUGCUUGGUAUACAACAAGCAUAAUGGUUGAAAAAGACACGACUAUAGCCUAUUACAAGAUAACACCCAAUUCAUAAACCCAACAUGAUAUGAUAAAGACUAGCCUCCAUCUUGAUUUGUAGCAGAUUUACAAAAGAGGAUAGAGAGCUUGCUGGAAGAAUCUCAUAGUUCACAUGGUGAUAGCAAAGGCAGUAGAGUAGCAAUAUGUAAUGCAACUUCAGCAGCAUAGCAGCAAUGAAAUAAACUGAAAAAUCUCUUCAAAUUUGACUAAAUUCUGAUAUAUAGAAAGAUUGAAAACUGCAUAUGACUGCCACAAAUUUUCUGAUAUUCAUUUGCACACUUCCAGCAACCAUGGAAAAGCACCACCAAGAAUUUUCCCUUAAUCUGAAACUCCAUAUGCACUCCAGCAGCUCAUAACCAACUGAACUCCUCUCUACACUUCUAAUUAACUCCAACGGAAGUAAACUGAAUCAACCAUUGGCAGUGUAAUCACUCAUGUCUUGAACAAACUACUGCAAAGUUCUCUGAUGCAAACACCAACCAAAUGCAACUAACACCAAAUGACAGAGAAACCAGAAAUAUCUUCAUCAAAUUCAAACAUGCACUGCACACUAGAGUCAUAGAACUAAUCAGUAAUCCAAAUCAUCAAGCCGUGCUCACCAGUCCACAAACAAAAAGAUAUAAACUGCUUCGGUACCUUUUUCUCUUGGUUGACGGCAAACAUAUUUUGAUAAAGAAAAAUAAAACUGGAAAACUGAUGAAUUGAAGCACAAUAAUUGAGAUCACAGACGGAUUUCAUGAGUCAAGCGAGAGAGUUGACUGAAUCAGAAAAGAGCUCUCCAAUGUCUAUGUAAUUUGAGUGAAGCAUGAUAAAGGAGUGCAACAUCAGAAUAGGAACACAGUAUAGCACUCAAACUACUGAUCUCCAAUCUCAAUAUAUUCACCUCAUAAUCUUUGUUCAUCCUGCUCUACUCUCACAUAAUAAAUAGUAAGUUCCCUUCUAAGAAGCAUAAUUAAUCACCAUAUCAUCACUUACUGAAGUUAACUAUAUGCUAGGUUUAUUACAAUUAAGUCGUAAGGGCAUUUACGUCAUUCUAUAUUCUAAGCCCUAUAUCUAUUGUUGUAACCUCAUUCUCUCUCAGUUAAAAGUUCAAGACAGACACAAUGUAGCCUCCAUAGCCUUCUUCCUCUCUUUUACUGUUUUCAGCAAACAUUCAAUAAAUCCAUGAUUUCUAGCAUGGUAUCAGAACCCAUGGUAUCUGAUCCGAUACCUUGUGGCUUCUGUGUUUAUCCAUACGUAGUUGCUUCCGCAUUUUCAUUUUCAGUUCCCUUCAAUUUCAGAUCCCCAAUUUCAAAACCCUAAACCCAAUCUUGAAUCGAUUCCCUCCUGGAGACGCUCUCGUUCUCUCCGGCGACUGGAAACUUUCCAUUCGAUGUCGUGGUCUUGUCGUCGGAUCUAUGAAGCCCUCUACGUUUUCUUCUUCUCCUUUUCGAAUUGAAGCUGCGAGAACCUUAAAUCGAAGCCGGGUCGUGGAUUCAUAUGCGUGAGUUGCGAUUUUGGUUUUGGGCCUCCUCCAUCGACGGUAGAUUCGUAUGGAUUUGAGAUUCUGCAAUUGUGUUUCAACUGCCUCUCUCCUCUCUAGCAUCAGUUUCUUCCGAAAUUUGGUAAUAUCUCUCCGAUUCAACAUCUCUAUCAUUUGAAUCGUGGAAUUGAUCUUUAGUCUCGGUUGUUCUGCUAGUAGUCGUCAGUUUGCCAUUUUUAUUUUUAUUAAAGUUUGAAGUUUAAGAUUGAAGAAAUUUCUAUUCCUUUUUUGGUCUGGUGAUUCUAGCUUAACAAGUUGGGUUAUGGAUUGAUUUUGUGGGUUCUUUUGCCGGUUUGUGCAACUUUGGGAAAGUCUUUUUAGAAUUGGAUAUGGACUAUGCAAAGAAGAAUUGAGAGUUGAUGAUAGUAUACAGUAUAUACAGCAAAGUUGGUAUUGUUUGUUAGAUUGGCAUCUCUUUCACUUGAGUCAUGGAUUUUCUCUCUAGUCUGGGUUGUUAUGAUUAAUUCAUCAGGUUUCCAGUUUAAUUUUUCUUAUCAUAGUUUGUUUGCCAUCAACCAAAAGAAAAGGUGACAAAGCAGUUUAUAAUUUGUUUUUGGACUGGUGAAUUGGCUUGAUGGGUUAGAUUAUGGUCUGAAUAUAUGACUUGUGUGCGAGUUGUGUUCGUUUUGAGAGAUGGUUCCAUGAUUGCUGCAUAUCAAUGUGUAAUAGUCAUAUUGCUGCUACAAGAGCUUGAAUGGUGAAGGGAUGUUAUAUUGAUCUUCUUAUGCAAAAUAGAGAGGAGUUGAGAUGAUCUGCAUGUUGCUAUUAUGUUGAUGGUUUCCAAGUAAUGGGCUGCUGUUUUAUGUGAAUGAAUGAGAAAAUUACAGAUGGUUUUAGAGAGAGGAGUUGAUGAUAUUGAGUUGCUGGAAUGCAAAUGUAGUUUCAGUUUCAGAUUAAGGCAAAUUUUGUGAGGUUGCUGGUAGUGAGCAAAUGAAUAUCAGAAAGUUGUUAGCAGUCAUAUGCAGUUUUCAGUUUGUAUUCAUAUCAGUUUUCAGUCAAAUAUGAAGAAAUUUUCAGUUUUCUAUCAUUUGCUGCUCAGGUUGCUUUAUAUAUUGCUGCCCUACUGUAGUUGCUAUCACCAUGAGAACUUUGAGAUUUUUUCCAGCAAGCUCCCUCUCCUCUUAUACCAAUUCUGCUGCAAGUCAAGAUGGAAGCUAGUUGAUCUUAUCAUAUCAAGUUGUUGGGUUAUUGAAUUGGGUGUUUUCCUGUAUUUUUUGGGCUAUAUCUGUGUAGUUUGCAGGCAACCAUUAUGCUUGUUCCCAAGCACAAGGUUGAGGGGGGGGUGUUAACUAUAUGCUAGGUUUAUGACAAUUAAGUUGUAAGGGCAUUUACGUCAUUAUAUAUUCUAAGCCCUGUAUGUAUUGUUGUAACCUCAUUCGCUCUCAAUCAAGUUAGACACAAUGUAGCCUCCGUAGCCUUCUUCCUCUCCUUUACUGUUUUCAGCAUUUUACAUUCAAUAAAUGAUUUCUAGCAGCUCGAAGAAUUUCUUCUGUAUGAGAUGCCUGAUGAAUUCAUUUCUAAGCUUCAAAUAGAUAGCGUGGAGCAUUACUUGGAUCGGAAUGUCCGAGUCAUCCAAUCUUUCUGUAGUGGAAGCAAUGGAAGCCAAAAUAUUUCUUGAUUGUAUUGGCAUAUGUCCACUAGCUAGAAAAUAUAUAUAUAUUAUGAGCAUUCACUGCAUGUGGCUUUUCUUUUGUUAUAAUUUUGCUCAUCAAUUAUCUCGAGUUAUGUAUAAUGAUUUUGGCAAACUGUUUAGUUUCUCUGUAUCAGUGAAAUGUAAGGAAUAAAGCUGUAAUUUGCUUCGUUGAUACUAUCAAGGUCGUACCUGUUAACCUAACAUUGAUAGUAAAUUGCUGCCUGAUAUUUCUUCGUUCCAAUCUCAUAUUUCGUCUCUCUGUAAGUUAUGCUAGUUCCUAGUUGUCCUUUUACUGGAAAAAAAAAUGCAGAAAUUGUCAUUUGCAGAGAGCAACUAAGCAAGACCCUUGAUAACUGUUUAACAUAUGUGAUUAGCAAGGUUAUGCUAGUUGUCCUUAAUUUUACUGGAAAAAAAAUGCAGAAAUUGUCAUUGAUUACUUAAUUCCUUGGUUGCUUUCUAUAUCAGAUUAAUUUCAAUUGUUCUGCCAAGUUGCCUGCAAAUUUGCUAAUCACAUGUUAAACAACUAAUGAAUAUCAAGGAUCUUACCUAGUUGCUCUCUGCAAAUGCAUGCAAGUUUCCCAUGACAUGAUGAAGUAACUAAACAAUUAGUCCUAGCUAGUCUUGGGGAGGUGAUGACAAUUGCUAUUGAGCUUGUUUGGGUAUGAGACUAGAAGCACAUUUAGUUAGAGAUUGACUCGUCGCUUGUGUUAGACUAUCUAUGGUCUUCUUUGUUUGUACCUUGGCAACUACGUGUCCGUUGGCUUAAUUAAUUGUUUAUGUUGCAUAUCGGAGAUGACCUUUUGAUCUUCUCAUAUUUUUCGUGAAAGGAAUAAGGUUGCAAAUGCUCUGGCUAAUCACGGUACGUCAUUAACACAGUUGGUUUGGUAGGAUUCACAUCCUCUUUUUAUUUUAUCAUAUUGUAGUAGUGACUUUAUGGGUCUUCCUCAAUUUCGGUUUUCUUAGUUUUGUUUCGUUGUGACGAGAGAUUUUGGUCUAGUCCCCUUUCUUGAUGUUUCAUAAAAAAAAAAUUUAAAAAAAAUACUUGGGUUUAAUUUUUGAAACAUGUACGUUGACGCUCUAGAAACUAAGAAACAAGACAAGACACAGAGAGACGAAGAGAGGUCUUUUUGCCAUGCAUAUAUGACCAUAAACCUGCUUUCUGUCCUGACUUGUUCAACUCGAUCGACCACGCGAGUAUGCCCUUAAUCUUUGAACGGAAGGGCAAAUAUGGUAAGUGUACGUAGUUCUGAAAUUAGUAAUUGCAGAUUUGCAGAAAGGAAGGGUGCGUUUUGCUCUUUCUUUAUCAUCACUUAUUACAUCGAUUACAAGGGUUUAAGUUACAUGCAACAACCUUUCCUAAUUAACUUCGUAACUCAAGUAGUAAUAUUAAGAGGGAUCUUAAUUGACAAGUUGCUCUCUGCAACUGCAUGCAACUUUCGCACUCAUGUAAUAUUACGGUCUUAAUCUUCUGUUUGAUUGAUGAAGCUAGCUAGCUCAGAAAAUAAACAAACAAAAUCUUUCUGGCGACAUCUACCUACAAUAGUCCUCCACUUACAGAUCGACCAUAAAACAACACUAUGUCCUGACUUGUUUAACGCGAGUGUUAGGCAACUAGCAGUGGACUACGCGGGUGUUUUGAUAUCUGAACUGGUCAGUGGACUCCUUCUUAUAUCAUGUAACAUCUUUUCUAUCAGUAUGAGACUUUCCUAUCAUAGAAAUACGGACAUAGUCUGAUAGUCCAUUAAUCAAUUAGCAGUUAGACAUAGACUUGGUCAUAUAUAAGCUUUGGAUCCGAGCGCUCUUCUCAGAAAUCCAUUUCAUGCAUGCAAUGGCCUCCAGGAUAUUCGAUCCUAGGGUUGACGGACUUUGUAAUCUUGUUGUUUUCCUUGCGAGUUUCCAAUUUGCAUACUAAUGCUACUUGCACAGAAGAUUCUUUGGAUGGCUCUUCCCACUGGGGAAGACGAAGACGAAGACUAGUAUAUGUAACUUCCAAAAUUUGAUUCUCCAUUAUUUGCAAGGUUCAAAAUCAGGCUGUUGUACUUGCAUAUAUGCAAAUUUGACCCAAUGCUUAAACAAAAGUUAUUUCCAACAAGUUGGCAUAUAAUUUUCCGAAAAGAAGAACAAUAAAAGGUUUGCUCUUUCUACUGAUAUAUUUGCCUGUACGUGUUCAAGUUGCAGUAUUCGAUCGAGAAGAAAUUUUCUCCAGCUUGGAAAUUGUCUUACGGGACAAAUGGCUGAAGCUGUUGAAGUAGCAUUCCUGCUAGUUGAGCAGGUGAUAAAACUCCUCGAUGAACUAGGCAAACCUCAACAUAGUGUCGUGGAUGAUGUUAGAAAGGCAAAGACUUGGCUGGGGAGGAUGGAGGCCUAUCUAAAGCAGUCAGAAGCUGAGAUGGAUGAAAGCAACGAAGGGCUUCAAGCUCGUCUAAAACAGAUCCAAGAUGUAGCUUUUUCCAUUGAAGAUGCUCUUGACGAGUACUUGCUUCAUGUCCCAAAUCAUUCCCACACCUAUAAGAUCUCUCGGUUGGCACACCGCGUUGGUCAUGCAGUCCCAGAUUGGAGAGCAAGCUCCAAAUUGGCCUCCAGAAUCGCUGGCGUUGAAAAGCAGAUUGAUUUUGUUCGGAAACUAGAUGGAAUUCAUCGUCCAGAGGAAGGUAGCUCAAGCACAACAUCGCAGGGAAAUGGUGAAUUGGCUCCCAGCCACCCUGAAGAAGAUGAAACAGUUGGCUUUGAAGAGGCCGAAGAGCAACUGUCCAAACAGUUUAUGGAGAGAAAUUCAAGACGUUUGGCGAUAUCAAUUGUAGGUCCUGGCGGCUCAGGCAAAACCACUCUCGUAAAGAAUGUUUACAAGAGCAAGCAAGUUCGUGGGUUCUUUCACUGUCAUGCUUGGAUCGAUGUCUCACGUCCAUUUGUAGCCAUCAAGCUCUUGCUAAACAUCUUGAGAAAAAUGGACCCAGAAAGCAACAUGCAAGAACCAAUUCUACAGGAAGAUACAAAUGAUCUGAAGGAGAGACUGAGACUAGCUUUGAGUAAUAAGCGGUUUGUGAUCGUCUUAGAUAACAUUGGCAGCAAACAGAAUUUGGAGAGCAUUGCAAGUGCCUUACCAAAUGGUUUAUCUGGGAGUAAGAUAAUCACAACCAGUCGUAACUCAGAUGUAGUUUCUAGUUUUGUUUCCUCCGAGUAUACCCAUGAUUUGAGUCUGGGGAUACCAUGGAAAAAUGCUUGGUAUCUAUUCUGCAAGAAGGCUUUUCAAAAUAGGGAAGGAUAUUGUCCAGAGGCGCUUGAGGAGUGGGCUCAAAAAAUCCUGAAGAGGUGUGAAGGUCUACCCCUUGCAAUAUCAGCUGUUGGGACUGCGCUAGCAAAUAAGCCUCAAACUAUACUAGAGUGGAAGAACUUUCAUGACAGCCUCGGAUCGGAUGUUCCAAAAAUUAUAAGCCGUAGUUGGGAGCUAAGUUACAAGGAUCUUUCAAGCAAUCUUAAAAGUUGCUUCUUGUACUUUGGCAUGUUUCCAGAAGACCGCUCCAUCAGCAGGGAGAGACUAAUUCGCUUGUGGGUCGCUGAAGGAUUUGUGAAGCCACACAGAACAAAAAGGAUAGAGCUGUUAGCGUGAGUUAUGGAGUUAGUUUAGGAAUGUAAAUUAAUUUGUUAUUACUUUCCUAUUCUGUAUGUGUAGUACAUAGUACGUAGGGUUUGUACAACUUGUAUCUCUAUAUAUAGCCUCCACUGUGAGAUGAAUAAGAUAUCAGAAAAUUCAUUCUCCAAACCUUGUUAUAUUUGACUUGGUAUCAGAGCAAAGAUCCGAAAGGACUUUGUCUCUUUGUUUUUCCGCUGCAAAUUCUUCGUCCGACAUUUGUCAGACGGUUGUUUGUCUUUUUAAAUAAACCUCAUUGUUAGGGUUUAUUGUCUCGAUUGUCGAAGUUUUUCCGACUAUUCUCAGUUUGACGUAGGCCCCUUGUCAGACUGAUUUUUUACCUCUCAGCCUCAAUAUUACGGCUCAACCCAGCUACCGCCGCAUCUUCUUUUCCAAAAGUAGUUGCUGUUGCUGUGCCCAGCUGCCGCCGUCGUCGUCUCUGCCCCGCCGUCGUCGUCUCUGCCCAGAAGUUGUCAUCGUGCCCAGAGGACGCCGCCGUGCCACAACCCGCGCCAAAACCCAGGUCUCGACGCCGCCGUGCCAAAGCCCAGGUCCCGACGCCACCGGUCUCGACGCUGCCGCGCCCUUGUGCCGUGCCGAUCCACUCUGUCACGACGCAGCCGACGCCGCGUUUCUUGGACCCGGUUCUGCUAAUCCGAUCCGACCCGUUUCUAGUCUGACCCGGCUUGUUGUGUUCGACCCGACCCGGUUCAGUCACUAUUUAUUGUCAGCUCCAGUGCACCGACAGUGCAAGUGCACCAGACGCAGGUUUAUUCCCCCCUUUAUUGUUUUUUGCUCCAUAAAUUACUGAUUCGGUAUUUGUGUUGCAAUGGAUUCUGGAGUUGAAAGUUCUCAGGGGAAAGAUGUUCAGACAGUUGAAGUAUCUGUCAAGAAUUCUGAAAGUGGUUCAUUUGGGGGUGCCAAACUCAAUGGAACCAAUUUCGGAAAUGGAAGAAAUCAUGACGGCUCAUCUUCGAGGGAUGCACAAGAUGGGGCAUGUAACUGGGACAAUUAAGGCCCCUAGUGAAAGUGAUGUUGAUGCUUACACUAAGUGGGAAGAUGAUGAUGGUCUUGUGAUGUCAGUCUUGUACAAGGCAAUGAAUGAGGACAUAGUCGACCUGGUGGAACAAUGUGAUACAGCUCAGGCGAUCUGGAAGACACUGGAGGAUUUAUAUACUAAUGAGUCUGAUUUCAUACAGGUUCAUGAGUUGAUGUGCACUGCUUCCUCAAUGCAACAGCAUGGGCAGCCAGUGGCACAGUAUUUCACCAAGCUAAGGAACAUUUGGGCUGAAAUUGAUACGAAACGUCCUUGCAAGAUCAAGAACCAAGAGGAUCUUGUUUGGUACUUGAAGGAAAAGGAGCUUGAGCGAGUUCAUCACUUUCUGAGGGGUCUUGAUGCAAAACACAACAGUGCCAAAGGAGAGCUACUCAGAAUGACCGAACCUCCUAACCUGAUUACAGCUUUCACAUAUAUCCGUAAGGAUGAGUCUCAGCAGGAAAGUCUUACUCAAGCACAACUUGAAGUCUCUAGUCUCACUAUUCAAGCGAGAACACCAGCACCACUCCUUCAGCAAUCAAGUUCAGUUCCACUUCACAAGCAAGGACCACCACCAGGCUUUGGGAACCAACCUCGUCCCCCUUGCUCUUAUUGCAAGGGUGACCAUGCUCGUGAGUCUUGUUGGAAGUUGUACCCUCAUCUUAGGCCUAAGAGGCCUACUUAUCGUCCCAAGGCGAAAGCAGCUAUCCAGUUGGUCCAAGAACCAGACAUCUAUGGUGUAUCCGGACAUGACCAUCAUACAGCAGAAGGCGCUACACCCACAGCAUCAGUGGCUGGUCGUGGUAAGAUAGGUAUGGCCUUAAAUAUUUCUAGCUUUGUUGGUGGUGAUACAUGGAUUAUUGAUUCAGGUGCUUCAGAUCAUAUGACUUAUGACAAAUCUUACUUUACUGAAUUAUCCUCUCCACCAGUGCCAUAUGUUACUAAUGCUAAUGGUGAAGCCUUCCCUGUGUUAGGAAAAGGGUCAGUUUGUAUCACUCCCACAAUAGUGCUACAAAAUGUGUUAUAUGUACCUGCUUUAUCUCAUCAUUUGAUAUCUGUCUCACAGUUAAAUGUUGAAUCCAAAAUGCUCUGUGACCUUUUUUCCUAUGUAUGUGAUUUUUCAGGAUCUUCUCACUGGGGAGUUACUCGGUCGGGGGUACUUGAGGGGCAGGCUCUUUCGUCUGGACCAGACUUAUGUGGGGGAGAAACCAGGCGCACAGCCACGGACCGCUUUAAUGUCAACUUCUGACAGGCUAAGUGAAGUUUGGUUGUGGCAUCGUCGCUUAGGGCAUCCAUCUUUUAGUNNNNNNNNNNNNNNNNNNNNNNNNNNNNNNNNNNNNNNNNNNNNNNNNNNNNNNNNNNNNNNNNNNNNNNNNNNNNNNNNNNNNNNNNNNNNNNNNNNNNNNNNNNNNNNNNNNNNNNNNNNNNNNNNNNNNNNNNNNNNNNNNNNNNNNNNNNNNNNNNNNNNNNNNNNNNNNNNNNNNNNNNNNNNNNNNNNNNNNNNNNNNNNNNNNNNNNNNNNNNNNNNNNNNNNNNNNNNNNNNNNNNNNNNNNNNNNNNNNNNNNNNNNNNNNNNNNNNNNNNNNNNNNNNNNNNNNNNNNNNNNNNNNNNNNNNNNNNNNNNNNNNNNNNNNNNNNNNNNNNNNNNNNNNNNNNNNNNNNNNNNNNNNNNNNNNNNNNNNNNNNNNNNNNNNNNNNNNNNNNNNNNNNNNNNNNNNNNNNNNNNNNNNNNNNNNNNNNNNNNNNNNNNNNNNNNNNNNNNNNNNNNNNNNNNNNNNNNNNNNNNNNNNNNNNNNNNNNNNNNNNNNNNNNNNNNNNNNNNNNNNNNNNNNNNNNNNNNNNNNNNNNNNNNNNNNNNNNNNNNNNNNNNNNNNNNNNNNNNNNNNNNNNNNNNNNNNNNNNNNNNNNNNNNNNNNNNNNNNNNNNNNNNNNNNNNNNNNNNNNNNNNNNNNNNNNNNNNNNNNNNNNNNNNNNNNNNNNNNNNNNNNNNNNNNNNNNNNNNNNNNNNNNNNNNNNNNNNNNNNNNNNNNNNNNNNNNNNNNNNNNNNNNNNNNNNNNNNNNNNNNNNNNNNNNNNNNNNNNNNNNNNNNNNNNNNNNNNNNNNNNNNNNNNNNNNNNNNNNNNNNNNNNNNNNNNNNNNNNNNNNNNNNNNNNNNNNNNNNNNNNNNNNNNNNNNNNNNNNNNNNNNNNNNNNNNNNNNNNNNNNNNNNNNNNNNNNNNNNNNNNNNNNNNNNNNNNNNNNNNNNNNNNNNNNNNNNNNNNNNNNNNNNNNNNNNNNNNNNNNNNNNNNNNNNNNNNNNNNNNNNNNNNNNNNNNNNNNNNNNNNNNNNNNNNNNNNNNNNNNNNNNNNNNNNNNNNNNNNNNNNNNNNNNNNNNNNNNNNNNNNNNNNNNNNNNNNNNNNNNNNNNNNNNNNNNNNNNNNNNNNNNNNNNNNNNNNNNNNNNNNNNNNNNNNNNNNNNNNNNNNNNNNNNNNNNNNNNNNNNNNNNNNNNNNNNNNNNNNNNNNNNNNNNNNNNNNNNNNNNNNNNNNNNNNNNNNNNNNNNNNNNNNNNNNNNNNNNNNNNNNNNNNNNNNNNNNNNNNNNNNNNNNNNNNNNNNNNNNNNNNNNNNNNNNNNNNNNNNNNNNNNNNNNNNNNNNNNNNNNNNNNNNNNNNNNNNNNNNNNNNNNNNNNNNNNNNNNNNNNNNNNNNNNNNNNNNNNNNNNNNNNNNNNNNNNNNNNNNNNNNNNNNNNNNNNNNNNNNNNNNNNNNNNNNNNNNNNNNNNNNNNNNNNNNNNNNNNNNNNNNNNNNNNNNNNNNNNNNNNNNNNNNNNNNNNNNNNNNNNNNNNNNNNNNNNNNNNNNNNNNNNNNNNNNNNNNNNNNNNNNNNNNNNNNNNNNNNNNNNNNNNNNNNNNNNNNNNNNNNNNNNNNNNNNNNNNNNNNNNNNNNNNNNNNNNNNNNNNNNNNNNNNNNNNNNNNNNNNNNNNNNNNNNNNNNNNNNNNNNNNNNNNNNNNNNNNNNNNNNNNNNNNNNNNNNNNNNNNNNNNNNNNNNNNNNNNNNNNNNNNNNNNNNNNNNNNNNNNNNNNNNNNNNNNNNNNNNNNNNNNNNNNNNNNNNNNNNNNNNNNNNNNNNNNNNNNNNNNNNNNNNNNNNNNNNNNNNNNNNNNNNNNNNNNNNNNNNNNNNNNNNNNNNNNNNNNNNNNNNNNNNNNNNNNNNNNNNNNNNNNNNNNNNNNNNNNNNNNNNNNNNNNNNNNNNNNNNNNNNNNNNNNNNNNNNNNNNNNNNNNNNNNNNNNNNNNNNNNNNNNNNNNNNNNNNNNNNNNNNNNNNNNNNNNNNNNNNNNNNNNNNNNNNNNNNNNNNNNNNNNNNNNNNNNNNNNNNNNNNNNNNNNNNNNNNNNNNNNNNNNNNNNNNNNNNNNNNNNNNNNNNNNNNNNNNNNNNNNNNNNNNNNNNNNNNNNNNNNNNNNNNNNNNNNNNNNNNNNNNNNNNNNNNNNNNNNNNNNNNNNNNNNNNNNNNNNNNNNNNNNNNNNNNNNNNNNNNNNNNNNNNNNNNNNNNNNNNNNNNNNNNNNNNNNNNNNNNNNNNNNNNNNNNNNNNNNNNNNNNNNNNNNNNNNNNNNNNNNNNNNNNNNNNNNNNNNNNNNNNNNNNNNNNNNNNNNNNNNNNNNNNNNNNNNNNNNNNNNNNNNNNNNNNNNNNNNNNNNNNNNNNNNNNNNNNNNNNNNNNNNNNNNNNNNNNNNNNNNNNNNNNNNNNNNNNNNNNNNNNNNNNNNNNNNNNNNNNNNNNNNNNNNNNNNNNNNNNNNNNNNNNNNNNNNNNNNNNNNNNNNNNNNNNNNNNNNNNNNNNNNNNNNNNNNNNNNNNNNNNNNNNNNNNNNNNNNNNNNNNNNNNNNNNNNNNNNNNNNNNNNNNNNNNNNNNNNNNNNNNNNNNNNNNNNNNNNNNNNNNNNNNNNNNNNNNNNNNNNNNNNNNNNNNNNNNNNNNNNNNNNNNNNNNNNNNNNNNNNNNNNNNNNNNNNNNNNNNNNNNNNNNNNNNNNNNNNNNNNNNNNNNNNNNNNNNNNNNNNNNNNNNNNNNNNNNNNNNNNNNNNNNNNNNNNNNNNNNNNNNNNNNNNNNNNNNNNNNNNNNNNNNNNNNNNNNNNNNNNNNNNNNNNNNNNNNNNNNNNNNNNNNNNNNNNNNNNNNNNNNNNNNNNNNNNNNNNNNNNNNNNNNNNNNNNNNNNNNNNNNNNNNNNNNNNNNNNNNNNNNNNNNNNNNNNNNNNNNNNNNNNNNNNNNNNNNNNNNNNNNNNNNNNNNNNNNNNNNNNNNNNNNNNNNNNNNNNNNNNNNNNNNNNNNNNNNNNNNNNNNNNNNNNNNNNNNNNNNNNNNNNNNNNNNNNNNNNNNNNNNNNNNNNNNNNNNNNNNNNNNNNNNNNNNNNNNNNNNNNNNNNNNNNNNNNNNNNNNNNNNNNNNNNNNNNNNNNNNNNNNNNNNNNNNNNNNNNNNNNNNNNNNNNNNNNNNNNNNNNNNNNNNNNNNNNNNNNNNNNNNNNNNNNNNNNNNNNNNNNNNNNNNNNNNNNNNNNNNNNNNNNNNNNNNNNNNNNNNNNNNNNNNNNNNNNNNNNNNNNNNNNNNNNNNNNNNNNNNNNNNNNNNNNNNNNNNNNNNNNNNNNNNNAAUCACCGAUUAGCAGAGUAUCUUGAUCAGGUACCUACCGACAAGUCUCGUUAUCAGAGGUUAGUUGGACGUCUGAUUUAUUUAACACACACCAGACCAGAUGUUGCUUAUGCAAUUAGUGUGGUGAGCCAGUUCAUGCAUAAUCCCAGUGUAGAUCAUAUGGAUGCUGUUGUGAGGAUAUUGAGGUACUUGAAGUCAGCUCCUGGGAGAGGAGUAAUGUUCUCUAAACACAGCAGUAUUCUUGAGGUUUGUGGUUUUACAGAUGCAGACUGGGCUGGAAAUAUUACAGACCGGAGGUCUACAUCAGGGUAUUUUACCUUUGUGGGAGGUAAUCUUGUUACUUGGAAGAGUAAGAAGCAAAAGGUGGUGGCUCGGUCUAGUGUUGAAGCAGAAUAUAGGGGUAUGGCUCAUGGAGUAUGCGAGUUGUUAUGGCUGAAGAAUGUGUUACAAGAUUUGGGGGUCAAACCCAAGUGUGCUAUGCAGUUGUAUUGUGACAACAAGGCAGCUAUUGAUAUCUCACAAAAUCCUGUACAACAUGAUCGUACCAAGCAUGUGGAGGUUGAUCGUCACUUUAUAAAGGAGAAGCUAGAUGCAAAGAUCAUUAGCUUUCCUUUUGUCCCUACAGAGGAGCAACUUGCAGAUAUACUCACAAAAGGAGUUUCUAAGAAGGCCUUUUAUGACUCACUUGGCAAGUUGGGCAUGGUUGAUGUAUAUGCGCCAACUUGAGGGGGAGUGUUAGCGUGAGUUAUGGAGUUAGUUUAGGAAUGUAAAUUAAUUUGUUAUUACUUUCCUAUUCUGUAUGUGUAGUACAUAGUACGUAGGGUUUGUACAACUUGUAUCUCUAUAUAUAGCCUCCACUGUGAGAUGAAUAAGAUAUCAGAAAAUUCAUUCUCCAAACCUUGUUAUAUUUGACUAGAGCUUGUUGCAGAAGGUUAUCUGAAUGAACUCGUUGAAAGAAAUUUGGUUGUGGUCACUGCCAGGGAAAUCGAUGGACGAGUCAAGCUUUGUCGUGUUCUAAACCUUGUUCGUGAGUACAUCAUUCCAAAAGCGAAGCAUUUCAUCACUGUCCUCGAAGCCAACAGUGCUGACAGCAUUCUUCAUGAUACCCAAGGUAAGGAAAUUCGACGUCUUUCUGUUCAAUGCAAUAUCAACUUUAUCAACUUAUUAAGAACAAAAGACUUGAGUCUUCUGCGUACAUUACUAGUGUUUGGGGACUUUGAGGGGAAGACUACUGUUACUAGUUCUGAAAUUCAAAAGGUUCUUAAAGCCUGUAAACUUUUAAGGGUUUUAGAUUUGCAAGGUGCAUCUCUUUUGGAGAACUUUCCUCAAUAUGUAAAGAGUCUCACCCUCUUAAGGUACUUAAAUCUGAGUGAAACCCAAAUUAAAACAAUUCCAAAAUCCAUAAAGAACCUUGGAUUUUUGGAAACCUUAGAUCUUAAACAAACCAAGGUGACCUAUUUGCCCCAAGAGAUGGAUGAACUCCACAGUUUGCGCCAUCUUCUAGUCUAUCGCCAUGAUAUCAAGAAUUACGUGAGUUUUGGAGCUGUACAAGGAGUGAAUCUUUCUGCAUGUAAUAUUGGAGCUUUAACUCGCAUACAAAAGUUAACGCUGAUUAAGGUGAACAGUAAAAUCAUAGAAGGCUUGGGAGAGUUAAAGAGUCUUAAGAGGUUGGGGAUGAUAGAUCUCAAAAGAGUGCAUGGACGCCAAUUGUGUUUAGCAGUUGAGAAAAUGGAGCAUCUUUCCACAUUUGAUGUUCAAUCAACAAGCGAGGACGAAAUUCUUGAUUUGGAUCAUAUGAAUUCCCCUCCACCCCAUCUCCAACAUCUAUACAUGAAGGGGAGACUAGAAGGCAUACCAAAGUGGGUUCCUCAACUUCAUAGCUUAGUAAAGGUUGGUUUGAAGUGGUCAAAACUGAAAGCUGCAGCCAAUCCACUUGAGGCCCUUCAAGAAUUACCUCAUCUGUUGAAGCUCGAGCUGGCGAACUACUACGAAGGGAAAGAGUUAAUAUUCAAAGCUGCCACAUUCAAGAAACUAAUGAUACUAAGUCUAGACAAAUUUGAUGGACUGAAUUUCAUGGAAGUUGAGUCAAGGGCAAUGCCUAUGCUUCAGAAGUUAACCAUGUCUAGAUGCCAGAAUUUGAAGCUUCUUCCAGUAUUUGCCCCUGAUGAUCUUAAAUCCCUGAAAGAAGUGCUGCUAUAUGAUAUGUGCACUGAAUUCAUCGCUAACUUUGAAAGAGAUGGAGAAGGCCGUGAGGUGUUUCAGCAUGUCGGAAGCAUCGAGUCUUUUAUUCUUGGAAGCAACCAUGCCCAUUUCACUGGAUAUAAAAAUCUUUCUCCAUCGCAAUGGCAUGUGUGAUCUUAGAUCGGUAAGCAUUGAAUUCUUUCAUUUGUUGAAUUGUUGGAAUAGUUUUUUCUCUGCAUGCAGCUACAAUUGUUUAAUUUUGAAUCCGUGUUUAAAGUUGUUUGUUUUUUUCCAUUUAGGCAGCUUCGGAGGGAGUACUUCAGUGCAGAGCUUUUAUAACUUCAGUGAGGUAAAAGACUAUAUAUAGGAGGAUCCAAUCACCAGUACUGUUUGGAAAUGGUUACAGUUUACACAUUUCUUUCUUUGUUGGGAUCAGAUUCCCUAUACAUUGCUGAGUUUGUCGACUGUUAAUUUUCAAAUCGUAUGGUGCCACUUUCUUUAGAUGUUGUACGUUGUUGUUGUUGCUUCUCUCUGAGCAGAAGCCAUUCUUUCUUCAUCAACAAAAUGAACUCUUUCAUGCUUUAUUCAGCAGGAGUGUACAUGCAUAUAGAGGAGUGUCUGGAAACCGAGUGUAAUUUCUCUGCACUCAGAUACUUUUUAUUAAACCGAGUGUAAUUUCUCUGCUCCAGUUUCUUUUUCUUUUUUUCUUUUUUUUUUUUGAUUAAAAGGAGCUGAACUCCAUUUAUUAAUUUGCUCCAGUUAGUAAAGUUAUAUAUCAACCUAUAUGGAUAGUUAGUACCAUCUAAUUCGCCCAAGUAACAUUAGUUGCAGUCCUGUAAGAUUUACUCCUCCCUACUGUUCCUAUACUCGUUUACAUGAUCGUCAAUCCUGACCAUCACAAGUUUGGGCCUGUGAUACCAUCCAUGUUUUGGCUCCGUGUAUUACCGUUAGCAGACCACCCAAGGGUUUGUGACUUUGUAAACAAAGCAAAGGUCCAACAAAGUUUUUGGCAGCCUCUUGGUAAAAUUUGAUUGUGCUUACUUCUCAAUCAAUGAGGAAACUAGUACGAAAAAUAAAUUAACAGAAAAAGAAAACAUCGUAAAAUAUAAGACCCUUAGAAAUGGAGUUUUAUACCAAAAAUAAAGUAUCGCAUAAUGAAAUGCCGGAUUUUUUAGCCAAAGCAUCAGUUGAUGGUAAAUCAUAUUCGCUGGACUAACCAGGCAGCCCAGGAUAUACUAGCUACUUAAUCAGCUCCUUUUAUAUUGUAAUGGUGUUGUAUGUUAAAGAAAAAUAAAUCACUGAAGUUCUAAACUUUCUCUUAAUUUCUGUGAAUGCCUAAAGUAUAAGUGUGUGAAACUAAUACUGCUAGAUGAUUUAAGCGGCGACCAGAAGAGGCUUAAUUAGUUUUCAGUUAGAGUUUUGCAAAUACUUGGUACAUACUAGUCUGUUAAAUUAAUGAUGAAUAUAACCAAUAGGCGUGCCACUGCACCAAAUUUCAUCAACAAUGUGUUCUUGUGUUCUGUCAUUUGCCUUUGUAUGCAUAAGAUGACAUACCUGCAUGCUACAUGUGUUCCUUUCUUUGUUCUUAGGUCCCCAAUAUCCUGAAAACCCCAUCAAUAAUUGAACCAAGAGAAGAAAUCUACAUUAAGUUUUUCACUUGCCAUCCCAGUUAUGAUCGAUCACCAUCCAUGUUUGGGAAAAUACUGACCCAAAAGAGAUGACUCCUAAACCUAGUAUAUCCCAUCCGCUCCACCAACCUUUUCCUCUGGAAUGCUUCAUAGAAAUUUCCAUAACAAAGUCUCAAUCAGUGAAAGAAAUUAAACCUCGCACAAACAACACGAAGAAAGAAACCGGCGAAAGUGACCAUCGACGGGUCUCUGUCUUAUUUUUUUCUAUAAAAGUCGGUUAGAUGGGCCACUGCGCUGCCUUACACGCGUCGGAGUUUAAGUUGCUCGGCCUAAAAGGACGGCGACGUGUCCAGCAAACAAUGACGACAAACUGUUUGACGGCAGGUUUAGGGCGUUGGGCAGUUAAAGAGUUCAGAAGGGAGUGAGAUCUUUGUGUUGUGGUUGUGCCCCUUUCUAAUGUUUCAUGUCAAUUGCUUCCAUCAUAAUGAAACACAUAACAAACUCGUGGCGCUUUUUGAGUUUAGGUGCCAAGAUCGGUUAUUAGGUUUGGCUUCUUGGAAAUUGAUUGUGGUAGCGGAGAUUCACGAACAAGUAUUGCUAUAUUUGCCGAUGAGUGGUAUUAAUUAUUGGACACCGGUGGCGUGCUACACACUCUUUAGGCUCAUACAUCUUCAAUUCUGCAAAUAGGUUUUGCACACCGGUGGUGUGCUACACUGCUACUCCUUGCCUUUGCUUAAGGAAGGAUAAAGGAUUGGAUCUUAUACGUACCUAAAUUAUGUAUAACGUUAGUCAUUGAUUCAUCUUCUUGUCAUGUUCUUACUCCACGACAAGUUUUGGCUAUUUGGAUUCGUAGGUAGAAGAACAAUAAUUGUGUUCCUAAAUGGUGGUUAAUUAGUUUGUGUUGGGAUUGUUUGAUCAUAUCUUUUACCAUUUUAUCAAACAAGUUUUACUUGGAACUGAAUUGCUUAAUUGGAACUGCAUUGUUUUGUCGUUAUUAAUCAAUCAACUUUAUCAUGCUCAAAUUUUUAAUAGUAUCAAUCUGGAGAAAUCAGUCUCGCUUAGCUUCAUCCUAGCUAGUUUAACUCUGCUAACUUCUUUUUCAACACAGCGACAUUAAAAUCUAUGGUAUCUUUUAAAUUUUAUUAAAAGUGCACUCCUCUGAAAAUCAGAUAUGGAUAAGCUUAAUUUAAGUAAUCUUCAAGCCUAGGAAGAGGAUGUUAGGUAAGAAGCCCUAAUUUACUAAUAUUUAAGACAAUUCAGAUAUCAAAUUAGAUUGAUUACUGAUUUUCUUUUGUGAUAAGGGAAUGCUUGCAUAGAAUAAUGUAAGUAUUAUACAUGCAUCUAUAACGGAUUGGUAACCUAGCUUUGAAGAAGAAAAUAUAUAUGGUAUUUGAUUAUCAUUUGCGGGACCAAGGAAUGGUAUUACGAUUUCUUUUAUCAUGAAAAAUCUAAUUAAUUUGUCGAAUGGUCUGCUCUGUCAACAUUCAUGCAUACAUAUUUAGGCUGAUUUAGCAUGCUUUUCAUUAUUCAUAACCUUAGUUUUAUUUAUCUUUCGUAUUCACAAAGAUUUAUAUGGAACAAUAGAUUUGGAGCUAUCAUUAUUGGGUAUGUGCAAGUCGUAUAUGCUCUAAGUAUCAACAGGCUAGGUGUUGUUUUGACUUAAUCGUGGCCGGAUCAUUAUGAACAUCUCAUGUAUAUUGAUAGAAAUCAGCAUAAAUCUACCAAAAAAUUCCAGUUAUUUUUCUCCAUAAUCUACCUUGAAUAUGUGAAAUGACAGUUUGUUGUACUUCAAAUUACAUCGACAAACCACUAUGGCCCAACCUUAGUGCAUGUUGGUCUUUGGUCACGCUGCAGAUGUUGCAACGCUGCCAGACGGGUGAUAAUUUUCAAGAGUUCACGAACAAGGCAUAGACUGAUCGAUAUCGGAGCAAAUGUGUUGGAGGAGUAAAGUGCAUCAGAAAACAAUGUUGGUAAAUUAAACAGUGUAUAUGAGAGAAGCAUAGCUAGUGGUAUCUUGCUCAUUUCUAAUUUCAUAUUUUUUUUUUUCAGUCAGAAAUACAAGUAGAGGAAUGUUGAAAGUUGAUAAAAGUCUAAAAGAUGUAGUGUAAGAUAGUAACAUGAGCUCUAAGUUGGGUGGCAUAUACGUACAUUGCCUGUUAUAGCUUAUCUUUCAGGUUCUUGAGGCUGUUGUUUCGUACUUGAAAGAAUUCAGCUACAACGUCAUGGUUGAAUCGAUCAUGUUCACAAAACUUUAUGUAUUCGGUGUGAGUUUGUUUUGUUUUCUGUAAGUAAAAGUUGAGGAUAUGAUGAACUAGCUGCCAUAUCGAAAGCUGAACCAUGCAUGUGAACUGGUACCUAUUUUCUUGACUAAAGCUGUUGGUGCAUUGCAAAAGUCAUCAGGCAUGUACGGUACCAGCUUCGCGUUGUUAUUCAAUUGUUGAUUAGAUUGGCAUCAUGAACGUAGCACUGGGAUAUUCUCACAGAAGCAUCGAGCCACAAGCAUCUGUUAAAAUGCUUUGAAAAAGUUCUUGACCGUGAGUCUUUUAAUCCAUUCUACUUGGUUUUCACAGGUACGAUUCUGCUUGAUUGUUCAGAGGAUUGAAUCCCGGCCUAACUUUGACGAACUGUUUUCAAAUCCAAUAAUUGCUCACCUAGACAAUGCAUUACAGGGUUCUUAUAGAUAAAGAACUGAUCGAUGCGCCAUAAUUCAAGUUGGAAAACUGCAUAGAGCAUAUUCAACAACACACGGUAACUAAUCGUACUGUUAAAAGAAGCUACUAAUAACCUUCUUCAUUCUUUCUCCCCCUGUAUUAGUAAUUAUCAAAAACAUUCAUAUUCCUGAUCAAAGAUGCCUGUAUUUGAUGUAAAAUGCACUACAUGUGAACAAACUACAUGAGAUUACCUGAACUCAGUUCACUUGAUCCUUUGAAAUGGUAGCAAUGUCCUAUGUGUAUUCACAGAAGUAGCUGGUACUACUGGACGGCAGAGAAAACAAUAUAAGUAGGUUUUGCUGGUUUACCUAGCUACAGAACAUUAGCAGUGGAUGGUAGGGGCCUAGCUUAGGGGGUUAAUGUACUGUUUGUCAAGGUAGUAUGGGCUAGCUGGCUUUGUUUUAACCACAGCAACGGGCAAUUAUUUGAUGCACUGGCUAGGGCUCACCAUGAUGAACUGCUUUGACUGUUUCCAAACAUGUCCCAGAUGUUGGACAGACUUUCGCAUUUUGAUUGCCAUUUGCCAAACACACCUAAACUUAUCCUCUCAGGGUGUCCUCAUGGAGGGUGACCCCCAACCCAAACUCUUCUCAGGGUCAAAGAAGUGCGGGACCUUAGAAAAAAAGCUGAGAUUAAAAGGUGAUCCAGAAAUUCAUAGGGAGUGUUCAUCACCUCACCUUUUAUCAUUAUGCGCGCUCCUCUCUCUUUCAAUGUCAAGUCUUGUCUUUCUACCCCAAUUAUGUGGAAAUGCAGAACAAACUUCUGAAGAAUUCGAACUAUUCAUUUGUAUAUAGACUGUGUUGGCAAUGCCUUUAUCCUCUUUCAGGGUAAAACGGUAAGAUAUUUUUCUGUUAAAGAGCCGAUCAAUCGACAGCACACUCGUGCAUGGAACAUGAAGGUGAAUAGUUUCCUCUGAAAGCAUUUUGGACUGUAUACGCGAUGUUCACUGUUGCAGACAGUAGUCCUCCUCUGAUCCAAAAAGUUGGUAGCAUGCAUAUAUUGUCUAUCAUCUUGUUCAAGCUAUAGCACCAAUCAUGCACGUUUGGUUUCAUCACUGUUAUGAUACGUCAGUUUUUCAUUCCGAUAAAAUGGAAGUUCGAAUCCAGCUAGUCAAUCGUCGAAAGAGGUGGAUUGGCCAAAAAAAGAAUACAGAAAAUGGUGUUGUUUAUCCUGACUAAAUUGGUCAUGUAUAUCCAGACGCUCAUGAAAAGGAAGUUUGAGUUAUCACAGAAAGAUGUCGUAUAUAUGUGGAGAUGUUUUUAUUCAUACUUUGGGCAUUAUUGAUUACUGUUUUAUAAUUUUGUGUUCAUUGCAAUAGUUAAUCACAAAUAGCUAGCUAGCUGAAUAACAAUUACACCCUGUAAAAUUCAAAACGCACCGCAAGUUUGCACAAGAUAUUUUUGGGACUAUAGUUCUUUGUCUUCUCUUACCUUUUGCAUAAAUAUCUCAUAGCUAGUCCAUGUAUAUACAGGGUAUAUAUAUAUAGAGGCCGGAUAUGGAGCACACGUGUGCAAGUGCGCACAGAGCUCCGUUCGCCACCGUACGGCGACGGCGCGCCUCUACCCCAGCGGACUCCAGCAGCGUCCCCGAACACUUUCCCUCCCCGGCGAGUCCGCCGAAUUCCAGUUUCCGGCGAGAUAAUUCUAGUUUCUGUAUAUAUCGACUUUAUUUGAAGUUUUUGGGUGAUCUCGCCGGAAAACUGGAAUUUGGCGGACUCGCCGGGAGGGAAAGUGAUCGGGGACGCUGCUGGAGUCCGCUGGGGUGGAGGUGCGCCGUCGCCGGAGCCAGACGGUGGCGAAUGGAGCUCCGUGCGCACUUACGCACGUGUGCUCUGUAUCGUUUCCGUAUAUAUAUAUAUAUAUACAGACUAUAUAUAUAAAUAUUCAUUGCAUAAAUACAAAAAGAUGUUCUUCAACUAAGGAUAUGCUAGCUGAAUCAUGCAGGGCCCUCCUCCACCAAAACCAAUAUCUAGCAACAAGUGCUCUUCCCCCUUCUGAGAUGAUAUUGCUGCUUAAUUUGUGCUUCAUUGAUCGAGAUCGAGUGGAAACUCAGUCAUAGAUGUAUUAUAUGAUCGAAUAUGAGACACUGUUUCAUGGUGAGUUUGUUCAUAGUAUAUUGGUAGAGAAACAGAAGAACCCCACUCGAUCUCAUCCCCAACUGCAAGCAACAUCGCCAUGGGAUCUGAAAAUGCAAUUCCAUCAUUCCAUGUGCCUUCUCCUCUAUAUGUUGCUCUGUGUUUGCUCACCGGCCAUGUUAAGUAUAUAUGGUCCAACAUUGGACUCGAGCAACAAUUUUAAUUCAUGAUCAUAACCCUUGUACAUCCUCUACGAAUUAAGUAGAGCAAUACAAGAAGAGUUGGGCUCCGAUAUUUCAAGUGGGGGGCAUAAAAAAUUUGUAAAAGUAACAUAUAAAUUAAAACUAAUUAGUCGGUUCAUAACUACAUGUACAAUGUUCGUUGGUUUCUAGUUAAAUUAUUGGUAGGUGGGCAGUUUUUUCUGGUAAAGUCACUUGACCAAGCUAUAGUUGAGGAAUGCUUCAAUUAUUUAUAUGGGGUGUGUUCCUAUGACAAAACUAAUCAAUGUCGACCUCUCUAUAGAAAGACAGUGAUUGGCCAACUUGCGAGACAUAAAGGUUAAUCCUUUUGUCGUCGCCACUUCAUUUUGUUGAUUGCAAGUAUAUAUUAACUUGUAUAUAUAGUUAAUUAAUGACAAAGAAUUGCUAGUUUUUUUUUGUAGCAAUAUGCCAAUAUUUAUAGUAUGAUCCGGAUCCCGAAUAUAACAUUCACUGAUUUGGGGCAUUGUCAGUUAUACAAGUUUAGAUUAGCCUAAUCAUACAUUGAAGUCGUAUAUAUAGGGCGGGGCAUAUCUGAAAGGGAAAAAAAAAAUCGUAUAGGGGAAUAUACAUAUUGUAGAACGCUUAAUUUUUAUGAAGAAAUAAUCAAGUGGCCAUGUACUUCUAGACUAAAUUUUAUGUGCCAUAACAUUUUCAUGAGUACGUUAUGGAUAUCACAUGUGGUUUGAUCUAAACCUAUUAUGUGUUAAAUUUAAUUAUUGUGAAAAAUAACCAAUUGCAUAUCGGUGAAUGAUAGAAAAGAAACGAAAAAAAAAAAAGCAGAAAAAUAGUUCUAAUGCAGGUGGUUCGCAGCUAACAAAACUAGAGCUUACAUCAACACCCGAAAGGGUGAUCAUUAUGACAUUAUGUAGAUAUUAUAAUUAGAGUAUUAGUGCGCCGAACUAACUAGCAUAGAAAUGCAUGAUAGAAUCAUGCUUCCUCGUUAGUAAAUAGAUUCAGCUCAAUAACAGUUUUUUUUUUUUUUUUUUCUUAGGAGUAUAAAACAACUAGCUAGGAUCGAGUUACUUUGUUUGGAAUUAGAGGUCUACUCUGCUUAGACCAUAUCAUCAGUAAAAGAUUCCGAGUUUUCUUUCAGACUUGGCUUCUGUUUGAACCCUAAAACCCAACAGUGAUCGCAUAAACCCUAAUUCGUAACUAAUCGAAAAUCAACUCGAUCUGGAUAACAAAACAAUCCAAGUGAUCGAUGGAAGCAUGUGGCACCAUGUGAAGAAGUGGAAGAUAUAUGAACAAGUUAGUGACCCAAAUGAUGAACCAUGGUCUUCCAGUUGCAUGUGUAGGCGGCCGGCCGGAUCAUACCUUCGUUGAAUAAGAAGCUAGAUCGAUCAGAGAAGCUAAUAUAUAUGCACUUGUGUGCAUUGGUUGACUACAUUUGAGGCCGGGAUCUCUGAAGCGUAACUAUGAUUAACUUCGAAGCGAUAAUUAAAUCCACUUAAUCAUGAUGAGACGAUGAUAGUUUAAGUUUAUUAUAAUCAGGGACUUUCUGUUUCAUUCAUGUUUUUUUUUCUUUAAUUAAGUGUGUAAUUUACAAUAUAUGUUCGUAAUAGUUGUACGUGAUCAUGUGAUUAUGUAACUGCUAGACAAUAACAAAUGAUAAUUGAGCUCAUUAUCAGAUAUCAUAUUCUUAAAUCAUGUAUGAUUUACUCCAUGUUAAUUAUAGCAGCCGCAUGCAUGAUUAUCAUUUAGAUUACUAAUUAAGCUACCUUAAUUAAGUAGUUAGUGUACUAAUUGAUUAAAUCAUGCUCAUGUGAAUCUUCCACUUCUCGUCAUCUCGUGUGUCACGAGCUUCCAAAAAUAUGUGUAUAUAUCCCGUAUAUAUGAUUAAAAAUCACAAUUUUCCCCUGACCUGCCUCACUUAUUUCAUAUCCACACCCAUGUUAUGUGCUGCAACUCGAUUAUUUACCUAACUACUUGUGGCCUCGAUCAUGUUAUGGGUUCAUUAAUAUGCGAGUGAGCUUAUAAUAAUGUGCUCCUGUUCUUGUAUAUAUCUUCGGUUAUUAGCUAGUCAUGUUCUUUAAUUUGUAUGUAUCUAAACUGUUAAUUAAAUCCGAUUAUUAUAUAUAUGGCUGAAUGCAAAUUAAUAUUUCACAACUAGUUCUAUAUUUGUUAAACUACUAGCAAAAUGCUAAUAGCCACCCCGUUUGGUAGCAGUUUACAGUAGACAAUUGAAAUGAGGCCGAUCUUACCUAAUCAUACGUGGAGCAAAAUCUACUUAAAUUCAAAGUAAUGUGCUCAAUAUAACAAUAUAUUCAUAUCCUCUAGCCGAAUCCUUGUGUAUAUAUGGGAGAGCCUCUUAACAAGGUUAAAGUGAGGACUUUCAAAUAAACGGUUAAAUUACAUAAGCACAUGAGAAUUUAAAAAUAUGAAUUAAAUAUAAAAAACUCAUAGUUUAUUAGGUAUCGACGUACAAAAACUGGGUUUUAAUUGAUUUCUUAGUCGAUUAAUUUCACCGACGUCUCAAAGUCUAGUCUCCAUUUUCUGAUAAGAAUUAAAGAACUACUUGUGGUUUGAACAAGUAAAAUAAAGGAACUUUAUAAGAAACCGGGGUGUGCAUGAACCAUAUGAUAUAGAGAGUAAAGAAAAACGAAAGCAACUAAUUAACAAUAUCACUUAAGAAAAUUAGGAUCCAAUAAGCUAGCUAUUGUAGCACACACGUAAACCGGACACGUUAGGCAAUACUUAAGAAUGUUGAAGAAGAACAGAAGAUCCGGUGGCAAUCGAGAAAAAGAUCAUCUCUACCAAUAUUAAAUCUGGUGAGAGUACUGAGACCAGGUAUAUAAUAUUGAACCUUUUUCUCAGGUAAGAGUCAUCCAUGACAUUAAGGAGACUAAUCCGCACUACUCAUCGAAACAUAUAUAAUGAUGCAUGUUUUUAUAUGUAAAAAGAGCACGAAAGAAGGGAUACGGUGGUUAUAACCUAUGAUUGGGAAGUUGAGAGAGAGCCUGGCCUGUUGAUUAAAACUACAUAGACGUAUAUGUUCAAGCUUCUGUUUUCAAGUGGAAGAUGGUAGAAGAAGAAGGAAUCUCUACCUACAAUAACAACAAAUCGGAUAAUAAUUUGUUAGCCAUACCAACAUGAUAAUUGGUCUCGUUGAGAUUAGCUCGAGGAGAAAAAAAUCUAGGAACAAGAUCUUGUGCAAGACAUACACAUGGCCUAUAAGUGACUAUUUUGAAAUGCUUCUAAUCAAUUAAUCAGGAUCGGGUGAACAUUAAAAAAAUAUAUAAUAACGAAAGAAUUUGUUGUGUUAUAGAAGUGUUUUAGCCCAAAACUAUAUUUGGACAUUGAUGUAAAGUCCAACCUAUAAGUCGAUACCUACGGCCAAAAAGCUAACAGAUUAACUUAUUGACUUGAGAAUUAGGUUAAAGCUUCAGCCUAAUCCAUGAUCGCAAGAUUUAAGUAGCGGAGGCUGUGGAAACGAAAUCGUAUAAUUCCUCUAAGGAACAUGCCGAAAACCUAACUGCUAACAAUAUAUAAGCAGAGUUCGAGGGCGAGAAACCCCCACUAAGAGCAUCCCUUGACAGCUUUUGCUCGCCGUUCAGACACUAACCAGUGAAGCUAAAGAAUCAGUUUUAGCAGAAACCUCGUGUUUCGUUUACCUUCCUCAUUUAGUUGUUUUACCUACACACCAUGUUGUGCUGUAGGUAUCGAUUAAGUGUGGUUCCCAAGGGAUCACAUGAAAAACCCUAGUUCUGUCUAGGUGAAGGGAGAACUUAACAGACCGAGUUGGCGCUCUCCUCCGUUCAUAACCGCUUGAAGCAGAAGCAAGAUCCGACACAUUAUCUCACAACUCGUAUCACAAGAUACUGGCAUGCCCCCGCAACGCUCAAGAGAUGCAGUUUGCUAGGACUAAAGAUUUCUUACGCGAAAUAAUAUCAUGCACAAUAGUCCCUCUUGAUCGAGUUUCUUUGUUAAUUAUUAGAAGUCUUGAAUCAUACAUUCGCUAAUGUGCAUAUAAAACAAUGUCUAUGAUAAAUAUUUCUAGUCUAUCUAGCAUUCGUCAUGUAUAGAUCGAUAUAUCAAAAAGUCAAUAAUUAACACAUGCGGGUUCGAAUUAAGAAGACCGUCUUAUCUUUGCUCUUGAGAAUUGAUAAUAUUUUUCAAAAAUCCCUGAUAAUUUCAUUGUUAACAAACAAAAAUGAAUAGUUUGAAAAUGUUGUGAAAUUUUUAUUUUAUUUUUUAUCAAACAAACAACUGAAAUGCUAUAACGAUCGAGUUUAUCGUAAGUCGAACUCAUAACCUCCCACUUACAAAGAGGAGACUGAUGUCACUAGACCAAAUGAUACUAGACUAAAAUGUUGUAAUUUAAAAUAUCAAUUGACAAUAUAUUCAUUAGUCUAAAUUUUAUAGCAGACUCGUAUUAUCUAUAAUCUAUCUCAUCAGAAAAGCUUUAUACUAGCUAUCAUAAAGAUACGAUUCCUUUGCUUAUAGUCUUAGGACUUGGGUAUGAAUACAACUAAGCGAUCGAGGUUGCACCAAACCGGCCAAACACCAACCGACUUUUGAUACUCGAUCAUGCACAUCCAGAUCUCUAACUCCAUUUAUCCUAAUAGACACCCAAAACCGUGUUGUUGACUACUGUAAAAACAAAAAAAACGACUCAUCAGUCCUCGAUCACUCGGGUGGUGUUAGUGGAAACCUAGCUUUUCUGGUAAACGGGUUUAAGUGCAUGGAGAUGGAUGGAGUUUCGUAGCUCUUACUCUGAGUCUUUGACCACCGACUUUAUGGGUCCAGAAGAAGAACAACUAAAGGAGGUCUAUUUCUUGGCGGCAGGUUCUUGAUCCUGUGCCAAAAUCCAUCAUUUCCACUUUGAAAAAAAAAAAAAUUAGGUUUUAGGAAUCCGACACUAAUAGUCCACGAGAAAAUAUAAUCAAAUGAUGAUAUUUCUUCUCUCCUUAAACCAAGCUAACCUAUUGGGAAUGAACCUAAACUCGAUUGCGACCUGCAGUGUCGAAUUUCAUUGCAAUGUUCUUCUUCUACCAAGUAAUUCAGCUCUACAGUAAGGUUGUUAGUUAACAAUUUUAGAACGACCAAUGAAAUUUGAUAAAGCACCUUCUGUAUUACAUUGUUUCGUUUACGCUAUAUGUUAGGCUCUAAUUGCAUUCUUGCACUCUUCCUAUUUGCGCAUGCAAUUUUUAGGUUUAGUCUGACCAAAAUUCAUUGUUGUUAAUAAUGCUUUACCAUAGAAUGCUUGACUGAUGUAACCUUUAAGAAUAUAUGUCUGUACGUUUGCUUUUCUGUUCUAACCGACUAACCCUGAGAAAAAUUGUGAAGUAUUGAAAGGGAGAGAUGCGUGUUCUUGUAUAGACUAUGCAUGCACGUACAUAUACACACACACGCAUACAUAUAUACCAUUUUUCAGCCUCUUUAAUUUAUACUUUUUGAUAAUAGAUAGUGAUAAAAUCUAGUUUUAACAACAAAACAACUCGUCAACGGAAGAUUCUUAAAGAAAACAUCAAAGGAUGGGAGGUGGUGGACUAUUGAACCUUUUGGACACACAUUGCCUAACAAGCAAGAAACACAACUACAUAUAAAUAGAGUGAAUUCUUUUAGAGAUUAUAAUUUGAUCGAACGAUGACGUUAAAUAAAUUCUUAUUAUGACUAGUUAAAAGAGAGGGUGUAGUUGGACUCUUUCUGUUUUAUUUCUUUUAUUAAGGAAAGGAGAAUAGCUUUUUGCUAUUUAAAUUUUAAAUUGCAACGAUGGAUUUCACUAAAAAGAAAAAAAAUUUGGAUCCAUGUUAACUCAACCCAACCCAAUAGUGAAGUGUGAUGAACAUGAAGUAGAGUUGAGCGUGUGGGGCAUUUGAUGUGACCAAGAUUUUCAGGGUGCUGAGGAAGACCAGGAAAUGGCGCCACGUGUUUAUGGGUGACUCUGAUUGAGUUUGAGGGAAGAACGCGGGGUUCGACGUGUACCUUAGGGACCAAUACAUCCCCACAAAAAAACCCAACACUCUCCAUUACCCCCUCAAUUCUCACACACACUACAAAAAUGGGCCAAUAACUAAUCUCCUAAACACCACCUCUUUUUGGCUCUUAAAUUAUUUGGUGUGACCGUUGGUGUAUUAUUCAUCUAAAUAAUAAUAUUUUUAUUUUUCAAAUAAAAGAUCUUGAAUUUUAAAUUAAAACCAACACUUUAUUAAGUAUCAUACAUACCAAACUUUGUGCGACAUAGUUCACCAACACGUUAGAAACAAGAAAACAUUGGUAACGAGGCAGUUAGUGUAUGAUGGCGUACCAUUGAGAAAAAAUAUUUCUAUUGUUACCAAUUUACUUUUGACACAUGUUAAGACCAUGUAUUGAACAUAGAUACAAUCAUACUCUACUUGAGAUUUUUCACACUAUAUAAUGCCCUACCAUAAGCAUUUGCAAUCAAUGUGACAAUGUCAGUGUGGUGUUCUUUUUCUUCCUAAAUUGAAGGAACUUUCUCACGAAGAAAAAUAUAAAGAAAAAAAAGAAAAAAGAUAUUUGAUCUGCAAAAUAUAAAAUCCCGCUUUAUAUUGUUUGGUGAAAACCAAUAUAAUAUGGGGUACAUACUAGGGGGUCCUCGUGUCAAGUUAUUAAGCAAGUAUGUCCCUCUCUAGUCUCUACCCUCGUUAUGCUCACUUAUUGGCAAGAAUUUUAAUUUGAGUCCCCUAUUCUCGUAAUCCAACACGUGGUCUCCUUCUACCUGUUUGAGGUGGACCUCCAAUUACCCCUCCUCCUCCCUCCUAUAUAAACACCUCCAUUUCUCUCACCCCAGUCCUCAAAUCUCACACCCCCGCACCCUCUCUCUCUCUCNNNNNNNNNNNNNNNNNNNNCCUCUCUCUCUCUCUCUCUCUCUCUCUCUCUCUCUCAUACACUCGCUCUCUCUCUUUCUGAGCUCACAUCCAAACAAACAUAGACUUCUUUUCACUUUGCCCUUCAAGGCCAAUCAAGGAAGCUCAAAUUUAAAUUAAGCGAUCAACGACUGCUGUGUGUGCGCUAUUUUUAGCGCAGGCUUUUGGAACUUUCAAAACAACAAUAUACAAAAAUAGAAGCAUCACCAUGCCUGCCACUGCUGCAACAGCUACUACUUCAGGCACAUGGGUGCUUCACCACAAGAGAUUCCUUUCUUCGUCGAGAAGAAGAGACUCGGGUAGUAGUACUGCUACUUCUCUCUCAGUUUCUUCAACCCCCAAAAACACAAACACAAUCACUUGCUCUCUACAAACACCUUCCUUCAUCCAGUUUCCCAAACAAGCUCCAACCUACUCACAGCCAUCAUCAUCAUCAUCUACUACCAUUUUAACUAAAACCCCUAAAGAUCAAAAACCCCUAACUUCUUCUUCUUCGAAUUCUAAGCCUGUUGUACAGCCUCAACAAUGGAAUUUGUUUCAGAGAGUAGCUGCCAUGGCCAUAGACGCAAUGGAGAGCGCUUUGGUGUCAAAAGAGCUCGAACAUCCACUCCCCAAAACCGCAGACCCAAAAGUCCAAAUCGCCGGAAACUUCGCUCCGGUGCCGGAACAACCAGUCAAACACUCGCUCCCCGUCACCGGAAAAAUCCCGGAAUGCAUUCGCGGCGUCUACGUCCGAAACGGCGCCAACCCACUUCACGAGCCGGUCGCCGGUCACCACCUCUUCGACGGAGACGGCAUGGUCCACGCCCUGAGCUUCAACUCCGACGGGAGCGCCAGCUACGCCUGUAGGUUCACCGAAACCCACCGUAUGGUCCAGGAGCGGGCUCUGGGCCGGCCCAUGUUCCCCAAAGCCAUUGGCGAACUCCACGGUCACUCUGGCAUCGCCCGAUUGGCUCUCUUCUACCUACGCGGGGCCUGCGGGCUCGUGGACCCCAGCCACGGACUCGGCGUGGCCAACGCCGGCCUCGUCUACUUCAACGGCAGGCUUCUUGCCAUGUCCGAAGACGACUUGCCGUACCACGUAAGGGUCACCAAAACAGGGGACCUCAAAACCGAAGGGAGAUACGACUUCAACGACCAGCUCAAGUCCACCAUGAUCGCCCACCCCAAAGUGGACCCCGCCACCGGCGAGCUCUUCGCGCUCAGCUACGACGUUGUCCAGAAGCCUUACCUCAAGUACUUCAAAUUCUCCCCAAACGGCACGAAAUCCCCUGACGUAGAAAUCCCGCUGGCUCAGCCCACCAUGAUGCACGACUUCGCCAUUACCGAACGGUUCGUCGUAAUCCCGGACCAGCAGGUCGUCUUCAACCUGCCGGAGAUGAUCCGCGGUGGGUCCCCUGUCAUUUACGACAAGAACAAGGUUGCCCGGUUCGGGAUUCUCGACAAGAAUGCGAGCGAUGCUUCCGGAAUCAGAUGGGUCGAGGCUCCCGACUGCUUCUGCUUCCAUCUCUGGAACGCGUGGGAGGAACCCGACACUGACGAGGUGGUCGUGAUAGGGUCGUGUAUGACUCCACCGGACUCCAUUUUCAAUGAAUGCGACGAGUGUCUAGAGAGUGUUUUGUCGGAAAUACGUCUCAAUUUGAAAACAGGGAAGUCGACACGUCGUCCAAUCUGUUCGGAGCAGAUGAAUUUGGAAGCGGGGAUGGUGAACCGGAACAAGCUCGGGCGCAAGACCCGGUUCGCGUACUUGGCUCUGGCCGAGCCGUGGCCUAAAGUCUCGGGUUUUGCUAAGGUCGACCUUUUCACUGGGGAGGUCAAGAAGCACAUCUAUGGAGAGCAGAGGUUCGGUGGUGAACCUCUGUUUCUUCCAAGAGACCCGAAUUCCGAAAACGAAGACGAUGGUUACAUUCUCGCUUUUGUCCAUGAUGAGAAGGAAUGGAAAUCGGAGCUGCAAAUUGUUAAUGCCAUGACUUUGAAGCUUGAAGCUUCGAUCAAGUUACCCUCCAGGGUCCCGUACGGUUUUCAUGGCACGUUUAUAAGUUCCAAGGAUUUACAGAAGCAGGCUUAAGUUUGUAGAUUUUAUAAGAAUUAGAGGAGAUUUAUCAGUGGGAAGCUUGCAGAUAAGCCCCCGGAGUCUCCCUAGUUACAGAUCGGUGAUGUUGAUGUUUGUAUUAGUUAUGGGUUUUCGGUUAGAGUUAGGAUUGGAGUGAGAGGCUUUGGGGUACCAGCUUGUAGCUUUUGGGUAUAGCUCUAGGUGAAGCUCAGUUCGUUACUGCCGAUACUUUCACUUUCGUGUGAAUUAUUCUCAUGUAUUGUCCUGUAUAUGAUCUUAUAUGGAAGAGUGUAUAUGGAACACUCUGUUUUCUCUUGUACAUGGUGGAGUAUAGUAUGCAGGUUGUUUAUAUAUAAUACGAGUAUUCUUUAAUGUUAAAAUUAAUCAAGUUUGUGAUGACUAUGGUGGUGAUGGUGAUGCUCUUUUCUUGUCUUGUUUAUCAAAUGGAAACACGAUGUUUGAUCUAGCAACAUCAUGUGUUAGUGACAUAAAUUUAAACAUCUAAAUAAUUGGAUUAGAAUUUAGACAUGAAACACCACAUUGAAACGUCUUGUAAGGAAAUCAAAUUUGACCCUAUUUACUAGCCAUUAUAUCAUAAAAUAUUUAAAAGUCUAGACCAGUUGUAAAUAUGAUGUAAACAUAUAAAUAAUUGAUGUUACAAGUGACAUGGCAUUACCUAUUUUUAUAACAAUUCAAAUCAAAAGAAAAGAAGGAAAACUUUGAAUUUUAAAUCUAAAAAACAAAAUCUAAUUUUGCAGUAAAAAAUCCAAGACCCAAAGAAAAAAGACGAUGUUGUUGUCCAGAAUAUAACAAAAAUCCAGAAAAUAUAUUAUGCUCUUCUCUGCCUUAAUUGCUUGAAUCUGACUCAACCACAGAUGUCUGAAAGCCUUGAACAUAUACAAACCCACAAGCAUCUAUAUCACCCUUUUGGUUGCCAACAGGAAAAAUAACCGAUCCACAGAAAUAAUUUUGUUUUUUAGAUUUUAAAAUUAUGAGUUUUUAUUCUUUUCUUUUGAUUUCAUUUGUUAUAAAAAUAGGCAAUGUCCAUGUCACUUGCCACAUCAAUUAUUUAUAUGUUAACAUUAUAUUUACAACUGGUCUAGACCCUGAUGUUUUAUAAUCUAAUGGUUAGAAAAUAGUGUCAAAAUUUAUGUCAAAUUUGAUGUCCCUUAAACCAGAUAAUAUAUAUAUAUAUAUAUAUAUAUAUAAUGAUAAUUUGUUUUGAUACUGCGAUGGAUUGUGUAUAAUAAUGUAAUGCAAUCAAAAAUAUAUUAAGAUUUAACUCCAAUUAGCAUCGGUAUGAUUCAAAUCAGGAUAUGGGGAUUCCACACUCAGACACUGACCAACUCGACCACCUGUAGUAGUUAUCAUGAUAAAUAUGUUGUCCUAAUUAGCAUCCAUUUCACCUUUUUAAUUAGGAAAACCUAUUCAUAAAAAGGAAUCAUGUUAAAUAUGUUGGCCUAAUUACCAUCCAUUUGACCUUUAACCAAAGAGACUUACGAGUUCAAAUUGAAAUGGAGUGGAUACCCGACAAUGAGGUGGGUUUUUAUAGGAACGCAAAUGAAAAUGAAGUACGGUAACUAUUAAAAAGGUGAUUGAUUGCUUCUUAAAGUCAUCAAAAUUACUGUAAUUCAUCGAUUUUUUACUGCUGCUGCGAAAGAGGAAGUAGGCCGUGUGUAUGCAUGAUUGGUUGUGUUGCAAGCAAUAUUAUUGCAGAAAUGACUAGCAAGAACAGAACUACAAUGGUUGCAAUGCUGAUGAUGCAACUCGAGAUAUUUCGAAUGCUACCAACUUGUGUCACUUGGGCAAGGAUAUUUCGAUCACUCAACUUUGGAAAGAAACCAAUUAUAAUUUGUUUAUGAAGAGUUUUGAGUACAUAUACAAUAUUGGUUAAAAUCUCCAUAUAAGAAUUGUUGCAUUAUAUAAUAUUCGUAAAAAUCUCCAUCAAGAUGCAGCUAAGUAAUGAUUUCAAGAGGAAAAUAAAGGAUCGAUAAGAUGGUAUAGCACAGGGAGCUGAAGCAAUUUGUUGAAGAAAAUUGACUUUUGUAUACGGGAAUUGUGAAUGAUCGAGGAGGUAAACGGACUCCUAUCAUCGAUGUAGAAGUUUUCUACUUUCUUACCCACAUCAGAUCUUAAUGAGUGGUUUUUGGUGGUUGGAGGAUUCUUGCAACACAAGAUUCAUCACUAUAAGUCUAUAACCAAUGUUAGAAAACUCAGUAGGUACUACUAAUGCGGAGGGCAGGCUUGAAGCGUCCAAACGGGACCUAGACAGGUUUGGCAGCUUUGUUUUAGAACGGUGACUAUAACCCACCAAUUUUUGUCAUAAUAAUCGUUUUUUUUUGGAGAAAAUAAAUAAUUUUAUUAAUUUGUCCACAACCAGAAUAAUCCACUAUUUUUUGUCAUAAUAAUUUUUUUUUUUUGAGAAAAUAGAAAAUUUCUUUAACUUGUCCACAGCCAGAAGGUGCUUACAUCAAUUUGCCUACUUACGACCAAUAAGUCUAAUUGCCAACAAACACUAAUAAAGAGACAUGUAACCCUCAUUACAAAUGCGCUCAGUUAAGCCUAUCACACUUAACUUCUAACUAUUCUUAUCUAAAUUUCAUGUAGCGGUAAUACCCGUCACUUACGGACCUCAGUUAGUGUACAACAAAAUAAAACCGAAAUCUAAACAAGAAUAGUCUUCUAUCAUCUGUCUAGGUAAGCAACAAGGGAAUUAACUAACCUCCUUGCCCUUUUUGUUAGGGCUAGUCACACCUUUCCCAAACUAAGGGGUUGUCAUAUGCGACGGAAGUGCACUCGACUUCCUGUAGAACAUCCUCUCGUCAGAAGGCCUCCCCUCCUUCCAGGACAUAGAUGGCCAAGGAAAUUGAAGUUUGAUCUCCGGCAAAUCUAGUUAGAACACAGCCGCUAUGAAUGUUGAUAACAAGGUCGUUGGAAGAGAGAAAGACAAAACUCACCACAAAAAUCCCAAAGAGACUCGCCGGGGAUGAAUCUUUGCUCAUGUCUAAAAGAUGGUUGUUCGGCUCACACCGUUGGGAUCAACAAGUGCUACUGGGAUGGCGUGGAACGCCGUUGGAUCAGCUAGAGCUACCCGCUGGUAUGGCGAUAAGCGUCGUAGGGAAGGCGCCAGACGCCAAAUGAGAAAGUAGUGCGGCUAGGGUUUUUNUUUNUUUNAGAGAUCACUAAUUCUUACUUAAUAUCUUNUNUAUANAUAUAUAGAANAUAUAUAUAUAUAUAUAUAUAUAUAUAUAAUGACCAUCAAUCUUUGCAUGGAUGCAUGUUCAUAAACAGGAAAAAAUAUAUCUUCAAACAAGAAAGAGUUAAUUUAUAGUUUAUAACUAGAAGAGAUUGUGAAAGUAAUAGUUUAUGACUGAAUCUAGCUAAUUACUGGAAAUGCUCUUAGGAGUUGAAGUUAAUAUUUGAACAUUAUUACAGAGAAAAUGUCUCACAUCAGAAAAACGACAAAUAAAUCUUAAUUAUUAGAUCGAUAAUAAAGCCUAAUGAUAGAAGUUAAAACCUUACAGGUGGUUAAGUUAAAAAAAUAUCGAUACAAAUCAUACAAUGAUGGACACAUGCUUGUAGUUGAUAAUAAGCACAAGGUGAAAAGCUUAUGAAAUGAAACUUUCGGUGAUAUACUCACGAUCAAUGUGAAAACAGACGAAACUAGCUAAUACUCUCAAGUGUAGUGCUUCAUAAUUAACACAAAGAGACAAAUAAAUACUAACAAAUAAAACUAAAAUUGAAACGAAAGUCAAUCAUCGAUCGGGGAAUCGAAGCUUUCUAGAAUUCUAUUUCUUCGCUUCUUUUGAGUGAUCGAGUUUUGGUGCUUCGAGGGUCCAUCCCAUACGAGCUUCAUAAAUCAUAACUACUUAGGAGGAUUAUGACAAUGUCAAAUUGCCCUGCACUACUAUAAUGUUUCAUUUGUGAUUGCCCACUACCAAAACGAAGAGCUAGUUGCAUGGAGGAAUGGGCGUUUCUGUUCAUUGUGUUUGGAUUGUGGUUCGAUCAUGAGCACUUGAUCGGUAUGAUGAGUCAUGAUCAUGUUUUGGUUUUAAUAGUUAGUGUGGAGUAAUGUUUGUUAUUUUCUGCACUGAGGUAAGUUGAAUCAAACAUGCAUGGUGCUCAAAUCAGAUCCAAUCAACCAACUCCAUGCAUUCUGCCUCUUGCAAACAAGAGUGGACUAUACUUCACACCACUCACACCUUAUGGAUCGGAAGAAGUUGAUAAUUCAUGGAGCCAUUUCCUUUUGGUUCGAGAGAGGAUAGGCUUAUCUUGAAUCCCUUUUGACACUUGGUGUAAGCUAUGUCAUGUCAAGUGUGUCUCAAGUAUAUUAUCACAAUAACAUUACUAUCCAUUAAUUUCACGUUUCCUGCGCUUGGGUUGUGCAUGAGAGUGAUGUUCUACAUCAGAUAUGUAAAAGAGCUUCUGAGGUAAUUGUUGCGUAAGUCUUGUAAACUGCAAGGUUUUUAUUUGUUGCGCAGAAAUAACCCGUGCAAGCUAAGUCUAGAAUGUUGGUUUCAUGUUAGAAGCUCAGAUUAUGUUCUUAUCAAUCAAAACUAGCUGCAUACUGUACCUAAACUUGUACUAAACGUACAAUUUUUAUUGCGAGUUGGUUCCCAGCUAGCUAGUGUCCUGCCUUGUAAAAAUGUUAAGUAAAUGACGUGACGUCGGUUAAUACAUGUGUCACAACUUGUAAGUAAGUGAUAAAUAGCAAAAACGAUGAACGAAAUUGACUAAUAAUCGACUAAUUGACAAGGUAGUAUACUAAUUAUUUUGUUUGGCAAUGUUCGGAAAUCCGAGCAAUCUGCGAUUUCGACUCUUCAUAGGUUAAUUUGGUUAAUUUUUACAAAAUAUGUGAGAUGAUUGAGAUCAUUGUCAAUCAAUUAUUCUCGAAACUCAUGACUUGAUCUUUUGUUUGAUAAUAGAGAGCUUCAUUUAUGUUAUAUCAGGAAUAAUAGCUCAAACCCUAGCUAGCUUCGACACAGUUGUCAGUUAGGAAGAGGGAAAUGAAACCUAAGACUCCUGGAUGCUACUGUCCUGUGAAUACAUACGUAUAGACUAUAUAUAGCUAGUUACUAUAUAUUCGUCCUAAUUAACUGAUUAUGUAUAACAUUAUUCGUCUUAGGUUUCGUUUUCAUCCUUGUUUCGUCUAAUGUUUCGUCCAUUUUCCCGACAAUUAAACGAGCAAAUUAGCUAGCUAUAUCUGAUCUUAUAGCGACUAGCCGGCCGCAGCACUUUGUUAAUCUACUAUUGGAUGCUCGUAAUUUCUUCAUUCACAUUUGGAAAAUGGAAAAGUGAAAAUGACCAGAUGCAUCCAUGUUGCUGCAGAAUCGAUCACAGCAAUUUGUUAUUCGUAAAGGCUUCGACACCUGGCACAUGUACACUUCGCUCUUGUAGUUUUCUUUGCCAUCAUAAAGUGUGAGUGAUGACCGACAAGAGUUGAAUUGGACUACAUUAUUUUUCAGAAAAAAUUGUGGAUAUCAAUCGGAAAGGAACACCAUCCCUCCAUCAGCAACACUAGGAACACGAUGUGUUUGUCUAAUGUACGUAGUAUAUAUGUAGCAAGGUGGCACGUAUAUAUAGUUUAUAUACUUACAUCAUAUAAAAAAUCAAAGCAAACAAAAAUUGUUUGCCAACCAAAUGAAUCAAAUAAAUUGACGACUGAUCAUGAGACUGUUAACUUUCAUCAGAACUGUCCAUUUGUUUAAUGCAAUCGGCUCUGCAAACGAUUUUUAUUUGCAUUGAUUUUUUACAGAGAUGAUCUUCAUUAGUUAAUUUAACUUUUAAACGGUUAAGAUUAUGAUUUACAUUAACAAAUAUAUGUAAAUAAGAGAAAAAAUCCGGAUGCAUACUUACAUAUUAAUCUGGACGCAAGUAUUUUCCUAUUGGAAUGCUAUUAGAAGUUUUGACUAUAUAUGCUAAGCUUUCUAUGCCUUAGUUUAGAAGGUUUCAAGGGAUAAAUUGGAUUCGUGCAUAUCAAAUUAAGAGGAAGAGAAGGUCACAGUCUCUGGAAAGUAGCAAGGGGACCAAACAUGUUUUCACAAAAGAAGAAGAUACUCAUGACGUACGUUUCUUUAAUUCUGAGAUAGCCACGAUAUGCACCCACUUACUCAUAGUGGAAGGCAGUUGCAGUUCCAAGUCGUUUUCCUUCUUCAAUUAGUAAAAGGCGUGUGCAUAUAUCUCUAAUUAAUCUGUUAAUUUGUUUACGAAGUAUGCACAAAACUCAAUCCAGCUCGACUACUUAAUUAGUCUUUAGUCAAUCGACAUACAUAUGCUUCUUUCUAUUCUGUGAAUUUAAAAUAUGCCUGAAAACCACACAUACCAAACUCACGUAAUCAUCAGUCAUUCUGCAAAUCUGGUUACCUCAUCAGCAUAUAUAUUUUUUUUCUAUGAUAUGAUGCAUAUAAGAAAUUGAAUCAAGCUAGCUAUGUUCAUCUGGUCAGGUCAUGACUCAUGAGACUCAGCAAUCAGAAUUUCUAAAUGAAUCAGUCUUUAUCUCUGAAUUCUUUGAGCAACUGAAAACUUUAAACUAAAAAUAAAUAUGGUGCAUGCGUUCNNNNNNNNNNNNNNNNNNNNNNNNNNNNNNNNNNNNNNNNNNNNNNNNNNNNNNNNNNNNNNNNNNNNNNNNNNNNNNNNNNNNNNNNNNNNNNNNNNNNNNNNNNNNNNNNNNNNNNNNNNNNNNNNNNNNNNNNNNNNNNNNNNNNNNNNNNNNNNNNNNNNNNNNNNNNNNNNNNNNNNNNNNNNNNNNNNNNNNNNNNNNNNNNNNNNNNNNNNNNNNNNNNNNGUAUAUAUAUAUAUAUAUAUAUAUAUAUAUAUGAAAAAAUUCCAUAUAUAGCAAGUUAGAAAAGUACCUAACUACGAGAUCAUAACUUAAUACUUAGCUACAGAGUGAGAAUGCUGUCAUCACCAAUGAGGCAAUGACCUUGUGACCAACUCACCAUGACAUAAACCCUAGAAAGUAAGGAAUACUUGGACUACAUUCAGUUGAAUCAGUUCAAAUUCACAUACCGGGGAUCAGCCAUACUUAUGAACUCGUUGGAUAUAUAGUGCACAACUGUCAUCGAUCAUGUACAGAAUAAUGAGAGAAGGCAGAAGCUGUGUGGCCUAGAAGCUAACCAGGAUUUCGGCAGAUGCAAUUGAACCCUAGAACAUAAGUAAGGAGUACUCUGUCUGCAUUCAAAUCGAAUUGGAAAACCGGGGGUCAGCCCACAGCCACAACCUCAAAGCUUUGAACUCGUUGGAGUAUGCACAACUGUCAUGUAUGAAGCUAGCUAGGUUUAACAGAAUGAAAGAAAACGAUGCAGAAACUGGGAGGUCAAUAAUUGAAGCUAACCAGGUUUUCUGCAGAUGGAAAUGCAGACGUGAUUGAAUGGAACCGAUCGGGUUAGGUCAAAACAUGUAUGUGUGGAGUUUGAUUGCAUGCAUCAUGCUUAUAGUGUAGGCAGUGAUGUUAUGCAUGAAAGUUUGAACUAGGAUAUAUGAUGCAAUAUUGCGGAUCCUCUUCAUGAUUACUCUGUUUGUUAUUCAAAUUUCAACACCUAGGAACUGGAAGUGCACCGAUGAAUCAAACUUAUAUCAUGUAAGAUUCCUAAAAGAAACGUCAUCCACAUUUUACCAUGCUCAUGAAGUUAGAGAAACUCGAUCGGUGUAAGAAUUGAAGUGAACGUACUGUCCUUUAGCUUACAUGUUAAGGCUUUAGACCCUAAAAUAUAUCAAGAACUAAUUUCUCCAUGCCAAAACAUGGACAAUCCAUCAAAAGGACUCAACUAUAUAAGAAGUUCAAGUACACUCAGUACGUAGACAGGCUCAUCAUAGUAAUUACUGUUAAAUUCUAUUCUGUGCACAAUGUAUCAUGUAUCAAUAAAAUUACAACUUUUUUUGUUUGAUACGAAAUAAAAUUACAACAUUGGAUGCAGUGAAGCUGGUGACCGAUUAACCUACAAUCUAAAUGGAACAUUUUUGUUAGAUUUGUUUCUUAGAUCGAAAAACAUAUGUAAUGAAACAUAUUUUUUGUUGUUGGAUAAAUUAGUAAAUGAAACAUGAUUUACAGAAUAUGUGUUGACAUACCAGCUGACACAAUAUCUACGAACUCAUGCUGUACGUAUAUGGGAUUAAUACUAUUCAAAGUGUUUGAAAAGGAGCAAGAAACAUUGAAGAAUAGAAAAGGAAUUUACAUAGGGAAAUGGUGGGUUAAUAUAAACUUCCCGAGGAAUUGCUCCGUCGAAGAAAUCUUAUCAGUGAAGGAUCAUAUGAUUUAACAAUUGGCCUCCAGAAUCAUACUGUAUAAUCUACGACUACAAGUUGAAGAUUCAUUGGCCUCCAUGAGUUGAUGGAGUUCAAAGAUUUCCAAGCUUCAUGACGGAAGGUCUCUUGCCAUGUAGGUUGGGAUUUCCUAUCAUAUUUCUCAUCUUCUAUAUGGGUAGAUCUAGAUAUAUAUGGAAGGGUGUUUUUAUAUAUAUUUUCAGUCUAUUUGGUAAUAAAGGCUGUUUAAGGUUUAUUAUUUAAGUGUUGUAUUUCAAUAAGUUUAGUUCCUUUUCUCUACAAUUUAUUUUUAGAAAGUAGUUAUAGUAUUAGUUGUCAUUUGUUUUCUAGGGUGAUAAAAAGAGAGAGGCACGGCUGAUUUAAGUGUUAGAGGUGCUAGGGUUUGGGAUAUAUAUAUNNNNNNNNNNNNNNNNNNNNNNNNNNNNNNNNNNNNGAGAAAAAGGGUGUAGAAAAUAUAGGUUUCGUGAAUGUGUGCUCUAGAGAUUUUGUGUGAACAAAUAUUCAGAUCAUAGUAUAGUCCUGUGUGGCAAGAGACCUUCGUGGCUCCAUUGAAGACCUUCGUGGCUUCAAGUCCUUCGUGGCGUUUCAAGACCUUCAUGGCUUCAACGACUUCCGUGGCGUUAUCAUCCUUCGUGGCAACAAAGACCUUCGUGGCUUUGUAUUACACUUGACCGUGUUCUUCAAGUGUGAAGUAAUUUUACUUUUGAGAAUAUAUUAUUUUUGAUCAUAUGUUGUCAAGGAAUUGUAAUAUUCUAUUCAAUAGUAAAGUAAAGUUCUUUGAUAUAUUCCGCUGUUUAUCUCAUAAUCGUUCUAUCUAGUAUUUUCACAAGUACGUAUAAAAUAUAAUUUAGAAGCUGCACUGUAUAUUGAUCCUCAACGCUAUCGAUUUCUAAAUUUAAGAAAGGUCUGGAACUUUCUGUCAGUCCUCUAUAUAUCAAGGUCUAGAACUUUCUGGUGUUUCUGCUGGCAACUGCUAUAUAUGUAUCAAGAAAACUUGCUGAAUUUUACGACUUACUAGAAGUUCCACAUGGGCUUGUCGACAUUAGGGUGCCUGCCGAUGAUGAACUACUCCAUGUCGUCACUUAAUUUUCUAUUUCUUGGCCGAUUAAUCAUAUAUUAUGGAUAGUGCGUCAAUUCAAUUAUGUAUGGAACUAUAUAAGCACUUAAGCAGGCAUAAAGAUUUGACAGAAUCUACAUAACGUUUGUUAUUGGUGGCAAGUAGAUCGAUCGAAAGGGUGAUCUGGAUGAAAGAAACUAUAUAUUACUGAUGAAUUAUUAUUCAAGAAAAUAUUGAAUAAGCAACCGAAUAGAUUUUGGGAAUUGAUUGAUCGCAGAAGUGUCAACCUGAAUCUCUUAAUGGUGUAAUUUUUACACUUACAAUGUGAAAAAGAAAAUGAUCUACAUUUCGACACAAUUAUAUAGUUCAUUAUUGUUAUGUAGAGUCUGUUGCAAUUGGAUUUAGAGUCUUUUGGAUUCAUUCUUACAAAACAUUUCCCUCAACAAACUUACAGAGCCUGAAGAUCUAGUGGCCUACGGAUACACUCACCGGUCCUAUGAAUUUCGACGUUGGCUGAAGCUCUCACACUCAACUGCAAUCGUGAAGGUUGAAGAUUCCAUAUGCAUGUAUGGGAAGACAAAAUAAACAUGUAAUGAAUGUAAAAGCCAAACCGCAUUUGAUCGAAUAAUUUGGUGUGCAUUGGAGUCGCUCCUGUACAAAGCUAGCUAGGACAAGAAUCAUAAGUAUGCAUCUUUCCACCGAAGUGGUAGCUGCAAAGUGAAGCCCUACAAAGUUUCCAAAUCUCCAAAGCAUAUGGGAGAAGAGAAUGACAGAACAAAAGCAUAAUGUGAGAAUGUUUGCUACGUGCCCAGACUCAAGAACAAGCAGACAAGGUGGUCCUCUUUGAUCAUUUUGCUGCCGACUGGGCUGAACGUACUGGAAUUGUAAACAUCGAUCGCAGACUAGAAUAUAUGGGAAUUUUAUUUAGGGUUUCGUUCUGUUGAAAACGAUAUGUCAUUCAUCUGAUUAUUCUUGUGCUCAAUUUCCCGGUCGUUCUUUCCGUGGUCGGCGGCGGCUGAAGGCGAUCACUCUGGUUUGGAUUAUUCUCUGUGAUGCCGAGGUCUGAAGGCUACGGCUACAAGGUGUGUGGGCGGAUGAUAGUAACUCGUUCCCAAAACAAUAGGGUCUAGAACUUUCUAACAAGUACUUUUACAGAAUGGAUCAAUGAAGAAGACUUACUAAAUUUCUAGGGCCACUAGCAAGAUAUCAAACUAGAAAGCUUGGGAGUUGGCAUAACCAUCAGAUUUCAGCGUAUUCAAUUUCAAAUCAGCUGCCAUGGUUGGACAAAACCUCUUAUAUAUGAUAGUUUAACACUUUAACUUUCCGGUUUCAAUGAUAAAUUAUCAAAGUUUAGAUAAACUAAUUAAUUACGUGGACACAUCAAUCUUGUAUCAUUUUUUUUUUUUUUAAGAAUCAAUUUUGUAUGCUCAGUACCUUUUGAUCUAUGAGUAUAGUCUCUCAUAGUAUUCUUUUUAGUAAGUUUGUAGGAGAUUGUGAGUUCGACUCACGCAGUUGUAAUAUUUGAGUUAUUUACCUGAUUAAAAAAAAAAUCUUGUAUCCAUGAUUAAUAUACUCGUAUGAUGGAUCUAUUUAAUUACCACCUUUAAAAAAAAAAAUUGGAUCAAACUCAAAAUCGAUUUUAGAACAGACACUCGGGGGAAACAGGAUACACUUUUGGAAUGGAACCAGAUAGAAUAGACCUAUGGAUAUCGCAGAUGAACCUAUCAAACCGCACAAGUUGAAGAUUGAAGAUUCUAUAUACUUCGGUCCAGAUGGCAUGUAAUGAACGUAGAGACUAAAAGCAAUUCGAUCGAUCAAAUAAUUGGGCAGAAGAUUGGACUCUCACUCACUCAUUCACUGCACAUUUGGCAAACAACUAGUAGUGCUCUAGCUAUCUCUACUUUCCGCCGAAACGUAACGUCUGGAAACGCCAACGUUCCCGAAUGCAUGUAAAUGAUGUAAUUGAGAGCAGAAUAGAGACGGAUCGGAGACACAGAUAAAUAUAGAGAAUUUCAAUUAUGGUUUUCUUCCAACAAAGAUACGUUACGUGUCGCUCUUCUGUUGACUCAUUCGUGUCCAGCAGGAUAGGUAAAGCCUUUUCUUUUAUUUUUGCCUCUUUUAUGUUUGGUGACAUCAUUCGCUGCCUCAUGACACAUAAAGACAUAAUCGACUGCCAACAUAACUACAAAAUUGAAAGCAGAUAUUAUAGUUUGUUUCGUCGUAUUGUAUCUGAUGCUCUAUCAAGCUAGCUUUAAUCCAAGAGCCCAUUCGACUGCGUUAACAGUUAACAGAAGCUAGUUCAUCCGCAAGAAAAUUUCAAUCCCAAGAAAAGAGUGAAAAAAAAAAAAAAGGUGAUCGAAAGAACCCUAAUCAAACUAUGAUCCGAGUCAAAGUUUAAUAAGGAAAAAGAUGCGUGAUUACUAGUGCUUUGUGAUCGGUUUAGUUGCUUUAUUUGUAAGUUUUGAAUGGAUAGUAUUUAGCACAUAUUUAUCCAACAGGAAAACGUCAAAUACGUAUGGGCAACUAACAUCUUUUUCUUAAGCAGAAAAAUCCUUCUGUACCUGAUAAGAGAGAUCGAGCCACACUUUCGACAGUGGGAAGGUAAUUAGCUUGUCCAGCUAACUUUCCUAAUGACGAAAUGUUACGGGUAGCUCUCAUUGAACAAAUGAUGCAAAUGUGACCAACCAGGAAGAAGGAUUAUUCCCUGAAAGCGUACGCAAAUUAAAACAAUCCUCUACUCUAAUUGGCUGUGAAGUUUAAACUCCAAACGCAUAGAGCCAUAGACAAAACAGAUCCAAACUAGUUAAUUUCUUCUCAAAUCUCAAUCAAACUCAGAUUCAUAGUUCUCUUUCUGACCAGCCAACUAAGUAGAGAAGUAGCCAAUAAGAGCGCAUACGUCAGUUAAUAAAAAGUUUGUGAAACCCCUGCCUAAUUGAUAUAACACCAUGAUAUAUUAAACAACAUUCGUCGGCGCUUUCAACACUCAGAACCUAGAGCUAGCUGAUGAGCAUAUGCAUGAAUGUAGCUAUUACUCAACAGCAGGAAAACAUUUUCAUAUUGUCCAAGUUAAUUAGUUCAAGCUAUUAUUCAAUGACAGAUUAUUAUUAUUAUUAUUAUUAUUAUUAUUAUAUAUAUACACACACAUGAUGACUACUCAGCGUGCACGCUAAUUAAUUUGAUCCUAAUGAUCGACAUGCAGUUUAUUUGACUACCAUGCAUGAAGCAUGUGGAAUUAAAGAUCUUAUGAACUUAGAAAUCUAAAAGAAAAUUAAGCAAACAUAAUAAGAUUUAGGAACUGAUGAGUGGUCUUGAAGCUGCCCAGCAUUGCGGCAGCUGGAAAUGUAUACGUGCUAAAAUAUAACCCGCGUCUCAGUCAAAAUCUUAAGAACUUGGACGUUAAUUAUAAGAAAAAUCCAGGGAUCUACGACCAAACAAAAACAAGGGUCUAGCCCCCAUGGUAACAUAAACAGAAAAAGCUUUAGGAACUGGGUGGCCUAGAAGCUGCCCGAAGCUGGAAAUGUAUACGAGCUUAUUCUGUAAACUUAUGUAGAGCUCAGCGUCUCAGUCAACUAUGAUAUGCAUCAUAUAUAACGAUGAGUAAGAAAUCAUGAUGAUAGAGCUAGCACUGGAAAAACAUGAAGUAUGGGAUUGACACACGUACAUGGCUCACUCAGCUGUAUCUUUGUGGCUGGGCAUGAUAUUACCAGCUGUAAUCAUUCAACAAGAUAGAGUUCGGGAAUUGUUGGCAUGGUGUACUUAAAUAAGUUUCCUCCCCAGGAACUGCGACUGAAAAUUAUGAAUUCAACCACAUAUCUCUAUGUUCCGAACACUUUCUGAUGAGUUUUCUCAUAUCCAUGAAGCAUCAAGCAUCGAAUUAUAUACUGAUAGAAUGCAGAACUUAAUUUAAUUUCUUGUAUCCUAUUUGGUCAGAUCAAUAAUGAAGAACUUGAGACUAUAUAUAGAACUAAUUACUAGCUAGCACAGAUAUAAAUAGACACACACACACAUAAAUAUUAAAAUAUAUAACUAUAAAAGGACUCAGCAGAAUCUGUAUAACGCUUCCGAUUGAUUGGAGGUAUAUUGACUAGUUGGCGAUCCAAGAGCAACCAACUAAACUAUUGAUCGAAUUAUUGAUCAAGUUUCUGUUCAGUAGGUAACCCAACAAAAUCCUUUUGGGAAAUUCUAUCGAAUAUAUAGCAAGAAUAUCAUAGAUAUGCUCAUCGAUCAUGGCUCUCGCACCCAAAAAGAUCAAAAUAAUUGGAUACGAGAUCAUGUGGAGAAGGGACGCUGCAAGUUUAAUUAGGGGGUAGUUCUUUUCCAAUAAAUGCUACGUGUUACAAAUCUGUUUCAAUGCAGAAGUUUCUUUAUUCUAUACUAGAAAUGUUACCCGCGCGCUGCUGCGGCAUUUUUAGUUCUGAAAGGCGCUGUUUUUUUUGUCUUUCUUUGUUUAGAAAUGGCUGAAAUGCUACAUCAAUUUCACUUGAAAUAAAUAGUAAAACUUUAUUGUCAAUUUUACAAUGGCAAUGCACUGAUUGAGGUUUGUAUUUAAACUUUUGAUAAAGGUCUAUAAUAGCAACUAUGAUCAUAAAAUAUAGGCCAUGACAAUGAUAGCAUAAUGGGCAUAUAAGAUAGCAUGAAAUAUACAGAAAAUGUUUGCAUCUUGUAUACGUGAUAGAUAUAGAUCACCAUGACUGUAUUAAAAGCAGUUGCAACCCCCCUCUGAUGGAUACCCAUUGAUCUACAACCUAUCUUCUGUACACCUAAACCUAAACCUAUCUUCUGUACCAAAAUAUUAGUCAAUGCCAACUAAUACAUGAUAGCAGCAAAGGUUAUAAACCUGGACGUUCACAAUCGAUCAUACUUGCACAAAAUGGUAGGCCAGACUUGGUUGGUUGCCUGCAAAAGAACAGGAGCAAUACCAUUUACUCCUGCUUUGACUUCAGCUUACUUUUACUUCCUUUACCUUUGUUGAUUGAACAAUAAAAUCCAAAGAGGGAAAAAUUAGAGGAUGUUAAAUAGACAGUUCAAGGUGAAAGUGUUUAAUCUAAUGUAAGAAAGAAGAUAUAACAAAGAAAGGAGCAGGUAGUUCUAUGAAAGAAUAAGUUUUUUUUAAGUAAUACCAAUGAAAGAUUUGUUUUCUAUAUACAGAAAGAGUGCAUUUAGCAAAGAAUCUUUUGCACUUAAGUUUGUUAUAUAGUGAAAAUGUGCAUUUAGCCAAGUCUUCAUUUGCACAUAAACAGAAUAUGCACUUUGUAAACUACACUUGUCAUUUCAUACUUUCAAACUAAGCAUUGCCUAAGAAAGCUAUGUGAAAAACUGAGAUACACAUAUAUGUAUCUUUCAAGAAAAUUAAAAAGGGAGAUCAUGUGUGUGUGUGUAUAUAUAUCUAUACAAAAAAUGUCUCUCUGCCUCUCUAUUCCCAUAAAAAUGUCUAUAUGUCUCUCUAUCCCUAAACUAAUACUGUUAUAUCAAGAAUACUUCCAUACUCAAGUAUUUAGACUUGGCAAACACAAACUGAAGAUAUAUUGUAUAAACAUUCUUGAUAGACCACUUAAAUUUGAAACUUAAGAAGAACAACCUAUGGUAAAGGUAGAGGAGCCUAUGACAUUGUUAAAGUUUCCUCAGAAAUGUAUUAUGCAUGCUGUGGCUAGCUAGGCUCUGUAAAAAUUAAAAACUAAAACUAUCAGCACCCUACUUCAACAUUGGUUCAAAUAUCACGUCUUAUGCUUUUCUUAUUACCUGUCUUAUGACGUAUCAUCUAGAGACCCAAAUCUUCAAACCUCAACUGCAAGCGAAGAAAAUCGAAUCCAAAACCCCUAGCUGAAAAGAAAAGGAGACAGACCUUGAACAAAAACACAAAUUAUUCGAAUGAUAUAAUCAAGAUUCAAACUAAAAAAAAAACCAAGAAGAAAACUUUGAACAACGAAUUUGUCAAAGAUAUACCAAUUUGCAGGCACAAAUAGAUACUGCAACCAACUUGAAUCACUUCAAGAUCCCACAAUCCAGUGUCUACAAAAGACCCAAUCAGUCUGAGACCGAGGUAAACCAAUUCAGAUCAAGAGAUGUGAGGAGCGGAAAGGAAGAGUUGUACUGACUUCGUCAAACAGUUACGGUAGCGUAGAAGUAGAAGAGCACAGCUAGAUGAUAACCUUCACUUCCUGUGCUCUCUUUUUCUCUCUCAGAUGAAGAGCCAGAAGAGUCCUGCGAAACCAAAAAAAACAAAAAAAACUUUUAUACUUAGGGCGACCCAGAGAAAGGAGACGGUGAUGGCACCGGUAGAAUAGGCAUCACCUCCGCCAGAGGAGACCCCACAAUUGGCGAAGAUGGUGAUGACGACAUGCUCCUUCAUGUUGAAGGGACCGGGGUUCAAGUUGAACUUAAAGCCCAACAAAUUGAAGUCCUUGUUUGGCAGAGUUUUGGCCAUGAACUUUCCGAUUGGCAAGACAGCGAUUUGCAUGAGAAUGGCGGGGCGACGAAGGGAGACCUUUUCUGAGUUUGUAUCGGACAGAGCAAGAGAAAACAUGAAAGAUCGAGAAGAAUGGUGAGGCACAAAAAAAAAACUUUAUACCCAUGCCCAAAACCCUGAGGGCACAUGCAGGCCCAAACCCAACACCCAAAAAAAAAAAAAAAUCCAGGGAAGCAAUCAAAGGACUGUUCCGAAGAACAGUAACUCUCUGCUGACGUCAUCUCAACAAAUAUUUAUAUGGUAAAUGUGCAGCUAUAUAUAGAACUUUCCAGAGCAAUAAUUCCCCCGCCUUAUCUGAAAUCUUUCAGUUCCAGAGAUAAUUUGGAAAUCCAUGAUUUCUGACCUGCGGAUACGAUCAUGCAGUGCUCUCCUAUAUUUCUGCUGGUUCAACAAAAUCUAAAUGCAUGCUUGGAGAGUUAUUUAUUGGAACUACAAACUUACCCAGUUCCAUCGAUCAUGUAAAUUCUAUUUUGGUCUUGUUCAAUUGAGAAUAUGCGUAAGCAGAAUUCCAACCAGUCAACCACAGCAACGCGGCAUGGAGGUCUGCCUGAAAGGAAUAUUGGGGCUAGAAAACAAGCAAAGCUUCUUUAGCAAAGAAAAAUUAUAUAUUGCGGCAAGAUCUGGUAUUAUAUUGCAGGUUCUCUGUGAGACAUAUUUCUGAUCACAAAUAUCUAAAGGAAUUGCCUGUUGUUGAGAAUUUCUUGGAACUAUUCCAUACAACUUUUGAUAGAUAUUCUAAAGAUGAAUGCCAAUCAUACUUGAUAAAAAUAAGAGCUAGUUUGAUCUUGUCUCAGAAAUAUACUUUCGUUGAUCAGCUUCUGACUCACUAGCUAUCUGACUUAUGAUCAUCAGUCAAAUACUUAAUCUACCUACAUUUUCACAAUGUACUUGGGAUUCAAAGAAAGAAAGAAAAUAAUAAGUUGUCACAUGAUAUCCAACCUACGAUGUAUUACAUUGAAGUCUAUAAACAGGCCACUAGUAUAUCAUCUACAUACUAACUAUUGAAUACCAAGAUGUCUCCCAAGUUAUACCAAUGAGAAUAACAUGUCCAUCAACUUAUUAGACUACUCUUCAUGUUAAAGACUACUCUUCAUGUUAAGAAGAAGGGUGUUGCUAUUAACACAUCCUAUUUUACUAUUCUCACACCUUAUCUAUAUACUUAUGUUAUGAUAAAAAAUAAAAAUCUCCCUCAAAAACCUAAUAAAUCAAAAUUGCUUACUCAAGACAAAAGGUACAGCUGCGAAUGUGUUCAUUAUAUACUUGUCAUUAUUGGCUAGCUCCGGGCGAAAUGCCGAAUGUUUAAGUGAGAAGAAUUCAAAAUCUCGCGGUUUCAGCUAGCUACUUUAACACAUAUGUUUGCACCUAAAUUUAGCAAAUCGUGGAAAUUUCCAAAUCGGUUUGUUAGUCCACGAUUAGAGAGAAAUGAGUUUGGUCAUUCGGCCGAGAGUGGUAUUUCUGAGGUAUUUUGGCUUUUGGCCGAGUGAGUUGAGGCACUCGAUCAUUUGACCGAAAAUAUAAAGAAUGAAGUUUUGCGGCCGAAAUGAGAGAAAGACGUUGGACCAUAUGACCGGGAUAAGAGGCCUAAAUUCAAAUUAUCUUAAGUUAUUAUAUGACCCAGAGUCAAAAUAUUUUAUGGUGUGUUUCGGUCACUCGGCCGAAAAUGAAGGUCUAUAAGGUGGCAUGGCCGAAGCGAAGGUGUUCACUCGACAUUGCACUAAGAAUAUGUUGUUCGGCCAAUACGACCAAGAUUAAGGUGUCGCUCAAGCAAGGUAGUGGUUUUAUGUCGGUUGAAAUAAAUAUCAAUCCAUGUGGAUGAUUAAUGGAGUAAUGUGCACAGCAUACCAAAUCCAAUAACUAGGAGAAGUUAGCCGAGCCCAUACGACGAUCUCGGCCAUGAAUUCAUUUAGGAAAGAAAAUCUCAACAAGGAAGAACUUCAAUCAGAUCAAUGUUUUCAAACAAGACGCAUCACAGACAUCAGUCAAAUCAAGACAUUCAUGUGUGAUUCGACCCAAGAAAGGAAAUAGGAUAUCCAAGAGAUUUCAUGACAUAGAGAGUGCAUGCAUACUAGCUAGGUUUUCUGACUUGUAUACAUAGAACCUUAUAACUCAUUUGUAAAGGGUCCUGCACCACUCAAACAAAUCAAUACACAAAUUUUACACACAAACUUAUCUCUCUAUUGCUUAGGUACUUUACCUUUCCUUUUAACUUCAAACCCAAAUUUAUUUCUUUGCUUUCUUUGUUUUAUUUUCGAUUCAAUUUCUUUACGUUCCUGCACUUUAAUUAUCUUGUUCUUUACAUUCUUGCAUUUUAAUUCUCUUGUUCUUUAUAUUACAUGCAUUUUAUUAAUCGCACUUAGGAGUAGUUGUAACAUAGAAAUUUCGUCCAUUGAUCUCUUUCGGCCAGUCCGGAUUAGGUCAAUGCGAUUCGCUGUUCACACACACAUCACAUCACAACGCUACAACAACCAAAUUCACUUCAUCUUCGUGUUCAUCGUGAUUUGCGAGUAUCUCCACCCGAUAGAUCUCUCGCCUGUCACCCAAACAUUUGCAUUCACCCAGGAAGUAAACGUUUUCGAAGAUCCCGGCGACGCUUAGCCGAAAGUCAUUGCAACAUGGACAUUAGAACCUAACGGCCGAGAUGGUUCCUUCCUCAGCCUACAAUCAUUUGAAGAAGUCAGAUCAGGCAUACUACAUCAAUCAAAACCUCGUUUGGCCGUUUCGGCCGCGAGUUGGCACGCCCGCACAAACAUAAGGACAUUUGUAGCCAAGGAUCUCGGCCUCGUUUCGGCCUAGACGAUUUUUGAGCAAGCAACAUCUUUUCAAGAGUUCUAAAUUGAUGCCCAUCAAGAUAAUUCCAAAGAAAAGAACAGUGCAAAUUUCUGAGUUUUGCAAGGAAUUGGAACGUCAAGUUUGAGAAGGUAUGGUGGUGUUGCAGUUUGCGGUUUAUAUUAAGGCCAGAUGGUUAGGCCCAUACAAAAGAAACAAUGACCAAUGGGUCAGAACUCAGAAGUACUACAAAGCCGACAUUGUCUGGGCUCCCACAACAUCUUGCACAAGUAUGGGCUCGGAUCCAUCUUAAACUUUUGGUCUUCAUUUUUUGUUUUUUUGGUUGUUGUUGUUGGCAGUGCAAGUCAUGAUCUUGUGAAUGCUCGCCCUCGCUGUUUGUUGCAGUUUUCCAUCGGAUUGUAGAUGAUACAAUGUACCACCAUAUGAAUUCUACAACUUUGGUAUAAUCUUGGUGAGGGAUGCCGAGCUACAAAUUUUCAUACACCCGAUACUAUAAAAGUAACUUCUCUUUAAGAGAGAUUCACACAAAUAAUAAGUGAACUAUAUCUCAUUCGAUACUUGGUCACUGACUUUUUAACGGUAUAACUUUGACUCAUAUCUAAUAAGGCAAUUCACUUUAGUCAUUAUCAAUGUUGUUUUUUUUAUUUUUUUUUUUAUCAAUUCACUUUUUAACUGCACACCAUACGUUCAUGUAAGGAUAGUGAGUUUAAUUUAUCUGAAUAUAAGAUCGGUUUCCUUGUUUAAUUAGCAACUUCCUAACCUCUACGCUUUAUGCAUUUAGAAUAAAGAAUUGAGAAUCAACUGGAAGUUGAUUUGAUAAUAUACAGCGCUAGUAACUCCAUCCUCAUGAGUGAUCCCUCCAUCCAUUGGGAUAUUUGAUAUCAUGAUUUUAACAUCAAUUAUUAUUAGGACCAACGUGAGAAAUAUAACUAGAAACAAAAUAGCUUUCUCAACAUGUCUGUAUUUGUUGAUGCCUUAUAGUGAGAUUGAGCCAUGCAGGGUCAGCGUCACUCUAAAGUUGCUUUACAAUACAAAUACAGCUAGCACUGAGAGACUCAUCAAGGUUCAUUUCCAGAUCGCAUUUUAUGUCUCUGUUCAUUUCGCGCAGUGAGUGUUUCCGUAGUUCCAACGUGCAAGUCAUUUUUUCGACCCAUGAUACGUCUUUGUUCUUGUAGGAUGGGCCUGAGGUUGAACAUUCUGGAACGGGCCCUCUUUCAGUUUCAAUUAUUAGUGAUGGUGAUCAAUGAUAUCACAAGGCUUGAGAAUAACACGUACUAGCAACAAAUGUCUAGGCUCCAUCUAUAAAAUAGAUGAGCAAAGAACUAUAGAUCGUCAAAAAACUCAAAAUGUUUUACUAAUACCAUAACAAAUAUAGUUAGUAAUUAAUUUGCAGCACACUGAUCAAGAGAAAACGUGUGUAUUUGUAUGAUUCAGACAACACCUAUAAAACGAGAUUCGGUACCGAUUUGAAUCUUGUUCAUAUCACCUUUUACGUUUUCUUUCAUAUAGUUAUAAAUAACUCAUCAUUGUUUGUCUCAAAUGUGUUUUAUGAUAUGCUUCUAAUUUUCUUUUUAUAGAUUUUUACAAGAGAUAAACCGAAAGCAGCAUAACACUAAACGGGGAUAUCACUGUUCAAUGAUCGAUGUUGGAAUUCAGGGAGUGAUAAGAUGCAUCAAAUUUUAAUGACUAGAGAAAAAGUAGGGAUGUGAAAUCCACACUCCUCAAAUUGUAAUCCACACUCUCACUUUUUAUGUUUAGUCAUUAUUUGCAUAAAAAGACAAAAAUUAAGUCAUUAAAGACAAAAUUUAAGUUAUAAAAAAUAGAAAGUAAGAGUGUAGCUAGAUUACAAGUUGGAGAAUAUGGAUUUCACUUCCUAAAAAUUAUCAAAGACAUACAAUAGUGUGAUGAUUGAAAUUCAUAAAAUAUGAAUAACCCCCUGUUACGCAUUCAUAUUAGUUUACGUAUGUUGACUUUUUACAUACAAUAUGAUAUUUGAUAAACAUGAAUAUUAGUUAUCUAAGGAAAAAAGUCAAAAUAAAGUCUGGUCCAUGUCCUCAACAUCAACAUCUCUCAAAAUUGAGAAAUGGGAUCAAUAAAUGAUGAGUGUUGUGUACUUGUUGCUUAUCAAAACCAGAACUACUAGACCAAUACCUAAUUGUCCGUGAAUUACUUAAAUUGUUUGUACCUGACGACCCAUGAUUUGUAAUUGAGCUUCAUUGUUAGACAGAAGAAGAAGAAAGAGAGCGAGGUGAUGGAGUAAGACAAUAACUUGUACCAAAUAAGUUAGAGAGAAAAGAGCACAAUGAUUCUUUUUACAUCAUUGAAAGCAUUAUCAUUGACAGUUGUAGAUGAAGAUGAUGUUGAUGAACAAAUAUCCCUGUGGGGACAAAUCGAUGAUCAGCAAUCCACCUCUUUUCUCUAAUAGAUUUUCCACUCACUUCACACUUCAAACCUUAACGAUAUUUCCUUGAAAAGAAAAUACAAAUACCAUAAUUUCUACAAGAGGGUAAAGCCCUAGUUCCAUGCAGGUUACAUGACGGAGGAACUUAUUUGAUAAUCUUAACUUAUAUUCCUGAGUACUAUCAAGAACCCAGAGUUCAAGUUCAAGUAGGAAUUUUCUUUUUCUUUUUCUUUUUUAUAGAUUUGGUUUUAUUUUAAGAGGCCUCAAUUCUCUCAAAGUGUCCAAGCCUAUUGUCAGCCAAUCUUGAGUGGUAGCAAACAGUUUUGUACUCGAACCAUGUGAACUCUUUGUACAUGCUCUGUUCCUCUUCUUUCAUGAUAGAUGGCAAUGGAGCUAUUUUUCCAGUCAAGGGUGAUCCCCCAAAGAAGAUCAUCGAAACCCUUGAUUUUGACCCAUUUGCUAAAACCCUGUGCCUCACACUUUGAAACCUCCCGUUUGUCAAAACCUGCAAACCCAAUAAUUUAAACCCCGUUAGAUGGAUAAUAGUCGGUGCUGGCUAGCUAGCUAAAGAAUAUUGCAAAAAAGAACAAAUUAAACCCAGUUUACAUUUGAAACUGUUCCUUAUCCAUGGCAACAGGGAACUGAUAGAGAAAGUAAGAGUCUUCUUCUCUACAGGAAAGUUAGAAUCUUACUGGAACAGAGUAAUAGUACCUUUAGAGAAUCACCAACAUUAAUGAAGAAGGAGUACUGGUCUGGAGGCACUGAAAUCCAAGUGCCAUCUCCCAAAAUUUGGAGGCCAGAGGUGUUGUUGGAUCUUAGUAUGGAAAUGAUUUGAGGGUCUGUGUGCUCUCCAAAUCCAACCACAUUUCUGUCACUGUGUUCACUCAAACCUUGAAGCUCUGGGCAUGGUGGGUAGUGAUUGAGCCUGAAUAAAGAGUCACUCUGUUCAUCCAACAAGAACUUGCUGAACACAUUCCCUGGCCCAAUAUUCAAUCCUUCUGCCAUCAGUUCAAGAAUCUCACAAGCCAUAGUCCUCACAGCUUGAAUAUAAUCAUUCAGAGCAGAACUGCAAUUUAAAACAGAGCAUAAAUCAAAACUUGUUAAAACAAUGAAGAGGAAGAAGAAAGAAGGCCAGGACAAUUAUUGAAUUGACGAACUUGAAGUACUAACAUACCGAAACUCAUCUGGGUUUGUUCCAUAGACUAAUUUGAAUCUGUCAGAAUUGGCUUCUAUGUUGGCUUUAAGUAGAAGGUACUCAACCCAGCCCACAUCACCAUUUCUCCCAAUAUGCUUGCUGCCAUAUCCAAAUGGAUCAGCACGACCUGCUUUUUCUUUCUCAGAAUCUGGCAAGGAAAAGAAUUUGAUGGCCUCAGAUUCCAAUCUGUUAAUGAAAUCCAUAGGAACACCAUGGUUGAUGACUUUGAAGAAUCCAAACUCCUCACAAGCCUUCACAAUGAGUUGCUUGGAGUCUGGUUUGGACAGGUCUAUGACAGGGAUUCCAGAGGAGGAUGACUUGGAGAGUUUGAGGUUUCUGCUAUAACUAGAGCAGCAUUCAGUAGCUGGUUUAGACAAAAGCACCAUGUUUGAGGAAAAGAUGGGAAUGAGUUGUAGAGAUAAAUAUUGAAUGUGAAGGAAGUUGAUAUGGCUUGAGACUAGUAUAGACUAGAGAGAGGCACUUGGGAAUUUGAGGCCAGUGUGUUUGUGGCUUGGCUAUUUAUAGGAGGAAGAGAGAGGGAAUGGCCUUGGAAUGUUCAUUUAAUAACCACCUCUAGAAGAAAUUGUAUAUUAAAACUAGGGGGAAUUUCUUUUUCUCCUUCUUAAAUAAUGAAGAAUCUAUAUUAUAUAUUUUCUUCUAGUCAAAUUUCUGAUAUUAUAUGACAUUGGACUUUUAGUGUUCCUUAAUAUGAGUUUAUAAUUAUAUAUGAGUUCACUGUUAUUUUACUCCCUAACCCAAUCUGAAUGGUGACUGUGACCAACACGCCAGUUAAAUGAGAGCAGUCCAGUCAUGACCUGCCUAAAGAUGUAGUGAUGUAGUGAGGUACUGAGUAAUGAGUAUUAGUCCCACUCAAAUGGACCUCAAUGUUUUGUUCUUUUUGUUUUUAUCACGUAAACAAUUUUAAGAUUAUAACUUCGUAAGUUAAACUUAUAACUUUUUAUUUAUAAAAAAAAGACUGAUAGACCAAAUGGUAUCAGAUUUUUUCUUUUUCUUUUUAGGAAGUAAAAAUUUCAUUAAUGAAGAACGAGGUUUUAUGAACAAAAUAAAGAUAUUUUCCCACUAAUUUUGAGUGGCAUAUUAGGUAAAACGCCUAAGACAGUUAAUCGGAUAUAACACUUAAUACAAUUAAUUUGUUAAUUAUAACUUUAGAGUUUAAUAUAUAUGAUUUAUAUAUAUGGGUAGUGAAAUCCACACACCCAUUUUCUAUUUUUAAUAACUUAAAUUUUGUCUUUAGUGACUUAAAUUUUGUCUUCAUAUGAGAAUGAUUACUAAAAAUAGAAAAUUGGUGUGUGAAUCAAUUUAGGGUGUAUGGAUUUCACAUCCCAUAUAUAUAUAAUUGAUCUCUUAUACUUCAGUAAAAUUGUCCAUUCAGUAAACAAGACUAGACCAUACAAGUAAGAGUAAUUUAACAAAUAAUACUACAUAUAUUAUAAUACAUAUACCAUGCAUUACUAUAAGCACAUCUAUUGUUGUGCGAAAGAUAUCGAAACUCUAUGACCGCCGCCGCAAGCACAACACAACGCCCCCGUUAGCCUAAUCCAUGGUGUCCAAAACUUCCAACAAAGAAUAAUAUUGAUAAAUUCAGCAACUCGAUCCAUCACUCUUAUAGAGAUAUGAACAUCAACCAGCAUAAACAAACCUUCCAUGGCUAACAAGUGGUCGAGUUGGUAAGUGACUAGAUGGUGAACCCUCAUACCCAGGUUCAAAUUCCGCCAACGUUGAUUAAAGUUUUAACCCUAUAUAUUCAUGGUGGGCAUGAGGAGGAAGCAAAUUAGUCUUUGGACCUAAGAACAUCUUCAACAGCUCUUGUACUAAUUCUCUAUAAUAAAAGAGUAAAUCACAAAAUCUCUAAAAGAAAAUGAGCUCAACUCCAAUAGCUCUUUUAUUCUAUUAUGCAAAUUAAAUGAUAUCUGUAUAAUUUAAUGAAUCUAUAUAAAUAUGAUAUGUUUAUUCAAAUCAAACCCUAAAUUCAUGUUAAAUGUUUUAAUUUUAUGAUGUUUUGUUCUUUUUUUAGGAAAGAGAAUGAAUUCUAAAAGGCAGGCAAUAAAGUUUACAAGAUCGAAGAUACAAAUUUUUAAGAAUUCUAUAGAUUUAGAGGAUAUGUUUUUCUCUUUUCCCACUUUUUGUAUUAUAGAAAUUUUAAAUACACACCUCUAAUCUCUUAAAACACACUUCUAUUAUUUUAUGUUUCUAUUGGUAAGUUAAAUGACCAAAACAAAUAUCUAUUAUUUAAAAAAAAAAAAAAUACACGCUAGAAGUAUUCUUUUCAACAUCUUCUAUCAUAAAAUCGUCAAAAGCACAUCUACUCCCUAACCCCAACUUUUCUCCACAAUUCAUUUGGGUUGUCUUUUUUCUUUCUUCUUUUUUUUUUAUUUUUUUAUUUGUAUCAGCUUUAGUUUGAUCUUGCAGAUCAUAUUGUCAAGUACUGUAUUUUUAUCAUGACAUGUUUUAUCAGAUAACUAGCUAUCUAUGUUUAAUAGCUAUUGUACUUCUACAGUUCUACUAGCUUGUGAAUUUUGAAAACUUGUAUUGGUGAUUUGGAGUUGGGAUAUAACAAUAAUAAUUUGAUUAUAAAUUGAACGAUGAUAACCAAAAAUUUCUAACAAAGUUAGACGAAAUAAUAUGUAAAAAGAGGUACCAAAUAGUAAAUAUAUAUUAAUUAUAUUAAAUAAUAGAAUAUUUCAUAAAUUACAGUUUGGGAUGUGUAUUAAGUAUAAUACUGAAAUAAAAAACUUAAUAGGUGGUGUAUUAAGUAAGGGAUGUGUAUUAAGAUAUUAGGGGUGUGUAUUUAAAAUUUCUCUUAUUUGUAUUAUAGAGGAUCUUUUACAUAAGCUGUUGGAGCCAAAAAAUGAUGUUUUUUCUCCAAAAUAUAGAUUAUUCUCAUUUUAUACGAGUUGUUGGAGAUGCUCUAAAAAGUAUUUGAAGAUAUUGUGUUGAUCCAUAUUUUUUUUACAAAAAAAUAAAUAAAUAACGAAACAAUUUUAUUUUAUUUUUAUAAUUCUAACCCUUUGUGGUAAACCUCCGGUUGUAGUUGCUUUGAACUCUGGUUCUUCAACCGUUUUAGUUGCUGAAGCGUUUGCUCUUUGGAACAACCUCAUUUGUGUAAGUGAUAGAGGCUUAACCAAGAUUGAAGUAGAAUGAGACUCCAAACUUGUUAUCGACGCAGUUAAUGGAGUGCUUGCACCACCAUGGAGGUAGCUCAAAAUCAUCUAAGAUAUCAGAGCGUUAAUGAUAUCUUUUGAGUUUGUUAGCUUCAAACAUGUAAUCAGAGAAGCAAACUUUGCUGUUGAUGUUGUUGUAAAUUUAGGUCAUAGGUUAAGUAGUUAUGCUUUCUGGGAGGAUUGUGUUUCCCCUAAAGCUUCUCUUGCUCUGCUCUUUGAUGUUGUCUAACAUUGGAUGCCUUGACGAGUUCUCUCCGACAGAUCUAGUGAUAGUCCUGGGUCACGUUUGGGUGGUGAUGGUGGCGUCUCCAUACCCCUUGCUCCUGAUUAAUCUGCUCAUGUGGAUGAAGCUUGUUGAUGCUAUGAUGUUCUGGGUUUAUGUAUCUGACUCCAUCAGUGAGUCUUGGUUUUUGUUUUUGUAUUUUAGUUCUGUUGAAUAAAAAUAUCCUGCCUUUGCCAAAAAAAAAAACAUUGGAUGCCUUGACGGCACUUCCUCUAAUUGAUUUAGUUUUGAAACCAUAUAUAGUUGAACAUGGUACGUAUUCACACCAAACCAUCUCUUUCCUCCUCGCUACCGAGAAAGUGGUCGCCGCCUCUUCCACUAUCGAGCAAAUGCAUGUGUUUGAUAAGAAGAGGAAGUAGAACCAAGAAAGAAUCAAGUAGUUUAUGAAAGCUAAUUAAGAUAGUCAUUGGUGAAGAGGACAACGGUUUAAGGAGGCCGAAGGUUUAAUUCUGUAGAAGGGAUUUAUUAUACUUCAAUCUAAUUAUUCAGCUCUUGAUUUUUUUUUUUUUUUUUUUUUUGUAUUAGGUUUUAUUCAGCUCUUGAUCAAGACGCUCCAGUUGAGGACCAUUUAUGUAUGAAAACAUACUCCCCCUGAGCUCUCAAGGUAUCAUCUCUCAUCUCGUCAGUAGCUUCAACAUCUAUUUUAUUCAUUCACUAUAUAUUCAGUCAUGAAUCUUUAUGUGUCAAACUCUAACUUCGACAUCUUGAAUUAAUACUAUAGAGAAUGUCGAGGAUUUGAGUUGCACACAAAGUUAGAACCUGAAACUCCUCAACGUUGUUGAACAUCUAUAAAUCGUAAUUGUAUCAAAUUAUACAACUGAAACUGAACAUUUUUCUUGGAGUCAGUUUCAAAAAUAAAUCGAUCAACCGAAGUCAAAAAACAAAAGAACUAAAUAAUUAGUCGAUCAUUGAAGAAAUUUUGGAGUUUGGUAUCAACGUUCAUGGAUAUGGUCCGAUGACUCUACCAGUAGGUAAAGUGGAUUGGAUAUUUGGAUUGAAUAGGAUGGCUUCGAAAACGGUUAUGAUGGAAUCAAGUACUCAAAGAUGCACAUUCUAGGACUAUUCUCUUUUAUCCUUUCAAAUUAUUACAUCAUAUUAUCCUAAAUUACCUUUUUUUUUGUCUCUCUUUAGGUGUGCGAUGAAUUAGUCGUAGUGUCCCAAACAUAGUAUAAUCGACGUCACUAAGGCUAGGCACAGUAUACAGGACAUUUUAUAUUUGACAUUAACUAAUCAGUUAUACUAUAAACACAAAAAUUUUCUUUCUAAAUGAUCCAUAUUUUGGUAGAAGAUAAACCUAUGGUGAGAAUUGUGCUAGGAUCCAGAGCUCUCUUUGUGUCUACAUUGUCCUGUUUUAAGACCAAUUGCACCCAAAAUAGGACCCGAAAUAGGAAUAAAAGAUGUAUUAUUUGUAAUGAUCUUUGCCGAUAAGACGUAUUUUUGUCUCUUGUCAGAAACUGGUCAUUUUUAACUAGAUAAGCAACACUUAAUUUUUUUUUUUUUUUAAGUAUAAGAAAAAUCUAUUGAUCAUAAAUUAAAACGACCAAAACGGUCAACAUAAACAACACUUCAUUGAAGAUAACCAUGUAUGAAAAAAGAAAACUAUAAUUUUCGGUCGAUGGAAUGUUACAUCAAUUCCACGUUGUUGAUCAUAAUGAUGAAGUAAAAGGGUGAUCAAGUUUUCAACUUAUGAUUGAUUUCGAUGGAGGAGCAAAGCAUGAUUGCCACAAACCACAUAUGAACGUGCAUCUCAUAACAUGAGGAAGUUUGAUGUGAAAUGACAGAGCCGCGACUUCUAUCUACUUUGAAGGGAUAAGACUAACCGAAUGAGUAAAUCGGGUAAGAGAAAAUGAUCAACAUGCACAUCGGUGAAGAUAAAGAUUGACGAAUUUAGGAGGGUAGAAGCUCGUGAUAAACAUUUGAACGUACUCAUCCACACUCUGAGUAGCUAGGUACUACAGCGAUGAUCAUCUAUGAUGUGACUUAUUUAGAAACAGAAUAAUCUUGUGAAGUUAGCUUUCCAUUCAUAACUUGAUGGUAUCUUUGUUUUUCAAAAAGAAACAAAUCAAGAGGCACUAGCGGAUAAGUCAUCCAAUACUUCUUGGUGAUGGUUAGCCACAUUUUCCUUCUCACAAAAAUGGUUACCCACGUUGUUACUAUCACUUCUUCUUUUCUUUUUUUGUUAACUAAGAUUUACUUCAUUAGAUCAGCAACCGAUAAAUUUUUAAUCGUUUGGUCUAGCUUUACCUACAAAUAAUCGGAUCUCUGUUCUAACUUUUAAGUACUUACAAAUAAGAUAACCGGUAAGAAAAUCUAGAAUCCUAUUCUAAGUAAAGUAAACUCAUCAGAAGCUGAUUUUGAGCUCGCUAUUAUAAACAAAGAACUCUGUGUCUUUUAGGGUUAAAUCAUCUUCUAAUAACCCCCCAUUAGUCAAAAACGCAUUUGUUGUACCAAAAUAAAGUCAUUUUAUAGCAAACAAAUAGAAGCACAUCUUCAUUCAAAAGCACAUCCGCAUUUGUGGUACCCUAGACGUUUGCCGCUCCAAUCAUCGUCGUCACCAAGUUUCCCAACGGUCACCCUCUCCAGCACCUCAUCCUGAAAUGCCGGUGCGGCAACCAUCUGUAAUAGCAGCCGAAAUUGGAAAAAGAACACGUAAGGUCGUCUGUAGUUAGACUUGAUCCAACGUUUAUAUCCUAGAAAACGAGCAACUAAUUCACCGUCAAUACGAAACGUCAACACACCUUCGCCUACAUUUACAAUCUAGCAAUCCAUCUACCAACCAACACCUUACCGUUGUCACAGAGGCCCAAAUCUUCUUGAGAACGCAAAUAAGACCUAACCCCUAGCUAGACGCCUCUUCUCCAACAAAAUCCCCUCAUAUCCACAAGAUAACAACCGCAGGGCGACACACUCGAGCCAAAUGACCGUCGAAACCGGUGAGGAUCACGAAACUCUGCCCUACUUGACGAACCCCAUUUCUUAACGACAUUGUCACUCUCACUUGUAGAUUGGUAAAUUAAAAAUGUGGUUAUUCAAACCAGCAAGAAUCGACGAAACACUACUCUCCAAAAAAUAUGGUUAUACAACUGUAGUUGUUAAUUUCAAAGACGAAGGAAUACUGAAACAAAAUAAAUGGCUAAACGAGAUGACACUAGAUAGUAUUGAGUAUUUCCCUUAUAUUUACAUCUAAUCUAACAGUGAAUGACUAUCGUACUUCAUAAUCAUCUACAUAGGACUGUAGAAUGAUUUUAUUAAUUCAGAAAGUCAUGGCCCUAAUGAAGAAACAAGAGAAUCCAAUUAGCUCCCAACGAAAUGGAAGAACAAAAUCCUAGUACGUAUGAUUACAUCUUACAUCUCACAUGAUUUAGAAUGGUCCCACAACCCAAGUCCAAUGACAGGUGGUCGCCCCAGAGAGAGAGAGAGAGAGAGAGAGAGAGAGAGAGAGAGAGAGAGACGACCGUANNNNNNNNNNNNNNNNNNNNGAGAGAGAGAGAGACCCGUCGAUUGCAAAAGAAUCCCAGCCAGCUUAAUUUUCCAGAUGGAAAGGGAUCGAUAGGGUUUUGCAGACAUAUAGAUAGAUACGUGUAGAAACGGCAGCCUCCGAUAAACAAACGGCUAAUAAAGUGGCGGGUAGGCGAUCCCCAAUUGUUACUUGACGCGGCCUCCUCACAUUCGCAGGGCCUUCCGCCCUUUUUAAACUUUGUCGGUCGUCCUAGCUCGAUCAUCGUUUAGGUUUUUGCAUCAUUACAUGCAUGCUUUACGAUAAUUGUCACUGCCUCCCCGGCCAACUCGGUUGGCGCCAGCGCAGUGUAUACCUGGUUUACUGUUAUGCUCGCACGCCAGCAGGCCACACCACCCAGAUGCCUUUGCCCUACUUAUCACUGCUGCUGCUACUACUAUGUACGUCGUCCCAGCUGAUCCUAUCCUAACCUAGUUGCACCGCGCAGCUUUCCCUCCUUUCUUUCUUUCUUUCUUUCUUUCUUUCUUUCUUUCUUCAUCUUCUUCCUCUGCGUCAUCAUCAUGUUAUCUCUAUUAUUUCUCAAACAUCGGAACAAGUUCAUCACGUUUUUCUUACUCUGGCCUUAGUCUAUCACCUAUUCAUAUCAUGUGUCAUACCGACUCAUACCCCGAUUUAUAUAUAUAUAUAUAUAUAUAUAUCCUUUUUUUUUCACCUUAUCUUUUUCAAUGGGAAAAGAACCGAAGACAUACCCAUCUACAAUUAUUGACGGGUUAUAAUUUAUAACCAGUUGAUGUCUCAUGCAAUGUGCUUCCCAUUUAACCUUAGUUACGAUCGAUCUUAUGAAACUUUGCUUCUUUCAAGACCACUUAUUUAAUUGAUUUAGAAGCUAAGGAUAUUGAAUUAAUGAUGAACAUGUGUCUCAAAUGUAAUGUGCCCUAACAAACGGAAAAGAUAUAUUUGAAUGAAAAUCUUGUUAAUCAUCAAAUCAAACAAAGAAGAUGGCCGAUCGAUCUGUCCCUACAAUAAACGAAUUGCCGACUUAUUGCAUGAUGAUCUAGCUUCUUCUUAAUUGGGGUGCCCAAGAGCUCUCUUUUGUAGCCGGAAAAACUACAUUUGUUCGAAAUCAUGAUAAUUUGGACGUAUAACAGCUCAUCAUUGGCAUGGUUUGCUUUCAUUUCAUUUUGACGUGACUCAUUUUCAAGGAGAUUGAUGAAGACCCAUGUUAUAGCAAGCUAGCUAGGAUGAGCUUUUUAGAUUCCAAAAAUGAAUCACACCUCAAACCCUUUUAUUCCUAUAAUUGAACCCCUUUUAAGAUUAAGAGAGGGAAAAUGACAUGAGGAAUAUGAAUGCCAUAACUUCUUUGAUGGGGUCGGAUCCCUAGCCUUCUUUGAUGUAUAUCACAAUAAAUUGGUCAUCACGAUGGCCACAAUUGGCUACUAUUACCUCCUAAACCUAACCGGCACCUGCAUUCAUAGUUCAAUCCUUCUGUCGAUCAACAUGUAAUUCGCAACACUGAAGCAACACGCUUUUCUCUCCUAUUCAUUUCCGAUCAAUGCCUCUAAUCAUCGAUCAAUUAUGAUUUAUGUUGUGCCCUACCCUCCCAAUGAUACUUAACUCUCUUCGUUUCUUCUUAUCUUACUAGCCUCUAAAGUCUCUAGGCCCCUCAUACCUAUAUGAUAUGAUCGAAACACAUCUAACACAAACAAACACGGGUUUUAAUAUAACGACCUAGUCCGUAUAACGAGAUAAUAUUGUCGCCGCGUCCUCACAGUUUUGUUCUUAGGUUCUCAACCGAAAAUGUGUUUUACUAUAAGAAAAGAAAGUGUAAGUGCACAUAUAUGACACCUCACCACCCUUCCUUCAAACGAUGUGAGAUAUGAUACUCAACACAUAAGCGCAUAAUUUUAAACCUAGUUAGUCGAUAUACUAAAAAUUGAUUUCGCCAAUAAUUUUAAACCAUCUAAUUCAUCAUGAACAAAAACUGCCGGCGCAGUCUAUUGAUCGAAGCUUCUUUGGGGUGAUAAUUUGGACAUAUAACUGUUCAUCGACUUGGCAUGAUUUGCUUCAAAGUAUAUGUGACCCCUACUCAAGGAAAUAAAGGUUCACCUUUGAACGCAAUCGGAAAAUGACUCGAGGACUUCGAAUGCCAUCACAUCUUUGAUUCUUAAUGCAAAGUACCACAAUUAUUUGCUCUCACAUUUCUCUAUCUACUUUCCACUAGUCAAUCACGUCCUUUUUCUUCCUUGAUAUACCUUCAUUAUCGGUUGUGCCCUACACUCUAAAAUAUCACCAAACUUAAUUUCGAGGGUAGUAAAUUGAUGUGAUCACAACCUUUUUCAUUGAUACCAAUAAUCGAUCACAUAUGCAUGAACAUACAUGCACAUCUCAGAACCACAAAACACACAUUUUCAAUUUGACAUGUAAUCUUGUAAGAACAUCACUCGGUUGAUGGAGACAUAUAUAUAUAUAUUCAAGAUUUCAAGUGCAGAACUUCAAUGGCUUCGAGGGUUCACACGGUAUAAUUAAACACAACUUUGGUGAUUCAAUUUACAAACUCGUACACAGAUUCAAGAUCUAAUUUGGUUCGCGUACUAUCUACUGACUUGGCCCAAAUUGAAUAAGCAAUCGAAGAUUUUGUGUUCAUCUCUAUGGAUGAUGAAACUAGAAAGUAAUAUAUGCUGCCAUGCUGCAGGUGCAAUAUAAACUGUACGUGCUGAAACAUAAUGUGAGUGUCAAGAAAAUGUUGGAUGCAGGAAAAGCUUUUACACACUUCCAAGUGGCGUGUCGGAUCAAAGUAGCAGAUAGAUGUCUUUUUCAUGCAUUUUUUUUUUCGAUGCAUGUUGACGUACGACACACACGUGUAUAUAUAUAUAUAUAUAUAGAUAGAUAUGAUAUGAAAAUUUCACAUGUACGAUAUGAAAAUUUCAAAAGAAGAAAAGAAGAAGAGAGAGAGAAUACCUAAUCACUACCGGAUCAAUUUUCCUUGAUUUGUCAAAAAAAAAAAAAAAUACAUGAUUAAGUGGCUAGAUUAAAAGUUGACAUUAAAACUGCACAUAAUUCUAAUUAGGACUAAUUUCAGUUUACCCCAUCAAUUUUAGGUUGAUCAUCAUGUUAGUCAUUCUUUUUUCAAUUUCAUCAAAAACACUCCUCAACUCCCAAUUUUCAUCAGCUGCGCAUGUCCAAACCUCUAAUCUCCAUCCAAUUCCUCUGUCAAGUGAUGACUUGAUAUCAAGAAGAAAGUCAAAUUCUGAAAGUUACCUUUCGGACCAUUUUUCCCUCAUAUCGAUACACAUCUUUGUUCCCAUCACAACCCCCUAACCUUAGUGAUUUUGGUGGGAUUGAAUGCAAUUUGUCUAUUUUUCUUUUUCUUUCUUCUUGAUAUCAAGUCAUCACUUGACAGAGGAAUUUGAUGGAGAUUGGAGGUUUGGACAUGCACGGUGAUGAAAAUUAGGAGUUGAGGGGUGUUUUUGAUGAAAUGGAAAGAAUAAGGACUAAUAUAAUGAUCGACGUAAAGUUGAUGAAGGUAAACUGAAAUUAAUCAUUCUAAUUAUAACUAUUAAAAUGUUGAAAAUAUGUCUUUUGUUCACUUUCUACCCGUUCUAAUGUGGAUGAAAUUAUGUAACUUUUACGAUAUUAAUAUUAUUAGAUAUAAAUCACUUUUGGUGUCAUGCACUUUUAUAUUAGCUAGCUUCAUAAUUUAGAACUACUUAAUCGGAUCUUAUAUACAUGAAGGAGAGAGGAUUAGAGGAAGUUGCAUGUACGUGGAAGUUGGGCAAACAUUAAAUUGAUAGAAAAUCAUAUGAAAAUGGAGACAUGACUACUGAGAAAGUCUUAAAAGUUCUUGAACCAAAAGACACAGGUCCGAGUGCUCCACUCAUGUCGAUCUGUGGGCACUGAUGAACUUGUUGGCUAGAAAUGACAUGUAAAUUUUUAAAAGAAAAACGAUCCGAGACGGUUCGGAGGUCGCAGUUUCUAUCAAUUCAAGAGUCAUGGAAGGCUUGGAAUGGACCAUACUGGGAGUCAAAUCUAUAAUAUGUUGCCAACUUUUCUUAUUGAAAUGCAGUUGACAAAGAAAUUAAGAUGCAUGGUCGAUCACUUGUGUUUUUAGGUAGAAAGAUUCACCAGCUGGUGAUCUAUUAUUGUCAAAAGGAGGCGGAUGCAAGGUCGUUGGUCUUUGUUUGAUGAUACAAAUACUCAUUCAUCAUUAGUUUGUUUAAUAGAUUUAGUACUUAGUGGUAUUGAGGUUUCACUUUUGGCAAAGUUAAGAUAUUAUGAGUUAUAACCUAACUAAGUUGACUUGGCAAAUUAAUGUGCUCCUUCUCUUGUUCUAGCUCUCUAACAUGUGAAGAUGAAAAUGCUAAAAGCCCUAUGAUUUUUGAGACUGCAUGCGGUGGAGAACUGCUCUUUGGUUUGCACUCAUUGGGUUUGGAGGCAGUCGUACUCCCCGAGUCCAUAUAUAGUUUUCUUCAGAAUAUGUUUUGCGUACAUUGAUUCUUCGAUAAUCAACUUUAAGCUUUUCGUUUCAUGACCAUCUGAUUCCUUAAAUUUCAAUUCAUAGCUCAUUCUAGGAUUAAAUUCAGUUUUACCCCUUGAACUUCAGUGCUAAAAUCAGUUUGAUCAUUGACCUUUUAUUUUAAUUACGUUAGUCCUUGUAUUCUCAAACAUCAUCAACUAAUCCUAAAAUUUUAAUAUGGCUCCAAAAAUAACGUCGUUUGCUAAUUAGGAGCCGACAUGGGGAUCCACGUUUGAGCUUUUUAACAUAUAGAAAGGGAAAAUGGACAUUCUAACGAUAAAAAGACGUCAUUUUUGAAGCACCAAACUCACCCAUUUUUAGACUAAAAUUCAAAUUUUAGACUUAGAUGAUGUCGUUUGAGAGUACAAGGACCAAUGUGAUUUAAAACAAAGAUCAAUGAUCAAACUGAUUUUAGCCCUAAAGUUUAAAAGGGUAAACUGAAUUUAAUCCUUUAUUCUAUUUUGUAAUAUGGAGACACAUUUUCCGUCCAUAAGAUCAUUAAUUUCCUACGUUCGUCAUUAACAAAAUCAUAUAUCGAACAAAUCAAAUUAGAACAUAUACAAAAUGAAAUUGAUAUUCGGAUGUAUAGAUGUUAAUGAUUUAGUGGUGUCAAGGUCGAGAGAAAAGUAGGAUUGGGAUUAGACAUCUCUAAUGCCCUAGACUUUCAAGAGUCGGGAAAUGUAUCUAUCAUACUGCAACAAAGCACAUUGUAUGUAGGAUAUCUACUCGUGUCACCUAUCUUUCUCACGACAAGGCUACAAGCGCUAGAGGAUCUUUCACCAAAAAAUUCUCCUAUUUCUCAUUGUAGAACAACUAAUUAAGUAUAUUCCUGUAGACAUAAAUGGGAUGAUUAACAUAUAAGAUCUUGAGGAUAUUAUUACAUCUAUACGUUAUAACGAUGUGAUUGCGAAAGCAAAAAUCUACUCAUGCAAUUUUAGUCAAGAAUGAUGCAGAGAGUGACAAUGACACAAAGAGCUCGAAACAAUGCAUAUAUGGGUGGUCAAAAAGAGUAGAGCAGAUUGCCGCGUGAUAAUGCAAGAUCAUCAUGCGUGACAUAUCAGUCUCUUCAGAUUUCGACCCGAUCAAGCUUGCUCCGUCCACUUCUUCCAUAUCCAAUCUGGCGGGCGAUCACUUAUCUUGGAUGAAAAAGUUUGUUAAACGACCAGAGUCUUAUCAAACACAUUUUAAACAGUACAUCUUCGUCGACUAGAUCGAGAAUGCAACUCUGUAUCGGCUAGUAUGAUGAUACUCAAUCUUUAAGAAUGAAUCUUUGGUCGGGCAGUUGUGUUGGACGUCCAAGUCACACCCAUCGUAUCACAAGAUAGUGGGGGUGGAGAAGUAUUUUACAAACUAUUACUCGUAAGUUAAACUUGUCAUGUGUACAGUCGUUCAACAUAUAUAGUACUAUUUUUUCUGGUUUUCGUCAAAAUGGUGGUCAGGGUGGACUACCACUCCGGAGCCUAGAUCAGGUUAAGGUCAAGACCCCUCUUCAUUGGGUGUUUUUCACUUACAGAGGAUCGAACCAGAGAAUAUAAUACUAUUUUUUUGUUCAACAUAGUACUAUUUUUUUCUCACGUAAGUUUUUAGAAUUCCAAAUUUCACAAAAGGGAAAAUCAAAUUGUGAAUUCACUCGCUAGUUGAUGGUUGGCGAAUGGCUUCAGUGGCGGACACAAGCUAUCUCUUUAUAGGGGCUAUACUCAUUGCAAUAGUGUACUAAAAACUCUGCAUAACUAGUUAAAAUUCUUCAUAAAAAUGCAUUGAACUUGCAUAAAUUCCAUUAGAUGUUCAAAAGAUAAUAAUUCAAUGAUCCGAUUCAUCAAAGUAGUUGUUUCCAGAUACGGUUACUGUUUAACGUAUCUUCCGAUUCAUCAAUAUGAGAAAUAAAUUAUUUAUGAUGGUCGUCUCGUCUUUUUUGUUUUUUUAUGUAUAUUCAUAGUCACUAUUGAUUUGUUUUUCUCUUUCACACACUACUCUAUUUUGAUCAGUAAUAGCCUAUGUCCCCCAUCUUCCUUUGUAUUCUCUGAUUAAUAACGUACAGAGGAGCACACUCUGCUACUUUGAUCUUGACGGUAGAUCUUGUAUUCAUAAUAGGAUAUUUGGUACUCCAAAGAACUAGUUUGUUAUAUUCAUAGAAUAGGAUUUUUUCUAGUCUGACAUUCUCCAGUGUGUUUCUUUGUUUUGGCAGAGUGAAAAGUUCUAGUCAUUGGAUAAGAGAAAAUGCCACAGUGAAGUAACGAAGAAUGUCUCACAACUUGGAUGGGAUGACGGAAAUUUAUAUUGUGACACCGAGUUGAGUCCCUAGAGAUUGGCUGGCUGCAGCGAGACUUGUUGUGGAAAGCUUUGAAUUUCUAUGCCUAACCAUUUUGGGGAACACAUGAGAAAUGGAAGGGUAUUCUCAUCGAACACCAUAACACUGCAGCUAAGAGAAGACUAAACCAGUAGUGUCUCUGUGUUGCUAUGCACUAUUCAACACCAUAGCAUCACAAACUUGAACAGAGAAAUAUGAGAUAUACAGAGAAGCAAGGAUACUGAAACUUUCCAGAUAUACCCUAUAAUUCUGUAGUGGAGAGAGUGCUGAGUAAAAAUUAACAGUCUCCGUAGCAUUCUAGCAUGCUCCACAUUCGCCUAUUCUGUUGUGCCAAGAAAACCGAUAUAAAUUAUAUAAUGGCCUAUAACUAGACAAUCCCAUUUUGUUUUACCCUGUCAGAUUCAUCUCGAUCUGCAGUUGCACAUGAAAUAUUUCAGCCUCCUUUAGCUUAGUGUUGCAUUCAAAUCCAGCUCUUUUAUUAGUGUGUCUUUGUUUCAAGAUGUAAUAUUAGCAUUGCUGCCUGCCUUGCAGCAAAAUGAACUAGGAUUAUAAGUGAUGAUGUAUGUUUGUAUACAAGUUGUUAACUUAACAAAUGUAUAUUGCAGUUAAGCUGCACACAAUAUACUGAAUAAUCGGAUUUUGUGUAGUUGAGUCUGUAAGAAUACAAAAUUUAGGGUGUAGAUCUUUAAUUUCUCAAAAAGGAAAAAAUAGAGUAGAUCUUUAAGACAAAGAUUGGAUUUAGACAGGUAAUUAGUUGACAGUUCCUUCCUGUCAUGCAACUGUCAAUAGCAGUUAUAAACUGCAGCCCUUUGCCAUUCUCGAUCCCUGCUAGAACACAUUAUUAUGAUAUUAUCUCAUAUGGUUUUGUCCCAUCAAGCAAACUGAGAACUUAGACUGUGGAUCUAGGAGAAGAUCAUAAGGGAUUUGAUCACAAACCAAAAGUUUGUUUACAAACUCAUUUACAUUUGAUCCAAAUCUGUCAUAGUUUACUUAAGUUACAAGUUUAAGUACGAAAUGAUUCUAACACAAAUGACUAAACCAACUAAAGCAAGAGCAUCACGAGGUGAUACUUUGCAGGUCUGACUGUCUGUGAAACCAUUGUUUAUGCGUUGUUCUGAGAAACUAAAACCAUUGUCUCAUUAUCUGUCUGCACUAGUGUCUAGAAGAAGGUCACUAGUGACUAGUGAGUGUGCUUCUACAGAAGUAUAAAAGUAUAGAACCCCACUUCUAAGAAGAAUCAAAGGGAAUUACUACUGAAACAAAUGACCACGUCAUCGGUGCAGUUAUCAAUCAAAACGAUCUACAGACUGCAAAGGAUGAUAUCACCGCAACUAUCUAAAAGUUAUGAAUCUGAUUUGGAUAAAGAUGUUGAUUGUCGUCCAAUUGGCUCUAAUCUGUUGUAAUGGUUUUAAAACUUCAAAGUUGAGUACCGCCAUUACUACUAACAAUGAGAAAAAAUAUUUCUGUACAGACUAGCUACUCAUGAAAACUGAUGAAAAAAAGAGAGUAAAUUAUAAAACUUUUCAAUCAUUAUAACUUAUAACCCACACUGACACACAACAAGAAAGAAAAACCAAAACAAAUUAACAAAUUUGAUGUGCUCAUCCAGAGAUUCAAGUUUUCCCUUUAGUUAAUGCUACUAGAAAAUUCGUCAGAACCCCAGGUAGUAGAGGCUCUCUUCUGGUUUGGACUUUGGAAUAAUGGAGCUAUUAAAAAUCAUGAUGAGUAACACAGAUAAGACUUCAUCAAUGCACACUUACAGAGUAUAUAUACUUAUAUAGUGUGCCUAUGCCAUACACUGAAAUCUACUGAUUCCAAACAAUUUUACUGGAAAUGAUCUAUCUAUUCAAAACGACAAAUGUUAUGUAAAACAGAUCGGACCAAUGUAAUGUCCAAGGAAGAUCCUUUUGCAACAUGACCUCAAUUAAAUCGGAAGAUAAACCCAAUUUCAUAUAAUCAAUUACUUUCUGUACCAAUUGAAUUUCUGUUGAAACUACAACAUAUGGAAAAUGAUAUUAAAAGCAGCUAAAAUUGAAACAUACCUAAUGAAAUAUACGAGAAUAUGUAACUUGGUUCACAUGAGUCCAUUCUUGUUCAAUCUGCUACAGCAGUACCUGUGAACUAGCACUUCCCUCCUCAGUCCUUGAUUGUUGUUGGUCAAUCUGGUGAGCAACAUCAUAUGUGGCAUGUACACCAACAAACAAAUAGUAGACAAUCAUUACUGCAGUGCAAAUGGCAAACCUCAAGAAUGCAACAUAACCCAGAGACCCAAUGAGGAAGAGGUUAAUUCCAAUGGACAAUGCAGGCAACCAUGGAACUAGUGGAACACUCCAAACCUUGGCAACUCUUCGCUUGGGAAGCAAUGCCAUCCACAAAGUCCCAGAAAGCCAAAUCACACCGGCCACAACAUACCAAACCCAACCUCUCACAUUUGUGUUCCACAGCGCAGCAAUUGCAAUUGAAGAACCAAUUAUAACAAAUAAACUCACAAGAAACUUGACCAGGUCCUUUUUAGCAGUCACAUCCUUAACAUAAUACCUCCUCACAAGCAAUGCAAUAGCCACACACAUGAAUAUAGAGAGCGUACUGAAAGAAAACACACUCGACAACACAUCCAGACUAGUAAAGAAGGCCACAAUUGCACUCGCUAUGGUCACCAAUAUAGUAGCAUAAAUGGGGGUUCCAGUUUUCGGAUGAACCAGAGCAAACCAGGGUGAAAUCAUAUGAGACCUCGCAAUCUGCGUGGUAUACCUAGCCUGCCCAAGAGAUCCAACCAACAAGCUCGUAGUCAUUCCCUUAAGAGCACAUAUACUCACCAAAUACUUAGCCCAAUUCAUCCCAAUAGCUGUAAACGCAACCGAAUACGCAGCAUCUGCACUAAUCUCAGUAUACUUCUGCAUCAUAACCAAAGCCAAAGACAUCAAGCAAUAAAUGACAGUGAUCAGGCUCAUGGAACCAAUCAUUCCAACCGGUAUAUCCUUCGAGGGCUGCUUAACUUCCUCCGCAAGAUUGGCAACCAUGUCGAAACCAGUAUAAGACCAAUACACCAAAGCCGAAGCCUUGAAAACACCCUCAGCCCCGUAAGGGAAAAAGGGGCGCAGAUUCUCAACCUUGCCAUAUAUAAAACCGACAACUAUAAUAAACAGAAUGACCAAUGCACUUGCAAUAGAAGCGAUCCAGUUAAGCAUGGAAGUCCGAGCUGUUCCACUCAUUGCUAUACCGUUAGCAACUAGAAGAACCACAACAGCAACUGGGUCCAACAAGUUGAACCCAUCAGGAAGUGAACUCACCCGAAACCUUAAAAAGUCAGUGUUGUUUGUGUUGAUCAUGCUGGCCAGGUAAGACGUCCACGACCGGCCUAGCCCGGCGGCGCCGACAAUGGCCUCGAGGAGAAUGUUCCCGGCAGCGAUGAAGGCGACGAAGUCACCGAGCUCGAUCCUGAGAUAAGAGAAGGAGCCUCCGGCGACGGGGACUUCGACGGCGAACUCGGUAUAGCAGAGGACGGAGAGGAGAGCGGAGAGGCCGGAGAUGGCGUAGGAGAGGACAAUGGCGGGGCCGACCAUGAGAGCUGCUUCGCCGGUGAUGACAAAAAUGCCGGAGCCGACGACGGAGCCGAAGCCGAGCCAGAUGAGGUCCCACCAGGUGAGGCAGCGUUUCAUGUGGUGCUCGCUUUGCUUGGGGAGGUGGAGGAGCUCGAAGGAGUCGGAGGAGCGGUUGAGGAGGCGGUCUUUGAGGCGGGAGGGAGUGUGGGAGAGGGCGUCUUUGUAGGAAGUCAAGUUUUGGAAAGUGGGUUCCGGGAAGAAGUCUUGCUUGGUCCAUCUUUUCCAGUAGCUUCUGGGUUCUUGCUGCUCCGGUUGGGAAUCCAUGGCCGGUGGUUCAGUGUUUUGAGAGAGUUUGGUGGUGAUGGUGAUGGGGAUUGUGUUGGUAGUAUAUGUGGAAUUCUGAUGGGUUUAGAAUCCAAUUUUACGAUGGAUUGGAAAUUGAAUGAUGCGAUCAGAGAGUUUUACUUUUGGUUGUUUGUUGUCUAUUUAAGCCAGGUAAAGUCGGCGGUUACUCCAAUCUGGCAGAUUGAGAGAUUCCGUCGGAUUCAGUACAGUUUUGCAGUGUAAAAUUACCGGAUUCUCGUCCACGUCAUAGAUUCUAAAUAUAAAUCUCGUCUGACCGAACGUGGGUAAAAAAUCGACUGAAUGGAACUAAAAAAACCGGAUCGGAUAACUGAACCAAAAUAUUUAAGUCAAAACAAGUAGUGAAUCAAACCGAACCAGUUUAAAUCAGAUUGGAUCCGGUUCAACCUCUUAAACAAACCAAAAAUAACCGAAUCGACCCGAAUUAUAUAAUGUGUAAAUAUAAAUAAUUUAUAUACCUGAAAUACUAUUAUUACUAGUUGAUUUCAUAUCUACUUACAGAGUAUUACAGAGUAUUCUCCCACACUUAAUCUCUCCAUAUAAAAGACAAGUUCUCAUUAAACUCAUUUCUUGAAAAAAUCUGUUAGUAUAGAAAAGAUUGGGAAUGCAUUAGAUUGUUUGUUGUACUUUGAGUUUAUAUUUUUCCUUACAAAAAAAAAAUAUGUUACUUAAGUCAAAAACUUGGAGUUCAACUUUACAGUAAGAUAGUAGAUAGGCCAAAAGUUUUUCAAAUAUGGACCAAAACUGAAACCGACCCGACUUGAUCCGAAAUGGGCCGAAUAAUCGGGUCAAAAAUUUUAAAAUCUGGAUUUGGUUGGAAAAAAUCUUAACCCGAAUAAUUCGGAUUGGUUUUAGUUUUAUCCUAAAACCGACCCAAACCGAAGAUGCCCAACCUUACUCUCAAUCAAAAAUUAAAAUCUCUGCGAUAUAUUUGAUAUAUCAUUCGAUAUCUCUUUCUUGAAAGGACUUAUAUAUCUAUAUAUCUAGGGAAGUGAAAUCCACACUCCCCAAAUUGUAAUUUACACUCUCACUUUCUAUUUUUGGUAACUUAAAUAUUGUCCUUAAUGACUUAACUUUUGUUUUUUAUGAAAAUGAUGACUAAAAGUAGAAAAUGAGAGUGUAGAUUACAAUUUGGAGAGUGUGAAUUUCACAUCACUGUAUCUAAAAGGGUAAAUAUCUUAUCUUCCACCUUAUCUCCGAUUUCUAUCUGAUACCGUUAAAUAUCUCUGAUAUUUAGAAAAUUAAAUAAGGUGGAACCAUUAUAAUUCCAAUAGAAAUAGUUUACUUUUUAAUUUUUCUGUUCUAAGAUAUUUCAUAUGUGUGCCUUGGCUUUAUGCCAUAAAGAUAUGUAGUUAGAAUAUGACUAUGUAUUCCUUUUUAUUACCAUAUUAAUAUUUUGUAAUUCAUUAUAUAAAGAGCUUCUAUCAAUGAAUAUGAUGAUGAUUCUCUAUUCUCUUUCUAUCUCUUAUUCUCUACAAUUUAUAUUUAAUCACGUUAUCAACACAAACAUUAUUGAUACGCACCAAUCUUUCUAUUGCGUCUUAGGGUUAUGCAAUAUUUGCAUGCAGCUUUACUAUUCAUCUACGACCCAUCAUCAUUGAAUAUUUUUGUAUUACAGCUCGUGAUUGUGUACAAGGAUUGACAUGAAAUUGCAAUCCUUGAGCUCGGCAAGAUUAAAACGAAUCUCCAAUCCUUGAGCUAAGUGUCGUUAUGAAAAGUUGUAAAGCUAAGUGUAGCUAUACGCCCACGCAACGCCAAUGUAAUGGCAGUAACUCCUUUUUUAAUACUUAGUGGCAUGAAAGGUUGAAGCUUAUUCUAUCCCUACAUAAGAAAGACACAUCAAAAGCGAAAUUAGAAUCUACCAAGUUUCAUAGGUCAAAUUCUACGGGACCUACAAGAAAUCUCACUCACUAGAAAAUGGUGAAAUUGGUACCAUUGGAAAGGUCUAUGUGUCUACUUUCCAGGGAUAUCAACCAUUUGAUCAUACCUACCAUAUUGAGUGAGUUAUGGCCGUUUUCGUAAAGUAGGACGAAUCUGUCCGAGAAUCUCAUUUUGGCAAAAUAGUCAACUUUGAUGGGACUUUGUGAACAGCUCCUGACGAAUCAGAAUUUGUGUAAUAUACAAUUGGAAAUCUAAAUGAGUCUAGUUUCCAAAACCGUUUAUGGUUUGUUCAUAUGUAUUUCCUAGAAGAAGUUACGGCUGUUCUAGUAACUGAAGGUUAUGCUGCGCGGAAAUCUGAUUUUUUGGACGAACUUAUGUUUUGAGUUCACAAGAUCUAAGUGUAAAAGAUCAUGUUUGAGGAAAAUACGACAUGAUCUAGAUAAUCAUUGUCCAAUGCCACAUUUGAAGACAUGAUUUAAGAGAAUUGUAAUGCUAAGUUAUUAAAACUUCCGUGGUUAGUAAAAAUCAGGAAGAGCUCUAUGAUUGAUGUAAAGAUCAAGAGGAGGUGCGAACUUCAGGGGGAGUCUAACACAUACAUACAUGUCAUUAUCAAAUGUGAAGGGUGCGUUGUAUUCUUUUUCUCCUACGAUCAAGGUUUAGUUUUUUUCUCCCAUAAAGUUUUUGUUACUUGAUGAGGUUUUUAACGAGGCGACAUAUCAGCACCACCGGCAUACCGGCGCACGACACAAGGGGAAGUGUUCUAGAAUAUUCCAUAUGUGUGUCUUAGCCUUAUGCCAUCAGGAUAUGUAGUUAGAAUAAGACUAUACAUUCAUUUCAUUACAAUAUUGGUACUUUGUAAUUCCCUAUAUAAAGGGCUCCUAUCAAUGAAAAUGAUGAUGAUUCUCUAUUCUCUUUCUAUCUCUCAUUCUCUACAGUUUAUAUUUAAUCAGUUUCAAGUAUUUGCAAUAAAAAAAAAUGACUUUCUCUCGUCUAGUCGCUCUCCCUUCUACCCUAGCCCUCGUCUCCUCUCCUGAUGGUAGCGAUGGAUUUUGGAACGAUGGCGGCGGUGGGUUUUGUGUUGUCAGCCUAAGUUGUCUUCAGGUACUAGGAGAGCUGCUACUCAACUCCAUCUCUCUUCCUUCUUAUCUCCUUGCGGUGGUGGAUGGGGAGGUUUUAUCACUCCUACCGAGUGGUUUCUCCGAUGCUCUACAUUGGCACAAGACACGGUGUCGGUGAUGGAGUUGAUGGUUGGUGCAUCUUCAGUGGUGGUGAUGGAGUUCAAGAUCUAGUUCUCACAGUUGUCAAGAUGAAGGCAUUGUCGACAUGUGCAAUGGUGCUUCUAGUGGUGUCGGCUUUCGACGUGUAUGUCUGGAGUGAUGAUGGCGAUGUUGCCUAUCAAAAUUGGCUACCGAAGAACCCUGGGUUGACCGACAAGGCAGUUUCUGGUGAGAUGGUAACUGAUGGCGGGGAUGGGAUUUUGGGGGAUUUGGGCCUCAAAUCUGUGAUGUUAAGGUUGAAGGUUUGGGCCUUAGGACUACUAUCACUUCAGCUUGGAUACUGUAACACCCUGACCCAGGUGUUAGAAAAAUAAACGAAUAAAAUAAAUAAGGAAAUCCUAAAUCGAAGAUGAGAUAGGAUCUCAUAAUCAAACAAAACAAUGAACAUUUUUGUCGCGUUUGGAACCUAAAUUUUUUUUUUGUUAAUUUGCGGCUGCACCCAAAACUUGAUCGGGCUGCCUAUGUACCCUUUUAAAGGGAUCAAGCCACUCGUAGUUCAACAUUUUAAUCUACAUCUCUACCUUCCCUAACCACAUCACAUUUACCACCAUAAGUCCAAAAUCAAAACCAUACUUACAUACUCUUAAGAACCAUUUCAUGAUAUACACCAAUUUAAAAUGUUUUCUUCUAUACCCAUUAAAUCAAAUCAACCCGGCCAUACAAAGCCUCAUGCAUCAACAAAACUAUACCAAUUUAUUAUCAUUCUAAUAUAAAGUUCGAAGAGAAUAAUUAUACUCAUCAACUUAACCAAACUCCACACUUAACUCGCAAAACAACCUACUCAAGUGUCAAAUAGUGUGUAUAAGUUUGCACACAUACUUAUAUAUAUAUAUAUAUAUAUAUAAGUAUAUAUACAAUGUUGAUCAAGUGCAGACGUCCGCACCAAAGUUUUGGUGCGGAUUUACAUUUUUGCACCACUUCGCGAUCGAAUUUCUUCAAACUUCAUUCUAGACAUAUCUAGAUCAUCUUGUGUAGAUCAUCUCUGCAAAAUUUCAGCCAAUUUGGUGAUCGUUAAGGCCCUCAAACUCGAAAAACAAAUGGACGGACUGAAUUCUGUCUGGUUGUGUUCAUACCAGAAAAACUCGAGGUUUNNNNNNNNNNNNNNNNNNNNUAGAUAUGUCUAGAAGGAAGUUUGAGGAAAUUCGAUCGGGAAGUGGUGCAAAAAUGGAAAUCCGCACCAAAAACUUUGGUGCGGACGUCCGCACCUGAUCAGCAUUGAGUAUAUAUAUAUAUAUACCCCAUCAAAAUUUCCGUUAGAAUAAUAUAAAACUCAACUUAUGCAAAUCAUCAAACAUGCAUUCUUUCACCUUGAACCCAAGUUUACUAAACAUUCUAACUAGAUUUACUAUGGACACCCAUUUCAACUAAAACCAAUCUCAAAUCCAUACAUAACACUCCAAUAUUCACUUCAAUGCAUAAACACAAUCUAACAACUGUCUAAUAGUAAUAUUCCUAUACCCGGUUAUCAAUUUUAACCGUUAAUAUCGCUAGUCUUCGGAAAAUCCGAAACCUAACCAACAUUACUCCAAAAAUUGCUAACUUUCCACCAAUGGGUUUAUCUCAUUUUUAGCAAUUUAAUAAGCAUGAAAAACUGCCUAAAAAGUGGCAGCACCACCCGGCGGCCAAUCUCCGGCCACCCCCAAUCGUCACCAAAAUUUGACAGAACCUUCCUCUCAUCCCACACAACAACUUCCUAAAAGAAGUCGAAGACCAAUUCUAAGCCUAAACAGGUCAAUCAAAUCAAAAACACAAUAAAGAACCCUAGAACUCCAAUUAUACAUUUCACCCUAACAAGAUUGAAUUGGACUAAUUCUUUUUGAGGGAUUACUCACCUUGAUGAGAGCUACAAGAUGAGCCACGAAUCACGAACUUUGGUGGCUGGAGGAGCAAUUUCUGGCUAGUGGACCAUCCGGUGUUCCGACGGGAUUUCUCACGUCCGGCGGCGUCAUCGACCCAGGAAGGAAGAGGAGGCGACGAGGGUCCAAACGGGACCAGUCCGACGAUCUCUGAUGGCCGGACGGCGGCAGGUGAUGGUGGUGAAGCCGGCCGGUCCCGGGGAGACUCGGGAGGAAGGAGAGAGGAAGGAAACCCGGGGCCAAUCUCCGGCCACCCCCAAUCGUCACCAAAAUUUGACAGAACCUUCCUCUCAACCCACACAACAACUUCCUAAAAGAAGUCGAAGACCAAUUCUAAGCCUAAACAGGUCAAUCAAAUCAAAAACACAAUAAAGAACCCUAGAACUCCAAUUAUACAUUUCACCCUAACAAGAUUGAAUUGGACCAAUUCUUUUUGAGGGAUUACUCACCUUGAUGAGAGCUACAAGAUGAGCCACGAAUCACGAACUUUGGUGGCUGGAGGAGCAAUUUCCGGCUAAUGGACCAUCCGGCGUUCCGACGGGAUUUCUCACGUCCGGCGGCGUCACCGACCCAAGAAGGAAGAUGAGGCGACGAGGGUCCAAACGGGACCAGUCCGACGAUCUCUGGUGGCCGGACGGCGGCAAGUGAUGGUGGUGAAGCUGGCCGGUCCCGGGGAGACUCGGGAGGAAGGAGAGAGGAAGGAAAGAGAGUUGGGGGGGGGUGGUGUGUGUGUGUGUGUGGGUUGUAUUGUGUGUGGGCCGCUCCACCUUGGUCCAACUUUAAUACCCACAAAAAAAAUAAAGCCUACCAAAAAUUUACCUCCAACCAAAAUAGUAACUUCCGUUUUUAGACCAUAACUUUCUUCAUACGAACACUGAUUUAAACGUGCCACGUGUCAACGAACUCGUAUUAACGUCAUCUACGACUUCCAUGAAGGAAGUUUUCCCAAAUUAUCGACUUAACGUCAACUUUUUGGGUCCUUUACAGUAAAACGGUUACAAGAAACAAUAAUUAAAAAUUUACUGUAAACUUCAUAAAUUCACAAAACAUAGCUUGUCGCUCCGGAAAAUAAUCUGGGCAUAUCGGUGAGCUCGUAUAAACGUGUACCACGAUUUCGGAGUUUUAAAUCCACUAUUUACCAUUUUCAGACAAACUCGAAAACAAAAUCAAGCAAUCGCUAUUUAAAUCUCUGAGCGCGAAUGAAGAAGCAUUCGCGGUAACUCGUAACCCCGAACAGUAACCUUUUAGGUACGGGGUAUUACAGAUACUUUCGGGCUUGUCUUGCAACUAUCUCAGAGUCCAUGUUGCUAAGGUGUUGAUGGUUGAGGAAGAAGACCACAGGGAUACCUCCUCUGUGUAGGAUGGUUUCGGGUUUGUAAAAUAAAUCAGGAUUAGCGCAUGCCCAAUCCUUUUGGUUAUGGUCUUUUGACUUUAGUUUUAGUUUUAUUUUCUGCUGGUUGAACUCCAUGUUAGUUUCUUUUAGGUCUCUUUCGAGCUAUCUAGUAUGGCUUCAUUCUCUCGGCCUUUGCGAGCGGGUCAUGUUGUAAUUACCAUUUUUCGUUUUGGUAUUAAAGGCUUCACACCCAUGUUUCAAAAAACAAAUCUCCGAUAUUUAGGAUAUUUGGGAUAUGUAUCCGAUAUACUAAAGAAAUAUAUGUAAAAAUUAUAGGCAUAAAGAAAAAUCACCACAAAAGAUACUCAAGAGAUAAAUAAUUCCUUUGAGGCAUAUUCCAAUAAAGAAAAGGUCUGAAGUGAUUUAUGGGAGAGGGGUAAUCCCCUUGAGGGUUAUAAAAAUUUUACAAUGUGUUAAUGCAUGACAUAUUUCAACUCUGUCAUAAAAUUGUAAAAUGAGUCAUUAAAGUGAUAAUAUUAGUCAUUAAAGUUGUAAAUAUUCUUAGUUAUCUCAUGAGUUUUUAAUUCAUUUGAGGUACAUUCCAAUAAAGAGUAAGGGUCUAAAGUGAUUUAUGGGAGAGGGGUAAUCAUCUUGAGGGUUAUAUAAAUUCUACAAUGUGUUAAUGCAUGACAUAUUUCAACUCUGUCAUAAAAUUGUAAAAUGAUUCAUCAAAAUGAUAAUAUUAGUCAUUAAAGUUGUAAAUAUUCUUAGUUAUCUCAUGAGUUUUUAAAGUAGUAAUAUUAAUAUUUAAAGUGGUAAUCUGAGUCAUUAAAGUGAUUAAAAAAAGUUGAUACAACUUUGAGGACUAAAUUACCAUUAUAAGAACACAUUUUACCAUUUAAGGACUAAUGUUGUAAUUAAAAUUUUACAACUUUAAAGACGCAUAUUACAACUUUAAUGACCAAUUUUAUUAAUUUGAGGACUCAUUUUUCAAUUUAGGACAAAAUUGAUGCAUGUUAUGCAUAACACACCUUAGCCUUCCCAGGAGGGAUAUCUAGAUGUGGAGUGAGUAUCAUCGUGCGUCUUUUCAACUAUAUAGAGUCUUUUUCUAGAUGUAGACGAAGUUGAUGUUUGUAGUUUUGUACUGUUUAUAUGUAAAUCUAUUAAAUUUCAGAAUAAAUUUUAUGUGACAGCCCGGAAUUUAAUUAUGUAUAUACCUAUUUACAAAUUUGCUUAUAUAUUACAUGUAUCUAUAUAUAGGUAUGACUGUUUAAGUGGUGUGUGUAUAUAUAUGUUGUUAUAUAUGCUGAAAAUUAAUAUAGUUAUAUAGUUUAUUUUAUUUUUAUUGAAUUUAAUGAGUAGAGUUUUUAUCGAAGCCCAAUACCCAAAUACAAAACCCAAGCCCAAACUUGAUAUAGCUAGGAAAAAAGUCAAAAACUGUUGUCUUGAGAUUGUAGAACGAUUGCUUUCUUCUUCAACGACUUCUUCUCCUUUCACCACCUUCUCCUCCUUGACCGACUUCUUCUUCUUUCCUUGUUCUCCAAGUCUGAAAACUUUCUCUAACCGCCUUAGAUAGCUAGCUACCGCCUUAAAAGAGUCAAAUUUCACGGCUACCGCCAUGAACAAACAGGAGGUGUCAAAUUCCUAGGGAUUUGUUGAUGACUCAUUGAAGCUAUACAGUAGGAGCUAGAACCCUAGGAGUCUAGUCUAGCACCUAAAAGGGUAAGAUUUUAGUUGCAUAAUUCAAUUUUGCUUCUUAUGAUUUUGUCUUGGACGCCAAGUUCUACACUUUUUCUAAACACUAUAAAUAGGACUGAGUUUUGUAGAUUUUUUAGGUUUUCAGAAGUCUUUUCCUAUUGAGAGAGAGAGAGAGAGAGAGAGAGAGAGAGAGAGAGAGAGAGAGAGACGUACGUNNNNNNNNNNNNNNNNNNNNGAGAGAGAGAGAACCUGGUGUUGUAGGGAAUUGGUAGAAGAAUUCAGGAACUUGCUUCAGGAGAUCAGCAAAUGUAUGGGGAAUUAGGGAACCUCUAUGAUUGAUUUCUAUGUUGUUUCAAUGGUUUUUGCUUGUCUGAAAUGUUUGUCUCUUUGCUGCAAAUUAUUUAUAUAAUUUAUUUCAAUGUAUAGAGAUGCUAUAUAUGGUAUGAGGAGAAUGGUAGUGGUAUGCAUAAAGUACUUUGGGUAAAGAAGUUAGUGAUGAAACUUUUGUGUAGUUGAGUUUUUGUCCUUGAAGGUACCAUUUCACACGAUGCCCAUGUGAAUGCGCGAGAAUGCGUGAAAAUGCACGAUUAGUAUAGGUGAAAAGGACGGGAUUGACAAAAGAGGAAUAGACAAGAUGACAAGUAAAACGGGAAUGUGAGAUUGAGUGGAAGGUAGUUCAUAUAAAUGAGUAGCCUAAGUCACCCUUGUGGGAAAAUACAUGGUAUGAGACAUGUAGACUGUCUAUUUAGCUAUAUGAACUAUAUGGAGUUGAUAAUAGAUGCAUUCAUCCAUUUUACUAAAGUUGUUCAUUUUCUAUCUUGUUUGAAGAUGUUUUUGCCUCCUACUGGGUUUAUUAUGCUCACCCUUUAAAUUAUUGUGCAGGGUCAAGAACAUGUUGAGUUCCCUUUAAGGAUGUUAUCAUCUUAUUUAUGUGUGACGUUUGCUUAUGUAAAAUUAGACUUAGACCCUAAUCAGUCUUCUUUUGUAAUUUUGGUUUGAGGAUAUAUUGUAAUAAAGAAUAAAUUUUAGUUUCGUGUUCAGUUGUUCUUUUCCAAUUUCUUUCAUACUCUAAUUAUGGAAAAUCUAUUUCAUAUUUAGAAUAUGAGUUACAUCUCAACAAAAAAAAAAUUGGAGUGUGACAUUUUCUUCCUCAUUUUUCGAUAUUUUUUCCCGGUUAUCCCCGAUAUAUCCGAUAUCUCAUUUCUUCAAAGUACCGAUAGAUAUAUCGAUAUCGAUAUUUUAAUCCUUGGUCCCAAAUGGAGAAUAGACUCGAAGAAUACAGACUUUAAAGGGAUGAUAAGGCAUCUGAUUGAGUUGAACUCCUUAUCAAAUAGGAACUUCAUUCAAUAAGAACAGAUUACAAAGAGAGAUGUAUGCGAACGCAUUUAGACUUAAGACUGAAAAUAUAUACUGAAUAGAAACAAACAGAUGCAACGACAUAAAACAACACAAAACAAAAACAACAACGACAAAGAUAUUGCUUCGAAUCAAGACACAUUCAAUGAGCCAUGGUCUGGUUGCUUAGGUAGCCUAAUUGACAACGUUGAUUUUAUGAGUGCAAACCUUACUAAAAUAUGUAAUGGGUGUGUGAGUUAUAUAAUAAAAAGUUUUUUUUUUCAUUUCAAAAAAACAAAGAGACACAAUUGUAAUUUAGGUCCACACGUGAGCGUUCCGCUGGAAUUCUGAACAAACAUCAGGCAUACCCACACAAACUACAAGAGACACAAUAACCUAACCAAACACAAGAAGGGAAGCCCAAAAGCGGCUCCACCACCAGUGACACAGCCGAGGGCAAUGGGUCGAGCAUAACUUAUGCCGAGCACCUUGACAUCAACCUUCAAUCUGGAGUCAGAAUGAAGCACUGACCAAGAAUCUCCAUAAGGCCAAACGACAAGGAUGGACCUCGAGAAAAUUGCCAAAACAGCAAAAGCUUUAUUCAUCGAUAAAAGAAGAACGAAUAACAACAGCUUCUGGACCCAUCUAGGACCAAUCACCAUCGGCAAUUGCCGGACAACAACUGAAGAUGCCACCCACCGCAACAAGAGACAACCUGAACCAUGAAAUACUCUGUUACAUUUAAAAUUAUUAAAUAUUUUGAUAUAUGUGUGAGCCUUCAUGGGAGAUUUUAUUGAGUUAAUUGUUGCUAUUUUGAGUAUUACUGUAUGAUCUCGAUUGAUAAAUAAAUUUUCGAGGAUAUUUUUAAGGUUCCAAUAUAUUUUAAUUUUGAUUUUGAAGAUUGAAAUAUAUGAAAAUUCAUUUUAGAUAAGGCAAUAAUUAUGGUGCGAUAUGGACUAGGGCUGGUCAGUUAGUACCGGAAUCCCGAUCCCUUACUGGUCCCGUCCCGAAAGUUAGCGGGACGGGACGAGAUAGGUUUUGAAAAUAGCAAUCCCGUCCCGUUUUAACAUUACCAUAACGGGACGGGACGGGACUGGACGGGACUAUCCCGAAAAAUCCCGUCCCGUCCCGUAAUAUUAGAAUACUUGAUUUUAUUAAUUUUAUACUUGAUUUUUUAGGUUGCAUGGUGUUACAAUGCACUCAACCACACUUAAUUUGGUCUAAAAUAAUACUUUUAAUUUCAUUCAUGUUCUUUUUUUUUGCUUGUGUGAUUUUAGAUAUUUUUAGUUGUUGUUUGAGGGUUAAUUUUUAAUGUGGGAUGUUUAGUACUUUUAAAGUGGGAUGUAAUUUAGCACCUAUGCACCUAUGUUCUUAUUGAUUUUAGUACUUCUAAUUUCAUCAAUGUUCUUUUUUUUGUUUAUGUGUUUUUGGAUGUUUUUUUUCCAUUAAUUUCAUUAAUGUUGUUCCAAACAGCAUAAAAAUGUCGAAAAUUUCAUACACUGAUCAAUUGUGGUGGAGCAUUUGAAUGCUUGGAGUUUCUCAACCCGUUUUUUCACCUGUGAUGGUGUUUGAUAAUCAAUUAAUUUGUUCUUGAAAAAAAAAAAAAAAUUUGUCGGGAUCCCGAUCCCGUCCCGAUCGGGACGUACGGGACAGAUUUUUAAAAACACAUUCCCGUCCCGUCCCGUUCUUUUAUUUUCGGGACGGGACGAGAUUCACCAAAUCCUGGCCCGUCCCGUCCCGUGCCCAGCCCUAAUAUGGACCAUUCAAAUUGGUCAGUGUUUCAUUUGGGCAGUCUGUACGCUAACUAAUGAAAAAUAUAUGUAUAUUUGUAUAUAUGGAGUUGAAGGUCGGUGGAAAGUGACCGACAUAAGAAAUUAAAAAAGAAAAAAGAAAAAGAAAAAGGGGAAGCUUCUCGGGGACUCUCUUCCUCUCUAGAACUCUCUCUAUCUCCCUCACUUUCGUGGAUUCUCUCUCGGUCUCUCGGAAGGGAUGGUAGCAUCUUGAACCAAUCUUCGUGAGACAAGGUUACUAGAUAGUUUGCCUAGUCUGAGGAUACGUUAGAGAUGGGGUACAGGUUGUUCUUCUUCUUCUCUAGUUGUAGAAUGUCUUUCUUCUUCACUUACCGUUGUGAGGUAAAUUGGUUACCGGUCGGUGACGACGAUGCUGGGAACAAUUUCGCAUGAGGCUUCGAGAACUCUGGUUUUUUUUGGGCACUGGGGGGGGGGGGAGAAGACGGAGCUUUCGCCGACUAGGAAAAGCAACGGAGACCGCCAACCUCUUUUGUUUCCCAACAAUUAUUGGCCUUCCAACAAGCCUAGAACUCUUCUUCUUGACGAUGUGAUUCCAUCCUUAAUUGAACCCUCUCUGGAAAGCCAUCGAUGACUGUAGAAGGAAGCUCGAUAGCUUUUCUGGUUUCACCAGCGAGUUUAUGCUUUUGGCCAAGUCGAGGUCUCUUACCUUUGUGGGUAGCUCCCUUUUGAUGUCAGAAAUUUAUCUAUGUUGUUAGUGUGCUGAGAGACAAGUUAAUAUAAAAAAUCGAAAGGGAGGAAGGAUUUUGUGUUUUCCGGCAACUUUCAAUGUUUCCGGGCGAUCUUUUCGUCUUAGGUAUCAAAAUUAGUCUAUUCCCUAAGCCCCAUAUACUCUUAUAAUUGAAAGAAUUAAAUUCAGUUUACCCCCUUGUGGUUUGGAGGUAACUUCAUGUUAGUCCUUACACUUUUAUUUUCAUCAGUUUAACUCUUAAACUCUUCAAUUUCUGUCUGCCGUGCCCAAAUUCUCAUAUUUCGUUUGAAUAGACCGUUAAUUAUUAGCAGUUAAGGUCCGAUUUGCCCAAAUUCUAGAUACGGGCCUCACAAUUAAGGUUAAAAUUAUCAGCAAUUAACUUCUGAUUUGGACAUAAUAUGACAUUGGUCACACUUGAGGAAAAUUCAAAAGUUUGAGGGGUAAACUGAUGAAAUUGAAAGUAUAGGGAUUAACAUGAAGUUACUCCUAAACCUCAUGAGGGUAAACUGAAUUUAAUUCUAGUUUAAAUGGAGUUUAGUUGACAAUUUGAAGGAUUUGGAACAUUGGGUUUUAUUGCUAUAUCCAAAUAUGGUUUAUGGAAUUGUUAUUGGGUUGAUUUAUGACUGCUUAUGAGAACUGCAUGGCAUGAUUUUGAGUUGGGAAUAACGGUUUGGCUGGGUGCUUAGUAAUUUAAAGAAUAGAAGUUGAAAUAGAAAAUUUGUUGACGUAAGCUUUAAUUUUCAGUUUUGAUCUUUGAUCGAAUUAAGACGGACCUAAAGUAAAUUAUUUCUAGAAUUAUUUUGGGUCAGGUUGUUACAAAUCUCCACCGACAAGGCUUGGCUUACGACCUGCCACAUCUGACCGAGCAAUUCGACAACACAUGGGAAUCAGCUGAUGAAUUCCUCAAUAAAGCGAUGAACCCAGGACCUCACACCCCUUCACAACCCCAUAUCUAAUCCCUCCCCCACCACCGACAAUCAGAUUAACCUCACAACCCACCAUCGCCACUAACAACACCAUCACAGCCCACCGACAAGUGAGGGAACUACGUGAGGGAACUAUCCAUAUAGGUGAUGCAAAUCUCGAAGCUUGGAAAUGUGAAUGGCCUCCAAGAAAGCCUAAAGCUCAACAUCUAUUGCGCUCAGGACUCGAGGUCUUACAACAAAAGCAUGCAAGAAAACACCUUCGUGGUUCCUAGCAAUACCACCAUAACCUACAUGAUUCGGAUCCCAAAAAGAGGCGUAUUGAACUUUAUCCAUGGGUAUUCCCAGGGCCUCCAGACAGCUCGUAGAAAAAUAGGAGCACUCGGCCAAAAUUGAGAGAUCCCCAAGAACAUAAACAUGGGAGUACUCGAGCGGUAAUUUGAAGAAGAGAAUAUAAGGCUCACUGAUUCUCUUAAGGACAUCACAAAGAAAUGUCGAAAUCUUAUAAAGGAAAAAAAAUACCUUCAUCAUACUUUAAGCGGUUUUGCUCAAACCAUAGACACCAUAUAAGUGUGCAGAUAGUUAUACGCCAUAAUAUUUUGGAAGACUUGGUGAGCUUAGAAAUGAUCACUUCAGAAAACACCGCAUGCAAGGUUAAUUGUGUAAUGCUCAAGGCGAUCCUAAAGCUUAAUUUUUAUCAUCUCAAGCUUAAUUUUGAUGGUUCGGUAACGCUUUACUUUGCUGCUUUUGCCUUCCUUUUUCGAAUGCUCAAGGCCAUCCUAUUUUAGCUUCAACCACACAUGUGGGAACAACAUAUAUAUGAUCUUGUCGUAGAAGCUUUGGUUCUUCGUGCUGGCCUUAUUGCAGCCUAGUACCAUGGUUUCCAGCAGUUUCUCGUUGAAGGCUACUCUAAAGUUCUUAUUAAUGACAUCAACAACACAACGUUAUGUCCUUGGUAUAUCUCUUCACUUAUGUCCUUGAAAGUUUCCACCUUCACGAGAGAACAUAAUUUUGUUGCAAAUGUAUUAGCGAAGUUGCGACAUCCCUGUUUUUAUUUUGACUCCUUGAAAGAGUUAAUUAGUUGUUGUUUUUUUUUUAUCAAUCAAAUAACUCAAAUGCAAGAACGAGUCUAUUGUAAGUUAAACUCACGACCUCUCACUUACAUAGGGGAGACUGAUGUCACUACAUGCACCAAAUGGUGAUAUUAUCUAAAUUAUCCAAAGAUUGUGAUAAUUUGGAGCGAAAAAGAUUAUAAUAAAGUAUUAGAUUUUCAAUUUUUGAUAGUUGUUUUAAUGGUGAUAUUUUCAAUUUUACACCAAAUCUUAUAAUAAAGUAUAAGAUUUUCAAUUUUUGAUAGUUGUUUUAAGGGUUUUUGUUUGUAGUUGUGUGUGUUUUUUUUAGGGAAAAUGGAGUCGAGCUCCUUUGAUUUCAAAUCAUAUGACCGUACUAGGUCAAGCUAGGAGAGUGUCCGAGAACAAACUCUAUAUUACAAUGCGAUGCACAUAUUAAUGUCUGCAAUUCCAAAAAAAAAAAAACUACUAAAAAACUACUCAGAAGACUAAUGUUCAAAUGAACUUAUUGAAGCCUAGAAAACAUGUAACCUACCUCACUCAACCACAGUACCCCAGCUUCAUACAUCGAGGCCUAAGACCAUUUUGGUGUACUUUUCCAGACACAUAGGGGGAUAUGCUAUAUAGUCAAGAGAAGUAGGAUCUAUCCCAGCAAGGGCUUGGGACUACUCGCCACCAGUUUCUUUAUUAGAAAGAGGUUCCUGUAUGACAGUCUGCCAUGGAGCUUGACGACUCACCAGUAAAUAAUUGCUUCUUGUUCUUGCUUCCUCAAGGCCUGCCUCUCUUUUUGAGGAUUUCCCCGUCUUCUUUAUCCCUAGCUCCCCACUCACAUCCAUGGAGAAACCAAGGUCUUCCAGGUUUAGGUCCAGCGACACCAUAGCCAACGAGUGCUUCAAUCUCUUCCCAUUCGCAGCUUCCGAAUCCUCUCGAUCUCAGAUGAUGCCCGUAACCUUAGCUGGGGAGGGGAAUGAAGCCACUUCCCUUAUAUGAACCGCCCUCUUCUCUCUAAAUAGUGCCGACAAAUUUUGGUACCACUAUGGCAGCCUGAGUGUUUGCCCUAAAAACCAUAGGAGGAGCCGCCGGUGCUGCACCAAUCGAAACUCUAGUCCCUUCUUCAGCUUCUUGGGCGUUAGGGCAAGGCAAUCCACAAUAGUUCAACAUCAUGCAAUCCCUGCACAAACCAACAAGCCUUUCAUACCUGUACUGCACCCUAAUCACAUCCUCCCGUGACACGCGCAGUCUCCUAUCCAUCCUCACCGGGCUGUUUAGAGGAAGCAUGAUGCGCACGCGAGUAGAUCCCCUCCUCAGUCCCGCCUGGUCGACAUUGAAGAUAGGUCCAAUAGUCUCCCCUACCAGUCAGAGUGUGGCCUCUGUGGUGAGUGCCGCCGGUAAGUCACAUACCUCCACCCAAAUCCAAAAGAAGUCGAGUGACACCACCAUGAUAUCGGAGAAGCCGUGGUAAUUAUUCAACAAGAUCAUGACCCUCUGGUAAGUCUAGGGACCUCCUUUCUUCACCCGACCAAGAUCACAUUGAUUGAACGUGAACAAGAAUCGAUCCCCACGCUGCUGCACCUCUACCGGCUCAGAUAGUCUCCAUAUCGCUCGGACGGCGCUUCGAAAGGAAUUGAAUUGCACCACACGGGCAGAGUUCAGUUUCCCAACAGAUAAAACCUUUGAGCGACGAAACCCUUUCCCGGACAUUUUAGGUUUCCGAGAUCCACAGCUUCGUCCUCUUGACGAAGAGAGAGCUUUGAGAUCAAGAGAGCGGUCAUGGACGCCAUUGCCGCACCUCCACCGAGAACCUUAACCGCUGCCAUACUGAGAUCAUGCCGCACAGCUUGUUAUCUCUCACCAAAACCCUAACCCUAGCCGCCUUAGAGAAAGAGAGAAAGCAAGAGGCAAGCCGCGGUUAUUUUUUUUUUUUUUUCUUUGUUUGUAGUUGUGUUUAGUUUUAGUUAUGUACGAAAAAAAAAAAAACUUUUAGCCUAUAUUUUCAAUUAAAAAUUUAAAGGUAGAAGGUUUUAUUCAAACUUUAAAAAAUUUAAAAGAAGGGUUUAUUCAAAAGAUUUAAAAGAGGCAAAAGCUGCACUACCGGCGUCGUACCGUACUCGAUCCUAACAGAGUCGUUAACAGAAGGGUAUUUUUGUGAUUUUCAAUAGUCACGGUAACUAGCUAAUUUUACUGCGACACAAAAGAGAGAAUUUCGAAGGAUUGAAAGUUAGACGGUGUUUCUUUGCCAGGAUAUAGUUGCUGUCAGACAACAUGCGUUGUUUGGAGACCCAGAUUUGUAUGGGCAGGAAAUCAAAAAUCCUGUCAGAGGUGGAUAAGAAAUCUGGUUAGAAUGGUGUUAUAAAUUAAAUCCAUCAAACUCAUCCGAAAAAGCAAACCUCGUCUCUUUCCUCUACGACCUCCAUCUGUUACCUGCUCGGUUUCAGUUUUCCGGCCAUCUGCGGUCUCCAAUCCUCAUUUUGUCGUCUUUUAGGUACAUAUCUCUUCAUUGUUAAAUCUUCUUUGUGUUUUGUACAUGCUAUUUUCUCUAGGAAAUUGAACUCCAGUGAUAUGUAAUGGAUCUUUCUCUCUAAUUUAUUGGGUUUUCUUUCCCUUUGUUGUGUAUUGCAAAUUUAUUUCAUAUGUGAUUUUAGACGAAUUUUUGUUUGCUGGGAGGAUCUCAGAUUGUAGAGAUUCUUAUAUCUUGUUAGAUUGUUGUUUUGGGGGUUGUGGCGUUUGCGGCUCUGAUACUUGUUGUGUGCUUAAGAAGGAAAGGGGAAGAUGAGGUUUCAGGGGCCUGUCGUUGGAGAAGAUGAUUUCUAGGAGUCAGGAUGCGAAUAACAGGCUGGUUUUCUUGGAGGGUUAUCAUUAUGCAUUUGAUCUGGAGGAUUUGUUGAGGGAUUCAGCUGACGUACUUGGGAAGGGGACGUUUGGUACAGCUUAUAAAGUGAUAUUGGAGGAGGAUGUAACUAUUGUGGUUUUGCAUUUGCUGUGUUCAUUCUUUGAUGAAUCUAUCUAUUGAAAUUUGUUGAAUGUAAAUAGCUUAUUGUUGUACUUAUGUUUUUGGAGUAUGAAAAUUCAUAGAGGUAAUCUUUUAAUCAGUAGAUUGCUCUAGCUUUGGUGGAGUGUUAAUAGGAGAGGCGAAGCUUAUACAAAAUUCAGUUAGUUUGUAGUUUUGUACAGUUAUUCAGAAUGUAGUAAGAAUGUGAUAAAUGUCCAUUGGAGCAAACCUAAAACUAAGAUGAAUGUUAGGCUGUUCUUAAUAACUGUUUUGAAUGGUUUUUUGGUUUUUUUCAUGUGUCAAAACUGAAAAUGUGUUUGGAAUAGAGAAGAUGAAAAUGAGCCUGUAGGUCACAUUAUAUAAAUUCCGAGUAUUCUUCUACUUCUUAGUUAAACAGAAAAGAUUUCUCUAAGAUACUCGAAUUAAUUAACUAUCGUACAUGAAUGUUGUUAUUGAUUACCUUUAAAAAUUAUAUAUUGUUCACAUUAGUCUGGAACUACCAAAACUUUUCUUCUAUUUUCGGGGGAAAUGGGGUUUCUGGUUUAGCAUUUAACAUCCUAAAAGGGUUCACCAGUUACUGUGGUUUUAUAUGCACUUAUGCUGAGCAUUUAGUUUUCUUUAGAAGUGAAGUUAAAGAAAUAAAAUGUACUGUGAAUUUCUCGUUCAUGGAUAUAUAUAAUGAUUGCUUACUGUUUUCUUGGAUCACAGUUUGGUAUAUUACAGUAUCAGUAGUUCUUGAGGUUGUGCAAGAUGCAUGUGAAUCAGAUAAAGUGUUGCAUGAUUAAGGUUUGAGCAAGCGACUCUAAGUUUUUUUUUUUUUUUUUUAGAGAUACACAUACCUUUCAUAUGGAGUUCUUGUAUGAAACUUUGAUGCUUCCAAUCUUACAUGAACAAAGGAGAGAGGCUUUGGGGCAGCUAAAUGAUGGUUGCCAGGUAAGCCUCUUUCAAAGAAGUGAUGUAGGCUUCGAGCGGGAUGAUACACCUCCUUGAUGAACACAUACAUGUAGCUGAAAGGUACCAAAGAAGACGAGCUUUGAGCUAAAGAAGAUUGAGGGCUAAGUUCUUAAAAUUUAAACCUUUCAACGAAAUUGGGAAAUCAGCAGAGAAGUGAGAUAACAGUAUGGCACCCAACUCCAUCUUCAAAAAGUGUUUCGGAUUCGCUCGUGUGUUGUGCAGAGAUGGGCAACCAAUGGAGGGAUUGGCUUCACAUUUUGGUUUUGAAAAGCAGUUGUUCAGUACAAGAGUGAUUUCCCCAACGGGCCAAGACGGUUGUAUAGUCUCCUAUCUGGUGAACUCGUGUGGAUUGUCCCUAGAAGCCGCUACUCUAGUAUCUCACAAGGUAAAGCUUCAAACUUUAGACAAACCCAACUCUGUUUUAGCCCUUUUAAGAGACUAUGAAUUCUCAGAUACCCACAUCUCAACUCUUGUGCGGAGAUAGCCACGGAUUCUGGUAGCCGAUGCCCAGAAAACCCUUUUGCCAAAGCUUGAGUUUUUAAGCUCCAUAAGAAUGUCAAGGCUGGACCUUGCAAAUACACUCAGCCAUGACCCAUGGUUCAUGCAUCGAAGUUUGGAAAACUGUAUUGUACCCAUUUGUAGCUUUCUCAAGAGUGUGGUGCUCUCUGAUGACAAACUGGUGUAUAUUUUGAAGCAAUAAGUCAUGUAUUUUCAGUGAAAAUCUAACCAAGAAUGUGAUACCCAAUUUUGAGCUUGUGAGGGAAUUGGGCAUGCCCCAGUCAUGUAUUGUAUUGUUGCUAACCAUAUAUCCUAUCGUGUUGAGGAAGCCUGAAUUGUUUAGUCAACUUGUGGCUGAAGUUGAACAAUGGGGAUUUGACCCUCAAAAGUCGAGCUUUGUGCUAGCUAUGAAUGCAUUAUGUAGAAAAGAGACGACAUGGAAACGAUGUCAUCAAGCUUAUAGGAGGUGGGGUUGGUCGGACAAUGAUAUUGUUGCUGCCUUCAGGAUGGAUCCACUGUGUAUGAUUUUAUCGGAGAAGAAAAUAAUGGCAACAAUGGAUUUCUUUGUGAACAAGAUGGGGUGGUAGUCACAUACGGUUGCCACAUAUCCCCAUGUUUUGAGUUACAACUUGGAGAAGAAAAUCAUCCCGAGGUUUUCAAUUGUUAGAGUUUUGGUGUUAAAAGGAUUGAUAGAAAAGCACAAGUUGAAUUUGGGUUCUGUGAUUUCGGUGUCGGAGGAGUACUUCUUGAAUAGGUUUGUGAACAAAUAUCUAAACCAAGUACCUCAAUUGUUGGAUGUGUACCAAGGGAAAGUGGCAACAUUUUAACAGUUCUUGGGUGACAGUGUUGAAUCCAGAGGUGCUACCAGGUUUGUCAAUUAUUUUCAUAUACAUAAAACCCUUCAUUGAGACUUUCAUAAUUCAUAAAGUUUCUGUUUUAAUGGGACUUGGCUACGUUAUGUCGAUCGAUUUCUUUCAUCUCUCUCUAUAUGAGUAACAUAAAGUUUCAGCACAGCACUAUCUAAAUUUUGCAAAAUCCUUUCACCUCUAUCAUAUAUAAAUGUUUCAGAAAAAUCACAUGGAGCAAUUGCAGAUCUUGUGUAUGAUGGCAUGGUACAAAACUUGCUAGAGACGAGUACGUAAGAGUUUUAGGAAGGAUUUUGUCAUUUAGAGCGUAAGAAAGGGAUCAGAAGUUCAGAUCACUAGGGAUGAACAGAGAAUGAGCUAGAGACAUAUCUACUGAGACUCUAAAUUAUUGAUCAAAUAGAUGUUAGAAGAAAUGAGGGUUUUGCUUUUUUCUUUGUAACUAAAUCGUGUAUGAUCUUUCUUAAUAGUAAACUAGCAGGUAGUUUCUUCAUCUUAGUGAUUUCCGUUUCCAACAAUACAUCUUGGUUGGUAUUUCACAUCUUUUGGUCUGCAUCUUGUUCACUCUGCUACAAUAGUUCUCAACUGGCAUUUCCAUCUUCGAUUGUCGACUCUUGUUGAUCGAUCUAGUGAGCUACAUCAUAUGUUGCAUGUACACCCACCAACAAAUAGUAGACAACCAUUACUGCGGUGCAAAUGGCGAACCUUAAGAAUGCAAGAUAGCCAAGAGAGCCGAUGAGAAAAACAUUAAUUCCCAUUGACACUACAGGCAACCAUGGGACUAGUGGAACACCCCAAACCUUGGCAACUCUUUGCUUUGGCAGUAAUGUCAUCCACAAAGUCCCAAGAAACCAAAUUGAAGUGGCUAUCACAUACCAAAUCUACCCUCGCACAUUUGAAUUCCAAAGCACUACAAUUCCAAUUGAAGAACCAACUAUAACAAACAAGCUUGCGAGAAACUUGGCUAAGUCAUUUGUUGGUGUCACAUCCCUAACAUAAUAACACCUCACCAUCAAUGCAAUAGCCACAAAUAUAAAGAUAGCAAGUGUGCUGAAAGAGAAGAUACUCGACAGGAUAUCAAGACUAUAAAACAGUGCUACAACUGCACUAGUUAUGGUCACCAAAAUAGUAGCAUAAAUUGGGGUUCCAGUUUUCGGAUGAACCAGCGCGAACCAGGGUGGAAUCAUAUGAGCCCUUGCUAUCUGUGUUGUAACCCUAGCUUGCCCAAGAGAGCAAACAAGCAAGCUUGUAGUCAUUCCCUUUAGAGCACAUAUACUCACCAAGUAUUUGGCCCAGUUCAUCCCAAUAGCUUGAAAAGCUGCAGAAUAUGCAACAUCUACACUAAUUUGAGUGUAUCUCUGCAUCAUAACCAAAGCCAAAGACAUCAAGCAAUAAAUCAUAGUGAUCAGGCUCAUAGAAUCGAUCAAACCUACCGGAAUAUCCUUCGAUGGCCGCUUUACUUCCUCGUCCAUUGUUGCAACCAGAUCAAAGCCAGUGUAAGACCAAUAAACCAUAGUUGAAGCCUUGAAAACACCUUCUGCCCCAUAUGGGAAAAAAGGCUUCAAAUUUGAAGUUUUUCCAUGAGAAAAUCCAACUGCUAUGAUAAACACAAUGACCACAACACUAGCAAUAGAGGUAAUCCAAUUCAGAAUAGAAGUCCUACUUGUCCCACUCAUUGCUAUACCAUUAGCAACUAAAAGCACUACAACAGCAACAGGGUCCAAAAGAUUGAAACCAUCAGGUAAAGACUGUACCGAAAAUCGCAGCAAAUUGGUGUUAGAAUUGAUAAUGCUGGCAAAGUAAGACGACCACGACUGGCCUAGUCCACCUGCACCAACAACAACCUCCAACAGAAUGUUCCCCGCCGCAAUAAUCGCCACGAAGUCUCCUAGUUUGAUCCAGAGAUAGGAAAAAGACCCGCCUGCCACCGGAAUCUCAACAGCAAACUCAGUGUAGCACAUCACAGAUAGCAAUGUAGAGAGGCCGGAGAUAACAUAUGACAAGACAAUGGCGGGUCCAGCAUGGAGAGCGGCCUCGCCUAUGAUAACAAAAAUGCCAGAGCCGACGACGAAGCCAAAGCUGAGCCAGACCAAGUCCCACCAGUUGAGGCAGCACUUCAUUGUGUUUUCGCUUUGCUUGGGGAGUUGGAGGAGUUCGUAGGAGUCGGUGGAGCGGUUGAGGUGGCGGUCCUUGAGGCGGGAGGGAGUCUUGGAGAGUGCUUGUUUAUAGGAAGUGAAGUUUUUAAACGUGGGUUCCGGGAAGAAGUCCUGCUUGCUCCAUCUUUUCCAAUAGCUUCUCUGCUUUGUUUCUUGAUCCAUGGAUGUGUGUGGUUUAGGAACUUGGAGAUCACAGAAGAAAGGGUGGAGGCUAGGGUGUGUAUGGAAGUCGGUUUUGUGUGGGAGUGAAUGAGUGAUAAGAGUCACAGAGAGAGACAUAGUGAGUUUGGUUGGAGAUGGAGAUGGAGAUGAUUGAUGGGGAGAGUUUAAAAUGUGAAGAAAAGCUGAUGAUUUUCAGUGGGUUGUAGGGUUUUUGUUAUUUUUUUGAAUUGGAUUUGAGGCCAAGUGCAUAGCAUGCAAUUGUAUUAAUGCUAGUAUUCGAGACAUAUGUUCUCACUAGAUUUUUUUUUUUAAUCAAACAAACAAUGAGAUCGUGAGUCGAUUUCACGACUUUUCACUUACAAUGGGAGUCUAAUGCCAGUAGACUAAACGUUUCUUACUAGAUUUUUGAGUGAUGAUUUUUUUUUUCUUUUCAUUUCAUUACAAUAAUUCCUUUAUUUUGAGGAAUGAUAUCUUUAUUUUGAGGAAUGAUAUAUAUUUUUUAUUUAAAAAAGAGUCAAUUACGACUUCUAUUAAUUUGGGUAAAACGAAAGCCAGAAGCAGCUAUUACAUACUCUACCACUAUCAUCUACAGAAUAGACAAGUAGUUGUGAGGCAUACAUCACCUAGUAUAUAAGAUAGACUACUCAUUAAUAAUCGUGCUCACUUAUUCUGUAAGCUUAUUUCUACUGAUGCAUAGACAAAUAGGCUAGAUUUAUGAAUGGAAAAACAAAAUUAAAAACAUUCUUGCCCUACAGCAGGGCUAGUUUAUUGCGAUGAAUGGAAAAAAAAAAAAAAAACUUAAGAACAUCCUUGCCCUUGGGGUUAGGGCUAGGCUGCAUAUUACCAGCUUGCAUGGUCACACCACCUACUUCCUCUUUCUUCCCCUCGGCUUUGAGGUUCUUUAGAUUCUUCGAACCGAACGGCCUUCCGCUCUUCUUCUUACCUUUAGCGCCCAUUCCACUGCCACUAUCAGAGCUCUUCCCCUCAUCCAAUAGACCAAGAGCCCUUGCUGUGAUUCUAGGUAUGAGAGUCUUCUGUUUCUUGAGAGAGAACAUAUGAGUUUCACCAGCAAAUCCAUUAGGCAACUUUAGCUUCUUAAGAGAGGCACAUGGAGACGAAGGACAUCCCCGUUUCAGUGACUCCAUCGUUGGCACAACCGUUUUCUUACCUUUGUCUAAGGCAACCAAGGCAAGGGUUUCAAGAUCAGCUUCUUCCAGAAUGGAAUCCCGAAGAAUGAUGAUUGGUUUACGUUGGGAUGGCUGAGGAUCAAACAAUCCUCAUACCACAGGUGGUUGGGUCUUGGUGGCUCCCGUCCCUUUGAAUUGGAAACAUGCAUCAGUAAAACCAAGUUUGGUUGCCGGAAAGGGUCGCGGCAGAACCAACUUCGAUGAACUAGGGUUAGGGUUUGCUCCCCCCACCUUGACACAAAUGUCAUUCUCAUGCUGAAUCAAAUUACAAUGCUUACACAGCCCAAUCAAAUUCUCAAAUUGAAAUAUAAUUUCCGCAACCACACCAUCAAUAAUUUUAAGGGUCUUUUUCCCAUAAAAGGGACGAUCUAGGGCAUGAGAAACCCUAACCCUAAUUUGCUCUGUUGUUGCAAAAAGUUUUUCAUCUUUGCAUAUUUAUUUACCUACGACAAAAGUAGUGUUUCUGAUGUAUCGAUCCUCUCAAGAGCUUUCGGCAUAUUUAGGAUCCCUACCCAAAAGUAGAGCUUGCCCAUAGGGAUGGAUAUAGGAGACUUGAGGCCAUCAUAUUCCUCCACAACUAACGAAAUCUUCCGAUAAUACCAGGGACCUCCCUAAAAUACUUUGUUGCGAUCUUUUGGGAGAUCAAAGGUGAUGAUGAACAAAUUCCAAUCUCGUGCUUGCACUCGGAAGCAACGUUAGAUCAGCCAGAUUCGCCUAAAAUGACUUUGUAGGUAAUCAGCACUGACCGGCGUUGAGUUGGUGGCUCGUGCCAAGACAUAAAGCUUCGGGUUAGGACGAGGUUCGUCUGGAUGAUCAAGGUGAGAGAUAUCGAUGACAACUCCAGUAGCAAGAGCCAGGGAGGCAGCAAAGCUAGCCGUGACAUCUUCAAGUGUAGUUGAUAUGAUGGGUAGAGAGAUCAGGUUGAAAUUUCAGAGAAUAGGGUUGGAUCAGUGGUGAAAAUUUCAGAGAAUAGGGUUGGAUCGGUGGUGGACUUGAGAAGGAAGAGAUGGAGGCUGUUUAGGGUUUUGAUAAUGCUAGGGUUUUCCUAGGUUAAAGCACAGAGACGUGCAUAAUUUUUUGUCGGGGUGGGCGCGGUUCGGUUCAGAUCGGUUUAAGGUUCAAACCGCAACCGAACCACUUUUUUCAAUUUUACAAUAUUUCAAACCGAAAUCGCAUUUCAAAAGGGUUGAAUCGAUUAUUUCGGUUACACCAUUUUUCAGUGCGGUGCAGGUCGGUUUCGGUGUGAAACCAAUUUAUUUAUUUAAGCAAGAAAUGAUUACCAAAAGUUAUGCUUAUUUUUACCUAACAAUGUCGGUAAGGCAUAAAAUGUAUUUUUAGAGUCCACAUUAAUCUACAAAUAUCAUCCAUAUCAAGUAAUUAACCAAAAUACCAUAUUUGAUUACUUAACAAACACAUAUAUAUCAACUAUCAUUCAAAUAUAGCAACUUGCGUAUGCAAACUUGAAGAUAAAUGAAUUUUUUAUAUGUUACAAACCAAAACUUUCAUCAAUAGAUAAAUAAAAUAUAAGAAAAAUGUAAUUCGGUGUUGUUCGGUUUAAAUCGGACGGUUUGUAACUUAAAACCGUUACCAAACCGCUUUAAUACGGUUCGGUGUGGUGUAACCAUAAAACAACACUGUUUUAGUUCGGUGCGGUUACCGAAUCUUAUUUUUCAGUGCGGUAACCGCAUAUUCGGUGCAAAUUGCCCACCCCUAGUUUUUUGGAAGAAGGAGGAAUGAUUAGUUACCUUCAAAUUUGGUAAACACUUAUUCCGUCUAAAAUUUUGACAAAAAACAUUCUCAAUUUCAUAAAACUUUGAUAAGAUUUACAAAAUUUAAGAAGGCAUAUGAGUCAGAUUCUUUCUAUAUGCGAAUUACUUGCUUUCGACUGGUGAUGGUGAAAUUGAUGAUGGUGCUUUUGACCGAUGAUGCUAAAAGAAAUAGUGGAUCUAGCUUCUGAUCUCAUCUUGUAAUGUAACAAUGUGUGUAUAGUACACACCCGCAUGCAUUUGCUCAAUCGCACUCUUGGGUUUGGAUUGCAAGAGGGAGUAUAAUUCAAAUGUAACACAAUGUUUCAAAUUGCUAGCUGUUGCCUGUUGGUGAUUUAUAUUGGGAACUGUAACACAAUGUUUUAUCUGAGAAUAGUGCACAAAGGGAAGUGAAAAAACAAAAAAACAAAAAGACAGAAUGAUCAAGCUAUCAAGUACAGUUCACCCAACUGAACUAACACCUUCGCUAAUAGGCAGAUAAUAAUUUCCAUAUGGGUAUCUUUUUCCGAGUUCAAGGAAUAGGCCAUUAGAGAUGUCUUUUUUUCUCUUAAAAAAGGAUACUUAUCACUUUUUAAGCAAUAAGUCAGAAGUCAUUACACACUUAUAUUACAUGUUUGCGUUCAUAUUUACAACAUAAGCUAUCAGACAUAAUAUGACAUGUAAUCCUCACUAUUAACGCAUAAACUCAUAUAAAACAUUCCACUUCUCUUAGAUAGUAACCUAGUAGCAGUAGAUGAUGCAAAACUUGAAAUAGUUACUAAUAACUAGUAGAGAUCAUGCCACAAAUGUAACAACUAAGCCAAGCACAAGUCAAAAUCAAUAGUCCCUUUGUGGGAGUUAGCAAUUGGGUAGCCAACUGCAAUUGAACCAAGGCUGAACGACCUAAACACAUCAUCAUAUUUCUUGCCCUUAAAUGUGUUCGGAGACUAAACUCAAGCUAUAAUUAUUGAAUAGACAAGCAUGAAAAUGUACUGAUUAAAUGUGAUAUGACGUUGUGUUUGGAUGAAGUAAUUUCAAUCUAUAGAAAUUUUAAAAUAAUGGGAAUUACAAUUUCAUGAAUUUAAAUUCCAUUAAUUGAGAAUUUCAUUAUUUGGAUUUCCUGAUAUAGAGUUUUUAAAUGACAAGAAUUUGUAUACAGACUAACCUCAGUUAAAGGAAUUGACAAAUGACGCAUAUUUUGUGAGGUAUUCAAACCGGAAAUUUAAGCUUCUAAAUUCCACGAUUAUUUUCUCAUGGAUUUGCUAAUUGCACGGGAUAAUUUUCACUGGAUAAGAAUCCAAAUGAGGGAAAUCAAACAUUCAGUGAUUAACUUCUUUUUAGAAAGAAAUUCAAACUAUAACUUUAGCCAUUAGGAUGCAAAUGCAAUUUUGAUAUUUUACUACAUUAGAUGAUACUAUUUAUAUCAUACUCUUAACUAAAAAUUAGACAUAUUUUGAUUCAUAAUAUUUCGUGCCCGAAAUGGUUCUUUCAGCUCACCUCAAGUCCGGAUCAGUUUAGUCAAAAACCACAAAUGAGAACUACCCAGUUCCUAAAUCUACCACAACGGGAACUCACUCUUUCUUCCUCUACAAAAUGUGGUUGUAGCCUUCUGUCUCCGAGCAUCUGCCCACAUUAUAUGCCCUCUCAUACUCAUCUUUGACAUGCUUACCCAAAUCAAACCCACCCGUAUAACCAAUAUACAUUCCAUUCUGGUCAACCAAUACGAUGGAUUUACCCUUUGAACCGCAUUGGAAAUCCAAAACAACCAUAAGGACUCACUCCCUUAGAUUCGAACUAUACAGUGGCAACUGAAACCAAGCUCAAACUACCUAGACAAUCAAGCCUCUUAUUUAACAUGGGAAUUGCCAAGACCUGGCCUCUGGCAUUGUCCCUAUAUGUAAUAUGCUCCCCAUCAAUCGACGUAACCAAACCCGUGCUCAAAUUCCUCCAAGUCCAUAGAGAGAGAGAGAGAGAGAGAGAGAGAGAGAGAGCGGAGCAGAAGAGACCACCAAGAACGACACAAAGUUUUUAUUCUAAAAAGGACCCUCCAUCACAUUCUUUGACAUUGAAUUAAAAAUGUCUCUAAAUCACCCAAGCGUAGUUCGAAGAUACUCAUCCCUUUCUUACAUCAUUGGGUUAACUACAUCAAAUUAACUAUUUUAUCUCUAUAGAGAUAUCAAAUUACGUCUAUAUCAAACUAAAUCUUACUACAUUUAUAUCAGACUAAAUUUACGUAAUGUAUCAGUAUAUUAAUGUAUCAUAAAACUUCAUUUCGAUAUUUAUUCCUUUAUUCCUCUUCAAUGUGUUUACGAAAUUCACAGUACUACCGUGUCUUCCUCCGUAAAACACAAAUAUUAUCCUCUUCUCUCUCCUCUCAUGGGUCGAAGGGAAUCGACCAGUAAACGUGGUUCUCUGUUUAAAACUUAUUGGGAAUAUCAUCUCCUGGGCCCCACAUCCACAUUAUUAAGGUUAAAAAUUUUUGACCAAACCCUCUGACGUACCUAGCCUUUAGACUUUCAACAUAUCCGACGGCCCAGCAUCAAUCAACUCAUCCCAACCUUGUCAGCUUUACUCAGGCGGGUCCCGCUCCCAAGGCUUCAGAUCAAAUGGGAGCUCGACACGUGUGGGAGGGUACACUGGUAUGGGGAGGUGUGGUGUGAAGCAGGGGAGAGAAACCCACACCCAGUGUUAAAAAAGCAGAGGCUAUUUUGGGGGUGGGAAGUGUGAAGGGGAGAGGAGUAGAGAGAAGACUGGUGUGUUUUGAGCUUACUGUCUGAGGAAUCAAGGAAUCAUUUUUCUUCUUUUUCAGGUUGAAGAAGAAGCUUACCAAGUUUGUACCUUUCUGGGUUUUUUGGUCUCGGAGCUUUGCUUGUGCAUGAGGGUAUGCUCUCAGCUCAUUCAAGUUUCAGUCUUUUUGUCUACUUUAUUUUGAAAAAAGAAAAAUGUAAAAUUUACUAUUUCACUGUUGUGUACUUGAAUCUCAGAUUUGCAUUGCUUGUUUGUUUCUGGGUAUCUUUUUGUUUUUGUAUUUAGGUAAAAUGGGAGGAGUGUCGAUGUGUUUUUUUCAAUUCUGGGAGUGUUAAAUGUAUGUUCUUGGUGGCAUUUAUGAGGAACUGGUUAGGGUUUUGGCUAGAAAGCUGUUUUAUGGAGAUUGGGGUUAUUAGGUGGGUUUCUUAAAUGGGGUUGUAUCAGAUUUCCAUUCUGCAGUAAUGGGUGUGCUUGAGUGUUGGGUAAUGUGGGUUCAUGGCUUCAGUUGUUAUAUGGGUAUCAAGUGGGUAUCAGUUGUUAUAUGGCUUUCUUGGGCUGGUAAUACUGCUUCAUUUGUAGUUAAAACUUGGAAAUAACUGUGAUUUAACUGUUUGAUGUUCAAUGCUUAGGAUUCAAUCAAUUUUCCUUUCAAUGGUUUGAUAUGUAUAUCUGAAUGCUUUUUGUGCUCUAAAUUGGAAAAUGCAGUACUGAUUUUUGUGUUUUCGAUUGAAAAUUUUGGUGAAAAUAUUACAGGUCUGAGUGGUGGGCCUGGUGGAGUAUGAUUUAUCUUGGUUUGAACUUAAAUGUCAACCUACUUGAACUUGUUUGACCUUAAGAGGUCAUCUCCGGGUUAGUUGGUGUUGAGGGAUAUUGGACAUGAGUAUGCUGGUGGGGACAUGCUUGAGCCAAGGGAAGCUGAUAUACCUGCACUGUUCUUGGUUUUCGUUGUGCUUCCUUUGCUUGCUUAUGUUUUACUUGGAAAAUGGAGUGAUGCAUCUAAGAAGAGAGAGCGGGUGAGUUUGCUUGCUCAACUCGCAUCAGAAGAAGCUUUUAGAGCAGAAGCAAUGGCUGUGGCUGAUGUUAUUCCUCCGGUUUCGUCUGUAAAGAAUAAUGUUCAUGCAUGUGCUAGAUGCUCUAGGACAGCCACUACCCGCUGCUCUAGAUGCAAAUCUGUCAGAUAUUGGUAUGCUUUAAUUUUUCAGAUAUUAUCAAUCUAUAUACUUGUUCUAUUGUUUUCAUUAUAUGCUUGUCUUCUAAAGAAGGAUCGAACUUAAAUGAUAAAUUGGAGCACUCCAAGCAUAGUGACUUAUUGACUUAAUAGCUGUUGAGGUUACUUAAUUCACAUUUGAUGCUUGUGUGGUCUUCCCAGACAGUGCUUUUAAGAUUACUUGAAAACCUGAUUCAGCCACUUUUGCUCAAAUCUCUUCACUUAAGGGCAAACUUAUAUGUUUCUUUAGUAUUGUACUUUAUUUACAUGUCUGCAACAGGGUAGUUAGAUUAUUAAGCAUUGUUAGAAGUAUGCAUUUUCUAUAAAGACAAUUAUCUGUGGAAGGGAACUUAAACACACCACUCACAACUAACUAUCAGAAAGAGGACAAUGAUUGCAGCAUCUUAGAGCAAUUAUAUUCCAAAUUUUGCACGUCCCUGAAAAAUCAGGUUAUGCUAAUCGGUGAUUUCCGCAUUGUUUUGUAUCCAAAUUGGCAUAAAAUAUAAGGAAAAAAUCAAAUGCAUGCAAGUCAUAUUACUCUUACGUACUAAAGCUGCUCCAUGAGGUUAGUCUCUAAACAUUUGUACUCAUUAAUGCAGUUCUGGGAAGUGUCAAAUAAUGCAUUGGAGGGAAGUUCACAGGCAAACAUGCAUGCAGUUGGAACCUAGUAGUGCAACCUCAUCUCCUAUGGCUGUCUCAUAUGGAGAUUCUUUUCAUAAUGACAUCAUUAAUUCACAGUACUUUGGGUGUGGUAUGGAGCAGAUUUAUGUAGAGGAAGCACCAACUGAAAAUAUAAUUUAUUCUCCAAUUUACACUGGUAUCCCGAAUAUGGUUCAGUGCGCUUCAGUUGACCCCUCUCACAUUUCCAUGCUGGAGAAAAGAACUGUGGACAAGAAGGUUUCCCGAAAAUCCAAAACCGAACUCUUGAGGAAAAAGGAUGGAUUAGCAUUUGAUCCUUCUGAAGAAACAUUUGGUGAUUGGACUACCCACUCAACCUUUUCUAACGUUGCAUCAAAAGAGGUUUCUAUGGAGCAUAAGGUUGUUAUCACUUUGUCAUUUGCUAGUAAUUUUCUCCUUUGGGUAAAUUAUGUCUGAUAACAAUGAUAAAUUGUUCUUUGCAGCCAUCAAAUAUGGAUUCUGUCUUGUCAGAUGCUGAAACUCUGAAGAAAUACCAUGCCGAUAUUUCUGAUACUUAUAUUAAUGGACAAGAUACUUCAGGACAUACAGUACUUGAGAAUGAUAAGUUUCAAGGACAAGAUGGUAACAUAUUUGAAUCAAGAAGCAACUCUGGAUUAACUAGCUCAUCAUAUUAUUCUUCAAAAAGUGGAGAAGAUGUGCAUGAAGUGGGGUCGGACUUCGUUUCCGAGGGAGAACAUUCUCUUCAAGGAGAAAAAAGUUCCAAGGAUGAAAAGGCAGAGUUCAAAAGUUCUGAAAUUGCUGCAGUAAAGGGAAGUGUGAAGGCUAAACGAGCUCCAUAUUCUCUCGGGACAAAGGUGCCUAAAUUGUCAAAAUCAACAGUCAAAGACUCUUUGAAGCAGUAUUGCUCUGAGAUAGAGAGGCAGGGAAAGAUUACUGAUGAUUCAAGUAAGUCUACUAAAAUAAUAAUGUUUAAAUGUAUCUUGAAAAUUGUAGACCCUCUAAUUCUUUGUCGGUGAUGUAGAAGUAGCUAGAAUGAAAGAGACAACUUCACAGGGAAGCAAUGGAAUGACAAACAUAAAGAUUAUGAAGAUGAUGGGUCUAAAGAAGCCAAAAAACAUUACCAGACAGGGUGUCCCUGAAGUCAGUGGUUAUCGACACAAAACUAAGAAGGUCACUCUCUGGUCAAUGCGCCUCCAGGAAAUAUAUUAGUCGUAUGAGUUCUGAGCUGAAUGCAAGGUCUAAUUGAUUUAUGGCAUAUGAUUUUCAGGUCCUGUUUCCCUAUGACGAGUUUGUGAAGUACUUUCAAUGUGAAAUCUUUGACUUAACACCUCGGGGGCUUUUAAAUUGUGGUAACAGGUACUGUAUCAUAUCUCAUAUGUAAUGUGUUACUAGGUCAUGAGCAUAGAAAUGGUUCCACGUGAUAGAAAUCAGAACUCCAUUCACUAAUCAGAUAAACUCGGAAAAUGAAAAAUACCUAGAUCAGAAGUUAGGAAAAAGAGAAAUUGAUCUCAUUUAGUAAUGAAAAUUUAGUGCAUGCUUUAAUGCCAGAUUGAUGAAGUUUAAAUCAAUAAACCUCUUGAUGGACUUCGUAGUGAUACAGACUGGCAAUUGAUCAUGGGAUUCAUAUGAAUAAACUCAUACAGUCCAAUCAUUAAUUGUUUUAAAUAAAGAUAUGCAUUGUGAUAACGUGUUUGUAAUACAUGACCAAGCAGUUUUUUAUGCACAGGAAGAAUGAUCAGAAGCUUCAUUGUUUCCUAUGAGUCGUUUAUUUCGUUUGGUUGAUUAUAAUUCUUUUUCCUUGCAGUUGCUAUGCAAAUGCUGUCUUGCAGUGCUUAACUUGCACGAAGCCACUCAUUAUCUAUUUGCUUCGCCGAUCACAUUCGAGAGCCUGUACUUUCAUUUUCUCAUAUCCCUUUCAUUAAGUUAAACAAUAGUUUUGGCUCUUUUGUUUUAAUAUGCAUGCGACUCAAUUGUUUUUUUAUGAUAUUUAUUAGGUUGUGGCAAAGAUUGGUGUCUCAUGUGUGAACUAGAGCAACAUGUGACGAUGUUACGAGAAAGUGGGGGUGCUCUUUCUCCUCGCCAGAUUCUUUUUCACAUGAGGAGUAUUAAUUGCCAAAUUGGUGAUGGAAGUCAGGAAGAUGCUCAUGAAUUUUUAAGGCAUGUCAAAAGUUGCCAUUAUAUCUUCUUUUUUUUGGUACUGAAUGCACUGCCAUUUCCAUCUGUUUACUCGUAUUGUAUCUCAUAAAUGCUGCUGUUUCCAGGCUACUAGUUGCAUCAAUGCAAUCUAUAUGCUUGGAGGGAAUGGGUGGUGAAAAUAGGGUUGAUCCAAGAUUGCAAGAAACAACUUUUAUACAACACACCUUUGGUGGGAAUCUCAGAUCCAAGGUACUUAAUGUGGACUUACAGAUGUCAUUCAUCAAGUUGAUGUUUAUAAUUAAUUUUCUUGUUGCCAUUUAUCCUCAUUUACCCCCAUGAAUGAUUGCUAAAUCAAUCUUGAUUGCCCCCAGGUUAAGUGUUUGAGAUGUCAUCAUGAGUCUGAACGAUAUGAAAACAUCAUGGAUCUUACAUUAGAAAUUUAUGGUUGGGUUGAGUCACUUGAAGAUGCGCUGACUCAGUUUACGACACCUGAAGAUUUAGAUGGUGAAAAUAUGUAUAGAUGUGGAAGGUAUGAUGACCUUAAUUUAGUGUGCUUAGACCCAUAUACUUGGUUUAUUCAGUAAAACUUAAAUAACUUACAAAUCAUAUCUUUGGGGGAAAAAGGUGUGCUGCAUAUGUUCGAGCCAGGAAGCAAUUGAGCAUACAUGAGGCACCAAAUAUCCUGACAAUUGUCUUGAAGAGGUUUCAGGUAUCAUUAUAUUUUCAAGAUAGAUGGUGGAUCUUUUUUCUUCCCAUUCUCAAGUAUCUUAAACAACACUCACAGCUUUGCUUGAGUUUCAAUUGUUUGCUACUUGCACAGCAAGUGAAACAUUUGAUUUGCAAUUUUCUUUUUGUAACUACAAGAGUUGCUAUUGUACCUUAUUCAGGUAUAGUAACUUGAAAGCAAUUUGAUUUUAAUAGAGAAAACCAGCUUAUGUUAGUCCCUUGAUGUCUUGUGACUCACUUUAAGAAAAUCCAAACCCAAUUACAAAUCACAACUCAAAUACCUAAUCAUCUAGUGCUCCAAUGUGUUCAAAAAUAAUUUUAGUUUUGACACCUUCCUGCGAGAUAGCGGUUAUCUUGGUAUUACUUGGAAUAUUAAAACAUGGCUGUCGCUUCAUCAGGAAGGAAGAUAUGGGAAGAUAAACAAGUGCAUCACAUUUCCGGAGAUGCUGGAUAUGAUUCCAUUCAUGACCGGAACGGGUGACAUUCCUCCACUUUACUUGCUAUAUGCUGUUGUGGUGCAUUUGGAUACACAAAAUGCCUCUUUCUCUGGACAUUAUAUAGCAUAUGUGAAAGACAUGCGAGGCAACUGGUUCAGGAUAGAUGACACUGAGGUAAAUGCUUCCCUUAUUUUUCGUUCAAGGGUUUGUGAUGGUGUAUCAAAUUUCAAUUUGUUAUGAAAAAGGACAAAAGAGAAAGAGGUGAAAGCUCCACUUUAAAGGUUCAUUCUGUGCAUGUGCUUUGUUCCGCCAGUCCAUAACUUGGUUCUGGUUUUUAAAAAGGUGAAAGGCCAUGAUUUGCUUUAAGUAAUCGGAUGACAUAAUUAGAAGUCGGAUACCUUUCAUUUUUAGUGAUCAGAUCCUGAAAGUGAUCAUGCUUUGUUCACAGGUUCAGCCCGUGUCAAUGGGCCAGGUUAUGAUGGAAGGGGCAUAUAUUUUAUUCUAUAUGAGGUAAGAGUUACUGGGAUAAAAGGAAAAAGGAAGUGUUUUUGAUCUCUUUCCUUAACUUUUUCUUGGUGGAGCUUGUCAGUUUCUUUUCUUCCUUGAUUCUUAAUUAACAUACUGUGGAUAUCAUUCCUUCUCAGUUUUCAUUUUACUUUUUGCUAUUUUAAGAAAAUAAAUUAAUUUCAUGCUUUUGAGCUCUUCAAAGUUUGGAAUUUCUUUCCUCAGGUCUUGCCCUCGCCCUCAAAGAGGAUUUGGAGGAAAAACUAUCAGGCAGCAAGUUCCAAAUUUUGAAAAUGGUUCUUUGCCAAAAGCUCAGAGGCCAAAGCCAAGCCAAAGCAUUCCCAGCAGCCAAUAUGUUAGCCCAGAGCAUUUACCUGGUUUUAUCAGGUCAGAAACUGCAAAUGGCAUUGCAAACAGCACUUGCAGUGACAUCCUUAGGAGUUAUAAUGGGAAUGUUUUUCCAACGGAGGAAAGUCAGAAAACAUAUGUUGACCCCACAAGCAUGGAAUUCUCAGAUGCUACAUCUAGCGAUUGGUCCCUUUUCACAAGUUCCGAUGAGGCUUCUUUCACAACUGAGAGCACUAGAGACUCUUUCAGUACUGUUGAUCAUGCUGAUGCUGGCAACAUGGAUCCAAUCUCAUCAAUUUUCAACAUCUUGUAUGCGCCAGAAUACUCUCACAGUUCUGUUGCCUGUAGAAAGUUUUCAAAUAGUAGGCUUCAUUAGCUUUGUUUCUCCAGAGUAGGGUCUUAAUUAGUUCAAUCUGUACUUGUCACCAUCCAAUUGACUGAGUACAGAAAUGGAACUAUUCAAAACAGGUCAGCGAUUCUUCAACUGCAGAUGCUUUUAGAGUUUUAGUUGAUGCAGCAUACCUGUAAGAUAUGGGAGUAACCCAUUACAGUCUUGAGUCUUGACCGAACUUCUGAUCAUUGUAAACUCUAGUAGAUGAGAGAUACUGUUAAGUAGAUGAAUUAGUCUGGUAGGAGCUGUGCCUCAAGGUUUUUGUUUUCACUGAUUGUCGGUUGGGGCACGUGGUUCUUAUCAAAACAAGUAGAAUGAACAGAUCUUGUUAGUCGUCCAAAAAAAAAAAAAAAGAAUAGAUCUUGUUAUCUAUGAAAAUUGUAAAGUUCCAGGCUUUUUCCUGGCUUCAACAUGUUUUCAUGAUCUUGUUGCAGGCAGCCGAAAUGCUUUCAAGGAAGCAUGUUCUGCUUCUGAACUUCAUUAGUAUUGUGUUACAAAUGCAGGCAACAGGACUGAACUAUAAUCCCACAGAAAUAGUUACUUAAAAAACAUACAGCCUCUUUAUUCUUUAUGAACUAUAAGUUUGACAGCAGUUAGGUUACACAACAUCUCACUACAGAAACUUAGCAGGUUCGAACUUCUCUAACAUUCACUACCUUCACCAUCUCUGUCUCUACCAAGAGGUCUGCGAAAUCUGAAAGACGGUGAUUUGGCUCUCAUUUUACUCCAUAUCAAAUGACAUCCAGAUCUCAUUCACCCUGUGAUCGAAUUCAAAUGGAGAGUUGUACUGUGCAACAGUAUAAAUUGUAGUGCGAUCAGCUCCAUGGCUUUUCUCAAUGGCUUUAGACCAAACAGUGCCGGCAAGGCUGGACUGCAAGGCAGCAGCUUCUACACCGAUAUCAUAGUCGGAAACAAACCCACUGAAUUGUCUCACUGCCACAAAUGUAGAUGUCCAUUUUUGAACAUGGAGGCCUUCUGCUGGUGGUGGUUUUGCUUGGUUCUUCUUUGGCACAUAAAAGCUCACCACAAAUGAAGACUCACAGAAGGGUCCAUCGCUUGGUUGAACUUCGCUGAGCACUGGCGCAGUCAUCUCUAUUUUCUCACCAUACUCGUUCUUCCCUUGAAUGUAAUCAAACAGCCUAUGACAAAAGAACCAAAAACAACCAUAUAAGUACUACUUUCAUACAUUCCAAAAAUUAGUUUCAGAAAUGGGUGAAAACCAAACUGUUCUUAUAGCUACCCUUCAAACUCAUCAAAUGGGAAUAACCAAUUCUGAAAAUAACCUAGUAACAAGUUUUAGUUUUGGAGAUAACCAUCAAGAACACAUAAAUUCUCAACCUUUACAAUCGAACAGAUGGAAAUCACCUUGACUGAUUACACAAGGUUAUUUUUAUUUUCACCAACACCCAUGUGAAAAUUAUCUACCGCAAUUCACACGUAAUCAUGAUAGUUACCAAGAUUAUAUAUAUAACUGGCACAUACAUGCACCUAGAACAGUUCUACUCAAGAUUAUAUCAGCUAAUGAUGAACAAAAGAACCAGAGAAACUAAACUCACUGUAAGAAGCCAGUUCUGGUGGCAGCAACCAGAGAAAUGUCCUGAAUAGGAGAAGUUGAUAUCCAUUCACUCGAAUUGUACCGACGAAUUUCAUAGCCAUUGCCAACUUCAAUGGAGUCAUAGCUUGGGCACUCUAUGCUGUUACAUGAUGGUGGAAACGUUGCCACGCUUUUCGGAGCUUCUGGCCAGAGACCCAAGUUCAGAUUGGAGAGCAGGCUCAACAAAACUGAGAGCUUAAACACAGAGGCAGCCAUUUUCGAUUAACUGGGGUGAAGAGUUGUGUGUUAUUUGUAUCUCUUCAGAAAGAUGUGAAAGGUUUGUUGAUUGAGAGCAUCAAUGUCUAAGGUCCACAAGUUUAUAGGAAAAGUAUGGAAGGAAAUGCCAUUGUAAAGGUUGAGAAUUUACGAUUGUGGCUUUGCAUGUUCCUAUGUUGUUAAACUGUGACAGGGGCAGACUGGGAAUUUUCAUUGGGCAGUGGCAGUCACAACUUCAAGAGGCCAAUGUUUGCACACGAAGUGCUAAUAAUUUGAAGUGAAAUUCAAGCUAUACAGAUUGAAAUGAAUGAUGAUAAAUGCUUUGGAGCUUUCUACAUGAUUUUAUUUCUCGUGCAAUUUCAUUUUUGGUUGGGAAAGAACUUUAUAAUUACGAAAAUGAACCAUUGCUCCCUAUAACUUGGUAAUGUUGUUGGCCAUUUCUCUUGCCUUGAGAACCAAUCAAGGCCUGAGAUGAUCUAUUGCGCCAUUUUAGACCUACAAUUGGUAUAUGCUCAUUGACAUAUAAGCCAAUAACUUUCAUGUAAUUGAAGCUCAGUUUUGCAGGGGCUUGUCAAUGGCAUCUUCACUAGUGACAGUUAAAUUAUUUAGACCUCAAGUGAACUGUUUAUGUGAGAGUUCACCAAGGGAGCACAGCAAAACUUGUAUCAAUAUUUGGGAUAGCAACAUUUGGUUGCUGUAUGUGCUCAGAGAACUCUACAUUUUGAAUGACGGGCAAUGUCUGUCUCAACAAUAAGCGAUCUAUAAAAGCCACAACUACAAGCAUAAAGUACACACAAAAAAGUUCUUCGUAGCAAUAGGAACAUAACAAAACACCAAUGCAAAGUUUGAGCGUGUAGAUACAUCGAUCUCAUAAGGAAAGAUCAUCAGUAGGACAAAGUUAAAACAGCAGCCACAACAGCAAAGUUCUAAGCAGCAACCUUAGCACUCCACAGCUACAUAUGAAUACACAUACUACUGAUCAACAGGUUUUUAGAUUUAUCUGUCCCCAUUUCCGACCUGCACAAGGUUAAGUCAAUGAUGUUAAUAAUUAUGCUCUAGAAAGAUGCAAGAAUGACAGAGCAUCGAACAGUGAACAAGUGAAGGGUCCUAGGGAAAAAAUUGUGCAGACAAAUGUGGAUGAGCAAAUAGUCCUAGGUUUUGAAGAAAUUGCUAGUUUUUGAAGUAUCACUUACCCUCAACCUCAGGUCCAAUGUGCAUAUAGUUCGUCAUCAAAAGUUUUAACAAAUACUUGGCUAAAGAACUAGUUGAUAGAUGAAUCCAAUAUAUACUUUACCAGUUUACCUUAUCUUUUUGUUAACAAGAUACUGCACUGUCCAUGUCAAGUAAAACAAGGCUCUCUUCAUAAGAAUGAAUAGAGCAAUAUCGAUACUCUGAACUCCCGAGAUUGUUGAAUUGUUGGCUCACAGUGUCAAGCGAAACUAAGCUUUCACUUUCCCUUUCAUUGUUUCUCAGUGCCAAAAUUACUUCACCGCUCUUUCUGAAACAUAAUGGACGGGGCAAACAUCCUUCUGGACCUUGUCGACAGAGACUUAUCCAUGACUCCUGUUUGCAAUACUCUUUCAUUAACCAUAGGUCAACAUAAUAAUCACAAUACUCUGUGAACAGAGAAAGAGAUUUCCCAUCUCCUGAAACAGAAACUUCAGAUUCCAAGUGCAAUUCAGUACCCUUUGGCAUCCUUAUCUCGCGAAACGACUCACUGCCAAGAUCCAAUGCCAAAAUGAAAUAAUGAUCAUCUUUCCAAUGUCUUACAGUCCAAUGAAUAGCGCUAUUACAAUAGGUGUAUGGUCUUGUUCUAUCUAUUCGGCAUGGAGGAACAACUAAACCAAGACUUCUCCAUGAUCCCGUGGCUAGUGAAUAAACCUCAGCCACAGUAGGACUUUUCGCAUAAUCAAAAGAAAUCUGAGGAGUGACAAGCCGAACAACCUUGUAGUCGUUGGCCAAAGCAUCAAAACCAAACCCAACAGACUCUUCAAAAGGACCAUGAAUCAAACCAGGCCAAGGAAGCAUCACUGCCUUUCCUAUUGCUGGGUUCCAUAAGGUGUACCUUUUCCAUACUAAAUCAUCCUCAAUAAACACUAUCCCGUCACAAAUGCCAGCCACACGGAAGCGCCUAUUUGCCUGCCUUACCAAUCCGCUAAAUAGAAAAUCUAUCUGACAGCAGUCAUCAAAAUCAUGGUUGUUAUCAUAAUGCAAACAGCACACAUCUUUAGGCUCUUCUGUAGUUGGUGGCGGCGACAAUGCAGUAGAAGCUGGAAAGCGGGCACCGUGCAGUAGAAGUUGAGGAGUCUCAUGGUGGUUACUAGGGUGGUUUUUGCGGUUGAGGUGGGAGUGAAUAAAGCUUGAACUUCUGAUAAUGGACAUCCAUGCCUUGCUCACCGAUGUGCAUCUGACCAGACACACGAUAGGUAGUCUGAAUAGGAUAUCAUGUCCGAUUUCUUCAGGAAAAUUCUCUAACAUGGCUUCGAGGAGUUUCGCAUCCCUUGCUGAGAAUUUACACAUACAAACCGAAUUCAAACCAAUGCACAUUCAAAAAUCCCCAAGGUAAAUAACAUAUACAUAUAUUAAAAAAACAAAGAGUACGUAGAAAAUCAGCUAGCUACUGUUCAAAUCAUGACAAAGCAAUCAGAGUAACAUCAUCAACACAAUGAAACCAAUCCAAAAGCAUGGGAGAAAACCCUAACUCGUUCUGUCGUUUCAAAGAGAAAUAACAAAAUAAAAAGAAUCUGACAAAUGGCUAGAAAUAAAGGAUAAUUAGGGUUUGAAUCAACAGCAGAGUAACAUUGCAUGCAGUUUCAAUUUCCUAUGCAUCGUUUUACAGAGACAUUGAUCCAUUGUUAGCGUUUUACUGCAAAUACGCACUAGUAAAAAAAAAAAGGAAAAAUAUUACUAAACUAAGAGAGAGGCGUAAAGAACGAGAAGGAUUUACCUCGAUGAGAAGUCUGCUGUAAUACUUCGUCUUCUGUAAUAAGCCAACCCUAAUGGUAUGAGAGGUUUCAGUAGCUGAACUAAGAAACAAGUAGUCCACCGACUCCAACAUCUCAAUGCUUAAUGAGGCGGGCCGGGUCUGAACCAAUUAGGGCUUUCUGUAGUAAUGACUACCUCGAAGCCCAAAAAGUUCCGGAAGAAUAUUUUGAUAGAUUUGCAAGCAAAUUAAUGUCUGUACAUAAAAAAAUUAUUAAUUUUAUUUUAAAUUUUGAACAAAAGAGGGUCCUUGGAGCAUAGAAGUUACAACGUAAUCGUGAACAAUGCAUCCUAGGAGUCUAUGUUCACGAUUCGGUUUUGGAUUAGGUGGUUGCUCUACAUGAUCAGAUAGCUCCUUAACCAUACCUCAAAUGCUAAUACAACUCGUUACCUCACUCUCAGAUAAUCAGUACAAUAGUUAUACCCCAAAAAAAGAAGAUAAUCAGUACAAUAGAAUCUUCAAAACGACCGUGAGUGAGGAAGGUGACACCAGCCAGGGAAGCAUCACUAUGAAGUUGAAACGUUUUAGAUAUCAAAUCAUCCGCAACAGAGGUGAGAGGUGCAUCUAAUCAAACACUUAAUAGUAGUCCGAAUAGGAUAUCUAGUCUGAUUUCCUCAGGAAAAGAGUGAUGUUUGAGACCACUAUUUAUAAGGGUUACGCAGGUCAAGUUCUUACCUGGAUUAUAGUUUUAAGACUUUUGCUCUCUAAAGCCAUUAUAAUCUGAAAUUAUUCUCAAACAACUAGAAACGAACGAACUACAUAAAUAAGUAAAACCCAAGAGAUCCAACAAUAAGGUGGUUACUCUACAUGUUUAGAUGAUUCAUGUAAGUGACAUGAUAUACUUCUGGUGUUGAAGAUGGUCUGUUUUAACAAUGAGGGAUUAUGCCACAGCAACAUGCACAUAGUACACAAAAAGCAUUUCUUUCCUAGCAAUAGGAACAUCAGAGAUAAGAUUGCAUGUUUUGAUCUGUAAAAAUCCGUCAUAACUCACAGAAAGAUAAUCUGUAGCAUAAAGUUAAACUAGCAGCCACUGUUAAAUAGAAUGACAUCAGAAAUUCACGAAAAGGAAAAAAAACAAAACAUGUAGAUAGGUACUGAAAACGCAAAUCCAAGAAGCGAAUUUUGCACUCCUCAGCUACAGAAAAUGCAUACUAGCCCAGAGGUUAUUAGAUCUUUCUGUUUCAUGUCGACACCUGCACAAAGUUGAGUGAAAAUUAAGUUAACAAGGAAGACUUGACACAAUGCAGGAAUAUAUCUAACUAGCAGUAGACCAGUUUCAGAGGUUUUCAAUGUAAUUGGUUGUGAACAGUGGUGUUUUCCCUUGAUGAUUGUAUGACCCUACUGAAAGGGAGACAGGGAGUUACAUAUGUAUAACUAGGGCAGACAAAUUUGAAAAAGGUUUACAAAAAAGUAGGUGGUUCAAACAUAGAGACAUCAAUUACGGAAGAACUAUUUCUCAAAAUUCCAGGCAAUUAAAAUUUAGAUGCAAUCUGUAUAUUCAAAAGGAUAGAAAGAAAAUAUGCAGAAUCUAGAAAAAUAUUCAUGUGACAAAACUAUGGUCAUCUGUAUAACAAAAGCCACAUGCUAGAAGAGUAACCUAACCUGUUCUUUUCCUCAACAAGAAACUGCAUUAUCCACGUCGAGUAAAACCAGACUCUCUUCAUAAGAAUCAAGAGAAUAACAGACACAAUCAAGAGUACCAACAUUGUUCAUUCGUUGACUCACAGGAUCAAGUGAAACAAAUGUUUGAGUCUCACGGUAAUAUGGUCCUCUUACUGUGAAAAGUACUUCACCGCUCUUUCUAAAACAAAAUAUCAUACUUCCUUCUGGACCUUGUCGAGCGAGAGUCAUCAUUUUGGUCCAGGACUCAUGCUGGCAAUACUCCUUCAUAACCCAAAUAUCAAGAUGAUUGAUAUCAUUCUCAUACCUCGUGAAUAAAGCAAGAUAAUUCCCAUCUCCCGUAACAGACAAUUUAGAAUUGAAGCCCAAUUCGGCACAAUUUGGCAUCAAUAUCUCGCGAAAUGACUCACUGACCAGAUCAAAUGCCAAAAUGAAAUAGCGUACACCACCCGCAUCUUUCCAAUGAUUUACAACCCAAUGAAUAUUGCCGUUAAAAAAAAGCAUGCGGUCUUGUACCAUAUAUUUGGCAUGGAGGAAGAACAGUACCAAGCCUGUAGCUAGUGAAUAAACCUCUGCUACAGUUGGACUUUUCACAUCUUUAUUUUCAAGGAUCUCAAGAGUGACAAGCCGAACAACCUUGUAGUCAUUGGCCGUAGCAUCAAACCCGAAGCCAACAGAAUCUUCAAAAGGACCGUGAGUGGUGAAGGUAUAACCAGGCCUGGGAAGCGUCACUAACUUUCUUAUUGAUGGGUUCCAAAUUAUGUAGCUUACAGCUUUAGAAAGGAUAUCAUCCGCGAGGCACACCAGUCCGUCACAAGUGCCAGCCACACGCAAACACCCAUUUAUUGGGUCUACCAUGUAGUCAAUCUGAAAAUCUAGCUCACUAUACUCAUCAAAAGAAGGGUUAUCACGAUGCAAACAGUAAACCUCAUCUGUUGCUUCACGCCUGGAAUGAUCGUAGCGGCUGCCAUGCAGUAGAAUCAGAGCCUCAUGUUGAUGUCUGAGAUGUGCGCGAAUAAAACCAGAGUUUUUGACAAUGGACAACCAGGGCUUGCUCACCGAGGUGCAUCUGAUCAGACACUUGAUGGGUAGUCUGAACAGGAUGUCAUGUCUGAUUUCCUCAGGAAAUGCCUCAAUCAUUGCUUCAGAUGAUUUCAAUUCACUAGCUGAAUUUUCCACAAUAUGAAACCAACUACAAUUCACACUAACACAGCACCAAGGGCAAAAAAGCACAGACAAAAGUCCUAAUACAGUAAUACAUCUUGUUUCAAAUUAUCAUUGCUUCUAGAUUUCAAGUCCCUAUGAACAAAUCCAAACAACAGUAGCGAUUUACCUCGAUGAAGAAAUGCUUCAGCUAGAGACUUGGUCUUUUAGCACAGUAAAAACUGUAAAAUUGCGUCGGCAAAAUCAGGAAGAGGAUAUAUAGUGGACUCGAAUAGCUUAAUGGGCCGGACUGGGCCGUCGGCAAUUUGAGUUAAUUUUUUAUCUUCACUUUUACAUCUGUAAAAUGAAUUUGGAAAAACAAUGCAGUGUUCAUUACAAACAUUACCACUUUUACAUCUGUAAGAGGUAAUAAUCAUAAUCGUAAGAAACUUGAAUCUGAAUUUGAAGGCACACCAUUUACCAUUACCAACCAUUUUAACAAAGAAAUCAAUUGUACUCGUUUGUUAUUUUGGAUGAACAAAGGGACAAAUAAACAGAGUGCCUCCGAAAAUCGUAGAUAGAGCAACUAAAACAGGAAAAAUCCUUCAAGUUAAAGCAACUCUAAUGCACUUGAGUGACUUGACAGCUGCAGAAAACCCAGUCUUCAGCGUAAUUUGCCUAUCACUAACAUUUGACUAUAGUGAAAAUUCAACAAUUAUGCUUUACAUAGGCAUAGUGGAAUAUGUAAAAAUAUGUAUGUUUGGCCAUCUGCAAAAGGGAGGCAAUAACUUGACUAUCAAGCCUAUUCUCUUUCACCUUACAUUCUUAUAUUUGGUGUCGAGGCACAACAGAACUGAAGUUUCUCCAUGCAUUUGAGUUGUAUUCACAUCUUCAAUAUCAAGAGUACGAAGCUUUUUAGUCAUUUGUCAUAGCAUCAAAACCAAACUUAAGAAUUUUCUUCAAGUUCGGAUAUGAUGCUAUGACCAAUGACUAGAGUCUUCAUCACAAGACCUUGAUGAAUCUAACAACCUUUUAGUCAAUGAUCAUAGCAUCAAAACCAAACUUAACAUUCCUUUGAGCUCGGGUUUGAUGCUAUGACCAAUGACUAGAAUGUUUACAAGGACCUUAAUGAGUGCAAUGACCUUUUAGUCAUUGAUCAUAGCAUCAAAACUAAACCAAAGAUUCCUUCGAGUUCAGGUAAGAUGCUAUGACCAAUGACUAGAAUCUUCACAAGGACCUUAAUGAGUGCAAUGACCUUUUAGUCAUUGAUCAUAGCAUCAAAACUGAACCAAAGAUUCCUUCAAGUUCGGGUACGAUGCUAUGACCAAUGACUAGAAUCUUCACACCAUGAGUGGUGAAGGUCUAUUGCUUCGCCAGGAAAGAGUGUCUGGUUGCUUCAAAUUUCAGUACCCGUAAAGACCAGUACACAGAACGGGAACUAACUAUUGUUCAUACAGAAAAUAGGUAAUCAGCUAGAUUUUAAAGAAAACAAACGAGCCAGACACAGAAAAGAAAACACUGACAGAUCAGCUACCAUGGAAACUCUACAGCCUUUAGAUCUUAUAGCAGAUAACCAUUGCCACAAAUUUAAAUCUGCAACCGUAAAGAUGGAGCUUUCCAAUUACAGAUUGCAUCUUUCAUUGAUAUUCAAAUGUAUUCUUACUCUAGAUUAUAAGUACCUUGAUCACAAAUUGGUAACGAUUUAACAGUAUUAAGCUUUCAAAAUGUGCAAAGACGUAGAACGAGAUUACCUCGAAGAAUUCCUCUUCUGCAAGACCUAUGGCGUCGGCGUAAAACCCUAAUGAUAAAGUACAGGAUGCCCUGUAUUUAUAGCCUAAACUAGAGCCCCCACUGAUAAUCAUGUAAUUAAAAAUUAAAAAUAAAAUAAAGAAGGGUUCCCGGCCCAAGUCUAAAUGGCCCCGGACAGUUCGCAAUUCCUAGCCCAUUUUAAAAAAAUAAAAAAAUAAAAAAAUAAAAAAAAAUACAACCAUAUAGCUUAAGCAGAUUAAUCACAACAUCCACUCUUUCAUCAAAAGAUACGCUUCUCCUGAUAGAGCAACUGUCUGAAAUCAAAACAUAUAUAGGUAGAGUAGCAAUCUAACCAGUUGCAAUAUAUAUGACGAAAAAGUAUUGCAAAUUUAAUAACUUAAUACUCAUCAUAAAGCGGACGGAUACAUAAUAAGGAUAUAUAUUACAUUGGAGUUCUUUUGGAAUGAAGUAAGCAACAUGAUAGAGUGCCUCUAGGAAUUCAGAUGGUAGGUAGGGUAACCAAAACAGCAACAUUAUGCAGCAACGUUCCGCACUCCAUAGCUAGAGAAAACUCAACGAGUCUUGAGAAUCAUUUCCCCCUUAUUUCCGACCUGCACAAAAUUGAUUAAAUGAAGUGAACAACUAGGCUUUAGCAAGCUAUAUUACAGUUAUAUGUACAUGAUGGUGUCCAAUAAUGAUGUUUGAUGUUGAUGCAGGCAUUCUGAGUGCAAGAAAACUUCAAAAAGGUUUUUCAUCUAUUUUGGCUUGAUGGCUUUAUGUCCUAUUGAGUUCAUUAACACCAAAUGAGAGAAACUGAACUGAAGGAAACAUUGACAUUGAUCCUCCUAUACCAAAAAAAAAAAAAAAAACAAAAAAAAGAGAACUCCUACUAUCAGUUUCUAACUAUGCAGUUUUUGGUUCAUCAUUUUGUCCUCAGAGGUCUAUUUGGAAAUAAGCAAAGACGCAGCAAUAAUAGUCUUAAUUAACAACUACAACAUCAAAUGCUCAGAGAGUAUCAUAUCCUCCCCUCUUUUUCACUUGCAGUACCACUUAUUCCUAAUCCUGGAUAGAGAGCACAAGGCUAAUCAAGAAACUAAAUUAGCAGAGUCAGAACCUAGAAAGAAUCAAUAUAAACGAAAAACAUAUGUUGGUCACUGCAAAGUAUUAAACUUAAUAUCACUAGUUCUCCUAUUUCUUCUCAAGAGUGGGAUUCUAACUCCUCUUCAUGCUUCACAUCAAGGAGGCUUAGUUGGAAACUGAACUAAGGUACAGCUAAACUGAACUAAGCAUCAAUUGCGGUAACUGCUGUACAGUUCAAUAGUAGCAUCAACAACUUGACGGUGCAAAGUUAAAGUAAUUCCAAGCUGAUGUUGUACAAUACAUGAAACUACAAUUACUGAUAAUGGAAGUAGUUCAAUCAUAUAAAGUCAGUAGCUAGGUCAUUAAUUUCUGAUUUUCCAAACCACCAAACAAGAGUUACAUUUAGUUACAAACUUGGGUUACAAGAUAACAAAAGCAAGAAAGAUUAUCAGCUAAGAGAGGAAAAUAUAUGAAACAAUAGCAACAGUAACUUGACAACAAAAAAAGCCAAAAAGCUAAAAACAGAACAUUUGAAAUGUGCCAAGAAAAAUUACAACACUUGGCAAAGUAACUAAAUGAAUCAGUGUACAGAACACCAACUCUGUGGCUGUGCUUAAAUGCAAUAAUCACAGUUUACAAAGCAGAUGCAUUCAAACAAGAGAACGAAAUUCACAGAAAUUCAGUGCUCUAAAUAAUCACCUUACCUCUUUUUCCCUUAGUAAGAAGCUGCAUCCUUGCUGUCAAGCAAAACAAGGCUUUCUUCAUAAGGGAGAACAGCACAAAGCUGACCUCCUGCAACCCCAAGACUUUUAAACUGUUUGCUCACCAGGUCAACUGAAACUAGUUCAAGAUCAUCUUCACGUGCCAACACCACUUCUCCACUCUUCCUAAAACAUAGUGCCCCCCGUAAACUCCUCUCCGGACCUUGUGGAGUGAGAAUCAUCAAUUUGGUCCACGACUUCUCCACACAAUAUUCUCCCAUCAGCCAUAUAUCAAGAAAGGAAUCAGUGACACUCUGGCACCUUGCAAACAGAGCAAUGGACUUUUUGUCCCCGGAAACAGACAACCGCAAUGCCAAUGACCCAUCCAAUUUGAAAUUCUUUGGCAACAUCAUCUCUCCAAAGGACUCCACGCCCACAUCAAAUGUCAAAACAAAGUAGCUAUAAGCACCAUCAGUGAGACGUAAAGCCAACCAGUGAAGCACUCCAUUAACAAAAGCUUGUGACGAGCAGCCACAGAUUUGACAUGGAGGAAGAUCAGAACGAAGCCUACUCCAACACCCCUUUGCCAGUGAAUAAACCUGCGCUAUAGUCGGGCAGUCAUAAACUCUUUCAUUGACAUCAAUAAGAGUAGCAAGUCUCACAACCUUAAAGUCAUUGGUCACAGCAUCAUAACCAAGACCAAUGGUAGCCUCAUACCCACCAUGACUACAAUACUUAACAAGGGGAUCAGGAAGAAUCACAUACUUCCUCACACAAGGGUUCCACAAAACGAAGCUAUAAGCAUAAAGCUCUAAAUCAUCAGAAAGACACACCAACCCAUUACAACUAGCCACCAUACGAAAACACUGAUUCACCAGAAUCUGCUUAAGACCAAUGGGAAAUUCAAUCUUACAAUACUCCCCAAAAGCAGAAUUAUCAUAAUGCAAAGAGUACAGGUCUUCCUUGAACCCUUCUACGUGGGGUUUGCCCAAAACAUGGUAAAGGUCUUCACCAAACACAGUGUGGAGUAGUAGGAGGUGAGUGGCAUUCUGGGUAUUGAAGCUACGUUUGUGGGUGAGGUGGGUGAGAAUAAAGGUUGGGUCUUUGAUGAUGGUCCUCCAUGACUUGCAGACUGAAGUGCAUUUGACUAGAGGUUUGAUGGGUAGUCUGAUUAGGACAUCAUGUAUGAGUUCUUGAGGAAAAUCUUUGAUCAAAUUCUUGAAGGCCAAAGAAAGCUUAGAGAUGGAGGCAGGGGUCAAGAGAGUCUUACCUUCUUCACAUGAAUCCUCCCACAUUUUGAGAAAGUUUGAGUCUUUCUUUCUGUGAAGUGGGAGUGAGAUUUAGGCAACGGCGCAAACCCUACAAGGAAAUUGGACUUGAUUUAUAGUAUGAGAGGAAAUUGUAUUAAAGUAAUGUUCAAAAUUGCAAAGCUUCCCACCAAUGCUUGCGGUGAAUUAUAUUUUUACCACAAAUUGGAGGUUGAGUUUUGUUAUGGCCCCUCAUUCGCCAUUUUUGACCACGAUGGCUUUUCAUUGUAUACCCUUGCAAUUCUGAAAAUUACCGCUUGCACACAACACUUUGCUCUUUUAGUCGUGUUCGUCUUUUUUCUUUUUUCUUUGCUCUUGCUUUGGCUGAGUCUCUACUACAAUCUCGAUUUCUAUCUAUAAUCUAAAAUAAAAAUGAACUUAAUUUAAUACUUAUUGAAGUAUAUAUGACAAAUUGACUUUUAAAUUUUAUCAAUCAAUAAUCAAUUUAGGUGACGAUCGAUACAUAUAGAACAUAGUCUUUUGUUAAAGAAAUUGUAUCUCAUUAUUGGAUUCCAAUCCAAAGUGAUUAUAGAUGUCUUAUGCUAAACGAGUCAAAAGAUGGAUCAUGCUCAAAAUUGCACAAUUAGUACUUUCGUCGAUCACCACCAUCAUUGCUGUCACAUUGAUGCGAAGUCUGAAAAUCCGGUUGUUGCGGAUGGGUAGUGAGGGUUGCCGGCGGGCGUAUCAGAUUUGAAAAGAUGUUUGCCGUGGUACAUUUGGAACUUUCAUAUGCAAAAACAAAACCAUGUAACAUUAGGAAAAGGAAAACAUGGAGGAGUACCCAGUGGCGGAACCAGGAUUUAAUUGUUACAUGGGUUAAUUGUAACACCAAAAAAAUUUUAACGAAUCUUGACGUAUUGUGCGAUUAAUUUUUACGAAAAGUAUAACUAAGUCUUAUAAAACGAGGCCGCAAAGGUUCAAUGGUAUUAGGUGUAAGACGGAGUAUUCGACAAAAAACAUGGUGUAAGAUGGAGUACUGGGGUUUGAGAUAUCUACACGUGUGUGUUAGGGUUUUGUAAUCAGACUAUUAGUCCUAUAUUAUAUCUUUCUCUCAACUUUUACAGAUGCUUGCAUCCGUUGCAUACUUGCAUGGCCACCAUGCAUAUCUCUUCCAACACACACUUUUUUCUGAGUUUCUCCUUGCUGAAAUGUUUUAGCUUCUCAGAUUUUCUCUCUUUGUUUUUGUUUUAUGAGAAAGAGAAAAAAAUGAGCAUGAUGUAAGAAGAAUGAAGAAGAAAAAAUGAGCAUGAUGUAGUUUUUUUCUCUGACUUCAGAUUCUCACCUGGGCUCUAGCCUAGUCAAGACUGGCUAAAUCGUAACUAUUUCGAGGAGCAAGAAAACAUCUAGAAAUUGGCUAGAGUGGCAAAACAUCAAGUUCAUAGAUUAUAGCAGAGUGACAUAUAUAUUAUUACUUCAAAUCUGUACGCCUUCUACUAUACAAAUAUGCUAAUUUAACCAGCUCGUUAAAUGAAACCAAAUGACUUGUGUCUAAAUAAUUCAAACAGGUUAGGUGUGCAUGCAAAACAAAACUUACAAGCAGUCGACCUUGGCUUUCAGUCUCAACUCACUAAGCCCCAUCUCAAUCACAGAAUCGUUUAACAGGUAUGCCUUGUUUGAAGCAGCAACGGUUCUCCCAGGAGGAAGCUCACCUUUCUUGGACCUACCUGCAGACAGUUGUUUCUUCAACUUUGCAAGGUCAUCUUCAACAGAAGAAGAGCUCUCUAGCACCGCAAACUUUCCUUCCACAUCAUCCAUAGUUAACUGGCCAAGAGCUUCCAUUGCCAACACUUUCUCUUCCAUCAUUCCAAAAGCCGAAAGGGCACUACCCGUAUCAACAUUCCCCACCAUCUCACCCACUUCACUAGCAACCUUUGCAGACCUAGCGCGCGCUUUCAGGGUAUCCUUUUUCGACAUUGCCUCAUGUAUCUUGCUCUCUAAAAUCUUUGUAUUCGAGACAAGACUAUCAAAAGCACCCUUCUGUUGAUCAAGUUGUGAUCUCAGAGAACUAGCAUUAUCCGCAAGAGAUAUUCGCCUCUUGAGAGCUUCACGUGCUAAAUCUUCCUCUCCUUGUUUUCGGUACCAAUCCUCUGAAGCCCGUUUCGCAGCUUCAUACUUGUUUUCCAGCAUUUUUCGAGAUGCCAUUGCUUGUGCUGAGGCCUGUCGCAUCUUGGCCAGAUCAUCUUUCAUUUCGAGAACUGCUUGCUCUAACAUUUUCUCAGGAUCUUCAAACGAAGACAUGAUUGCAUUUGCAUAUGACUUGAUAACCAUAGCAAACCGGUCGAAAAGGUUCAUACGGGCAACAAGAGCUGUUCCACGAUGUUUGUAAUGGUUUUGCUUAUUGGAAGGAGCAACCCUAAUCGUUUCAAGUUUUAGAGCUCCCACCCCGGCGUUAUAGAACGACGUUGUGAGAGGUCUCCUUACCAUAGAGAGACCGGUGGAGGAUGAAGAUGAAGAGGCUGCAAGCAUUGAUGGAAUGGUCAUUCCUAUAAAAAUCUGCGAAUUAGCGGCCAUCAUAUUAUGCUCACAAAUCUCAGAUCGUUAAGUGUCGGCUGCGAACCCUAACUCUUAAGGGUUAAGGAAUAGGAGGAUUGCUCUCAUAUAUGCUAAAAUCACAUUAUUUCCUUAAUUGCCCAAAAAAGAAAAAGAAAAAAACUUGGAUUAAAAAAAGUUUUAUAUAAAUAAUUUUUUUGGAGAUAAAGUUAAUUUUAUAUAAAUAUUAUGGAACGGGUCAAACAUCCCAAAGAAAAAAAAAAUUCAAAUUGACCAGAUAUGAAUGUUCCCCUUUCCAAAUAGGAAGGGGAUUCCUUUUCCUAACGGAAUUAGUAUUUAUUUCCACCACCAGUGGGAAACUCUAAAGCCUAUAAGAGAACCACGCGAGACUACUCAUUUCAUUACUCUCUCUCUCUCUCUCUCUCUCUCUCUAAGUUUCCGUUUAAGAUCACUCAGAUCGAUCAUCUUCUUUCCCUGUUCUUGAUUACUAUUCUUGAUUCAGGAAACAAUGGCAGUAGCGGCCCGUGGGAAGCUCAACUUCGACGAAGAAGUCCCCGACGGAUGCAGAGGCGUCGAUUCCUUCGAGAAUCUGAAACUUCUUGGCCAGGGCACAUAUGGCGAAGUCAACAAAGCUAAGGAAAAAAGGACCGGAGAGAUUGUUGCUCUAAAGAAACUGAAGCUGGCAAAGGGGAAUUACGAGAAGGAAGGCUUCCCCUUGACUGCAAUAAGAGAAAUCAAGAUCCUGAACAAGCUUCUUCACGAAAAUAUCAUCAAGUUGAAGGAGAUUGUCACAUCUCCGGUGCAAAGUCCCAGUGUUGAUGAUGGUGACAUGACUGACAUCUAUAUGGUGUUCGAAUACAUGGACCAUGACUUGACCGGUCUGGCUAAGCGGGCUAGAUUUACAGUCCCACAGGUUAAGUGCUACAUGAGCCAACUCUUGAAGGGGCUUCACUAUUGUCAUGCCAAUGGAGUGCUUCAUCGAGAUAUCAAAAGCUCGAAUCUUCUUAUAAACAAUGAAGGCAGUUUGAUGCUUGCAGAUUUUGGGCUUGCCCGGAACUUUUGGGCGGAAGAUUGUCAUCAGAAUGCUGAGCUUACCAGUCAAGUCGUCACGCUUUGGUAUAGACCUCCAGAGUUGCUGCUUGGGGCUACCAAGUAUGGUCCGGCUGUUGAUAUGUGGUCUGCUGGUUGUAUCUUCGCUGAGCUUCUAUGCCAAGGAAGGCCAAUUUUCAAUAGUCCAACUGAGGCAGGUGUUAUAAGUAAGAUUGUUGAGGUUCGUGGAGCUCCAGAUGAGGCCAACUGGCCUGGAGUUUCAAAGCUGCCUUUGUAUAACACCUUCUUGAGCAAAGCGAAAUCGCACCAGAAGCCUCUUAGGCCUCUUAGUGAGAUUUUCGGGCAUUGUGACCGCCAUGCUUUGGAGCUGUUGGAGAAGUUGCUCACUCUUGAUCCUUCUAAGAGAAUAUCUGCCAAGGAUGCUUUGGAUGCUGACUACUUCUGGACUGAUCCAUUACCGUGUGAUCCGAAAAGUCUGCCCAAAAACUAUAAGUCAUCACAUGAGUUAGAUAUCAGAAAUGAGCAUGAUGAUAUGAAAAAGCACAAGCAGCAGCAGCAACAGCAAUUGCAAGAUGAGGAAAAUGUUGUUAAACGUCAGAAACCGGUGGAGUACCAGAACCGACAGCCCCAUGCAGUUACACCACCCCUUCAUCAGCAAUCUGAAAAGGCAGAAGCCAGGGAGCAACAACCUUACCGUCCCAAAAACUAUAAGUCAUCACAUGAGCUAGAUAUCAGAAAUGAGCAUGAUAAUAUGAAAAAGCGCAAGCAGCAGCAACAGCAGCAAUUGCAAGAUGAGGAAAAUAUUGUAAAACGUCAGAAACCGGUGGAGUACCAAAAGCGACUGCCCCAUGCCGUUACACCACCCCUUCAUCAGCAAUCUGAAAAGGUAGAAGCCAGGGAGCAACAACCUUACCGUCCCACGCUUUAUCAGCAAUACGAAAAGGCAGAAGGCAGAGAGCAACAACCUUGCCGUCCCAGCCACCGUUCUCAGCCACCGGUUGCUGCAUGGCGUCGUCACCGUUAUGAGAGUAGGCCUCCUCGGCCCUAUGAUGGGGCAAGAAGAUAUUAUCAGAAUGAUUGUUCUGCUUCAGCUCGGGACUCAUACAUGAGGGAUGAAAGGCGCUAUCGGCGGCGUUAUUAGCUAUUAGAAGUUAUGCUCUCACCUACUAACAAUGAGUGGGUUUGGCCUUUAUUGCCGUAGGUUUUACUUAACAUUACUUGAAUUGCAUAUGUUUCCCUCUGUAAUUAUUGUCCAAAUGAAAAUAUUAAACUUCUUCAGAUCGAUGAGUUCUCGAUUCUGUUAUGAUCUUAUUGGCUUGUAUUUUCUUUUCUGCUGAUUGAUGGAUCGGUAUACUUAAAAAUAGGUGCCAACUUGAUCACUUAAGCUCCUGUCCUUCAGUCACCUGCAGCCAGUGUCAAAGUAAUCCUUAUUGGCAAAUCUUUCUGUUGAACAACAAACUGUAACUAGAAAAGGAAACAAGUCCCUUGUAUUUCUUUUGCAUAUAAUGAUAGUACCCCAUAUCUACAUGAACAAUCAAAGCAUGAGCCAAAACCAAAGAGCAUGCAUAAGAUUACAUAUGUUCCUUGUGGAAACAUAGGGAUGCAAUGAAUUUUUUCAUUGAUGACAGACGCGUAUAGGAAUCAACAACUGCAAAUGCACAUCCUCCUCCUCAUCUUCAGGCAAAUGUUAAUCUAUGAUUACAAUCCUACAACAAUCAACUUCAUAGCCCAUCAGAAGUUUUAUGUCAACUUCUACAUAAAAGUUUUAUCAGAUGCAGAAGUUAAACAUCAAAUUGGAAGCUGUAUUCCUAAAUACACCAAAUUAGAUGCCUCCUACAAGUCAUUUCAUCAUCAAAGCAUUAGCGCCAAGCCGCCAAACUAUUUCUUUCCUCUCCCCCUCUAAGAAAAACAACAGUUUUAUGGGGAGACUGGAGACACAAAUCUUUCUAAGUCAAAAACCAGAUCCCUAAAUUACAUUGUAACCUACCCAGAGAAUCAAACAUAUACAACUCCUCAAACUAAUAAACCGAAUAAGAAACCAUGCCGAUCUACAGUAACGGAAAUUGAGCAAUUGAGCAUAUUCUGUUUCUUUUCCUACAGAGUACAGACACAAAGUAAUGUAGACCUUUUCAUUAUGUACUAACCGAAGAAAAAUUAAUGAUCCCAACAAUUAAUCACAAAACAAGAGAAACAAGUCAACUUGGCACUGUAAAUUCUCAAUUACCUUGGGAAAUGGCUAGAGCAUCAAGAAUUCCUAGGAGGUCAUUGAUGAGGUCAUGGUAGGUGGUUUUCUCCGGUUCGGGUGGCCCGUUAUCCGGCGGUGGUUACGGCGAUCAUCUGGUGGCGCCACGAGUACCAGACUUCCGGGAAUCCGUGCGACCACGUUGGGACCUGAAAAACAACAAAGAACCGAAGUGUUCGACCAGACUAGGAAUAACUAAGUUGGAAAGAACAGAACUUUAAUUGCAUUGUUUUCCGGGAUAUGUUCUGACCGGUUACGACGUCAGAGAAAUGGAGGUUCAGGCCAUGCUCGGUAAUGUACUUGUGCUGAAUCUGGUCCAUCAUUUCUGAAUAGGAGUCUUCGGGGACUCGAGGCAUAGUGUCAGCAAUGUUCCGAAAAAAUAAUAAUAAUAAUAAUAGAAAAAGGAUAAACGAACUGGGCCUUUGCGGGCUAGACGGAACCCUGGUGGGAGGCUGGGCCGCCCACCUUUAAAAAAAUUAAAAAGGAAUUUAAAAAAUAGGCGAACUGGGCAUCUGCCAUAAUUAACUUGUGUACGUGGCUAAUCGUUCAUCUAUGACUCUUCAUUUCAGAAAAGAAUGAAUGCAAGAUAGAUAGAAUCUUUUACUGUGUUGGAUGCAUGUUGGCAUUUGUUUAGUUAUUACUACAAAGGAAGGCUGAGAUACAAAUCUGAAAUCUGUGAGAGUUUUGUACUUUAAUUUGUUCUGAGUUGUCAUUGUAGUUACUUGAUCGAGAUCGAUGGAUCAAGAGAGACAGAAAUCAGGUUGCAAUGGAUGUUAGCAAGGCAAGGAGAUAGUAGAUUAGUAGGAAUAUAUAGUCUAAUCCCAUUUCCCGUCUGUGGGUGGAAGUACUGUUGCAGUUUUCACUUUCAUCCAGUAUUCUUCUUGCCUGCUAAAAUACUUCCUGCUAUUGUGUCGGUAUGUAACUAUAUAUAAGUAUAUAACAGUAGUUUAUUAGUGUAUGCUGAACAAGCUAGAAAUCAGCAGAGGAAAGGUUUCUACUACAGGAAAACAUGGAUUCUUGUGAACAAUUGCUGUGACUAGUAAAGAGGUACAAACAAUUAAAGAUGAAAUACCACAUAAAUUGUUAGCAAACAGAUGGUCCUCGAACAUAAUAAGUGUUUUUAUAGACCUCUGCUCGUUCUUCUAUCUUUAACCUUUAACCUCGCCUAUAUCAUCUGUGAUCGAUCUAUUUUGUUGGGGAGAUAGCUAUCAAGACCGACUCAUGAUCAACUCAUGAUGUACUCAUGACUACUCACAAUGUAUUGACUAUUGAGCCUUGAGCUUCAUUUUUUUUUUCUAAUCAAUUCUUUAGCUCAUGUCAUCGUUAUCAUGUAUCAGAUGGUUUUAAGUUUAAUAAAUUGUUUUCAAGCAUGAACUGGUUCAACUUUUCCCCUCAGUUUCUUGAAGGGUCAGAUCAGCACCACAAAAUAUAGUGUUUGAAGUGCAAUUGCUCUGGUCUUUGCCGUUCCUCUACAAUCAGUUUCAGUUUUCUCUGCUUGUUAUUUUGAAUGCUAGUAAGUGUUUCUAUAAGUAUUUUGCAAUGAUGCUUGCAUAUCCAAAAUCACAAUGCACCUAAGUAGAGUCAACUUAUGAACAAGUCUUGAAAGAAUGUUAUCCACAAUUCCACAUACAGAAUAUAUAUAUAUAUAUAUAUAUAUAUAUAUAUAUAAAUCUUCAACUGUAUGCCCUUCACGCUUUCUUCUCAUAUUGAUUCAGCCCUAGAAGCUUUGAAAAUCUAAGUGUUUAAAUCGGUUCAACCAUCUAAAAUAUAUAAAUAGGGCACUAGCCCUUCUUUUUGCUCGAUAUGCAAAGUCAAAUUAAUUCUGAAGAAAUGAAAAUUAUUGCAGAACCCAUACUCUUUGCAACUGUCUCUGUAAUUGGUGUUGCUCUUCUGAUUUUUGUUAUAUAUAUGUACCGAAGGGGCGGUGUUGUUAUUGGGAACCAAAACAAUGAUCAGAAAUUUGAAGGCAGAGUUGCCAAUACGGAUGGUGGAAUGAUCAUUUUGUCGGGAGCUGGCGCUGCUUUGGCCACUGCAGUUGUCCUAGCAAACGGAGCCACUGCUGAUGUAAUUGGUGGCACCGGUGGUUGCGGCGGUGGCUGUGGUGGUUGCGGGGGUUGUGGUGGAUGAUGAGGUUAUGGUGUGCUGGCUGUUGAUGGUGAAAUAACAUCGAUCAUAGUUCAUAUACUUCAUACUAGCUACUAUUUCCUUCUUCGAUCUUCUUUUCUUUUAUUUUCGACGUUAGUGAUUAUGUAAUUAUUAGAUCUUAAUUAGUAGUUCUUACACUAGCUAUGUGCAGUUAUAUCAGGGUUGAAAGCAGGCCUGCAAUAUUUGGUACUGUAUAUAUACUUUCAAUCUUUCAUAAUCAGUUCAAUUACUCAAAGACCGGCUGAAAUUGGAGUUUUAGUCUCAAUUAUUUGCUAUGAACUAGAUUUUGGCCUCAAUAUUAGAUACCUAUAAAUCGGGGACAAUAACAACUAUAUGAAGUGAAAGAGCAGAAUAGCAUUCAAACUAUUUAUUCAGAAUAGCAUUCAAAAUAGCAUUCAACUAAUCAAGAUAAUUAUAAUCAAGUGUCUGAAGUGCAAGUGCUCUGGUCUUUGCCGUAUGCCGUUCCUCUCUACAAUUAAUCAAGUUUCAGUUUUCUCUGCUAUUUUGAAUGCUAUUCUGGUUUCCUGAUAACUUUCAGAUUUGUUUUCUCAACUUUUGUUAAUUUGCAAGAGCAGGCUCAAUGCCUCAAUAUAUAGAGGUUGAAAAUAUUUCUCUGAGAAAUUUAUUCACUGAGGGUAAUAAACAAUAUAACUCUACAUUCAGGAUAAGAUAAAUGUCAGCACGGAAAUGAAUGCAGUGGUCAAUGUCGCAUUUAAGCAUGACAUUAAUCGUUACAAAGAUAUAUGUGAUGUUGGAUGCAGUCAUAAAUUUGACAUCAAUACAACUAUAAGUUGAUAAUCAAUGCAGCAGUAACCGCAAACAAUAAGUAUGGUACGUAAGGAUUACUGGAUUACAACCAUAAGUGCAAGAAUGAAUAUAGCCACAAGAGUGAAGGAAUGAAAACAGUCCUAAGUUUUCCCGGUUGAGGACGCGGCACUUGCUGCGGCGACUUUGGGUGGCGGCCAUCGUCCCCUUUGCUGUGAUGUGUUUCUGUUAGCUAGGGUUUGUUCUGGUUUUGGGUAUGUUGGGCUUUCUUUCCUUGCUUUCUGUAUGGGGUACAACAGUGGGGUACAAUAGAGGGGAAGACUUCCUUUUUGUAUGGUCGUGAUCGGCUUCCCCUAUUGUAUGUAUCGUAUACAUGUGGCUUUGGGAGGUAGUAGUUGGUUGCUGGAUAGGAGCUUAUUUCCAGUUCGUGGUUGGUUGCUUGUAAUUAAAUGUUGUUUUGUACACAAGUCUGCUUUAAUAAAAUGUAUACAUGUCUUCUCAAUAAAAAAAAAAAAUGAAAACAGUCCUAACUCACCGUCCAAGUAAGUUCUUUCGUAUAUAAAGGAGGCACGAUGACAAGGUAAGGGAACUAAUCCUAAUGCUUUCUAUCUCACUCAACUAAGACAAAAAACUGACUUACACAUCGGAAAGUUUUCUACAUAUACCCCCUUCUCGUGUGCUGACAUAGAAACAUCCGGUCAUAGGCCAACAGAAACUUCUCGGUCGUUUCAGGUCAGCACCCGCUCUAGUCUGUGUUUAUUGGUGAGUCAAGCUCCUCUACGGAAGUUUUCGAUACCAACAUGCACUUAGCUUCAACAGGCUGCAAAUUAAAGAUAAUUGUCAACUAUAAAAAUGCACGUACAAUUAAUGACAACAAGAUCUAAUAUAUUUAGAAGAAUUUUGCAGUGAUACUAGCAUAUCCAAAAUCACAAUCCACCUAAAGUCAACAUAUGAACAAGUCUUGAAAGAAUGAUAUAUCCACAUACAGUAUAUAAAUCUCAACUGUAUGCCCUUCGCGCUUUCUUCUUGUAUUCCUAGAAACUGCUUAAUUUGCAAAUAUGAUUGAUUAAUCCGGCCUAAACACAUCUAAUUAACGUAUAAUUGUAUAUAAAUAGCGUGCUAGCCCUUCUUGCUGGAUAUGCAAAGCCAAAUUAAGCCUGAAGAAAUGAGAACUGUUCCAGCAGUCAUGUUCUUUGCAACUGUCUCUGUAUUUGGUGUUGUUCUUUUGAUUUUUGUUAUAUAUAUGUACCGAAGGGGCGGUGUUGUGAUUGGGAGCCAAAAGAGGGAUCAGCAAUCUGAAGGCAGAGUUGCCAAUACGGAUGGUGGAAUGAUCAUUUUGUCCGGAGCUACUGGCGCUGCUUUGGCCACUGCUGUUGUCAUAGACAGCGGAGCUAGUACUGCUGGUGUUAAUGGUGGCACCGGUGGUUGCGGAGGUGGCUGUGGUGGUUGCGGAGGUGGCUGUGGUGGUUGCGGGGGUGGUGGAUGAUGAAGUUAUGGUGCGCUGGCUGUUGUCUGUUGAUAGGGAAAUAACAUCAUAGUCCAUACACUUCACAUACUACUAUUUCCUUCUUCGAUCUUCUUUUCUUUUAUUUCGACUUAAAUGAUUAUGUAUUAUUAGAUUUUAGUAGUUCUUACACUAGCUAUGUGCAAUUAUAUCAGGGUUAAGCAUGCAUGCAAUAUUUGGUAUUGCAUGGAUACUUUCAAUCUUUUAUGAUCAACUCAAUUACUCAAAGACCGGCUGAAUACUGGGGUUAUAGCCUCAAUUAUUUGCUCUGAACUAGAUUUUAGUCUAAGUAUUUGAUGCCUAUAAAUUGGGAACAAUAACAAAUAUAUGAAGAAAGAGUAAAGUGAGCUAAAUAAACAGGCUGAAAAUGAUAAUUAUAAUAAGUACAUCAAUAUUAUAGAAAACUAGAUGAUGCCCGUGCGAUGUUACGAUUUGUAGAAACUGUUCUUAGCUAACGUAAAUAUAUAUAUAUAUAUAUAUAUAUAUAUAUAUAUGUUUUUGUGUGAAUCAUUGAUACUAAAGAUAGAAAUUUAUGCCCGUAAAAUGACUGCAAAAUCUAAUGAACAAGUCUUUGGCAAUAUUCCUUGGAGAUAUAAAAUUCUGAUGCACCAAAGUGUCAAAUUAUGAACAAGGCUCGAUAUAAUUAAAUAUUAUCGGAAUUAUCCACAUAUAAAUAACAAAGUCAUAUGCGCUUCACGCUUUAAUUUCUUCAUCCUGGAAUCGAUCAAAGUCAUCAAACCCUAGAUAUAUUGCUACGAAAUCAAAUUGUUUAAUAAGGUCCAACCACAUGCAAGUGAUGCGACUACUCCUAAGCUUGUUUAACAUGUAAUUGCCCGAUAUGCAAAGUUUCAGAAAUGAAAAACCUCACAAAUCUCCUAGCUAGUCUACGGUGCUACCUCUGUGGUUUGUGUUGCUUUUAUAAUUCUGUUUAUUCGUCUGUACUGAUGCAAGGGUGUUACGAUCGUGAACUUCAAGAAGAACCAGCGAUAUGAAGCGAGACUUGCGGCCGAACGAGCUGCUUAUAGAAGUAAAUUGGCCAAGUUAUCAUUAGAUGUUGAAAGAGGUAGCUAGUAAUGGAACCAAGGAUGCUGGAAUAGUGAUUUUGGCGGGAGCCGGCGCUGCUGUAGCCACUGCAGCUGUCGUAGGCAGUGGAGCUGGCACUAGUGAUGUCAAUGAUGGCGGCGGUGGCUCUGGGCUGGGGUGAGGGUGGUGGCUGUGGGGGUUGUGGUGGAGAUUGACGUACGUUAUGGUUCUUGUCUUCUGGUGACAGUUGAAAGGUGAUAUUACAUCAUAUGUAUGCUACUAUUCCCUUUUCUUUCUACUUUGAUGAUAAAAGAUUACAUCGAUCGUUUUCUAUGUGCAAUUCAUUAAUCAUUUGCAAUGCAACUACGUCCAUUAACUCUUUCAUUUCAUAUGCUUUGGUGUUGCCUAGUCAAUCAGUCACUAAGCUUAUAUGUCGAUGAAGUUCUCAUACGUUACAAAAUUACUGUAAAGAUCUUCAAUACGACUUAUGAAUUCGAAGAACGAGUUAUUAUAUACUUAUAUAGUGACAUUAAUUUACUUGUCUUUUUUUUUUUUUNNNNNNNNNNNNNNNNNNNNNNNNNNNNNNNNNNNNNNNNNNNNNNNNNNNNNNNNNNNNNNNNNNNNNNNNNNNNNNNNNNNNNNNNNNNNNNNNNNNNNNNNNNNNNNNNNNNNNNNNNNNNNNNNNNNNNNNNNNNNNNNNNNNNNNNNNNNNNNNNNNNNNNNNNNNNNNNNNNNNNNNNNNNNNNNNNNNNNNNNNNNNNNNNNNNNNNNNNNNNNNNNNNNNNNNNNNNNNNNNNNNNNNNNNNNNNNNNNNNNNNNNNNNNNNNNNNNNNNNNNNNNNNNNNNNNNNNNNNNNNNNNNNNNNNNNNNNNNNNNNNNNNNNNNNNNNNNNNNNNNNNNNNNNNNNNNNNNNNNNNNNNNNNNNNNNNNNNNNNNNNNNNNNNNNNNNNNNNNNNNNNNNNNNNNNNNNNNNNNNNNNNNNNNUAUGUUUAUGUAUUUCAAUCAAAUAUUACAACGGUAUGCAUCGAAAUUAGAUAGAUGAGCACUAAACUUAUAAUCGGUGUCAUUAUGUGUUUGUCAUUGCAUCUUUAUUUUUUUUCCUUUUAUGUAACUCUGUAAGUAUUAAGAAAUCUACAUAAGUCAUUCAUAUGAAAUCUGUAGAUUUCAGAAAUCAGUUAAAGUCUGUGAUUAAAAAUCGAUGGUUUUAAGAAAUCAGUGAAAAUCUAUGAACUUUUCAAAAAGUCUAUAGACUUUUCAAAAAGUCAAUUGAUUAAAAUAAGUCUGUAUGAAUCCAAAUACAAUACACCCCCCUUAGUUUGGAUUUGAUGAUAUUUACUAGCUAGAUUGCAUGGUAGAAUUCAUGAAGUGAAAGAUUUUUAACUUCUGCUUUGUAGUAACAUAUGAUUAUGGAUCUCAAACUUUGCUUGGUUAGAUUAUGGAUGAUUACAAAAAGAAUCUCGGAGUUUCUCUUAGUCUGUUAUUUGACCUACCAAUCAAGCUAAACCACUAAUGCAAACCUCCUUCCUGCUCAAAGGAAUAUAACAAUUCUCUUUUGUUUAUUUGUUUUCUUGGUUACAUCAAAUCAAUCCAGACAGACACAGAUCUUGCAAUGAUAACCCUCUCCAAAUGCGAUUUUCAUCUCUCAUUUGCCUUAAUGCUCCAGUAAAAUAAGCAACGCUUGAUCCGACAAACCCCUGAUCGUUAAAAUAUAUUGAUUGAUGGCGAAGACCUGCAAUUUACUAAUGCAGAAAACAAUUCAAAGACUGAUCACCUUUGGACGAUCCAGCUAGUUGUCCCAUUUCCAUUGUUAUGAUCCAGAGAAGGAUCCUCCAGAGAAUUACUUCAAUAUAUUGGAAGUCUUGAUGGGAUUGAUCUCCUGCAAGAAACAAAUGAACCUUGUCCUUCUAUGUAACCCAGCUGCAGCCUGGACUCUUCUUUACCCCUUUUGUUUUCUUGGUCAUCCUCACUUGGUCUUCAUCCUUCACUUUCCCUAAAGAAGAAUAUAUAUUGGAUAGAACCACAUAAGGGGCUGCAUUAUCAGGCUCCGAUUUGAUCAGGUGCCUACUUGCAAGCUCUGCAAGAUCAGGACGUAAAUGAGUCCUGCUAGCACUAAGAAGAGCUCCCCAAACCCCAGCAUGUGGCUCAAAUGGCAUUGAAUAAAUCAACUCAACAGCUUCAUCGAGCAAACCAGAUCGUCCAAGGAGAUCAACCAUGCAAGCAUAGUGAUCUGGUCCUGGUUCUAUGUUGUGUAAUGAUUGCAUCGAAUAAAAAAACUGCCGUCCUUCUUUUACUAAUCCAACAUGGACACAAGCUGAAAGAACACCCAGAAACGUGAUUUGGUUGGGCUCACAACCUUCAUUCUGCAUGCUCCAAAACAAGUUCAGGGCUUCUUCCCCAAAACCAUUUUGGGCAAAGCCAGUAAUCAUGGAGUUGAAUGAAACAGUAUUGGGUGAAACGAUAUUUGUGAAGAUCCGACUGGCAUCAAUGACAUUUCCACACUUUGAAUACAUUGAGACCAGAGCAUUUUGAACAGAUAAAUUACAUUCCAUAUUCACCUUCAGUGAAAAAGAAUGGAUCUGCAUCCCCUCAUUUAAAGCGGCCAAACUGGCUGAAGCACUGAGCACACUGCUCAAAGUAAGUGGAUUAGGCUUGAUUGUGCUCCGAAGCAUCUUGAUAAACCAACAGAGAGCCUCCACAUAUUCCUCAUUAUUUACAAAACCUGAAACUAGAGCAGUCCAAGCAACAUCAUCCUUGUCAGGCAUCAACAAAAACAAUUGGAUGGCUUUCUUAGUCAUGCCCUUGCUUGAGAAUCCUGAUAUCAAGACCGUCCAUGUAACUACAUCCUUUUCAGGCAUCAUCUCAAACAGUUUAAAAGCUACUUCAAUUUCGGCACAUUGAACAUAACCUGCAAUUAAGGAAUUCCAGGAAACUAUAUUUUUGUUGCUCAUCAUAUGUAAUAUCUUAGUAGCUUCAUCUACAAAACCAAACCUGCAAUACAUAAUGAUAGCAGAAUUUCCUAAAAAGACAUCAUAAUCGAAUCCCAUUCGAGAAACUAACCCGUGCAUCUGAAACCCUUCUCCACGUCUCCCAAAACCACCGCAAGCUUCAAACAUUAUGCUCAUGGUAAUGGAAUUGACCUCCACUAUCCCCUCCCUUCUCAUAUCCAAAAACAACUCAAAACCCAUCUCAAACAUUCCAUUCUUCAUGUACCCAUCAAUCAUUGCCGUCCAAGUAACCACAGUCCUCUCCACCAUCACAUCAAACAGAUUUCCAGCAUCACCAAUCCUUCCUACUUUGCAAUACCCAUCAACCAUACAACUCUGAGAAACCACAUUCCUCUUUGACAUUCCCUCAAAAACUCUCACCGCCUCUUCAAUCCUCCCAGCCUUCAGAUACCCAUUUAACAACACAUUUGAACAAACUGGCUCUCGCCACUUAACCGGCAAACUACAGUAUAUCCUCUCAGCCUGGUCGAACAUCCCCGCCUUUACGAAACCAGUGAUCAUUACAAUAUAAGACACGGCAUUACGCUCAGGCAUUACAUAAAACAACUGAUAAGCUUCAUCUACAUUACCUUUGCUCCUAAUAUAAGCUGUCAUCAUCGCAUUAUACGACGCUACGUUUCGUUGGGGCAUUUCAUCGAACAUCUUGCGUGCCAACCUGGUUUGGCCAUUUUCAGCGUAUGCAGUGAGCAUGGCAGUCCAGGUAAUGGUGUCCUUAGAUGGCAUGCGAUUGAAUAUCGACUCUGCUUGUUUGAGAUCACCAUUUCUUCCACUUUUGGUGAUCUGGGAGUUGCAGAAAACAAGAAAGCUGCUAGCAGCAACUUUUCUGGUUUGGAAUGCUUGAGUAGACACAUAUGAGCAGCUUAAGUUGUAACGAGGGAAGCUGUAGUUGAGGAUGUGUCCAUGGAAAAGGUUGGUUGUAGUUUUGAGUUUUGUUGACAUCUUAGGUUAUUACUUCUCAUCUCUCAGACAUCUUCCAAGACAACUGAUACAACUUGAAAAUUGGCCAUGGAAACAAAAACGUUCAGGUUCAUGAAAUUGGGCCGGGCUUACAAUUCUGACCCAAUUGAAUCACAAACCUGAGUAGGAAUAUUUAUUUAUUUAAUUAUAUAUUCAUAAUACGACAAUGAGUCAGAAAAUAUAUACAUGCUGCACAACUCUUCUAAAAUGGCACCCCCUCCCUCAAAUUUUUUAGAACUCAAUUUUAAUGGUUCUGUCAUAAAUAACUCUGCAGCCUCUGGCUUUGUUUUCCGUAAUUGUGAAUGGCAACCCAUCCUUGCCUCUGCUAAAAGCGUAGGCAAUUUGAAUAUACUCACGGCGGAAACAUUAGCCUUAAGAGCAGGACUCCUUGCUGCCUGGUAUCAUAACUUCAACAACUUCUUGCUCGAUGGUGACUCGAAGAUUCUCAUAGACAGUAUAAAUGGCGUAAUUCAUUGUCCUUAGUGCAUAUCUACAAUUGUGAAGGAUAUACAGUCCCUUGCUUCGCUGCUGCAUAUUUCCUCCUUCCAACACAUCAAGAUAGAGCAAAAUUUUGUUGUCGACGCUAUUGCAAAGUUUGGUCAUACUAAUAGUGUUUAAGCCUGACAUUAUUAUGCUCUUCCUUUGUCAGCUUGUUCAGCUUUUAAUUUUGAUCUUUUAGGAAGUGGUUUUAGUAGGUUUUCAACUGUAAUUUUCCUCUACCUAUCGAAAAAAAGAAAAUAUAUAUAUGCAUCAGUCUCUUAUUUAUAAGUGAGAGGUUGUGAGUUUGGCUAAAAAAUACACAAUAGAUUUAUUGUAGCAUUUAUUGUUCAAAACCCAAAAGCAACACAUUGACACCUAUUCGAAAAGAAAAGAUAAAAAAUAAGCAACAUGAAAUUACAUUUAAACUACUAUUCAAUUAAAAUGAGCUAUAAAUGAUAGUCGUCAAUGCACAAAGCUGCCAUACCAGUAGAUCCAGCUUCUCUGAUGUAUCCAGAUUCUUGAAACAGGUGUUUGUUCUCAUCCCAGUUCAUGACCUUGGUUUGAGUUAUCUUCCCCCAUUUCUUCUUCUUUUAUCUCUUUCUUACUAUGUUUUUCGCUUUUUCCACUCCUUAAGAAAAUAGGGUUUAUUAUUCAAAAAAAAGAAAAUAGGGUUUAAUGAGAAACACUAUAUUCUCCUUGAUUCUAUGUUUAUCAUUUUGAUCAAUACCAAACUAUAUACAAUCAAUGAACAAUUGAGCUCUCACGUUUUUAUCUCCUGGCUCAUGCACUCCUGUACGAUGUGCAUAAUUGUACUAAGAAAAACAAAAUUGGGCUUAGCCAAAAGAAACACAAAAGAAUAUGUAACGCAUUCUAUUUUCCAGGAUGAGGACGGAGAUAGUAGUUAAUAAAUGAUGAUGAUUUAGACUUGGUUAUUUCAUUAUUUGGUUUACGUACCAAUAAUAAACUUGACGGAAUUAUUGAUAAGGUAAAAUAUGUUGUGAAUCUCAAUUUUGAUAAUUCUCUGACAAUGUUAAUUAAUCUGUUUGUAAAUUUUACAUGGUGGUGUAUUUAGUGAUUCUGGUGAUACGAUUGGGGCUUCAACUUUCAAGUCAGUAUAACAGAAGUCAAGUUUCAACUCUGGUAUUUCACUAAAUCACUAAUUGAAGGGAUGAAAACGCUUGAUUAACAAGCUCCUUAUUACUGGCUACGAAACUGUUUCAAGAAUGCUCCAUCUCAAUGCUAUUGCACACUAUUAAUCGAAAAAAAAUGCUAUUGCUAUUGCACACUAAUUAAGCUUGAGAAUCACAUUCAUACCUCAAGGUAUCUAUACCCUUCAUCCCAAGUCAUGCCAUACCUUUACAAAGACGUACCAUAUAUGCAUAACUGAAAUCAAACCCAAAUAUAUGCGUACUUACAUAUUCUUAUUACUGCUAGUCUCUUACCCAUGCACCUGUACGCGGAUCAGAAAAAAAAAUAAUAAUUUGACACUUCAUACCUCAGUCGAUAUGUGUUCAAAUCUAACCCUUCAUUCUUCAAAUGCAAAUUUGCAUUACUGAAAAUCGAAAAGAGCUUCAAAAUUUAGAAAAAAAAAAAAAAAAAAGUACCUGAUCAAACCUACUGCAAAUUGUAAACACCUUAUCUCUGUCCUGGUUCUAACACGGAAUUGCAUGUAUCGACUUAUAUUUGCAAAUGGGAGCGGUUGAAUAACAACUCUAGUUGAACUGCUCCACCAUUCAUGGGAUCAAACUGCCGCCACCAUAUCUGAUAUCAUCACAUUCCUUAUUUUUCUUCACCGUAAUCCCAUAUAUUUUUUAUUUUGGUUUAUUUUUUCUGUUUGUUUUACCGUAGUACACCCUUCCAACAUAUUUUUCUUCUUCUUUUUUCUAUUUACUGUGUUUGUGCAACAAAUGAGUUAUUUGGAGAAUUCAAAAAAUUGGUGAAGCCUUGACAAUUGACACCAAAAGGGCGCCUGGUUUUCUAAUAAUAGAGAUUCUAGGUUUUAUUCUGAAGUUAACCUCCUUUCUACUUUAUUUUACUCAAACACUGAAAUACUGAUGAAGAUCAUGAUAAUUCAAUAAUUCAUUUUAUUUUUCAAAUUCAGAUGCAUCCCACCAAGCCAUCAAUCCUCGAUUCUUAAUUUGUCUUCUCAACGCAGCCAUCCUCUUUGUCUCCCUACUCUCAAACAGAGAAAUCUUUGUGCUUCAUGCAUGCACAUACUGUGAUACUGACACAGUACUGCUCAUCUGCAUCGAUCGGGUGCCUUUGGUUUAGUUAUCACUUAUUAAUUAAGACCAAAUACUUCAUAUUAAUUAGCAACAAAGAAAUUACGAAGAACAUAUAAUAGCUAUCUACCAACUAUUUGCCACGUUAAAAUGCGAGUCAUUCCUUUGAUUUUUGUAUUGAGAAUCAAAAUAAUAUAACACUGGAAGCAAGGAUCAAAGUACUUCGAUCUGAAAUGAAGUCCGAUAUUGGUCAACUUUCAAGGAUUCGUUUGCUUCAAUUUCACCUAUAGUUUUGGCAAUAGUAAAAUGCACAGAUAUGUUUGCUGCAAUAUGCUGCAGAAUCCUUCAACCACAAAACAAUUUGCCCUAUAGAGGGAACAGCUGGAUGACAAAUAACUAAUUAAGCAUCCAGUUUUAAAUAGAACCAUGUCCUAAACAAUGUUUGUGGUUACAUAAAAAUGAUUAUGCUUUAAUCAAUGAUACUGGUGUUGGUGCAUUGUCGGAAAGCAUAUAUUUAUCGAUCAAAUCUGGGUGGGGUUCAUAUUCACAACCCACUAAUAGAGGAGUAGAGGAUUUUGGGAUCUAAAACCCACCCAAUAUUAUGUGCUGGCACCACAUGCACCAUAGUGUAUUGGAUGUCACACAUAGUUUACUGGUUUUGUUGCGCAAUAUUAAUCUCGGUGACUUUGAUCUUCAGCAUCUUUCUCCAACCAAAUCUUUGACUAUGAUCAACCUCACGAUUGCUUAGACAUUGUUUCUUUUCUCCAGAGAGGAAUAAGUGGAAGAAGCAGGAUAAUAAGGAUGAGAUUAUUUAAACUUUGGGGGAUGCAUGAUUGGAUCGAUGAUAAGUGGGAAUUGACAUGCACUUCCAAUUAUCUGAAAAGUGUUAAAUUCCAAUUCCAUACGAUGUAAUUUUGGUAACUAUUUGGGAGCGAACUAGCUAGUGUGCUUCUUUAAAAAGCAAUCCUAAGAGUUCUAAUUUGGAGCCAAAUUUUCAAAAGUGGAAUGCAUGAGAUGAGGCGUUUUGGGUGAUCAUGUCGCAUGAAAGUGCCUCAUCCGGAAAAAAUGCUAUGCCUAGCUUGAUGGAAAGUGACGGACUAGAAUAAAAAGCGCUUACAUUUCUUGUAAUAUGUAAUUUCAUAUUGCACUAGUUGAUCGUAAAUUCUAGUAGUCUCGUCUAGAUUAUGUCUAGAUCACAUGCUGAAUUUCUUAACAGUUCCUAGCUUGGAGCCAAAUUUGCAAAAGCGGAAUGCAUAAGAUGAGGCAUUUUGGGUGAUCAUGUCACAUGAAGUGCCUCAUCCAGAAAAAAAAUGCUAUGCCUAGCUGGAUGGAAAGUGACGGACUAGUGUAAAAUGCGCUUACGUUUUUUUGCAGUAUGUCAUUAAUUGCAUUAGUUGAUCUUAAAUUCUAGUAGCCUUGUCUAAAUUACGUUAAGAUCACAUUCUAAAUUUCUUUUUGUUUUUUAAAUCAAAAUUUAUAGAAAUAUCACCCAUUCAGAAAGACCGUGAUAUAAAUAAAAAUAAAAAACAUGAAAAAUAUAUAUCAAUCGCUAAUUAGAACAUAUAUAUUUUCAACUGGCUAGCUAGCUCUGCUAAACACAACUAUAUCAUUCUUGGCCAAAACAUCAAAGCCAGCAACCAAGUGGUACUGUGUAUAUAUUCACUUCAAAGUCUUCUUAAACAAAAAAAAAUUGCUACUCAAUCCAACAAAUUUGCUUUAAAAAGGUGUUUUUGGUUUUCUUCAACCGAAACAUAAUCUUUAGACUUUAGGGUUUUUAAAUGGAGUGUGAUGUAUUUCUUCAUUUCUUGAGGUAUAUAUACACCACCAGUGGUGGGUGUCCACGUGGGAAUAUGCCAUACAUAUCAUGAUCUUCCUACUUAUAUAAAGGGCCUAAUCCCUCCACACCACUCAUCAAAGCCAUUUAGGUCGAAAUUGAUCCAGCUUCCAAGUUCCAAUAGUCCAUUUGCCUUCUUUCAGCUCAUCCUUGGUCUCUUUUUCUAUAGCUAAAUAAAUAAAAUGGCUUCUUCAUCACUACCUGAAACCUGGGCAUGCAUGAACAUGGAUGUGAGUGACUCAAACAUGAGCAAUGCCCUUAUCAUGUCCUUGUGGGAAGAAACACAAGCCGAUCAAGAGCACGACGAGGAGCGGCUGCGCAGCCUAAUCCGAGCUCUAGAAGUUGAACUCGAUCCUACUACUAGUACAACUGAUCAUGGACAUCAUGAUAUGUUCAUGGAUGUUACUAAUGAUCCUCAAUUCGGCAGCAGUAACAGUGCAGACAACUUUCAGCUGCCGUCGGAUGUCGGAUAUGCGAACGGAGGCGAUCGCUCGGCAUCUGGAUUCGGUUGGAUUGAUAUGGAAAAGGGGUCUUCUUCACAGGGUGAUGAACCCAUUGAUAACUCAUGGUACCUGAAUUGUGAUUUUGAUGAGGUCGAUUGCAUGCCGUCGAACUUUGGAGGGCCUCAGAGUACUGCUCCCUUUGAGGAACAUGGGCAUCAAAAUGUGUGGCAGGAAGCUUGUAAUACAAGGAUGCUUGUAUAAUUGAGUCAUAUUACCUAGCAAUGAAAUUGUUUACUUGAAAACUCUACAAAAUAAUGCUGCUCAUGUCAUAAUUAUUACUUAAGCUUGAUUGACAAGGUGAGAAGCAAGUAGCAAGUGACAGAGAAUCAAACAUUUCUAGUAUUUGCUCCACACUCCACAGCACCAAAUGAUCUAAAUAACAAGAGAUUAAGGAAAGAGCCGGACUACACCUAAGUUUUGUACGCCAGUGUGGACCCAGGACAGGUGGCUCCAUAUCAUUCAUCGGAUUCAAAAUCUAAGAGCAUUUACGUAAAUCUCUCUAUAGAUUCCGUUAGCGGUAAAAAAAAUUUCGUUAUGGUAAACGUUUAAAGACCUUAAUAUCAGAUUCCGAUGGCUUUCACCACCACCAAAGAAAUAGUUGAGAGAUCCUGAAAACCAAUUACAAAAGCUUGCCAUCUUCAUCUACCUUCACGCCGAAAGCUUCUUCUGCGAGUCUGGUUUCUCCUACCUCCACCACCGCUGUCUCAACCACCUCGUCUCGUCGCCGUCGAGUAUAGGAUCCCCGGAAAGGUCUCUCUCUGAACAUGUCAAGGCUGGAAGCGGAGUCAAUUUCGGGGGUCGGAGGUUGGCUCGUCGACGAAGAUGAUGAUUGGGUCCACACGCGGCAGAGGGCCGAAACUCGAUUGAUGUCGCCAGAGAGGCUGUCGGUCCCAUUACUUCCGACGAAGCUAUGAGAUCAGAGGAAGCCAGGAAGGAAUAGCUGAAAGAGUUUGAUCAACAAAUUAAGUAUUACUUUAUUGUGGAAAGUGAUCGGGUAUUACUAAUUAGGAGGUCGAUCACGUCUUCCUCUUUUUUAUUCACUCUUGCUGUUUCUGAGGCUCUUUUUGAAGAUUUGCAGAAUAUAUGUGAAGUGGAGUGCAAUACAUACCGGUCACCAAAACGUGUAUGAGCGUUAGCCUUAUGAGGGGAUGAAGAUUAGAAGCAGAUUAACUUGUCAUGAAAACAGUUGGUUGUUGGUGGUGAUUGUACUAUCGGAAUGAAGAAGAGAAUGUUAAAUAAUCAGACUGCUGAGGCUCGAAGAAGAUGAACCAAUUGCUAUAUUUUUGUUCUUCAGUGGGCUUGGUGAAAACUGAAUUACCAAGUUACAUUGUUGCCCCUCUGUUUAAAAGGACAUGUUGGCGUACGUGAAUGACCGGCGUUUUGCAGCUUUUGCCUGAGAGAUUAAUUCAAAAAGUGGUUUGUAUUGCUAAAUGCUAAUUCUGUCAUUAAUAAAUUAAAUGUAAGCAUGUAUAUAUUUUUUCCUUUUAAUUUCUUCCUGGAACUAGCAUAAGACGUCAAUGUUAAUAAAGAAAAUCUCGAAGGAGAAUGAGCUAUACAAUCAAGAUAUAUACAUGGCUUAUUGUCAAAAUCCAAAGAAGACACAUUGAAGAUAGAAAUAAAGGAAUAAAUUCCAUCAUCUCACGAACAUAUAUACUUGGAUUUUUUUUCACGAGAUUGGUAUAUAUAUGCCUUUCAUGCGUUGAAGAUAUUUAAUCUCAAUACCUAAUCAAAAUCAUAUGUUCAAUAUGUGGCUGGUUUUCUGCUCACGGACAUAAAGGAUGAACAAACCAAAAGAUGGAUAGUGAUUACUCAUAGUAUAAAUUCUUAGGCAUAUAUAUUAUUUAAUCUUCUUAUAAAAAUUAAUGUGUGUUUCUCUUGUCUUAGUUAAUUUGUACUAUAUUGUUGGAACUUGGAAGAGAAUUAUUCUUCUAUUCGCAUAUCUCUAAUUAGCGAAGCUAGCUAGCUAGUAGAGCUAGUAGAGAAAAGAUCCCAACUCUCUAUUAGUCCAUUACUCCAUGUCAAGCAAUCAAUUUGAUGACUAAAUUAUGUAAUGACUAGGGUAUCAAGUGAUUUGAAUAUCCUAAGUAAUCAAAUUAUAUAUUGGUGGCAAAAAUAGAACCAUAAUAUUGGUCAUCGAUCAUGGCACCACCUCCACUCCCCAAAGAGAUCCUUUCCAUUAUUUUUAUGAUGUACGAUUAUGGGGGACUGACUGCUAUAGUCAUAGUUGAUUGGUACAAGUAUAUAAGAAAGGCACCUAAUUAUAUGGUAGCUUGGAUAUAUCAUGCAUUAGUACAUUGUCUAAUGUCUCUUUAUAUAUGCAUUUACAAAAGGAAGGUACAUGUUUAUCAAAAAAAAUAAAAAAAGGGAAGGUACAUGCUUUGCUUAGAAUGAACUCCAACUUGUCACAUGUACCAAGUACUUGAAGAGAUAUAGAUGAAUCCAUAGAGUUGUUAAAAGUUGGUCCAUCAAUUAACUUAGUGAACAUAACCCACAUGGUGUGGGAUCAUUCAAACCUCCAUUAAUAGCUUAAAGAUUUAGACACAAACUUGGGGAGAUCUCAAUCUAAACAUGCACCACCAAACAUGUUGUGGUGGCACCAUGUGCAUCAAAGCAAGAGUUGGCAUGGAUGGAAGGAGAACUAAGUAGCUAGCUUGCUAUGGGUAUCAAUCAAUCAAAUUAACACUAUUCAUUGUUUAUGUCAAUGGCUAACCCAACAUCAACAUGUGUGAGAAAGAUGUUAUAUGUCCAAUAUCAUAGAGAUAUCAACACCCCACCUUAAAGACUCAUCAUCUCAUUGGCACUUAUCUAACAUCAAUUGUAUAUAAGGUAGUGUCAUCCAUUAUUUUAUGAGAAAUUGAAACUUACAUGAGCCUCCCAAACUUUAAAACACCAAAGCAAGAUAUAAAAAUAUCAGUACUUAUCUAAUAAUUCUGUCAAAAGAAUGUAUCCCCUCAUGUAAGAAUCAGGAUGCAUGGUGCAGCUCAUAUAGAGCUGACCAACCUUGCUUUAAUAUUGUUGUUAUUUGGUGUUGGAUCAAAAAAUUAUUAUAAGUUUGAUGUGUUGUGUCUUUCGGUUCUGCUGCCGUAGACGCACCAAUUAAUCUUCAUGCAUGCAUUAGCACCAUCGAUCUUGCUCGCUCGACAAUGAGACCUUUCUUUCGGGGCACAAAUUUGAAGCUGGUCUAGUAUCAUUAUCAAUUAUUAAGGGUUGCCGCACUCAGUUUUUGGUUGAAAUUAUAUAUAUUUGAUGGUGAAAUAAUGAGUCCUUAUACCAUUCAUAUUUUUAGAUUAGCAACCGAAUUUCCAUCCAACUAAUAACAGUAGACAUUAGACAAUAUGAAAAUAUUAUCGAAUUAUCAAACUGAACUACAAAUCGACAAGAAGAAAUAUGGUCAUCAAUAAUAGCCCUAACACGUACCAAAUGCCACUUCUAUACUUGUUAAUUUGAUGCUCAUGCGCACAUGAUUGUCUGGUCAUCACAUAAUGGAAGGUGAUCACCCUCGAGAUGUGCCUAUAUAAAGAGGCCUAGCUCGCUUUGAAGCACCAUAUACAAUCCUCAGAGUUCAAAAACUAGCUCGCCUGGUAUUCUCUUUGUAUCUUCUCCUUUCUUUGUUUCUACACUACAACGGCUUUUAGCACCACACAAUUAAGCUUUGCAAGCAUGAAGAGCGAUGAAGAUGAGUUGGGAGUUGAAGCCUUCCAGACCAACGACGCCAUUCUCAUGUCCUUGCUAGAAGAGUUUCAAGAAGAAGAUGGUGACGACGAGGAAAGAGUAAAUAGCCUGAUCCAGUCUCUGGAAGAAGAGAUAAGUAGUCCAAGUGCAACAAUGGCCAGCAAUGGUUCGGGUUUUAUCAACUCCGAAUUGACCAUCGAUGAUUUCCAAGACGGCAACGAUUGCUCUGGUUCAUUAGCUGAUAGCAGUGAGAUGGGAUGGUUUGAUAUGGAGCAGGUCCCUUGCUCACCAAGUGAUGAUAUGAACUGGUAUAUGGAUUCUUGUGAAUACGAGAUGGAUUGUCUCAAUGACUCUGGAAUUUGGGUUGGUGAUUAUUCUCAUAUCUGCUAUGGAGCUGGCUUAGAAGAUAAUGGAUACAGCUCAAUAUGGCAGGAAACUGCAUAUGAUUCAAUCAUGUACGACUAAGAUAAAUGUGGCAUUGCUACCCCAUUUUCAUGCAUGUAUAUAUUUUCAUAGUUAUUACUUAAUACUUGGCGACUUCCUUUUCAAUUGACCAUCCCUUGAAUUUUCUCAUGGAGUUUGUCUUCACAUAUAUACAACAACAAACAGCUAGGCAACAUUUCCGAUGAGUUUCUAUUGUUGCUCUUAUGGUUUAAUUCUGAAGAAAAUUCAAGAGAAUGAAAUGAAUGCCUUCCUGUUAAACAUGAAUAUACGAUUCCUGUUCAAAAAAAAAAACAUGAAUAUACGAGUCUUCAUGGUUGUUUAGUUCUGAAAAGGAAGCUAAGCAGAUAAAGUUAGGGUGAUAGAAAAAUACAGAACAAAAAGGAACAAAAGCAUAAAUACACUUGCAUAAGAUUCAUUAAGGACUGUCAACGGGCAGAGACAGGCCCAGACCUGAGAUUUUGAGGCCUAAGUCGAACUCUCGAAGUUGGGCCCCUAAUUUUUUUUUUUAUACAAAAUAGCAUAUAACAUCCAAAAGUAUUUAAUUUAUAAUUAAUAAUAUAUGUUUAUAUAAUUCAGUCAAUUGCCUUUAGGCCCCUCAUCACGUGUAAUUCUUCUUAUUUUAGAAUAUUUGUCUUUAAUUCAUGUCAGAUGUCUUCAGUUUUCAUUAAGUUUUUACCUCUUUUCCAUACUUGUUUGAUUAAUUGCACAGCCAAAAAAACUAUAAAAAAAAUUAACUUUUUUUUUUAGAACUACACUUUUAAAAAAAAAAAUUUUAGGCCCUUUAGAUUUUUGGGCCCCGAGUCACAAGACUCUUCUGUCUCUAUUCAAAUCCGGGCCUGGGCAGAGAUAUAUGUAUGACAUGCAUUCCCAGAAGUUGAGAAGCUUAAUACAAAAGAUAAUGAUAAUAUUCUACAAGAAACAAAGAACUGCAGAUGAACUUAACUUCUAUCCCCAAAGAGGAUGUUUUUACAACAUCUCAAGCGAAAUCCUUCCAAAAUCUUGAAUUAAAGUUCAACAUGAAAUCCUUGUAAAACAAAGAAGGGCAACCUAGCUAUAUAAUUUAACUUGACAAGUCUUUGAACCCCGUUCGACAUUAAAAAGUCUGUGUAGAAUGCUUUCUCUUCUUAUAUUGUAGAUUUUGAUGCUUACUUACAAAAGUGGUUCAAGUUCGAGUGUUAAAAGUGAGCUUUAGAAGUAUCUUGAUGACGAAAGAUUAGAUAAAAAAAAGAAAGAGUUUGAUGUUCUUUCUUGGUGGAAAAUGGAACAAUUACGCUAUCCAAUACUUGGUCGCUUGGCUCGUAAUGUGCUUACAAUUUCUAUUUCUACGAUAGAGUAUUGGACCAAAAUCGAAGCUCACUAUUACCUGAAACCGUUCAAACAUUGUUAUGUUGUCGUGAUUGGUUAUUCGAUAAGAAAGGUAAAUUCUCUAUCACUUAAUCACUGUAUUAAUUUCAUAUCUUUUCAUCUUGUGAGUUUCAUUUGAUUUUAAAUUGACUAAAUUUUUUAAUAUAUAUUUCAGAUCAACAUCGCACUGAUUGGGAGCAACUCAGUGAAAACGUGAUAGAUUUGACAUUGGACGGAUAAAACAGAUCAUAACAAAAGAGAAACAAGGUGGGAGAAACCAAAUUUGUAGUAGCUGACUUGUGUUUGUAGUAGCUGAUUAGUUGACAUAUGAUGUUUGUGUCGAGAGAAACCAAAUUUGAAUGAAUGCAUGAAACUCUGUUGCAUCUUUUUGUAUGAAUAUCAGGUCUUAUAAACCAAAAAACAAAAAAAGAACUAAUAGGAUGCCCCUUUUAUAUGUGAUGUCAUUUGUAUGCAGCAAAUAUAUACGAGUUGUUCGGCAUCAAUUUUACAAUUAGAUAUUAAUGUUAUAAACUUAUAAUUGCAUAGAAGAGAAGUAAACUAAUUGCACAAAAUAUGGGUAUUUGAUUUGAUUAGAAAAAGAAAGAUUUAAAAAAAAAAGGGAAAAAACGCUUUAGUGGGUCUUAACGGGUUCCAACAGGUAACCCACGAACCCAAUGGGUUCAACCCGUUAUAACCCGUUAGCUAACGGGUUGUAACGGGUUGAAACGUUAAACCCGCUAACCCGUCACAGCCCACCCACUAACCGCCCAACCGGCCCAUUUGCCGGGUUGACUUGGGCAGGAAAGUGUUUUGCAAAGAAGCUCAUCAGGUAAUGCACUAAUCCUAUCUUUAACUCUUGCUUGACUCUUUGACAUUGAAACCCUGGUUCAAAAAUGGAACACCAUUCAAUUAUUUCUGACUUAGUAUCAUAGAAACUGAAUCAAAGUUAACUUUAUAAACCUGUAUGGCUCCUGAAAAACAAAAAUAAGGAAAGAUAGAAAGCUAAAUUCUUUACCGACUCUCACUCAUUUGGUUAAUCAUGAAACGAAAGCUACAUGCAUCAAAAUCAGGUUAAUCCUGGAAUGCCAAUUGUAGAAGAGGACACACAGCUAAAGACAUGAUCUUUGAAUUGAAUUCCUAAUGUUCAUUUUCUCAGUUGCCAUUUUGCCAAACAGACGGUAACAAACUAAAGGAUGGCAUAGAAUACUAAACACCCGUUUAUGACCAAAAGUGGACCUUUACAAGCGUCUAUAUAAUUUUCCAAUUUUCUGGGUCACUACAUAUUAAGUAAGUUUUAACUUCUGAGCCUAUGCCCUUUGUUGAAGAGGGACUAUAGGGCACCCUUCGAGAAUUUAAACAGAGUAUUACUUUAUAACUAAAGGCCUUGCAAGCAUUUACAAACCCAGGAAUCUAAAUCCAAACAAAAAGCCAAAGCCAGCUUCAUAGUUCGAAGCUUAAAGGCCCCCACAAAUCUGAGUAAGAAAACAAUCUCAUUCGAAAUAACCCAGAAAUUGUUUUUGGAACACUCACCGAAGAAAUGAGAGAGCAAGGAGAAAGCGGCAGAGAGAACUCAAAGGAGAGAGCGGCAGUGUUUGUGUCUUUCGAGAAAUUUGUUCAAUUUUCAGGUUUUCUUGAGUCUAUAGAGAUACCCUGCGGUGCGGUCUACGGUAAAUGAUACGUGGACGAAUAGGAAAUAGUAAAAGUUAAACUGUUACUAAUCACCUUGUUCUUUUUCUUCUUUUCAUUACGAGUUAUGUACGAGUGCUGCUGGAUCUAUCCCGCAAAUUUCUUAGUGUACACAGUAACACUAUUUAUUCCAAACUUUUCGAUUUUACCCCUUAUUUUACAUAAAUUAAGAAAUAUCAAAAAGAAAAAGAAAGAAAAAUAUUCUCCGUCAAAAGUCAAAACUCGUUCUUUCCAUCAGAUUUUUUGUUUUUUCAUUGGUUCACUUCUAUUGGAUUGAACCAUUUGGUUGAUAGGGAAAUUAUUUCAUCUCUCAGAUUGAUUGCUGCUCCCUCACCUGGAAGAGAACCUUUUUUGAUCUUCUUAAAGGUCCCAUACCGUAGAUCAAUGUUCAAGUUUGGUUUUUGGCUGCAAGUCUGGAAUUGGUUCUUUAGGCUACUGAAAGCUUCUUAGAUUUCAACAAUUCCCUUACUGAUUCGUUGUCAUAUAUAUAUAUAUAUAUAUAUAUAUAGAUUCAUUGGUCGAGAUGGAACUACACCAAUCCAACUUGUUGCUAGUUCCAAAUAAUUUUUUAGGUUUCAUCUUGAUAUCCUCCAUCUUCAUCCCUGGCUUCAAUGCCACCACCCUCUUUAGCUUCUGUUCUUCGAAAUGACGGCAUGCCUUGUCCUCCGGCGCCGAUCAUGGGAGUGGUUUAGUUCGUUACUCUGUUUUUGCUGCUGUUAUUUCUAUCUUCUGCUAGGUGAUCUAGUUGAACUCAUGUGUUUUUUAUUUAUUUAUGGGCCUGGGCUCUUUGGGCUUUGCCCUCUUCAAUGAAUUACUCGUUUCCACACAAAAAUCAUCCCAUCCCUAAGAUUAGAGAAAGAAACAAAUUUGAGAGAAAAGAAGGCAAAUAAGAAGGAAGAACUGAAGAAGAAAUGAAAUAACCAUGGAAGAGGUGAAAGACGUCUACAUUCACGGGGAAUUGCAGUUAUUUAUUUCCUUUUUCUAAAUUUCUUGGUGAUAAUAAAAUAGAAAACUAUAAAUGGUUGAGGGGUAGUAUUGGAAAUAAAUGUCAUAAUUUGUAUUACUGGGUACACUAAGAUUUGCUGGGUUCAUCUGGCAACACCCUUAUGUGCUAAUGUAUUUGGGUUUCAUUCCUUCAUUUAUUGUUUUUUGUUAUAUAAUGUUAACAAAAAAAAAAAAAGAUAAAGUUUCUACAUAAAAAAAAAUAACGAUUGUUAUGAUUCAUAUGAGGAGACAUUUCAAUUGUUCACCUCAAGCCUCUAAAUCAUCAGAUCCAGCCCGGCUGCAAAGAAAACUCAAAUUUGUACAGUUGUACCCCGAGGCUAAUUUACACGAGCAAAUUCAUUACGGAAGCAAGGCAGCAAAAUCUUAGGGCGACAAAGAGGAACAAAAACAUGAAUACAUUAGCACAUUAACAACUGUCAACUGGCAGAGAUAUAUGUAUGUCAUCCCUAAAUGUUAAGAUGCUUAAUACAAAAGAAAAUGUUCUACCAGAAACAAAGAACUGCAGAUAGACUCAACUUUUAUCCCUUUAGAGGGUGUUAAUUUUUAUGACCUUUCAAGAAAACAUAUACACCUUCCAAAAUAUUGAAUUACAGUUCAACAUGAAAAUCUGGUAAACCAAGCAGGGCACCCUAGCUAUGUAUUUCAACUUGACAAGCCUUUGAACCCCGUUCAAACAUCAAAAAUUCUUUGUAUAAUGCCUUCUCAUCUGCUUUUGGAAUGGUAAAAAUAGUCAUCUUAUUCAAAACUUCACUGUACUUGAGCAGAUACUGAGCUACUCUCAUUUCGUCCUGCCUUCCCUUGAAGCUUGCUAUGGUGAUAGUCUUGAGAUGUGACAGCAUACAAGCAGGCACGAACUCUGGAGGAGUAAAGUCAUCAUGCUUGCCUCCGAAAUUCUGACAAUUGUUACAAAAUAAAAAAUAAAAACUAAAAUUAAAAUCUUCAAAAGCUGCGUGCUUAGUGAUAGGAAGUAAAGAUCGAUACACCUUACAUGUAUGAUAACAAGAUAUUCUAGAUUCUGCGGUCCUUUUUGUGUUUGUUAGUAACAGACGUUUGCUUAAUCUGUUAUGGUUCCAGUGCACCAGGGUGUAUUGAAUCCGCUCCGAUCUUUGGAUAGUCUAUCUGUAGACAUUGCGGAAUCAAAUUUGUCGACCAGCAUGACAACCACCCAUAUAUGACACUGGUCAACUCUCUCUCUUUCUCUCUCUUGAUUAGAUGGUCAUUGCUGGUUAUUAAAUUAAAUUUGCUGGUUGGCAAAUUUGAUUCCAAAGAUUGCCGCCGGCACUGCACGCAUGUGAGUUAAUCUUUGUGUUGUGCCAGUCUUUAUAUAUAUGGACUUGGACUCUAGGAGUGUGUUCUUUGUUAUGAAACUCAGGUGGUGGAGUUAGCACAAUGGGCUUAGAGGUGAAGGUUGAAGUUCUUCACAAAGAAAAUAUUAGUCCUUCCUCUCCAACUCCUCACCCCCUUCGAUUUUUCAGCCUUUCUGUUUUCGAUCAGUUAACUCCCACAGUUUAUUUCCCACUACUUCUCUUCUACCCCAAUACUGUUCAACCUCGCGAUCGUGAGCUUAAUAGUAUUGAUCCCCAAAGUUUGGUUGUUGAAAGAACCAAGCUUCUGAAAACAUCACUCUCUGAAACCCUAACUCGCUUCUACCCCUUUGCAGGAAGAAUCCACGAUCAUGCUUCAAUCUGUUGCAAUGACCAAGGAGCUGUGUUUGUUGAAGCUAAGGUCAAGUGUUCCAUAUCAAGGGUCUUGGAAGAACCCGAUCUUGAGUUUCUAACAGAAUUGAUUCCUAAGUUGGAAUCUACUGAUGAAGGAGAAACAGGCUAUGUUCUUCUAAAUGUCCAGGUCAACUUCUUCGAGUGUGGUGGAAUCGCUAUUGGAUUCAACGUUUCUCAUAAGAUGAUUGAUGCCUUCACACUCAGCACAUUCGUCAAUAGUUGGGCUGCAACUUCGCUUGGCUUUGGCACCAGUGAUCAUACAGUGUUCCCUUCACAUCAAUACGUUGGCGCAGCUUCUCGUUUCCCACCACUGGAUCUGUUCAAGUCACCGCCACAGUUUGGAAAACUUGCUAAAGAAAAGUGUAUAACAAAGAGAUUCGUGUUUGAAUCCUCAAAAAUUGCAUAUCUCAAGUCUGAAGCUGCCAGUGAUGCCGUGCCGAAUCCCACGCGAGUCGAAGUCGUGUCAGCACUGAUUUGGAAAACUGCUAUGAAAGCAUCAAGUGCAAACUCGGAUUCUGUAAGACCAUCAUCAACAUGGUUGCAAAUUGUGAAUAUGCGGAACAUAUUGGCGCAGCCAUCUGGGAAAAACUUGAUGGGGAACCUUUUGGGGUUCUUUGCAGCAAGAUCGACGGGAGGAGGUGAAAGCAAAGAUGAUCUUCAGGGCUUAGUUGCUGCGAUGAGGAAGGGGUUUGAGGAAUUUAAGGUGAAGUAUGGUACUAAAUUUGUUAGUGGGGAAGAUGUAAGUAAACUCAUGAAUGAGUAUAGGGAGCAGAUGCAGAAGGAUGAUAUAGAGUGCUAUUGUUCCACCAGUUGGUGCAGGUUUCCUUUCUGUGAAGCCGAUUUUGGAUGGGGGAAGCCAUUGAUGAGUGUUCCUGCAACUGUAGAACUCAAGAAUUUGAUUAUGCUGAUGGACACCAGCGAUGGAGGUGGCGUGGAAGCACGCUUGACUUUGAAAGAAGAAGACAUGGCCAAAUUUGAAAAGAAUGAGGAGCUGCUCGCAUUUGCUUCUCUAAAUCCCACUGUGACUUAGUGCCUAAAACAGAAAAGCCUCCUCUUAUGCUUCUUUUCAUUGAUGAUUGUUGCUGUUAUCACCGGUCUCUGUUUCGAGUACUCUGUUCUCAAUGUUACAAAACUUCAACAAAUAAACACUCCAUGCUCUUUCGAUCUUUUUCUGUUUUCCUAAUUUCCUUUUUCUUUCUCAUAUUAAGUUUUCUAGAUAACUAGUAGAACUCAUAUUAGUAUUACUGUUAAUUGUUGUAUGAUUAAUGCUUAUGAGCUUCUCUUACAGAGGAAACUCUUGAAUCAAAUUAAAUAGGAAAUUCGAAAGGAUAAGUUAAAUCCAACUAUUUUCAAACGAAUUUUGUAACACGCAUUCAUGCCUAGAGAGCAAGCCGGUGCGGCGGUGCCAUAGUUAAUUUGAUGUUUUGUCCAGAACUAGUCAUGUACUGACCAACUUGUGAAGAGCACAAAUUACGUAUUCUGCAGUGUCUAAUUUGUUUGCUUUUGGUCAUCACUUCCGGAGUUGAGGUUCGUUAAGGUUGUUGAAGACUUAUUCUCGAAAAAAAAAAGAAGUUGUUGAAGACUUGAAGGUCUUAUCUGAGGGUCCCAAAAGCUUAAUUAAUGGAAUAUGAAAACUAUUAAACUCCCACUCAAGUGUUAUUAAGAUAGAAUAACCUAAAUAACGUAUGAUUCUGCCAAUUUUAGCACUUCUUUUUUUUUCUUUUUUCUUUUUUUUGUGGUUAGAACCGGGCCUGGACAGGCAAGGGAAGGGAAUCUUCUUUAAUCCCAAUAAGGAAAAAAAACAAAAAACAAAAAAAAACAAAGUUACAACUUACAACCAAACGGAGGAACAAUGCUUCACAUACAAAUGGAGGAACAAAUAGAUCCGAUAAACUUACGCAGUUACGCCAAAACAUUAGAAACAAGACAUACUGCCUAAAUAUCUGAAAGUUUGGGAGAGCAAGUUCGUAUCUCUAACAAUAGUAAUAGAUGGAAAGACAGACUGCCUAACAUAUUCGAAAGUAGUUUGGGUGACCAAGUUCAUCAUGCCGAAAAUAAUAAUAAAUGGAAUGAGUAAGGUCAUCCCACAUACCACUAUGUCAUGCCGGUUAAGAACGAUGUAAAAUAUUAACAAGAGGCAAGAGCAUCGGUCACUUGAUUCCCCUCUCAGAACAUAUGAGAACGAUUCUGAUUCUUCUAUCAGAAAAUAUGAGGACUUUUGUGAUUAAUUGGACAUAUUUGAGUUUAAUUUGUGUGGUGUAAUCAUAAAACCUAACAAAGCUGUCAUCACCCACCCCACCUAUAUAAUACUUAGUUUACUGAGCUGGUGACAAAAAAAGUUUUUCGCCGGCCGGGAGCUAUCGAACAGCCACCGAAGCUGAACUCCUUCUAUUGGCCUAUAGUGCAGCCAUAGAUUUUGACUCGAUGCUAUUAGAUUAGGCCGGAUGCCAUCUAAACAUAUUAAAACUUUUCCUUCUCAAUCAUGAUCCAUAACUUUGCAUUUUUCAAAUGAGAGCGUAUUCAGCGCACCCGGGUGCGCCGCGCACCUGUCCAUCUCCGCCGUCCAUUUGACUCGGACUUUUGACUUUUUCAAAAUGGACAGCGGAGAUGGACGGGUGCGCUGUAUAAUUUUCGUUGAAAAAUCUAAAACCUACCAACCUUUGUCCAUAUUGGCAUCGUGAUGUAACGUUUACAGUGGUUUUAUAUGAAGUGUUAGAACAAGUUUACCCAUUGGGUUAGAAUGAACACAGUGACCUAGGUCACUUUGGGUCACUGUGACUGGGCAGCAGUUUCCACCCGUCAGAAAUGUGGGAUUGCUGCCACGUGACAAUGACUGUUUAUUGAAUUUAAAAAAAUGGUUUUUAAGUGUGAAUAAUGAUUUUAGUUGUAAAUAAAUAGUAAACAAUAUAACUUAAUGAAAUUAAUUUUUUUAUUUCAUGACAUUUAAUUGACAGGCCAAGCCUAAAAAAAAAUAAUAAUUACAAUAAUUUGAAAUUUCCUAAUAACUAUCUAAUUAUCAGGAUUAUUAUCUUCAUUACAAAAGAAAUCGGUGUUUGAAGGAUCACUGCCAUCGAUGGGGUUUGUGGAUUCAUCGGUGGAAGGUGGUUGGGGAUAAUAGUAACCGGGAAAAUGUGGUUGGUAACAUCCACCGGGAUAGGGUGUUUGGGGAUAUCCACUGGGGAAAAGUGUUUGGGAAUAUCCUCCGGGGAAAAAUGAUUGGGGAUAUCCUCCAAGGAAAGACCCCGACAAAUUUGCUUGUGUCUCCGCUAUCGCCUUUUGUUUUGCUAGUCAAUAAUCUUUUCUAGGCCCUGGCGACAUAGUGCUUGGAUUCAUCUCCAUGAUACACUCUUCCCUCUCUUGGAUUUUGAAUUGCUCAUUCCGCAUAUCCAUUUGGAGCCGCAUAUAUUCUCGUUGUUGUUGGUCUUGCAAUUGCCUUGCAUAUGCUUCAUCUCGUAGAUCGAACUAAAUUCAUAUAAUUCAAGCAUCGAUAGAUCGAACUAAAUUCACUCGGCUUGUAUUCAACUCUUUCUUGUAAAAUUUUACACUCUUUCAUCGAGCAAGGAAGCAAAAGCUAUUGUCUACGUACUAUCAAAAUAGCAAAGGAAAAAAAAAUCACAAAGUUUGGACAAGCCAAAAACUGAAAUGAAGUCCUUAAAAACAAAAAAAAGAGGGAGAAAAUCUCAUCAUUGAGAUAGAUUAUGGAUUUCUCUCAUAGUGAUUAAUAAUUGAUUACACUACAGUACCUUAAUUCAAUUUCAGAUAUAUAUAGUUCCAUAUGUAUGACAGUAUGAGGGUCCCAAAAGCUUAAUUAAUGGGGAAUAUGAAAACUAUUAAACUCCCACUCAAGUGUUAUUAAGAUAGAAUAAUGUACUGAUUCUGCAAGUUCUAACACUUUUUUUUUGGGGGUUAGAAGGGGGUCUGGAUAGGCAAGGGAAUCUUCCUUGAUCCCAAUAUGAAAACAAAAAACAAAAAAAAACAAAAAUAAAAACAAAAUUAUAACUUACAACCAAAUGGAGGAACAAACAGAUCUGAUAAAUUUACGCCAAAAUAUUAUAAACAAGUCAUACUGCCUAAAUAUCUAAAAGUCUGGGAGAUCGAGCAAGUUCGUAUCGCUGACAAUAGUAAUAGAUGGAAAGACAGACUGCCUAACAUGUUCGAAAGAGGACACUUGCCAUGGAAUUUUGUACGGACGGACAUGAAGCGCAUAUAUAUGUGCUUUGUUUUUUGUCUUCUUGAAUAGUUUCUAAUCUCUGCUGCGCGCAGGGAAUAUGGUAAAAUGAAAGAGGACACUUGACAGAAGCACGCGUACGUUCUCCUCCAUAUUUAUAGAUAAUGAAGGCUAGCUCGGUAAACCUCAUCCAGGUGGGAGAACCUAAUCCAGGUGGGAGAAGAAGGCUAGGAAAAUUAGUUACAUGCAUACGUAUAGUCCGCUUAAACCUAGUGAAUUGAUAAUUAACUAACCUUGUGGAGCUACACACGUACGUAAAAUAAAAAUGAUCAACAUCAUCCAUUUUGGAGCUUAAUCGAUCAUGUGGGCGUGAUUAAUUUGCUUGGCAUGCGAGAUCAAUUAUGGGAGUCGUCGCAUGCACGGCAUCAAAUGCCACACGCAUGCCCAUCGUAUCUGUAGGUCUAGGGUUUAAGUCUUUAAGAUUUAGGGAUUGAGGUUUAGGAUGCCUGUACUACACUACUACGUACUCAAUCAAAUCUAUUUUUGGAUAUUGAAAUCAUAUCGCGGUCCAUAAUUUCGGGCCUAAUUAAGGUAAGGGUUAGCUAGGUAGCUCAUUGUUUAGAUUGAAAUCAUUUUUUCUUUUGAUUAGUUAGAUUGAAAUCAUUGAAUUGCCGUGGUUCCAUUUCUGUUCACCAUUACUAGUUAGGGUUAUGCACUUGUGCACCUUCCGAUUAUAAUCGAUUGUCCAGCUCGUUUGAAAACAUAUAUUUAUUUCAGCCAUUCCAUCUUCUUGCUUGCUUACUUUCCAGCUUUCUUUCACGAUUUUCUUAAUAUCGGUUGUCCAAAGGCUCUUCUUUUACUUUGUAAUUCCGUUCUUCCUCCGAAAACAGGAAGAACGUACAUAUGAUGAAUCGAAUUUUUGCAUGAUGACUUUAAAAAAUGCUAGAAAUAUGAAACUUUAGAAUAUACCGACAUAUAUAUAGUUCAGAUGUAUAUAAUUGACUCGCAGAUCUUUCACUUUCUUCCUAUAUAAUGAGGGCAAAACCUUUCAACUUCCCAGUAGAAUUUUGAUGCUAAAAUUCCCAGUAAUUUAUCUCAUUAUUAUUGUCUUGUAAACGUUGCCGACUGGGCAACUGAUCGAGAUCUCAAACUCUGAAGUUGCCAGAGUUGGACUCUAAUCAAGGGUAAAACUGUACGUGAAGCAAAAUCCACCAACAAAGAAUAACAUGCUCCUGGCCAUCAGCCAUGGUCUUUUAUUUUUAAAUUGCAAUGAAAAAGUGAUCAAUGCAAAGCUUUUUUCUCUUAAAGUUUGUAACUUUUGACCUUCGAUAUAUUAGGCACUAUUGUAUCACAUUACUUCCUGCCUUUGCAUUCCUUAGUGCCUUUGGGAGCUUUUGGGUUGUCUUCUUGUCUUGUUUUGGGUUUUGCUUAGUCUCUUUGCUGGAAGCUAGCUAGCCAACUAAUACUAGAUAUGGGUUAACAAUGCUAAAUGAGAGCCUAUGAUUCAUGCCUUUCAGCAAUUCUAUAUAUUACUUGCAUGUAAAGCAAAUCGUAGCAAUCACAAGCUAGUAGGCAGCGAUCGAUAUUGGCUGCUUUAUAUUUCUUUUCACUUUUCUAAUAGAAAUCCAUGGUGCUUUUCUGUAAGAUGCUUAAAAUGAACACAUAGUGAUUACCUUUGAUUCUGAAUCAGAAUGGCCUACCCUUAAAUAUAUGAUAUUAACGCCACCCUCCAUACUAAUCGUGUAUCAAAAUAAUAAAAUGGGUUUGUUGUUGAGAGGUCUAAGAAGAACGAAUUUAAUUUGGCUGUGUUUUUGUCUAGCUAGGUUUAUAUAUAUGUGUAGUGAUACUAGAAAUGCCAGUAUUCACUAUGGUGCAAGUGUAUGGAGCAUUUACAGACUAGUCAAGUACGUAGUCAUCAAUCUUCUUUUCUCCAUAUUACAGUUAUUACUUGCUUUUGUAAAACAUCUACUCCUUUUAUUUUUGCCAAUUCAAGGAGAGAAAGUAAAAACAUCUUUGAUUACACCAAAUGUGUUAAAAGAGUACUUUUGUAAUUGAGGGAAUAGGUUAAAUCACUUUUGUUAAAUUAUCGAAAGAAAUUAAUUAAGCACACUAUUUUGUCUAGUAGAAUAAAAUUCUUAAACCCUAAACCCUAAACCCUGAGAGGUCUCGAUCGACUCUAGAGAUGAUAUACAAGAUCUUAAGAUAUCAAAGUGUGACAUCAAUUUUCAGAAAGGUGUAAAACAUUAUCAAUUGACGUGCGUGAAUACAUUAUCACAUUGCUACUACGGACAUUGAUAGUUUUGAUACAACAAGACUGUAGUUUACAGAAGUUUUUCUUUUUUUUUUGGAUCAGAAUUACAAAAGUUCAAAUUGAUGAAAUUAUUUGAAGUUUUUUUUUAUUAUCUCCAAACUAUGAUAAUUCCAUAUAGUUUGGAAUCUAGGAUAGAAUCUGGAAAGUAAAAUGAAAAUCACCUCAAAGUGAAACGUGCAAGAGUUUCACAAUCAUAUGUCACUCAUUCCACACGUGUGGCCGUGUGGGUGACACUCGCGCGUUUGUUUCAUAAAACCGAAACUCAUAGAACUUCCCUCUUUCUCUCUCUUCUCACUCCCUUCUUCGGAGAAGGGAAGAACAGUAGUGAGCGCGGAAAAAGAGAAAGCAGAAACACUGAAACACACCCCCAAAAGCAAAAGCAAUAAAGGAUCACACACCUCUUUUCAAUCAAAAUAUGAAAAGCAAAAAGCCAACCCAAGCCAAAGCUGACCGCAUUAAGCAACUCAUGGAGAAGAUCCCACUUAUAUACUCUCAACCCAACUCACCUUCUCCCCUGUUCUCAGUCCCAUCAUUCUUCUUCUCUUUGAGCUCACAGUGGCAAUGUCUGAGAUUGUGGUUGCAGAACCCAUCUAUGAUGGUGGAGCAGAGGAAAAAAGACCCAUUACAAGGUAUCUCACUAUGGGAAGUGGGAGUGAUCACAAUCAUGUUCCUGAGCCAUUUGAGAGCGAGAGAUUACCUGCCACUUUGGCCUCAAAAAUCCAGAGCUUUCUUCGGGUUGCCAACUUGAUCGAAAGCGAGGAGCCUCGGAUUGCUUAUCUAUGUAAGUUGUUGGUUUCGUUUUGUUUUGUUGAAUUUGGUUUGUAUUACAAGGUUUUGAAGAUGUGAAUUUUUUGAUUUCAUUUGAAUCUGUAUAGUGUUGAGUAGGUAGUGUUGGAAUUCUGAGGUAAAGGGUAGUAUGGAAGUCAUAGGAGAAACACAAGGUGAGUGACUAGAAGGACCUUUUAAAAAGGGUCAUUGGGGGUUCUGUUGAUUUAGUACUAGUUAGAUAGAAAGUUGCUGGCUUUAUUGUCAAUGAUAGGAUGAAGUCUCAGGAUUUGAUAAAGUCAUAAAACUUAGUGAAUAGCCUGUUUAGCGAUCACAAUUUUGGUGCAUUGGGGAGUAAGAAAGAUGUGGCUUGGUUUAUUUAAACAAUUGGGGACGUUGUUUUGAAUUUUGGAAGCAGUUUGCUGAAAAAAUCCAUGUCCAUAGAUGGGUGCAACUGUGCAAAUAUGUUUUCUUUGAACUGAUCAACAGUUCUCUCUGAGAGCUGAGAAAGAAAUUUGUAGGAAAUUUGAUUGUAACAACCAAAACCUGAAACUAAGGCCAGAAAAUUUCCUGACAGGGGUAGUUGAGUUGUAAAACUUUAUUCUUUUGGCUGUUAGAAAUCUAUAAUUUAGGUUGCACAUGGUCAGUUUAUUUAAUUACCUUACCUUCCACUUUAAUUUGGAAGAGGAACUGCUUAUCCCAUAUCUUUUCUCUGAAUACACUCAUGGAAGAUAUUAAAUAGUUGUUUUCAAAGAUGUAGACUCCAUGCCCACAAGAAUCUUGAUUUAACAUUGAUGGAUGGAGCAAUAACAUUGUCUGAGUGAACAUUCUGGACAGGCCGCUUUCAUGCCUUUGAAAUAGCACAUAACAUGGACCGUCAUUCGAAUGGGCGGGGUGUUAGACAAUUCAAAACUACCCUUCUGCAGCGACUUGAACAGGUGGUUAUCCACAUUGAUUUGUACUACAUGCAGCAGUAAUAUUAGGUCAAAAUGGUAGUCAGAACCUUAGUAAACAGAUAUGCUGCACAGGUAUUUUAGGUUAGUCUCAACUCUUAACAAUGUAAUUAAACCCAACAUACAAUUACAAUGUUCACUACAUGCUCGAUUAAAGACAAAACUCUUUCUUAGCAUGAUACACUGUUUCUUUAUCAUUAUCUGUGAGAUAGCAGCUAAUUGAUUUGAGAUGCCAUCAUAUUAUCUGCCCUGUAUUACAAAUCAAUUGAAAUAAAUUCUUCUUAGCUAAGUAGUCAAACCGGGCUUAUGUGUCCUCUCAUUACUGUCAUUACCUAGAGUUCUAUGCUUUUACUGAUCUUUCCCAUCUUAUAUAUCUUUCUGUUGGUUGGACUUAUACUUCAUGUUUCUUGUGUCUUUUAAGUUCUCCGACACUAAUAGUAUUUGUAAUUAAAAAAGUUGAUCUCUUCUUCUGAUGUGGAAUAAUGAUUCUUCCCAACUUUGAACUGUUGUUUCUAAUGGGUUAUAGGAUGAAGAAACUACAUUUAGGAAACGGAAGGAAAAGAGUGAUAUACGUGAGUUGAGACGUGUCUAUCAUGCUUACAAGGAGUACAUCAUAAAACAUGAAGGAGCAUUUAACACAGAAAAUAGGUAAAUACAUCCAUGCACAUUUCUGUGUAUAUUGACAUAUCUUUCUUGGUUCUGAUCGCCCGUAAAGUAUUGAUUAGAGUUUACUGUCAACAUUAAUUCCUGGGACUUUAUCUGAAUCAGUCACAGAGAGAAGUUGAUAAAUGCACGUAUAAUUGGUUCUGUGUUGUUCGAAGUCUUGAAGACAGUUUCAAAUACAGCCGGUCCUCAGGUAACUUUCCUUCUUUGAUUCAAUGCAUUCUUCAUUUUCUCACGUAGUUUGUGAUGAUAAAGGUAAUGGUUUUGUUUCUAUUCUUUGAAAUGUGUUUCUAUACAUGGCAUUCUAUUUUAUCUUGCUUAAUGUUUAUAUUUAUAGGCCCUUGCUAAUAGAGGUGGUAUCCAGACAAAACCUAAUGAUCUCUUUGGCAUAUAUAACAUUCUACCACUUGAUCAAGGAGGUGCUCAGCAAGCAAUCAUGCAGCUACCUGAGGUCUGGUGCUGAAUUUCAUUACAGUGCUAUUUUUUUCCUUUUCCUUUUAUUUUCUGCAACUUUCAAAUCUAAAUACUGAUCAAGUGGUCAUAGCAGUCUAUACAUGAUAGUAAAGCAAGGUUAUGAAUUGUAAAAUGGGGAUUUCAAUUCUAAUUAAUAAAAUGAAAUACUACAGAUUAAGGCGGCAGUAGCAGCAAUACGACACAUUCGUGGCAUACCUUCCAACGAAGAUUUUCAGAAACAUGGCAAUUUCAUUGAUUUGUUUGAUUUUCUUCAGUACUGCUUUGGAUUUCAGGUAGUCUAUUACAAAUUUUGAUUUUAUUACGUCUUGCCUCCCCUGCUCCUUCUACUAUAAAUUAUAGCUGUUAUAGCAUGUAGUAAAUAGGCCAAUUGGCGAUGCAGUACAUAGUUUACUUUUCUCUCUGUUCCUUACUUUCAGAAUUGAUUGAUUUUAUAUCUUGUGUCAGGAAGGGAAUGUAGCCAAUCAGAGAGAGCAUCUGCUUUUACUCCUUGCUAAUAUUCACAGACGGAAAACUCAGAAGCAGACAUCUGUCUCAAAAGUGAUUUUCUUUGGCGUUUAUACAUAUUUGUUUAAGUAUUAUAUUAUUUCUACUUUUGUGUUGAUACAAUUUAUCUUAUAAUAUCAGUUAGGUGAUGCUGCAGUGGAUGAGUUAAUGAGGAGAUUUUUCAAAAAUUAUACAAAUUGGUGCAAAUUUUUGGGAAGGAAAAGUAACAUCCGGUAAGAUAUUAUGAUCCGGAUUCUGACCCAAUGAUUGCUAUUUAAUUCCUGUAGGACUCAGAUCAUUUACUUUAAUAUUGAUUUGUCCAUAUGAUUGUAUGAUACACUAGCUGUUUUUAUUUUUAUUUUUUCAUUUGUUACCUCUUAAAUCUUAGUACUUAAACUUGUAUGAGUUUUGUCUUACCUCAUUAAGUGAUUUUCUGUUUAGGUUGCCUUAUGUGAAACAAGAAGCCCAACAAUAUAAACUUCUAUUUCUGGGGCUUUACCUUCUUAUAUGGGGGGAGGCUGCAAACUUGCGAUUCAUGCCAGAGUGUCUCUGUUAUAUUUUUCACCAUGUAAGCUUACCAUCGAUUGCUAUCUAGCAUAAUGCUGGUUGAAUUUUUUUCUCAUAGCUUCAUAUUGCCCUUUCAAAGUUUCAAACCCAUAUUAAAAUUUAAAUUUUGUUAAAUCAAACAAGACCUAUUUUCACUUGAAUAUAUAAAUGUGCGUACAUGCUUCUUUGAUCUGUUUGGUUUAGUUUGUACUGCCUUUUCAGAUCUGGAGUUUUGUAAUUCUUAAAAUCUCUGACAGACUUUGGUGCAUUGAACCUGUAUUAAUCUUAUAUUUCAUGAUUUACCUCAUGGACUAUGCACGAUAAUCAUUAGUAAACAUAAUGCUUCUUUCAUCUAUGAACACAUGAAUUGCACAAGCUCCGUUUCAUAGAUUAUGCAUGAAAUUUGUAAGCCGUUACUAAUUGUUACUUUUUAUUAUAUUUAUCUGUUUACAUAUUUUCUUUUUAAGAUGGCAUAUGAGCUACAUGGCAUGUUAACUGGUGCUGUUAGCUUGACAACAUGGGAGAAGGUCAUGCCGGCAUAUGGAGGGCAGUCUGAGUCUUUCCUUAACAAUGUCGUUACCCCCAUAUAUGGGGUUAUAAGAGAGGUAAUUUAUGAGUUCAACCUAUGCUUUCAGUUUAACCAUUUUCUGUAGCUAAUCUGUUAUUCCUUCCUUCUAAUGUAACUGAAGGAAGCCAAGAAAAGCAAAGGUGGGACAGCUGACCAUUCCACGUGGAGAAAUUAUGAUGAUCUGAAUGAGUAUUUUUGGUUAGCAUUCAACUCGAGUCAUACAUGUAUAGAUAUGUAUUGUGUCCUUUGAUCCAAAGUUCUGCCUGCAAUAUGAUCACUAAACUGAAAUCUGCUAUCUUUUGGCAGGUCUCCUGAUUGUUUCGAAAUCGGUUGGCCCAUGCAUCUAGACCAUGAUUUUUUUUGUAUACAUUCUCCAAAAAAGUCCAAUGCUAAGAAAGCUUCAGCAUCCACUGCUCCUGUAGAAGAAAGAAGGAAGGAAGACGGGGAGGAAGAUGAAGUUGGGGUAUGUUAUCAUAUUACUGAAUAGGCAGCUUCUUGCAGUUGAUUAUAAAUUGCAUUGUAAAAGGUCUUCUCCUACUUGAAUAGCUUUCUAAUGGCUAUAUGUAGUUGAAGAAACUAGAGCAUGUUUUAUUCAGAGCACUAUUCUAGGCAUUUAUGUAUGUGCCUGUAUUUGUUUUUGCAGCACAAUUUCAUAACACAGUUUAGACUGCUUUUUAUUAUUAUUAUUAUUAUUAUUUUUAUUAUCUGAUACUAUGUUGGGUCAGGAGUCAGUGGAUUUGGGUAAUACUUUUAUCCUGAUUUCAUACUAUUUGGAAUUGGAAUUGGAAAAAGAAAAAGACAAGCGGAUCACCCCUCGAUGAAACUGCUCUAUUCUCUAAUAGCUUAAUUGAUCCAUAUUUAAUUUGUUUAACAAUUCUUCUAUGUCUCAAUUUUUUUUAUUUUUUUUUAUGUAACAGGUUACUAAAGAAGAAGUCCGUGAACCCAAAUGGUUGGGAAAAACGAAUUUUGUAGAAGUACGUUCUUUUUGGCAGAUUUUUAGAAGCUUUGACAGAAUGUGGAGCUUUUUUAUUGUUUCCCUUCAGGUAAACUUGAAUUAAUCUAACAGCUUGACCAAUACUUCCUUUAUGCUAUGGUUUCCUUUGUUGCUUAAGUUUUACUUUUUCUUGUAGGCAUUGAUAAUUAUGGCAUGCCAUGAAGUGGAAUCUCCACUUCAAUUAUUUGACAAAGUUAUAUUUGAGGAUAUCAUGAGUAUCUUCAUUACGUCUGCAUUCCUUAAAUUCAUACAAGGUACGAUUAAAAAGUAUUUUCUUUUAACUCUCAAAGUGUUGAAUGCACCUUAAACAUGACUCAAGCGGUCAAGCCUUAUCAUGUUUCUAUGUAGUCUUGUUAUGUUUUAUCAACUUUUCACUUUCUUUUACUACAGCACAAUAUUUGUCAGUCUCUGUUUUUACUUUACAAGUUAUUCUAGUGUAUGUCGAGAACUUGAGAUCCAAUUCGAGUUCUAUGCUGGGUUGAUCUAUUUUAUUCAAGUGAUUACACAGAACCUCAUUUGUCACUGAUUCUUUUGGGAUAUCAUACCAGUAUGAUGUGCGCAUGGGAAAAUGAUUUAAAAGCCAACCAAUAAUGCGUCCUAGGCUCAAAGGUUAUUGAAAUAAUUGCCGGCAAUGAUCCUUAGGUCUCUAACCAUGUCAUUCAGGAUUGUUGUUAAUUGUAACAUUAGUCAUUAUAGCUUGAUGGCUGAUGUGGUAACACAUUUAGCCUAAAUCAAACCUCCUUGUUAAGUCAAUGUCAAUGUAGCUUAAAUGAUUUUCUAAUUGGUUCAUCCAAGGUCUCUUGAAAGAAAAUAAUGUCUGUGUCCUGAACACAUCCAUGUAUUGUAUUGAUAAGUAAAUGCAAUAACAGAUUCUCUGUCAUUUCUCUAAAUUUUCUUUCCAUAGGGAUUUAUGUGAGACAUCGGCCAAUACAAAGGAGUACCUUAAUUUUCCUGUGUGUUUGCUGUUAUGCAAGUUUGCGUGUCUGACAUAGGUUGUGUAUUUGGUCUAUCUAAUACUUCUGUGGUAUCACCUUAUCAGCCUGCACUGCGUCUUUUUACCACACAUAUAAAACUUGGUAGAAUAAUUCUUAUAGCUCAAACAUACACAUGCUUUGUAUCUUAGAAAAGAUCAUACUGUUGCCAUGUAUGGUAUAGGUCAGAAGUAAACUGAGUAUUUGUUUGUUUUUUUUUUUUUCUGUUUUUUUAUGUUUCUUUAUAACUGGCUAACAUUUGCUUACUUGGAGUUUUGAGUGAUUACCUCCUAAUGAAAUAUAUGAUUAUGAUAUCUGAUUGAGGUCUGGGAUUGCAGCAAUACUCGACAUUGCCUUUACAUGGAAAGUGAGACAAACGCUGGACUUCUCUGCAAAAGUAAAGCAUGUUAUGAAGCUGGGUGUUGCAAUGAUAUGGACUAUAGUUCUUCCUGUAUAUUAUGCUAAUUCUAGAAGAAAAUAUACUUGUUAUUCCACAACAUAUGGAAGCUGGCUUCAAGAAUGGUGUUUCUCUUCCUUUAUGGUUGCAGUUGCAAUCUAUUUGAUGACUAAUGCAGUUGAGAUGGUGUUAUUUUUGGUCCCUUCUGUUCGCAAAUACAUUGAGAUCUCAAAUUACCGUAUAUGCACCAUUCUCUCUUGGUGGACACAGGUAUGCUCAUCAUGUAGCUUGUCAGUAUUUUAAAUCUGUGAUAUUGUCUUUAUUUUUUGUUGAUUUUAAAUCAGAUCUUGCAUAAUGUUUUUUUUUUUUUUUUUUCAAACUGAAUUUUCCAGUUUGGUAGAAUAACUAUUGCAGAUGAAACUAUGAACUUCAAGACAGCAUCCAGUUUGCUUCUUUUGUUCCUGAACAUGUCAAAGUUUUUGAGUUUUAAAUAGUGGCAUAGUCACUGAUCAAAAGAAAGAAAAAGAACAUUGGUAUAGAGUAUAGACUGCAUAGUCAGAAUUGUAGCGAUAAAUGCCUUUCAGAAGAUAUUGAUGUAUAGAUAGAGGUAGUUCUAUGCACACAGCAUAACCAACAAAGAAUGUUCUGGUUAGAUACAUACCACAAGCAAUGUACUCUAUUUAUUGAGUUAAUGAAUAGAUGCACCUCUCAGUUUGACUUUUGGUUUUGCAUUUUAUGGAUAUUAAUUGGAACCUUUGAUUUGAUAAUGUAGCCUAGGUUAUAUGUUGCGCGUGGAAUGCAAGAAAGCCAGCUUUCAGUGUUGAAGUAAAUACUACACCUAUAAUGAAUUUUUCUUAGCUGACCUUGUUCUUUUAUAUAUUGUUCCUUGAUACAUUUUUUCCCUUAUUCCAUAGGUAUACAUUGUUUUGGGUGCUUAUACUGCUGAGCAAAUUCUCUUUCAGCUACUUUUUUGAGGUUGGUGCUAACACUGUAGUGGAUUAAUCUUUCAAAUUCUCCAUCCAACACUCUAUAGUGGCAAAUGGUUUCAAAAUUAUGUUUUGAGGCUGAGUUUGCUGAAGAGUUUACAAUCCUACAUCUGGUUUUCUUAGCCUUUCCAUAAUAGUAAAUAAGAUAUUGGCUUCUCCUCUCAUUGUCAGUUGGAUUGGGUUGAAUGCUAUAAUUCGAACAAUAGUAUACUAAGUUACUAACAUCACCAUUCUUGUUGCAUGCUGUAUUGAAUUUCCAGUUAAUAUGCAAUAUAUGUAGACGUGAGCUAGACCUAAAUCUAACCAUUGUAUUGGUAUUUGAAAGAUAAAAGGCAUUUUGUUAGGAAAGCAAUAAAGAUAAGAGGAAUAUAUGUUUAACUUACAGAUGAAAAAAAUGGUUUGUCUGUCCAUUGAUUGAAAUGAUGCUCAAUUAUUAUGUUACUGUCUCACAAUCUUGGAAUUUGAAAUAAUUGCUUUCCUAGUUAGAGUAUACUUGGAUCAUGAUUAAAAUUUGAAUUUUUGAUAUACUUCAUAAGUUAAAAUGUUCAAUUGAAAAACUGCAGAUAAAACCCCUUAUAGAACCAACAAAGCAGAUCAUGAAAAUUGGUGUACAAAUGUAUGAUUGGCAUGAGCUUUUUCCAAAAGGUACUUACUGAUGUUCUUUUUGUUGUUGUUUCUAUGUAUGAUUGUAGGAUCUGAUUGCACCAAUUGUAUAUACAUAUAUAUUCAAAAAAAAAAAUGUUUUCUCGCAGUUAAGAAUAAUGCUGGUGCAAUUGCUGCUAUAUGGGCUCCAAUAAUAGUUGUGAGUUUCUCAGUUCCUCUGAAUUAUCUAAAGCAUUUCCUUUUCAUGUUGAACUUUCUGGAUUUUCAGAUUGAUAGAAGUGAAUUUUAAUGGUUUUAUGGCUUGUUAACAUCAUAUUAACUAACCUCCAUCCCAAGCUGAGGUCAAUUACAAAUAUCAUUCACUGAGAACUAAAAAUGAAGCUGAUAUUAUUUAUGCUGCAACACAAUUCUAUGAGCUGCUCUACUUUAAGCUUUUUACUCGUUGAUAAGGCGAUCGUGACUUCGUAUGUACUUAACCCAUUUUAUUUAUUUAUUAGGUGUACUUUAUGGACACUCAGAUAUGGUAUUCUGUUUUUUGCACAAUUUUUGGUGGAGUCUAUGGCAUUUUGCAUCACCUUGGUGAGGUAAGCUAGCUAUACCUCUUUUGUUCUUCUUUUUGUUCCCUUGGAAAGCAUUUCUGCUUUCUGUCUUACACCUCUGUUCCAUUAUAGAUUCGGACGUUAGGAAUGUUGAGGAGUAGAUUUCACACCUUGCCUUCCGCAUUCAAUAUUUCUCUUAUUCCACCCUCAUCAAGAAAUGACGGAAGGAGAAAAAUAGGUUUCUUUUACAAUACAUUCAGAAAGGUAUGAGGUUUUAGUUUAUCUGAAAUUGAAUUUCGUGAAGAAUCUUGUGCUAAAUGUCAGAGCCUAUCUUUCCAGGUCUCAAAGAGUGAAAAAAAUGGUCUUGCCAAGUUUGUCUUGGUUUGGAACCAAAUUAUCAAUAGUUUUCGAUUGGAGGACUUGAUAAACAACAGGUGUUUUUCUUUCUUGCACAUACUUACUCAUUCUUCUCUCCCACAAAAUGUCAAAGAAAAAUCCUUACAUAAUUUUGCUACUAAAUAGGGAGCUGGAUUUAAUGACAAUGCCAAUGUCAUCAGAAUUGUUUUCCGGCAUAGUUCGUUGGCCUGUUUUUCUUCUUGCAAAUAAGGUAUCUUCCAUAUUCAAAAUUCUUCAAUCAUUGUUCUUUUCUGGUUCUCCUAUCUAAAUAUAUCUCCUUCCAGACCAAUUAUGUGUAGGCGUGUGUGUGUGUGUGUGUCUAUAUAUAAAAUUAUAAAAUAUGUCUCCUAUACAUCUAGUUUUCAACAGCCCUCAGUAUUGCAAAGGAUUUUGUGGGGAGGGAUGAAAGUCUUAUCAGAAAACUUAAAAAAGAUGAGUACAUGUACUGUGCUGUGAAGGAGUGCUAUGAAUCGUUGAAGUAUGUCCUUGAAAUCCUUAUUAUUGGGGAUCUUGAAAAGAGGUAACAUUGACAACUCACUUCCUUUUCUUUUUCUUGUAGGAAAAUAUAGUUAUGGACAUUGUAUUUAAUUAUUUAUACCCACUUCUAAUUUAUAUCAUCAUUCGCUCAGAAAAAUACAAACAGAAAAGGUUAUGGUCUUGUAAUAUAUAUACUUUUUGUGGAUUGUUUAACAGGAUUGUAUCUGCCAUACUGACUGAAAUUGAAAAAAGCAUCGCAAAAUCAAGUCUUCUUGAGGACUUUCGGAUGAUUAAAGUUCCGGAUCUUCUUGCUAAAUGUAUUGAGCUAAUUGAACUUUUGGUAAGGUGUCCAUUUCCUGCAAAGUCAUUAUACUACAGUUGAUCAUAUAGUUUUCAAAAUUAUGUAUUCUAAGGUUCCUCAUUUCUUGUUGAAAUGUUGUUAGGUUGAGGGAAAUGAAGACCAUCAUGGUAAAGUUGCGAAAGUUCUCCAAGACAUAUUUGAGCUUGUAACCAAUGAUAUGAUGACUAGUGGCUUUAGGUAGGUGUAUUCAGACUCUUUACCAUCUGCUGAUCAAUUCAUGCAGUGUACAUCAUAGCUGUUCACGUAAUCAUGCAGGAUAUUAGAGUUGCUGGAUUCAUCCCAACAGACCGAAACAGAUUCUGCUUAUUUUUCUGGAAAUAUUGAAUCCCCAUUAUUUGGAUCUGCUGGUGGCAGGAAUUCUAUCCAUUUCCCUUUGCCAGACAGUGCUGCUCUAAAUGAGCAGGUGAUUUUCCAUAAGCUCCUUUUCUUUCCUGUUUAUCAAGUCUUUCUACCAUUCUCUCUGUUAUGUUUCGUUCACUUACCAUAGUUCACAAAAACUUAAGCUGUUGAAACUAUAAGAAUCUGUUUAGUUCAAAACUCCUGUAGUUUUGAGGUUUGAUCGUUAACGUCCCUGCUAUAUUUUGCGUGCAACAUGACUUCCACAUUUGAUUUAAAAAUUCAAAUUCCAUGGGAAACAUUGCCUACAUAUAUAUAAAGUACAUGUACAAUUAUAUUACAUUAAAUUACAUACCAAACAAAAGGAAUAGAUCUCUACUGUUGCCUGUAAGCAUCUUGUGAAAAAUAAUUGACAUGAUUUAAAUUGUAGAUCAAGCGCUUUCUUCUGUUGCUUACUGUCCAAGAUACAGCAAUGGACAUUCCAAGUAACUUAGAGGCUCGGAGACGCAUAUCAUUCUUUGCCACUUCUCUCUUUAUGAAUAUGCCAGGUGCACCCAAAGUGGCCAAUAUGGUGCCAUUCAGGUCUAGUUUCUUCUCUCGAGUAUUAUGUUCUUGUUUGAAUUUCUAUUUUUUUCUUCUUUCCUUCAGCCACGUAUUUAGUUCAUCCAAUUAAAUUUAUGGUUGCUGAAAUCAGUAGACAACUUUGAUGCCGUAAAAGUUGUCAAUGUUAAAGAAGGUUGAAGGUAGAAGAAAUGACUGAAAUUUAUCUUGCUCAACUGCUUUUACGUGGAGUUGGUGUCCAAAUUCUACUUGAAAAUAAAAGCUGUUGCAUUUGAGCAUCCAUGUUGUUGGUGUGCUUCUUUUGCUAAAGCUUUUCAUUAAAAUAGCACCAGAUCCUUGUUUUAUUAUGAAGUAUUAGCUACAAUCUUGACAAUUUUUCCCUGGUAAUUUACUUCAUGGUGGCACAAACAAGGAGGUGUUUGUUUGUGGUUUUCUCCGUUUGUGUACCUUCUGAUGUAAAUUAUUCUUUUAUAUGUAAUUCGUUUUAGUUGAAUGAAUAUAAUCUCAUCAGAAAAAAAAAAAAACUGAUCUAUAUUGUUUGCAUUGAUUUUUUCAUUACAUUAGAUUCAUUACGUAGUAAUUAGUGGUGGCAUUUGCAUUAAGAAGAAAUUGGAGCUGAACCACAAUCAUAUUGAUUAUAAAUCUUCUACACUAAAUGUUUUGAAGCUAUGGUUCAUGUUGAUCUUCUCAUAUAGAGGCAACUGCAUUUUCAUGAUUUGCAUCUGAUAGAACAACUUUCUUGGUGCAGUGUUAUGACACCACACUACCUGGAGGAUAUUAAUUUUUCAAAGGAGGAGCUUCAUUCAAGCCAACGGGAGGUUUCUAUCAUCUUUUACAUGCAAAAGAUAUUUCCAGGUUAAUAUAAUAUUACAUAGUGGUGUUGUAGGCUAUCUGUCUGUGAUUAUUUCUUGGACACUGACUCUUAUUUUUCUUAGAUGAGUGGAAAAACUUCCUGGAGCGCAUGGGUUAUGAAAAUUUGGAUGAACUGGAGAGGGACAAACAGGAAGAGCUUAGAAAUUGGGCUUCUUUCCGGGGCCAAACACUAAGCAGAACAGGUGAUUCAUAACAUUUGAUAUUAGUAUGAACACUAAACACCACAGAUCAGUUUGUCAUUUGAGUGACCUCCAGUAUGUUUUUAUGGUUCUAACAGUCAGAGGAAUGAUGUAUUAUAGAGAAGCCCUAAAACUGCAAGCAUUUCUAGACAUGGCUGAAGAUGAAGGUUUGCAAUCUGGAAAAUUUAAGUUAUUAGUAUUUGUUGAUUUUUCAUUAAAUUAGUGUGUCCUCAAUGAUGACUAACAACUUAACUGAAAUUUUAAUCAAAUUUUCAGAAACAUCUAUCUAAGUGGCUGAAUCUGUUUGUGCAGAUAUUCUUGAAGGUUAUGAUGCUGUUGAAAGUAGAAAUCAUCCACUAUCUGCUCAGCUAGAUGCAUUAGCAGACAUGAAAUUCACAUAUGUUGUUACUUGUCAAUUGUUUGGAUCACAAAAAGCUGCUGGAGACCCACAUGCACAGGACCUAAUUGACUUGAUGAAUAGGUAACUUCUACCAAGAAAGGAAAGAAUUAUUGCAGAAGUAAACAAGUUUUAAGUAAAACUAUGAAGUCUUAUAAUUAUUCAUUGCUUGAAGAUACCCAUCUCUCCGUGUCGCUUAUGUCGAGGAGAAAGAAGAGAUAGUGGACAACAAGCCUCACAAAGUUUAUUCUUCUGUCUUGGUUAAAGCUAUCCCUGAUUUUGGUGAUCAGGUAAUGUUAUUGAAUCAUGUUACAAAAUUGGGAAUUACGUACUAUUGAGUAAUGACUCAUGUGAGACAGCUUAGGUGCAGUAUCGUUUUGUGAUAUCAUUAACCUCUGACAAAGCUGCUAAGCUUUAAUGUCGCAUCGAGAAAUUAGUAAAUAAUUGGGAUUUGAUAGUAUUUUUUUAUGUAUAUGAAAUGCUAACGUAAAUCCUCUCAUCCUCUUUUGUAAUCAAGUACUUUUGUAAUCAAUUAUGCAUCUCAGAACUUACACGAUCUAUCAUUGUCCUUCAUAGGAAAUAUAUCGCAUAAAGCUUCCUGGUCCACCAACUAUUGGAGAAGGGAAGCCCGAAAACCAAAACCAUGGAAUAAUCUUCACUCGUGGCGAAGCUCUUCAAACCAUUGAUAUGAACCAAGUGAGCCUCUUGUCCAGUUUCAUAAGAUUUAGUCAUUUUCAUGUUCGUUGCUCUAAAGUAAGUGGCUUUAUAGGACAGUUAUUUGGAAGAGGCAUUCAAGAUGAGAAAUCUUUUGCAAGAAUUUCUUCAGAACCAAGGACGCCGACCUCCUAUACUACUUGGUUUGAGGGAACACAUAUUUACAGGAAGGUUAGAUCCGAUCCUAUAAUCCCUAAAACUGAGAUUUGCAAAUCAUGUGAGAUGCUUGCACAGAGUGCAUUAUGAUUCAAAAUUUAAGAACCACAAAAACCACAAUGAGAAGUAAGUUAGAAAUAUGUCUUGGAUGAAUGAUUCUAAUGCUUUCCUCAUAGACCUGAAAUGUUCUUAACUCAUAGCAAUUCCUCCGCCCCUUUAGUAACUUUUGUCUAGACCUGUUUACAUGGCCAAACAUUUACUAAAACUGUAGUAUUUGUCUGAAGUUGACUUAAUGCAAACUUUAACUAUAUAGUUAGCAUGUUAGUAUUUCAUGUAAAUUAUUUGCAGGGAUUCUGUAAGUGUAUCAUGGUUCCUUAUAUUUUCUUGCACACUGCAGUGUAUCUUCUCUUGCAUGGUUCAUGUCUUAUCAAGAGACCAGCUUUGUCACCAUUGGUCAAAGGCUUCUUGCCAAUCCUCUCAGGUAAUAGACGCCUGUGUGCUGAGAUCAUUUUUUAAUUGCAUCAAGUUAUUGCUUAUGAAUGAACACAAGUCUUGAUGCUAUGUUUUUGAAAUUUUAGCUUCAUAUGUUUUACUUCCCUAGACCCUAGUCAACAAUAUAGGGACCAAGUUCAAGUUUGUCUUGGUAACUCCUGCUAGUUGUUUGCUUUUGGGUGCAUUAGUUGGGUGUUGAUGAACCAUCUUGGUACUUAUUAUGUUAUUUCAGUCAUUCAACAAUGUUUUGUUAUCCAACUUAUUUGUAUGUGCGUCUAUGGACAUUCUUAUAACUACAAUACUAUUCUUAAUGCACAGGGUAAGAUUCCACUAUGGACAUCCAGAUGUAUUUGACAGGUUAUUCCACAUCACAAGAGGUGGAAUAAGCAAAGCAUCAAAAACUAUUAACCUGAGUGAGGAUGUGUUUGCGGGUAAUCUUUACUGACGUUCAAAACCAUAUAGUUAUCUUGUUAUUUUAUUCAAACUGCUUACAUCAAAUACCAUGUAGGAUACAACUCUACCUUACGACGAGGAUGGAUCACGUAUCAUGAAUACAUGCAAGUUGGCAAGGGUCGUGAUGUAGGUCUAAACCAGAUCUCAAAAUUUGAAGCCAAGGUUGCUAAUGGAAACAGUGAACAAACUAUAAGCCGUGAUAUAUUCCGCCUUGGACGUCAGUUUGAUUUCUUCAGGAUGCUGUCUUGUUAUUUCACAACCAUUGGGUUUUACUUUAGCAGCCUGGUAAUUUCAUAAAUUUCUUCUUGCUACUAAGAUAAAGUUAUCUAGUUUUAUGCAUAAUGUCGUAGCAAUCAUUGAAAAUGAUCUUUACAAAUUGGGAGCUGUUGAAUUCUAGUCAAUCAAUGCAAAAUACCCAUCAUAUUCAAUGUCAAUCUGUAUUUCUAAAUUUAGUAAUCAGUACAUACUUUACAUUUAUGGUAGAUAUUUUCUAAUCUAAUUGUCACAAAUUGCUUCUUAUGAUGAUAUGCCUUCAGUGCUUUGCUGUUACCUCUAUAUGAAUAUAAUAUUUGGCAUAGAACCACCAUUGGCUGUGAUUUAAUCUAAACUCUGCCAUAAAACUUCUCAGAUAUCAGUUAUUGGAAUCUAUGUGUUCCUUUAUGGACAGCUAUACCUUGUCCUCAGUGGCUUGGAGAAAGCGCUUGUAAUUGAAGCUAGACUGCAGAACAUACAAUCCUUGGAAACAGCUCUUGCCUCCCAGUCAUUUAUACAGCUUGGGCUAUUAACAGGAAUGCCAAUGGUGAUGGAAAUUGGACUUGAGAAAGGAUUCCUUAAUGCACUAAAAGAUUUUGUCCUCAUGCAACUGCAGCUGGCUUCUGUUUUUUUCACAUUCUCCUUUGGAACAAAAAUCCAUUAUUACGGCCGAACAAUUAUGCAUGGUGGUGCUAAAUACAGACCCACUGGGCGUAAGGUCGUUGUGUUUCACACUAGCUUCACUGAAAACUACAGGUUGUAUUCAAGAAGCCACUUUGUCAAAGGAUUUGAGUUAUUGCUCUUGUUGAUUGUUUAUGACUUGUUUAGGCGGUCCUAUGAGAGCAGUAUGGCGUAUGUAUUAAUCACUUAUUCGAUUUGGUUCAUGUCAAUCACUUGGUUGUUUGCUCCAUUUCUUUUUAAUCCAUCUGGAUUCAGUUGGGACAAGAUAGUAGAUGACUGGAAAGACUGGAAUAAGUGGAUCAGGCAGCAGGGUGGUAUUGGAGUUCAACAAGAAAAAAGUUGGCAGUCUUGGUGGAUAGAUGAGCAGGACCAUCUUCGUCAUUCUGGGAUGACUUCUAGGUUGUUUGAAAUACUCCUAUCUGUUCGGUUUUUCCUGUAUCAGUAUGGUCUGGUCUACCACCUUGACAUUUCCCAGAAUAGCACGAAUUUUCUGGUUUAUUUGCUUUCAUGGAUUGUGAUCCUCGUUGUAUUCUUGUUAGUAAAGGUAAACCUCACCGUCCUUAUCUUCUAUUAGAAACUAUUCUCAUAUCUGAUCUACAAUUAUGGAGAAGAAAUCUGUCUUAUUAUUUCUCUAAUUAUAUACUUGACUUCACUCUAUGCAGGCAGUGAACCUCGGAAGGCAACAGUUCAGUGCUAGAUAUCACCUCGUGUUUAGGCUAUUCAAAGCAACCCUCUUCUUGGGUGUUCUUUCCAUCAUCAUAUCUCUCUCUCUUGUGUGUCAUCUAUCUUGGAGGGACUUAGUUGUCUGCUGCCUAGCAUUUUUGCCAACAGGAUGGGGUUUGAUAUUGGUAAGUUUAUAUGACUCUUUGUCUUUGACAUUGCGUUUCUUUCCUACUUUCCACUAAUUUACUUUGUUCGUUCAGUUUGCACAAGCUGUGAGGCCCCUGAUAGAGAAUACUGGAUUGUGGGAAUUCACCCGAGUACUUGCUAAAACAUAUGACUACGGAAUGGGGGUUGUUCUGUUUGCACCUAUUGCCGUCUUGGCAUGGCUUCCGAUUAUAUCAGCAUUCCAGACUCGUUUCCUGUUCAACGAGGCCUUCAAUAGACACUUGCAGAUCCAACCAAUUCUUCAGGGGAAGAAGAAGAACAGAUAGGUCAUAUUUUAUUGAUGAUUUCAUAGUACAUAAUGUACAGUCAUUAUAUUUACGAUUCUUUAGACUAGAAAUGCUACAUCUGUACAGAAACAGGAUCACAUUAUUAAUGGAUACAAAUACAACUUGUCAUUUGCCAACAAUAGGAAGUAGCCUAUGACAUAGUUUGGUCAAUAACUAGCAUAAGCAAGCAAGAACAAUGCAGCACUAUGAAUCUAAAAUAUUACUUGGACCAUCUUUUAGUAACGAAUUACAAGUAUAUAAGGGUAACUGUCUGUCAAGUCGAAGUAUUUGAGAAUCACACAAAAGAAAGUACAUUGAGAAAUUCAAACACUUGGAAUCUAAACUUUUUCUUGGCAUAACUUUGUUGAAUGUAUUUUUAACUUAACACCGAACACUAUGCAUGGCGUUUCGUAUUAACCUAAAAAUAGUGAUCCUUGAGGAAAAUAUGAACUUUAGGGACAACCAUACCAUAUAAGUUACGUCUUCAGCCUUCUAUUUCGAUCAGCCGAGAAUAAGAGUUGGUCGAGAUUUUGUUUUAUAAUUUUUUUUUAUUAGACAAACAACUCAAAUAUCCUUGUAUAAAACCACACUCCCCCCAUUUGAAACUCCCUGCGAGGUUUGAACUGUUUGAACUUUUGAAGAACACUGCAAAGGGUUUUGGCCUAAAACCCUCUCUUUCCUUUCUCACAAGACAAACAUGAUUUACCGCUCUACCAAAGUACUCAAACUCACCCAUCCAGUCCUCCAAUCCCUAACCCAAUACUCCACCUUAAAUCAAAACCCACCUUCCUCCUCCUCCUCCUCUCCCCAAAUCCCCAAAAAGCUCCACCACAAAGACUGGCUCUCCCCAACCGAAGUCCUCCAAGUCUUCACAUCCCUCCAAGACCCCACCUCACUCCUCCCCGCCCUCCACCACUACUCCACCCGCAAAGACUACAAACCCACCGAAGCCCUCUACACUCUAAUCAUCAACAAGCUCUCCCAAGCCCAUCUCUUCGAGGCAAUCGACAAUGUCAUGAACAGAAUCAAAUCCGAGAGGAAAUGCCGGCUGUCGGAUGACUUCUUCCGCGGCGUCAUCAAGAACUACGGCAAUGUGGGUGGCUACAUAAACAAGGCAAUGCAGACGCUUUUCGACAUGCCCGGCGGUUUCGGGUGCUGGCCGUCUGUCAAGACAUUCAACCUUGUCCUGCAUAUUCUGGUUUCGACGAAGAUGUUUGAUGUUGUUCAUGAGGUUUACUUGAUGUCGGCCAAGUUGGGUGUUGAGGUUGAUGCGUGUAGUUUGAAUAUAAUUGUCAAGGGGCUGUGUGAAAGUGGGAAGGUUGAUGGUGCACUCCAGGUGCUCGACGAAUUUCCCCACCAGAAAUGCGAGCCGAAUGCGCUGACGUUUUCGACGCUGAUGCAUGGGCUCUGUGUGAUUGGGAAGGUGGAUGAGGCUUUCGGGUUGCUGAGGAGAAUGGAAAAUGAAGGUAUUGAUCCGGAUUCGGUUACGUUUAACAUCUUGAUAGCAGGGCUGAGGAGACAGAAGAGAUAUGAUGAGGGCAUUGAGCUUUUGGAGCAAAUGAAGCUCAAGGGUUGCGCGCCGAAUCCGGCUUCUUAUCAGGAGGUUUUGUAUUGUUUGCUUGAUGCGCAGAGGUUUGUUGAGGCAAAAGAGUUCAUGAUUCGGAUGGUUUCAAAGCGUGUUGGUCCGAGUUUCGUGUCAUACAAGCAACUGAUUCAGGGGUUGUGUAAGGAGAAUAAGGUGGAGGAGCUGGACUGGGUUUUGAGGCAGAUGACGCGGCAAGGGUUUGUGCCGAAGAUGGGUAUGUGGAGGCAGAUUAUCAGAAGUGUGUUUCCGGAAAAGAGCAACAACCAUCAUUGUGUUUCUUGUGAAGAAACUAUAGAUGAGUUGAUCACUUGAAAUGGAUCAUUCUGUAUUUAUGGCCUUAAACUUUGUUACACAAAGCCUGCUGGCUUGAGAUUCAGCAAUUACAAAAGGAAAGCUGUAGAUCGAGUCAUAUGAUAAACAUGACGGUGGACUACAAAUGCUCCCAUAAAUAAAUGAGGUAGAAUUAUAGGAAGUUCGACUGGUAUGUCAUUUAACUAUAACGAAACCGGAACUACAUAGAUAUCAGGUGAUAUGACCAUUCCGAUACGCUUGAUCUUUUUGGUCACCGAUGAAGCUUGAAAAUGAAUGCUUAAUGCUUUGUGAUUUUGUUGCAUAUACAGCUGACAUAACAGUAAUGAGUAAUGGACAUACAGAAUGAUAUGGCUCUGAUCACCAUGGUAUCCUACAAUCUCUUUCAGCUUGAAAAUGAAUGUUUUUGUUAGUAAGGUGUGCAUAUUUACCUGAACUUGCUACUUUUGUUCUCCGAAACAGUGGCAUUGGAAUUACAUAACAGAAUCACCUCACAAGAGGUAGAGGAUGGCUAUCUAUGGAAAGUGAAAACAAGAGAACUCUACACAUAAAGGUUGCCUUGUCAACUGCACAAUUUAGCAAACCCUGAACAUGAGAGCUGAACAAGGAUGCAAAUGUGAAAACUGGCUGAGCAACAUGCUCCUUCACAUUAAUGCAUCAGUGCUGGAAACAACUGGUAUCAUUUUAACUGUUUUGGAGGAGUGUCAUCCUCAUCAGAAGAGUUAAAUUCUUCUGAAGUUUUGCUUGCCCUCCCAUUGUAAGUAUCACUUUGACACUUCCUAAAAUCUCGAGAUUUUUUUGCUGGUUUAAGGAAACUAAUUGCCUUGUCUAAAGCCUUGCCCUUUCCCUCUGAAACACUCCCUCCAGUAGUGACAACUCCUUCCUUCAAACCCUUACCCUCCUGAUGGUUGGAAAGUUCAUCCUCCACAAUAAAUCUCACUGCAAUAUCUUUUUCACUAAUUUCCUGAAGAUUAGCAUGUCCAGAUGAAGCAGUCUCUUUAAAGCUGCUUGAACCACUGUCCUUUUUGGAAUUCUUGUGGAAUACCGAACGGAUCUUGUUUAGACCCUUCCGAACUGUUUUCAUCUUGCCUUUCUCCUCGUGAUUCUUUUCAGUGCCACUGUCCUCAUCAUUAUUUGGGGAGACUGAGGUUACCGAACUAUGGCCACCUGUAUCAUUUUGAAUCUCAUUUUCAAGGAGCCGACUCCUUCCUUUUCUACUCUCCCAUGUUUGUGAAACUUCAGGUCCUGGGUGAUGGACCCAUAUACCAGUCUCUCUUAGCCCAUCAACAUCAAUCGGCUCAAAGUUAUCUGCCACCUUCUCAAACUUUUCUGAUGAUGCAGAUGAGAAAGAACUUUUAUUACUAAUGUCAUUGGCAAACCUUUUUCUUUCAUCUUCCACAUUUGGUGUUUCCUGAACAUCUGGAUUAUCAUCCCCCUGCAUAUAGGUAACACGCUCAAUUCCAAGACAGAGUACAGAAUGACCAGCUUGUGGUUAAAUUCUUAUUUAACCACAAACUAGACCUAUGAAUGCUUUUGAUUCUAUUACCCUAUUAGUAUAGCAUAAAGUUGAGAGGAAGUCCAAAGUACCUUGGGACUAUCUUCAAGCACAGUAACUGCAAGAUGGAGCCUUCCUGUCUUAAUAUUCUGAAGAGGCAACCAGAUGUCAUGCCUCUGGCUAUCCCUAUACUCACCAAUGUUAAUGGAGCAAAAUCUGGAUACAGAAAGGUAGGUUAGACCAGCAACCAAGACCGACUUGGGAAACAACUUAGUCGAAGUGAUAAUUCUCUAAAAAAAUGAUCACUCAAGACUCAACAGAAUCAUUUGAAAAGCUUUGUAGUCACAGCACCUAAAUCUACAGCCUUCCCUGUUUUCUAGUGUCCAUAAGUCAUUCAAAUCAUUGACUUCUGAAUGAUGAUCAAUUAAAUAACCUCUAAGUAAGUUCAGGAACAAACCCAAGGCAAUCAUCAGCAAACCGGUCCUUGUCACGAACUUCAAAAGAUAGCACACUAGCUGAAUCCCAUGUUAUAAUGGGGAUCUUGAACUCUUCUUGCCAUUUUGGAGCCACUGUUUUCUUUUGUACUUUAGUCCUAAACCGGUAAAGGCCCAAAUGACCCUUGACAUAAGGGUCAGAUAAUCCUGACAAUUAUAUUGAAAUGAAUAAUUUGAGGUUUAGAACAGAUUAUUCUGUGGAAAUCCAAAGAGCCUACUGUAUUUAUAUAAACAACUAACCAUUUAGAUCUGCAGCUUUAAUGUCAGAUGCUUCAAUGACUUCCACUCUGACAUGUCCAAGAGGGUCCUUCUCAUUCACAGAGAACCAACUCUCUGUCAGUCAAAUGAAAGCCGAAUCAUUUAGAGACUACACACCGAGAAAGGGCGGAGAGAGGGAAGAAGAGUGAUGAUUGAAGUAUUAGAAAAACAAAAAAAAAAUCCUCAAAAAGGGAUCGGAAGAGCUAUUAUCUGGUAUGCAAGUAACAUGCAAAUUAUUCUUCACUCAAAAAUGAAAUUAUGGAGAAUUAAGCUGUUAUGACAUUUAUCUGAAGUAACUCAAAAAUGUCUCAUGCUCCAGCCUCUGGGUUUGUGUAUUAGGUUGAUACUGACAUGUAUCUUGAUAUCACUGAUUUAAAUAGGAGUUUCAGAAUGGGGAAUAUAAUGAACACACUUAGAAGUUGCUGCAACAAUACACUGGGUUUAGACAUUCUAAAAUAUUAUAGGAGGCAUAUUGUGAAUUAUUGUUCUCCUGUUACCUUGCUGCGGUGAGACGAAUUUCUCCAUGUCAACAACCAGCAUAUUGGGCUGCAAGAAUAUUGAUAGUUAUAUUUAGAAGACUACCAAUAGUGUAGAUGAAAUAUGAACUGCAUCAACCAAAAAAACCCCAUCGUUUGCUCAUUCUCUAAGAAAUCAUAUGAAUUAGAUUUUAUACAUUUUACUGCUUUGCCAGAAACUUAACGUAACUUCAUAUAAUGAACAGAGAACUGAACAGACUAAUGUCUCUGAAUAAGUAAAGAAAGGCAUCCCAAGUCAUUCAUUCAAAACCAGGUGACAUACAAAGGAAGCGUACAGAACUUCCAUUAGACAAUAAAGAAUUUAUGUAAAGGAGUCGAAGUACAAAAGUCAUACCUCAACAAGUGUCUGCUCAAAGGCAAUCGAAAGAAGCUUUUCCUGUGAGAAAGACCAAACAAAAGAGCAAGUCAGAGAGAGAGAGAGAGAGAGAGAGAGAGAGAGAGAGAGAGAGAGAGAGAGAGAGAGAGAGUAGAGAGAGAGUAGANNNNNNNNNNNNNNNNNNNNGAGAGAGAGAGAGACGGAAGACGGAAGACGGUGUACAGAGAGAAGUCAGCAUUAAUUCUGCUUCAAAUGUGACAAAAUAUUACCAGCCAACCAGCAAUUCCCGGAAGUACUGUAACAUCAAGGCCAUGUGUAGAAAUAGGCUUGACGGUCAUCUGAAAAUAUGGAGGCUCAACAAAGCAUAUCCGCACACGGCCAAGGAAAGGCCACCUACGAAGAAACCUAACCCCAAUCAACAGCUGCAAAACAAAGGAUAAAAGCUGCAUGAUCAGAACAUAUAAGCAGUUUGUAAUUUUAAUUCGUCUGCAACUAAGGUAUGAAAAUUCCAACUAUUGCCAAGUUACAUCUAUUGAAAAUAUUCAAUAGGUAACAUAAAACAUCUAACUUGAUGAUAAACAUCUAACCACCAAGUUUUUCUUUUUCUUCAUCCUUCCCGAUGACAAAAAUUCCUUUACAUUUACAGAUCAAAUGCCAAAAUCACUCAAUUCUAAAAUGAUCUUAAGAUCACAUCUCAGAUUACAUGUUAGUCAACCCAUACCUUGCCUUCAACAUGCAUGCCUGUAAUAUGCAACUUUGCCCACAUGCCGAAACCCAGUCUUUUCCUCAUCUUCACAGCGAGAAUUGCAAUCAUAUCAUCAGCUGUCAGAAAACUCAGUCCCAACUCCAAAACCUGCAUUCAUAACUAUAGUACUUCAGCCACAAAGAGGACGUGAAACUAUUGAUUCACUACGAAUAAAGAAAAUCAUACCAAGUGGUCAUCAUCAUUGGAAUGGCGAAUAACUCUAAUAUCUGUGAGCAUAGGUGCAUUUCGUCCUAAAUAAAGGUGCUGAACUACUGCUUCCUUCUGCAAUUGUAUAUUCAAUUGUUGUUAAUAAUGGAAAAAGUGUAUCAAACAACUAGAUAACAAUUCAUAAUGACCAUAUAUCUGCAGCUGAAGCUAACCAUCUAGUCAAGACAGUGAUCAAAAUCACACUAUUGAAUUCAGGACAACCUUGAUUCUGUUUUCCCAUCGUUUACCCUUUUACCAUAAGAAACCCAAAAGAUUUGCAAAGAGUGCAUGGAACUUUCCCCCAAAAUAAAAAAAAGUGUAUGAACUCAAUUUAAACCAAUGAUAAAAUGGAAUACGCAAGAUCCAACUCAAAUAACCCAGAAGGUAAUGUCAUACAGCAGUCCAUGGUUUGUACUUCUCCAAAAACCAAGGUAUAAUAGGGAGGAGAAUCUUCUGUGAAGCAAUCUGUUCUAUACAUAUGGGCCAUAUCUUUUCAAGUGCAUGGUUCAACCAUCGCAAUGUUUCAGAAUCAGUAAGUACCUGAAGCAUGGGAAACGACAACCAAUAACAAUGAAAUUUAACCGACGGUGGAAUACUAUUUAGCACAACCAGGAUUGUCACAAUCGGGGAAAUAUGAUAUUACCCUUCUCUGAUUAGACUGUUUUCUUUCCUCAAAUUGUAGUUUCUUUCGCAAUCUCAUAACAUACCGCUCAUGAACCUUGCAAAAGUACAAGAAACAGUUCUUAUUAUGGACUCCAAUUUCCUUUUCGCUCUCAUCCAAUUACCAAAUCGAACAACAUAUCAACAAUAAAGAGAAAUGGUAAAGGCAAGUUUAAGGCUUGUACCAGCAACCGAAAAUUUCAUACCCUUUAAGACACAUAUAGCACACAUUUAUGCCAUGAUUCUAAAUUCUUACCAUAAAGAAACAGUUCAAUUUCCUCCAGUCCCUAUAGAACAAGCUUAAUUCAAACAACAAUGACAAAAGUUGAUGAAAGAGAGUAAUCCAUACCAGGUAGAGAUAAAUCAGAGAGACAAGGUAGGCAACUGGGUAGCAGCAAUUGUAGUGAGACAGCAACCAAAGCACAAACAACACAAGUCCCACAUGGUGUAAGAUGGAACUCUCUGAAAUGUCCAUAUCUUCUUCAAACAAAAAAGUCACACGUCCUCAUAUCUCAUACAAACAGAGGAAAUCCCUAAUUCCUUUCACUCCUUGUCUUUUUGUUUUUUCUUUUUUGUUGGGUAAUGUACACUUUACAACCACCCCUAACCACCCUCAAGGAUAAAAGAGAAUUGCACAAGUUUCACACAUUCACAGCAUUAAAGGGAUUAAGAAAACCAGAAAAGGGAAAUCCAAGAUUGAAUUUUGAAGCUGAAGCGAUAAUCAAAUCCCAUAAAUGAACCAAACCCAGGAAAGGAAAAUCCCCACAAAUUUAUAAUUUCAGGACUUCCCUAACAACAACAACGAUAACAACAAAACAGAGAGAUGGAAGAUAUCAAUGUACAAACAAGCAAACGAAAAGGAGGAGAUAAUGUGGUUAUGGUGUGCCUUCAGGAAUUUGAUCAGAUUCCCAAUGUGUGAAACGGCGUCGUAUUGAUGAUCAAUGAAGUAACCGGCGGGAAGUAACGUGGCAGAAAAAGGGUGGGGGAAGAGAGGAGAGGGCAGCAGGAAGACAUGAAGAAGAAGACAUGUGACGAGGCAGAGUUUCCGUUUUUGAAGUUGGCCUAGUUUUUGCCACUUUUUUGAAACUGGAAUUUGCGCGCCACGUGUUCAAGAAAAACCACGUGCGCGUGUCCGUGUCUCUGUCUCUUUCAUCUAACUAAUAACCGACGGUACCCAUAUAUACGCUUCUUUCUACUUUUUUUUUUGGUCGAAAGUACCCAUACUCUUCUACUCGACCAAUAUUGUCAUUAUUGUGUACGAAAAUGAAUUUCAUACUCAUGAAUCAUUUUGUCACUUGACAAGGGAUUUUGAUGAAAUUCAUACUUACGAAGUUACGAUAGUCCUUAAUAUUUUUCUUUCUUGCAAAUUAUUCCCAUUGCCGAGAUAUUAUUGGAACAACCUCAACAACUUUUCUGUAUUCUUGAUUUUUUCACUAUUAGGGAGACUUUGGUUGUUUUACUUCAAACAGAUUCCUUAUAACUUUAAAAUAACUGGCUUACUCAAUUAGGAUUGGAUAAUUUCCCAUUCAACUAAUUAAUAUGUUGAAUGCUACUUUGGAAGAAAAUAUACAAGAAAGAGUUUCAAUUUCAUCACCUAAUAAAAUUCAUUAAUGUCAUUGAUUUUCCCUAGCUUAAAACCUGAAAGGAAAUAAGAAAGGUAAAAUUAGCUGGUAAUGCAAGACCCUAUUAUGAUUUGACUAGAUAUAUUAUCUAAUUGAAAUUAUUUUUUUCAUUUACUUACAUAACAUGACAAAAGAUAUAUACAGAUUAGAAGAGUGAGAGAGAACCUCUUCUAUAAGGAAACAUUCUCUACGAUUGAGCUUGAAAAACAAAAUAAACAAUAUUUACGUCCUUAGUUUUCUGUGAAUGAAUGUUUACUUCCUAAUACACUGUGAUUUGUCGUGUGCUCCAUGUCUUAGGUAUAUAUAUUGAGUGUGUUCUUUCAUAUGAAAGAAAUGUGGUGAGCUACAAAAUGAGCUUAGAGGUGAAGAUAGAAGUUUUUAGAAAAAUUUUUAGUUUACCCCUUAAAUAUUUGGUGGCAAAAUCAGUUCAGUCCUGUAACUUUUUUUAAAAUCAACUUUCAUAAACACAUCAAUGUAGUCUAAUUUUUGAAUUCCCCUCGAAAUAUGACGUCACCAAAACUGUUGGAACUGACCCAUAAUUUAGAUUUAUCCCCUCAUUUUCAAAAAAAUGUCUGAAAUUAUGGGUCCCCUUGUCAGUUCCAACAGCUUUAGUGACGUCAUAUUUCGANNNNNNNNNNNNNNNNNNNNNNNAAAAAAAAGUUGCAGGACUGAACUGAUUUUACCACCAAAGAUUUGGGGGGUAAACUGAAUUUAAUUCAAGUUUUUAACAAAGAAAGAAUUAAACCUUCCUCUCCAACUCCUCACCACCUCAGAAAUUUCAACCUCUCAAUUUUAGAUCAGUUUUCUCCUUCAGUUCAUGUUCCUCUAAUUCUCUUUUAUCCCAACAAUAGAGAUAUUCAUGAGGUCAAUAACAUUGAUCCCCAAUGUUUGGUUGUUGAAAGAACCAAACUUAUGAAAAGAGCACUAUCUGAAACCUUGACUCACUUCUACCCCUUUGCAGGAAGAAUCAACGACCAUGCUUCAGCAGUCUGUUGCAAUGACGAGGGAGCUAUGUUUCUUGAAGCUCGGGUCAACUGUCCCAUACCAAUGGCUUUGGACAAACCCGAUCUUGGUUUUGUAAAAGAUUUGGUUCCUAAUUUACAAUUUGUUGAAGGAAACUCCGGCCAUGAUCUUCUACUUGUCCAGGCCAACUUCUUUGAAUGUGAUGGAGUAGCGAUCGGAUUAGAAAUUUCACAUAAGAUCAUCGAUGCUUUCACAAUUAGCACAUUCCUCACAGCUGGUCUUCAAUUUCCUGUGGUUUGCAACUUACUCCACAUCAAUAAUAUGUAAGCGCAGCUUUUCAUUUUCCCCCACUGGAGUUGUUCGAGCCACACCUCCACAGUUGCAGAAGUUUGCUAAAGAAGUGUACAACGAGGAGAUUCUUGUUCGAAUCCUUGAAGAUUGAGUCUCUGAAGUCCAAAGCUGUCAGUGCGCUGUGCAAAAUCCUACGCGAGCAGAAGUCGUGUCAGCACUGAUUUGGAAAUGUGCGAUGAAAGCAUCAACUGCAAACUUGGGUUCUGCAAGACCAUCAUCGUCGACAUGGUUGCAAAUGGUGAACAUGCGGAAAAUAUUGGCGCCACCAUCUGUGGAGAACAUGAUGGGGAACCUUUUGGGGUUAUUUCAAGCAAAUGGACGAGAGGGGAAAGUGAGGAUGAUCUUCAAGGCUUGGUUGCUGCAAUGAGGAAGGGGUAUGAUGAAUUUAAGGUGAAGUAUGGUGCUAAUAGUGUUGGUGCGGAUGAUGUAAGUGAACUCCGAUCCAGAAAGAGUUCAGAGAAUUGUUGCGAAAUAAUGAUAUAAAAUGCUAUUGCUCCAACAGUUGGUGCAGGUUGGUGUUUUAUGAAACCGAUUUUGGAUGGGGAAAGCCAUUGAUGGUUGUUCCUCCAACUGAAGGAAUCAAGAAUAUGACUAUGAUGAAGGACACUAGUGAUGGACAUGGCAUUGAAGCGCACUUGACUUUGAAAGAGGAAGACAUGGCCAUUUUUGAAAAAAAUGAGGAGCUGCUGGCAUAUGCUUCUCUAAAUCCAUGUGUCAUAUAGUUGGUGCCUAAGUACAACAAAAAUUUAUCUCUUGUGCUUCUUAAGAUGAUGUUUAGUUUGUUACUAGCGGUCUCUGUUUCAGCUAUGUUUCUCAAUGUAACAUUAUGGAAAUAAAUAUUGGUACGUCUUUUCUUUAUUCUUCCUCCCUAGCCUUACUCUUUCAUUCUCCUUUUUUUGUUUUAGGAAAAAUAUCAAAAAUUUCAUUAAAAGGGAAUACAAUAUUACAACCAUGGGGAUAUUGGUGGUGGAAAUAAAUUCCUCACUCUCCUUCCUACCUACCCAAAACACUAGCGAUUACAGUACAUGGACAAGAACCGAAAUACAUUCAACUGUAACCUAAUAUAUUUCAGAAGUCCUGAGACAUCCUUACAGUAAGCCUCAAGAAGAAACAACAUUUUCAAACACUAUAUGCCAAAAUUAUCAGCAUAUAUGCACAGGUAUCCCCAUUAUAUCGACAACAAGAAAUAACCGACUUUAAAAUAGUCCUUGCAAACGACACCAUAACCAUGACACACCCAACAACACGACCAAACGACACCACCCUAUCAAAACCCUAAACACUCCCUCAAAGAGGAGACCUAAACCCUUGCUCAAAGAGGAGGGACAACCAGACUCAAAACAAAAAAAAAACCUAAAAAAACAGAAAGAAAAAAAAAAAACCAAAACCAAAACCAAACCCAACCUGGGCCAAAUAAGAGCCCAAGCCCACCCACUAGUCCACUAGUCAUUUUUUUAAAGAAUUUUAUUCUUAUUAACAAAAUCAGAUUUUUAAAUGGAGUUGAAGUUUACGUUCCCAAAUUUGUAAUCCACACUCUUUAUUUUAUUAAUAUCUUACAUCCACUCACUUUUUUCUUCCUAAAACACUCUUGUGUCAGCUGUCAGCUCUCUUUCUUGGGAAAUUCUUAUGUGUCUUAUGAUAUCCAUACCUUAAGUACAUGGCUGCUAGUGAUUAGUCCAUGUAGGAUUAAUGAAAACCUGCUACCUACUUGAUUGAUCAUCCAAUUCAAAUCUCAAACUAACUCUCACUCUCUCAUAUUAACAGUGUUAGUUUCCUCUCUCUCUCUCUCUCUCUCUCUCUACAAACUAAUUGAACUAACCUUUAAUUUGUCUCGUCGAUCUCUCUCUCUCGUCUCAUAUAUAUGUCUGUUGGAACUUGUGUGGUAUUAAUCCCACAUUGAAGAAGAAUUAAAUGUGAGUUUUUAUAUGGAAACACCCAUGUGACUCAUUAAAUGGAUGAUAGGCUUAAUAUGGGCUUGGUGGGCUUUCUAUUGGGAUUUUCAAUAGAGAUAUAUAUUAAUAUAUAUAUAUAUAAUAAAAGUCAAAGAUUGGGCCUUGGGGCUCUGUUGAUUAAAUCCGAAUUUAAUUUUUUCAGAAUUAAUAUUAUUUAAUUUAAUUAUUAAUUCGGAUAAAUAUCAAAAGAUAUAACUGUCCGAGUAGUUGUGUCUAUUUGAACAGUUAUACCUGUUCAAUUUGACUUUUAUAUAAAGACGACUUAUGUCGUUUUUUUGAUCAUCGAAUCGUUCUUCUUCUUCCUCUUUAAAACUAUUCCUUCUGAAGCAUAAAGUAAAUUCGUCAGGGUCAAGUUCUUGUACAAGAACUUGAACCAGAUAGUUAUAUCCUCUAGAUAGACGUCUGAAACUGCAGCACAAGUGGGGACGAAAUUCUGUCUUAGUUAUAUCCUCUAGAUAAACGUCUGAAACUGUUGUUCGUUUUAUUUCGUUGUUAUUUUCAAUUUCAUUUUGAUUUCGUUGUUAUAUAUAUAUAUAUACUGUUUUGAACGGAUAUUGGAUUGGUUCUAACAAUGUCUACUAUUAAGUCUACUAUUAACAUGAGUUAGGUCUACUAGUAACAUGAGCUAGUUAACAUACACAAGUAGAUUUUCUGGAAAAUUGUUAUUGAGAUUGUUUUUCAAAGUUGAACCAAGUAUUCUAAGAUGCAAAGUCUACUAAUAACAUGAGUUAACAUGAGUUAAGUAAGUCUACUAGUAACAUUAGCUAAUUGACAUGCAAAAGUAGACUUUCUGGAAAAUUGUUCUUGAGAUUGUUCUUCGGAGUCGGGCCAAAUACUGUAAGACGCGAUGUCUACUAUUAACAUGAGUUAAGUCUAAUAGUAACAUGAGCCAACUAACAUACAAAAGUAGAUUUUCUAGAAAAUUGUUCUUGAGAUUGUUUAUCGAAGUUGGAACAAGUACUUUAAGAUGCAAAGUAUUAACAUGAGUUAAAUCUACUAGUAACAUGAGCUAACUAACAUACAAAAAUAAAUUCUUGGAAAAUUGUUCUUGAGAUUGUUCUUCGAAGUUGGAACACGUACUCUAAGAUGCAAAGUCUACUAAUAACAUGUGUUUUAUGUUAAAUGUAGACUUUGUAACUUUUGCUUUUAAUGGGUUCAAUCUCAAGAACGAUUUUGAUUUCUAGAAAGUCUAAUUUUAUGUGAUUUAACUCAUCUAAAUGGUAGAUAUUUUUAAUGAAAACAGUAAAUGUGUCUUAUGUUAAAUAUAGACUUUGCAACUUUUGCCUUAAGUGGGUUUAAUCUUAAGAACCAUUUUGAUUUUCAGAAAGUUUACUUUUGUGUGAUUUAGCUCAUCUAAAUGGUAGAUAUUUCUAAUGAAAACAGUAGAUGUGUCUUACGUUAAAUGUAGACUUUACAACUUUUGCCUUCAGUGGGUUCAAUCUCAAGAACCAUUUUGAUUUCUAUAAACUUUACUUUUCUGUGAUUUAUCUCAUCUAAAUAAUAGAUAUUUCUAAUAAAAACAGUAUAUCUGUCUUAUGUUAAAUAUAGAAUUGCAACUUUUACCUUCAGUGGGUUCAAUCUUAAAAACCAUUUUAAUUUCUAGAAAGUCUACUUUAGUGUGAUUUAGCUCAUCUAAAUGGUAGAUAUUUCUAAUGAAAACAGUAGAUGUAUCUUAUGUUAAAUGUAGACUUUACAACUUUUAUCUUCAGUGGGUUCUAAUCUUAAGAAACCAUUUUGAUUUCUAGAAAGUUUACUUUUAUGUGAUUUAACUCAUCUAAAUUGUAGAUAUUUCUAAUAAAAACAGUAGAUGUGUCUUAUGUUAAAUGUAGACUUUGCAGCUUUUGCCUUCAGUGGGUUCAAUCUCAAGAAUCAUUUUGAUUUCUAGAAAAUCUACUUUGGUGUGAUUUAGCUCAUCUAAAUGGUAAACAUUUUUCAUGAAAAAAAGUAAAUGUGUCUUAUGUUAAAUGUAGACUUUGCAACUUUUGCCUUCAGUGGGUUCAAUCUCAAGAACCAUUUUGAUUUCCAGAAAGUCUAUUUUUGUGUGAUUUAGCUCAUCUAAAUGGUAGACAUUUUUAAUGAAAACAGUAGAUGUGUCUUAUGCUAAAUGUUGACUUUACAACAUGUUACGACCUCAUUCGUCCCAAGUCACCUAAUCUGACACAUGUCAGCUAAAAAACAACUAGCCAACAUGCCACACGUGGCUCAGCUGUUCUACUUAGUCACUAAGUCAAAGAUGUCAUCCAACUGGAAGGCGCCACGUCAUCAAUUCAGAUACACUACCACUAAACUUCGACAAAACUUUGAAAAAUAGUCAAAAAUAGUUUGAGAACUUGAAAAAUUGACCAAAAAAUGCGGCGAACUCGUGGCGACCUCUACUUUCUAUUUCCAAGAAGAAAAAUCACCUUUGAGAAAAUUUAAAAAUUGAGAUGUUACAGAUUUAGGGUUCAUAAUGAUGUGACAUCUCUUGUGUAUAUGGUUUAGAGUUCAUAAUGAUCGAGCGAAUGUGACAAAUAGUGUAUAUAUGGUUUAUGGUUUGUAUUGAUCGAGCUAAUAUGACAUCUCUUGUCUAUAUGGUUCAGCCGUUCAGGGUUCAUAAUGAUCGAGCUAAUGUGACAUCUCUUGUCUAUAUGGUUUAUGAUUCCUAAUGAUUGAGUCAAUGUGACAUCUCGUGUAGGGUUACUUGUUCUUAAUGAUCGAGCUAAUGUGAAAUAUCUUGUCUAUACGGUUUAGGGUUUAUAAUGAUCUAACAAAUGUGACAUAUGGUGUAUAUAUAAUUUAUGGUUUGUAAUAACGAAUGUGACAUUUUCUUAAGAUUUCAGAAAUACAAAUAUUGUUUUUUGAUGAUAUUGACCAAUGCCCAAUCAAUGAUGAAAAUAGGUAAAUUUUUUAGCAUAGUCAUUUUAUCUCCUCGUGAGACUAUCGAACGGUGUGAUUAGCCAAAUCACAUUUCCUCCAUGUGGUUGUUGUAAAAUGUUAUGUUGUCCACAUAACCAAGUAACAAAGUUAAACAACAUUAGUAGGCAUACUAGGAUUUAAUUGAAUGAAACGUGUUAAAAUGAAAAAAUGUUAAAUUUGACAUCGCAAGUGUCACUAUGGAGUAGUAAUAGGCACUUGGUAAGGAAAUAGAUCUCGUCCGCCUUCGUUUUGAUGUCGGUUAAACAGGUCAACCCCAUACACCCUUCUUCCUCCCCAAGGGCAGCCCCGUCACACAUAUAUCAUUUUCUCAAAAUUUUUACAUGGGUACAAAGAGGACAUCACCAUGAGUGCGUAGUAAUUUUUGCGGAAUUUUUCGAACAACCGAGCUAUUUAUUACGAUUUGCGUAAAAUUUUCAAAUAAAAAAAUAACUUCGUAGUGAGAUUUGACCCAAGUGGCGCGUUGAGGGCCACACACCUGUCCAUGUAAUUAAAGUUUUACUUUUUUUCACUAUUUUAAAACUUUAAAAAUGCAUAGAAAUUAGCUUCGGUGUAGGAAAAAUUCACCGAAAAAUGUCACGGACCACUGGCGAGGCCCACUUCACAACUGGGUCUGAAUUUUAGUCAUCAGAAUCAUAACAUGCCUACUAAUGUAGUAUAACUUAUUUGGUAAGUUAUAUGCUAGUGUACAAUUUUGUGAACCAACUAUACAGAAGAAGCAAAAUUUUCAAAAAUCUCGUGAAAUAUGAUAUGAUUGGUAUAGUAAAAUGCAGCUACAGUAGAAAAAUCACUUGAAUUCGGCAAUGUUUGGGCCCCGAUCGAAGCGGUCAACCCUAUUUACGUUUAUACUUCACUAAGGAGAGCCCUAUCCUCGGGUGAUAAACGUCCCCAAAGUUUUACAUGGGUGGUUAUGUCUCAUCUAUAUGAGACUUUAUUGUGUUGAAGAAUCGACCAUACUAGAACACGAAGAGGUAGGUAAGAUAGUUUUCGUGUGAUAACUGAAGAUGUAUUAAGGUUGACCGCUUUGAUCGAGCCCCGAACGUUGUUGAAUCUAGUUGAAUUUUAUACCACAGCCGUGUUUCACUAUAAUGAUCACAUCGGACGGUCAAUUUUCAUUUUAUGAAUUUUAGUCAUCGAAAUCAUAACGUGCCUAUUAAUGUGGUAUAACUUGUUUGGUAGAUCAUAUGCAAGUGUACAACUUUGUGAACCAACUAUACAACGGAAGAAAAAUUUUCAAAAAUCUCGUGAAAUAGGAUGUGAUCGUUAUAGUGAAAUACACUUUGAUCAAGCCCCGAACGUUGUUGAAUCCAGUUGAAUCUUAUACCAUAGCCAUGUUUCACUAUAAUGAUCACAUCAGAUGGUCAAUUUUCAUUCUAUGAAUUUUAGUCAUCAGAAUCAUAACGUGCCUACUAAUGUGGUAUAACUUGUUUGGUAGAUCAUAUGCAAGUGUACAACUUUGUGAACCAACUAUACAGAGGAAGCAAAAUUUUCAAAAAUCUCGUGAAAUAGGAUAUGAUCGUUAUAGUGAAAUACGGCUACGGUAGAAAAAUCACUUUAAUUCGGUAACGUUUUUUGACUAAUUUGAUAGCAAAUAAUUAAGAAUAAUUGAAACAUAUUACACAAAUCCACUCAUCUCGUCAAUACGAAUCCUCACCAAGAACAUCGAUCGUAAACUGAGUCUCCUAAAAUGAGCCAUCUAGAAAUCACCAUUGGAUCUAACCCAAACCUCAAGGAUAGAAAGGGAACACCGAUAUGAACUCGUAGCUCUUCGCGGAUUCGAAAUCGGAGUAACGGAUCAAAAGUUAUGAUCCAUCGAAGUUUUGGAGCAAAAUUCUAGAGUGAGAAACUAGAGAGAGUGUCACACCCCAACUCGAGUAAAGGACUAAGCUCGAGUUAAAGCAUGAAUCACACUCUAAUUAUAAACAGUUUAUUAUCCGUAAUUAAAAUGAGAUAGAUAUCGUAACUUGACGUAAGAAACUACAACCUUCGUACCUUUAUUUAGAUUACAAGCCUUAUAAGAAGGCGCACUUAUAAUACACAUGCUUAAAGCAUUUACAAACAAACAAUAAACAAACUAGAAUAGCGUUUCUUUUCAAAACGUCCAUUCUUUAUUCAAGCCUUAUUUUACAAAACAAAACAUGAAACCUUAAUUUACAUGUAACACUCUCUAUGCUUCACGAAUACCACUUGCAAGGGGUUUGAUGUGGGGUGAGCAACGCUCAGUAGGGCUAGUUAAUAUAUUAAUAAAACAUCAUCAAACAUAAAGCAAACUAACAAACAUGGCAUAUCAAGAAUGCACGGAUGCAAUAUGAACUCAACUCUCUUCCAACACCUCACUUCACCCUCGAAAAUAAUUUCUCCAUUUGUUAGUCGUCUUGUUAUACUCAUGGUCUCCUGAUCCGCAACCCGAUAAAGAUCGUUUUAUCGAUGUCCGCCAUCGAUAGGGCAUACUUUCCCUACAUUUGUGCACGUGUGGGCUAAUCAUAGAUCCCGAUGACAACCCAUGAGGAAACUUAACUACAUAAAUGGUUUCCUAAUAACAAAAUCUCAUAUAUUCCCAAACACUCACUCCAAUUUCACCUCCAACCUCACUCGUUUUCCACCAAUGUCAUGUAAUAUAGAUUCAAAAUAAGAGCACAUGCUUUCAAAUAUAGACAUAUCAUAAUCAAUUCAAGAUCUCAAUAUCAUCCACAUUUAAUUCGAAUAUUGCCACACAAUUCAAUGUCAAAACAAUUCAAUAUCAAACAUUCCAAUAUCAAACAACUCAAGCAAUAGCCACACAAUAGCAUAAUAAAAGUGAACACCCCAUCAAACCCUACCUCGAUUUGCACAACACAAACUCAAGCUCAAACUUCACUCCUUAAACUUGUGGAUCACCAAAAUCGUCUCCGGAACCUUACCAAAAGGUAAAGUACAUACAAAGAAUGAUAAGCUAGAGUUAGUAACUAUGUUAUAAGUAACAUACAAAAAUAAGAAAACUAUUACUUUACUAAGAAAUAGAAGUUAAAUAACACUUAGAAGCUAUUUAAAGAGCUACUGAAAAGUAACUAAAUCUGCUGCUACAAAAACUAAUUUAAAACUGAGUUUCUAUUUCAGCUUUGUAUUAAAAACAGUGUGCAAGAUGUUGUAUUUGGCUUCACUUUCCACUCACUCAAAUCCCACAAAAGUUUCUGAACCAAUGCCUAUUUGAAAGAUGGGAUUACAAGAUUUAAGUACAUAGCUUAAGUUUUGAAAACAAAGCCCUGAACAGAAAGUUAGGCUCUCUCAAAGUUGAAGCAAAAAUCUGAAAACCCAAAAAAUUCAGCUUUUGGCUGAAUCUGCUAUUGUUUUUGGCAUGUAAUUUGACAAACCAAAUAUUAACCAAAUCCUCUGAAAUUUAACACAUACAUAGGUAGAUAUACAAGGUUUACAAAGCUACUUUCGGAUUUCAAAAAAAAGGCCUGAGCUGAAAGAUAUCAUGCCUCAAAGUAGGCAAGAAAAUCAACUUUUCUGCAGAGUUCUGGAAAUUUACAGCAGGAAAUAAAACUUGGUUCUUGGAGCUUUAAUUCGACCUUUGAAGUAGCAAAACCAGUUCUAAAGCUUCAGAACGAUAAGCAACAGAUUUCCAGAACAUAGAACGAUUUUAAACAUAACCAACAGUUAAAACAAAAUGAUCCAAAAUUUGAUUUGGACACCCAAACUGAAGAACAAAGUUCUUGAGCAGCAACCUAAAACGAUUCCAGAACAAAACAACAUCUCUGAUUCAAAUUCGGACUCCUAUCUAUACAAGUCUCAGAAUUCGAAAUCACCAACCAAAAUUAAACAAAGGAAUCAUACUAAACUCAAAACAAGAAAACAAGAAUCAAAGCAAUCCAUAAACAAAACUAAGAAACUGAAAUUGAAAUUGCUAGAAGAAACGGGUUUUACCUUAGGAAAACGAAUUGAAAAGGUUUCCUCUCUCACUCCACAACUCUCCCAAAAUCUGUCCUCUCCAGAGACUCUGUACUAGUUUUGUCGAAGGUUUAAGCCGACUCUCCCAAUCCAUUUUAAUCUCCUACAGCCUAGACUCCUAGACUUCCAGCUAGCCCCUACUCCUAUAAGCUUAGGCUGGUACUCUCUCGACACCUCCUGCUUCUUAAGAUGGGUGAGCAGAGAAUAACAAAAAGAAAGGAAGAGAGAGCCUGCAGUGUAAUGCAACUCAGGUAUUCUUUUUUUUAUUUUUAUUUUUUAUUUAUUUUUUAAACAAAACAUUUUAAAUACCACACAAAACUUUAAUUAAAACAAAAUAAGUAAGAAUGUUACAGAGAGAAAACUCUCCCAAAAAUGUGGAUGAAAAGCUAAGACGAGUCAGCUAUAUAUAUAAGGUCUGAUUGACCGACAUGGUGGGUCAGCUAGGGUGGUUGGGCCGAUCAAAAUUCGCCACUUGUCAACAUACCAAGAUGUGUACCCUAAAUUCCAACACAUGUUGCCACAUGUCGUCUUAUGGUUCAUCCUCAUCAUCCCUCAUGGCCCACAUGUCACCAUCAGAAGGAAAGCUCACCCCUUGCACCACGUGGGUCAGCUGUCCUUGGUUCACAAGUUAACAUACAAACAAAAGACAAGAAUGAUUAAAUAUAGACUACUCAAGAACAAUUUUGAUUUCCAGAAAGUCUAUUUUUCUGUAAUUUUGCUCAUCUAAAUCGUAGAUAUUUUUCAUGAAAAUAGUAGUUUUGUCUUAUGUUAAAUGUAGAUUUGCAACUUUUACCUUCGGUUGGUUUAAUUUCAAAAACCAUUUUGAUUUUCGGAAAGUCUAUUUUUAUGUGAUUUUGUUCAUCUAAAUGGUAGAUAUUUUUCAUGAAAAAAAGUUGUUGUGUCAUAUGUUAAAUGUAGACUUUGCAACUUUUACCUUUGGUUUUUUUUUUUUGGCUGAAAGAUGAGUGAGAGAGGAAUGACCCCCUAACACUCUUAUGUAUUAAAAAAGAAAAAAAAACUUCAAGAGAGGGGGAUUAGACCAAAACCUCUCAUAACAAAAUAACAACGAAACAAAACUAUGAAAACCGAAAUUGGGGAAGACCCAUAAGGUCACUACUACAAUAUGACAAAAUAAAAGGAGGUGAAUCCCACCAAACCAGCUGUGUUAAUGACGUACCGUGAUUAGCCAAAGCACCUGCAACCUUAUUCCUUUCACGAAAAAUAUGAGAAGAUCAAAAGGUCAUCUUCGAUAUGCAACGUAAACAAUUAAGCCAACGGACACGUAGAUGCCAAAGUACAAGCAAAGGAGACCGUAGAUAGUCUAACACAAGCGACGAGUCAACCUCUAACCAAUGUGCUUCCAGUCUCGUACCCAAGCAAGCUCAAUAGCAACUAUAACUGUCAUCACCUCUGCUGCUACUGAACUAGGAAUGUCAAUGUUGGAAGAAAAAGAACCAAGAACAAUCUCAAGAACAAUUUUGAUUUCUAGAAUGUCUAUUUUUCUGUGAUUUAGCUCAUCUAUUUGGUAGACAUUUCUCAUGAAAACAAUAGUUGUGUCUUAUGUUAAAUGUAGACUUUGCAACUUUUGCUUUCAGUGGGUUCAAUCUCAAGAACCAUUUUGAUUUCCAGAAAGUCUAUUUUUGUGUGAUUUAGCUCAUCUAAAUGGUAGACAUUUUUAAUGAAAACAGUAGAUGUGUCUUAUGCUAAAUGUUGACUUUGCAACAUUUUCUGUGAUAUUUUUCAUGACAACAAUAGCUGUUUUUAUGAUAGUUGUAGACUUUGCAACUUUUGCCUCAUAAGGGGGUUCAAUCUUAAGAAUUCUUUUGAUUUCUAGAAAGUCUAUUUUUAUGUGAUUUAGCUCAUCUGAAUGGUAGAUAUUUCUAAUGAAAACUAUAGAUAUAAAGAGACUUAACAGAGAGUUAACGGCUUUAAUUUGUUGUAACCUGCUGUAGCAAGUCAAAACUGGUUGGGUAUGCAUACCUUAAGGCACACAAGUGGAACCCCACUUUCUUUUGCCAAAAAAUUUCUUUAUUCUUCUUUUUCUGGAUCUCUCCUUCUGAAUACUAGUGACUCAUCUUUUAUUUAUGUUUCUGAAAUUUAGUGAGACUUAUUGUUUUUACACUAUCUUAGAGCUACUUCCUGCAGAUCCGAAUAAUUGGAAAGCUUUUCUGUCACAUCCCGACCCUUAAAUUUUUACCUUAUUUACUAGCUUGGUUAUAGUAAGAAUUUUACCGUCUCCGUCAUUGAGGUAAUAGUUUAAUCGGUCCCUAGAGGUGUUUUGAGGGACGAUUAAUUUCGGGGAGUUAUUCGUGGGAGAAAAUAUGACAACGGUAAAAAUGGUAAAUUUUAGCUAGUAAAAGGUAAUUUUUAUUCGGGUAUUUUUUUCGGGGUGUUUUAUUUCUGGAUUUGGGUGGUAUAAGAAGGUUGGACCGGGCCAAGGGGUGGUCAAAGCCCAGCCCUUUUUCUUCUCUCUCUCUCCCUCCCGGUUUUCCCGCACCCGAGUCUCUCUCUCCCNNNNNNNNNNNNNNNNNNNNCCCUAGCGCCGCCGAUCGGGUGGAAACUAGCUCGAACGGGUCCGACUGCCGUAGCUCUCCAUCGCCGGAGCUCCCUCCUCCGGCCGCCAAAGCCGGCGAUUCUUGGCUCAAAAGAAAGCUCUCCUCCCGUGCAGCAACCCCUCCAAAGAGCUCGCCCUCUCGUGGUCUAGGUAAGGAGAACCGGUGAGUGGAAGCUCUAGGGCUUUUUGUGUUGUUUUCGUUCGAUUAGCCUAGUUAGGCUUGGAAUUGGGUGUUGUGCUGGUCAUGAAAGUUGUAGAGCAUGAUGAGGUGAUUAUUCUGUCAAAAUUUCAUAGGUUUUGGAGGUCGCCGGAAUUGGCCUCCGGCCGCCGCCGGUUAAGAGAUUUUUAGGGUUUUAAGUGUGGAAUAUUAAGAGGAGUAUAUUGAUGUGAUUUAUGGAAUUUUUGGAUGAGAUUUGGAUAGGUUUGUGAAUUUCCGAAGUUUGUUAUUUUUGGCGGUUAAUUAAUGUAGAAUCCGGCCGUAAGAUUUAAGUCGUAUUUUUGGGGAGGUUGUAAUUACGGCUGCUGAGUAUGAUAUUUAAGUUCGGAUCGUUUCGAUUAAAGAAUAUCGAAGUUAGGCAAUGAUGAGCGUAGUUAUGGCUCUCGGUUGAUUUUGCCUAUUUUGUUUAAAUAUUAGAGUUUUAGUUGGGAAAUUAAUUUUAUAUUUAUGCCAGGGUUCGAGGAACCUCUCUGGAGUGGCGAUUUGGAUUUCGUCGGGCUUAUGCCUAGAGUUGUGAGUGGACUUUUGUUUUAAAUAAAAUGCAUGCUAUAGUUCAUAGAUGAACAAUUAAUGUCGCGGAAUAUUUUUACGUCAUUUUAAUUUGACGAUUUUUAUUUCUCUUGGAGAGUUACCGAAAAUGGGAUUUUCGGUGGAUAUAAAUAUGUAUUUAUGAGAGAGUAUGUAUAUAAAUGCUAGCUAGCCCUAUGUGUCUGUCCACCUUAAUGGCGUAGCAUAUAGCCGCAUUAUGGUGUGACGUGAGCGUUGGACGCGAGUGUAGUAGCCCUAUAUGAGUGUCUAAUUCAUAUAGGGGGUAUGGACACAUAUUUAUACACCCGUCUGUCCACCUUAAUGGCGUAGUGUAGCACCGCAUUAAGGCGUGACGUGAGCGUUGGACGCGAGCGUAGUAGCCUUAUAUAGACCCAUGAAUUUAUAUAAGGAGUAUGGACGUGUGUAAAUACAUACAUAUAUUAUAGAGCCUGAGAGGCUCGAUAUUUUAUGAGAUAAAAGUUUUAUCGCUUGCAGCAUGCAUUCGAUUUUCCUUGGAAAUUGAUUUGGGGAAACAUAAAUAUUUUAUUCGUUGAUUUAUUUUUGUCCACUCACUCUAACGUUUCGUUUUCAAAUGUUUUCCCCUGGGCUCUUCGUUUUAAAAAUGCCCAAUUUGCAGGAUUGCAUAGUUGAGGUCGGACGUAUUUGGAGAAGAGGCAUAGUCAAUAGUGUAGCUUCCGCUCAUUUUUAUAUUUCUAGUCCAUUUCCUUUCAAAUAGAGUUGCUCUGAACUGUGGCUGUUGGCUAUGAGAUUUUCUUGUUUAAGUUAGUAAUUAAAUUGGGAGAUGUUGUGAUUUGGGGAGCACGAAGGCUCCAGGAGUUUAAGGUUGGAUUUGGAUUUUUCAGAAGUGUUUGCAGGUAUUUGUUAGGAAGGGUUGUCCAUUUUCAAGGGAGGUUAUGCCGAUUUUUCGGUAAACUUUCCUUGGAGGUGGUCCCCGCACGACUUACUCCGGGUUUCAGGGUGAAAUUCGGGGUGGGUCGUGUCAUUUUCUUUUGAGCCUCGUCUGUUUUCUCAAAACAUGGCAUUUCUAUGUUGUUCCAUUCUUUUGCAACUGGGCAUUCACAUGUUCUUCUUCCAUUGCUAAGAGUAACAUGAAUUUCGUCAUCUACCGGUAAUCUGCAAAGGCAAAGUGAUAAAUAUUGCAACAUCAAAUUUCAAAGAAUUACAAAGGGAUUCUCUAGAACAAUAGUUUGGUACAGAAGAAGAGUAUUGAGACCAGUGGAAAUAAUCAAACAAACCAUUCUGAAAAUAAUUCAAUCAAAACAACCACCCUACUAUGAAAUCCUACUAAAUUUCUAGAGGCCUCCAACAAAGGAGGGAAGAAUUAAGGUUUCUAUAAGGCAACCAUAAUAUGCAUGUUAAUUUAAUAAAAGGGAACGCAUUCUAACAUUAUGAAGCUCUGUUAUGGAACCAAAAAAAAAAAAAGCAAGGACGCUUCUCAAGCUAAUUUUACAGAAGAUGAUAAAAAAAUGGGGCAACCAGUAUAAGAAGCAAUAAUGGGAAAUAUAAAGGUAAACAAUCAAAUUCAUAUCUCAGUCAAAAGCAAUCUUUUUUCAAAAUCAUUAUAAACGAUUAAACUUAACAAAGCCCAUAGCAAUCUAAGAUACAUAAACCAAUAAUUUUGACAAAAAUAUGGAAAUUAACAAUCAAAAUUAAACCUUUAGUUUGAUAUAGGAUCAGGGGAACUCAGGAAACUCUUGCAUCAAUUCAUUCAGGUUGGUCUCAAUGUAUUUUAUUGAGAAAUUAUAUGUCUUUGAUGAAGUAUAAAAUGUAGAGAAAGAGAGAUAGCAAGAGAAUCAUCAUCUUAUUCAUUGAUAUGAGCCCUUUAUAUAGGGAAUUACACAAUACCAAUAUGGUAAGGAUAUGAAUACAUAGAUCUAGUCUAACUACAUAUCCUAUUGGCAUAAGGCCAAGGCACACAGUAAAGAAUAUCUAGAAAGAUACAGAAUAUCCUAGAACACUCCCCCUUGUGCCGCGCGCUGAUAUGCCGAUGGUGCUGAUCUGUUGCCUCGUCAAAAACCUCGUCAAGUCACAAAAACCCUGUGGGAGAAAAACUGAACCUUGAUCGUAGGAGAAAAAAGGUACAACGCACCCUUCACAUUUGAUAGUGACAUGUAUGUAUGUGCUAGACUCCCCCUGAAGUUUGCACCUCCCCCUGAUCUUUACAUCAAUCAUAGGGCUCUUCCUGAUUCUUACUAAUCACGGAAAUUUCAACAACUUAGCAUAUGUCAAUGCUCUUUAACAUGUCUUCAAAUGUGGCAUUAGGCAAUGAUUAACUAAAUCAUGCCGUAUUGUCCUCAAAUGAUCUUUUACACUUAGAUCUUGAGGAGAAGGCCGCUUGUGAACUCAAAACUUCAGUUACUAGAACAGUCGUAGGAAAUACAUAUGAACGAACCGUAAACGGUUUUGGAAACUAGACUCAUUUAGCUUUCCAACUGUAUAUUACACAAGUUCUGGUUCAUCAGGAGCUAUUCACAAAGUCCCGUCAAAGUUGACUGUUGUGCCAAAAUUAGAUUCUCGGACAGAUUCGUCAUACUUUACGAAAACGGCCAUAACUCACUCAAUAUGAUAGGUAUGAACAAAUGGUUGGUGUCCCUGGAAAGUAGACACAUAGACCUUUCCAAUGGUACCAAUUUCACCAUUUUCCAGUGAGUGAGAUUUCAUGUAGGUCCCGUGGAAGUUGACCUACGAAACUUGGCAAAUUCUGAUUUCGCUAUUGAUGUGUCUUUCUUAUGUAGGGAUAGAAUAAGCCUCAACCUUUCAUACCAUUAAGUAUUGAAAAAGGAGUUACUGCCAUUACAUUGGCAUUGCGUGGGCGCAUAGCUACACUUAGUUUUACAACGUACUUUUCAUAGCGAAUGAGAUGUCAAGUCUUUCGUAUUGUGUUGAGUACAUUGAUGCGUCUUAUUGUACUUAGAUGGGAACUCCAUCUCUUAACACAUAUUUGUCAUCUUGCUUUAGACAAAACAACGGAUCUCUCUUUAGAGCAAAGACCUUGACUAAUCAUAGGAGUAUAUGUAGGCCUCACUAGUUAUAGAGCGCCUAAGCCGAUUGAUGGAAAAUCAUCAUCAAUACAGUCAUCGAGUGCCUUAUCGAGACUGUGUCUUCCCAAGAUCUUUUUCUUCAGAUGUUGAUACAUAUUGGCAUCUCUUGAUCCAUCAAGAGUCCAUGUAAAUCUGGAAUGAACACGAAAAGGCAUAAUUCACCAUAUCCCUUCCAAAUCAAGUAGAGUCCAUGUGCAUUUCAAUACAUUUAGCAAACGCAUGCUCUUGUGGUUUAGAGCCACUUGAUUCGGAUGAAUGAAGUCCGUUUAAGACCUUCAUGUAUAUCUCUGAUCCUAUAAAGAUGUUAUUAUGACCACAUUCAUAGGCUGCUUGUUCAGUUAUUCGGAAACUACCAAACUGACAAAGUAGUGGAGUUCAAUGACAUCCAUUACGAAAGCAUAUCUUAUCGUAGUCAAUCACAGUGCGUGAUAGUGAGAGACCUUGCGCCAUAAGGUGAGUCUAAACUCUUGUUCUCACUACGCUAUCUAACAAAGGUAUAGUUGAUAGGGUUUAGCUUGCGGUGUCAGCAUCACCUGCCCAAGGACCUAUCUCUUUGUUAAUGUUGGAUCGCAUCUUUCUGUUAGGCCAAUCAACUAAGUUGAUAUCCAUCAACGAAGGGUGUUUCGAUAGUAGACUCAUUAUCUCACGUCCUCAUGUACACUAGUGUAAUACUUGUAGAGAUCUCUAUAUGGAUUGGAUUUGACGUUAAGGCGUCCCCCAACGAUAAUCACAAUUCAGACUUCAUGAGACGGAUUUGAGUAUCACUGAUCAACGGAUCAGGUUAUGCCAAGCUCGCUUUCUUCCUAGUGAGAGAAUAUAUCGAACCUAAGGGCCUCCCUCCUUUUGGGGAGCCACACGGCCUUGUGACACCAAUUUUGCCAUUAUAUGGCGUCACUAUAUCACCAUCCAUGGUGAUGACGUCAAGACCAACACCUUUUGGUCGCGCCAUGUCCUUUGAAUAGGACAUCAAUCCUUACAGACAUAUUUGCAGCAUGUGAUCUCGUCACUUUAACACUUUAACCAUUUGGGAUGAAGAUGAGACUUAGUGGGGACAAACCACGACAAUUCACGUCGUUCCACUUGAACACUUGUGUUCUUAUCUCCCCCUAACGGCGGGAAUAUUGUCUUAUCAAAGUGACAAUCCGCAAUUUAGCGGUGAAUGAGAUUGCCUGACAAGGUUUCUACAUAUGCGGAUUUAUAGGUAGAGGUUCACAUCCAACCUAAAUAUUUAUUCAUCUCAAAUGACCCAUCAUUGUACGUAGUGGCAAUGCGAUUUGGCACCUAGAAAUAACAUCUAGCUGAGCUCAAGGAUUGGAGAUCCAUUUCAAUCUUGUUUGAGCUCAAGGAUUGCAAUCCUGGUACACAGUCACGAGCUGUAGUACAAAAAUAUUCAAUGAUGGUGGGUCGUAGAUGAAUAGUAAAGCUGCAUGCAAAUAUUGCAUAGCCCCAAGACGCAAUAGAAAAAUUGGUGUGCAUCAAUAAUGUUCGAGCGACAAGCUAAAGUUGCUUAGUCGUAGCCUCGAUGAGACAGUAUUGCGUGUGACCAUGGGGUACAGGACACUUCAACUUACAUCCCGAUAAACUUCUUUAAAGAAUGGGUAGUGAGCCGGUAGAAAUAUAAGCAGCAUAAACAGUAGAUAAUAGUGUAACAUGUGACCAGUGUGCUAACACUUCAACCAACACUAUAAAGCAUAAAAGGUGUCCGCAAGUUGGUUGUAUCUAUCUACAUAGUUUGAUGUAAGAAUAGAAUGUUCACUUUUGUGUCAUUUAGCGUAGGAGGGUCUCACUCCUAAUUUAGCUAAAGAAUAGGCUUUCAAAACGAGGAAUGAGCAUUGCAGGGGGUCAAUGCGACAUCGAGGGAAGGCCGGUGCACCUCAAUUGCUUGAGGAAUUGAACGGACGACCUCCAAGAAGUUAGAGUCGUGUUUGGGUGACGUCAAUGUCCCCCGGGUCACCACCAUGCUUCAUGGUGAUGCUAGAUCUCGAAUAUCUUCGUUUUGAGCGGAAGAAUGGAUGUCCAUGAGAAUUUCUCAAAAUUUGGACCAUUAUAUCUCUUCCAGGUUGACCAAUUUGGUCAAACCAAAGCCUAUAUAAGUUAGUGUCCCAAAUAUCAUGUUUGGCAACAACAUGGGAUUCGAUAUUCGAAUCAUAGUGACAUACAGUCCACUAGAUUGACUCAUGAAUUUCUCCAAAAUGCGCUUCAGUCCGCAUUCAUGAGAAGGUAUACACGAAAGAAUUCUUGUUCAUUCUCACAAUGUGUUUUCAAAUGAAAACUAUUAGCAGUAAUGUCUUUAAAGCUCAAUAUGGUUCGAUUGCCUCUCAAUGCAUAGAGGGUAUCUGUGACAUUGAUCAUGGUGCCAUGAGGCAUCAAGAUUUAAGCUAAACCGCGUCCUUGAAUGACCGGUAUGAUUCAAUCAUUGUAGUCACAGAAGAUUUACAAAGACACAAAAUCCAAAGAUAGUUGCCGGUUCUUUAGAAUGUUGUGGAUAGUUCCACUAUCUGCGAAGCACUCAAUGUCUCGAUGAGGCAUAUCUACAAGAAGGAGUAGAUAGGCUAGUUAAUAGUUCCACUUGAACCAUUUAGAAGGAUUGCAAGAAGCUACGAAAAGCUGCAAUCCCGAGAGUGCAUAAAAAUUUCCGCGCACAAUGACCUUUGCGCACUAAAACAGCCAUAACUUUCUCGUUAAAAUAGAUAUGGACGAACCGCGAAAAUUUCUAAAAACUAGACUCAUAGAGCUUUCCAAUGAUAUAAAGCUCACUGUCUGGUUCGUCCGGAGCUGUUCACAAAGCUAAAACGAAGUUGACUGUCUAGAAGGGACAGAUUGCUGUUUUUCGCAGAAUUGGCAUGUGCGAAGCUGUGAAGCUUGCAAGGGGCGUGUAGGCUUUUGCCUUAGCCACAAGUGACGUGUGUAUGAUCAAAACCAAGUUCUUUCGGUCAUUCUAAGGUCGUAAACUCCAUGACUAGUUAGCAAAAGCUCCCUGACAUGAAUAUAAACUAACUCAGAGGACCUAGAGGAUUAGAUCAUGAUGAUAAUUUUCCGAUUUUUGAUAAGUCUUCAACGUCUUUUGCAAGACGGCAAUUGGUUUAAUAGCGUAGGGGAUCCAAAAUCAAAAGCUUUCGGUAACUCCAAGUCAGUAUGACCAGGCAUGUCCGUGGAGGGUCGGUAGUGCGAGGCACACUUGAAACCACUAUCUCCUUAAUUUCGGACAAUUCUAAGACAUCACACUGAGCUUGGAUGAGCCUAGUUGAACAAUUGAUGAUGGAAAAUCCGCUAUAGGGUAGAAGACUUAACCGAAAACACGUGGGCAAUCCUUUUUGAGGAUGCAGUGCCACGAGUCACCUUCAAAAGAAGGGACCAAAAUCCGCACAAUAUGCCAUGUCUCUAAGGACGAUGUAAGAAUAUACAUCUUUUUUAUAAAUCAAUAUGAACCAUAAGAGGAGAAUAGUUUCACUUCGAAAAAAUUCCCAAAGCAUUCAUAUAUUAUUGCUAAUGUGAGUAUAUAUCGAGGUCUCGAAUAAACAAAGGACAUCGAUACGAUGUCUUAUUACAUAUAGCUUGGAAAGAAAAUCAAUGUCUAACCAAUGACAUCAAAGUCAGGGGUAGCUAGAGCUGUUGAUUUUUCGUACUUUUUGUAUGCAUUCAUAAUUUGAAGGAGCUUGACAAUCUUGAACCAGUGAUCCGAAGAUCCACAACGGUUGCAUUGUCAUGUGCUGACGUGAGUAGUUUUGACAAAAUGGUGUCUAGACCGGGAGUGUCGCUAUUAGAGCCGGCGACACCUCCCCCUCUUUUCUAGACAUCGGCAUGACGUUUUCUGCUGUUGCCAUGACCCAUAUUGUUGUCCCCACAUUAAGGGAUAAUCCCAAAUAGGUUUAUCGCAUUAACGUAUGUACAAUUCUCGUUUAUAUGAUCAAAAUCAAGUCUCGUUGGUAAUUCCAAACCAACUUGGAGGACUUAGAGAACUUGAUGAUGAUCGAAUCCGCUAAAGAUUAUGGAUCAUGAUGCCACAAAAGAUCAUCGACAAUAUGUAGUUAAUUAAGGUGGUAAGCAAUCCACUUGACUAAUAACUCAACAAGUAGAGUUAUAUGAACGUUUCAAGAAACGCUCCAUGAGUGCAUUCCACAGUACUUUGUGGUCAUUACUUUUUGCACAGAUUGCCAUUGAAGGCUUUUGUCGAUGUGGCGCGUCAAAGACUUUGAGCGCAUGAGAUGUGAAAUCUCGGCAUCUAGGCUUGUUAACCUGGGGGUCAAAAUAUGUGGUUUAAUCAUUUUCAGUGAAAGGUUCCAUAGAUACCAAGCGAAGAUUCGCCUUAGGUAUCGAGUACGUCAAAACUCAAUGAGCAGAAUGUUACGUUGCUCUUGCAUACAAAACCAAGCUGUUAUGAGACUCGAUAGAGGUCACAAAUAAUGCUUUUAAUGGUUUGUCCUUCGGAUUGAUCAUACACAAUCCGGAAAAAGCCGCGAAUUGAUCAAACACAAUUCGGAAAAGGCCUCGGAUUGAUCAAACACAAUCCGGAGAAAGGUUGGGGUUGAUCAUACACAACCCGGACAAAGAAGCAAGAGUGAUCAAACACACUCUUGACCCGCAAAUAAAAUUCCGGGAUUUUUGGUACCUGCACACACAAAAUUCCAAGCAUAGAAUGGAGAUGGAGAAGGGAGGAAAGGAUUUUAUCCUCCCUGAGUUAUUGAACUUGAAAAAGUUUAAGGUUUCAAAACAUACCUUUCUGGUUUCUUUGGAAGACGAGCAAUCUUGAAAUCUUUGGUUUCUAGAGGCUGCCGAGAGGAGAAACAACGUUUUGCCUACUUAUACUUCGAAUUUGGGGCUGAAAAUUUGACAGGAGGAGCAACUCUGGAUGGGGAAGCUGCUGUCAAAAUUUCAGAUUGAUCGGAGCAAGGGAAGGUGGCGAACGGGUGGUCGGUAGCAGCGGCAGUCUAGAAUCUUCCAGCGGCCGGUUCGGAGACUUUCCGGCCGGUUCUCAGGGUGAGACCGGCGGCGUUGGAUCCGGGACAGAGAGAGCUUUCUGGGGAUAUAAAACUCCGACAGAGGGCAGUCGGAAUUUUGGUUGGAAAUCGGGAAAAUAAGGCUGUCCGAUUUUAGGGUUUGGAAAACAAAUGGUGGGCUAUUGGCUCUAGGGUUAGAACAAAGUGCAUGAUAAUGUGAUGAAGUAUAAAGUGUAGAGAAAGAGAGAUAGCAAGAGAAUCAUCAUCUUAUUCAUUGAUAUGAGCCCUUUAUAUAGGGAAUUACACAAUACCAAUAUGGUAAGAAUAUGAAUGCAUAGAUCUAGUAUAACUAUAUAUCCUAUUGGCAUAAGGCCAAGGCACAUAUAAAGAAUAUCUAGAAAGAUACAGAAUAUCCUAGAACAGUCUUCUUAUAAUAGUCAUAUAUCAAGCAUGACUUGUGUGUUUUUUUAAGAGAGAAAUGAAUAAUUCAUUAAUCAAAGACAAAUGUGGUUUAUGUUACAAAGGUCUUGAUCCAUGUUUGAUGUAAGUAGAACUAUAAUUAAAGUCCUUCACUCUUCAAACUACGUACAUAUGUUGUUCUAUCUCCUUUUCAUCCCCAAUAGUAACAUAUGACCAACGCAACUCCCACUCAUCACCACCACAAAAUCCACCACAGCCAUAAAUCGAUUAACUGCAUCAUCUGCAUGUCACUCCAUUGAUGGAACCUUCAGUUUCACCUCAGCAAAUUGAAACAGAAUUCUCAGCAAAUUAAACAUCAGCUAGGGAGCACAAGAGAGGGCUUUUUAUUUUAGCUAGGCCCUAGGCACACAAACUACACGACACGGGGAUUUAUAGAAGAAUAUGCAAGCAGCUCCUCAUCAUUUUCAAAUACGACCAUGUCUUCUUCUUUCAAUGUCAAGCGUGCUACUAUGCCACGCCAUCACUGGUAUCCAUCAAGGUAGUCAAAUUCUUGAUUUCUACCAUUGCAGGACUAUUCACCAAUGGCUUUCCCCAUCCAAAAUCAGUUUCAUAAAUAGGCAACCGACACCAACUGGUGGAACAAUAGCACUCUCUAUCACCCUUUUGCAACAGCUCUCCAUACUCUUUCAGGAGUCUACUUAUAUCGUCCACACCUAUACCAUUAGCACCAUACUUCACCUUCAGUUCAUUUGUCCCUUUCCUCAUUGCAGCAACCAAGCCUUGAAGACCAUCCUCACUUUCCCCUUUCAUAGAUAUUGCUGGAAAGAACCCCAAAAGGUUCCCCAUCAAGUUGUCCGGUGAUGGUUGCGCCAAUAUUUUCCGCAUGUUCACAGUUUGCAACCAUGCCGAUGAUGAUGGUCUUGCAGAACGUGAGUAUGCGGUUGAUGCUUUCAUCGCACAGUUCCAAAUAAGCGCUGACACGACCUCUACCCGCGUGGGAUUUUGCACCGCAGCACUGGCAGCUUUGGACUUCAGUGACUCAAUCUUCGAGGAUUCAAACAAGAAUCUCCUUGUUGUACACCUUUCAUUAGCAAUCUUCAGAAACGGUAGAUGUUUGAACUACUCCAGUGGGGGAAAACGAGAAGCUGCACCAACAUAUUGAUCUGGAGGAAGUUCCAGACCAUGGGAAGUUGCAGACCACCUGUUGAGGAAUGUGCUAAAUGUGAAGGCAUCGAUGAUCUUAUGACAAACCUGGAAUCCGAUUGCUACCCCGCCACAUUCAAAGAAGUUGGCCUGGACUAGUAGAAUAUCCUGGCCGGAGUCUCCUUCAGCAUAUUGUAAAUUAGGAAUCAACUCUUUUUCAAAAUCAAGAUCGGGUUUGUCCAAUGCCUUUGAUAUGGGACAGUUGACCCGAGCUUCAAGAAACAUAGCUCCCUCGUCAUUGCAACAGACUGAAGCAUGAUCCUGGAUUCUUCCCGCAAAGGGGUAGAAGCGAGUUAGGGUUUCAGAUAGUGAUCUUUUCAGAAGCUUGGUUCUUUCAACAACCAAACAUGGGCGAUCGAUAUGAUUGACCUCAUGAGUAUCACUAUCGUUGGGAUAGAACAGAAUGAGAGGGAAAUGAAUUGAAGGAGAAAACUGAUCUAAAAUUGAGAUGCUGAAAUUUCUAAGGUGGUGAGGAGUUGAAGAGGAAGGUGUAAUUCUUUCUUUGUGAAAAACUUCAACCUUGACCUCUAAGCUCAUCUUGUAGCUCCACGACCUCUCUUUCAUAACUCAUUCGUAACAACUAACACCUUCAUAUAAAGCCACUGUAAACGUUACGUCACGAUGCUAAUAUGGCCGGACAGAGGUUGGUAGGUUUUAGAUUUUUCAAAUGCAAAGUUAUGGAUCAUGAUUGAGAAGGAAAAGUUUUAAUUUUUUUAGAUGGCAUCCGGCCUAAUCUAAUAGCAUCGAGUCAAAAUCUAUGGCUGCACUAGAGGCCAAUAGAAGGAGGAGUUCCGCUUUGGUGGCUGUUCAUUCUCACCAGCUCCAGAGCGGCAAAAAACUUUUUUAGUCACCAGCUCAGUACUAUUAUUUAGUUGGGGGUGGGUGAUGACAGCUUUGCGAGGUUUUAUGAUUAGUUGAUUACACCACUCAAAUAGUCAAAUAUGUUAUGCUACUAUGUCCAAUUAAUCAGAAUUCAGAAACGUCCUCAAAUUUGCUGAUAGGGGAAUCAGAAACGUUCUCAUAUAUUCUGAGAGGGGAAUCAAGUGACUGAUGCUCUUGCUGAUAUUACAUUGUUCUUAACUGGAAUGACAUAGUGGAUUGUGGGAUGACCUUGCUCUUUCCAUCUAUUACGUUCUAUUUUCGGCAAGAUGAACUUGGUCACCCAAACUUUCGAAUAUGACAGGCAGUUUGUCUAUCCAUCUAUUACUAUUGUCAGCGAGAUGAACUUGUUCUCAUACGUUUUUCAGAUAUUUUAGGCAGUAUGUCUUGUUUCUAACGUUUUGGCUUAAGUUUAUCGGAUGAUUCAGUUCUGUUUGUUCUUCUAUUUGCGUUGUAUCAUUUGUAUGUGUUUGCACCUGUUUUUGGUAAAUCGGCCCUUGAAAUAUUGGCCAAUAGAUAAGGAAAAUUUGGUGCUUUAUUGGCAAUAUCUCAAUAGAAUUUCAUAAUAAAAUUCUAUUAGAUGUUAACCUUUAGAGAAGAAAUUAAAAAGGAAGGAAAUAAUGGCGAUUUCUCAUAAUUGCCGAUAUAUAAUCGAGGAAGGAAAUAUCGGCGAUUUCUCAUAAUUGCCGAUAUACAAUCGAGGAAGGAAAUAUCGGCGAUUUCUCAUAAUUGCCGAUAUAAAUUGAGGAAGGAAAUAACCGAGAAUUAAAUCGCGUUUGAAGGCAUCAAAGACGAUAUUUUGUAAUUAAGAGAAAAUCGAUUACAACAGUUCCGCAAGAAGAAAGUAAUCAAGGAGAAUCAAUAUGGAACAUAUUUCUUUCGGUCAUUAAGACCGAAAUACUCAUUGAAUUAAAUUGGUUAUUUCCUUUCUAAUUUUUAUGUUUAUACUUGUAUAUAUUCGACCCUCAGCCUCAUUGUAAAAGGUCCCUGACCAACACAAACAACACUUCAAUACAAACUCUAUCAAAUUCUCUACAAAUUCUCUACAAUAUCAAUCUUUUUAUCCAUGUUCUAGCAUAGUUCUCUUCUUCUUUUUAUUCGCUUUCUUUACAUUCCGCACUUUAUCGCUUUCUUUACAUUCCGCACUUUACUUUCAUGCAAUUUCUCUUCCGCGUCUUUAAAUUCAUACACUUUAAUUUAUCUCAAUUACUUCAUGCAAUUUAUGUUUCAUGCAAUUUAAAUUUUCGUCUUUAUUAGAUUCUUGUUCUUUUACUUUUCGCACUUUAAUUCUCGUAAAUCUUUAUUAGAAAACAAAAAAUAGAGCCAUUACCGGUGGAAACGCCAAAAGUCUUUGUAACAAAGACAAGAGAACCUAAAGGCCGAGACAGUUCCUUCCUUGGCCUACAAUCUCUUGGAAGAAGUCAGAUUAGGCGCAAAAUUAAUCAAAACCUCGCUUGGCCAACAGGCCGCGAGUUGGCACGCCCACGCAAUCAAGAAGGACAAUCGUACCUUCGAGUCCCUCGGCCUCUCUUUUCGGCCGAGGCGAUUUUUGAGGCAAACAGUAUGUGAAGCAUUGUUCCUCCAUUUGGUUGCAACUCUAAUUUUUCCCUUUUUCUAUUGGGAUUAAAGAAUAUUCCCUUUCCAAUGCAGACCCCGUUCUGACAUUUGCAGAAUCAUUACGUUAUUCUAUCUUAAUAACAUUUGAGUGGGAGUUUAAUAGUUUUCAUUAUCAUAUAUAGUCCUACUUAUCUAGAGCAUAAUGUUCUUAUUCCAUUUAGCUUUUGGGACCCUAAGAUAAGACCUUUAACAACCUUAACCAACCUCAACUCCGGAAAUGUAGUGAUGACUUUGAGAAUGGCCAAAAACAAACAAAUUAGACACUGCAGAGAGUAAUCUGUGCUUUUUGACCUUUUUCACAAGUUGGUCAAUACAGUGAUCGACUAGUUCUGGACAAAACAUCAAAUUAACUAUGGCAUCCCCUCUCGAAUUACCUACUUAAUUUGAAUCAAGAUUUUGUUCAUUGAGAUAAGCAUUAAUCAUACAACAAUAUGAGAAAGAAAAUCAAUUAGGAAAACAGAAAAAUAUCGAAAGAACAUGGAGACAGAGACCCGUGAUAACAGCAAACAAUAAUCUAAGAAGUAAGAAGCACAAGAGGAGGCUAGCUUUUCUGUUUUAGGCACUAAGUGACAGUGGGAUUUAGAGAAGCAAAUGCGAGAAGCUCCUCAUUCUUUUCAAAUAUGGCCAUGUCUUCUUCCUUCAAAGUCAAGCGUGCUUCUACGCCACCUCCAUCGCUCGUAUCCAUCAGCGUAAUCAAAUUCUUGAGUUCUACAGUUGCAGGAACACUCAUCAGUGGCUUCCCCCAUCCAAAAUCGGCUUCAUAGAAAGGAAACCUGCACCAACUGGUGGAACAAUAGCACUCUGUAUCAUACUUCUGCAUGUCCUCCCCGUACUCGUUCAUGAGUUUACUUACAUCUUCCCCACUAACAAAUUUAGUACCAUACUUCACCUUAAAUUCCUCAGACCCCUUCCUCAUCGCAGCAACUAAGCCCUGAAGAUCAUCAUUGCUUUCACCUCCUCCAGUCGAUCUUGCUGCAAAGAAUCCCAAAAGGUUCCCCAUCAAGUUUUUCCCAGAUGGCUGCGCCAAUAUGUUCCGCAUAUUCACAAUUUGCAACCAUGUUGAUGAUGAUCUUACAGAAUCCGAGUUCGCACUUGAUGCUUUCAUAGCAGUUCUCCAAAUCAGUGCUGACACGACUUCGACUCGCGUCGGAUUAGGCACGGCAGCACUGGCAGCUUCAGACUUGAGAUAUGCAAUUUUCGAGGAUUCAAACACUAAUCUCUUUGUUAUACACUUUUCUUUAGCAAGUUUUCCAAACUGUGGCGGUGGCUUGAAUAGAUCCAGUGGUGGGAAACGAGAAGCUGCGCCAACGUAUUGAUGUGAAGGAAACACUGUAUGAUCACUGGUGCCAAAGCCAAGCGAAGUUGCAGCCCAACUAUUGAUGAAUGUGCUGAGUGUGUAGGCAUCAAUCAUCUUAUGAGAAACGUUGAAUCCAAUAGCGAUUCCACCACACUCGAAGAAGUUGACCUGGACAUUUAGAAGAACAUAGCCUGUUUCUCCUUCAUCAGUAGAUUCCAACUUAGGAAUCAAUUCUGUUAGAAACUCAAGAUCGGGUUCUUCCAAGACCCUUGAUAUGGAACACUUGACCUUAGCUUCAACAAACACAGCUCCUUUGUCAUUGCAACAGAUUGAAGCAUGAUCGUGGAUUCUUCCUGCAAAGGGGUAGAAGCGAGUUAGGGUUUCAGAGAGUGAUGUUUUCAGAAGCUUGGUUCUUUCGACAACCAAACUUUGGGGAUCAAUACUAUUAAGCUCACGAUCGCGAGGUUGAACAGUAUUGGGGUAGAAGAGAAGUAGUGGGAAAUAAACUGUGGGAGAAAACUGAUCGAAAACAGAAAGGGUGAAAAUCGAAGGGGGUGAGGAGUUGGAGAAGAAGGACUAAUUGUUUCUUUGUGAAGAACUUCAACCUUCACCUCUAAGCCCAUUGUGCUAACUCCACCACCUGAGUUUCAUAACAAAGAACACACUCCAAGAGUCCAAGUCCAUAUAUAUAAAGACCGGCACAGCACAAGGAUUAACUCACAUGCGCGCAGUGCCGGCGGCAAUCUUUACAGAUAGACUAUCCAAAGAUAUGGGUUAUAAUACGGAUUGAGUGGGAGUAUGAUUAAAUCUUUACAGAUAGACUAUCCAAAGAUAUGAGUUAUAAUAAGGAUUGAGUGGGAAUAUGAUUAAAUUAAUUUUCCGUCAUUAAAAUAUAUAUAUGUACAGUCCUGCUAUUCAAACUCUCUUUCUGUAUCCUGUUACAAAAAAAAAAAAAAAAAAAGGAAAAGAAAAAGAACUCUCUUUCUGUAUAGUAGUGAUUGAUUCCCUCGAAAAAAAUUAAGUAAAAUGUUUCUGUACAUGUGUGAGUAGUGGCUAGUGACCACCAACCUCUUCUUCCAAAAGGAACAAUUUAAAUAUAAGCAAUGCUCUAUCCAAAAAAUAAAAAGAAUAAUACACAGCAACCAAAAUUGUUGAAAACGAGCAAGUCAAUCGAUUGACUGUGAUUCCGGACAAAACACCAUACCAACCAACCAUACCGACAGUCUCAACCCUUAUCUGAUUAACUUGUGAGUUAUUAACUGUAGAUUAAAUUAAGCAAAAAGGAUACGACUAUAAUAGCACUUGUCAUCAACUAGAAUUUGUUGGGUUGUUAUGGCCGGCUAUAGCUGGCUUAAAGCCGUAAGAAACAUGUUGAUUCAAAUACGAGUCUAGCUCAUUGAUUCUACAAAAGAAAUGGGACAUUUUCAUUGCAGAUUAGUGAUGGACUCAUGUUUCCGAAGAAGCUUCAUGGUUUCUAGUUAAUUAACUUCAUGAGAAAGGGAUUGUCAUUACAUCUUUUUUCAUAUUGUACAUUUCACUCAACUAAUUGAUGAGCAGAUCAAUCGUAUAUAUCCACAUGUGGAUCGUACGUCUCAAGGGAUUAGGGUUACUACUCAUCGAAAGGAAAAAGGAAAUAGGGUUACUAGCUAGCCUAAUACGUACGUACGAGUAUUAAUGUAGCUAAGAUUUAGCUAGCUAGGCUUCUUGAAGCUGAAGAUUAACGAUUUCGUAGUGCACACUAGCUAGUCCAUCACUGCGCAACAAUAAGUAGAAACUAUUCAAGAAGACAAGAAACAAAUAUGUGUUUGGCUUGUAGCAUUUCCAAAUUCCAACGAUUGCUUAAGGAUUCGAUAUAGUACGUACGUAGUGGUGCAUGCAUGCAACCUAGCCAGAGAUACGGUGGGCAUGCAUUGAUGCCGUGCAUGCGACGACUGCCCUAACUGAUCUCGCAUGCCAAGCAGAUUAAUCACGCCCACAUAUAUGAUCGAUUAAGCUAGCUCCACAAUAUGGAUGGUGUUGAUCGAUGAAUAGUUAUCAAGGGUAUUCAGUAGGUUUAUCUGGACUAUACGUGUGCAUGUGUCUAAUAUUCCUUCUUCUCCCACCUGGAUUAGGUUUACCUUAUUACCUAGCCUUCAUUAUCUAUAAAUAUGAACUGCGCAGCGGAAAUUAGAAACUAUUCAAGGAACCAGAAAGAAUAGUUUCUAAUGUCUACCACACAGCGAAGUGAAAGUAUGAAUUCAUUUUUUGAUGGCCAUGUCAAUUCCAAGACUAUCUUGAAGCAAUUUGUUGAGCAAUAUGAAAAUGCAUUGAGAAGCAAGGUGGAAAAAGAAAACUAUGAAGAUUUCAAGUGUUUCUCGUACAGUCUUCCCGGUGCAACUCAUUACAAUAUGGAAAAACAAGCACAAGACAUUUACACAACUUCGAAGUUCAAAGAGUUUCGAGAUGAAUUGACAGGUAAAAUGUAUUGUGACUUUAUUUCUGUUGAAGUGGAUAAUUCAAUUUCACAAUACAUAAUUUCUGAAGAUAUCAAGAUUGGGGAGAUGAACAAAGUUGUUCACUUUCAGGUUUCAUUCAAUGAUGAGAAUGAUGAAGUUAACUGCAAUUGUUGCCUCUUUCAGUUUAGAGGUAUAUUGUGCAGACAUGCAAUAUAUGUUUUAAUUCGUCAUAAGAAAAACAUGAUUCCAGAUAAAUGUAUCAUGAGAAGGUGGAGGAAGGAUGUGAAAAGAUGUCACACAAGGGUUCAAAUUAGUUAUGGCGGAUGGGAUGCUAGGCCUGAGUCACGAAGGCUUGACAUGAUGCAGAAGAAUUUUGACGACAUUAAGGACUCAGCAUAUGAUUAUGAAGAUAAGUGCAUGAUUGUUAUGACUUGGUUGAAUAACCUAAAGGAAGAACUGUCCAAACAUGAGUCCAAGAACUCUGGUGCUUGUGGUGGUGCUGAACCAGUACCAAGUUCACCUGUCAACAGAAACGUGAGUGACGCUGAUGGAAUUUCAAAUCCAAGUCAACAUAUACUUACUCCAUUGGUAAAUAAGAGAAAGGGUCGCCCACCAUCUAAAAGGAAGAUGUCUAAGGUCGAGGAAGAAGUAAGAAAGAAGCGAAAAAGAGAACAAAAGAAAAAAUGUGGCGAGACUGGUACUAAUGAAGAACUAGGAGCAAAGGCAUGCAACUUAAUUGUGUAAUUUUUUUUUAGAGUUAAUUUCAUUUCUAAGAAAAAUAUUGAAUUAUGUAUUGUUAUGUUGCUUUUGUAGGGGUCAAGAACAAGAGGUCGCCCGCCAUUGAAAAAAAAUGAUUCUCAGGAAGAACAACCGCAAGGGGUCAAAAACAAAAAACAAAAUCGGAGAAAUAAGGUAUCAUCCAAUAAAAAUUCUGAUCAUGAAGGAGAAGGAUUGAAGGUAAAGUGACUUGUUUUAAUUGUGUUAACUACAUAGGAUCAUAAUUUCUGAGCUUAGAUAUAUACAUCCUUAUGAUAUAUUGUAUGCUUGCUUCCUAAAGGAUUUUCCACCCUCACAAAAUGAUGUCAACCCAAAAAGAGUGCGUGUACCAUCCAGAAGAUUGUUGGAAACAAUCUAAUAGAAAAAAACAAAGACUGAAGGUAUGUAUUCGAAUCUUGUAUUAAUUUACUAUUAAUUUGUACAUACUAUCUUUCUUACUCUCUGAAAUUCAUCUGAUGCAGGUAUAGUAUGUGAUCUAGUUCGAGUGAAGAGAAUGACCAAAGUGCAGUUUUAACCAAUGACUGAAGCUUAAUUUCACUGGAACUUCUUGUUUUUAUUUUUCACUAUUUCAUAUGUACCCCAUAUUUCAGUUUAAAGACGUUUUCAUCUCACACUAUUAUACAGAACAAUCAUUCAGACCAAGAGGUCCCAAUUUUCUUUUCAACAGUUUAUUUAAAGUACCUAAUGUAAUGUUCUUAUUUGUACAACUUUUCUUGUCAUUAGAAACAGAAGGGUUUCGCAUAUUGAUGAAUCUUUCUUCAGUAUGUAACAUGAUGAAUCUUUAAAUUUUUAAAAUUGAGUAUAUGUCAGCUAUUGAAUGAUGGAAACCUCAUGUAAUUAAUCGUGGCAGCAUAUUGAUAUACAGUCCAAAACAAAGUGUUACCAGAAACCCAGUGCACAUUAGCAUGCAUUGAACAACUUGAUGCUUAAUGAUUUUGAAACAAGUUUUGAAAGAUCAAAUAUCAAUAGAGCUUUUUCUCAUUAGCAAUAGAACUUCCAGAUGAGCGUCAGAGCUCAGAGGCAUAAACUACUCCUACUUUGAUGGUCACAACGUCAUGCAAAACUUCAUCCAAAAGCCAAAAACUCAUGGUAACAUCCACUAGAUAAUAGAAAAGGAUUCCUAGCUGAUUUAAAUAGGGUUUAGAGAAUAAAGCUGUUUGCUGUGGUGGCCUGCCAUAAUAACGAAGGCUGAAGAAAGGACUGAUCAAAAUGACUUCUUCUCGUAAGAAACCAACCAAUGAACUCCAUCUUCCUCGUAUCAAAACAAAAAACAAAACAAAAAAGGUGCUUCUAGAUGUACCCAGCAAAUUGCUAUGUAGACCCAGCAGUGAAAAUUUUACCACCAAUCUUUCAAUAUUACCCUCUCAUUUAGAUAAUAAGAAAACUCUUUGUUAAACAAACAUAAAAACGAAAACCAAAUUUUCUACAUGUAGAGUUCUUCCACUUCCAUCUUCAAUCCCCACUAUUUAUUCUUCCAAUUCGAUCUAUUGAUUCUAUUCUCCUCCUUGUUCAAUCCCCAUUCUUUCAUCAUAUAUUGAGUGGUUAAUUAACACUAUAAUUUAUGAGGAGAAACCAUCUUGUUGCAGACGUUGCUGGGUUUUGGUCUCUUUGAAGAAGUGUGUGGUUACAAUCAUCUGAGAUCUUUAUGAUCUCAUGUCUCUUAUAAGAGGAUGAAUUAAAUAUAUACAUGAUUGAUGAGUCAUUUCUAAAUUUCAUAAUAACAACAUGGAGAUGGAGGUCCUACAUAUUCAAUAUCUGAUCUGGGUAAAACGAAAGAAGAGGACGAAGAAAGAGGAGAACUAGGCCACAUCGCCAUACUUUGUAUUUUUUUUUUUUUUUUUUUUUUUUACUAAAGAGUCAGUUUCGUAUUUUAUUUUAAUAAAUUAAAAUGAGAGGGUAAUAUUGAAAGAUUAGUGGUAAAUUUUUCACUGCUGGGUCUACAUAGCAAUUUGCUAGGUACAUUUAGCAGCACCCAACAAAAAUCCCCCUUUCUUGUGUGGAAUAGGGCAAAGCUUUUUUGCCGAUGCUUGAUUAAGAACCUUGUGUGGCAUAGGGCAAAACUUUUAUUGCCGAUGCUUGAUUAAGAAGAGCCGAUCAAUUGAGAGGAGGUGAGGGCUGAGAGGAGAUCAACAUGAAAAAGAAAACGUCAAAGCAAACAAACUAAAAAAUAGGGUUUAGAGAUAAAAACAGAAUUAAGUAAUUACAAAACUAAAAGAAACAAGAAUUAUAGUAAAUAAGAAAAACAGAAAUAUAAAAGAGUAAAAAAUUAAGCUUUGACAUCAGCCGCCACGUCAGGUGGGCUCUAGGUGGUUCUCCAAAUGGUGGUUCACCUAGCAUUACUCAGAAAGAAAGCACGUAUAUUGUAUAUAUGUGCGCUUCGUGUUCGUCCGUACAAAAUUCCAUGGCAGUUGACGGUGAUCUUCCUCAGAGCUACAAGGUUAGGCCAGACACGGAACAACUCCUUGUUCAUAAUCUUCGUCCCAAACUCGACGGAGAAGACUUUCCCCAAGGGCUUGUUCCUUUAUGUGAUCUGUAUGGAAAUAAAGAACCAUGGCAGAUAUGGAAUGAUUAUUUCCAAGAAUUAUCAGUGAAAGACAAAGAAAGGACAGGCCUCUACUUCAUCACACAGCACAAGACGAAGACUCCAAGGGCAAGGGGCAAGCGCAUAAAUCGAACAGUCGACAGCGGCACCUGGAAAGGCGAAGACCCCCCCAAGGGAGUACUUGCUGCUUCUUCUCGAACGGUGAUUGGCAAGAGAAGAAGAUUUCGCUACGAAAACAAGGAGGAGUCGGAACAAAUGCACGAGUUUGAACUUGAUGCAUCUGUAUUGAGAAACAAACGUAAAGCAAAGGACUACGUUCUUUGUAUUCUUAGAAAGAAAAGCAGAUCGGUAAAAAAGAAUUCAGAAGAUCAAGAUGAUCAAGAAGAAGACGAUAUGAGUUGCGACGCAAGUGAUGAUCAUGAACAAGAUGGAGACCUUCCUGAACCUGAGUUAUUUGAAGAAGAAACCAGUACCACUACUCAAAAAUUAGACGAACAUACUCCAAAAACUGCUGUGGAGUCUGAGGUAUACCUACAGCAACAGAUUGCUGGCCAGGCUAUGGAAAAGAAUGAUCAUGAAGGUUCACAGGAAUCGGACGAACUUCGGAAGUGUGUAAUGGAGAUUGAGGUAUACAUAGAGAAACGUAUUGCUGGCCAGGCUAUGAAAAAGAUUGAUCAUAAUGAUUUAAAGAAAUCAGACGAACUUCGAACAUGGGCUAUGGAGUUUGAGGUAGGCCUAAUGAAACAGAAUGCUCGUGACCAGGCUAAGAAAAAGAAUGAUCAUAAAGAUUCACAGACAGUGAGCUUAGAAGAGAUGGAGAACUACCUGAUGAGUGAUGACUGAUCGAAGAAGAUGUGUAUCUUAUCAUGAUCCGUUGUCUGAGGCUACUCCAUCUUGUACGUGUUAUAUCUUGCUGCUUAAACUGAUUAGCUUCAAGUUAAGUUUUCAAUUUUACAGAUAGAAACUUGGCUUCAUCCUAGAUACAUACAUACAUAUAUAAAUAUAUAUAUAUAUAUAUAUAUAUAUAAAUAUACAGGCCUUCUCGGCUGCGGACGUCCGCACCGAAGGUUUCGGUGCGGAUUUCCAUUUUUGCACCACUUUCCGAUCGAAUUUCCUCAAACUUCCUUCUAGACAUAUCUAGAUCAUCUUGUGUAGAUUAUCUCUGCAAAAUUUCAGCCAAUUUGGUGAUCUUUAAGGCCCUCAAAAUCGAAAAACAAAUNNNNNNNNNNNNNNNNNNNNNNNNNNNNNNNNNNNNNNNNNNNNNNNNNNNNNNNNNNNNNNNNNNNNNNNNNNNNNNNNNNNNNNNNNNNNNNNNNNNNNNNNNNNNNNNNNNNNNNNNNNNNNNNNNNNNNNNNNNNNNNNNNNNNNNNNNNNNNNNNNNNNNNNNNNNNNNNNNNNNNNNNNNNNNNNNNNNNNNNNNNNNNNNNNNNNNNNNNNNNNNNNNNNNNNNNNNNNNNNNNNNNNNNNNNNNNNNNNNNNNNNNNNNNNNNNNNNNNNNNNNNNNNNNNNNNNNNNNNNNNNNNNNNNNNNNNNNNNNNNNNNNNNNNNNNNNNNNNNNNNNNNNNNNNNNNNNNNNNNNNNNNNNNNNNNNNNNNNNNNNNNNNNNNNNNNNNNNNNNNNNNNNNNNNNNNNNNNNNNNNNNNNNNNNNNNNNNNNNNNNNNNNNNNNNNNNNNNNNNNNNNNNNNNNNNNNNNNNNNNNNNNNNNNNNNNNNNNNNNNNNNNNNNNNNNNNNNNNNNNUACUACUAUAUAUAUAUAUAUAUAUAUAUCAAAUAUCAUUGCAUAGUUCUUGUUAGAGAAUGGUCAUGUUUUGAAUAAGAUGACAAUUUACAGAAUCCGUCUGUGUAAAAAAGAGAAUGAAUCAUACAAGUUUUUUAGAUGUUUGAAAUUAUGGGGUUCGAUGACUUGUAAAGUACGUUGAUUUUAUCAGGAUGUAAUUUUUGUUUCUCAAGGCAUUUUGGAACUCUGUCUCUGGAAAGAUGAUGAUGAACUUUGAGUAGGCAUGGAUUCUGUAUCUUGAAACCUUCAUCUUUGUUAAGGAGUAAAAUGAUGAUCAUGGAAAUAUCGACCCUUCUAAAAAUGAAAAUUUUGACGAAAAUUUCCGGAAAAUAUCGAUAGCUGUAAAAAAUUAUGAAAAUUGACGGAAAUUUGAAAAUAAACAAGGAAAUUGUAAAUGAAACUUUGAGAGAUGUUAGUUUUCUCAGUUAUCUACUAUAUUUGAAAAGAAAACAUUAAAUAAAUAUUGAUCUAUAAUGAAUUGUAGUAAUUUAAGGUGAAUAAGUAAGUGUUAAACCGUUGGUAAUUUUUAAUUUUUUUUAUUACUUUACAUAUGAUAUAGUUCACAUGGAAUUACAUGAGUAAUUUAGAACCACAUAGAUUAUGAUAAAUACUAAAUAUGAAUUAUAAAGUGUAGGUAAAAAAUAAUUUUAAGUUAGUUAAUUAAUCGUAGAGAAUGAAUAUAUUAUUUGAAGAUACUUAGGUUAACAAGAUUGGUGGCUAGCUAGGUUAGUUGAUUAUCCCUUAAAUUAUGUGAAUGUUUGUUUAAUUUUUGUGACUUGCAAUCUAGCAUGUAUCUAAAGGUUGGGAGAAAAUACUUGCAUUAUUCACCAACUGCUGACCAGGCCAUGAAAAGAAUGAUCAUAAAGAUUCACAGAAAAUGAGCUUAGAGGAGAUGGAGAGCAUCUUGAUGAGUGAUGAUCGCUCAUGAGGGCCUAGCUAGCUUCAACCUCGAUCUAAUUCACUUGUUUAGACCAUUAGGGGAUAAUAUCAUUGAUGCAUGUCUCUCUCGCGCGGGUAAGCUACCUAGUAUGAGGUAAUUUCCAUACCAAAACGACUUCAUAUAUAUGGAAUAUUUUCCAACAUAUUUACAAACAGAAAUCAGAAUCUUCCUCCAACGCUCCAACAAUCUACAAAUAUGAAAGAUCAGCCUGCAUCUGCUACAAAUUCUCAAAUCCUUGUGUAGAAGCUGAUCUCUUUCCACGGUAUAAAAGCUAGGUCCCUUGCAUGUGAUUCACAAACCUAAAACAAAAGUACCUAUCUCGGCAGAUGUUCAAACAUGAAAAUUAAUGUGCCUCGGACAUGCAAACCUAAUUCUCUAGUUCUUAAUUCAGCCACAAGUAGGAUGGUGUGAGCUAUCCUUUUACAACAAUCGCAAUUUGAUCUAUAUUCUUUACGUCGAAUCUGCAACUGCAUCACCUAGCUUCAACUUUUAAUGGCUCAGACAAUCCCUUGUCACUUUUUUCAGGGUCGUCCGGCUUCUCAAGCAUGUUUUCUGUGUCUUUAUGUUCAACCUUCUUCACCUCGUCCUCAGUAUCCUCUGGAAUGUUACUUAGAGCACUUGCAAGCGGCUGAACCAAAUUCUCAUCUGACGUGAACGAAUCAUUAACAGGGGGAUGAGGUAUAUCCCUGGAGACAACUGGUAUCAAUUCAACUAUUGGGGAGGGAGGAGUAUCAUCAUCAUCAGAAGAGUUGGAAUCUGCUAUGAUUUCCCUCUCACAAGAACCAGUCUGUGACUUUCUUGAACCUUUACGUGAAAGUGCAUGCUUCACUGAUUUUUCAGCAUGUUUGAAGAAACUCUUUGCCAUGCCUUUCACCCUGCCCUUUCCUGGGCUACCUGAGCUACUCUCUCCAGAACUUGAAACUUUACCAGAAAUUUCAUCUUCGACAACAAAUUUUACCGCAAUGUCCUUUUCAUUAACCGCCCUUAGAUUGACACGUGGAGUAACUGGGCUUUGGAGUGACUCUGUAAAGCUGCUUGAAUUAUCCUCCUUUUUGGGAUUCUUCUGGAAUACUGAACCAAGUUUACGUAGACCACGGCGAACUGAUUGCAUUGGAUGUUUAUCAUCUUGAGUAUCAUCAGUGCCGCUGCUCCCAUUAGGCUCCCCUUGAAUUUGGGUACUAAGACGUCGACCCUUUCCUUUUCUAGCCUCCCAAGUUUGUGAAACUUCACUUCCUGGGUGAUGGACCCAUAUACCAGUUUCUUUUUGUCCUUCAACAUCAAUGGGCUCAUAAUUAUCGGCCACCCUAGGAGAUUUCUCUGAUGAUAAAGACGAGAAGGAAUUUUUAUUAGCAGUCUCACUGGAAAAGGAAUUUCUUUUAUCUUCCAUAUUUGGCAUUUCCGAUUCCCGAACAUUUGGGGGAUCACUGCCCUGCAUAUAUAUAGCUCAAGUCAAAAACUUGGAAUACACAAUUGAGCAUUUUGUGCAAAUCUCAGUUAAAGUUUCUCCAAUAGCUAGACAGAGUUACGAUCUUUUUGCUUCCAUUUCUUAAUCGAACCAAUCAAGAGAACAAUUAGGAAGAAGUAAAAGAUACCUCCCCACUGACUUCGAGCACAGUUACUGCAAGAUGCAGCCUCCCUGCUGUUUUGAUGUUCUGAAGAGGCAACCACAUGUCAUGUCUCACACCAUCCCUAAGUUCACCAAUGUUAAUGGAACAGUUCCUGGAUAUAGAAGAAGAGUUGGUUAAUCCCACAAAUUUACAGUACUUAAGAGAAUCAAAUCAGAAAAAGAAGAAAAACAAAGUUCUAAAUAAGUGAAAAUAAAAUGGACACUAAUAUCAUUGGUCAGCAAGAUGAUUUUGGAUCCAGGAAACUAUCACGUGAAGUUUAGUAACCACAGCUCGUAAACUCUAAGACCUGACUGUCGAUCAGGCUUUUCAAAAUUAAAUAAAUGUAAUAAGAAACAGCAAUUGGUAGUGGAAGAAGGACAUCACUGUUUAGUAAUCAACUAAUCUCUUGAUCAGUAUUCCUCUACAGCAUCAUCACAGUAUUGUUUGUAAUUUGUAACAUAUUUCAGCACUAGAAAGCAUGAUGCAAUAAAGAAGUUUGGAAACAAACCCCAGGGUAUCAUCAACAAAAAUAUCUUUGUCAUGAACUUCAAUAGCUAGCACAUUAGGUGAAUCCCAAGUAAUAAUCGGGAUCUUAAAUUCCUCAAACCAUUUUGGGGUCAGUGUCUUCUUUUGUAUCUUAGUUUUGAAUUGAUAAACACCGAAUUGGCCCUUCACAUAAGGAUCAGCAAACCCUGAAAAAAAAGUUUUUGUGUUAAUAACCUUGCUGACAUGCUGUGAUUGAAAAAAAAAAAAAAAAAAAAAAGGAAAGGAAAAAACUAACCAUUUAAGUCGGAGACUUUCAUGUCGGAUGCUUCAAUAACUUCUACUUUGAGAUGCGCAACAGGCUCCUUCUCAUCCACAGAGAACCAAUUUUCUGUUAUAUACAGGAACACAAAUUAUUAGUCAUAACAUUUGGCAGCUAAAGAGAGAAUGAUGAUUAGGAUUAUUACUGAAAAGCUAUUAUCUCGAGAGUGAAUUCAAGAGAAUCUUUCAAUAUCCACACAACAUGCAGGAGAACAAAAUGAUAAUAAAAUGAUAUUUAAUGCUAAUUGCUUCAUGGCUACCUGCCUAUCUUUGAUGGGCAAGAAGAAAUAAAAUGCACUUCAUCUAACUAAGGCCCCAUAAAAGUAUGAAAUACAUAUUUCUCUGAUCCUUACCCUCUUCUGGUGUGGUGAAUUUCUCCAUGUCAACAACUAGCAUAUUAGGCUGCAAAAAAAUAUUAAUAAUUAGAUUUUAAAAACUUGUGCAUACCUCUGACUAACAUAUGCAACUAUAUACACCAACAGCUGGAUAUUUGUGCAAUAUGAAGCAGCCUAGCAAAUAAAGAAACUUAUAUUUUGUACAGUAAGUCGAAAGAAAUUCUACCGACCUCUAUUAUAGGAAGUUAUCCCACACCUAUGGAUGGAAUGUUCUGUUCAUUUUUGUUGGAAGAGAACGAGAUUUAUUUAUACGAAAAAUACUAUAUACACAAGAGAACAUUUUUGUGGAUCAGGAAUAUUUCAACCGAUGGAUAGAGAGAUAUAAAGAGAACAUUUCUACCAUCACUGAAGGUUGCGAUAGAUAAAAAGAUCUUGGGCCAAUGUCUCUUUGGCCUGAUGACAAAGACCACCAGGGCAAACUGCAACAGGUGUCACAAGUGUUGCAUUCAAAGCCAGGGAAGAUGCAAGGGCUUUGUAAAGCACACCCAUUGAUAUCAAAGAAUUACAUUUUGCAGUGGCAAAGUUCGAUCGAAGAAUUAUUUUGCAGUGGCAAAGCUCAAAACUUUACCUGAAUAAGUGUCUUCUUCAAGGCAAUGUAGACAAGCUUACCAAAUACCUAUGGAUGGAAAAUUUGUAUUUUUUAUUUUUUUUCUCAAAGAGAAAUGGGAUUUUACUAAGACAUGAAAACAUACAAAGGGUAGAUAAAAAGACUUUUACCUACCAAGGGAGAAAUGAAGAUAACAUUUUAUCAAUGUUGACAGUGACUCUUAGGCAUAAUCACGAAGGUGCAAGGAGUUGUCUCAAAUGUGCAUUCACAACUAGGCAAUAUGUAAAGGGCAUUUAAAGCAUAGCCAAUGGAUAUCAAACAAUUCCAUAUUUGAGUACAAACUUUUACCUGAACAAGUGUCUGCUCGAAGGCAAUUGAGAGAAGCUUAUCCUGGAAGACAAAAUAAACAAUGAGUAAGUCAGAAAUGAAAAGACACAAAGAAGCACAGAAUGGGAGUUGAGGGAACAGUCCAGAAUUUAUCUGCUUAAAAUAUGUAAAGAAUUACCAGCCAUCCAUCAAUCCCUGGGACUUCUGUAACAUCAAGCCCACGAGUAAAAAUAGGCUUGACGGUCAUUUGAAAAUAUGGAGGCUCGACGAAGCAUAACCGCACACGGCCAAGAAAAGGCCACUUGCGAAGGAACUUCACUCCAAUCAUGACCUACAAAAUAAAAAGAAAAUCAGCUUCAUCAAUAUGAAAACUGCUUGUGGACAUCUCACUCCCCUGAAAACAAGGUUAUUCAUUUCUGCCAUCCAUGGGAGAGACCAACUUUUUGAUUAUAGGACAUUAAAACAUAAAUCACAUACUUUCCCUUCAAACAUACUACAGAUAAAAAAACAAAAGCGAAAAACCCAAUUGUAAUGACAAAUAGUCAACGAGGGCAAAAUAGAUUUACCAUCAAAAUGGCUACUUUGGUUAAGUACAGAAAAUAAGGAUUGCAUCAUAGCAACCCCUACAUGCUUAAUGAAUAAUAAUUAAUGGGAUUUGGCUUAAAAGGUGAUAUAUAAAGUUGUAAAUCUCAUUUAAGAACAAUGCAGUACAACACCUGACAAAAUUCUUCUACACUUUAGAAAAGGGCAACAUGGUAAUAGGAUGUACCACAAACAAAUAAAGAAGCACAUACAAACCUUAAUAUAGGCAAACAAACAAGGCAUACAUGUCUGUGUUCUAGCAAGAACAAGAGUGCAACCAAAAUGAAAUUUUUUUGUUUUGAGUUUAAGUGCUCAUAAGCCACCAAAAAUACAUGCACAUAAAACUUGGCUAUGCUUACAAGUAUUUAUUCAAGUGAUCAGCACUCAGAAGCUUUUGGCUGACCAAUGACUAAAGAUCACAUACCUUGCCUUCAACAUGCAUGCCGGUAAUAUGCAACUUCGCCCAAAUUCCAAAGCCCAGCCUUUUCUUUAGCUUGACAGCAAGUAUUCCAAGCAUAUCAUCAGCUGUCAGAAAAUUCAUUCCCAACUCCAGAACCUGCAUUCAGUAGACUAUAAUACUUAAGCUUGGCUGAGUUUUAGCACUGAAACCACAAAGAGCACAUGAAAAAUAUUGACCAGCACGCUGGAGAAAGUAAGGCAUACCAAAUGGUCAUCACCAGUAGACUGGCGAAGAACUCUCAUCUCUGUGAACAUAGGUGGGUUCCUUCCCAAAUAAAGGUGCUGUACUACACCUUUACUCUGGAAACAUAAAAUUAGUAUCAUUAAACAAUAAAAAGUUUAUCAAAACAUAACCCCACCAUGAAAAGUAAAUUGCAGGUAUUACUAGAUAAAGAUUUAUAGGUAGUAUAUACAUAUAUAGAACUUAAUUGAACCACUAAAAAUUCAAGCUCAGAAUUCAAGAUAGUUUACAAUCCCCUUUAACCAAUAUAGUAAUUACUAACCUAAUAUAUGAUACCAAUAUUCUGAAUUCUUCUGUGAGAUGCUGAUGCAACAUAGAACAAAAAGUUUUUGCCACCAACUUGACAUGGAUAUUGCAAUUAAAUACUUGGCUCUAGCUAUUCACACCCCCAAAAAUUUAAAUAAGAAUCCCUAAAUUUCAAAACUAAAUUUGAUGAACAGCUGUAUAUAAAUGAGUGGCUCUAGAUAUUCAUACAACAAAGAUUAAGAAGUUAAGGCAUUUUAAAGACAUCCAAAACUUGCACUUGCACUUGCACUUGCACCCAUAGAGAAAAGAGUCAAGUAAAAUUACAUCAAUUUGUAUGGAGAUACUAUCCAAACUCCAAGACAUUUUGGACCAAAAAACCAAUCCAAGUUCAAUGGAGCAACAAAAUCAUGGUAAUGUAAAUUAGAAGGUAAAGUCAUACAACAGUCCAUGGUUUGUACUUCUCCAAAAACCAAGGUAUGAUUGGGAGGAGAACUCUCUGGGAAGCAAUCUGUUCCAUACAUAUAGGCCAUAUCUUUUCAACUGCAUGGUUCAGCCACCGCACUGUUUCAGAAUCAGAAAGUACCUGAAAAAUUGGAAAUGACCAAAGAUGAAAAAGAAACAUGUAAUGAGAAUAUUGCAAUGCCAUAGGAAAAUUUACAAACAAAAAGCGCAUAUAAUAGAUGCUCAAAGUUUUAAUCUGACAUUAUAUCCAACAACCUUUCUUGUGUGGUCUUCUUUAUUUGUACUUUAUUUAUAACAAAUUCUCUAUAAGGCUAACAAAAUCAACAGAGACUCUUCUAAUCCAUGGACUGAUAAGUGGAACAGUGAUAAAACAAUCAAUGCACAAGGGGAAAAUUAGACAUUACCCUUCUCUGAUUGCCCUGCCUGGUUUCUUCAAACUGUAGCUUCUUCCGCAGUCGCAUAACAUACCGCUCAUGAACCUUUCAAAAGCACAAGCAAAAGAGUCCCUUUUAGCAUUUUUCAAAUUACCAAAUUACACUACAUAACUUUGAAACUUUGAAAGUUGAAAGAAAGAAAAUUAUUCUGUAACUGAUUCUAAUUCCUAGCAUAAAGAAAAUUCCUUUUCUUUCUCCACUUGCUUUAAUCUCUUAGAACAAAGUUGAUUCUUUUACUAAUGAACAAUGAGUGUUGACAAAAUCUAAAGAGUGAGGAAGAGCAGUGAUCCUUACCGCAAAGAGAUAAAUCAGAGAGAGAAAGUAGGCAAUUGCAUGGCAGCAAUUGUAGUAAGAGAGCAACCAAAGCACACCCAACACAAUCCCCAUAUGGUGCAUCAGUGUCACCUCUGUUAUAUCCAUCUCUUCUCUUCUUCUUCUUCUUCUUCAACCCAAAACCACCACUUCAGAAACCCAAAACUUCAACUCACCCACAAACCCAUCUCCAACUAUCUCACAAGAUCACAAAUGAGAGCCAAAAAUGGAAAUACAAAGCGAAAGUUGCAAGCUUUAAACCCCAAAACCCUUGAAACCCAGAAAAGAACCAAACCCCAGAAGACAAAAUCAACAAAUGCGAGAUUGGAUUUUUAGAGUUACCCAGAACAGCAUUGACCACCCUUUACAGCAAAACCAAAUAGGAAAAUGGAAUGAAGCAGAAACUGGGUGAGAUCAAAGUAGAUGAACAAAGCUUAGGGAGGAAUGUUUUGGUGUUUUUCAGGCAGAAUGGAACCGUGAGGAUGAAGUAACCGGCGGAGAGGAAGGAGCAGAGAGACAGAGAACAAAAGAGAAGUAAAAGAAUGAGUAAUAUAGGGGAAGGUGGGUUUGAGAGAAGGAAUGUAUGAAGAGAAGUUUUGACUGGUUUUUGGGAGCCACGUAUAUAAAACCACGUCAAAUACGUGUGUCGGCAUUUUGGAUUUGGAUUAAAGCUGUAGAUAUCUGAUAUAUGAACAAGUAUUCUUCGACUUUCAAGUCCAUAGCGUUGGAUUAAACUAAUCAAUCGAGUAAGAAAAAAUAGGAGGCUAAUCUCUUUUUACAUUCUCACAUGGCUCCUGCUUAAGUGGGGUGCUAAUCGUGAUCUCACAUGCCUCCAUUUGGACACGGCACCAAAAUCGCAGCUUAUUGAUCAUGAAUCAUGAUCAUGAUAUUGGCCUCUUCCACCCACACUGCCACACAACGCUAGUUUAAUUCGCUUUUUUUUUUUUUGGGGUAAAAUAGUUUAAUCCGUUAGUUUGUUUCUAUCACCAUGUGUUCUUGUCUCUCUCCCUUUCUCUCUGUUUUCCUUGGAUAUUUCCUCUAUUGGCUUCAUGAUAGGUCAUAAAAACUUAUAAAUAAUGGGGAAGUGAAGUUGUUGAGGAGCUUAAAUGGUAAACACAACUGAAUUAAGGCCUAAUCAAGUGCAAUGACUUGGUAGCUUCUUCUGAUUGGGAUCAGAAUCAUCCCCUCCUUAUGUAGUAUUUUGGAUAUAGAUUGGUCAUCUUGCUCUCCUGUUUUAGUUGCUAGCACUUCAAGGUUCUCGACUUCUCGUUAUGUAAAUCAUACGUAGUGAAAUGUUUAUUGAGGUAAUCUUGUUAAAAAGUAUUCUUACAAGUUACAAGAGACUAUAUAACGAUUAACGAAGAUAUAUUUAAAUCUCAGUAUUCAAAUAAAUUUUUGAGUUAAAUUAAUCGUAUGACUAAUUGGAAUCACAUAUCAAAUGAAGACAUUACUAUUGAAAUUUUUUGAUCAAAAUAUCAAAAACAACCGAUUUUUGAACAAUAGUUCUUUCUUUUUAAACGUUAGGAAUGACAUGGACAUUCCAAUUUUAUAAAUGUGUUGGUGUUGAACGUGUUUGGUUUUCCACUGGAGAUGCAUUAGAACGCCAACUAAAACGAGGACAUCAAUCUAAUGAUGUUACUUGUUUCACAGAACAGUUGGUGAGACUUGCCGGUGAGAAGCUAGCAUCUUAUAUAUAAUUGAGUUGCAUUAAGGUUGUUGUACUCUUGCAAAACAAGAAAAGAUCAUACAUACAAGUUCUCAGUUCAAUCAUCCUUACCCAACAAAGAAAACAUGUCGAUCAUCCUUACAAAUAUAAAGCAUAGUAACAUACAUAUAGCUUUACAUCGUACUUAGGUACUUGUCUAUGGGCUUAUGGAGUUCGUUAAUUAUGGUUGGUGGAUUAGUUGGAAAAAGAUGGAUCAGAAUUGGUUCGGCUUUGAAAGAACUCAGCAACGACCUGGCUCCAAUGCACUUGAGCACCAUUCAUGAUCACUUGGUCCCCUCCCUUAACUUGAUCGUAGAAACCGACCUUCUUUGCCUUAUUUAGUCUGCAGAUCAAGAAAAUGAUGCAUCGAGAUCCAUGAACUAGGGUUUCGGGUCCUUUAUGAAAUUGCCAGUUGCAAGAAUCAAGCUUCAUCAUUCCCAAAAGUAUGGGUCAUCGAUCUACUUUCCAAAACUGGCUAUGGGGUUGUUCAGAUCGACGUAUUUCACUCUCUUGCUUCUGCAUUUUUGUGUUCUGGCAUUUAUAAGAACGUGUGAGACUUCUGCAAGCACUGUUUCACCACCUAGCUCGAUCAGUUAACCAAUUUGAUGAAUGUGGGAAUGAUAGUACGUGCUUUUAGCCUUGGCUUUACUAACGUGGCGUAUGAGUAUAAACAUGAGUGGUCAUUCGUGAAAUUAUAUAUGCAGCAUCAUUUCUUGUUGGCAUCCAAUACUUGUUGAGUUGUUGGCUCUAGGCAAACUCAUUAUGAUGUACUUCAUCGAUCAUGUUCAAGGUGAGCCAUAUGCAUGUUUAACACUAAAGUGCAUGCCUUUUUGGCAUGAACAAUUUUGUUUAAUUAAAUAAAUGCUUCAUCUCAAAGUAACGACUUAUAAGAUAUCCGCACAUAUAUAGGUGAUUGUAGAAUUGAUAAGAAUUCCUCUAAAUCAUAGUAAACAUUUGAAAAGGAAUAAAUUUGUUAUCAAUAAUGUCAAUAAAAAAUAAUAAUUAACCAUAUGUGAGUAUGAAUCUUAUUGUGCUCUUCAAUGGCAAUAGAAAGAAAACACUGCACACUAUUGUGUAAAUUUUCUCAUCAUUCCUCGUCUGGCAACAUCCUCGUUUGACAUUAUGCCUCGUUUUCAUAUGAUAAAUGUGGUUUGUGAGGUUGUUGUCUCUUCUUUUCUUUUGAUGUUUUAGAGUUUGGAUUACUUUGACAACUUUCUUUCUACAUUUUGAUGAAUAUGCAUGGUGGUACUAAUACAUGAGAGGUUGGCGCCUCCAGAUUUUUGGAGUUGGAAUGCUAAUCCUAACCUUGAUAUAUAGGUUUAUUAGCUAGGGGUUUGCUUCUUAUUUUUUUUUGAUCAGCUAUAACAGGUGGAUUUAGUGUUUGGUGUUUAGAGCAUUUCCUCGGUAUGAAAGAAUAUAAGUUUACAACAUGGUUUUACCAUUUAGUUUGUUUAACCGUGUCAAUAAUCUUGUAAGAAAAUAAAACAAUAUCAUGUUAGUCGGCCAAGCAAUACAAUAUGAAUGUCAAAUUGUCAAUCUAUCGAAUUGAUUCACCAAAUAUGCUUGUCAAAUAAUCAUAGACGUCAUUAUCUACUUGGCUCUUAAGUCUUAAUCUUUAGUCAAACCCACAUAUUGACCAAAUAAAAAGUCAAACCCAUAGUAAAGCUGAAACAUAGUAACUUAUAGGGGAAGUUCAGAAACACCAUCAGGUGGCGCCCAUGGCCUAAUGGAUAAGGCGUCUGACUUCUAAUCAGGCGACUGUGGGUUUGAGUCCCACUGGGCGUGUCCGUGUCCAAUUCCUGGAACUUCUAUUAGAACUGGUCUUAUUUGCUCAUGCUCUUGGACAUAAACAACUAUGGUUUUGGGUUUCUGAUUUUGUUUUCAUUAUGAAGUAUUUGGGCCUCAGAUUUUCAUCAUUGUUAUCCUUGCUAAUGAACCAAGGAAUCAUUUCAAAUCUUACAUUCCGAUCUAAAAUCACUAAAUCAACGAGCUAUAUAUAGCUCAUGCCUCAUGGCAAUAUCGGGGUCAACUUAUAACGUUGUGAUUUCUCUCUAGAUGUGCGCACCAAAAAUUGGUAAGGAUUAGUGGUGAAGUUUGGAAAUUGUUGUAUACCAAGCCAUACCCUCCAGCUCCAGGUGAAGUGAGUAAUCAAUUUAUGAACGCCCCAUUUAGCACAACAUUGUUUUAAACAAUUUUGGAGGAACAACAUAAGACAUAAUAACGAAACUAAAACGAAGCUUGGGUGUCCAAAUCGAACAGAGCUCUAAUAGACCAAACAGACUAUUUGUCUACCAGUACUUUGUUGUCCCUCUCGCGUCUCCAGAGGCAGAUGACAACUUCAUCGAAGAUAGGUGACCGGCCGGUGUACGUGGAUGUCGGACGCAGGAAGGUGAGAUGCAAAGACAAGGAAAGAUAUGUGUAAAUGGCAUAUUGCUGGGCAAAUUAUGGACCAUCGUUAAAGAUGAGCAAAUGGACAUAUAACCAUUCCUUCUCUUUUCAGCUUAGAUCUUUUCUUCAUAAUUUAUCCAAACAAAUAGUCGUAGUCAUAUGUCAAUUUGGCAAUUUGGCAAGACAGGUAAGAAUUGAUGAUAUAGGAGACGAAAAAGAUAGAAGAUAGUUGGAUAUACAUGGGACCUAAGUGAAAUAGCUCCUCACAAAAUAGAACAAUAAGAAAUUUGUUGAAGAGGAUGAAAAAACCAAAUAACACCAAGAAACCAGCUCACUGAUCUCUUCUACCCUAUGCGGUGAAGAAUUUAGCCAUUCAACAUUAAACCCAUUUCUUGAUUAGAACAAAGUUGGUGUUUAUUUCAAUAUAUCGAAUAUGGUCUUUUCGAUUACUUGCCCGACCAAACGAGAUUAGUUGAAUGACCAAAGGAGAACAAAAAGUUUAUGUGAGAGCUUGGUUAUGCUACACUAUCAUCGUCAAAACAAACAUGCAACCACAACUCUGAUUCUCUAAAAAAUUUAUGGUAGACACGUACAUGUCACACCAGCCUUUUCAAACAAGAAUUUACAGAUCGCGAACCAAUAAGCCGACAAUGAAGAUCGAAGUUGGAUGAGGUCUCCACCACAAGCCCGCUCUUACCAAUUGAGCCAAACCGCGUUGGCCGAACUCAAUCAAAUUUUGUCAAAAACUUAACGUAGAAAACGUCACGUUGGUUAGUUCACAAAUAAACUUCAAAUUCACACGAUAAUGAUCAACAAAACUAACCGAUCUCAACUGUUAAUCCUAACACAACCACUAACCAGGUGAACAUGGACUAACAAUUGCAAACUUAAAAUUGAAAACAUUUAAUCGUCAACAAAGUAGAUAAAGAAAAGCCUUAGACUAGUUGACUCGUCCGACAGUCCCAAUCUGAAUCCCUCUCCCAAGUCUCAACUCCCAAGCCAAAUCCCAAAUCAGAACAACAAAAGUAGCAACUCUUUCCCAGAAACAGAAACACAUCCAAAACAAGAUUAAACAUGGGCGGAGGCGAAGACGACAAGAAGAGAGGUAUGUCCAGCAGUGGUCAUCAGCACCAUCAUCCUCCUCCUCCUCCUCCUCCUCCUUCGGCUCCCGAGUACGGAACCUUCCAAGGAGUCGCCAACUACCCUCCUCCACCGCCACACGGCGGCUUCCCUCAGCCAGUUCCUCCGCCGGGAGCCACCGACCCACCUCCUCAGUACUACGCUCAAGGUUACCAGAGUACCGUUCCCGGUAAGUGUCUCUUAUUUUGAAGUACCACAAUGACUUUAAUGCUUUUUGAGUUGCUGAUCGGAUCAAAGAUUGGUUUUUUGACUGUACAAGAAUGGAUCACAGGAUCAGAGAAUCUGUUUUGUGUUGAUUGGGUACUUGGGUUGUGAUUGAUCGAUUUACUAGUCACUGCAACAACGUUAUUACUAUGGUUUUAUAUAUGUUCAACUAACCUCAAUUAUUGAAUUUGCAACUGACAAGUCUGCUCUUUUUAGAUUUUGUAGAUGAAAUCAUAUUCAAAACGGUGGUCAUUGUGUGAUUAGAUCAGUUAUUUAGUGGUGCGUUUGGAUCGGGUUGUGUAGUGGUUGAAAAGAUCGAUUUUCUUUAGUGGGAAGCUUGUUAUUGGGUGGUUUGGUUUAUAUUUUGUUGUUGUUUGUAUCCAUUUUGUAUUCGGUAUUGAGUAGAUCUUCAUUUGUUGUUUAUGUUUUCUUAUUGAUGAUAUAACUAAAGUGAAUGUGUUUUAUUGUUGUUCUAGGUUAUGCUGUUGCUGAGGGAAGACCUGUAAGAGAGCGUCGCCUGCCUUGCUGUGGUUUGGGUCUCGGCUGGUGCUUGUAAGUUAUUCUGCGUGAUGUUCAGAUAGAUUUGCAGUAGAUGAUAGAAAUGACAUAGCACUGUAUUUGUUUUCUGUGUUUGGCUCUCAUAUCAUUCAAUGUAAACUUUCUGAAUGGAUAGAGGGGAGGUUCUGUGGUGGAUGUGGGUUAAGUGCUCAGUUCUGAUCCUAAUCGGAUAAUUUGAACAAGUUUAGUAGUGUUCUAAAGUACUAGAAUUCUCUAAUCAAAUAAUAUAAAAACUGAUCAAGGUUUCAUAAUGCUCUAAAGUUACAAAACAUAAAAGCUGACAUGAAAUCGUGAACAUCAAUGUAUUGAUUACUACUUUACUAGUAGUGAGAAAAAUCGUUUUUGUGGAAAUUUUCAAACGGCACCUAUGCAAUUUUAAUACUAUUAUGAUGAUGAUCGGUGAUAGUAACUUAGGUAUCAGUGUUAUCAUGAGUCAUGACAAUUUAACUAUCAUUACAUUAUCACCGAUCACGAUAUUUUUCCCUGGGACCCUUUCCUCACCUUCACUCUAUUGAUUCUGAGCAUGUAUUCUUUUCGCUGCUAGAAAUAAUGGAAUCAGUGGCUAGCUAGGAUGUGGUUAGGCUAUUAAUAGUAAAUAAAUCUCUGCUUCUUUUGCAGGUUUAUCAUUGGUUUCUUCCUUGCUGCUAUUCCAUGGUAUGUUGGGGUGAUUAUUCUAGUUUGUUCCAGGAUAGACUACCGAGAGAAACCAGGAUAUAUCGCUUGCACAGUUGCUGUGAGUAACAUAUUUCGUUACAUUUGCCAUUUGUUUCCCCUAUCUUUCAUCUAAAUCCAAUCUUUUGAGUAUGGGCAUAGUACUUGCUUGCUUGCGGUGCUAAUUGCAUAUUGUUGCCACAAACACUUUUUUCUGAUACCACUACAUGUGCAGGCUAUUCUUGCUACAAUCGCUAUUAUCCUUGGUGCCACAAAGGGAAAUGAUGACUGGUAGUCUCAGAGAAGGUUUGUAUAGCUAUUGAUGCAUAUUCAAAUUCCUUGAAAGACCAAGGGGUAUCAAUUAGCCUAUAUACACAGUGCUUAAACUCGUGGAAACUCACUGUAUGUCUCCAGGAUUCAUGAUGGUAUUGUAAUAUGUAGCUUAAACUGUGAAUGGUAAUGUGAAAAUGUUAAAAGAUGAUUAUGUUGAUUAAUUGUUACUGUUCUUUAAUAAUUCAUAUAAUACACAUUAUCACAACUUUCUUUGAAAUGAGGUUGGUGCUGCUGGCUGCUUUAUUCGCUUUACAAAUGUGAUGUAAUACCGAAAAUAUAACUUCAUUACAAAGAAGCAUCAUGGCCAGCCAAUAGCUCAGCAAUGUUUGACUGAGUUACAGCUAUUUUACAUAAGACUUUUUUAAUGGGGCACCGGAUAACUAUUUUUCAAUAAUGAAAUGUUGCAAGGAUUUACUUAAAUCAAUCUUUUCUCGAGGAUCUAAAUAUAGUUUUGAUGCACACUCAAAGAGUUAGGAAUUGAGUUAACUUUGACAUCAACCAGAGUGGGCAAAGCUUGUAGAGUUCCCGAUGGACUCUCCGAGGAUCUUGAGCAGUACAGUCACAACUGUCAGCCUGAUGGUCGAUCUUGAGCUGUACUAUCAAAGUGAUUCAAGAAGGGCUGAUGCACGUUUAGCAAACGUAGGGUGCUAAAUGUUCCCGAUCUGGACUUCGUCGACAAAUAUAAGCAUGAUGAGCUUGGUUUCAAGACAUUUGUCAUCAACCGUUUCUCUGGAGUAGAGAUGGAUUUGCACUGCGCUAAGGCGUACUGUAGUUGAAGGGGAUCUUUCUGUCACAUCAAAAAACAGACUAGAAAUAUAAGGGUUCAUGGAAGUGAAGUGAAGUGAUGAUUGAAUAAGUUAUUGUAUAUAAUACAAUAAAACGUACCUUUGGUAAAUCAUAGAUUCGAUGGGUAUUUUAGAACCAUACCCAUGAUCUGAUGCAGCUGCAAAAGGUUUCAUAAUUGCCUUUAUGAAAUCAAAGACCUAUCUAGUACAUAAAUAAUUAGGAAUGAGAGACAUGUACAAAUAACUAUCAAUCUUCAUGUUGUUUAUAUAGGCAAAUUAAGAGAAUUCUGUUACGUACACAUUAAAUAUGUGUGGUUAUUUAUUUUGAUAAAGAUGUGAACCUGGUCACCAUGUCAAUUAAUGACCUUGAAUCUUGUGGUUAUUUGCAUUUGAUUAAUAUGUGGUUGAGAUUAAAACGCUUGAUAAUCAUGAGGUUACCUUUUAUUUUUUAUCCUAUUUUCUUCAUAUCUUGUGGUGAAAUGUAUAAUGACUAAUUCAAAGUUUCUUGGUGAAAUACAUUGAUUUUGCGUAUUCAUCCUUUUCAGUCAAAUCUUGAUGUGUUCAGUUUAGGAUCAAAAAUCUCUUUUUGGUAAGUACAUUACCAAAGUUGUUUUGUGGCGCUACUGAAUAGAUAGAAAUACUAAUAUAUGGUUAUGGCUCUGUAUGAACAUUAAUUUUCUUGUAUGUCACAAAAAUUGUAAAGAAAAUACAAUAAUAAAUGAUGCACUAAUUGUUAAAUGGUGUUUAUUAGAAUGAAUAAGUUUUGUUGAGACUCCUGAUUAUUAUUAUCAGAUGUUCUCACACUUUUAUAUAUAUUAUUAUUAGACAUUUUUUUUCAUAUAGAUCCACUUAAAUAUUUUUACCCACAUAAGUCCACCCAAGCCUGAAUAUAUGUUUUAAUUAGGUAUUGAAGUUCAACAAAAUUACAAACUGUCAUUCAACCUAAAAAAAAUUACUUAUAUUUACAAAAAUACCAUGGAGUAAAAAGUCAACAAUCUCUCUUCUUUCUAGAAAAGUCUCCAGCCAACCUCUGGUGAGUCGUCUGCAGACCUCUGCCGAGGUUUCCGGCCAACCUCCGGCGAGUCUCCGAUCGAAUUUCAGCGAGGUCUCCGACCGACCUCCGGCGAGGUUUCCAGCAAACUUUCGACAAUCACAAAAGUUACUAUCACCAACAACAAAAACUACUAUCACCAGCAACAAAAGCUACUACCACCAGCUACAAAAGCCACUAUAGUGAGAUCUCCGACAAUCUCCGAAGAGGUCGUAAAAGAUAUUGUCGCCAAUAACAAAAGCUACUACCGCCACCAACAAAAGCUACUACAGCCACCAACAAAAGCUACUACAGCCACCAACAAAAGAUACUACCACAAUAGCUAUUGCCACUAACACCAAAAGCUACUACCACCUUUAGCAAAAACUACUACCGCCGACAAUAAAAGCUACCACAAGAUAUUGUCGCCAAUAACAAAAGCUACUACAGCCACCAACAAAAGAUACUACCAUAAUAGCUAUUGCCACUAACACCAAAAGCUACUACCACCUUUAGCAAAAACUACUACCGCCGACAAGAAAAGCUAUUACUACUGGUAACAAAAACAACUACCGCUAGUAACAAAAACUACUAUAGACGUUAUGGAGGGUGCUUUUGAUUAAGGGUUAUACAACAAUGAGACAAGCAUGGCUGAGCCCAAUAUCAGUCCCAUUUGUCUGCGUUAGCGGAAACUAGACCCAGAAAGCUUCGAAGGACUGAGAAUCCAAGGAAGUUGGUUGUUGUAUUUUUUUUGGCAGCUCCUUGCAUGUUAACAAUAGUGAAUCCAACAUUCUCGAAAAGGCUUCUUGAAAAGGCUUAGCAAGAGGUGCAUGGCGUGAGAGCUAGAAAAACAUAAGUUUCAAAAGAAGAGAUCCCGAUAGUGGUUGGUCUAUCGUUAAAGGUAUUGCGUAUAAAGGAUAUGAGUUGAGUUAUUUAGGAUAGAUAUUGGUGGAUUGCUUGAGCUUGCUACUUGGUUUGCAUAUGUGCUUUUAGGGAUGUAUUUGGAUCUGGGAAUGGGAUGGAUAUGAGGAAUUGCUUGGCUAGGAGAGAAGAAGCAUGGCAGAAGAAGAGUGCUAGAGAGCUUGCUAGCCUCCUCCUUUUUGGUUCCCUUUGUGUUGUUGUGUUGCUACGAAAAUAUACCUCUAUGGUAUUUUAUUGUGUAGCUGGAAUUAAGAAUACUAUGUUAAAAUGUUAAAGUUUAUUUGUUUGGAUUUGAAAGGAUUUGGGUUGGCUUUUGGGUCUCUCUUCUUCAUUUAUCCGUACUAUGAGUGUCACACCUCGGACCGAUGUCGGUGGGUUUUAAGUCACCGGACGUCGAUCCCGAGGCGUGAACAAGUGUUACAAAGCGGAAUGUAAACAAAAGCACUAAUUUCUAGGCUCUUCACUCUAGGCUUGUCGUCUACCCUUUUCCCGGCUCGGUGCAACCUAAUUUCUGCAAAAAAAUAUCAGAGAUUGAUGGGUGAGCAUAACCACGUGCUCAGUGAUGAGUAGACCAAUGUAAUAUGUCCGCAAAGCCAUGUCAUUUUACACACGCUACAAAAUACGUAUAUUGUAUACACAUCGAGUCACGCAAUUCAUCACAUCGCACAAUCCCUACUUAUUGGAUAUCCUUCAAUUUAGUGAUCCCCACGGGAACCUAAUGACCUUCAAGUCCUAUAUCUCCAUGUGUCACAUCCUUACUUCGGCAUAACCAAUUAAGAAGUUCACAUGUUCCAUGAUUAGUCAAACAAUAUAUCCAACACAUAAAUAUAUAUAAACUUCACAUAUUUUGCAAAUCGACAUGCUUCACUAUGAAAAUAGAGAGAUAUUUCAUAAAUAGAUCAAAAUCAUGUUUUUUGACUAUUUUAAUAGCAAAUAAGAAUAUUUGAAACAUAUUACAUAAAUUCACUCACCUCGUCAAUACGAAUCCCCACCAAGAACAUCGAUCGUAAACCGAGCCUCGUAAAACGAGCCAUCUAGAAAUCACCGUUAGAUCUAACCCAAACCUCAAGGAUAGAAAGAGGACAUCCAGACAAACCCGUAGCCCUUCGCUGAUUCAGAAUCGAAGUUACAGAUCAAAAGUUAUGAUCCGUCAAAAUUUAGUCGUAAAAUUCUAGAGAGAGAAAGAAAUGAGGAGAGAGAGAGAGAGAGUGUUGCGGCUUAAAUGAAAACGAAAGGCAGCUGAUCUAUUUAUAGGAAUGUAAGCCGACAAUCAAGAGAAAUUUUUCAAUGCUACCGUAGCACCACGUGGCAAUGACAUGUGAUGCUACAUGCUUCUAAAAAAUUGCCAUGUGUACAACUUAAACACAUAAUCUAACGCAGAAAAGUUCCAGAAAAAAACACAAACCCAAAUUCAUCCAUAAUUGAUUCACUGUGUAAAAAGCUUUACUUUCCAAUGGGUUAUGUCAGGAAAGAAUAAGAACCCUAAUUUGAUCUAAAGGGUUAUAUCAAAGAAGAACAUGUCUCAUAUAAGAAAUGCAAAAUCAGAAUAAUUGAAAUGGAUGAUAUCAAAUCAUAAUUGAAAGGGGUCCUCCAUGCCUCUCAUGAAGAACUCCCAAGAGCAUAAUUCAUUCUCCAGGUGAUGAGUAGGUCUGUUUGUGCUUUCUUUUGGCUCUUAUUUGGCUUAAUUUGAUCCCAAAGAGUUAUAUUAAAGAACAAUAGGUCUGCAUUUGGGUGCUUUUUAUUGUAAUUUGAUCAAAAGCAAAGAAAACAUAACAACGUUUGUUAAAGCCAGAACAAAAUCCAGAUCUCAAUUCUUUGGAAAUUUCACACAGAAGUAGAAAAAUGAUCUGAUACUAAUUUUGGGUGCCCAUCAAUCUUUAUGAGAUUACAUGAAAGAUCUUCAAUCCAUGCCAUGGCAGAAGUCUUGAUUAUGAGACUACGAAACUUCAACUAAACUUUAAAAAAUCGUUAAAAAUAGCUUGGGACUCCGAAAAAUUCACCGAAAAAUACAGCGAACUCAUGGUGACAUAUAGUUUCUAAUUCUAAGAAGAAAAAUACAUUUUGAGAAAUUUCAAAAUUCGGGAUGUUACAAUGAGUUAGGCCGUUGGGCAUGAAUUUUGGUCCCAAGUCUAAAAUUACCAACGAUCUUAAAACUUAUAGCGGACUCCAUGCAAUUCCGUUACUUUCCAUACCACACCAAUUCUUGUAAGCCCCAAGUGCAUGAAUGUGGCUUAAGUCCACGUGCAUGGCGUGAUGUUACGAGUAUGAUUCACUUUAAAGCAUGAAUCGAGCUUAACAAAUUAAUUGGGCCUGCUAUCUGGAUUCUUUAGCCUCAACAUUAGCCCUUUUAUUAUAUGGGCCAUGAAAGCAUGAGAAUUGGUCAGAUAAUCAACACCAAAGUUCUGGUCAUUGCACGACAUGAAUAACUGGUCUCUCCUUCAAAUGGCAUUUUUUUUCUUUUUAAUCUUUGAGGUAAAGAAGCUCAUCUUUCUUCACAGUCUCUGGGCUUGAGAAACCGUGUUUACAACCCCCGUAUCUCAUCCAAAACAGAUGGAUUGUGUUAUGCCUGUGGUUGAGUUACUUUAAGCCUUCUGAUUAGAUUAUGCGCUCGAAAGGAAGGAAGAUUUCUCUGUAGGCUUGUUGUUUUGAAAUCUCUCUUGCUUAAUAUAGGUGUCUCCUUUGUGAUGCAUCUAUUCUCUAACAGAUCGAUCAUCCAAGCAUUAAUUCCCAAUUGAAGCCCCAAUUUCUUCACAAACCCUAAAACCAACAAAGAAUGAAAAACCUUCGACUCCUCCUCCGUCAACGAAUCGAACCCCUUCUUAACCAGCUAUGCGAGGCAGUGACCAACAUCUUCACCACCGCUAUCAUUGCAAAAUCACUUUGAGAUUCACCAUCGCAUCAACAAAAUCCACAAAUCCAAAUCGAUUCCACUUCCUCACAAUCUCUUAUAGGCAAACGAACAUGUAGCUUAUCACAGAUUUGAUCAGAAAUGCGAAACAAUUAGAAUCGAGCAGAUCUGAAUCGGAAACCUAGCAAAGAAGAAAAGCGUACCUUAGAUCCGAUCAGUGGGUGAGAUAUAAUGGAGAGAAGCGCGGGAAGUAAAGCGACGGAGACAUAGGCAUCAAAAUCAAAGUUUGGGAGAUGAAGAGUACGAGUUGCUGGCACCGAUCUGAUCUUCAGGGAGAGAAACCUCUGUCGUCGACCAUAUCUGGUUCUUCUCAAUCGGAAUCCAUCAACGUGAUAUUGUACUUCUCGAUCGGAGGCCGAUCCGUUUCGGCGUAGUCAUCAUCUUCCUCAACGACCGCCUUCGACCACGAGGAAUGUCAUGAAGUCGAGCCGGCGGUGGCGUCCAGGUAGUGUCGUCGAGGCGGUGGCAUCUUCCGAUGAAUAAUGGAGAGAGAGAGAGAGAGAGAGAGAGAGAGAGAGAGAGAGAGAGAGAGAGAGAGAGAGAGAGAGAGAGAGAGAGAGAGAGAGAGAGAGAGAGAGAGAGAGAGUUUGUGAACGUGGGAGAGUGAGGAGGGUUAUUUAAGUAUACUAUAAAUCAGUUGGUGAAUUGGGUCCUUAAAUGUAUUUAUGUGGGUAAAAAUGAUAAGAUGAACUUAUGUAGAAGAAAAUGUUGAGGACUUGCAAAACUAACUAUCGAAAACAAAGUUUUGGAAGACCUAAAUAAAUGGUCACGUACUAUUCACUGAACCUUUAUUAUUUACCCUACUGUUAUUGCUUGAAACUAUAUUAACGACCACAUAUACUAAAAACGUUGGUUGGAAAAAUAUGCAUAGGCUACAACCGUGUUAGCCCUUCACAUGAAGAUUGCUAGUGCCAUGAAGUAAUUGACGAUACCAUUCGCAUAACUGAAAAUUCUUGCUAAUGUAACUACCAUUUUUGCUAUUACUGCUAGUUUUGUAUUUUUAUUGCAAUUUUGUGCAGGUUAUUGCAGUAUAUGAGACACAUGCAUGCACAAAGCAGAAAGUGACUCUAAUGAGAAAUGUUUGGUGCAUCAAAAUUAAAAUGGGAAAGCAUUUAGGUGACACGGUAUUUUUGGUAAUUAAUUUUUGAAAAUAAUGUACCUAGACAUGGGAUCAUUUUGAAAAUAUCAAGGUAUAUAUGUAUCAACAUGUACUCAUGCAAUGGUAGACACAUUUUAUUCAUUUAAUGGUAGGUGAACGUUGCUACCACUAUAUAAAGAAUCGGUUCAGUAUUGAUAUACUCAUCCUACACCCUCAUUCUUCCCUUGCUAGCGUAAUUGAAAUCAAAAGAAAUUUGGUCCUUGAUUCAGAGUUCGAGUUUGAUCCAGAUAGUUUGAGAGGUUUGUUAAAAACUUAGAAACACUCUUGUUGCAGUUCUCAUUUUUCACUUAGCCUAUUCAUUGUUUCAUAGAACACAAUCGGAGAAAAGAUAUUUCAGCAUAUCUCAUCACCUGGUAUUUAAGUUUGUUCACAACUUUUCCUCUUCAUAUAUGCAAUCAUCUUAUAUUGUUGUCUGAAACUAAUAAGCUCAUUGUUGGUGUUGUCUGUACUCAUACAACAUGCACAUAUGCAUCUUGACCUUGUUUUCGUUCUUAGCUAAGAAUCUCAAGCUUCAUUACCUUUGGUAUAAAUAUGUAGCGGAUGUCAACUCUUAUCAUGAUUCACAAUGAAUGAACAACACAUUUUCGCGGGAAAUGUUGUUCGUUUUUUCCUCCGUUGUCUUAAUUGUUCAUAUAUAAUGUGAUUUCUCCAUUGUCCAUAUAUAAUGUGAAAUUUAACGGUUGAAUUUAUUAGUUGUUAUUGUCACGUGUCAAAUAAAAAGAAAAACUCUUAAAAGUUAUGUUGUAUUCAUUUUAACAUUUUAAACUAUUCGCUCAAAUUCACAUCGUAACAUGCAUAAUAAUUACACCUAAGUGUGACAUCAUCUAUACAUGAAAUUUGGGUUGAAAUAUCGGUUGCUCUCACGUGACAAAAUAGAGAAGCCCAUAAAAUUUCAUGAUAUAUUUUUUACUUUUUAAUAAUUUGAAGACUUGUUCUAAUUAGUAAAGAGUAAUUUUAAAUACAUACCCAUAAUCUCUUAAUACACACCCCUUACUUAAUACAUUACCCGUCUAAUUUUUCAUUUCAAUAUUAUACUAAAUACAUAUCCCAAACUGCUUAAAAUACCUUCAAUAUCUAAAACUAAUAAUAAUCUGAUUAUUAUAUAUCUACUAUUUCACAACUCUCUUUACGUAUUCUCUUUUAUUUUCUGUUAGAUUUUUUUUUAUCGGGUUAAAAAUUUUUUCUUGAUAUUUUUCAAUUUAUAAUCAAAAGAGUAAUAUUAUAUUCGAAUUCCAAAUCUCCAAUAUAACAUCAAUCGGUUAGAAUUUGAAGAAAACAAAACUAUUAAACAUACAUAAUUUUUUCAAAGUUGAGAAACCAGUAGAAGUACAAUAGCUUAAAAACUAGUUUUUAGUCUGCAAGAUAAGAACUAAAGUUGAUAAAAAAACCAAAUGAAUCGGUAAAUAGUACAUGUGGUUACUUAUGACAGUAGUCGAAAUUCAGACGAUGAAUUUUGGAGAAAAGGUUUUUAUUUCUUUUCUUUUGAUGCGUAGUAAUAGCGGAGAAGAAUUAGGUUUUAAGGAAGAAGAUGUUUCUUUUUAUUUUUUUCCUUAAUAAUUAAUGGAUGUUUGUGUAAUUAAACAUAUCUAUAAAAUCUGAUGUGAAAUAUAAAAUAAUAGGGGUGUGUAUUAAGAGAUUAGAGGUGUGUAUUUAAAAUUUAUCAUUAGUAAAUGCCAAAUAUCGAUGAUGGGUUUAAAAAGACAUGAUGCCAAAAAGUAUAUACAAAAUUAGGAGGCAUUUUGGCAUUCAAUUAGUGGAACAUAAUGAAUUCAAAAUUCGUUUUGCUCUGGACAUUUCACUGAGAGAAAGUGCUUACAAGAAGGUUGCUAAAGGUUUUUGCUUUUAUUUUAUAUUUUGAUCAGGUAAAGAUGGUUUCCAUCUCAAAGCUUCAACACAGAGAAAGUGAUAGGUUAAGUACAUUGCCAGAUGAAAUUCGUAUUCAUAUACUUUCCCAUUCUAAAACAAGAUAUGCUGUGAGGACCAGCAUUUUGUCUAGAGAUGGAGGAACAUAUGGGCCAAUGUUCCCAAUCUGAACUUCGACGACGAAGAUACGCAUGAUGAGUUUGGUUUUAAGAGGUUUGUCAGUCGUGUACUAACCUUCCAUGACUUAUCAGAGAUUAACAAGUUUCGUCUUCGUUGUUGCUUGGAUGAUGUCUCCGGCGUUGAGAGAUGGAUUCGCGCUGCGCUAAGACGUAAUGUAGUUGAAGUUGAUGUUUGUGCUACAUCAGAGACUGACCAGAUUUUUAAGCUGCCAAAAAGUGUUUACACAAGCGAAACACUGAAGGUUUUAACUUUAAGGUCUAACUUUAUUAUUGACGCUCCUGUUGCAUAUGAUUCUUCACGCAUGAAAUUCCUCCCGAUUGCAAAUCUUUUCCCAACCUUAAAGUUCCUCUAUGUCCAUUUACUUCAUCCGAACGUCACGUCCAUGAGGAAUCUUUUCACGUACUUUCCUGUGCUUGAAGAUCUGACUAUAGAUGGAACCAUAGGAGAUGAUAACCUGAACUUGAACAUAAAUGCGCCAGAGCUGAGGACAUUAACAAUAUGUUUAUGCGCUGAAGCUAAAGAUGAAGAUGAAGAUGAGUAUGAAGGCAGUGAAUAUGAAGGCAGUGAGGAUGAUGAAAACGAAGAUCAUGAUGUCACUGGUGCGUACUAUUUCGACAUUGAUCAUAUCCCAAAGCUGGAAACCUUAAGUGUUAGGGUGGAUGUUCCAUCAUACUGGAAACUCAAAUUUGGAGUAUUACCAGCAGCCAAAGUCAUCAUCGAUCUCUAUGAUCAUUCUGCAAGUGAGCAUCCUACAUUUGCCAAACGUGCGUCAGCUCUUCUUAAAUCAGUUCGUUAUGCGCAAUAUCUGUCUCUUUCAGCUCAUUGUUUGGAAGUAAGUAUUGCUCGACUUAAUUUAUCCUAGCUUAACUUGUUAAUUCUCUUAAGUAUUAUAUGUUUAUCACAUGUAUGAUUUACAUUAGUGGGAAUGUUGAGUUUGAGCACGAGUAGUUUCUGUUUGAUCAUUGUGUGCAGGCUUCUUCUCUGCCUUCUUUUAAAAAAUUGAAGGAAGCGAAGCUGGUUCUUCAAGAUUGCAAUCGGUUGGAAUCACUGUUACUGAAGAUUCUCGAGGGAUCACCGAAUCUAGAAUGUCUUAUCCUAGAUCGUGAGGUAAGUUAUACACUAUUUGAUACACACACACACACACACACACACACACACACACACACACACACACACACACACACUCACUCACUCACACAGCUCUUAACAAAUAUGUAUAAAAUUGUUUAUUGUUUAAAUGACCAUCAGGUUGACAGUUGUGACUGUACUUCUCAAUGCUCGGAAAAUCCAUUGGAAACUCUACAACCUGUGCCGUUUUGUUUAAUUUCCAAUCUUAAGACUAUCUCCAUAAUGAGAUUCAGAGGACUUCCGGAAGAGGUGGAAGUCGUGAAGUACUUGUUGAAAAACAGUCAAGUUUUGAAGACGAUGACCAUCUCUACUUUAAGGACUACUUGUGGAGAUGUAGAGAAGGUGCAUGAGAAUUUACGUAUGUGUUCAAGAGGUUCAAAGACUUGCGAGGUUGAGUUUAUGUAAGCUGCUGCAACUCCUGGUUAUAGAUUUUCAGGUAAUAGAGACCGGCUAGGACUUCAGUAGUUGGUGUUGGUUUAGUUGUUUGGCUUUUGCUUGGGAGGUUUGGUUUCACCCCCAUCUUUUGUGAUUGAGGCUUUUUAGCUCUCUUAAUAUCCAGUAAAUUUUCUUUGCAGUCCGGUUUUUGUUUCAGUUGUAAAAGCACCAUCUUGACCUAUUUCCAGUCUUUUUGCUUUUAGUUGUGUACAUUCUUAUCAACCUUGUUUAUCUUUAUCGGAAUAUUAGUCAAGAAUCAUGAUGACAUGCACAACUUGAUGCUCAUAUACUGAAAGGCACAAACAUAUUGACUCACUUGGUUGCCUUGGAUCUCUCUUUAACUUGAACUAGCCUGGCUUGGUUUUCGUGACUGCUAGCUGUUCUUGAACUUUCAUAACAGAAUUUUUAAAGAGACCAUCAGCAUUGCCUAUUUAUUGUAUCUCAACAGAACCUCAAGACUUUACAGAUAUCUGGUGGUGAAACUGCGGAAGCAGUCAAGCGGGUGAUAAAAGUGGCAAAGAUUUUAGAACUCGGUAAUUGUGUUAUUUUGACACUUGAAUACUAUGGCUAAAAGUACUAAAGUGAGAAGAUAACUGUUCAGUUUUCUUAUAACGCUUUUUGAAUUUGUGAAAGCCAGUAUGGUCUUGCGGAUUGAUGUUGGUUACUGUGAUAUAUAGCUCAUCAAACUGCAUGGACUAUGGCAAAUUUGCAAGGAAAAAUGGAAAAAAAUACAUGAUUAUGUUUAUGCAUGGAUGGAUUGAUACUUCUGAGGAAUUACAUAUGUAAAACAGCACUAGCCCUACGACAUUACAACCAUAGGUUAUAUAUGCUAGGUCUGCAGUUUCAUUCAUGGAUUAAGGUUAAAUGCCUUAAGAAAGACUCAUGUGAUAUACAAUGCACUUGAAUUUUGAUUGGUGGAGCAAGAGAAAAUUUGAAAUUACAGGGUUGGAGCUCUUUCAAUAUUUCCAGAGAUCACAGUAAGCAAGUUGUUGCCAAAAGGAUCACUGAGAUGCUUUGAUAGGUUUUCAACAGGACCUUCUCCAGUGACAUAAGCUUGGAUGAAGAAACCGAGCAUGGAAAACAUUGCCAGUCUACCAUUCUUAAUCUCCUUCACCUUUAGAAGUGCAGCUUGGUCGGGGUCCUUUGCGAGCCCCAAUGGGUCGAAUGGACCACCUGGGUGAAGCUUGUCCUCCAAAUCCUACCAGGAGAAUAACACAACCAGUUAAGUUUUGACUGAAGCCCACAGGUAAGUAAACAAUAACCAGACACCAACUUAUUUUGUGAUUCUUGUACUUGAUAUUGGACUAACAUUCAAGAGGGCAAACUUGUGUUCUUGGUUAAUUCAGAAUCAGUAAUUUACGUAAUACUUAACUAAAGGGUAGCACCAAGUUUUAGUGACAUACCAAACCAUUUGUGAGUCUGUAGUAUUCUGCUCCUCCAAGAAGAACGAUUUCAGCAACAACAGCAACAACCAAGUUAAUAGGUAUGCUCUUGCCGAAGUAGUUCAAUGUGUUUCCAUCAAGGAGUAGAGCUCCGGUCUGCGUACAUGUCAUGUAACAAACGUCAUGAAUUAAGUCCAAAACACUUGAUUAAUGAGAUUGUCAUCAAACUAUUUUUGUAACUUCAUCUUAAUUAGUCCUAGUAUUUAAGUCAGAGACCAAGAAUGUAGAUGCAGAUAUCUAAUUCAGAUGCCAAUUCACCUUGAACCAAACGGCCUCAGGUCCGCAGUUAGCACCAAAUUUGUUGAAGGCUUCUGGGAUGAUGAACCCAGCAGCUCCGAGCAUAGCCCACCGAGCAUGGAUCAACUCAUAUGCUUGGUAUCUGCAAUCAAAUUAGGGUAGUCCUCAUAAAUUACACUGAUCUAUGUAUAGAUUACAUAUAAUACUGAAGGACAGAAAUAUAGACAGAGAGUACGGUAUAGUAUAACAUACUUGCUGAAGUUUUCUGGCUUCUUGCUUAGACCAAAAGGAUCAUAACCAUAACUGCAUAGAUCCACAGUUGCACACACAUUAUACCAAGUUAGUAACAUACAAUAUUACAGAUUUAUUCAUAGACUAAAUCACUAAAUAGUACAUUACUUACUUUCAUGGUUUAAGACUUUUAAGUAUUUUAACUACUUUUACAUAGCUUAAUUAAGGAUUUAAACGGGUUUGUUACUUCGGCUACGGUACAUUACUGAGGCAAACUGGCUCCAUAGUAGACUUGUUCAGAUAGAUCUCAAUUUUUCCCCAAAAAAAAAAAAGAUAGAUCUCAAUUUAGCACACAACUGUAGGGAGCUGGACUAGUGCUAUAGGAAGUUGGUCUACCUUGAUGUGCCUAUUCUUUCAUAGACCAAUAGUACAUUCCUUAAACUCAGAGCUAAUUACAUGGUUCAACCUAUGACAAACAUAGCUAGUUUGGUUACUUCAAAAGAAAUAAAGCAUAGACAACAGAAUCUUACUCUCCGGGAACUUCUCCGGUCAAGUACUCUGGGAUCUCUGAUCGGUCCAAGAGCCCGGAAGGCAAGAAAAUUCUUCUUUCAGGACCUGAAACAAUAAAAAACCACCACAAUGUGCAUACUAAUCAGUUACGUUCACACCAACAAAACCAAAACCACAAAAGUACGUGAUGAUACAUAGUUGAAGUGAAGUGAUGUUCAUGAAUUAUACUUGGUUGCUUACCAUACCACUUUGAGAGCUCAUCGCUCUCGGGGGCAGCGACUACCUUGGCCUUGGGAGCUGCAGCCUUCUUCUUUCCGAAAAGCGCGACGGUCUUGAAGGUGGCAGGGGUAGUGGCAGUGGGAGCCGACCGUGAAGCGCCGCUGAAGUUGCUCUUGCUGAGGGGAGUUCCUAGCAACUCCGACAUACCAACCGGCGAUGUUGCAAGAGAAGCCAUUUCCAAAGUGGGGAGUGUCGAAGCUCCAAGUGAUAGCAAGGUUGUGGUGGUACGUGACUAACUGUUAGUAGUGGGAAACUAUGGGGCUGAGAAACGUUAUACUAUAAGCUUGAGCUGGUGGAUGUCGACCUGCCACCUUGGAUUUCUUGUCCAUGUCCGGUGAUUGGUUUCUAUGGAACUUAGGCAAUCCAUUGCUGGGAUUUCAUAGGGUGGACUUGCUGAUUUGGCAGAUGAUGCUGCUGAUGUGGAAUUCAGUGGAUAACAUGUUCUAUCCAGUGUUUAUGGACUAUUUCUCUUUGUUAGUCUUCAAAUAAAUGUCUUUCUCAUCUGUCAUUAGUCUUUCAUGAAAAUAUGUUUGUGAUCCCUAAACACAGGAUUGGAUGAGUAAAUCGACUAACAAGACAAUUCAGAGACACAAUGAAAAUUGAUUAUAUAGUAAUUUUACUAAAGAAAUUUUUAGAGUUGGCUCAAAAGUGAUGUAGGUCAAUUACGUAUUACUUGCUACAAUAUAAGCGUAAAUUACGUUUUUGCAAAUCCCUGAAGGUGUUGAAGGUGGUAGCGGGAUGUAUUACUUUUGAUCCUCCAUCACCGAGGUUUCCCAGUCUCAAGGUUCUCAAUGCUUGUCUUUAUCAGCCUAACAAUGAGUCAAUGGAGAAGCUUUUCUCUUGCUGCCCUGUACUAGAAGAUUUGUCCCUAAGGGCAGAUAUUGGAGAUGCAGUUUUGAAUUUCAAAGUGUCUGCACCUGAACUGAAGACAUUCAGAGUAGAUUUGUUUAAUGCAUAUAAAAAUGCAUAUGAAUAUCCCAGCGAUGAUGAAGAUGAAGCUCCUGAUUGCAUUGAUGUCUACAACUUCUUCAUUAAUGCCCCAAAGCUUGAAACCCUUGAUAUCCAUACCGAUAUCUUGUCAAAUUUCUUCUUCGAAAAUUCAGAGUCACUAGUGAAAGCCAAUAUUGAUCUCACUCACCAUGAUUCAAGUGAACGGCCUACUUUUGCUAAAAGUGCAACUGCACUUAUGGCAGCAGUUUCCAAUGUGAAGGAUUUGUCUCUUUCAGCUGAUUGUUUCAAGGUAAGUAUGUCUUAACUUGUUCCUUUUACAGUAUUUGAUAUAGACAUUAUAGGAAGAAAAGACGUGUGUUGGAGGAUGGAAAUCAAAGAUGUGCGCUUCUUCUUUAGAUGAAGAGUGGAAGGGUAAGGAAUGCAUGCAGGUCCAUCAAUUUCAGUUGACUCAUAGUUGGUUGCUGGAAUGAAAUUAAUCAAGUCGUAUUAAUAGUUUUGUUUGGAGAGGAAAUGCUAAAGAAAUAUGGAUGUAAUUCCAUGAGAAGGUUCAUUUCGUAUUUCCUUAUAAUCCAAAGUCAUAUGCAUGCGGACUGGUUUCUGUUUUAUAAUUGUUUCACCAUUCAUGUAGGCUCGUUAUCUGCCUGCUUUUGAUAAUUUGAGCAAGUUGGAGCUGGUUUUUCAAGAUUGCCACCACUUGGAAUUGCUGUUACCAGAGUUUCUCAACAGAUUACCUAAACUGGAAUCUCUCAUCAUAAAUCGUUUUGUGGGAUAUAUGCCCAACUUUUCUUCUCAUAACCAACAUACGCUGUAAUGAGAUUCAUAUUCAUCUAUUCUCUUAUAUUUUCAGGAUUUUACUUGUGGAGAACAUACCAAUGAUCGUCGUUGGAGUCAACCAAAGAAGGUGCCUAUUUGUUUGCUGUCACAGCUCAAGACUAUCACACUAAAGGGAGUAAGAGGAGCUCCUGAGGAAAUGAAAAUGGCAAAGUAUCUACUAAUGGCGGGUAAAGUUCUCGAAACAGUGACUGUUUCGAUUACAACUGACAGGGAUCUUCUUUCAGUGUAUUCAACAGAGAAGGGAUUACAGAAGACAUUCUGUUCCUUUCAGAAGGGUUCAAAGACUUGUGUAGUCAAAUUCGUCAAAGGCAAAGUUCGUAGGUUCCUAGACUACUAGCUUUUGGAAAGUCCAGCUUUUUUUGUUAGAAGCAUUUUUCCAGAUUUUUGACUUGAAAACAGUUGGAUCUGACUUGAAAAUGUUCUAGGAUAUUCCAUAUCUUUCUAGAUAUUCUUUAUGUGUGUCUUUGCCUUAUGUCAAUAGGAUAUGUAGUUAGACUAGAUCUAUGUAUUCAUAUCCUUACCAUACUGGUAAUGUGUAAUUCCCUAUAUAAAGGGCUCCUAUCAAUGAAUGAGAUACACAUCUUUCACGAUUCUCUAUUCUCAAUUUACUUUCACUUCAUCACGUUAUCAGCCUUUUGCUUAAACCCUUGAGCUAAUAGUUUUUUCCCAAACCCUAAAACCAAAAGCCGAAAACCCUCGGCCCUUCCUCGGCCGCCGCCGCCGCUGCCGCCGCCGCCGCUGCUGCCCACGACUGCCGCUCCCCGGCCGUCCGCUCCACUACUUCCUUCUCGUCCGAUCAAGCAUCCAAGUUUUACGGUAUGUUUACUUUACAACCCUAAAACUCUUCAAAGUUCAAUAACCUCGGGGGAAAUAAAGUGCUUUCUCCUCUUCUUCUACUCCAUUCUAUGCUUGGGACGGUGUCUUUGCAGGUUUAAAAAUCCCGGUUAUCCUCCCCGGGUCCAAAGUUGUGUUUGAUCAACUUUGGUUAUUGCUAUUUUGAAGGUGUGUUUGAUCACCUUCACACAAGUUUUUUCCGAGUCGUGUUUGAUCGACUCCGGACAUUUAGGGUUGUGUUUGAUCAACCCUAGAGAGACAAACCAAAAGCAUCGUAUUUGAGUACCUUUUUCAGGGUCUCCAACAGAAAACUAAUACGACUUGUUCUCUCUUGUAUGCAGAUGGACAGAGGCAUUGAAUUUGACGUCCUCGACGCCCAUGGUACUGAGUACCAUCGUUGGGUCUCGGACAUAGAACAGACCUUCAUCGCUAAGGAUCUGACCGAGACCAUAUUCCCCAAUCCAGAUCAGGAACCGCCUAGCAAGAGAACAAAAUCUCAGGCACUCAUGUUCCUUACGUAAGCAUAUCGAUCCCACANNNNNNNNNNNNNNNNNNNNNNNNNNNNNNNNNNNNNNNNNNNNNNNNNNNNNNNNNNNNNNNNNNNNNNNNNNNNNNNNNNNNNNNNNNNNNNNNNNNNNNNNNNNNNNNNNNNNNNNNNNNNNNNNNNNNNNNNNNNNNNNNNNNNNNNNNNNNNNNNNNNNNNNNNNNNNNNNNNNNNNNNNNNNNNNNNNNNNNNNNNNNNNNNNUGCCCUUGCCGAACGCUUCGGCAACAUUCACUCGACCUUGCUCCCAGAACUAAUUGCUCGCUGGGAUGAAAUCCGACUUUUGGAUUACAAGAAGGUUGAUGACUUCAACAGGGAUAUGCUUUGCCUACAAGCUCAACUGAGCUCAUGUGGAGUCGAGAAAAGUGAUGCCGACAUGAUCGAAAAGACUUUCUCGACCUUCCCUUCAGCUGCUAAGAUCCUCAUGAACCAAUAUCGGCUUGAGUUCACAAAUAAGAGGAUUACUACAUUUAGCGGCUUAAUGACGCAACUCCUUAUGGAAGAAAAGAAUAAUAUGAUCAAUGAUCAGCAUAAUUUGCGUCCUGUAGGCACUCGAAAAAUUUCGGAAUCUAAUUACAAUUGCAACUGGAAUAAGAAAGCUCCGAAACGCAAGGAUCAACAUAGGAAUGAACCUUAUGCACGUGGGAAUCAACACCACCGUGCCUCUAGUUCUCGGGGACAAGGUAGCGGCUUUAGUGGCCGUACCAACUCAUGGCGUCGAGACACCGGUGCCGCCGGCCCCAAGGGCGGCGCCGCUCCUCCUCGGAAGCAGCAUGCUCGCUCUUCUUCUGCCUUUGAUGGUCAAUUAAUGCAACAGAUGUGGGUCCAAGGACCACUGGUCUAAAAGCUGUCGCGCUCCUGCAAAUGUUGUUGCCGCAUACAAGAAAUACAAGGAAUUGAUGGAAGUCAAUUCCACUGAAAACAAUGGAGUUGAACAUAAUGUUACCUUCAAGGUCGCUGACCCUAAUGGAAAAUGUUCUGACUUAGAUGCCCCUNNNNNNNNNNNNNNNNNNNNNNNNNNNNNNNNNNNNNNNNNNNNNNNNNNNNNNNNNNNNNNNNNNNNNNNNNNNNNNNNNNNNNNNNNNNNNNNNNNNNNNNNNNNNNNNNNNNNNNNNNNNNNNNNNNNNNNNNNNNNNNNNNNNNNNNNNNNNNNNNNNNNNNNNNNNNNNNNNNNNNNNNNNNNNNNNNNNNNNNNNNNNNNNNNNNNNNNNNNNNNNNNNNNNNNNNNNNNNNNNNNNNNNNNNNNNNNNNNNNNNNNNNNNNNNNNNNNNNNNNNNNNNNNNNNNNNNNNNNNNNNNNNNNNNNNNNNNNNNNNNNNNNNNNNNNNNNNNNNNNNNNNNNNNNNNNNNNNNNNNNNNNNNNNNNNNNNNNNNNNNNNNNNNNNNNNNNNNNNNNNNNNNNNNNNNNNNNNNNNNNNNNNNNNNNNNNNNNNNNNNNNNNNNNNNNNNNNNNNNNNNNNNNNNNNNNNNNNNNNNNNNNNNNNNNNNNNNNNNNNNNNNNNNNNNNNNNNNNNNNNNNNNNNNNNNNNNNNNNNNNNNNNNNNNNNNNNNNNNNNNNNNNNNNNNNNNNNNNNNNNNNNNNNNNNNNNNNNNNNNNNNNNNNNNNNNNNNNNNNNNNNNNNNNNNNNNNNNNNNNNNNNNNNNNNNNNNNNNNNNNNNNNNNNNNNNNNNNNNNNNNNNNNNNNNNNNNNNNNNNNNNNNNNNNNNNNNNNNNNNNNNNNNNNNNNNNNNNNNNNNNNNNNNNNNNNNNNNNNNNNNNNNNNNNNNNNNNNNNNNNNNNNNNNNNNNNNNNNNNNNNNNNNNNNNNNNNNNNNNNNNNNNNNNNNNNNNNNNNNNNNNNNNNNNNNNNNNNNNNNNNNNNNNNNNNNNNNNNNNNNNNNNNNNNNNNNNNNNNNNNNNNNNNNNNNNNNNNNNNNNNNNNNNNNNNNNNNNNNNNNNNNNNNNNNNNNNNNNNNNNNNNNNNNNNNNNNNNNNNNNNNNNNNNNNNNNNNNNNNNNNNNNNNNNNNNNNNNNNNNNNNNNNNNNNNNNNNNNNNNNNNNNNNNNNNNNNNNNNNNNNNNNNNNNNNNNNNNNNNNNNNNNNNNNNNNNNNNNNNNNNNNNNNNNNNNNNNNNNNNNNNNNNNNNNNNNNNNNNNNNNNNNNNNNNNNNNNNNNNNNNNNNNNNNNNNNNNNNNNNNNNNNNNNNNNNNNNNNNNNNNNNNNNNNNNNNNNNNNNNNNNNNNNNNNNNNNNNNNNNNNNNNNNNNNNNNNNNNNNNNNNNNNNNNNNNNNNNNNNNNNNNNNNNNNNNNNNNNNNNNNNNNNNNNNNNNNNNNNNNNNNNNNNNNNNNNNNNNNNNNNNNNNNNNNNNNNNNNNNNNNNNNNNNNNNNNNNNNNNNNNNNNNNNNNNNNNNNNNNNNNNNNNNNNNNNNNNNNNNNNNNNNNNNNNNNNNNNNNNNNNNNNNNNNNNNNNNNNNNNNNNNNNNNNNNNNNNNNNNNNNNNNNNNNNNNNNNNNNNNNNNNNNNNNNNNNNNNNNNNNNNNNNNNNNNNNNNNNNNNNNNNNNNNNNNNNNNNNNNNNNNNNNNNNNNNNNNNNNNNNNNNNNNNNNNNNNNNNNNNNNNNNNNNNNNNNNNNNNNNNNNNNNNNNNNNNNNNNNNNNNNNNNNNNNNNNNNNNNGGACUCAUGUCGCGCUCUUGUCCACACGUAAUGCUGCAUUUCCAAAACUCCUAGCACAAAUUAUUAAACUUCGGCUCACCACCCGGAUUAUCCAAUUAAGUCAAUUCGACUGGAUAACGCUAGAGAAUUUACAUCAAAGACUUUUUGAUGACUAUUGCAUGUCUAUCGGGAUUGCAGUCGAGCAUCCCGUACCCCAUGUUCACACGCAAACGGUCUCGCCGAAGCUACGAUUAAGCGGCUUCAGCUUAUUUCUCGAGCGUUGGUAAUGCGCACAACCUUCCAAUUGCGUCAUGGGGCUAUGCAAUAUUGCAUGCAGCCUUACUUAUUCGUUUCAGACCCACUGCCAAACAACCAUUCAGUGCGUACCAGUUGGUCACUGAAUAUGAGCCUGACAUUUCGCAUCUACGCAUUUUCGGUUGUUCAGUUUAUGUGCCAAUUACGCCUCCACUGCGUUCUAAAAUGGGUCCUCAGAGAUGAUUGGGUAUCUACGUUGGUUAUGAAUCUCCAACGAUUAUCAGAUAUCUCGAGCCAUUAACAGGUGAUCUCUUUACCGCAAGGUUUGCGGAUUGUCACUUUGAUGAGACACUCUUCCCAUCGUUAGGGGGAGAUACGAACAAACGUGUUCAUGUGGAAUGACAGGAAUUGUCGUGGUUUGUCCCCACUCUGUCUCAUUAUGAUCCCCGCACCUCACAAUCUGAACGUGAAGUGAAACGUAUUCUCGAACUUCAGAAAGUAGCAGAUACGAUGCNNNNN
rnacentral:lncRNA from 1 species